rnacentral:lncRNA from 1 species
CAUUCACUAUCACUUUAUUCUCCAUAUUUCUCUUUUCUUUCUUAUUAAAAAAAAAAUCAACUCUCCAAUCAAUAUUUACUAGUGAAGGCCUGCGCUACGCUGCGGGAAGUUUAUAUAAAUUUAGUAUAAUAAAUAAAAUAAUGUGAAUCAUGAAUAGAUGUCGUAUUAAAAUAUAAAUCAGAAUUCAGAAACGUAUUAAAAUAUGAAUCAGAAUUCAGAAUUUAUAUAAAAGGUAACUUAUAUGAAUUAAAGUAGAAUUCUGUUAAGCAAUUCAGGAUUCAGCUGGUUAUUGUUUGAAGUAAAAAAAAAAAAUUGGGCCAAUAAUAAUUGAAAUUCAUAAUAAGCCCAUUCAUAAAUGUGAGUUGGUGGGCCUUAUGAAAGCCCAUGCAAAUAAAAAAAAAAGGGCUUCAUUUCAACCCAUUAUUAUUUGAGCCCAAUAAAUUAAAGUGGGCCCGAUUAACGACGGUCCACACCCACACCCUAUAAAAUAUCUAUUUGAAAUCAUAACCUAUUCAAAAUCCGAAUUUCGAAUUUCGAAUUUUGAACUCCCAACAAAUUUUCAAAACAUCAUCCAACAAUCCAUUCAAAAUUCGAUUUCGAAUUCGAAUUUCGAAUUCCCAACCAACUCCAAAAUAUCCUCCAACAAUCUAAAUGCAAAAUUCGAUUUCGAUUCGAAUUUCAAAUCCCAAACCAAUUCCAAAAAUAUCCUCCAAUAAUCCAUUCAAAAUUCGAAUUUCGAAUUUCAAAUCCCAACCAAUUGUCCAAAAAUAUCCUCCAAUAAUCCAUUCAAAUUCGAAUUUCGAAUUUCGAAUUCCCAACCACUCAAAAUAUCCUCCAGCAGAUCCAUCAAAAUUCGAUUUCGUAAUUCGAAUUUCGAAUUGCCCAACCAACUACAAAAUAUCCCCAACAAUCCAUUCAAGAAUUCGAUUUCGAAUUUCGAACUUUUCUUCCAACGCAAUUCCCAACAAAUCUUCCAACCACCCAUAAAACCUAUUCAAAAUUCAAUUCGAAUUCGAAUCCCUUAACGCAACUCCCAAAAUAUCUUCGCAAACUAUCCAACAACUCAUGUCAAAAAUUCAAUUUCGAUUUUUGAUUCCCAACCACUUCCCCAAAUAUCCUCCACCAUCCAAUAAUAAGUCAAAUUCGAAUUCGAAUUUUGAAUUCGCUAACUAACUCCCCCCUCCAUUAUAAAAUACGGGAACCGAAAUCAAACUCGCGGGAGAAUUUUUUUUUAACGGAGACUAUACGACAGCAAAAGACAAAAAAAUGAUAGAUAGAGUUGCUACAGCUCGUUCCGACAUACAAAAAAAAAAGAAAAAGGAAGAUAUUCGCGCGAGCGCGAAAAGUAGGAGGAAUCGCCGAGCCGCGGAAAGGAGGAGAAAUCGCCGACCGCAGAAUCAGGAGAGAAAUCGCCGGACCGCGAAAGGAGAGAGAUCGUAUCGAGCCGGAAGCUGAGGAAUCGUCGAGCUGAUGUCAUGCCAUUCCGUCAUUAUGAUCAGUUGAAUCAAGCAGUAAAAAAAAAAAAAAAAAGAAGAAAAAUGAAGAAAUAAGAAAAAAAGAAAACCAAAAAAGAAAAAAAAACGAGAAAGAAAAGAAAAUAACAAGAUCUCUUCUUCUUCCACCCCCGCUCUAAUUUUUUUUCAUUUUUUUGUGUCCUGCGAUUGUUAAGUGCCAUCCAUACACAUCUAGAUGCUUUGCGAUGGGCAGAGUGGAGGGAAUCUUUGAUCCCCGUUUCUUCUCGGACUCUCAAUACCCCAUCCGAAGUCGUUGAUGACGCAUAAGGUGAUUACAUUGCCGCGACUAUCUCCAACAUCGUUGGUUUAUACUUUCGAAAGAAGGGGAGGGGAAGUCUUUGAUUCCCCGUUUCUUUCGGACCCUUCAACAGUUUUUUGAAAAGUCAAAUCAAAUUUGCCGAGCCGAACAGAUUCGCGCCGACGUCAAUCAAUUCACCGACACAUCUAGGACCAUUGCCGUUUGAUAGACUUUCGAAAGUGAAAAGAGGGGACUUCGAUUCCGUUUAUUCGAGCCCUGUCGAACAUUCUCUUCGAAUUCAAGAAUAAAUACCGAUGGCCGCACAGAUCCACGCGCAUCGUCAUGCAACUUUGUACGACCCGUCAAUCUGGCAGCAUACGCAAGAAGAGGGAGGACAUCUUUUGAAUCCCCGUUUCUCUGACCCCAAAUCAAAAUUAAAAAGGGGAUUCUCGACCCCAAAUUGGAACUCAAACGGGGAUAUCUUCGGAUCCCAAACAAAAAUCCAAUACGGGAAUUUCAUUCGACCCUAAAUCAAGAUUAACGGGGAUCUUCAUUCUGACCCAAAUCAAAUCCAAUUGGAGAUCAAAUCGGGAUUUCCUUCGGACCCCAAAUCAAAAUGAAAAUCAAAGUCCAAAUGGAAACAGGAAAAUCCAACGGGGACUUCUUCGGAGCAGCCGAAUCAAAUUGGAAAAUCAAUCUAAUUGGAGAGUCCAAACGGGGAUUUCUUUCUUCGACCCAAUCAAUCCAAUAGAGAAUCAACGGGGAUUUCUUCGACCCCAAAUCAAAUCAAGUCAAGAAAUCAAGACGGGGAUUUUUUUCAGGACCCCAAAAUUAAAUCCAUUGGAGAAUUCAAACGGGAUUCUUCGGCGACCCCAAAUUAAAUUGGAAAAUCAAAUCCAAAUUGAAAAAUCAAACGGAGAUUUAUAUUCCGACCCAAUAACCCAAAUCGAGAUAAAAAAGGAAUUUCUUCGAACCCCAAAUCAACAAAAUCACAAGAAUUUCUUCGAUCUGAAAAUCAAGUUGGCAAAAGAGGAAUGCCUCGAAGCCCGAAAUAAAUUAAAAAAGAAAAUCAAUUCACAUAAGAACCAACACUCGAACAGCCAAAUAAACCCAAACCCAAACCAAACCUAGUCCACAAAUAAAGCCCACAAAUAAACCCAAACUCCGAACCCAAAUAAACGGCCAAACCAAACCAAACGCUUAUCCACAAAUAAACCGACAAUAAACCCAAACCCGAAUCCAACAAAACCCAUAACCCAAACCAAACAAAAUCAAAAUCAAGUCACAAAUAAACCCAAACUCGAAUCCCAAAUAAAACCCAAACCCAAAUCAAAUCCAAACCUAAAACAAAUACAGUCCACAAUGAACCAAAAACCAAAUCUCAUGGAUCUAUCCAUGAACCAAAACCAAACUCAUGGACCAAUCCAAUGAACCAAAACCAAAUCUCAUGGACCAAAUCCCAUGAACAAGAACCAAAACGCUCAUGGACUAAAUCCAGAACCAAAAACCAAACCUCAAUGGAUCAAAUUCCAUGAACUAAAUACCAAACCUUAUGGACCACAAUCCCAUUGAACCAAAACCAAACUCAUGACCAAAUCCGCAUGAACCAAAAACCAAAUCUCCAAUGGCCAAAUCCCUAUGAUACUCAAUAACCAAACCUCAUGACCAAUUCCAUGAGCCACAACUAAAUCUGCAUGAUAAAAUCAUGAACGCAAAACCAAACCUCAUGACAAAUCUUCAUGAACGCAACAAAUCUCAUGGACAAAUCCCAUUAACCCAUAACCAAAUCUCAUGAUCAAAUCCAUAACCAAACAUCAAAUCUCAUGACCAAAUCCCAUGAACCGAUACAAAUCUCAUGGACCAAAUCCCAUGAAGCCAAAACCAAAGUUCAUGUACCAAAUCCGACAUGAACCAAAACCAACCUCAUGGACAAAUCCUAUGAACCAAACCAAAUCUCAAAUGGAACCAUAAUCCCAUUGAACCGCCAUAUUCAAAUCUCAUGGACGCGAAUAUCCAUGAAACUAAAACCAAACCUCUAUGGAUCAAACCCAUGAGCCACAACUUAAAUCCUCAUGGACCAAAUCCAUAACGCAAAACCAAUACUCAUGACCAAUAUUCCAUAAACCAAAACCAAACCUCAUGGACCAAAUCCCAUGAACCAAAACAAACCUCAUGGACGCAAAUCCCAUGAGCACAACUAAACUCCAUGGACCAAAUAUCAUAACCAAAAUCAAACCUCAUGGACGCAAAUCCAUGAACCAAAAACCAAAUCUCAUGGCCCAAAUCCAUGAACCAAAACCAACUUAAUGGACUCAAAAUCCAUGAGCCACAACCAAUACCUCAUACCGCAAAUCCCAUGAGCCCACAACCAAACCUCAUGGACCAAGAUCCUCAUGGACCAAAACCAAACCUCAUGAACCAAACCAAACCUCUCAUGGACCAAACCAAAACCUCAUGAACCAAAACCAAACCUCAUGGACCAAUCCGAGCAUGAGCCAAAACCAAAACUCAUGGACCAAAUCCGCAUGAGCUCAAAACCAAAGCCUCAUGGACGCAAAUCCCAUGACCAAAACCAAACCUACAUGACAAAUCCCAAUGAGCCAAACAACCUCAUGGACCAUAAUCCAUGAACCAAAACCAAAACUCAUGACAAAAUCCCAUGAACCAUAAUCAAACCUCAUGACCAAAUCCCAUGAACGACAACUAAAACCUCAUACCAAAUCCCAUGAAACCACAACUAAACUCAUGGAUCGCAAAUCCCCAUGACAUAUACCCACCUCAUAAUCAUAGGCCAAUCCUAUGAGCCAUGAACCAAAUCAUCUUCAAUCUCAUAAAACCAAUACCCCAUAGCCCAUGAUACCAAUUACCAGAUCUCAUACCGCACAAUCCUAUGAACCAAUACUCCAGGAUCUCAUACCUCAUAUCCCCAUGAAACGCCAAUUAGCACUCUAGUAUAUAGAGUUAGUAGCGAUUAGGUCUUUAACCACAUAUUUAUUAGGGCGCUAAUCAACCUGCAAAUUCAACUGAAUGCUCAACAAAUAAUACUUAGGAUGCCAUAAACGCGGAGAUACGAUCCUCUCAUCCAAGAUAUAAAGGCUCUCUUAAUCGAAGGUGCCCAAUCUCAGAGGGUAAUUACAGUAGAAUGCCUUGCUCUAUUGGACCAUUGGACUCGCAAUACCUGAUACCCCACUACAUCACAUAUAAUACUCAAUCUGAAAUCAUGAAUACUACCCCAACGGCCCGAAAAUCCAUCGACCGGCGAGGGUGCGUCAUCCGUGGUGCAGACAAAAUGGCCACGGCCGGCUGGGACAUAGCUUCUUCUUUCCAUCUUCCGAGACUUAAAACAAAAAAAAAGAAAAAAAAAAUAAGGUCCUAACUCUACCUUUUUUCCACAAGGAAAUGCACACCAUUAAUAGAGCGUUGUCGCUGGCAUCCAACAAACCUCAAUAAUAUGAGGCUGGUUCCCAGUUGCUUGCGCACGUCUCCUUACAUUCGAAAUGCAGGAACCUCAAUCCAAUUUGGCACAUUCCCGAAGAUGUUCGACUGCUGUCAUGGCUUAAUUCUUGCUGCACUGGGGGCAUGACCCUCCCGCCGCCUCUUCAUAGCAUGUAUCCAUCGGGUCAUUUUCUCGGCUACCAUCCUCGAGGAAGACGACCCAAUGUGGUCAAUCCCCAACCCUCCUCGCUGGACGCCAUAGGCGAACGACUCACUUCCAACCUGCAUCCAAAGAGGCCAUGGAGUCUGAGGAAGACUGAUAUUCCCGAAAUGCAAGAGUGCACGAAACUAUCAAGUAUUCGAUAGCUGCGCUUUCUAAUGAUACUACAACCACCUAUUCCUCUAAUGAGAGUGUCCUUUAAAGGAAUAGCCGCCGCCUUAACUCCACAGGGAAAAGUUGCUCGGGGCAACGACAACCAAUAACGUUCAAGAGCCCAAAUGACCAAUCGACGACAAUGUCCGUUAAACUAAGGCAAAAAAAAAUAGGGGCCGACAAAAGAUGAGCUAACAUCGUAGUGAGCCAUCCUCAUUUAAACUAAUAUUAGUCUGAAAGAGCAUAUCACUUCCAAUUGGUCCUAAAAAAGAAAAAAAAAAAAAAAAAAAAAAAAGAAAAAGAAGGUGGAUGGACAUGUACUUAAAUUUUUUUUUUUAUAAACAUGGAUAAAAUAUGAGCCACUACCGACUGAUUGUUCCACAUUCGGACUCAGGGUAAAUUGCAUAGAAAAGUUCUCGUGGGUAUUGUAAUACAGCUGAACUUAUUGCAAAUUGCAAGUUCGAGUGUGUGCAAUGGUGUGUGAUCACUCCCUACAUGUUCUAAAAGGUAGAACAACGUGUUUGGACAAGUUUUUGAGAGUUGAUUGGAAUGCAAAAUACUAAGAAAUGCAUUGACCUGCGAAAUUUACAUUUUCUGGGCUUGCUGUUACCGGUACAGCCAUUACUUGUACGCGGUACAGAAGCUGGCAGAUUGUGAUAGGCAGGGACCAAAUUGGUCAUUUCAGACUCACAUCUUGUGCUACCUAUUUGGAUCCCAGCACGACUCUUGCGCUUGCUGGAGUGUUGCUGAGCCCGAAGAAGCAACCUUGCAUAUUUUUCUCUCUUAUCUCUAGGUUUUUCCUCUCUCUACAUGUAAGAAUUAGCCGAUUUCGCAUCGUUUUUCGUCGUCAGGCGCAUGCUGUUCUUCGCUGAUUGCGAGCGUCGCAGCGCCGUUGUGGGCACUUCAAGAGAGCGUUUUGGAAGGAAUUUCGGCAGCCCUGGACAGUGGGAUGCUGGUUGACAGCUUGAGAGGUAAACGACUCGGAUUUCUCUUAAUGCAACGUUACUAAGUAGUCCGUUUACGUGUUGCGUUUUGAUAUUGCUUCAGUUGCUUUAACCUGAGAUUUCAAGCAAUUUAAAGUUGGAUUAAUUAGCUGUGAAUUAAACCUCCUUAGACCAGGGUUAAGCUACUUCUACAGCUUAAUGGAGAUAUUUAGUCCUUUUAUGAAGCUAUUUUGGAACGAAAAUGCUAUUGUUUGAGCGAAUAAUGCAAAUUGGGGAUUUCCUUCGCACAGGUCUUUCGAGCUUGUUGAGCUGAAUUUUGUACCUUAGAAGCUGGUUGAACUGCCUACACCUAGGGAAAGCUAGAACUCAGUAGAAAAACUGAAUCACAAGUUUCCGGCUAUAUUUAUUAAUAGUCCAACUGAUUUUGACAGCCGUUUUGAUAUUGUUCGAGCGAGACAGGUAUUUGACCCUUGGAUCGCCUUCGUUUGCAUUGGAGGCCUCCGGAAGCUUAACGUGAGGAAUGAACUAACCAAAAACAUGAAUUGAUGGAAAUUGACUUCCACUUUGUAUCUACAAUUAGGAAUUGCCGGAAAUUGGAAUUGUAGUAAUCGGCCUCGUGCGGUUUUGGUACCUUAGUUUUCAGCGUCAGGUUUUGGGAGCCUUGUUGAGCUGAUUCUUGAGAAGUCUUGUGACUGCUUGAGCAUAGUACGAGGUGGGUCGGACCUAACCAGAGCAAUGAAGCUCCUCUAUGUUCGAUAUGUCACUAUGAGAAUGAUAUACUUUGUGUGUUAUUGUCACUAUGUAGUUACUAAAGGAUGGGGACAGUCCGUGUGAUUAAGCUAGCAUAAUGGAAAUAGAAUCCCUCCCCCCCAACCUCUAUAAGUAGAGAGCACUCAAUCGCAUAAGUGUCUUUAUGCUUAUAUUUUAUGUUUAUUUAGUUAAGUUAACUAAUGGACAUAAUGAAUGAUGAUUUUGGAAUAGAGAACCAUGAACAUGUCUUUAUCUCCAUGAAGUGGAAAAGAUUCUAUAUUGCUCAUAUGUAAAUUCGCAUUAUACCCGCUGUAUCUUACUAACUAGUGGAUCUAGUUGUUGUUAUAUUUUGUUAUAGUUUAUACUGAAAUGUGAUCAAAGGAUCGAGAACGAGAAUAUCUGUGAACUAUACAACAUUGAUAAUUGAGACUGUUGACUGUGGACGCUUGCUUGCUUGGCCAUAGUGCUCAUUCCCCACACGCUUUUGAGGUAGCUCCCCUACAAGCGCGGCAACUCCGGAGUUGGCCUAGCCGCGAACAGUUGCUCGCCGUCGGGAUUGGUUGCCUGAAGUGGAUUGCCGUGGGGAGUGUAUACUACCCGGCAUUAGGGCGCUCGGCGCAAGCUGGACCUACCUUGAAGUAGAUCCCGUGAAUAAAGGAAAGUCGCUAAAGAAAAUUGGACAGUAAUGAAUAAUUACGCAGUUAUGUACAGUAAGUUACUUCAAUCACCUUAUGCUACGUGUAUCUAUAGUAGGUACUGCCAUGCUUUCUAUCUCUCAGUUGAUUCAUUUACUGUUGAUCUAUGAUCACAUGUUGUUCCAUGUUCAAUAUAAUUGUAACUUGCUUAUGAAUUGCUAGCAUUGAAAAAUAUAUCAUCGACAAAUUAUGUCUUUUAUUUCAUUCUGUACAUCCUUGAGCCUAAGUGGUGUAAUUCGCCGAGGCUGGCGGCUUACCCCACUGGAAACUAUGUAAUAGUCCUCACGCCCUUUUGUGGUUUGUUUUUAGCAUGAGCCUGUUAGCAGUGAAGAGCUAGGGAAUCGUGCAAGGGAGUCGCGCCUAGCUAGGGACUACUAGGACGUGGCUUAGUCGAUCACGUUGCUACUCGGCUAAACGGCCGAGGGGUGAUGUCCAUAUAUAUAUAGAAGCCACUCAUUUGGACAAUCUAUUCUUUUUUGUAAGCAGACGCCUGAUGUAAUAUUACUUUCGGGGUGAGAAUAUAGUAGUGUUACUUCCCUUUUUGCUGAGUUGUCAUGUUUGCUAUACUACUUUGGAUUUUGACUCGGGUUGAUAUCUCUUGUAUAUCGACUUGUACCUUUUGCUCUGAUAUCAGGAAGGAAUCUCGUUGUUUAACUGUCCUAUCGACUUGCUUUCUCGCUAGACCUUAUAUAGCUGGCAGGUGUAUGGCGGGUCUGUGACGUGCCGGAUAUCUGUGCCGGGACCGUCCGGCGUGACAGAUUAUAGUGUUCGUAUCUAAGCCCUAGGUUGAAGUCUUAGUAGAACGCUUGUAAACCUUAGGCUGUGGACUAUACAGGAUAGCUCGUGAGAGAUCGAGUCUAGUCGAGGUUGUUGUUAAGCCGAAAGUACUUUGGAUUUGGUACUCGUAUAAACUCCGAAUAGUUAGGAGUUGAUUCGGGUGUGAAGUACUAACUUGCCAAAGAGGGUACGUGCCGGCCGACCACCGUGACAUCGGAAGUUUAGUAGUCGUUACAUUUCCAUUACUUUCGGCUGAUAGUCGGUUUAUAUCCUCAAUGGUGUGGUUCAGGUAUAAUGGGUUUAUUGACCUAUGUUUGUUUUGGUGUUGCAGGUUCAAGAUGCCCUACACUCGUUCUGGAACCGCUUGGGCGGCUAGCGGCCGCUUGGCGGAAGAGGUAGAGACUUCCGUCACGUCGGGGUCCAGAGUUCCAUGAGUUGGGCAGGAUCAGCUUGCGAUCGUUGACAGAGUUGGUUACUCAGCAGCCGCGGCCACGACAGAAUGGACCGCCUGCGCGUCGGGAGCAGGACAGGAUAAGAGUUAGAGGAUCUAUUAUCUGCGGCGACGACCGAUAGAGAGAUUCCAGUUCUUACCGAUCCGGAUUUCUGUAGCCCUAUAGUACCAAAGGGGCACCACAAGUGAGAGCCAGUCACCGUACCUCGAUACACCCCCAGUACCGAGGCCCGAGAACGCCGAACAGGAGAUAAUAGUACCACCACCAUAGUACCAUGUAGCAAUAGCCUGGGAUAUGUGUUACCCGGAGAUGGUGGGGGUUGAGGACGAGAGCGGAUGAUGGAAACGACUGAAAAUUCGUCGCUGGUGCAACACCAAUGUCUGUUAUGGGGAUGAAAGCAGAUCAUUUGUGGGUGGUUAAAAAAUGGUUAAUGCAUAUGGAGAAAUCAUAUUCUAUGACACUUUCGUUGAGAGCGGUACCGAGUUUGGUUUGCGAAUUGGGCAUCACUGAAUGGCCGGGUGAUGCUUACAGUGGUGUGUGGGGGUGAACAUCCGGAGGAUCCCCGUGCUAUUUGUCUGCUAUCUACGUGAACAGGUUCAAAGAGUUUUGUUGAUCUACCUAUUUUCCACAGAGUGUGAAGAGCAGAUGGAAAGGGAUCUGAGAACUUGAGACAGGGACAGUACAGUGGCUGAGUACGAGCGAAGGUUCUCUCGAUUACAUGUUGCACUUGUGUUCCUUUUGUAAGUCCGAGACGAUGAGGACAAGCCGUCUCUUUAGGUGGGUUUUGCGGCCGAUGCGAUUUCAAUUGGUCCAGGCGCAAACCUCUCCACUUACCGGGAUGUCGUGAACCGAGCCUUGAUCGUGGAGAAAGGCCGCGGAAAUCAUGAAGGAAAGAGACGUUGUGGUCGAGGUAAGGGAAAGAGAAGCCAGUCAGCUGAGAGCAGUGGUCAAGCAGUCCUUCAGGAGACCGCCAAAUAUCCAGAGGGGACAGUCAGGACAGUCGAGGGGUCGAGGUUCUUUAAAGUACCGGGGAAGCACCCGAUGCGUCGUCGACCACGCGAUGUUUAUCUGUGGUGGGCUCCGUACCCGCCACAGUGUUCCACGCGUCGGGGCAACGCUGUUUUCUUUGCGGCCAGGAGGCCAAUUUCGUUCAGAGUGUCCGAGAGUUCUUUGCCCCUGCACCCUCGUCAGGCUUCUGCACCUGCAUCUUCAGCUCGAGCCAGGGCACCCGACAGGCGCCUAAUCAGUCUAGGCGACCACCAGGACAGCGCAGGUCGCAGAGUUCGGCAUCAGGGUCGAGUGGCGCAGUAUGCCGCGACUGAGGCGCCAUAGCAGUAACAGGAGGUCGUAAGCAGGUAUUUAUAUGCUUUACAGAUAUUCGUGUUUCGUGGCAUUAUUUGUAUACUGGUGCUUCGGCAUUUCUUUUAUGAUCGGGCGUUACGCCGAGUUCAUACAUACUAGUUAGUAACUCGUAUUUGCAUUUGGGACGAGUGAUUGUACCUGACCAUACCUGGAUAUUUGAUGAGUAUUGCCCUCGGCCAGUUGAAGGGUAGGCGACUGGAUCAUGCCAGUGGAUUACUGGCACUACACAAACUAGGUGAGUUUGAUGUAGUAUUGGUAUGGCUUGGUUGACGACAGUAUUAUGCCACCAUAAGAUUUGCCACAAACAGAAGUGACCAUUCGGAACGGAGUCCCAACAGGGAGUUUGUUUAUAAAGGGUUGCCAGAGUUUCAUUGUUCGCUACAUGACCAUCAUAGCUCUUGCUCGAGCACGACAGUUUAUUCGGAGGGGUGUGUAGCCACUUGGCUAAGCAUUUAAAUGAGGAUGGAAAAACCCAGAUGAUGAUAUUCCACCAGUUGUGCGAGAAUUCGAGGGAUGUUUGCCAGCUGAGAUUGCCCGGUCAUGCCACGCCUGAUUAGGGAAGUGGAGUUUGUGAUUGAUCUUGUCCCUGGCACAACUCCUUAUUUCUAAACGCACCCUAUAACGCAAUCGGCACCCGCUGAGUUGAAAAGAAAGCUGAAGGAACAAUUACAAAAUCUUUUUAGAGCAAGGAUUUAUUCGACCGAGUGUAUCGCCUUGGGGAGGGCACCCGUGUUAUUUUGUGCAAGAAGAAAGAUGGAUCUCUACGAUUGUGGCGUGGAUUAUCGAGAAAAUCCACAAGUCACAAUCAAGAAUAAAUAUCCAUUUGCCGUACAGAAUUGAUGACUUAUUUGAUUCAGCUCAAGGAUCGACAGGUGUAUUCGCAGAUUGAUUUGGCAAGUCUGGUUACCAUCAGCUUAAGAUCAAGCCUGAAGAUGUCUCUGAAAACCGCUUUUAGCCACACGUAUGGCAUUAUAUUACAUCAUGCUUUUUGGAUGCUAAUGCGGCCAGCAGCUUUAGAUUUAAUGAACCGUGUCUUUAAGCCCUAAUUUGGAUAGAUUCGUAGUAAGUGUUUAUUGACGAAUUAUCUUGAUCUAUUCUCGAAGUGACAACGAGCAUGAAGAAACCAUUUGAGAGUGGUGUUGCAAGUACUGUCGAGAAAAAGAAACUUGUUCGCAAAGUUAAAGAAAUGCGAAUUUUGGCUUGAGAAGUGGCAUUUCUCGGCCCAUGUGAUUUAAAGAAACUGGGAUAGCUGUGGAUCACAGAAGAUUGAAGUCGAUAAAGAUGGCCUAGCCGACCAGUGUCCACAGAGAUUCGGAGUUUCCAUUGAUUUGACGGAUGCAACUCACUGUUAGGGUCGGUUAUCGCAGCAAUUUCGAUUUGCUUCUCGAGCAAAUAAAAAUAAAAAUAAUCCGAUAUUUUCUAUUAUCCAAAUAUAUUUGCCUAUGACGGAAUGCUAACCACCCUAGGGUUGGUUUGCACAGCAAUGUCUGAUGCUUCUGCAGGCAAAAUAAAUAAAAAGAAAAAUAUAUAUAUACUUACUUCCUGAAAAAAAAAAAAAAAGGUGAUGACAUAUUGUCUAAAUUUUUAGAUAAAUGGGUAAAAGUAUGAGGCCACCAGCGGACUUGAUUGUUCACCGAUCGGACUUCAAGGGUAAAAAUUGCAUAAAAGUUCCCCCGCUGUGGUAUAACCCCACAGGCAAAAUUGGAAUCCCGCUGUGCAGAAAACCUUUCGAGGCUCACUGCAAAAGUUAGGGAAGGACCUGGUGAAAAACCCAUAUGGCGCCAGAUUUACCAAGAUUCUUGAGGCAAAAAUAAACAAAAAAUAAUAAUAAAUCUGUGUUCGAACCUAACUCACUUAGGGUUACGGUUUAUGCGUACAAUUUCAAUUGCUUAUCAAUAAAAAAAAAAAGAGAUAUUUCUUGGACAAAAAAAAGAAGAGAAGAAAAAACACAGUCAACAGAGGGACUGAACAAAAAAAAAAAAAAGGUUCGAACAAAAAAAAAAAAAAAGGAAAAAAGGAGAUCGAGUAAAAAAGAAAAAGAGGAACGAGCAAGAAAAAAAUAAGAAAAACUCUGACUAAAAAUAAAAAAAUAAAAAAUAAAAAAAGAGAAAAAGGAGCACCUUUUGCCGCGCGUGAAACUCUUACGUCGAAAAGGUGGUGGCGCAAUUUGUUUUGAAAUAAAAAAAAAAAUUGGGCCAAUAAUAAUUGAACUUCAUAAAGCCCCUUCAUAAAUGUGAGUUGGUGGCCUUAAUGAAAAGCUCAUGCAAUAAAAAAAAAAAAAAGGACCUUCAUUUCAACCCAUUACUUAAUUUGAGCGCAAUAAAUUAAAGUGGGCCGAUUAACGACGGUCACACCCACACCCUAUAAAAUAUCUAUUUGAAUCAAUAACCUAAUUCAAAAUGCCGAAUUUCAGAAUUUCGAUUUUGAACUCCAAAAAAUUUCAAAACCAUCAUCCAACAAUCCAUCUCAAAAUUCGAUUUCGAAUUCGAUUUUCGAAUUCCCCACCAACUCACCCAAAUAUAUCUCACAACAAUCUAUUCAAAAUUCGAUUUCGAAUUCGAAUUUCAAAUCCAACCAUUUCAAAAUAUUCUCCAACUAAUCCCAUUCAAAAUUCGAAAUUUCGAAAUUUCGAAUACCCCAACCAAUUUCCAAAAUAUCCUCCAAUAAUCCAUUCAAAAUUCGAAUUUCGAAUUUCGAAUUCCCAACCAACUCCAAAAUAUCCUCCAACAAUCCAUUCAAAAUUCGAUUUCGAAUUCGAAUUUCGAAUUCCCAACCAACUACAAAAUAUCCUCCAACAAUCCAUUCAAAAUUCGAUUUCGAAUUUCGAACCUCCAACCAAUUCCCAAAAUAUCUUCCAACCAUCCCAUAACCUAUUCAAAAUUCAAUUUCGAAUUUCGAAUCCCUAACCAACUCCCAAAAUAUCUUCCAACUAUCCAACAACUCAUUCAAAUUCAAUUUCGAAUUUUGAAUUCCCAACCACUCCCCAAAUAUCCUCCAACCAUCCAAUAAAUAAUUCAAAAUUCGAAUUUCGAAUUUUGAAUUCCUAACUAACUCCUCCCCUCCCAUUAUAAAUACGGGAACCGAAAUCAAACUCCGGGAGAAUUUUUUUUUUACGGAGACGAUACGACAGACAAAGAACAAAAAAAGAUAGAUAGAUUGCUACACUCGUUCCGACAUACAAAAAAAAAAGAAAAAGGAGAUAUCGCCGAGCCGCGGAAAGGAGGAGGAUCGCCGAGCCGCGGAAAGGAGGAGAAAUCGCCGAGCCGCAGAAAGGAGGAGAAAUCGCCGAGCCGCGAAAGGAGGAGAGAUCGUCGAGCCGCGGAAAGGUGGAGGAAUCGUCGAGCUGAUGCAUCCAAUCCGUCAUUUGAUCAACAGGUAAAAAAAAAAGAAAAAAAAAAGAAGAAAAAUGAAGAAGAAAGAAAAAAAGAAAACAAAAAAAGAAAAAAAAAAGGAAAGAAAAAGAAAAUAACAAGAUCUCUCUUCUUCCCCCCGCUCUAUUUUUUUUUCUUUUUUUUGGUCCUGCGAUUGUAGCCAUCCAUACCAUCUAGAUGGCUUCGAUGGGAGAGUGGAGGGGAAUCUUUGAUUCCCCGUUUCUUCGGACCUCUCAAUACCCCAUCCGAAGUCGUUGAUGACGGCAUAGGUGAUCUACAUUGCCGCGACCAUCUCCAACAUCGUUGGUUUGAUACUUUCGAAAGAAGAGGGGAGGGGAAUCUUUGAUUCCCCGUUUCUUCGGACCCUUCAACAUUUCUUUUGAAAAUGUCAAAUCAAAUUUGCCGGCCGAACAGAUUCGCGCCACCGUCAUCAACUUCACCGACGACAUCUAGGACAUUGCCGGUUUGAUACUUUCGAAAGAAGAGGAGAGGGGGAUCUUCGAUUUCCCGUUUCUUCGGACCCUUCAACAUUUCUUCGAAAUGUCAAAUCAAAUCCGAUGGCCGAACAGAUCCACGCCAUCGUCAUCAACUUUGUCGACGUCAUCUGCAGCAACGCAAGAAGAGGGGAGGGGAAUCUUUGAUUCCCCGUUUCUUCGGACCCCAAAUCAAAAUUAAAACGGGGAUUUCUUCGGACCCCAAAUUGGAACCAAACGGGGAUAUCUUCGGAUCCCAAAUCAAAAUCAAAACGGGAAUUUCUUCGGACCCUAAAUCAAGAUUAAACGGGGAUUUCUUCUGACCCCAAAUCAAAUCCAAUUGGAGAAUCAAACGGGGAUUUCUUCGGACCCCAAAUCAAAAUGGAAAAUCAAAUCCAAAUUGGAAAAUCAAACGGGGAUUUCUUCGGACCCCGAAUCAAAUUGGAAAAUCAAAUCUAAAUUGGAGAGUCAAACGGGGAUUUCUUCGGACCCCAAAUCAAAUCCAAAUUAGAGAAUCAAACGGGGAUUUCUUCGGACCCCAAAUCAAAUCCAAGUCAGAGAAUCAAACGGGGAUUUUUUCGGACCCCAAAUCAAAUCCAAUUGGAGAAUCAAACGGGGAUUUCUUCGGACCCCAAAUUAAAUUGGAAAAUCAAAUCCAAAUUGAAAAAUCAAAACGGAGAUUUAUUCGGACCCCAAACCCAAAUCGAGAUAAAAAGGAGAUUUCUUCGGACCCCAAAUCAAACCAAAAUCAAAAAGGAAUUUCUUCGGAUCUGAAUCAAGUUGCAAAAGAGGACUGCCUCGAACCCGAAAUAGAAUUAAAAAGAAAAUCAAGUUCACAUAAGAACCCAAACUCGAACCCAAAUAAACCCAAACCCAAACCAAACCUAGUCCACAAAUAAACCCACAAAUAAACCCAAACUCGAANACUCAAGUUUUCUUAGUGGAUUUUCUUUGCGUGAUCGGUCCCGUGGGUUUUUCACUCCGAAUUGGAGUUUUCCCACGUUAAAUUCUCAGUGUGCUGUUUUAAUUUCCGCUAUUUCGUUUUGUUUGCAUCGAGAUUUUUCGAGUUUGCCGGAUUUACACCUAUUCACCCCCCUCUAGGUGUUACUUACCUUUUAGAUCCUCGGGAUCCAUAUCUUACAGCCCGUACCUCAAAUGCCAUAAUCUUGAUUCUUUUUUAAAUUCAGAGUGGUAGCACCUUUCAAUUUCUGACUUUAUGUUCAUAGAAAACAUUUGAUUCUUUGACAUAUGCACUUUUGCUAUUAUUUUACCAUUCUUAUCCUUCAAAGUCAGAGUAGAGCCUUCCAGAUGAACAAUAUAUCCUUUCUCCAAUAAUUGUCCGAUGCUUAGUAUGUUGCUCUUUAAUUCUAGCACAUAAUAUACAUUCAAGAUUAAUUCUUCUUCACUACUCUUCGAUCUAAACAUAAUUUUUUUCUCUUUCUUUAACAGGUACUUUGGAUGAAUCACUAAAUUUCAUAUUGCCAUCAGCAUUCUCAUCCAUUUCAACAAAUAGUUCUUUCCUUCCACAUAUGAUUUGAAGCAUCGGAAUCCAGAAACCAUACAUAUUGUGGAUCUUUAACUUCGUCUUGACAUGAAAGUAAUAGUGAGGUUUUUGCAACUUCAUCUUUUAAAGUACCAUCGAUAUAGUGAUUCACUCUUUCAGUGUUCCUAUGCCAGCAAUCUUUGCUAUAGUGACCAUAUUUUUCACAAUUAUAACAUUGGAUGUUCGAUCUUGCACCACCAUAAGACCCUGGGCGAUUGUUAUUACGUUCGCCUCAUUUUGGUCCAUAUCUAUGUCGUGAAUUGCGACCCCUGUUGUUGCUACUCUGUCAGUCAUUUUUAUAUCUCUUUUGAUUCUAUAUUUAUUGUAAUUAUUUUCUCCAUGAUUUUUUCUUUUUCUAUUAUCAAGUUUCAAUUUUGACUUGAGAGCUUGCUCAGUCGAUUCAUCUUCAAGCACCUUUUAUAGUCUUUGCUCAUGUACUUGGAGAGAUCCUGUAAAUUGGUCGAUAGAAAGAGUACUGAUAUCUUUUGACUCUUCUAUGGUGACAACAAUAUACUCAAAUUUUGAUGUGAGGGAAUGAAGAACCUUUUCUACAACUCGUUCACCAUCGAAUUCUUCUCCAUUUUGCUUCAUUUGGUUUACAAUUACCAAAAUGCGAGAAACAUUGUCUGCAACACUUUCGGACUCCUUCAUACGGAUUGCUUCAAAUUUCGCUCUAAGCUUUUGUAGACAAAUCCACUUUACUUUGUCAUCUCUUUUAAAGAUGGUGGCAAGAGUCUCCCAUGUUGCUUUGCUCGAAGUUGUUUUGUCAAUUUUCUAGAACGUCGACUCGUCUACUGCUUGGUAAAGAUAGAAAAGGGCCUUUUUGUCCUUUUUGCUUCCUUCAAAUCGUUUCGACAGGCUAUAAUUAAUGUAGUUUCUUCUUGCUCUGUGUAUUCUUGGUACUUAGUUUUAACUAAUGCCCAUAGGUCUUGAGAACCAAGAAAUGCUUUCAUUUGAAUGCACCAAUUCUCGUAAUUGUCUUUUAAUAGUUUUAGGGUUUGGGUCUGGAGAAGUUGAGUGGCCAUUUUUUAACUGAGUUUCUUUCUAACAGCCUAGCUCGAUACCAAAUGUAGGUAGGCAAUUAUAUAUCAAAGGAACUACAAAAGUAUUUAAAACUAGAACAAUCAAAUUUAUUAAAUAUAACUAAACUUUAGUACACAAAAACUUAUUAAUACAACUUGAUCCACACAAAAACAACAAGUAACAUACUCUCUAUUUAUAGAGUACGAAAUAACACAACUUUUUACUAAAACAAGCAUCCUUUCACUAAACGACACAACUCUAAACUAAAAGACGCAACCUUAAAAUAAGAGACACAACCUUACGAAGGGACAAAUCCUUUUAUAAGGUACACAACCUUUCAUCAAAAGAAGUAAAUAACAAAUUAAUAAAUAAACUUAUAAUCUAACAGUGAGCAAAUCCAAUAAUGGCAAUGAAUUGACAACCGAAUGAACCUCUUCUCACCCUCCCAUCCAAUAAGAAUUCAGCAAAAGAGUCCUCCCACAAAUAGAAAGGAAGGUUUAAACUAAUCCAAUACAAAAACUGCACUAAUGCUGAAAUUGAAGCCAAAACCUGAAGUUUAACCAAAUGUGGAUUAUUCUACCUUACUACCAGCUGAAAUAAGGUGUUCGCCAAGCCUCCUAGUAGUACAACAAGUGGAAAGGAAUAUGAAAAUGUCCCACCAACCAGGGAUUUGCUGAAAAAUCCAGAAAUUGGAGUCAAGAAACUUAAUGAUGUGCAUUUUCGACUUCGGAAUCCAAUUAACAUAAGAUUAGAUCAAAGUACAUCAAUACUCAGUUGAAAGGAACUCUAAUAUAGCUAGAAUUGAAGUCAUGACCAGCAAGAAAACUGCAAUUGAUUUACUAGAAGAGAUCGGAGUUGAAAAAUCAAUGAGAUUCGUCAAUAACUAAAAUUUCAGCAUUGUAGUAAAAAUCUACCAAUUAAAGUCUUUCUAACCUAAAAUUUGCUUGGAAGAACAAGCCUACAAACUCUUCUUCCUCACUAGAUCACCCACAACACUACAAGAAAAGACGGUUGUAGAGGCGAUUGUAUAGAGACGGUUCCUACAACCGCCUCUAUGUGUUGUAUAUUAGAGACAGUUUAGAGACGGUUUUUAUGGACCGCCUCUAAAUCCCCAGGAGGGAGGAAAAAAAAAAGAAUAAAAACCCUAAACCCUAAAAAAUAGGUUGAUCAAUCUAAUCUCCCCACUUCUCUCCCCUUUUCCCCCACGAGCCGCCAAACCUAGAGGCCGCUCACCACACUGCUCUACCUCCGACUCCUUCUGUAAGGUACCAGACUUCUAAAUUAUGAAGUUACGGUACACAUUUAAAUGGUUCCAAUAAGGUUGCUGUGGAAUGUAACAUACCGGAUUUUAAAUAUAAAAGUGAAAAUAAAUAAAAAUAGUAUGAGAUACUAUUUUAUUGGAUUUAGAGGAGUGAAAUAUAGGUUGAGAAUGACCUGUGCUGAAAUCAGAGCGAAAACAGAAGAUUAAGAAUUUUCUGUGUGAAAUAAGGCAGAUAAAUUAGCAGAAAAUGCACAGUGUCAGAAAAUUAUGAAAACUAGAGGAUAUAUCAGAAAUAUUUUUAUGAGGCUAGAUUUGAAGUUUCAUUUCAUUCUGACACCCAGAAGGUGAAAAAUAAAAUCGAACUGCUAUCUGCUAAAGAUUACAGUUCGGCACAGCUUUCAGUAACCAAACGGAGUCGAAACUGAGAACUUAAGAUAUAUUCUUGCUCAGUACGUUAAACCGAGCCUGCCUGUCAAAUUUGAGCUCAAACGGACAUUCAAAAGAGCUCCGACUGUUCUGAACUGCUAAACUGCAAGUUGUAAUAGGUGUGAGAGGGGGUUUUCUGCAAUUGUUGCAGCCCCAUAUGUGUGCGGCUCCUUGGCCGAAUCCACUACACGCACACACACAUUCUCUCCCUCUCCCUCACACUUGCAACCAUGGAAGAAAAACCCUCUCUUUCUCUCUCUUGAAGGUGGAAUCAAGAGAAGGAUUUGGUAGAGAAGCAAGUUUGGAAGUUGAUCUUCAUCUUCAUCGUCUUCUUCCUCUCCAUUGGAGCUUGUUUGAGAGGUGAGCUUUGAUGCCCUCUCAUGGUAGAUCUUUAAAGCUUUAUUUAUAAUCUCUAUAAAUGGUAUUUUUGGGAUCCUAGGAUGCUAAUGAGAUGUUUACUACUUGAAUCUAAGGUUUAUAUUGUAUAUUUUUACAAUAGAUGAAACAUAGGGUUCAAAUUGGAGUUUUUCGAAAUAUGAAGGUUUGAUCUCAAUUGACCCUCUGUAAACCUAAUUGCUAGGUAAACGAACGCGUUGGCGAAGUCGGUUCGGCGAUUCGCCGAGCCGUUGAGAAGAUAUUAAAGAAAUGGAUGUUUAGGCUUCGUUUCCGCCUGGAGGGCCGAGGCGACGUUCAAAAAUCGUGGAAACGGAUUUGGAGCACCGUAGCAAGAAACCGAAGACCUUUAAUUUUCGGAUCGCGGAUCGGGGGUUGUUCGGUGGUCGCGUACGCAUUGGGUCGAGCGGACCGGCGUGCGCUGUGUCGAGCGGACCGGCGUGCGCUAUGGGAGGCCGAUUGCGAGUGACUACAAGCAAUCGGAACGCGAUAACAGGUAGGUUGUGCUUACCGAAGCGACUAGGUCGCCCCGCAUGUCAAAGCGGAUUGUGAAUUCUUAUUGAUGCAUAUAUGUAUGUGCAUACGGGUAUUUUAGUAUUAUGUAAAUGCAUGCUAGCAGGUAGAAUACAUGCUAGUGAUGAUUGCAUAAUAAUGCAUUGAAAAGUACAUGCUGGUGAGUAGAUGCAAGUGGCGUAUUAAUGCAUUGGAAAUAUAAUCUAAUAAUAGAUUCAUGUUGACAUGUACUAGAACAUGCUAGAGAACAUGAGAAUACAAAUGAAUGUUAACAUGUUGUUAGUUGUGUGAGUUAUGAGAUCAUGUUAGAGAGCAUGCAUAUUAACAUGUUGUUGAUUGUGCUUGAUUAUGAUGCAUGUCGGCAUUGUGAGCGUGUGUUAGAUAUACAUGAGAAUGUGAACUAAGUCGAUGAACACUAUAUAAUAGAGAACUCGAUAUGACAAAUAGGAUGUCAAGUAGAUCGAGUGGCAUUAACCUAGUGUUAAUAAACAUAGGUCGGACAUAGAUGACACUGAACCUAGUGUUGUUGAACCUAGGAUAAAUAACGAGUGGUAUCUAACCUAGUGUNCGAAAAAUCCAUCGACCGUGCGAGGUGCGUCAUUCGUGGUGGCAGACAAAAUGGCACGCCCGGUGGGACAUAGCUUCUCUUUCCAUCUUCGAGACCUUAAAACAAAAAAAAAAGAAAAAAAAAAAGGGUUCCUAACUUCUACCUUUUUCCACAAGGAAAUGGCACCAACAUUAAAGAGCGUUGUCGCUGCAUCAACAAACUCAAUAAUAUUGAAGGCUGGUUCGCGAGUCUGCUUGCGCACGUCCGUCCUUACAUUCGAAACUGCAGGAACCUCAAUCCAAUUUGGCACCAUUCCCGAAGAUGUUCGAGCUGCUGUCAUGGCUUAAAUUCUUGCUGCUACUGGGGGCAUGACCACUCCCGCCGCCUCUUCAUAGGAUGUAUCCAAUGUGGUCAUUUCUCGGCUACCAUCUCGAGGAAGACGACCCAAUGUGGUCAUCCCCAACCCUCCUCGCUGACCCAUAGGCGAACGACUCACUUACCAACCUGCAUCCAAGAGCAUGGAGUCUGAGGGAAGACUGAUAUUCCCAAAUGGCAGAGUGCAGAAAGCAUCAGUAUUCGAUAGGCUGGCGCUUUCUAAUGAUACUACAACCACNCCACACAUACAUAUAAAUACUCAUCUGAAUCAUGAAUACUACCCCACGGCCCGAAAAAUCCAUCGACCGUGCGAGGUGCGUCAUUCGUGGUGGCAGACAGUUAUUUCAAGACUCCAUAAAGAAUCCAGAGCCAAAUCGAAAGUUGGUCCAGUUCAGGCCAAGAAACCAGCAUUGAAUCAUCUUUGAUCAACAUAGAAAGUAGAGCUAUUGACUUGAAAUCCCAUCUCAAGAGAAUGAUUUAGUAAAGGCAGCAGCAAUUGAAAGAAUCUGACAUCCAAAGGAACAAUCAAUAAUAAGAUCAAAAAAAUAAACCGAAAUUAGCAUGAGGUGGAGUUACUUUGAAGAACUCAUAGAAGAGAUCAUUGAAAAAGGCAAUUGGGGCAUGGAAAGCUUCAGUUUUACAGCAGCUACACCUGACAUUUCUUAUCCAGAACUUACUAAAUAUCAACAGCGACCUAGUAUUUGAAAGGGGAAAAAAAACGUGAUGACCGAAUUAAUCUCAAGAUUUGAAUGUUCGGAACAUUUCACUUUAGAUGUGUUAUGCACCUAGAUAUGAAAUCGACAACAUAUAAACUAAAUGAUAUAAAUGUAUAAACAUUUCACUCUAGAUGUGUUAUUCACCUACAUAUGAAAUCGACAACAUAUAAAUUAAAUGAGAUAAAUGUAUUGAAAGCUGAAAUGUACUUGCAAACCAGAUUUAUAGGGCCAUUAAGGAAUAUCAAGAGAUAAGUAUUGAUACGAAAUAAAAGGAUAUAAUUAUUCAUGGUCAAUUCAAUUCAAGAUAACUGGCUAGGAUUUUUAAGCACAUACGCAAGUAAGCAUCUUUUGGUUUGGAGGAUCGAUGGGUUUAUUCUGAUUUACCUUAAUUGAACGGACCAUUGAACUGGAGUAGAGCCGGUGUGCUUCCACAAUGAAAGACGCUACAGCUUUUUUAUGCCCACGAAGUGUAGCAGCUGGCUCAAAGCAGCGUUUAUCUGGAUUAGGCUUCCAACCCCAAAUACUUCCACCUUACUUAGAUAAAAGUUCAGGCACUGGGAACAAAACUUGAUAGAAAAUCAAUCCUCACAGAAGAACUUCGCAGUCAAAACUCUGCAGAUCAAAUCGAAAUUGAAUUAAAAUCAAACUCCAUAGGAAAAAUUGCAGAAAUUGAAAUUGACGAAGAAAUUGAACUGCCACACCAAUGAACCCUUUUUUUUUAACAUGUAAAGUAUAAGGAUGUGAGGAGGCGCCUUUUCAAAUAUCAGAUUUGGGAGCUCAAAAGAAGCGCAGGCAAACAGCCAAACUAAACAGUCAGGGGGGAAAAAACACUAUAAUUAUAUUUUGCUAAUUCAAACUCUGAUGAUUCAAACAAUCUUUUAAAAAGUGGACCCAAAAGUAGCAGGAACAACAGCACGUACAAAUUAGCAUUUAACUUGACCUUUUUUUACAUGUAUUCUAAGUCUCAUACAUGUAAAUCAGCAUGCAAAAAAAUCAUUUAUGAGACUUUGAGUAAAAAUAUUUUUGGAAAUCAAAGAAAGUCUCAUAUAGGCAAAUUAGCAUGAGUAAAAAUCACGAAAUCAAAGGAAACAAAAAAGAACAACAAAAACUGCUUCUAAGAAAGCUAAAAAGCUCCAUAGUAAAUCAGCACAUGGAAACCAUACCAAACAACAUACAUGGCUGCAUACUAAAAUAAAUGAAGAGUAGAAGCGUAGAUUCGGAAGUAAAUUAGGCCACCAAAAGCAUACAAAAGAAAGCUGAAAAGCUCCAUAGUAAAUCAGCACACGGAAAUCAUACCAAACAACAUACAUGAAUGCAUACUAAAAUAAAUGGAGAGUAGAAGCGUAGACUCGGAAGUAAAUUAGACCACCAAAAGCAUACAAAAUAACCGAGACAAAUUUAGUCGAAAAUAGUCUAUUCAUAAGCAUAGAACGGUAGUAAGAACAAAAUUUGGCAGGCAAGGUACAUACAUUUUGCUCAGGCCUCCCCCAUUUAUCAAGCAUUGAUUGGAUCAGCAGUAAUGUUGUUUUCUUUUUUUUGGCUUAGAAGUGUCGGAACCAAAUAAGCUGCAGCACAGAUAAGAAGCGCUGGUUGCCUGCAAAGCAUACCAUCCAUAGCGUCCGAACUGUUAAUUAAGAAGGGCGCAUUCGAACGGAACUAUCGAAACCAACUGACACUCAGGGGAAGUAUCAUCAUAGCAUGCAUAAGAACAAUCAGAAGCAGCUGCCUAUGAGUAGGCCGGCCAAACCUCCAUAUCAUCACAGACUUUUUUUAAAAAUAGGAAUUUUGAAAGAAGUAGCAAGGAAUAAACGAAGCCAAGUAAUGUUAGUAAAAUAACAAUGCAUCAAAGCAGAACAGUUUCAUUCUUUUCAUAAAGCAAUAAUAUCUGAGGGGAAACCAAAAAAAGAGGGAAAAUGCAGUGAGGAACCAGCGGGAGAAGGGUAAAAAAUUGCAGGGAAGAGUUUUUUUUACCAAACAGCUGAAGAAAUCAUACAAAAGACAUGUAAAACGCAACCGGAAACAGCACAAAAUAAGAAAAUGCGAAAACUUGGGAAUAAAAAACGGACAAAAGUGUAUAUAAAGCUGCAAAUUUCUUAGGUACUUACAUAAAAAAAAUUUGUGCAUUUAAAAAGGGGAAACAAUUUUAUUAUAGUAUCCAUGGUUGGGAAAUCCCCAAAUCCUUGACUAGACUAUAAAAUGAAUACUCAAAAGAAAGAUGUAAAGCUCUAUCAAUCAUCAUCAAUAGAUAUAUUAAAAGUAGAACUUUACUGUGGCCACGUGUCGCCUCCUCAGUGUGGAAAUCACGCCAAAUACUAUACAUGAAUGAGAAUCCAAAUCUCCAACUGGACUAUAAAAUGAAUGGUCCAAAGAAAGAUGUAAAGCUCUAUAUAAAAUGAUUCUAUGGAAAAUAACGCCAAAUAGUAUACAUGAAUAAGGAUUGACUGUUGCAUGUAGCAGUUUUGCUUAAAUGUUUGAUGCAAUGCCUACUUGGUUACUACUACAAACUGCAUAAAUGUGCGUAAACUCUUAGUGCGGCUGCCACCAUAAUGCGUGUCAAAAUUAUCUAAUGCUUUACCUGUGUUGACUUUGAUAAAAACUAACAGAGGAUUGAUGGCCUGUUAUGCAGCGAAGAAAAUGACAGAGGAUAGACAAUAACAGUGAUGAGAGUACAAAAUAUAUCUAUACCACAAGUUUAGUUAGGACUUGGAUCAUUAUUAAUAUAUCCACCUAAAAGUGCAGAUUCUGAUGGAUCAUCUACAUGCUUACAUGAAAAUGAAACGAAAUCAACAUAAUAUAAUAAUAAAUAAUUAAGAGGUUAUCGACAUAUCCAAGUAUAACAUAAUUAACCAUCUAAUUAAACACCAGUGUUUUUGUAAUCAUCUAUAUUUCCAUAAAUGCAUUCAUUAUGCACCACUUAGAGUACAAUCUUCAUAACCAUGUAACCAUAGCCGAAUACGCAUAGCCACAGUUCCCCUAGAAAUAAGGACAUGAGUAGUAGCCACGAAGUAUAAGAACAAUAGGAAGUGGUUGCCNAGUGGCGCGGCGGCGCGAGGCAAGGGCAUAGCUCCAUAGAUAGCGCCCUACCCCAGAGACCAGAGAUAGCGGUACCCCGAGUCGGCAUAGCCUAGGGGUAUAGGAAAGGGAAAGGAACACAAUGUAUCAAAUUUGUAAUAUUAAUUGUAAUAACUUAAUUGCAUUUGGAGGUUGAAUGUGAUGUAAAAAUGAAUCUAAUGUGAAUGUAUGUAAUAACAUAGGAUAUGUUAUGUUGUUGAUACCUUUCCAUUUGCAAUCUUUCUUGAAUAUUGUUCCUGUUUGGAACCUCUUGUAUUAUUUUUGCUUGAACGUACAGGGGAGACUCUAUCCGCGGUACAGGGGAAACUCUGUCCGUUCGGCGAUUUGUCAGCGCGCCCGAACCUGACCAAAUAGGCGGGGCUCAGGGCGUGACACCUUCGGCACCUUCGCCGUCUUCGAACAGCGGCCGUUUGUGAGAAAAGUCAGUUAUUUGUUCUUUAGUUGGUUCAUUUGCUCAUUGGAUUCUUAUUCUGAAAAUAAUAUGAAACAGAAAUUUAAAUUUUGAUUAGUUCCUUUGCAAACUAUCUGUUAAUGCCUUUUAUGAUAACCGUGUUGAAUGUGUAGUUUACUUUAGGCAAUUGAGCAUUUUUUAUAUAUCAUUGUCAACUUCCUUAGCAUGUUAACACUGUUUUUUUUUUAGAAAAGAGGUAGCACGCUACCCGCUUCAUUCACUGAUAGGUGAAUUAAGCUACAAGUGUGAGGCAACCAGGCCCCGAACAAAAAAAAAAAAAAAAAAAAAAAAUGUUAGAGCUCGAGCAGUAGGUCCCACUCCUUCAUAAGCUGCUUAAGUCUGUGGACCGCCAACCUAGGGUUAGGAAGGAAAUUCCGAAAUAUGAAGUCGUUUCUUACCUUCCAAGUGAUCCACCAACAGCCCACUAGGUCGGUAAAUCUGGUUCGUUUCUCAUGGUAUUCCUUCCUGGCCAUCCACCUAUCCCAAAUGAGAUUCACAUCGUCCCCCGGAUCUUGGGCAUGGAUAUCUUCCGCCCCUGUCACUAAGAUAAAUUUACUGAAUACGCACCGCGUGAACAGGUGAUCCGCUGAUUCCUCUUCCGACCAGCAGAGCACACAGGUAGUAUCAUCUAGCCCCCUUCGCUUGUUGAGUCUAUCACGUGUCAGAAUCCUUUUCUUAAGAACCAACCAGAUGAAAACUUUUACCUUUAACGGGAUUUUAAGACUCCAGAUGUGGUUAGCACGCGCAUCUCUCGUCCCUCCAUCCAUCAAUGCCGAAUAGGUCGAUUUGACCGUAAACUGUCCAUCAAUACUCCAACGCCAAAGUAACCUGUCCGGUCUCUGCGCGACGGUGAAACUGGAGACCUUAUCAACGAGUUCCGAGAGUCUCGGUAUUUGCCCAUGCACUUGACCCACCCCGUUUUCGAGGAUCUUAGUCCAGUUCCAAAUACCCAUCGUAAGGCAGUCCUUUACACUAUAACUUUUCCCCCCGGACAAAAGGUAAGCUUCCGGAAACGAAGGUUCAACGUUUUCUCCCCAUACCACCAAUCCUGCCAAAAAUCAAUAGUACUCCCGUCUCCUAGUGCAUACGCCGCUCCCCACUUAGAAAUGGUGGUGACGCUGAGAAUACCCUUCCACCAGUUAGAGAAAGGUCGAAAAGAUCGACCUUCCCUCAUCGGUUUUCUUCUACGGUAGUACAAUUCUUGGAUUAGCUUAUUCCACUGAAGUUCGAGUGCUAUGUGGAAUUUCCACCACCAUUUGGUCAGGAGAGCUUGAUUCAUGAACGCUACAUCUAAGAUUCCUAGACCGCCUUCCUUUUUGGGCUUGCAAACAUUUUUCCAAGCCACCAGACACCCCAUGCCAACGCGGUGGCGACUGCCACUCCAGAAAAAGUCUCUUCUUAGUGCUUCGAUUUGUUUAAUCGCCCAAGCGGGGGCCUUGAACAUCGAUAGGAAAUACAGCGGUACGCUGGUAAGUACCGUAUUAACCAGAAUAAGUCUGCCUCCCCUAGAAAGGAGUUUGGCCUGCCAACCCUCUAUCCUAUGCUGAAGCUUCUAUAUGAUCUCCCUCCAUGCCUCGUUGGAUGGUGAUCUUGGCGAUAGAGGUAAGCCCAAAUAUUUUGACGGGAGAUUACCCACUCUACACUCGAGAAUGUUAGCUAAUCGAGCACCUUUACCGUCCUCCUGCCCCAGAUAGUAAAGCUCCGACUUCUCCCUAUUGAUUUUCAUUCCCGAUGCCCAUUCAAAAAGACGCCAUAAGAACCUAAGAUUUCUCAAGUGCCUGUUUCUAGCCUCACAGAAGAAGAAGGUGUCGUCCGCAAACUGAGUGAGAGUGACCUGCUUGUCCCAAUCGGACCGAUGCCUUUGAAGAGGUUAUUAGAGGUCGCCUCAUUGGUCAAACGAGCCAGACAUUCCGCCACCAAUAAGAAUAGAAAAGGCGAGAGCGGAUCCCCCUGCCUUACACCUCUCUUCGUCUUUAUCAAUUUGGUCGGUUCUCCAUUCACCAGAAUCGCCACUUUCGCGUUGCACACGCAAGCGUCGAUCCAACCGCACCACUUAUCAUUGAAGCCCCACGAACGUAAAAUUUGGAAGAGGAAUGGCCAAGAAAUCCUAUCGUAGGCCUUUUCAAAAUCCACCUUUAUCCCCACUCCAUCGACGACUUUCUUACUCCCCCAGCCAAUAAGUUCGGAAACGGAAGCGAACGUGUCGGCAAUGUUCCUACCUUUCAGGAAGGUUGACUGUGAUGGGGAUAUCAAAUGCUUCAUAACGCGUCCUAGCCUAUUGGCUAGGACUUUAGACAGGAUUUUUUGGAUCCCAUUCAACAAGCAUAUAGGUCGAAAGUCAUUUGCCCGCAUCGUCCCCUCCUUCUUAGGAAUAAGGCAAAUGAAGGUGUAGUUGAUGGCGGCCGUGGAGAGCCUCCCCUCAUACAUCUCUAGGAAUACACUCAAAAUGUCCUCCUUAACAGUGUCGCAAAACGUUUUGGUAGAACUUUAAUGGGAAACCGUCCGGUCUCGGCGCCUUGUCGCUCCCCAGUUGGAAAACAGCUUGUUUAAUUUCUUCUAAGUUGAAGGGUUCGGUUAACCUCGAAAGGUUGAGGUCCACCACACGGUUGGACCGAAAAAGCCGCUUCCAGUCCCCAAAGGAAGUAGGGUUCGACGCCUCGGGCGAGAAAAGUGACUUGAAGGAAUAGUAAAAAUAGUUCUGUUUAUCCUCUUCGGAUUGGUAGCUAAUAUCAUUUCGACGAUCGUGCCGAUCCAGUUGGCUCUACGUCUGGCAUUCACUACUGAAUAGAAGAACUUAGUGUUACCAUCCCCCUCUCUCAGCUAGUGUUGUUUGGACCGGAUUUUCCAAAGGGAGGCUUUAUCACUUAAAAUUGUUCUCAAGUUUGCCUUUAAGUCCGCCCUCUUAGGACUUAAUUCGUGCGAAAUGUCGCUCGCUUCUUCUGCUUUAUCAAUGCUCUGUAUUUCCUCCAUAAGAAGAUUCUUCUCCCUUCUAAUACUGUAGAACUCAUUAGUGCACCACUCCUUCAUCCUAAUACGGCAAUGUCUCAACUUCGCAGUGAAAUUCAAGAUCGCCGAAUUAUUCUGAGUCCCCCGAGAAACCUCCCUCCACCAGCCCGGGAGUUUAGCGAUGAAAUCGUCAUGAUUCAACCAAGCUUGCUCAAAUCGAAAGGUCUGUUCUUUAUCCUAACGCCUUUCUCCGCAGUUAGUAAGAUAGGGCAAUGAUCGAAAGUAAUUCUAGGUAACGCUUCUACUCUAGUGAGUGGAAAUUCCUGAUCCCAAUCGGUUGAAACAAGGAAACGAUCCAGUCUCACAAACAUCGGGAUAGCUUGCAGGUUAGACCACAUGUAAGUUUGGUUGGACAUUGGCAAAUCAAGCAAGGCGAGCUCCUUGAUCAGAUCAUUGAACAGAGCUGUGGCUUUGAUGCUCCAACGCUUACCUCUCCUUUCGUCUUGCCCCCUAGUGCAGUUGAAAUCGCCGCAGAUGAUCCACUUAUCCACACAAUAAUCCUUUAGCUGGGCCAAUUCGGCGAAGAAUUCUUCCUUGCCAUCCCACGAGGCCGGUCCAUAGAUGUUGGCGAGGAAGAACUUAGUCCCACACGUGAUGGAGUAAAGGAGAGUCGUAAUGGAGUUAGUCUUGACAAUGACUUCCGAACAAGUGAAGAAACGGUCACUCCACCCCUUGAUAAUUCCUCCUGAAGCACCGACGGCCUCAAGAAAUACACAUUUGUUUAGAAAGGGACCCCCGAUACUACUAAGAAAAAACCUAGAUACAUGAUUGACUUUCGACUCCUAAAGACACACCACCGCGUUACGCAGUUUCGACACUACGGCCCUAACGGCACAUCGCUUAGAGGGAUCAUUAAGCCCUCUAACAUUCCAACUACAAAUGCGAAACAUAAAAAACCGACAGACUCUCACCAACAAAACCCAAAACAGAGUCUACAGUAUCACUACACUCCCUGCCUACUUGCACUCACUAAGAAACGCAGAGAAGUUCUUAGCCUCACUCUCAUCUAAAUCCACCCCGCAUAGGCGGCUUGUGUAGGUGAUCUUCGCUAUUGAGGCUGAGCUCCCGGUCGCUUGCUCGCCUUCGCGCAGACGGAUCUUCCUUAACAUAGCCUUUGACAGCAUCGUUCUCUUAGCUGCCGCCACGAGCGUGUUAACACUGUUAGAAGUUCAUUAUUUAGGAGUUCCCAAACCAAAACAGCACUUCAACAAGGAGAGAAAAAACUAAAGAUAUGUCUAUAUUUAUGCAUUUGAAAGGCAUUCCCUUAGUGAGAGCUAAAUAGACGAAUUGUUCAUUUCUGCUUCCAUAAGCAGGAUUCUGAUUUGGUUGUCCGAUUCCACAAAGAUGUAGAAUGCUGAUCCCAAGCAGUAUGUCAUAUCAAUUUGUAGUAUAAUAUUAAAAUAUUUAAAACAGAAUUUCUAGUGCGGCCCAGGAGUUUUUUUUGUUAUUCGUUAGGCUUAACUGCUCUUUACCAUUCAAAAGUUCUCAAAACAAGCAUCCUAUAUUUUUGAUUCACUAUUCUAAUUGCCUGAAAUGGUAUAUAGCACUUUUGUAGAAGGUGACAUUCUAUUUGACUUGGUGAGAGAACAAUAGUAUUGAGAUCUGUAAGUCUUAUUGAAGCAUAAUAGACCGUACAUAGAAUGCACGUGUACUAUUUAACUAAUGGCAGAAACUAUCAUAUUUUUUCGUUAAGUGGAUGAGAAUUUUAAAACGAACAUCUGCACCCUACACUUGUUUUUCAUAUCCUCAAUAACGUUGUCAGCUCUGUAUUUUCUCUGGCAUGCUAUGAUCGACGCAUCAGCUGGUUUAACUGCUAAUCAUUCUAAGUCCUAUUUUGUAAACGCUAUGCUGCAUAAUGCAAUUAAUUGAUCCGUCCCUUCUUUUAAUAAUGUAGGGUUUGGCCGUUAUACUAGUUCAAGCCCGUUUAUAACAACUGGUUUGGCGACUCUCGACUUCAUUCAGGUAAAUUGGUAGUGUCCUUAGUACUUUCCAAAAGUAAUGAAUCAACUAGUUUUCAUUCAAGUUGGUUAUUGCAGUAGCUAGUCCUGGUAUUGCAAGCAACUCAAGUCAACUUCGAAUCAAAUCAAAUUGGCCUUUAAUCUUAAUGCUAGAUGGGGUGAUCUCAAAUAUAGACCAGUGACUUGUUUGUUCUUUUGAUUUGUUUGUAGAGAUUUCUUGUUGUCUAUUUUAAAUGAUAAAGCCACCCUUACAUUGUGUAUGUGAGAUCCGAGUCAUGUUUACGUUGUCACUAAAUAAAUUCUAGUUUGCGUUCUUUCUUUAAUCCUCUUUAAUUCUAAUAUCAGAGAUUCUAAUUUGCUUGGAAGAACAAGCCCGCAAGCUCUUCUUCCUCACUAGAUCAACCACAUGAGCCCAAUUUUAUAGCUAACAUUUCAGGUAAGGGAAUUGGAUGGAAAAAACUAUUGAAAGAACCAAUAGAAAGCAGAAUUUCAGCUUACACCUCCGAAUUCGCUCUAAUUCAAUCAUAUUAACUUGGAAGUUCCACCUGGUAAUAGGUUCAAGAUAAGCUCCAGCACUCCCUUCUCCUCCAGUAGACCUUCAAUUUCGCAAUUGAAGUCCCAAUUGGACUCAACUAGAUCUCUCCACAGGAUUGCUGCUGGUGCUUGCCAGGUUGCUGCUGCCAAGCUGCACCAUGUUGGCAGCAGCUGCUACUAUUGCUGAGAAGCUGAGUUGCUGCUGCAAGUGGCCAACCUAGUGCUGUGGUUCAAGUUGCUGGUGCUGACUGAGAGGAGGAAUGAUAGAAAAUGAGCUGUUGCUAGCUGCCCUUGCUGCUGCAAUCUGCCAGCCUGCUAAUGCUGCUGCUAGCUGGUUCUAUCGGCUGCUGCAGGUGGUGAAGUUGCCACCUGCUGCAGUGGGGGCUGAUGCUGGUGUAGCUUGCAGCAAUACUUGCUAGCUGUGCCACCCUGCUGUUUUACCACUCCUGCGCAGCACCUGAGGCUACUGGAGAAGGUUGGUUGCUGCCACUGCUUGUUGACAGCCAGCAGAGAGAAAUCAGCAGGGAGAGAAAAGAAAGAGGAAAGGAAAUGGAAUAGGAAAAUGAGAGGAAGGAGAAGAAGAGAAGGAGAGGAAAAAAGAGAGUUUCAGUUGGAUUGAUACUACAUGCCAAAAUGCUCAUUUAAUUAGAGGUGGUUGAGGGUUAAGUUGCAGCUUUGGCAUCACAUUAGUCCACUAUCAUAUUCCCACGAGAAAAAAUUCACAUUUCGGAUUUGUUUGUGACAUCAAUUUUGCAUCAAAACAAUUCUAGGUUGUCCCGACACUUUAUAAAAGUAUCGAUAAGUCACCAUAAUUGUAAUCAUUCAGGCAAAUAAAUUUUUCGGAACUCUAUAGGAAAGUACGUGUAUGAUAAUUAUAUAAAUUUGUAGAAUUUUCAGUAGUAGUGAUUUAUGGUUUUUGGGCUACAUCACAUGUAAAAAAAUGACUUAGGCUGAUGACUGGAAUGUAUUGGUGCAUAAAUUGUACAUAUGAAGUUUCCUUCGGUAACUUAAGAUGUUGUUUUAAAUUUUAGAUAAUUCUACAAUGUAGAAAUUUUCUUAUCUAUUUAUUUUUGAAUUAUACAAAUAUUUGCUAAAUGUUCAACUGAAAGGAUAGUACUGGAUUUAUUUGUUGAAACAUUGGUACUUUGAAUUGCAGCUUCCCACGUGAAACAACUUAGUUGUACCACUAGUUUUGUCUACUCAAAUGUAUAAGUUACUGUAACGAUCGGACCCGCUAACAAUAAUAACUCAUUGGAUCAAACCACUAGCCCAAAAUAUUUAAACUUAGUUAUUUUUUUGAUUAAACAGGGAUAUACCCUAUUUGAUAAAGGGAGUACAUACUAAGACAGCGAAGCUAGCUCGGCUUUCCCCAAGAAGGCCCCUUGAGCUGACUUCAGUUAGUACAUCUAAACCACUAAUUAACUAGGUAAAAGAAACAAAAGGAAUCUCACUUAGGACCCCAAAAUGGAUUCCCAGAGCUUUAAGACGGAAACAACAAUCGUUCCCAAUUGUUCGUACAUAGAGUGGUGGUUGCUGAAGAUCCGUGAAUUCCGCUGUUUCCAAAGUUCCCAACAAGCCCCAACAAAGCAUCGGUCGAAAAGUGCUUGCUGCUGCCGCCAAUGACUCUCUGCCGCGCGUCCAUCUGGUCGAGACAUCCCCAACUAGGUUGACCAAUAAUUCAGCAGCGAGCAGGGUGUUAGAAAGGAGCAGAUUCCACAGGGACCUCGCAUAAUUGCAUCCAAAGAGAAGAUGAUCCAGAUUUUCUUCAUUGGCGGAGCAUAACACGCAUAUGGACGGUCCUUGCCAGCCUCGUUUCUCUAGAGAAUCAGCUGUCAAAAUCCUAUUCCUCGCUGCCAACCACAUAAAGACUUUGAUCCUGUAUGGCACCUUGAGUUUCCAAAGUUGAGGUAGUUUGCAGUCGCUGACUCCGCUGAAUGUAACGAAGUCAUAUGCGCUCCGUGUCCGGAAACGUCCAGUUGAGUUCCAUCUCCAAACAACAGUGUCUUUUGUAUCGACGUUUAAAUUAGUGUUGGAAAUUAAUACCUCCAAAUCGCGGAGCUCUUCUUGUAUUGCGGUGUUGAAAGGCGGCCUGAAUCCCAAUGUUGUGUGUGCGGCAAAGCGGCGAAACCAACUUUUGACCGAAACGUGCUUAUGUGUCGGUAGAGCAUGUAGUUUUGGAAACUGCUUUUGCAGAGGAAGUUCGCCACACCAUCUAGAAUUCCAGAAGGAUGUUAUCAUUCCAUUGCCCAGAGUAAGGUUGACCGAAGUAGAGAACGGGGCUGCAGUACUAAGAAUCGCCUUCCAAAUGGGGUAGCAAUGCGCCGGUUUAAUGCGAUCAAGCCGAGGUGGUCUAUACUUGUAAUGUUUAAUAUUAGGAUCUAUAGUCUCUUAUAUUUUUAAUCCCAACCUUUUUUCCAUCUGAUGUUGGGCUAUUGGGGUGUAGGCAGACUCCCUCUAUUUAAAUUCUAAUGUUCUCAUCAGCCAAUCACACACAUAGCUGAAGAUCACCGGGUGAUGUAAGGCCUACAUGACAUUUCCAACUAGGAACAGGCUCUGAUACCAAAUACAACGACCUGACCAACUGGUAAUAAUAACUCGUUGUGCCCAAACUGCUAGCCUAAAUGUUUAAACUCAGUUAUUGUUACUAUGGUUUAUGAUCCCUUAUAUGUCUAAUCACAAUUCGAUUUUCAUCCCAUGUGAGACUACUGAAGUGCUACAGUUAUAUUUAGUACUGCAAAACGAACAUGCUAUAGUAUUCUUACUAUUCUAAUUUGAGCCAUGUAACAGUAACAAGCUACUUUUAUUUAUUGAGAUAUCUAAAGGAUAUAUUGAAUCUUCAGCUACACACAUUUGCGCUACGGAUGCCGAACCCUUUUUACAAUUAUCCACUAUCUCUGUGAAAUUGAAAAUAUGAUGGAAAAGGAUAAAUCAAAUUAAACAUUAUAUGUGAUGCGGCUAUCAAAUAUUUCUACGUAUGUAGAUUGAUACAUUAAUUUGCAUUUUGUUUAAUUUAAAAUACAUUUUGACUUACUGCAACGUUAUCUUUCCUAUGACCAUUACUCUGGUAUUAAUUAUUUCUGUAUCCAUUUUUUGUCAUUUGUAUUUGAUUCAUUUGCAUACAAUUGCUUAAAAUUUUCGUUUAUUUUUUAAAUUAUUUAUGCGUUUGUUAAACGUGCACAUGUACAGCAUAGGCACGUUUACUAGUAAUUAUGCAUAUGUUUAGUUGGAUGUAGUAGAUAGUGUUACUAUUGUUAUAAAUAAUUUGUUUAGUUAUAUGCUGUUGAGAGCCGUAUUUACUAACUUUAUUACUUCAUUCAUAUGAUGAUGAGAAUAGUCUGAACGGUGAAAAAGAAUAUAUUUUUUUUAAAUAAAUAUUGAGAAGUUUCAACCUAGUGGCAGAAAGCUUAAUGUAGAAUUUCGGUUAAAUGUUUACGAUCCAUGAGCACCUACUCCAACACCGUGUACGGCGUCGAAGCGCAACUUCAUCCCUUACCAAGAGGAAAUCAAGAUCGAGCUUAAGGUGGGAACUCGCAACCUCCGAGCUCUUCAAGCUCUGGCAAAAUGAGCACGUCCUUACUCAACAAGGGAAGUGACUUUCCUGUAAAGUAUAAUAGGAUAUCUAUUAAAAUAUCCAUCAGAGGGAGUUCAAAUUGCCAUGUCACAAAGAAAAAACAAACAAACAAUAAAAAAAACAUCUCUCUCUUUCGUACGAUAUUUUUUGUUCUAACAAUUAUAACAUAACAUAAGGGAAAUGGAGAGAGAGAGAAGAGAGACUAGGUGAAGGCGGAGUGAAGAGGGAUGUCAGGAGCAGUUAAGGAGGGCCUUUUGCCGAGACGAUGAUAGAGUAGGGAAGAAGAAGAAGACGCUGAAGAGACUAGCUUGGGCGGACGAGGUAGGUGGAGAGUUAUUGAAGGUCCACAGAGACCAUGAUGACGACGAGGCGACCUUACCUGCUUCCGGCAAAGGCUCCCCCCGAGAGAAAAAGGUGGAGUUUAAUGAUGAACACCAUUCAGGUUUGCUUCGGGCUUCGUUAAAAGGCUCAAGGAGUAGGAGGUGGACCAGGGUGGAAGGUAGUGUCAUUAACUACCCCAAGCUUGUAACAGGGUCCUAUAAGGAUGCGUUGAUGAGGAGGCCGAGAAACCAUCCAUCUGCAUACACUUCCCAACCAUCUCAUAAACCUUCUUCUAAUAGCCGUAGGGGUUAUCCUGCGUGUAGACAAGGGAAGAGGUGUUUCCGGUGUCUUGCGAGCGACCACAGAGUCUCGGAGUGCCGCGACCCUGUACGGUGCUUCAGGUGCUGGAAAACUGGGCACCGAGCCUACAGUUAUGGGGGAAAAACGGUGAGAAGAGACGUUGAGAUGAACAGGGAGGUUCACCGUAGAGAGCGUGCCCCCUACCAAAGGUGUACGUUCCGUACAUUGAGGAAUACUUGCAGAGAGUUGAAAUGCGACGUAAUGCCAUCCUCGCGAACGUAAUUCAGCAAGCUAACCUCAGACCGAAUCCAAUUACCAUCAUCAAGAGUGCCCUGGCUAGUCGCUUCGGGGGGUAUACUGAAGAUUUUUGUAGUACACUGAACUUUGGCAAAUUACGAAGUUCGAGUGUGGGAAUAGCAAUUGGAGCUAUCCUACAUCUUUCUAAGGGUUGUCGAGAGGUUCGGCAAGUUAUUGGAGUGAGCAAUAGGCCGGAAGAGCAAAAGUGCAUUGCAAAAUGCGAAAAUAUGUAUUUUGGCACUAUGUACCGGUGACAACAUGAUGGGGUACCGAUACCAGCACUGCAGCUGCGUGGCAGCAAUGCUGUUUUGGUCAUUUUACUUUCUAAGCUUGUUCUUAUUAGCUUAGCUCGACCCCUGAGCUUGUCCUUAUCAUAUUGGAGCUCUGGAAAACAGGGGUGAGUUUCUCUCUCUCUUUCUCUCUCUAGAUUUUCCCUUUUGAGAUGGAAAACUAGUGUUUUAAGCUUGGUUCUUCCUUUUCUCUUGAUGCUAGCUGAAGUGGAAGGCUUUGAACCUAUAUUUUGCUGUUGGAGAGGGAUGUUUUGGGAGGUGUUUCGCAGCCCUGGCUCAGCAAGAAGUUGAGUAAAAACUUGGUAAGGUGAAGGAUUCAACUUCUUUUUAGAUUAAUGCUAUAGUAGUGAAGUUGAACUUGUUUUGGUUUCUUUGUCCCAGCUGGUUUUGGGAGGGCUUAAAACAGCAAUAGAAGUGAUGUUUUGUUGUUAUUCUUCAACUCUAAUCCAGGGAAAACUGAAUUGAAGUUUUGGGAAGGUAAAUUAGCAACUCUCUUCUCUAGUUUCAUGUAGUAGUGGUUAUAGUAAUGGAUUGUGAGCUUGUUUUUGCUCUAUGAUGCCAGCUGGUUGGAGGAGCUUGGUAGCAGCUGAAGAGAAGGUGUUUUGGCUGUGAUUCUUUAAUCUUAACUCAGUAGAACCUGAGUUGGAUCCUUGGAAGGUGAGUUAGCUACUAUUUCACUAGAUUUAAUGUUGAAAUAGAUGUUUUAGUAAAGUUCUUUGUGAACUCGCAGCAGGCUGGUGUGAACCACUUUGGCUGAGUAUUAGUGAUCUUUGUAGAUCGAUUUUGGUGUGCUUCAACCUGAGUUGGAGCUGCGCAAGGUAGGUAACCUAUCUUCUUUCAAUUUGGAUAUGUUGGUAGUAGUAUUGAUGGAUUUUAAAGUGUAUGUUCACAGCAGGUUACAGCGGGGUAUUGGAUUCCUGUUGGCUGAGUUUCUGUGACUCUUAAAGGUUGGAUUGGGUGUAUUCCAACCUGAAUUGAAGUGAACUUCAAGUGGGGAUUCUAUUCUAGGUGAAAUUCUUACCUAAACUAAGUGAUUAUGUGAAGGUUACAUGUGGAAGCUUGGUUAAGCUCCUAGCUAAUUUUAGAAUGUUUAUCAGGGUACUUGGAAGCUUCGGAUUAUCUUCAUUUGCGGGAUCGACGAGAGUCGAUAGUAAUUAGAUGGGUUUGACCUUACCGAAAUGGGUGAAUUCCCUCUAUGUCUUCUUUGACGUUAUAGGACUGGAAUUGUUGCAUCUUCAUGUGAAUACAUGUUUAUUUGAAUGAAUCGGGGCAGCACCAAUAUGUAUAUCAUAUCGGACAUAAUAGAACCUCUAUGUAGUAGAGGUAGGAUUAUGAAAUUGAUUAUUUGACAUAAAUCACUUGCUCGAUUACCAUGUAUUUAAGAUGCAUAUCAAUUUGUGUAGACAAGUUAAACAGGACAUCAUUCAAUAAGGAAUAGCUAUAAAGCCAUGAAUGAUGUAUUGUGAUGAAGCAUCUUUGAGUUAAACCAUGCAACUCUAUGUCAUAGACAUAACAUUAGAACUCUUAGUAUAUCAUGUAUAGUGAGGUUAUUUACACCUUUAUAUGGAAUCAUGUAAAGAGUAUGAUAGAUGAUGUUUCGCAUGCUUGUGUUGGUAAGUGGUUAUUGUUUUCAUUUGAUAGAACUAACAUGAACUUCUUGCUUGUUAUGAUAUAGUAAGUAAACUAGAAUUGGGCAUUAUAAUAUAACAUGAAUGUUAUACUAUUAAAAAUGAUCUAGUUAAAUAACUAGAACUGGACAUGAGGAUAUACUUGUGUAGUCAAGUAGAAGUACUUGCCUAAUAUUUGCUUACUCCAAGUAGUGGAGGUUUAUGUAGAACCAUAGAAUAUGUAAACCACUUUUCUUAUGUAUAGGGAGUAGUGAGAGGACUCUAUGUGAGUGUGCGGGUAUAGCCCAUUAGAAACAUCCAUAUGAUGUAAAGCAUAUACUUGUUUAAGUCAUACUAUCUAUUGGUAGAAUUAUGUCAACAAAUAGUUGAGAGUGGAUUAUGACGUAGUGUUACUGUGUCGACCUUGUGUCGAGUUGAGAUUCCAUGUUAGAGACAUGAUGAACUUGUGACACCUAUGCUAUAGAUUAUGUUUUCUUGCCAUUGUGCUCAUUCGCACAUGCUUGUGAGGGUCGCGCCCCACAAGCCGGCACUCCGGAGUUAGCCUAGCGACAGAUUGCUCGCUUUUAUACGAGAUUGAGCGCCGAAGUGGAUUGCUGUGGGUAGUGUUGACUUCCACAGGGCCAUUAGGCACGGCACGGGCUGGAACUUUACUAUGUGUAAGUCUCUUGUUAAUUGGGUUAAUAUAAGUGACUUUAACCUUAGAUGGACAUAGUAGUAAAGAUACUUUAUGUCAUUAGUUGAAUAUACCUAGUAGUGAACAUAUUAGGAGGUUGACAUUCCUGAUAGUCAGUAGUAUAGUGACAGUACCUGAAUGUUUACACUCUUACUAGUGUAGGAAAUAGCUACAUGAUGGCAUUAACUAGUAAAUAAUGAUGAAAUCCUGCAUACAGCCUGACAUAUAGCUAAUUUAAUUGUUAAUUAGCAUGACUUAUAAAACUGGUUAUGAUAAAUUAGUAUAUAAGACAUGUUAGAAAACAUGUCUUUUGAGGCAUGUUAUGGUUGAACUACUUUGUUUACUUAUUGCUUUUACUUUGCUUAUUUAUUGUUGUUUAUUCAUGCCUCAGUUGACCUAGUGGUGUACUUCGCCACUCUCAGCGGCUUACCCACUGGGAACUAUUGUUUAAUAGUUCUCACGCCCUUUUGUUGGUUGUUUUAUGCAGAGCCUUCCACAGCGGGAAAGGCUGGGGUUCCUGGCGAGGGGUCAGCGGCUAGCUAGAGCCUUUUUGAUGUUAAAUAGACGAACCUCUACCAAUUUAUGCAAUUUAGUUCAGUGUUGUGUACUGGGAUUAUGUAGAUAGUACCUUGUUCUUAUCAGUUGUAAUUAGCUUAUGGGUUGUGUAAGUUAUAAACUUUUAAGUUUUGCUCUGAUUACCUGAUUAAGUUAGUAGACUUUUACUAUGAUGAUUGUAGAUGCCUGGUGUACUUGUGAGUUUGUGAUGUACACGACGGGUCUGUGCACGCGACUGAUGAGCUUCCGCUAAAGUCCAGGGCGUGACAAUUUUGUAGUCGCACAAUGCAGGGAGGGAGACUUUGCAAUCUUUCUGCCGGAAUGGAUCCCGACUACGGUCCUGGCUAGAAGGGAAGUACUCACCCUCAAUAGCUUUUGGUUAAGGUGCUUCCCCUGGGGCUAGUAUCGUAACAUUUGCCCACACCAUGUCCGAUUUCGAGCUUGGAUUCGACUGAUAAACCUCCUAUUUGAGAUUUGGUCUGUGGCACGUGUGGCGGCACUAGUUAGUGGAUUUGGGCGAUUCAUCAAGGCGAACGGAGUGACCAAGGCGAUGACGGAUUUUUGAGUCUUUCGGUGUCAAAUCGGCCUCGACUCGCUUGGUGCUAUCCCCCAGAAUCUGUCGGUCAUUAUCAGUGACGAACUGUUCUCGGUUAUCGUCCAUUUGGAGAGUUGGGAACGGUUGGAGAACGCGGGAGAUCCGGCACCCCUCGCCCCCACAGAAAGGACACGAAGACGUUGGCGCGCCGGUCGGAGAUCGGCGCCAAAGACAACCUGACAACGAAGGACACGACCAUGCGCACGAGGAGAUAGAGGACGAGGCGGGAGAGCUGGAGGAAGUUGAGCCAACUCCGUCGACUCACAGGGGGUGGAGGGGCUUGACGGCAUUAAGACUCCCCAUGGUAGCCAAUCAGGUUACAGCGGCGGCGAGGGUCCGGGCGGCGUACGGACGGAGGGCCUGGGUAGCAACGGGUCGAUGAGUCGAAGCGGCGUGGGGAUUGAGACCAUGGGCGCACCUGAACCGAGGCAAGCUGAGAGAAGCGGGUCCUCCGAGAGUUGCACGAAGUUGGAUUAUUGGUCGAGUGGGUGUAGGGAGAAAGGCAUUACUGCUGCUUCCUUAGCAAGGCCUUUUUCUCUCCACAACUCACUGACAAGGGGCUUACCUCGGGAGAAGAUCUUUUCAACCUUAGUGGUUGAGGGGUCCACUGACUUUAUUGCUAUGGCGGUCUCUGCCAUGGGUUUGUGCAGUGCCGAGGCUAAGUAUGAGAAAGAGGGGAUUAGUGCACGACAACCGAGAAUGAUGAGGAGUUCGAUGAAUUAUGUUCUAAUGAAAGAUGGGUUGUGGAAGAUGAGUUCGAAGCUUCCCCCUUCACCUUUGCUUUUUAGCUCUAUGACAGAGAAGAUGUCUAAAGAGAGGGUGCCUUCCACCUUCGAUACCUCGAGAUUUGAGCCUUUGGUUGACUUUAGCCAGUCCUUGGGAACCAACCUAUUACAGCCAUAUGGGAUUACACGGUCACUGUUGUUGACUCAGGGGGUUCUUGUGCUACCCUGGGGAUUCGGAGACUUCUUGUGGCGCGUGGGCCGGCUUGCGAUGGUAAAGGAGUGUUGGGCCCUGCCUCAUUUUCUGAACUCGAUCUCGUGCUCUGUGGUGUUUCAACAUAGGGACCGCGGGCUGGGCCUCUAGUUAACCUCCUUUGGAGUGGGCAGUACAGCCCAGUUUGUAAAGGCCUGGAAGCGUAUAGAAGACAGUGAAAGUAUGGAAGGAGCAGAUCACCAGAUCUAUGGGCGGGCUUUGGAGCUCUUUAAUGGGUGUAAGCAGCUUUCUGACUCAAUUUUUGAAUUGGGAGUGGUGGAUGGAGGCAACAUAGAGCUGUCUCCCCCAACGAUGGAUUCGGUUGAGACGGGGGCAUCACCGAAUCACUACUUGUCCCGUACCUGCCAGAGUAGCCCCAGUCAUUCCAUCCGCCGCUACAGCGAGCGUCUUGGCAGUGCUGACAAGAGUUCAAUACUACACAAAGCAAUAUCGAGGAAGGCUAGAUAGCGCGAAGGUGAGGGUAGCAAUGUGGUCGACCAUAUUGUUAGGAAGAUCAUACGUAAGAGCCGGUCCUUCGGGGUGAAUCUGGGAGUUGCGGAGGCGGAAAGUUUCGUCGAGUUUGCGGCCUACUGCGCAUAGGGUGGGAUGGUUUUCUGGUUUGGAGUAUGUCUUUUUGGAUUUUUUUGGGUUUGGGUGUCUUUGUGCUUUUGUCGAUGUUUCGUGUCUGUAGCUGGAACGUUAGAGGGCUCAACGACCAUCUAAACGUAAUGCCGUUAGGGCGGUAGUCUCUAAGUUAUGUAAUGUGGUAGUGUGUCUUCAGGAAUCUAAAGUUAGUCAUGUAUCGGGGUCCCUUUUUGCGGAGCUUUGGUGGUUCAUUCGUCGACAAAUGUGUUUUUGUGGAAUCUAAUGGUGCGUCUGGGGGCUUAAUCACUUGCUGGAGUUUCCGUGUCUUCAUUUGCCACGAAGUGAUUAUGCGAAGAUUUUCCAUUACGGUACUGCUGACUCACGUCAUGUCUAAAGCAAAGUUCUAUGUUACGUGUAUGGACUGUCUAUGUGGGAAGGUAAGAAGGAGUUCUAUUCAGAGGUGGUGCAAUUGAAAGAGUGCUGCAUAGGUAAAUGGAUUGUUUGUGGAGACUUUAAUAGUACUAGAGGACAAGAGGAGCAGAGGGGGAAAACCUGGAGCUCGAAAGCAACUCUUUUGUUCAACGAUCUUAUUAAGGGGCUAGCACUGAUUGAUCUACCUAUGGUUAACCAAUCUUUCACGUGGUCUAACAUGUAGAAGAGUCCGACUUUAGCUAGACUUGACCGCUUCUAGUCUCGACGGAAUGGGAUAUGGACUUCCCUUUGACCAAGGUUGAAGCCCUGCCUAGAGUAACGUCGGACCACUGCCCUAUUCUGUUAACUGCCAAGCGAUCCGAUAUGCUGAAGAAAAAUAAGCUCUUUCGUUUUGAAAAAGCCUGGCUGAAUCAUGGGGACUUUGUAUCCAAACUCCCGGGCUGGUGGAGGGAGGGUAAUCAGAAAAAGUCGGCGAUACUAACUUUUGUAGAGAAGCUUAGACACUGCAGAACGAGAAUUAAAGAGUGGUGUGCGAAUGAAUUCUACAGUAUCCGUGGACUUAGAUCUAAACUUAUGGGAGAAAUCCAGGAAAUCAAUAUAUUUGAAGAACAGCUAGAACUUACACAAGAUCUAUAUUUGAAGAGGGAGGAGCUUAAAGAAAAACUACGGAGGGUUUUAAAUGACGAAACGGCCUUGUGGAGAACACGAGCCAAACAGCAUUGGCUGCAGGAGGGGGACGGCAAUACAAAAUUUUUUCAUUCCAUAGCUAACGGCAGGAAAAGAGCUAAUGGAAUUGGCAUGAUUAACGACGAUGGAGGUGUGUUCCAAACAGACGACGAAAAAAAGAAUUACUUUUAUCUCAAAUUUAAGGAGCUUUUAACUCUAGAAGUGAGGACCACGACAUCCUUCAGGGAUUAGUGCGGCCUCUUCACUACGAACCGGGUAUCUAAAUUCAAUAUUGCUCGCCUGACCGAACCCUUUAGCACCACUGAAAUUAAGAAAGCGGUCUUCCAACUCGGGAGUGACAAGGCGUCGAUUAUUGUCGAUUAAGAACCCUUUAGCACCGCUGAAAUUAGAAGGGGAUAUAUUGGCUCUUUUUCACGAGAUGUACGAGGGAAAGCUAUCCACUAAUCCUAUUGAUUAUUCGUUCAUCUGUUUUAUUCCCAAAAAAGAAGGGGCGGAGCGGGCGAACGAUUACCGGCCUAUAAGCUUACUAAAUGGCAUCCAAAAGAUCCUAUUGAAGGUCUUGGCUAACCGGUUGGAACCGAUUAUGAACGACCUGAUUUUCUCUUCCUAGUCAGCAUCCUUAAAGGAGAGGAGCAUAUCCGAUGCUUUCGUCGCAGCCUCCGAAAUACUCGGAUGGAGAUGUAAGAAGGCUAUAGAGGGGGUCGGUGUGAAAGUGGAUUUCGAAAAGGCUUAUGAUCGGAUCAGUUGACCUUUUUUGUUUCGAAUUUUAGACUUGUGGGGCUUUGACACAAAAUGGAGUGAUUGGACCAAGCUCUGUGUGUGCUCUACCAAAAUAGCCGUUUUGGUUAAUAGAGAGCCUAUUAAGUGGAUCAAGACAAAAAGAGAAGUUAGGCAAGGGGACCCGCCGUCCCCUUUUUUUUCUUGCUAGUGGCAGAGUGCAUAGCCCGAAUGACUAAUGAGGCAUCUACUAACAAUCUACUCAAAGGUCUUGAUCAAUCCGAGGCGAGCAGAGUAACUAUUAUCCAGUUUGCAGACGAUACAUUUUUUUUCUGCGAGGCUAGGAAAAGGUAUAUUAGAAACCUUAAGGUCUUGUGGCAGCUGUUCGAAUGGGCCGCAGGAAUGAAGGUUAAUAAGGAGAAGUCGGAAUUGUUCUAUACUGGAAAAGUUGAAGGAAAACCGAGAAGACUUGCGGACUUACUUGAGUGCAGUGUUGGUACGCUCCCAAGUACCUUGGCCUUCCUCUCUUUAGUAGAGCUCCUUCCAAGGCGGACUGGAUGGGAGUAAUCUAGAAAAUCCAAAGUAGAAUUGACGGCUAGCAGGCUAAACUCUUUUCAAGAGGGGGUAUAAACUCAUACUAGUUAAUGCGGUCUUAACCAACCUACCUAUAUACUACCGGUCUACGUUCAAGGCGCCCAAAUGGGCGAUCAAACGUAUUAAGGCACUUCAUAGAAACUUCUUUUGGAAAGAAGGUAGCUGCUCCCCAGGCAAGGGAAGUCUAAUCGCCUGGAAAAAUGUAUGUAUAAGUAAGAAAGAAUGAGGGCUUGGCAUCUUGGACUUGGCUGUUAUGAAUCAAGCUUUACUUGUCAAAUGGUGGUGAAAAUUUCACACGGCGCCCCAGCUACAGCGGAAUAAGCUUAUUCAUGACCUAUAUUACUGCAGAAGAAGACCGUUGAACGAUGGAAGAUCUUCUAGGCCUCUUUCACAAUGGUGAAAAGGAGUUCUAAGUCUCUCGGAUAUCUUCAAAUGGGGAUUAUUCUAUUGGGAAAUGGAUGCACUAUUGAUUUUUUGUCGGAUCGAUGGUGUGGGGAGAAGGCUUUGCAGCUGGCCUUCCCGGAGGUGUACGACAUGGCGGAAUGCAAGACCGUUAAAGCUAAGGAUUGUUUGGGAAGUGAUGGCUGGAACUGGAAUGUGAUCCUAGGAGGCGAUGGCGUUGGUAGGCAGGGCUUGUGUUCUACCUGGUCAGAGUUUAAGGAUCAAAUCUCUGCCUGCACAGGAGAUCAGAGCCCUGAUAUGAUCCUUUGGCGGUGGGACCCCGGGGGGCGCUUCUCAGUUAAGUCGACGUACUCUGCGCUGAGGGAUGGAGGCACGAGGGAUGCCCGCGCAAACAAGCUUUGGAGACUUUGAAUACCUUUAAAAGUUAAGGUGUUCUCCUGGCUCGCCCUAAAAAAAGGCUACUUAUGGCCGAUAACCUACAAAAAAGAGGGUGGAGCGGUGACACGGCUUGUGUUUUGUGUGGGUCUAAAGAGGCAACCGUGGAUCACUUGUUCUCUGCUUGUGUCUUUGCUAAAUUUAUCUUUGUGAUGGCAGUGGAGGGUGUUCAGAUUUGAGAUUUGGCAGACAGCGUUCAAGGGGUAUGGGAUAGAUGGGCGGGUACGAAGAGCCCGCAUUCUACGUCUAACAGACUUACGGAACUAGCGGCUUGUUGGUGGAUCAUCUGGGAGAGCAGGAACGAUGUGAUCUUCAAAACGACUCAGCUGGACCCUCUGCGAGCAGCCCGUAAGGUUAAAAAGUUGUCGGUGGCUUGGGAACAAUCUUUGUCGGCUAAUCAGUAGUUUUUUUUUUUGUUUUUUUUUAUUUUUUUUUCGAACCCAAGCCUAGCUGCCUCACUUCUGUAGCUUAAUUCAUCUUUUCAAUGAAUGAAGCGGGUAGCAUGCUACCUUUUCCUCAAAAAAAAAAAAAAAAAAAAAAAAAGUAAUAUCCAUCAGAGGAUAUGUUGUUUAACUAAUAAGAAAUAUAUAAUUUAUUUUUAUUCUUAACUUAUUAGAAUAAAUCUCAAUCCAUAUUCUCUUUUUUAUAAAUAAUCUAUUUUGAGAUGUCAAACAAAUAACACAUCAAGCCUAGAGGAAAUUUUUUAAUAAAAAAAAUAUGGCUAAAUUACAUAAAAUUUUCCUGUCAAAAUUCAAUUUUUCACUUUCCCGGCCCUGUCAUUUAAAAACCUACACUUUGCCCCCUUGUAAAAUGAAAAAUGUUCACAGGGGGAUACGGUGUGUAAAAUGACCAUUUUGCCCCUCACCAUUUUCGUCUCCUCCCUCAUCUUCCUCAACCGCCGCCUCGAUCGGCCGCGAUUCACACCUCGACCGGCCGCGAUCUCUCCAUUUUCUUUUCCACCUGCUCCCCUUCUCCUCCUACACCCUCGCUGCCUCUCGAUUUCAGCAACAGUAGAGAGGAAAUUGAGGUCGGCGCUGAUGGAGAGGUAGGCAAGGGCAACGAGGGCGAAGGCAAGGCGGCAGAAGAGGGUGAAGGGGAUGUGGGCGAGAGUGAGGGCGAGGCAGUGGAGGAGGGCAAGGCGGCGAGGCGACGGCGAAGCGGCGAGCCGGAGGGAGGCGAAGCAACAGGGAAGAGGGUGGAGGGGUAUUGUUGGCAUAAAAAAAUAUUUUAUAACGGAACCCUAACGGAUCACUAACGAUAAGGGAUGAGUGAACAUUUUUCAUUUUACAAGGGGGCAAAGUGUAGGUUUUUAAAUAACAGAGGGGGAAAGUGAAAAAUCGGAUUUUGACCGGAAGAUUUUCUAUAAUUUAGCCAAAAAAUAUCAACAACAAUCUUCGAAGACCCUUCAUAAAACCCAAGACAUUUCUCACUUUCACCAUCAUUUAUUGAAGGUAAAAUUGUACAAAAUUUAUUUCAACUAUAAAAUAUUUUGAGUCGAUUAUUUAAUUUUUUUAAAUUUUAAUUUUACUAACCAACCUUUCAAUUUGUUUGAUUUUAAACCAGUCAAGACAAUUUCACUUCAAAAUUUAAACUAAUUGCUUACUUUAUUGAGUUCAUAAAAUGUACUAACUAAACAUGUAAAAUUAAACAACACAUUAAAAUUUUGAACUCAAAAUAUCGUUGACCGAAUCAAAUCAAAUAAAUUGAAAAAUUAAGUAGUAAAAUCAAAUUUUAAAAGAUUAAAUAUUUGACUAAAAAAUGGUACAUAGUUCGGAUAAAUUCUAUAUGUUUUUUCCUCAAUUGAAUAGCCUAUGAACUAUGCAUCACCACCAAAGUCCACAAAUCCAAUUCUCCAAUGAGGAAAUCAACAAGUGAACUUACUAUCUAUCAAAUUACAAGGAAAUAAUAAUAUGCACAAGGAUACAUGACAUAGUUCAAUAAGAAUUUAACACCCUCAAGCUAGUAAAAGAGAAUCAGAUGUACUAAACCUCCAUUUCCCCCUCUCUAAACACAACAAACUAUUAUCAUGAUCACCAUAAACUUGCUCCAAACUCUGCUGCCAAAGUGGCGAGGACCUCAUCGGCGGCGAGGACCCGACGCAGACGUCGAGCCGUGCCCUAAACCGCUCGUCCCCAGGGCGGAGCAUCGCGGGGAGCGGCAACCGCACGCCUCUCUCUUCGCAUGCGAUGUGCCUCGGCCGGAUCCGGCCAUCGAGGCCGAACGAGAAGUAGUGCGGGAACUCGCGGAGCUCCACGGGGCUCCGGCCCAUCGCGUCGAGCAAGAACCCCAGCUUCGGCCGCAGAUUACCCUCGAUGCUGUAGCACAUCAGCUGCGGGAACCGCCGCGCCAUCGCUCGCGCCUCCUUGCGAGAGAAACCGGCAGACUCCAAGAACUCGAGCCGCGGGAGGAGCUUCUCCUCUACGCUGCAGGAUAGCAGGGUUGCGUGGCGAGAGAUCGGCGAGAUACCUGUUGAGUAUGAAUGAUUAAAAUCCUGUUCUCUAAUAGUUUAAGCGUUCAAAGAAUAACUAUAUAUUAUUUCGAUUAAAUAUAAAAAAAAGCAGGAGAUCAUGAGUUAGUUACAAAUGCAAGAGGACUUCUUGUGUCAUUUAUUAAUUUCCUCUUAUUUGCCUUUAACUAUAUGCCAUUUUGAAAUAGGCCUCUAAUACAAAUAUAUUUUCCCCCUCUUUUAUUGAUAAUAUAUAUAUGAACUUACAAUUGUCUUGAUUUGAAUUGUUUUUCUGAAUAGAAUUAGAUAUAUAUAUAUAUAUAUAUAUAUAUAGUAAUUAACAACUUUCUUAGCUAAAGUAGUUACUGACUAAUGAAUUUACAGUUCUAUAAAAUUAUAAUACAUCCAAAAUAUAUAUAUAUAUAUAUAGUAAUUAACAACUUUCUUAGCUAAAGUAGUUACUGACUAAUGAAUUUACAGUUCUAUAAAAUUAUAAUACAUCCAAAACAAUUAAUUUACCAAAAAUUUUAAUUUAAUUUAAAAAUAAUAUAAAUUAAACCGUAAACUUCGUUUAGCCUCCGUGUGGUCUAGGCUGCGCACUUUCACUUCGCCAACUUCUAGUCCGAAAACUUUUUACUUUACCAUUCCGUGGUUCGAAAAGUUUUACUUUGCUACCAUGUGAUUUAUUCUUUGUUUCACUGUAAGGACCUCUCGUUAAAUAGGUAGUAAAGUGAUAGAUUUCACAACCACAAGAUCACUAAAUGUAAAUUAUUGGCUAGUUAUUAAUACUACUAUUUGCGCCCCCCUAUGGUUUGUAUAUUGUCCAUUUUACUGCCCCGUGGUUUGCACAUUAUAGUAUUUUUAGUAUCUCAGUUAAUAGCAUAUCUUUAAAAUAAAACAAAGAGAAAACCACGUCAUAAUAAAGUAAAACUUUUUAAAUCAUAAAAUGGCAAAAUAACAAAUAAUCAAGUGUUUAGGAGUGUCAAUCAGAGACAAUCGUUGAAGGAUCUAUUUUAAAACGACAGUGUUUACCGGUUUCUGUGGCUUAACAAAAACAAUAAACUUAUUUUAAUACUCUAUUUAACAGUAGGUCCUUACGAUGAAACGAAAAUGAAAUUAGAAUAGUAAAGCGCUACUUUUUUCAAACCACGUGAUGGCAAAAUAAAAAUGUAAGGGCGUUUAGAUUACUGCUACUGUGGUUCAGUUGAAAAUUAAGCUUGCUAAGAAUAAAACUAUUGAUGCCGAAGAGAUUCAUCGUCUAAUCGUAGAUUAGAUUUUGGAUCUUUCUAUGAAUCUCCUUUUCAGAGUCUACGUGAUAAGUAAUAAGACUAACAUUUUAACUCUUAAUAACUUAAAUUACAGCAAAAUCCUGACUUCAUCAAUCCAAAUGCCACUAAAACCACCAGAAGGCAAAUUGAAGUUUACCUUUAGGAUCUGUUUGUUCCCAGGUUUGUAAUAUUUGAGAAAUAUUGUAUAUUUUAUAUUUGGAAUGAUAAAAUUAUUAUUAACUUAUUAUGCUGCAUGGGGUGGAUGGUUGUUAAGAAUUAGUAUAUUCCUAUUAAUAAGCUACUAAUAAUUCCCAUGAAGCAUGAAAAUGAGAAUUUCUCCUAACUCAUAAUAAUCUAGUAUUAAUUCCUACCAUCUAAGAAUCUACAAUGGUUCCACAACAACCAUAUUUGGAUGUCGGAAUAAGUUAUUCAAGAAUUAUUUAUUCCACAUAAAGAUUUUCUAAUAUGAUUGUAAAUAAGGUGACUUUUGUUCCUUCAAACAUCAAGCUAUCCAUGAUUUGGCAGGAUAGCAUAUUUCACCUAUAAGAUUAUUUAUCUUGUGGAAAACAAUAAUUUAAAAGUAUAGUAUCCAAUUCUAAACAUUUUGAUAACACUCCCUAUCAACCAAAGGUACAAAGUUUUAAAAUAAAUUAAGGCUCUAUUUGAAUGUCGGAAUAAGUUAUGAUUGUAAUUAAGAAGUCUAAAUUUUGUUUCUGUCUUGCUAUCUAUAACUUUGUGGGAUAGCAUAUUUUAUUCACGAGAUAAUUUAUUAUAUUCUAAAAAUAAUUUGAAAGCCGAAUAUGAUACUCUAUUUUAUAUAUUUGAUCACACUCCUUAUCUACCAAAUUUAGAUAUUUCUUAAAUAAAUCAAGAAAAUAUAGAGCUAAAAAAAUAUAUCGAACAAGAUAUUCAUAUAUCCAAACAGAGCUUACGCCAUUUCCACCUUUUAUAACUACCCACAAUAAGUUGAGUAUGUAUUGAUUUGAAUAUUUUCAAGAGUCCGACUAUGGUGCUUCCGAAAGCACCCGUCGUAUGGUAUUUCUAAUUUUUUAACCCUUGGAACAACCUCUUUGAUCAUUUCUAGUUCUUGAAUUAAUAUUAUUCCUCUAGAAGAAGAGAACCAUUAUUAUCCCGACCCUACAAUUUUUAAUCCAAAGGUCAAAAAGUCGGAAGUAUCAACUCCUUCGUUUUUUCGGAAGCACAGAAGCUCUACACUAUUUUCAAGAACAAAUAUGGAGAAUCACCGGAAUAUUACAAACCACACACAAACAUGAAAUUAAGCCUUUGAGAGAAAUCGGGAAAAUCUACGCACCUAGGGUUUGGAGGAAGUAGAGUGUGGGGCGGAGCCGCCCGGGGACGGAGGAGACGAGGAGGCGCGGGCGCCGCCGGAUCACGCGGGGGAGCGCGGCGGCGGGGACGCCGGCCUCGCGGCGGAGGAACGCGGCGGCGGCGGCGAUCGUCUCCGGCGCCGCCGCGAGGAUCUCCGGGCACAUCCCGGCGCUGCGGCGGAGCUCGCCGGGCCCCAGCCCCAGCUCCACCAGCGCCGCCGCCGCCGCCCGCAUCUCCCCGAUCGGCGCGCGCGCCACCGCCGCCGCGGCGGCGCCGGAGGCGAGGUCGACGCCGAGGGAGUCGAGGAAGAGGAGCUUCUCCUCGGAGGAGGAGGAGGAGGAGGAGGAGGAGGAGAGGGGUAUUUUGGGAAGAGAGGGGUGUACUUUGGGAAUUGGGGCGAUUGGGGGAACGGGGGCGUGGAGCUUCGCCCUCGCGGCUGGGAAGCGGGGGCGAGGAGGACGACGACGAGGACUAUUUUGGGAACGGGAGGGUAAUUUGGGAAUGGGGGAGGAGGGGCAUAAUGGGAAUGACAAUAUUUCCUCCAUUGGUGAGCCACUCGUGUGUCGAUGCUACAUUGCUGCGUAGGAAAUAGAAAGAAAGGAAAAAGAUAGAUAGAGAGAGAGAGAGAGAGAUAAGGCGUUGAAGAGCAGAGACAGAGAGAGAGAGAAAUUUAUGGGUGCACUUGGUGUAUCGGUAAAUCUCGUGCACCGCACUUCAUUUGAUGAUCUAGGCUUCAUAAUUGGAAAUUACUACCUAUAUAUCUCUACAUAGACCGAGAGAGAGAGAGAGAGAGAGAGAGAGAGAGAUAGGUUUUAUACUUUCGAAAAUGUGAAAGCCUCCGUCCGUGCAUAUAAGUUAUUUUGGAUGAUGGAACAUUUGAUUCGGCGAUCAAUUUUGUUAGACAUUAUCUAUGCUAUUGAAACUAUCUAAAAACCAAAUUUUAGAAUUUUUUUAUUUCAUUUGCUUAGUGAACAAGUAGUUUAAAAAUAAACAAUUGAAAAUAAAAAUCUCAUAAAAACAAUGAUAAAAGAUAAAUUUUAAAUCAGAAAUAUUAAUCUUACUAUUGAUAUUAAGUAGAAUUUUCUAUUAUAAUUUUUAUAUAAUUUGGAUUGUUCUAUACCGUUCAACAAAAAAACGUGCCACAUCAACCGUUAAAAUAGUCAAUUUUUGAGACCUUUUGAUUACGUGGUAAAUAAUAUUGAAAAAUUAUGAAAUUUUAUUUUCAGUAGUUCCAAUAGCAUCGAUUAUGCCUAUCGGAAUUAAUCGAAUGUCUUAUCAUCGAAAAUAACUUAUAAGCACGGAGGGCUUCAUACUUUAGAAAGCACAGAAGAUGUACUCUAUAUGUGUGUGUGUAAGUUUUAGACCUUGCUUGAUGUGUAGUGUUCACAAAAUCAUUUUAGCUUUUUAGUAUUAAAAAAAAUAGGGUAAACUUUAAAUACCACCACUUUCGCACUUUCUUACUUUAGUACUUAUAGUUUAAAGUAUAUCAAUAUAGUACACUAUGGUAUCAUUUUUUUUUUUUUUUGUCAGCCCCUCCGUUAACUUUUCAUUAAAUCAUAUAUAAAAAACUUCAUAUGCCCACCUAUAGUUUAUCGAAUAUUCAUUUUAGUAUAUUUUAGUUUUAACUUUGUCACUGAUUUAAUGAAAAUAUAUACCACAAAAGGUUAACAUUUAUUGAAAUAUAUUUAUAAUUCACUAUAUUUGUAGAGACCUGUAUGCAUUUUAAAUUAUAGAAAGCAGAUAGUACUCUAUGUUAGUAGAGAAGUGACAUAUCUUAUACAUAAAUUAUAGGGAAAACUUCAAAACCCCCCUGUGGUUUCGUAGUUUCUCACUUUGCCCCCCUGUGGUUUAAAAUGUAUCAAAUUGCCCCCCUGUGGUUUCGUUUUUAUCUUUUCGGUAGCUUUUUCGUUAAUAUUUUAUUAAAUUAUAUACAAAAAAUUUUAGAUACUCAUCUAGAUUUAUCAAAUAUUCACUUUAGUACCCUUUAAUUUUAACUUUAUUACUGAUUUAAGAAAAAAAAAUAAUGAAAUUGAUUAGAAAAAGAGAAAAAAGAAACCACAGGGGGACAAAUUGAUAUAUUUUAAACCAUAGGGGGGCAAAGUGUGAAACUAUGAAACCACAGGGGGGUUUUUUGAAGUUUUCCCUAAAUUAUAUCUAUUCAUUUGAGCCUUAAAAAAUAGGCUCAAUUUUAAGAAGACCCCUUGCACUUUAAUGCUUUUCUUAAGCACCCCCUGCAUUAAAAAUUACAUCAAUUACUCUCCCACAUUUUGUCAUUAUCUUAAAUUGGUCUAACUAUUCCGAAUAAUUAUUGAAUUUAGCUAUAAAACUUUAUAAAAAUAAAUCGGCUGGCAAAAUUAUCUUUAGAUAAUGCAAUAGAAUUAGUUACUCGACAAAUGAUCAAUUUUGAUAGAAUUAGCAAAAUAAAAAAAAAUUAUCUAAUUUUUUGAUAUAUUUUUGAGCUGCAAACUGAAUAUAUGUUGAGAUGCGGAGCAAUGUGAUAUACCAACUCAUUUUAUUAAAAUUUUCAAGCCUAAUUUGUUAAAACUUUUUAAAUAUUUUGGAUUUAUUUAAGAUGAUGACAAAAUAUAGCAUGCUAAUUGGUGGAAUUUUUCAUGUAGGGGGAUAAUUGAGAAGUUGAUAAAGUGUAAGGGGGCUUUUUAUAAUUUAGCCCUAAAAAUAUUCUAAAUUUAACACCUCGUGACCUCGUGUAGGUUUAUAUUAAUUAUUAAUUAUGGUGCGGUGUAUGAGAUGUAGGGAUACACCAGGUUCAGCCAACAGUACUUGUGUGAGCACACUCCAGGGAGUGAGAGAACCCACUCAAAAUUUGGACGGUUGAGAUUUCGAGUUGAGAAUCUGACGGCCCGUGGAUAGCUGGGAAAACCCCAUUCCACAAAUUUUGAUGCGUGGUUUUAUUGAUUUCCGAAAUUAAAAAAAAGAAAAAAAGAAAAAUGGGGUAAUUUUUGUGACCACAAAAUUUAGCGGGCAAACCACGACCACAAUCGGGCUUUUUGUGAAUGAAUGGCGCCACCAACAACCUUGUAACAUGCACGCUUCACAUUUUUCUUCGAAUUUAGGCUUCGUUUGGGAUUACGGGGAUCGCGUUACGUGUGGUGAGAUAGAAAGUACAUUGAAAAAAUAUUCUGUUUGUUUUCGUACGUAAUAUUGCGUUCCGCAUAUCGCGAUGAGUCAGUUAAGAUAUAUUUUCUGUGGUCCCACCGGAGAACGCAGAAGUAUAUCCCUAUAUGCUUUUUCCUCAUCUCUAUUUUAUCUAAUAGCGUUAGAUAGGUCUCAAUACUAAACUAAGCCUUAGUAAAUUAUAAGGCAUGUACCGGCGCUUUGCUGUGGGUACGAUAAGUAUAUUCUUAAUAAAAUUUGUAAAAUAUAAUAUAUAUUUUUAUUUUAUAUAUUAUAUAUUAUUGAUAUAUAAUAAUUAUUAUACUACAUAUAUUAUUAUAAUAACUUAUAUUUGUAAAUUAAAUAUAUAAAACUUAUAUUAUAUAAAUUGAUGUAUAUAAUAUAAUAUAUAUACAAUAAUAUUUAUAUAAUACUAUAUAAUAAAAAUAUAAAANCAAAAUUUUCUGAAGUAAAAGAAAAAGUUUGUAAUAUGCUUAUUUUUAGGUCAGUUUGUCUGAAAGAUAUAUAUCCUUUUUUGUGUUUUUUUAAAAUUCUUAUUCUUUUAACUCUAUUCAGAUUAUUUUUGUCGAUCUAUACAAGCAAUAUCGAGAAUUAAAAAUAUUAUGAUAAAAUAAAAAGUAGUUACUUGAUUCAUAGGUUUUUAAUUCACCGGCUUUAUAAUUUUUUUAGAAUUUAUGAACAUAUAUUUAAUUUUCUGCAGGGCAAGAAUUUGUUUGUAAGAAAUUUUUAAAUUUAGCACAAUUACGCACCAACGUGAGAAAUUAGAUAUGAUUUGAUCUAAAAUUUGGACUUAUAAUAGAUAAAUGACAAAAAAUAGAGGAGUACUCUAAUUGGUUUAAUAGUUGGUAGGCAAUGAAGCAAAUCAAUUUAGAAAAAUAGCUCAAAAUUUUAUAUACUUUAGGAUUUAAAAUUUAAAAUUUGAAGUUGAAAAUUUGGGAAUAAAUUAAAAUUUUGAUAUCCAAAAUUUGAAAUUUUAUAAUAUAAAAUUUUAAAACUCUGUAUAUCUAUACUUCUAUACUAUAUAUACUAUCUAUACUAUCUAUCUAUACUAUCUAUAACCCUUAUGAAAGCCCGUGUUCCCUUUGUCCACGUGGCAGCAUUAGCUUAAUUUUACUUUUGUGGGCCCUACCUGUUAUCUUAAAAUAUUUUAGUAAUUAAUUAGUGGGUGGGUCCUACCCAACCAAAUUUUUUUUCAUAAUCUGCUUCCAUUUAAUUUUCCCUAUUCCAACUCCGCCUCCUUCCCUGCUUCUAAUUAACUUCUUCUUCCAACUUCACCUCCUUCGCUCGCCCCUCUAGGUGCCGCUCCGACUCCUGUUCCCUCCCGUUCCCUCUCUGGACGGAAUGUUGGGCGAGUUCAUGGUCGGGCCUUCUUCCCGUCGCGACGCUUCGUUUCGUUCGCUCCUUAUAUGCCGCUUCGACUCCUGUUCCCUCUCUAGACAGAAUGUUGGGCUGGGUUCAUGGUCGGCGCUUCUUCCGGUCGCACCGUUCCCGUUAGCGACGCUUCGUUUCGGCUUAUUCAUCCCCUUUGAUCACGAAAAUGGUAUGGAUUCAUUCUCUGUGGUCCCUUCUUGCUGUCUAUAUAUGUUAAAAUCGGAAUGGCGAAAAAUAGAUCCAGAAAAUAAUUUAAUGCAAGAAAAGAAAAGAUAAGCGGAAAGAACACACCGAUAUUUACGUGGUUCGGCCAACGGUCUACGUCCACGGGCGAAGGCGGAGCAAAUAAUUUAUUAAUGUCGAAAAGGCGGAGUACAAAGAGAAUCUCCCAAAAGACCAAAACUUAAUUAGAUCUGAAACGGCGCAACAAGCAACUUCGGAAAAAAGCUUCUCUGUCAAUCCGUACGAACCAAGCCAAUGCCGACUCUCUACUGGUGUGCAUGCCUUAAUUAGAGCUGUGCAUAAUUAAAGGCUGCGGCACCUCUCCAAUGCACACCACGAAGUUGCCACGUAACCACCAGCACUUCUUAGGCCCUUUAAUUUGAGCUCCGUUAAUUAGAUCAUGGCCUCUUAAAUUUUGUUGCGAUUGCUUCGUUACCGUACGGAUCACCAACAACUUAAUUUCAUGGCUCUUAAUUUGGUCGCGGCGAUUAAUUUGGCCGUGACAUGUAUAUAUAAUACAUGUUUCCUAAUUAGAGUCUAAUUCUAAUUCAAUUAGAAUUAUACUCCUAAUUAUAAUCCAUAUAUGCCAAAUUAAAUCUAAAUUAUAUAUAAUCCUAAUUAGAUUAGGAUUUAACUCCAAUUUAGAUAACUGCAAAUCUAAACCAAAUAUAACAAUAUAAUAUGCCUCUGUCAAAUUUUUAUUUGCUGCAAAAAACUCUCUGAUUUUUUCCAUCGAUUUGGUAGCGAGGCCUCCGCGGGCUUCGAUUUCACCUCCAGGAAGCGGAUCGAGCAGCCGCCCGGGCCCACGCCCGCACGAGGGCACGAGCCGACACGGACGCGAGCCGGCGCGGGUGUGGGCGUGGGCGUGGGCGUGGGCGCGCGCAGGGGCGCGAGCGGCGUGGGCUGCGCGGGUUGGGUCCGGACACGGGCGCGGGAAGUGAUCUCCGCGCUCUCUCCCUCGCAGGCACCGUGCCCUCUCCGCGCCCUCUCCCUGCCGCCGGGAUCUGCAGUGUGAUCUUCACUGGUGCCGCGCCCUCUCCCUGGCACCCUCUCCGACCUCCCGCUCGCGAACCCCAAUGCCCUCUCCCUGGUGCCCGCGCCCUGUUCAACGAAAUGCCGAGCUUAUUUAUAAAUGACAAUUUCUCAAUUUGCUGAGCUUUUUAAAUAGGUUUACUCAGAAGAAUCUACUCAGAAUUUAUCCAAAGGGAACGCGAUUCAAUUCAUCAAACUAUAACCCGUAUAUCGGUUGGAUGCAUGGUGCUCAAAUGGUUGCAUUCAAUAUGCAGGUUAGCCUCUAUGCUUAAGAUACAUAGUGAAGUAUAUUUGAUUCAAUUUCCUAAUCUGUUCAUUUGAGUUGAUGUGCCCUUGCAUUUAUCUCAUUGCUCCAAGUUUAUGAAAUCUGGUUUCAUUACUCCAAGUGUAUGAUUUUCUUAAAUAUUUUAUCAUCUAGAGAUAGGUAAAUUGGCUUUCUCAGAUCUGGUUUCUGUUGAUUAAGGAUGUGAUUUAUAUAUUAGUUUCUUAAAUAAAAUCCUAUGCAUGUUUUGUUGGUUCUUGGGGCGCAGUUGUUUAAAUCAGCUUAUAAGAAUUGUGCUAUCAUUUUCAUCUUUGUUCCAUUUUUUUGUCGUAUUGGCAACUGGGAGGCGCAUAUAUAUUUUUUCUCUUAACAGCUUGCUCUUACUUCCUUUUAGGGGUAUGGAAGAUCCUUAUGGUUAACGCAUGGGUUUUACGAAGCCAAUGAGGGUUGUGGUUAUGUGAAAAAACCUGAUUUCCUAAUGGGGAAUGGUUCACAUGGUGAGAUUUUCGACCCGAAAGCAAAUUUACCUGGACUGAUGACCAACGAGCAAUAGAAUGAUAACAAAAUAAGAUAUUUGCUUUUUUUCCCGGAGAAUUAAAUUUCUAAUCUCUAUUGGCUUUUAUUACCUAGCAUUCUAUGGAGAAAAGAUCCUACUCUCUUUAGAAUAUAUUAUGCUUAGAAACUGCACAAUGCCUAUCAGAAGCUGUCACUCAUGACUCUCAUUACUCUAUUAUAGUUUCUGACCCUACUUUCGUCUUUCUAUAAGGAUGAUCACUAGAUGUUACAUUUUAUGAAAUUAAUCCCUCUUUUGGCUUCCAUUUUUUUUUACUUAACUUCUUUAAUUGGUAACAUACACUUAUGAAUUGCGGUCAAAAAAUCUAAAGCUCAAUUUAAUAUCCCCAACAUACUUUUUCAGUACUUUACAUAUUCUGACUUAUGCAUUUGCAAGUCCAAGACUCUUCGCAUUAUCAAUUUUAUUUCUCUUUAUUUAUUUCUUUUCUUUUCUUUUCUUUUUUAGUCUGGUAAUUAAGCCUUUGUAAAUGUCUUAUAUGCAGAUAAUAAAAUGAGGAAUUAGUUGGUGGAGUUGGUCUCAUAUGUUGAUAAACUGAACAUUGAGUAAGCUUAUAUUUUUCCUUUAUAUCUGAAGUGUUCUAUAGCUUAAUUAGAUACCUAGCCUCAUAUGUAUAAUCUCUUACCAUGAACUCAACAUAUGUUGUUCUGGGUGGAUUAGGUAAUGUUCUAUGAGAAGAUCCGAAUAAAUAUAAUGCUGUGUGAAAAAAAAAGAGUUGCUAAUUAUUAAGACUUCAUUUCAUUUCAUUAUAUUGACAUUUCCUCCUUAAAUGUUGGAUGGUUUUGAUGGUUGCGAUCGACCCGACCCUUCUUAACUGGUGAUGAGGACACUUUGGAUGGCCUACUUUGUAGGCAGUCGGUUGCUCCCUGCUAUGUAAAAAAAAAGACUUCGGCGGCGAUCUAAUACGCAAAACAAGACUUCGGCGGUGAUCUAAUAAUGUUCGAUGGAUAGGGAAGCCUUAGCAAAGUAUAUUUAUUUUCACUAUCAGGUUUGCUUUCGCUCCUACUCUAUAUUUGUAAAGAAUUUAUUUUCAUCUCGAUUCAUUUAGUCUAUUUGGUAUGGUUUUCAUGAUCUGAUUUAGUUUCCUAUGCUUUUCAUUGUUGUCCUAUGUGGUCUACGUUAAUAUUUAUGGUGGCCUUCCCCUUGAAUGUCAAAUCGUUGUGAUAAUUGAGAGGGGCCUGGGCCUUCUAGACUGGUUAUGAGGGCACUUUGGAUGGCCUUAGUACUCGAUUAAUAUUCCAGCUGCAACUUUGAUUGAUUAAACUCUUCUUUGUUCUCUCUAGGUUUCUGGAUAAUCACUAAAUUUUCUACUCUUUGUGCCAAGCUGUGGUGUUCUAAUGCAAUUGUAUAUGUAAAGCUUAGUGCCUUAGCACAUAUUAGUGUAAAGUUGCAUGAGUUAACUCUAACUUAAAUUGUUGCAUGAAUGAUUGCAUAUUACAUUCACUUUAGAGAACAAAUUUGAGUUUUAGUUGGAUUCUUCAUUCGAAAAUUGCAUCUUUAGAAUUUGAGCUGAGUAUAAUAGCUACAUGUGUAGCUGAACAAGCCUUUCUCACUGAGUAAAUCAUGUAAAAUAAUGCAAUUUAGGUAUGAAAUUUGGCAAUAUUCUUUUUUUUUUUUUAUGCAGUGAGUAAACUUGCAAGCAUUGAUUUUAUACUUCAAUUUCCAGUUUUGGUUGUUUGUAGUGAAUUUUUUACUCUGGAUUAUCCUCUUUCUUUUCCUUUUUCUUUUUCAGCCAUUUUAUAUGCAGCAUGGUCUUACACUUUCUUUCUUAUACCUCGAGAUUGCUUUUGCUUUCCAUUUGGAUGGCUUGGUAAGUAUUUCUGUCAAGUUGGGGUGUUUUUCAUUUAUGUCCAUGCAAAAUCAUCAUUUACAUAUAUACUUUUUACAAUCUGAAUGUUAAUAUGUGCUCCCCGAAAGUGAAUUUUGUCCAAAGGUAUCCUUAUCUAAAGUGAGGGAGCCAUCUAAUUUAGGUGGCAAUUGCAUGAAGUUAAUUUUGUAUCACCGAAGGUCUUUACUGAGAAUCAUUUUUGGUGGCAGAAGGGUAUAUCUAGAAAAAAGUAAGUUUUUGAAGUAGAUGAAAUUCAGUUUAUGGAGAGAUGCGUAGAUAACUUUUUUGAAUAAUUUGAUAAUUGAAAUUGUCUUCUACAUUCAGAUUAUAUCAAACACCACAAUUUCACGGCCAAAACCUCUAGAGAAGCACCAUUUGGCUCCAGAACCUGGUGGUUUAAAUGGGAAGCCACUCUUUGAUCUAUCUAUUCAUACUCAAGGUGAUGUAUAUGCUCACUCAAGGAGAUGUAUAUCCACACACAAGGUGAUGUAUGGUAAUUUAUUUUGGAUUCUUUAAAAAAAAAAAAAAAAAUAAAAAUCAUCAUCUCAAGUUUGUUUAAUUUGUAAACAAUGCAGUGAUGAAGAUGCAUACAAGAAGAUCCAAUCAAGUGCAACCCUGGUUUAGCUUUAUACUGGUUUUGCCUUUGGGGGACCAGCACUUAUUCCCUAGAUAAAGGUCUUUAUUAGUACUAACCUACUUUUCAUCCUAUAAUAUAAUACUUUGGGUCUAUAUUUAAAUGUUAGGACUUAAGUUUUUCAUAUCAUCAUUUAAGUGUUGGCUAAAACUAAUAAUAUAUCUAAGUCAUCUUGAUUUACUAAUCAGUCAUAAAUGAGUUGUGUUUUAGGCGAGCUUGCGAGCUUGAGAAUGUCAAUAAAGUUCAGACACAACCUUUUAGUGCUACUCUACCUAACUAAGUGAAGAAGGUCUGUUCUAAAAACUAAACUGCAGUUAACAAGGGAGGUUGCCCGACGUAGUUGAUGAGCAUUUUGAACUUGCUCCUGCCCUGAGAGGCGAGCUCCAAAUGCAUCUCCAUAGUCAUGGCGUCUGCGUUCUGUCAUAGCUUUCCGAUCGGCAUGGUGCACUGCUCCUUGAGCUCCCUGACUAUCGUCGCUGCCCUUACCCACCACCCUAGCUCUGCAUGCGGUGCCGCACCACCACCUCUGCCACUGCAUACCGGGGGAAAAAGGGAGAAAAUUAUAUACUAUAUAGUUGAAAUGGUUGUUGUUCUUAUUAUUAUGGUGUAACUUUUGUUUUGCGAGGAAUGAAAAAAUGGCAUACUACUCUUUCUAUUACUUUUUACUUCCAAAUUUUAUGCGAGCUUAUUAUUAUAUUUGAUAUUUGGAAGAUUUUCAAAAUGUUAUGCUAUAAAGAAAAGAUUUUGCUACAACAAUAUCUACCCGCCGCAUCGCGCGGUUAUUACACUAGUUAUAUUAAUUCUCAAUAAAAUAUGCCACGUGACGAUAUUUUUCUUUCACUUGAGUUGUUAGGGUUGUGGGCUCCACCUUUCCAUCCCCUCAUCUCUUCCAAAACGUAUGCCCCUUUACUUUCCUUCACAUACUUUCAUCUUUUCUCAAAACGUACGCCCCUUCAUCGUUCUUCAUACUUUUUCAAAACGCACAUUCUCUCAUCUCCCCACCCUUCAUUCUUUUCAAAACGUACGCCCUCUCAUCUCCCCACCCUUUAUAUUUUUCAAAACGUACACCCCCUCAUCUCCCCACCUUUCAUACUUUUUUAAAACCUUCAUACUUUUUCAAAACGUACACCCUUAAUUUGAAAGUGUAGAUUUUUACAUAUCAUUAUACUUUUUCAAAACCUUUAUAGUAUUUUAGUGUAGAUUUCUAUCUUAAACUUUUCAUUUUCUUCUUCUUGUUUUUUAUCAUCAUCCCCUCCUUCUCUCUCCCCAUUAAUCGAGGAGUUAGUAAUCGUGUAAUUUUUUGUGGACGUGGUACAGAUUGUUAGAGCAUUCGCUGCUAUGCCAAGAAGUUUCGUUAUGACCCCUAUGUUGCCCCUCACCAUGGCCUCCUCUCCGUGGGCUGUGAUUACAGCGCUCGUUUCCCUACCUCCUCUCAAACCUCCUCAUUUGUCGCCUUUGAUGUUUAAUUCGACUCCGUUAUUAUCGACAUUAUAAAAUUCUCUCUUUAUUUUUCUAUGAUUUUUUUUUCUUUUUACUCAAAUCCUUCUAAUAUGAGAUUCGUUUCUUUGGAUUUAGAAAAAGGUCUGCAAGGCUAUCGACAUCGGGAUUGUUUACCAUGCACGCCAGCUGUUCGAUGCAUUAUCUUUGAAAAUUAAAAUAGCAUUUAUAGGUUCCAAAUUAUUAUUAAUAAUUUCUAAAUGCUAAUUAUUAUAAUUUUGUUUUGAUUUAGUGUAGAGAAAAAGCAUGUGACAAUGAAUCAAAGAGCUAUAAAUCCAAAGCCUUCUUUUAGAUGAGAUUUUAUAUUUCAAUAAAUUUAAAAAAUAUUUUUUUCCUCUAUUUCUUUCUCUACUAAUUUUAUUUUAUUUUAAUUGCUAUUUUUUUAAAAAAAAUUGCUUUGAUGCAGAAAAGAAGAAAUGGAAGCUUGUUAUAAUUUGUCGAAUAACAAAACCAACCCCAAUGAAAUCACCUCCAAUUUUAUUUUCUCUUUUUUAUUCUUGUAUUAAAUUAUUUUUUUAAUAUCCAUCUAUGCAACAAUUUUUAUUCUCCUAUAGUUCUUUUUUUUUAUUUUCUUUCUUUAUUCUCCACUGGAUUGUAUUCUCAUUCUAAUUAUUUUUAAUAUAUUUUUUAUAUUAUUAACCAGUCUUUUUUUAUAUAUUUAAUUUAUAAAUUUUUAUUAUAAUUUCUAUCCGCCGCAUCGUGCGGCUUUCUAAACUAGUAUAUAUAUAGGUAGGGAGAGAAAGGAGGGGAGGGUUUUGGGGGACACGUGUCAUCCCCAAACCCUCCUUAAUGUAGAAGAAAAGAAUAGAUAGAAAUAGACGAGACGCAUCCAAGAUUUUUUCAUAAAUCAUACAUAUGUCCCCAAUCAAUGGUCUAUGGUGCACCGGGUGUACCGAGUAGUUGAGUCGGACCCAUGUCAAUAAAAGAAGAAUACCCCACGCACUUUAGUAUAUAGUAAUAAAUAAUAGAUAAUAGAUUAAAUUAAAUUAUAAAUUUUUUUUUAACAAAGUGAAGUUUAUAAAUAGUUUGGUUAAAAUAUUGCAAUUUUAGACAUAGGAGCAGCAUGAAAAUUAAAGAGCCUACCAAAAUUAUAACUGAAUAUUAAAUAAAAGGGGUAAUUGUUUAUAUAUUCCUGAAAAAUUUUCGACUUUUUUAUUUACUCCGCUUAGAAGGUUAAUAUUAAAAAUAUCCUUUCAACAUUCUAAGCUUUUUCAAAUUUACUUUUAGAGUUAGAUUCUAUUAGUGAACUGUUAGGAACAACCGAUAUUUUUGUAAAAUUAUUAUUUUGUCUUUUCAAAUAUCAUUUCUACCGUCACCAACUUUUCUUAUUUGUCAUUAAGUUAGAGGUAAAAAGAAGUAUUUUGAUUUAUUCCUUUCAAAUAUAUUCUUCUACUAUCACCAACUUUUCUUAUUUACUGUUAAGUUAGGAAAAAAAGAUAUUUGGACCUUGUUUCUAACUUUGGUAGAAAUUUAACUGAUAUUUGAUCCCAGAUGAUUUAACGGGUACUAACAACAAGAAUACUUAAUAAAUAACGGAGAAAUAUACUAGGAGUAUAUUUGAUACAAAAAAAAAAGUAAAUCAAAUAUUUCAAAAGUAUUGAGGGGUACUAGACGAUUAUCUCUAAAUAAAAAAAUUCUAACGGCAUAUAUGAUUUCUUUUUUGAAAGAAUGCCAGAAAGAUUUUCAUUGAUAAGUAAACAAGCACAGAAUAACAAUAUGUCGGAUUGUUGAAGCUAAUCAUUAAUCUCAAAAACUCGAACUGUUAAAAAGAUACAACUAAUUCACUUAAAAUGUACAAACACAGUGCCCAUGGGGCAGGAUGCUAGCCUCUUUUAAGUCAAGACAAUAAAAACAUUACAAACGGACUCAAAUUUUUGGUCAAGAUUCUACUUAAGAAGAGCAAGCGGUCCAGAAGUAAAUCGACCAAUUGACCGGACGAAAAAUGUCUGGUUUUCUCUCUAGGCCAGAUAUUCACAAAGUAAUCUGAUAGGAUUAUUAGAUGUUUCUGAAUUAAUGCUCCUUUUGUUUUCAAGACAUAUAUUUUAUAAUUUUUUUAGAAUAGUAAAAUAUAAAUACUAAAAGAUGCGGAAAAUAUUAAACGAGUCUAAAUCAACAGUAAAUAUUUGAUUUUCUUAUAUAAAUCAACAAUAAUAAAUAUUAUAUGAUGAUACCCUCGUCACACAGAGGCCUCCUAUACCUUAUCAAAUAAUUUAAUAGUUCCCUCCUUUAAGGGAAGUUACAAAUUACAUAACUGUAUUGUUUAAGUGUCUGUUAAAAAAAAAACAAAAAAAAAAAAAGACAAAAGUUGAAAGGGUCUCAAACUCUCUGUACAUUUUUUUUUUUCAUUUUUAAAUAAUUUGGGACCGUAGUCCGGUCCGGAGCCCACUAAAUUGGUUUGGGCUAAGUUUGGGUUUAAAAUGGCCCGGACCAGUUCCACCCCUAACGAAGAUAAAGAUCUAUUUGGCCUAGAUUUUGAAAAAGUAAUUUCUAUAAAAUUGAUACUGGAGAAUUAUUUUUGGUUUAUAUGCUAUUUUCAUUAGCGAAAAUAUAGUAAAAGUAUGAAGGCCUCCGUACUAAUAACAAUAAAAUAGUUAAGGCUACAAAACUUUGACUAAUAUUUUUGACCAAUUCCUGCUUGAUAUUUGAGAAAUGAGAACUAGUCAAAAUUACUAUAAUAUAUUAUUAUAGAGAACUUUGAAUAUUAAGUUGAUAAUGAGAAGAGCAAUGUUUACCCCUAUGCUACAUGUACAGGAGAUAAGUCUUACACCCUAGGCUCCGAAAAGCCAAAAUUUACUCAUUUAUCUAACCAAAAAACACUAAAAAAAUUUUAAAAAAAAUUUAAAUAUUUGAAUUAUGGAGUGUGAGAUAUAUAGUUUUAUAAUGGGGUGUACAAGUAGCAUUUUUCUAACAAAGAUAUGUAGAACUAGAAAUAAUAGAUUUAAUUGCACCGUUCGUCCCUAAUUUUUAUAAGCUUCUUGCUUUGGUUCCUAACCUUUGUUUCGUUAUUAGGUUUCUAAUUAGAUCACAGUUAUCUAAAUUUUUAUUAAUUUUGACAAAAUAUGCCACUCCAAUUCUAUUGUAGCUCUCGUGCGUGACUCAUAGAGAUUAAGGCUGUCAUGUAACUCCCUGUAAAUCUGGGCACCGUCCUUUUCAAAUUUCUUAAUAAAGAGUUAGGUAGUAUGUCUAGCUCGACUAGAAGAGUGCCAAAUUUUCAAAGAUGUCAUAACGUGCGAGGUGGAGAUGGUUAUGGAAUGAAGAAUGAACUAGAGGUAGAAAUGUCAACGGAUUGGAUUCGGGGCGGAUUUUUAAAAAUCCGAAGCCGAACCCGACUCCAAACCUGAGAUCCGAAUCCGAACCCGAAUCCGACGGAUUUUAAAAAUCCAUAUCCAAACCCGAACCCGAACCCGAAAAUUUGUACCCGAAACAAUUAUUUCUUUUUUCAAUAUUUCAAAAUAUAUUAUAUUAAAUUUAAAUUUUUAAAAUACAAAUUCAAAUAUAACAUCAAAUAUAUAUAUAUAUAUAUAUAUAAUACAAAAUAAAUUCGGGUUCAGGUCGGGUUCGGGUUCGGGUCGGGUACUAUCAAAAUCCAUAUCCGAAUCCAUAUCCGUUAGGUUUCUAUUUUUGAUAUUCAUAUCCAUAUCUAUAUCCAUCGGAUAUAUACUUUUUAUUCGGGUUCGGAUUCGGAUAAAAUUUCGGGUAUCCAUAUCCAGUGACAUUCCUUCCAUACCCAUUGACAUCCCUAACUAGAGGGUAGUGAAAUUAGAUUUGACGCGACAUGUGUAUUGAUAGGAGAAGAGGUUAAGGACCAAAGUGUUAAAAUAGAUAAAGGUUAGAAACCAAAUAAAUAAUCGAGUAACGGUUGGGGACCAAUGAUGUAAUUAAUCGUGUGGACUUUGGAUACCAUGGAAGAAACAUAUUAUCUAAAUACAUUAUCAUACAGUGCACAUCUGACACCCUAUCAUCUAAUGAUUUAAAGUUUUAUUUUUGAAUUUUUAAUAUUAAAAAAGCUGAUGAGACAUGUGAUAUUCUGGUUUAGUCUUAUAUCGAGUAGAAAGCUUUUGGAGCAUUUCUAAAACUAAUUACCAAACUUAAAUAUUUUGGGCUGGUGGAUUUGGCCGAACAGAUUAUGGGCCUAAGAUAUUUAGUUAACAGAGUUGUGGGCUCUAUAAUAUGUGGAAAAAGUCUAGAAUGAACUAGUUAUACUGCAGACGACGAGGCAUUGCUAAGCAAUAAGAUUGUAUCACUUGAAUUGAUCUGUCCCAUCAUAAUUAAUAAAAAAAUAUUAUUAUUAUAUUUUUUUUAAAAAAAAAUAUAUAUAAUUGGCUUAUUAUUAAUGAUGUGGCAUAAGUGUAACAAUAUUUGACUAAGUCUGAGGUAAUGAGAGAUUAAUGUGUAAAAAUUUAGUGUUUUUGGAAUCUAAUCAUGUACAUGCCAUAUCUUUCAAGUAAUCAAUGAUGAUCAUGAUCCAAUAUAUACAAUUGAGUACAUACCAAAACUAGUUAGUAAUCAAUGGCGAAAAAAAUGACAUGAUUUAAUAAACAUAUCCUAAAUAUAAAAUUGAACAAAUUCAAUGAAGCUAUAAUCUUAAUCCAUUCUAUACCAGGCUCCACCCUCCCAUUUUUAUACUAUACUAGUGCAGAAAUCCGCGCGAUGCGGCGGGUAGAUAAUAGAAUCCCAAAUUUAAAAUUUUAAAAAAUAAAAUUAUAUUUAGAAUCCUAAUUACUAAUUUUUUUUAAAUUAUAAAAUUUGGAAUGAAAGUUAUAUGGCUCCAAAAUAUCACUAUUCUUCAAUAAAUUGUGUCUAGAAACUUAAAAAUUUUACCAAAUUCUAAAAUUCAUACUAUAAACUUCAUGCUAUAAAGUUCAAAAUAAAAUAAGUCUCUUACACAUAUCCUUCAAAUUAUAGAAAUGAGAUCUUAUGAUAGUUUUGCUGAAAAAAUCUUCACUUCUCUUCUUCAUCGGAAUCAGAAGACUGGAUUAAACUGCAAAUAAGAGUACACAUUCAAGUUAUUUAAGGCAAUAUUUCAAAACUUCUUAUGAACAUAAUUUUGAAAAGUGUGUAUAGAAAAUAAUGUUAGUAAUUAAAUUUUUCCUGAUGAAACAAUUAAAAUUACUAUCUACUUUGCUUUUAAAAAAAAUUUUCAUAUUACCUGAGCAUCUUUUUUUUCCUCUUGAUUUCCUCGCAGUUUCUCCAACUUGUUAUUUGAGCUUCUUUCAUGUUUAUAAUUUCAAAAUUGUAUAUACAAAAUAAUUAAAAUAAAUAAACAAUUAAACUGAAGAAGAUGGAUUAAUUAGAAGUCUUGUGGAGGAAAAGUGAGGGAUCGUAAUAAAUUAAUUAGAAAUAAAAUGGUGAGAAUUAUAAUGACAGAGGGAACAUUUAAAACAUUAAUUGGAAGUUUAGCAGUGGGCCAUUUAGAUGUAUUAAAUAGAUACGUUAAUUAAACAUUUAAGGAGAAUUUAAAUACAUUAAUUGGAAGUUAGUAUGUGGCCAUUUUAGAUGUAUUAAUUAGAUAUGUUAAUUAAAAAUUGAUGAAGAGAAGGGAAGAAUCACAUGGUGGUGAAGGUGAAGAAAACUUGAUAGAGAACAUUUAAAUACAUUAAGGGUGUUUGGAUUGACGAAUUUGAUCAAGUAUAGUCAAGUGUAGUGUGUGUUUGAGUUUCCCUGAAGUUGAUUAUUUUUCUGUUGUUUGUUUUGACGUAAUCUACCACUGUAAGUUAAAUUCAAUCACUUCUGCUGUUUAUUUUGAUGUAACUUAUGUGAUAAAUUAGUUUUUUAAGUUCCGUUGUUUGUUUUGAUGUAAAUAAGUGGAUCCCAUUAUCUCCUAAAUAUAGUAAUAAAUUAUUACUAUAAAAUUUAACUAUUAUAUAAUUAAUUUUUUAUUAUUAUUUAAGAUAAAUCUUAAUUUAUUAUAAAUAAGGAAUUCUAACUUAUUAUAAAGAAAGUAGAGUUUAGUUUUAAUGUUUAAUAUAAUUGUUUAUGAGAAGGUUGAUUGGGUGGAAGUCCGAGUUCAGUAACUAAUUAGAGCCCGGAGAUCGAGCGUAGGUGAAGUGGAAGCUCUAAACGUAACUGAGUUACAUAUAUUUUUCACUGUACACCAAAUACAAAUACGAAAGUGAUGGAACACUUGAGGUUCAGAUCACUUCACUUGCACCAAAACAAAUGGGCCCUAUAUUGGAAGUUAGUGUAGGCCAUUUCAGAAGUAUUAAUUAGAUACGUUGAUAUAAUCAGCUUUAAGUGUGAGAUAUUAAUAACAUUUAAUGUACAGAUUAAUGGAAAGUUAAAUACAGUCGAUUAAUUUAGGAAGACGCGCCAGGCGGCUGCGCAUCUCGGCGUCGCGCCCUUUCGGGUCCCAUAUAUCGGGCCGGGUGGCGGACGGAUGUCGGGUCGGCCUUCAGGGCCGCAGCCGGGCAUUCAGAUGUAUAAUUAGAUACGUAAUUAAAAAUUGAUGAAGAGAAGGGAAGAAUCACGAUGGCCAUGAAGGUGAAGGAAAACUCAUGGUGCCCACAUGGCCCAAAACAUAUUGAGGAUUUAUAUAUUGUAAUAGACUAUAUAUUAUAUAUAUAUAUAUAUAUAUAUAUUAUAUAUUAAUAUAUAUAUAUUAUAUUCCCCCAUAUGCAUAAGAUAACAUUUUCUCAAAAGGUGGUGACCUUGAAUUUUGAGGGAAUUGGAGUAGUUGAGCUCCUCUGCUCUCUCUCUCUCUUCUCUCUCUCUCUCUCUCUCUCUCUCUCAAACAUGGCGAGCUCAGGAGGUGUAUCCAUGGCGAAAUCCGAGGAGGAGUGGCGCGCCAUACUCUCCCCAGAACAAUUCCGGAUCCUCCGAUUGAAGGGAACCGAGUAAGAUUAAACCUGGAAUGAUCUUAAUUUCUCUCUAUUUUUAAUGCAAUUUUAGAUGACUUUGUUUGGAUUUUUUGGGUUUUCAUGAUGACCCAUGAGGCAAAAGUUCCCAUUCAUGUAGGGUUUUGGUUUAAUUGAGUUGUUCUUGGUAUCAUAGAUAGAUGUGAAAAAUUGCUCUUUUUUCAGCGAAUUUUAGAUGAUUUUCUUUGUUGCAUUUGUGGAAAGUUCCCAUUCAUGUGAGUUUGUGGUUUAAUUGAGAUUGGAGCGUCUUUGGGAUGGCUCUAUUAUUAUUUUUGGCGAUUUUUAGAUGAUUUGAGUUAGGUUUAUGGGUUUUUAUAGGCUUUUUUUAUAAAAUAACCCUCUAAAAUUUUAAAAUUGAAGAAAUAAUCAUGUAAAAAUUUUAUUUAGAAAAAUAACCCUCCUUUCGCCACGUAGGCGCCACGUCAGAUUUUUGCUAUGAAUGCGGUGAAUCAUUCACCGCCUUCACAUAUAUAUAUAAUGAAGACGGUGAAUGAUUCACCGCCUUCAUAAUAUAUAUCUAAAGACGGUGAAUCAUUCACCGCCUUUAGUGCAAAAUAUCUCAAAUUUAUCGAAAUUUGUUUAAGUCCUAAAGUUAAAUACAGAUAAGACGGUGAAUCAUUGAUUCACCGUCUUCACAUAUAUACUAUGAAGGCGGUGAUGAUUUACCGCCUUCAUUAUAUAUAUGUAAAGGCAGUCACCGCCUUUAUAACAAAAAUCCAACGUGGCGAAAGGAAUUUUAGUUUUCCAAAUAAAAUUUUGAUAGGGUUAGUUUUCCAAUUUGAAAUAUUUGGAGGGUCAUUUUACAAAAAAGCCCGUUUUUAUAUCACCCAGGUUGUUUGCUUAUAAUCUAUUUUGGAUUAAAGUAUUUUGCACUUGAUUAAUUGACAUGGGAUUUUUGGGUUUUGAUUUUAAAUUGCUUCUUAUGAUGCUCCUUUGUUUUGCAGGUAAUAGUGUGUUAUAGUGUUCCAAUUUUUUUUUUUUAUUAGAGUAUUGAAUAAUACCAGCUUUGCUACAUUUUAUUCUGAGUUGCUUUAAUUAAGAUUGGUUUUUUCCUGUUAUGAUUUUACAUAAAAAAUAAGAGAGGAAAGAAAGAUUACUGUUAUUAUUUCAUUUUGGUUUGGGAUCUUUCUAGUAAUCAAAGAUAGAAGUAAAAAAAAAAUUGCUCUUUUUUCAAUUUUUAGAUGAUUUGGAUUAGAUUAUUUGGCUUUUAUGAUGACCCAUUUGGGGAAAGGCCCCAUUUUUGUAGGUUAUAGUGUUUCCUUUUGAGAUUUAAGUAUCCAAAAAUAUCAGCUUUGAUAUAUUGUGUUCUUGGUUGAUUAAUUGAGAUGAGUUUUCUUUGUUCUUAGUUUUACAACUAAAUAUUAAGAAGAAUAUGGUUUAUUAGUUGAAAAUUGAGGGAGAAAAAAAGUUGAUUUUAAUUUAUAUCUAUUGUUGCAUGUAUGGGGAUAUUAUCAUGAGCUUUUUUUUUAAAGGUAAAAAUGCAUAGAACUUAUCUGACCUGUGGAAGACCAUUUUAAUUCGACUACUCAACCUUUUAGAAUAUUGAUUUUAAUACGCAACAUCUCAAUUUGUCGGAUUUGAAUCAUUUGAUGACUCUUCCGAUGCAAAAUUUAAUCGAAUUGCUUAUUUUACUAAAUUUAUAGUCAUAUGAAUUGUAUAAAAUUUGCUAGUUAAAUCCGAAAAGAUAAAUGACGUCUUCAAAAAUUGAAGUCAAAGAGUCAGUAAUUGAUUCAAAUCAAACAAAUUAAAAGAUUAGAUAGUAAAAUUAGAUCCGAAAUUGGUGAUUACUUGAGGUAAGUUUUUUACAUUUUUACCUUUUCAGAAUAUUCUAGUGCUGUUUUGGUUGUCGAUUGACCCAAAUUAAGAAUGUGGAGUCCAGUUGCAUGCUUUGACCAAACAUGUGGCCACCCAAAUUAGACCAUGUAAUUUUAAAUGUAAUGUUUAGUUUUAUAUUUGGCUUGUUGCAAAUUUUUUAUAUUAUAUAUCUUUUAUAUUAAUCUUCUUUGGUGUGUGCAUUGCAUAGAAUUCAAUACUUGAUAGGAGACUAAGUCUUUGAUAGAAGAGUAAUACUUUGUUUAAGCUUGUAGGCUUUGAAAAUGUUCACUCUCAAAAUUUUAUAUCAUUUAUAUGCUGAAAGAGAUCAUUACAAAGCUUUGUCAGUAAAACUUUACAUAGACCCCCUCGGCUACCAGGCCAUUUUGAAAAUAAAUCAUUUUUUCCCCUCUGAUUCUGACAAAAUCCUUUUUGAUUUUAAUUAUUCUCAUUAAUUAAAUUCUGGAUUUUAUCAAAUCCAACGGCCAUUCUACUGAAUUUAACUGUUUUGAACACCUUUUUAUUUUUAUUUAAUGGAACUACAGUCUUAGUUAAUUGGAGCUAUUGAUUUUAACGAAUUCAAAAAUUUUAUUUAUGAAAAUAACUCAGCGAAACAAUCAAAUGGAGCAGGGGUCUAGGAAAGCAUAAUAACGUUGCAACGCUUAUUCAAAAUGCCAUAUUGUUCAUGGGUUGCUCUUUCGUUUUUUAUCCCUAUCUGCUGAGUCAUAGAAUCUGAAAAAAAAAAAAACAAACAAACAAACAAACAAACCAAAACAAUCAAAAGUAGAGGCGUCGUCACACUGGCUAUUGUUUACAGUUGUCUCCAUACAUUUUUGCCUAUUUUGUGUGCUAUUUGCUGAAUCACAGAAUUUGUGCUCUGCUGUUUUGAUAUUAUAAUUUUCACUACUUUGGGAGCUCUUUUUAUGUUUAAUGCUAAAGUCUUUAAUUUUACCUGCUAAAUGGUAUGCGUGCAAACUGUUAAUUUUGGUGGUAAAUCUAUCAUUUGCCGAAAAUUCUCUAAUUGCGUAAAAGAUUUUUGAACUUUCGUUGCCCCCGUCGUUUGUUUAAUUUGCAUCUCACAGUAUGGAUAGAAACUUCUAUCCCUAGUGUCCCCUACAUGCUUAGUUAGUGCUUUUAUGGGGAUUCAUUGAAGAUUUACAUGUACAUAGUGAUGGAUGAAGUGAAUUACAAUUAGAUGAUUCAUGACAUGAUUCUUUAUGGUAAAGACGUGGAGUUCUUUAGGUGAUUCUAGGACCGAAAGCUGAUUCGAGUCCAACUGCUUUGAGCUGCAGUAGAAGUAGAAGCUUUCAAUCAGAUCUUCUGCUUUUGUGGCUUUGAAUGGCUUUGAAGCUAAUUCUACUUCACAACCGAAGCUCCAAGCUUGUUAUAUGCCAAUCGGUUGACUGCAGUGCUCACUAAAGUUAAAGAAAAAUACUAACUCCUGUUCUCCGUUUUUAAUAUCUAAAUGAUAUGCAUAAAUGAGUUUAGUCAAAAUCGUACCUACAAAUUAUGCAUAAAAUAAGUGGUAUUUUUCAGGCCUCCAGGGACAGGUGAAUACAACAAGUUUUACGGCGAAGGCGUUUACAGCUGUGCUGGUUGCGGAACUCCUCUUUAUAAAUCCACUACCAAAUUCAAUUCUGGGUGUGGUUGGCCAGCAUUCUUUGAGGGACUUCCCGGGGCCAUAAACCGAACGGUUGUUUUUCUUUCCUCUUGCGUUUUUCUUUUGCUAAUAACACAUUUUUUGUCCCUUUUCGGGUAAAUUGCACGUUUGGUCCUCAACUAUGGAGCACAUGAUAGCUUAGUUCUCAAACUUUAGUUUGUUGUAAUUUUUCGCUUAAACUUUCAGAAUUGUUGCAAUCAAAUUCCACGGUCAAAUUUAGCUGACUAAAUUUUAAUGAUUGUUGAUGUAAAAGUGAUAUGGUAUCUUAAUUAUUGGUGAUAUUCAAUAUUUAGUCAACUAAAUUGGGUUGUUGGAUUUAAUUACAACAAUUCCGAGAGUUCGAGCGAAAAAUCGAAACAAAUUAAAGUUUGAGGACCAAAGUGUCACCAGCUUAACAAUCUGUGGACCAACUAUGCAAUUUACCAUUCUUUUUUCAUACAGGCAUUACGAACAUGCUAAAUUGCAAACACCCUUCCGAGUUGGUUCUUGCUUGUAUGCUACUCGAAACCAUACACGCAAAGUUCGUUUUGCUUAAUUCCCUUUGCUGGAGAACACACGCAAUUACUAACUUGUGUUGGUGUAAUUACUUAAUUUUUCUUAUUUGCAAGGGUAUAAAUGCGGAAAAGUUCCUACAAUUUACUCCUUGAUGAUGUAUGCUUUUGUUUUUCCUUGGGUUUUAUUUCAGCCCGAUCCCGAUGGGAGGAGGACGGAGAUCACCUGUGCGGCGUGCGGCGGCCACUUGGGCCACGUGUUCAAAGGCGAGGGGUUCAAGACGCCUACCGACGAACGCCACUGCGUCAACAGCGUCUCGAUCAAGUUUGCUCCCCCGUCGUGAGACAUCUCUCUAGUGCCCAGUUUAUUACUAUGUUUCGCGGACAAUAAUAAUAACAUGUUAUGUUAUUUACUGAUGAAUAAAGUUUGUGUGUUAUGAUUGAUGGAAAUAAUCUCUCUCCGACGGCCUUGUGCAGUGAUUUAGUUUGUUGCAUCAGUCAGCUCUUACUUGUUUCGUAGAAUCAAUCCUACAGGAAUGAGAACCUUGCUUGAGCCCUGAUGUUGAAGUUCCAUGAAACAAAGUGAAAACAUUGUUGUUGAUAUGAGUUGGAACAGGAGUACUAUUUCUGAACGUACGGAGACCUUCGUGCUUCCACUUUUUUCUUAAGAUGACUGAAUAUCUGAAUUGCCGAUUAACAUCCGUAAGCUUCGACUAAAAGAUUUGAAGUUUCUAGGAUCUAAAUUUCAUGGAUUGAUUGGUCUAAAAAUGAACAAUCAAAAGUGAACAAGCUCAGGAAAAUAGAUGGAACAAUUCUUCAAUUUCUGAUCAGGGAAUUUUUUAAGUACUCUUAAAAAUCAUGUUCUACCAAAUCUUCGGCUAGUUUUGAUUGCUUGUAGAGAUGUUAACGGUUGGAUUCGCGAUGGAUUUUCAAAAAUCCAAACCCCAACCUGAUGGAUUUUAUCCAAAACCAAAUCGGACCAAAAAUUCGAAACUCGAACCCAAAAAUUUGAACCGAAAAUAAUUAUUUCUCUUUUUAAUAUUUCAAAAUAUAUUAUAUUAAAUUUAAAUUUUUAAAAGACAAAUUCAAAUAUAAUAUCAAAAUUUUAUAUACAUAUUAUAUAUAAUGUAAAAUAAAUUCGGGUUUGGGUUCGGUUCGGGUGGGGAACGGUCAAAAUUCAUAUCCGAAUUCAUAUCCGUCGGAUUUUUAUUUUUUGAUAUCCACAUAUGAAAUCAUAUCUGUUUAGUAGCGGGUAAAUCCGCUCCGUUCGGGUUCGGGUUCGGAUUCGGAUAAAAUUUUGGAUAUUCGUAUCUAUUGACAUCCCUAAUUGCUUGUCAAUCAUUAAACUCUCAUUUUUGAGAUCGUUUGAUUGCCUUUGUUGAAAUAGUAUAAAAUUAAUUUGUAUAUUGACAUAUUAUUAUUGAAAAUAAAGUGGAAGCACUCCAUUUCAACUCAUAUAUUUUGGCUUUAUGUUCAGUAAUCGAAUUUGAGUCUUAUGUGAUUGAUUUUAGUUACAAAUAAUUUAUAUCUUUUGAAAACUUGGACUGGAGAAAAAAAAAUGAAACAGUUUGAGAAGUUCAAUUUGCAGGUAGCUAGAGUGUUUUGUUUGUUGUUCAUUCUGCAUGAAUUUGAUCCUUACCAAUUUAUACUUUUAUUAAAGCUUAAGUUUCUGGAGAAUAGUAUGUUAUUAUAUAUUUUAACACUUUCUUACAAUCUCUUAAUUUGAACUCUGUUGAUCUUAAUUUCCAAAACUGUAGAUUUUAUAGCUGAAGAAUGAUCAAAGGGAACUUUAAAGACUCUUAAAAUUUAGAAUUUAUGAUGCAACAAUGGGAGGAAAAUCUUGCUAAAACCACAUUUCAAAAUACUCGGAACUACUAAAAGGCAAAAGAUGAAAUUAACCACAAAUUAAAUUAAUUUUUUUUUCAAAAUUAUAAAAAAACAUCAUUUGGAUUAGGGAUAUAGUCCAAUCCAUAUUUCUUGAAAUAAAUCAAUUGAUUUUUCAAGUAUUAUAUUUAGAUAUUUGGUUCCUCCAACAAACUUCUUGAACAUUACAUUAGAAUCAUUCAAAGUAUCUUUGAGUUGUUUGCUUUCAAGUGGGAGCUUUUCAAAUUCUCUCCCAUUGUGAAAAAAUUAUAUUGGUCUAAGAUUAGCAACUUCGAGCUUCUUCUUUAAUAUUUUAUUUUCUUCAUCGAAAACAUUAGUGCACUUUUCCUUUAACAAAUCAAUUUUAUUUUUUCAAAAAUUUAUUUUCAAUAAAUAAAGAAGAGUUUGUAGUUGAUGAUUUUAAUUUUUUUCACUUCUUCCGCUAAUGAAGCAUUUUGCUUCUUUUUAGAAAACUAUAUUCAUCAUAUGAAAGGUUUUUUUAUCUUAUUUUCGAGUGCUAUUAAGCAUAAGAUAUGAAUUUGAUCUUCAUGACAUAUCUUUGCAACUUCGCUUUCCGACUCAUCACUGCUAGGCUCGUCGGGCCCAAUUUAGGGCAUUCAAUACUUUCUUCUUGCUUUUCUUAGAAGCUUUAUUUGCAGGUGGACAUUCACUUUUUAAAUGCUCCGGUUUUUGUUAUAAUUGUAACAAAUGAUUCUCUUUGUAAAUCAUUCGACUUUGAGCCCUGCUAUUUUGUGUCUUCUCAAAUUUCUUUGUUUGAUUAGUCGAUCAAGCUUCUUAAUUAGAGAUCAUAAUAAUCUCUUUACUCGAGCCAUCACCCGAGUCUUCUCCGUUUGAGUCUACAACACCUUUAUUAAGUGCUAUAUUCUUUUUCUUUUCGAAAACAUCUUCAUUAUCAUACUCCUUGAGGCAUUGCUCAUGAGCCAUAAGUGACGCUAUGAGCUCCUCAAUUUUCAUUUUAUCAAGGCCAUGGGCCCCUUGAAUUGCCAUAUCCAUUGGUAACUAACUCUUGAAAAGAAUUCGAAAAAACUUGCGCACCAAGUCUGAAGAAAUGAAGUCUCUCCUUGAAACUUUUAAACUAUUUAUGAUGUUAGUGAACGUCGUAAACAUAUUCGCAAUGAACUUACUUUCGUCCAUUUUGAAUAGUUCUUAACUUCACAUUAGUAUAUUUACUUUAGAUUUCUUCACCCGAGAAGAUUCCUCAUGAACAACUUCAAAUUUCUCUCAAGUUUCUUUUGUCGUAGUGCAAAUAGAAAUUCAAUAAAUUUUUUGUCUCUAAGAGCACAAAGAAAUGAGUUGAUAGCUUUGGCAUUUGAUUGAAAUUAAAGUUUUUCGUUACCAUUUCAUUCGGCUCUUAGUUUCUUUUGAGGAAUAUGACUAUUUUCAACUAUAUUUUAUAUAUCAAGAUCAAGAGAUUGAAGGAAAAUUCUCAUGCGAACUUUUUUAAAGGAAUAAUUGAUUCCAUAAAAAAUGGUAGCUACGCAAUGGAUUGUUCUUCAACAUUCUUUCCAAAUAUUACCAUUCUCGUUAGAUGUUAAUCUAAAUAAUGUGAAACCUCGCUCUGAUACCAAUUGAGGAUCGAAAUGGAAACCUAAGAAGGGGUGAAUUAAGUUUUCAAAUUAAAAUACAAAAAAAACAAUCCAAGAAAUUCAUAGUAAAUGAUAACAAGAAGAGUUGGAAAAAUUCAAACUCAAAAAGUACGCAAUCAAUUUGUUUUUGAGAUUCAAUACUUUGCCUACAUCCUCGACAUCUUCUUAAUAUAAAAGAAUAUUGGAUCUCCAUUAGAUGAUACUUUUACAAGCAAACGCCGAGCCUCUACACGAAGAAACUCUUUUCUCCCCAAAAAGAUCUCACAAUUACUUUUUUUUCCUCUCUUUUAUAAAUUGUAUCUUGUUACAAUACUCACUCAAGCUUAGAAAGAGAGUAGAGAGUUAAGAGUAUUGCAUAAUAGCAAUUACAAGUUCAAGGAUCUUAAUUUUAAGGGUUAAAUGCAUACAGGUCCUUGCAAACAUACCCAAUUGCGGAUAUAUCCCUGCAAAAUGGAAACUCCAUAAGUUGUCCCUGCAAAAGUUCAAAGUUAUGCAGAAUUGUCCCUACAGUUAACAUCCGUUAGUGAGCUGUUAAUUUUCUAACAGUGGAUUCGUGAAAUGACAAUUUUGCCCCCACAAAUAUAUCCCUCCAAAAGUCCUAACUGAUAAAUAUUUGCAAAAAUAUCCUCGCAAAAAUACAAACGUGAAANCGCGGGCGGAACACCUGAGGGCUCUCCUGGCAGUUCCAAUCAACUAGGGUUAAGGGCCCACUAUGGUGGUUAGUUAAGUUAAUAGAAUAUAAAAUAACAUAAGAGGGGCAAAAUAGUCAAUUCACAUUAUUAACUAUUCAUGGUUAAGUAGUUUAACUCUGGUUAACAAACUUUCUCUAACAGACUCUAACAGUAGGGACAAUUCUGCAUAACGUUGAACUUUUGCAGGGACAACUUAUGGAGUUUCCAUUUUGCAGGGAUAUAUCCGCAAUUGGGUAUGUUUGCAAGGACCUGUAUGCAUUUAACCCUAAUUUUAAUCACUAAAGCUCUCUAUUUAUAACCAAAAUCCAAAAACUAAUGGUUUCAGUAAUUAUGCACUUUUGGGCAUCCCAAACAUGUUUUCGGGCAUUUGUUUCCAUAAUGAUAUUGCUCCUUAGAGUAAUUUCAGAUGCCCGAAACAGAUUUCGGGUGUUCUGCUCUGGUGACCACUCUCACCUACUCUGCAUAGUGGAAAACAAUAUGCAAUCCUUUGAAAUCCAGGCGACCGAAAUAUCUUUCAGGUGUCCGAAAUAACCGAUUUCAUGAUUUCGGUUCCAAAAUGUGGAGUUUGAAACAACAAUUAGUUCAAAUUCAAAUUUGAUGGUUUUCAAACGCUGGAACAAAUUUCGAAUUCCCAGAACCAUUUUCGGGCGCACCUACGUAGGAUCAGGAUGCCUAGAUCCAACCAUUUGAUUUUCCUUCUUCUAUCCAGACAUUCGAAAUGUGAUGCGAGCAUCCAGAAGCUCUUUCGGAUGCACCUUCAUGCAUUCCAGAUGCCUAGAUGGAUGGAUUCGAAGUCAGAACAUUUCCGGAUGCUACUUUCGGGCGCUCGGUCAAGAGUCCGAAAUCUCUAAUUUGCUGAAAUUUGGUUUUGAAUAGAAUUGGAUGCCAUUGAAUUUUGAUAAAUAGAAUUUUUGGCAUUCUCUUUUAGCACAUAUUAGAUCAUGUUCUAUUUUGGUCUACUAGUGAAGUUACACGCGCAUUGCGACGGGCUGAUGCUAUAGAAGACAAAAGAUUAGAGAUUACAAUAGCUGUAUUCAUGUUGUCUAUAGUCACGGUGUAUAACCCUUUCUACUUAGGGCGAAAAAAAAGAAAAAAAGAAGAGAGUUAUCAUUAAUCAAUGUAAAGAUUAAGAAAGAUUCAAUCUAUAGUAUGCUAUUACUACAAUCUGUUGUUGUUGCUGCUUCUGCAAUCUGUUGCUAUUGCCAUUGCUGCUGCUGGUUGCAAUCCUGCUGUUGGUGCCAUCUGCUGUUGCUGUUGCCGCUUAGAUCUGCUAUUGCUAUAUGUUUUUCACUUGAAACCAUCCCAAUUUUUAUUUGUUUUGAUUCAAAUUAUUUAAGGCGAUCGUAUUAAAGUUUUUAAAAUGGAUGUAUACAAAUAAAAAAAAAGAGGGUCUUCUAAAACAUAGCAAUUGGAUGGCAAAAAUUAACAUGAAUGUAUGCAUGUAUAUACACAUCCAUAUAUGCAUGCAUGGAAUGUAAUCAAAAGUUGUUCCACAAAGCAACCUCUUAAAAGAACAGAAACAUAUCACAUGAGAGCUAUAAUCUGCAUUUUGUACAUAUAUAACAAAAAAAGGUUUCAUAUUGGAGCAUUGCACUCCAAGUCACUUUUAUAUGUACACCACCUGAAGAGAUAAAAAAUAUAGAAGGUACAAAGGCUAACCUAUAUAAAGCUUUUUCUUAUAAAUUUGUCCCCAAAUCAAUCUGUACCUAAAGAGAUAAAAUUGGAACAACAUAAGAUGCACUAAAGCUUAGUAUCCAUGCUCAAUUCAUAUAGAUCCCUGCUUCCAAUAAAAAACUUAGGUUCCAUAAGAUAAAGACAGCAAAAAGAUUAAAAUUCAUAAUAAUUUAAAGACCAAAUUUUAACCGAUAGAAAUAGAAGAAUGUUUGCAUAAAAAGAUUGUACACAUAUGCCCAUGUAUAAUUAUCUACUUACAAGAACAAAGUGUGAAAUUUUUUGACUUAAGAAAAAGAAAUUUCUAUAAGAAAAUACACUUUCGCAGGGCUAAAUAGAAAUAUACUGCUGCCAUUCAAAAAAUAAUGACAUUGGUAUGCAUUUAUUGUAUGUAUUUGUAUAUAUACAUAUAUAAUUAAACAUACGUUAUUCUAUAGAACAAAAUUUUAUGGGAUCUUUACAUAAUUCUUUGAUUCAACAAUUGGAAGUCAAAUUAUUGUGAAAGUUUCAUAAAAAAUUUGAGUGGAGUAAGAAGCAUUUACCUGUUGCGUGUCAGCUGAUACAACAAAAGAUUCAGUAGUCAAUAAUCAAAGGAUUUUAGAUAGAUAACUCUCAUUGCAUUCUCAGUUAAAAUCUAAAUGUAAAAGUAUAUUUAGAAAGUCAAGAUGAUGCCUAACAAUUUGGUUGAACUUAAAUAAUUAACCAAUAAAAGAAGCUUGAUACAAACCAACAAAUAUAAGAAAUGAAUAGUAGGUUGCAAAACAGAAAUGAAAGGCUUAGAUCAUGAUAUAUUCUUGCAUCAUGAGACUCAUUUCUUUUUUCCCUCAUCCAAAUCAAUAUAUUAAAGGACUGAUAGCUGCAACAGUUGCCUAUGUGGAGCUACCAUGCCAUCUAUCAAUAUUGAUCUAAAAAUAGCUAGAAGAGAGGAGAAGGGGCCUCCGUUUGAGAUUAUCUCAUCAAUAUGUAAAAGUUGUCAUCUUUAUCAAUCCUUUUAAGGAACAAUGGUCGGUUAUUGAUCAUCAUCGCUUAUUAGACAACUGUACACAAAGAUGAUCUUGCAUAUCCGCCUUAUUCAAUUUGCUUAAAUUAGCAAGAUGUAUUGGCAAAAAGAGUCAAUAGGGCACUUAGGAAGAUUUGGGAUUCUAGCAAUAGGGAACACGGCAAAGAUGCAGGAAGCAAGCACAAUGUUAUUCUAUACUAUUACAUUAGUAAAGAAAAAAUAAUUGAAAUAAAAUAUAUGAAAUCACUAAAGUAAUUUGGUUAUGACAUUAGUGACAUGUAUAUGAAGCAUAUAUACAGAGCAAGACCAACAUGCAAUAAUAAAUUGUUGAAUUACUUCAAAAAAUAACAUAAGCUUAGGUUUUUUUUCAAUCCAGAAAAUUAAUUAAUAAAUAGAUAAAGAUAUGUUCUAUCUAUAUACAUAUAACUAUAUUGUUUAUUUGUUUGGCUUAUUUCAACAAAUAUCUCAAAGCACUCAAGGAAUCGAGCAUCUUUGCAAGCCUGCAAAGCCCUCCGAUGGCGAUCUCACAGACAUCGCGGUCGAGGCGGCGGGGGGAGUUGGCGCAACAGAGCCAGAAGAAGACCUUGGCUUAUUCGAGUUCAAACUAGUGGGGUGCGAUAAGCAUGGCGAUUGCUUGCCUUCUAAUUUAGGACAAGUAAGAGAUAUUAUUCCAAACCAAUAGAUUAUUCAAAAGAUGUGAAGAAAUUUAUAGAAAUGAACUGAGGAUUAACGAAAGAAGCUUCAUGUUUCAAUAUGUGAUUGUUUCAACAUGAUAAGGAAAGUACUGCAUUUUCGUGAGCAAAAUAAUUUGCAUCUUCGACUAUCAGGAAUCAUAAUAUGGCCAAUGUAAAAUUUUCAAUCUCCAAAUUUGUUUUAAAAUACUACCCACUGCAAAAUACCGAAGCAAGGAAAGAUAAGAACUUCUAAACAAAUUGAAGAGGAAGAUAUGUCAAUUCAGCAAAAAAAUACUGAAAAUUAGCAUUACACAGUUGGUUAUGAGAUUGAAUAUAAGAAGAUGGAAACAAUCCAAUAUUUAAACUAAUAUAAAAUGGAUCUUUUGAGCUAAAUAAAUUUAAAAAAGCUAUGCAAUUCCAAGAACUAAAAGAAAAUAUCAGCCCAAUUAUUCAAUAUUGGAAGAAAUUCAAAAAGAACUAAGGAAAAGUCUCUCCAAAAAAUGCCAAAAAAAAGAAGAAAAAAAUUUAAAAAAAAACUCUGGGGGCAAAGUACAAUCCAAAUCUUGGAAUGCAAUAGCAUCUAUAAACUCAAGAAAGCAGAAGUACAUUCAGCAAUCUCAUAUUCAAUUAGGGCAUGUUUGGUUCAUGAUUGGAAUAGGAAUAGGAAAUGGAAUUGGAUUGCUUUGGAAUGGAAAAUGAAAUGACAAAUCAUCUAAAAAUAUUUGGUUCAUUAUUGGAAUGGAAAUCGGAAUGAAAAUUUAAAAUUUUUGAGAGAGGGUUUUGAUUAAGAGAGAGGAAAGUACUGAAGGGAGAGGAGGUAGGUGUUGAUGAAAGAGGAUUUUGAAUAGUUUACUUUAGAAUGAGCCAAUUCAGAAUUCAAAGCCGGAUUAGAUCAUAAAUGGAUUUAGCCAUUCCCAUUCCGAAGUGGAAUGAAAAUCGGAAUCCGAUUCCUAUAAAACAAACAGCAACUAUCAGAAUUGUUGGAAAUAAUAGGGCAACGAAAACUUACAAACCGGAUAGCCAACGUAUCCGGGAACCGGAAUUGGAUCGUAUUGCUUAUUUUACAAGCCUUCUUGGAUCGUCCUUGUCUCGAUGCUUCUGGAUCUCCCACGUUUCUCGCCUUCUCCCAUGCAUACGCCUUACGCCACGGAUCGGAUGCGGAUCUGAUGCGACGGAUGCCAAUCGAAGAGGGCUACCAGAGUCCUCUUCUAUGUCCACACUCCAAAACCCCAAGAACGUAGGUGGAAAUCCCACUGAUGAAGAAGAGAGAGAAUAAGGAAGAUAUUUCGUGGGUUCUUACCAAUUUGAUCGUAUGCGAUCAUCUUUUUUUCCGGAGAGAAAAGGGGGCGUCUAUAUAGAAUAACGGAACCCCUAAAUAUCCUGAAUCUCAUAUAGAUUAGGAUAAGGAUCAGGAUAUUUAUUAACAUAUAAUAGAUAUCCACUAGUAGAUACGUUUCUUAACUAAUAAGAAAUAUAUGAUUUAUUCUUAUCCUAAACUUAUUAGGAUAAAUUCCAAUCUACAUCUUAAGUGGAUCGGGUUAAAUUAAAACCCGCCAAUGUAGACACACCACAUGGCUACAAUCUUCCACUUGGCCACAUUGGCCAAUUCUCUCUUAUUCAUUCAUCUCUUCAUAUGGGUAAUGGAGCGUGUGACCUGAUGAAAGAAACACAUGCAGGAGUGCUAUAUUAAGUCACCACCCAACUAACAUAGCACAUCACUGACUUAAUUCGUCUAUGCCUUAGACGUUUCAACACACAUCUGAUCAAGCAUCACAAAGUCCCUCUCCUGUAAUGACAGGGCUCGACCCCAUCGUUAUUUCUCGUACUCAUGAUUAUCUCAAGUAACACAACCGGGAUAAUCGCCAAGGCAAUGAGUCACAAGACGUACGUGGUGUGUUAUUGAAACAUCUUCCUCAGCCCCUCACGUUAAUCCAUAUUGGUCCAAGUACUUUACUAGACAUGCUCCGCGAGAUCGUAUUUUCUUAUGACCCUGAGAUACAUGCUAAGUUAGUUACUUUGGACCUCCACUUCAUAACAUUAUUCUAAGUCGAGGGCACAAAAGGGUUAGUGCUCACACAGUGACAUGGAGGGAAGAACUUAUGUCACUCUACUAACUGGUCGACAAGCACAUACAGUAUGAUAUGUAUGCUAUGGCGGAGCUCCCAUUCAAUGGGUCAUGUCACACUCUGAAAAACGCCAUAUGAACCUUGGUCUAGGUACCACUAAGGUAUCUAACCACCAUAACUCAAAUCAUCUCUCUAACCUAAGCACUUAGGUUCGGCUACUAUACAGGCUCGAUAUGAAAUUCACAAAAACUUUCAUAUCUGACUCUUUAGAGUCUCAUCUUAAACUAAUUAAGGCGACUUUAAAUUAUAUCAACACUUCAUUCAUAACAUAUAUAAACAAAGUAAUCAAAUUACAACUACUCAAGUUUAAUAUGAUUAUCUAGUCUCAUCCUGCUCACCACUUAGGUGCUAGGGCGAUCACCCGUGUGAGUGGGCAAAUCUGAGCCUGGUGACUUAACGAAUAUGUGCCUACUAAUAUCAAUUACGCUAUCUCAUUAAAAGAAAAAAUAUAUUUUCAUUAAUAAAUCGUAAGAUACAAAAUAAUGUCCAUAUCAAAACCUACGCAGACCCAAACUCUUAACGUGGGUCAGGAACAUAUCCCUAGCUAUCGGCUUGGUCAACGAAUCAGCCACCAUCCUAGUGGUGGAAAUAUGUCUAAGAAUGACCUCGCCUAGCCUAAUCAUCUCUCGAAUGUACUGAAAACGGAUAUCUAUUGGUCCUGCCAUGAUACUUGGGAUCUUUCACAUACUCCAGGGCAGCCAUGCUGUCAGAGAAUAUCUCAACAGGUUCACUUGCUCUAGUCACGAUGUCGAGGUGCUGGAGAAAUCUCCUCAGCCAAACAGCCUCCUGAACGGCCACUGAACAAGCAAUGUACUCCGCUUCAAUGGUUGACAAGGCAAUACAGCUCUGCUUCUUACUACACCAGGAAAUUGCCCCACCUCCAAGCAUAAACACGUAGCCUGAAUUGGACCUGCGCUCAUCUCUAUCACCACCCCAAUCAACAUCACUAUAUCCUUUCAAUCUCAAGUCCCCAUCUUGAAAACACAGAACGAGAUCACUGGUUCCUUUUAAAUAUCGAAGGAUUCUCUUAACCGCUUGCCAAUAAAUAGGUCCUGGGUUGCUCUGGUAACGACUUACCAAGCUAACAGCAAAGCAAAUGUCAGGUCGAGUACACAUCAUAGCGUACAUCAACUGCGAAUUGCACUCGCAUAAGGAACCCUACUCAUUUGCUCCUUUUCUUUAUCCAUUUUAGGGUACUGAUCAAGACUCAGAGUGUGAUUCUUUUCCACUGGAGUGUCAGUGGGUUUGCAAUGAUGCAUCCUAAAAUGCUCUAGAAUCUUUUUAAUAUAAGUUUCUUGAGACAAACCAAGAAGCUUUCUAGAGAGAUCACGGAUGACCUUCACUCCAAGCACAUAGCUCGCCUCACCUAUGUCUUUCAUUUCAAAAUUGAGAGAUAACCACUCCUUAGUGGUAUUAAUUAACUCUAUGUCAUUUCCAGCCAAUAGUAUACCGUCGACGUAUAGAGAGAGAAACAAAAUCCCAUUCUCUAUCUUCUUGACAUAUACACAGUGGUCCUCCUCUAUCAUGGACAUACCGAUAGAGGUGAUGGCUUUAUGAAACCUGAAAUACCACUGUCUUGACGACUGCUUGAGACCGUAAAUGGAUCUUUUAAGAUGACAAACUUUGUCUUUUUAAUCUUUGAGUACAAAAUCCUCAGGUUGAUCCAUAUAAAUCUCCUCCGCCAAUUCUCCAUUGAGAAAAGCUGUCUUGACAUCCAUUUGGAACAAUUCCAAAUCUAGGUGUGCCACUAAGGCUAGAAUCAAAUGAAUAGAGGCAAAUCGCACAACGGGAUCAAACGUCUCGUUGUAAUCCACCCCUUGCCUCUGAGUGUAGCCCUUAGCCACGAGCCGAGCCUUAUAUUUAUCGAUUGAUCCAUUUGCCUUGCGCUUAAUUUUUAAAACCCAUUUAUUUCCAAUAGACUUGCGCCCAGGCGGAAGGUCAAUCAAUUCCCAUACUUGGUUCUUGCUCAUGGAGUCCAUCUCAUCUUUCAUAGCAGCCAUCCACUCACUGCAAGCUGACGUCUGUAGUGCUUCUUUAUAAGAAGCAGGUUUAUCAUCAUCGAGCGGAGUGCACAUAAAAAUAUCCCCUUCGAUCUCAAAAUGUCGACGGGGAAUAUGUCCACAUUCACUUCUACGUAAUGGAGGGUCUAAAUUGCCGACUUCCAAGGGUAUGCUCUCAUUCAAGGAAGCACUCCCACUAGCCGAAGGAUCGCUACCACUUCCUUCAGCGACUUCGGGAAGUGAUCGAUCACCCUCAAUAGCAGAUGGGGUAGCGUCGUCCUGUAACUCAUACAAUCCGACGUCUCUUCGCAUUUCACCAAUGCUUGGAAAAUUCCCUUCUAGGAAUUCCACAUCACGAGACUCAAUCUCGGUCAUACCACCAUCUGGGUGUUCACCAUACAUCACAUAGCCCUUCGAAUUUUCAGGGUAUCUGAUGAACACAUGCUUGCUUGCUCUAGGAAGUUUCCCGAAUUUAUGUGAGAGGCUGUGAACAUAUCCAGCCAAACCCCAAGGGCGUAAGUAGUGUAAACUUGGCUUUCUACCACUCCACAACUCAUAUAGGGUGGUAGGCACUAAUUUGCUAGGGACUCAAUUAAGGAUGUAGGCUGCAGUCAAAAGAGCAUCUCCCCAAAAAUUUAUAGGAAGUUGCGCUUGCGCCAUCAUCGACCUAACCAUGUCUAAUAGAGUACGAUUCCUUCGCUCUGCAACACCAUUUUGUUGCGGAGUACCAAGAAUAGUGAGCUGUCUACUAAUGCCCUUUUCCUCACAAUAAGUCUUGAACUGAUCAGACAAGUACUCACGACCUCGGUCAGUGCGAAGCACCUUUACACUUCUUUCUACUUGAUUCUCAGCCUCUUCAACGAAGCGCUUGAAGCAAUCGAAAGCUUCAGAUUAGCGAGAAAGCAAAUACACAUAUCCAUAACGGGAAUAAUCAUUAAUGAAUGUGAGAAAAUAGCACGCACCAUGUCGGGCCCUCACAUUCAUUGGCCCACAAAUGUCAGAGUGGAUUAGCUUUAAAGGAUGAGAGGCAUGAGUAGCCUUACCAAAAGGCUUUCUACAUGCCUUCCCUGCCAGACAAGACUCGCACACAGAUAGGUCAACUUUGGCGAGAGACCCCAAAAGGCCUUCUCGAGCCAGUCUAUUCAUUCUUUCUUGACCUAUAUGACCCAAUCUGGCAUGCCAUUUAAUGGAUUCAUCACAGAGAAUAGAUGAAGAAGAAGAAGAAGAAGCAAAUGCAAACAAAUCAUCCUCCAAAUCUAAUUUAAAGAAAUCAUCAACUAAUGUACUAUAUCUAAAUAAAGUACCAUGAAAAGAAAUAUUAAGGCGGUCUCUGUCAAAAUGAAAUGAAUAUCCUAGAUGCAACAAAGCUAAAACUGAACAUAGAUUACAUCGAAUUCCGAGUGCAUAUAGCACGUCCUGAAGAAGUAAAGUGCGGCCACCACGCAACUUGAGUUGGUACGAACUGACUCCUAGGACUUCUUCCUUCCUGCCAUUCCCAAGGGUGACAAACUGUGUGCCAGACGGUACUCGAUGAUAAUCUACGAACCCCACUCGGUCACGAACUACGUGUUUGUUUGCUCCUGUAUCCACAAUCCAAUCAGGAAGAGAAUGAGCUACUAAAGCAUGAGAGCAAACAAAACAGUGUGAGUUGAGUUAUAGGGUUACCUUUUUCAGCUCAGGACAAUUCCGAGCGAAAUGACCCUUCUUUUUGCAAUUGUAGCAUUUUAGCUUUGUAGCAUCCUUAUUGCCAACGCGCUUGCCUCUGCGACACUUUCCAACUCCACCCUAAGGAGCUUGAUUCUAUUUUUUCUGCACUCCAUUGUUGUGAUGCUUUUUGCGCUUGGGUGCAAUCCCACUACGCUUCUCGGAGCGUGCAACAAGAGCGACAGAACGGUUCACUUCUAAGCGCUCUGUCUCGAGCUCGAGAUGGCGCGAGAUGUCAUUAAACGUUUUAAUGUUCUCGCUAUGCGUCAUCAGGAGCUUCAUCUGGGACCAUUCAGUAUCAGGGAGUGAACGAAUCACUGCUAGAACUUGUUGCUCAUCAGUGAGCUCGUUUCUGGCAGCCUUAAGGUCCCGAAUCAUGGCGCUCAUCACACGAAGGUGCUCAGCCAUUGAAUGCUUCGGGUCUUUAAUGUACUGUAGAAACUUGAGAUUUAAGGCACGUAGCCUCGUAGAUGAAGUUUGACCAAAAGUAAUUUUCAAAUUGUCCCACAUGUCCUUGAAAGUUUUAAAGAUCUCAAACUGUCCAAUGAGGUCGUCUUGCAUGGCACACAACAUAGUGUACCGAGCAGUUCGAUCCUCCUUGAUCCAUUUGUUAUAGAUCUUUUUCAUGCUCAGAAGCUGUGCCUUCGGCAGACAUAACUCUUUUGACAGAAAGGGUUUCAAGAACCCCUUGUUCAUUAAGCAGGUAUUGCAUUUUCCUAUGCUAAAUAUCAUAAUUCUUUCCAUUUAACUUAUCACCCCUGGUGAGAUCAGCUAUGAUGUUUUUAGAAGUCAUUUCACUACAUUCAAAAAAUAGGUUUGGACAUUAGGCACAUAUUCCUAAAAAAAUUAACAAGAUUGAAACAUUAUCCUCGACACAAUGGGAUCGAAAACUUCGCUAUGCUCGUAAUCAUCACCCAGUGUCGGUUCAAAAUAUUGCAAUCUUAUUAAUUUUCUAUUAAUUUUGAAACUUAUCCAAAAUAUUGAAACUCAUCCAUUUUGAAGAACAUAUCCUUUUCUUGAAAAAUAUUUAUAUAAGGAAAACUUAUCUCAUAAUAUCAUCACACAGACAAAAAUUAAGUACUUAUGUCAAAAUUUAAUUUGAAAAACGUUUACGCUGCUGCGCAAAACACAUUCCUUUACAUGGCCAUAAUUAUUACAUCACUUUUGCAUAAUUAAAACCUACUACAUCACUACAAGAUGUACAUCAGAAAAAUAAUAUUCUACAGGAAUGCUGCACACGUCGAACUCGUUUUUCCAAAAUUAAAUUUGAAAAAACACCGAAACAACACAAGUACUUAUAUGCCAAAAGAUUUUAUACAAGUAUAAUAUGCUACAUAAGCAUAAAAAAAACAUCCACAUAGGAUAGAUUAAACAAACAACACAUGCAUGUUAUAAAAAUGGCAUACAAGCAUAGAAAAAAAAAAUAUGUAUUCAAAAAAAAAAAUUAUCAUGCAGGAAAUAUAAAUAUCCACAUAGGAAAUUUUAUUUUAUUAAAAAAAAAAAUCUCUGCACUGCGAGCCGGGCCGGGCACGCAGGGUCGCUAUUCUGCGCGCAGCAGGCCAGGCCGGGCCUGCAAAAUCGCCGGCAGAACNCGCCCGCAGCACGCGGCGGGCUCGGGCCGGGCCCGCAGGCCCCCCACACUGCUGGCGGGUACCGACUCGCAAUGAGCCAGGGCCCGCGCUGUGCGGGCGGGUGAGCCCCGCUCCCGCAGCGGGCCGAGCCGCGCAGUACGGGCGAGUGCACCCCGCUCCGCAGCGGGCCAGGCCACGCGGGUGCAGGCGGGUGCGCCCCGCUCCCGCAGCAGGCCGGGCCGCGCGGUGCGGGCAGGUGCGCCCCGCUCCCGUAGCGGGCCGGGCCGCGCGGGUGCACGCGGGUGCGCCCCUGUGCCUGCAGCGGGCCAGGCUUGCGCGGUCUGGGCGAGGGAUCAGACCGCCCCCACAGCGCGGUGCACCCGGGUGCGACCCGCGCCCACAGCGGGCUGGGCCCGCACACGCAGCAGGCCGAGCCUGCGCGGUGCGCGGGGGUGCGCGCCCUAGCCCGCUCCCGCAGCAGGCCGAGCCUGCGCAGUGCGCAAGGGUGCGCGCCCGAGUCUGCAGCGGGCCGAGCCCGCGCGGUGUGCGCCACCGUCCGCAGCGGGCCGCGUUGAGCCCCAAACGGUCGCAAACAGCGAUUUUAUUAUAUAACAUGCAUUAAAAAAAAAUCACAUGUCCUGAUUAAUUUAAAGAAAAAAUUAAAACUAAUUUAAUUUUUCUUUUCCAUAUAUAUUUUUUUUUAACCGAUUUCACUUAGAAACUGAAAAAAUUGUAGAACCAAUGUACAUAAAAAAUUGAUCGAUAAACAUGCGAUCCAAAACAAAUAUGCAUCACAGACAUGAUCAUAAGGCGAAAACAAGCACACAUUCUCUGAUACCAACUGUUGGAAAUAAUAGGGCAACGGAAACUUACAAACCGGAUAGUCAACGUAUCCGGGAGCCUGAAUCGAAUCGGAUUGCUUGUUUUACAAGCCUUCUUGGAUCGUCCUUGUCUCGAUGCUUCUGGAUCUCCCAUGUUUCUAGCCUUCUCCCACGCGUACGCCUUACGCCACGGAUCGGAUGCAGAUCUGAUGCGACGGAUGCCAAUCGAAGAGGGUUACCAGAGUCCUCUUCUAUGUCCACACUCCAAAAUCCCGGGAACGUAGGUGGAAAUCCCAGAGAGGAAGAAGAGAGAGAUUAAGGAAGAUAUUUCGUGGGUUCUUACGAAUUUGAUCGUAUGCGAUCGUCUCUUUUUCCAGAGGGAAAAGGGGGAGUAUAUAUAGAAUAACGAAACCCCUAAAUAUCCUGAAUCUCAUAUAUAUUAGGAUAAGGAUCAGGAUAUUUAUUAACAUAUAAUAGAUAUCCACUAGUAGAUACGUUUCUUAACUAAUAAGAAACAUAUGAUUAUUCUUAUCCUAAAUUUAUUAGGAUAAAUUCCAAUCCACAUCUUAAGUGGAUCAGGUUAAAUUAAAACCCGCCAAUGUGGACACACCACAUGGCUACAAUGGAAUCAAUGAAUUCCGUUCUGAUUCCAUUGUCUAAAAUAGGUGAACUAAACAUGUCCUUAGUUCUUCCUUGAAAAAAAUACAACCACUUUCUCUCAUAAUUAUUUUAGAUCUGCAACUUUCCUAUGUACAAAUUGAGAUCCUCAACUUACAAUUUGAAUCAAUAAAAUAGCAUCUUUUAUUUCUAGUAGAAAAUUUUUUAGAAACAAAAUAUUUCUAAUAUCGGAUCUGACCAAAAUAUGAAGAACACAUGAAUAAAAAGAAAAGGAGAACCAAACCCAAUUAGAAUUUUCAAAGAUUGAACCAAUCAGCCAUGGGAAACCAAAAAUUUUGGAGCAUUAUGUUCAUUUAAAGAAGGUUUGGAUAGUAAAAAUGAAAGCUAAAAAAAAAAAGGAGAUCCAAUGUCAAUACCAUCGCCAAAAGCCAGCCAACGUCUCUAGCGGCUACGGCGAGAUAAGAUGAUGACAUUUAUUGCGUUGGGGUGAGAAGCGAAGGAGGCGCCAUAGCUUUGGUGACCAACAACAAAUCAAACGGCAAGUUUGAUGAGAUUCGGAUCCAACCUAUGAAACGGAAAGAGGAGAGGGAUGAUGCGGCGGAAAGGGGAGAGGUAAUGCCGUAUCGAAACGUUGAGGGAAGAGGGAACGCGCGGUGGAGAGGAGAGAAAGAGAACAUGCUGCCGAGAGAGGAGAGGUUUACGAUCCGUACAAAAACACAGAGAUGAGAGAGAUUCACAGGAAAAAUGACAGUCCGGUUCAGAAGCAUGGUUCGGUUCAGAGAAUUGUACAAACAAUACGGAGAGGAGAGAGCAGCAGUUCGGUUCGGGGACGGUUCAAAAAGGGACAAGUGAGAGAGAGGAGAGAAGUGGUCCGGUUCAGGAAAAAAACGCGGUUAGGAUUAGAUAAGCUGUUUGGUUCAAAAGAGGGGCAAGUGAGGGUGAAGGAUAGGCUGCCACAUGGCAAAAUUAAGAGAAAUAAUAAUCAGGAAUAGAUAGAUGUGAGCUUUUAGAUGGUUAAAAAAUAUUUAAUUUAAUUCAGAAAUUAUCAACUCUAAUUAAAAAAUGAAUAAAGCUACAUUUAAACUCUAAAAGGAUCAAAUGUAGUCUCUUUGACUAUAGAUGGCUUCAAAUCAUGAAACUCAAUUCCUUAAAAUUUGCCCUCCUGGAGUUUUUUCCAAAUUUGAGAGAUUUCUAAACAAAAUCUAAGUGUAAAGAUUUAGUCCAAAUUUCAUAUUAUUUUUAAUCAUCAAAACUUAUAGAUGAGAGGGCCACUAGGCCAACAUUUGGCUCGUUAAUAAAUAAGCCAAACACGAAUUGAAUUUUUGAGCUUGAUAUUUUAAAGAGUUAGCUCGUGCUCUGCUCGAGUUGAACACGAGCUUAUUCCAACUCUUACGUAUGUUCGGCUCGUUGCUAACCCAGUUGAACGUACACAAGAAGACUCAUUUGCAAUAGUUGCAACUGCGCCAAAUUGGGCUGCAGUUUCUAUUAUAGUAAUCAAAAGGAGUAAUCUUUGAUGGAAUGUAAAUUUGACUCCCAUAUCACCUUGAUAUAUAAUAUAUAGGGUUAAUUGCAUACACUUUCCUAUAAAUAUAACGAAUUGCAAAUAUAUUCCUGCAAAGUUUAACUUUUUUAUGUUAUCCCGGCAAUCUUAAUAUUUUCGAAUAUGUCCCUACUAAUACUUAACCAUGAUUAGUCAAUGAGGUAAAUUGACAUUUUUACUCAAUCAAAUUCUAACAAUGAGACUUUUCUUCUUCUCCCUCUUCCUCUAUCUCCUUCCUGCUAGUUUCAAACCCGUAACUAAAAUUUUUUUGUCCCCAUUCAUCCACAACGCGAGUUAAGUUGUCCAUAUCGAACGUGUGUUGCUUCUCCAUUCAAUCUCCUCUAUAAUUCUUUUUCUUAUUUUGCUCAAAAGAAAGGGUUUAAGAAAAAAGGAGUAAGAGAAGAGGUUGCAAUAAUGAAGGAUUGGGUUGAAUUUUAAAGAGAAAGAAAAUGAUCAUUGAAAAUGUUUGGGAGGAUAUUUCUGCACAAUUAUAGCAAUUGGGUCUCAACCAGAGUGACAAAUAUGAAUAUCACUGGACUUUGUAGGAACAGUAUAAAAAAGUUAAACUUUGUAGAGAUAUAUUUGCAAUCGCUUUAUUUACAGAAAACUGUAUGCAAUUAACCCUAAUAUAUAUAUUUGUAUAGAAAAUUGGGAUAUUGUUACUACUGUACAUAUAAAAUAUAAAAGCAGUAAAUAAAUGUUUUAGUUACAUGUAACCAACCAAAUUAUUUAUAUUUGAAAUGCUUUUUAUUAUAUCUAAUCAAAACAAAAUGCAUAUUGUUAUUGCUGUUAUAUUUUUAACUACUUAUAUUUUUUUACUAUAUUGUAUUUAUAAUUAUAUUCAACUACAUAUAUUUUUUUAACUACAUUGUAUUUAUAAUUAUAUUCAACCAAGUGGCUUCUUAGCUAGAUAUAUUUAAUUAUAGAACUAAUGUGGAGGAUCAUGCACAUUGUAACUAUCAUAGGGCCCACAAGUUAUGUAAUUUUCUUAUUGAUAGCUUGCUCAAAUAAUAUAAAAAUCCACCCAAAAUUAAGGAUAAAUUACAAGUAUAUUUUAAUAAAUUUCACAUUAUUUCUCCUUCGCUCACAUCCACAUCAUUCUAAGGAAAAAGUAUUGUAAAGUCAAAAAAAAAAAAAAAAAAAAUCAAUUGUUGCUUUCCAUUUCCUCAGUUAACCAAAUAGUUCAAACCCCCUUUUUUUUUUUAAUUAAAAUAAUGUGAUCGGAUUGACAUAUAAUUAGAAUGAGAAUAAAAAAUAAAAUUCAAUUGCAUUGAAAUGAAAAUAUAGAACGGGGAAUCAUCUAAAAGUGUUUGAUUCAUUAUUAAAAUGGAAAUUCGAACAGAUGCUUUGAAUUUUAAGAGAGGAUUUCAGAUAAGAGAGAGGAGUAAGAUGAAAGGAUAGGAGGAGGGGGUGUUUGUGAGAAAGGAUUUUAAGUAGUUUAUUUUUGAAUAGACAAAUUCAGAAUUCAAAGUCGGAUUAUCUUGGCUUAAAGAAGUCAGCAUAUUGGGCCGAGUCACGUUCAAAAUAGCAUGAGGCCGGAUCAAAUCGAGUCAUAAUUAAAAUGGUGUGAGGUAGGUUGGUCUGAGUCACAAAUCGAAAUCCAUGGUGCUGUCUCUAUGCGCUUUAAGUGAAUUAGUUGUAUCUUUUGAACAGCUCGAUCUUUUAGGAUUAAUGGCUAGCACCAACAAUCCAACAGAUUAGAUCAUAAAUGAAUUAACCUAUUUUCAUUCUAGAGUGGAACGUAAAUCUGAAUCCGUUUUCUAUAAAACAAGCAACUAUUAUCACAAUCGGUGAAACUCAUUCUAAUUUCAAAGUCUAAAGUAGAUGAAUCGAACAAGCCCAAGCCCUUAACGACAACCUCACCCACAAGCUCAUCAUUUAAAUAAAAAAAAUAUUGAAAUAAAAAAAUUACACCGUAAGGAAUCUUAUUAUGUUUUGUGCGAAAACACAAUACUUGCACACGUAGCUUCCAAACGCACGCAACAGAAUAAAAUUAUUUUUAGUUGCAAUGCUCUUCAGUAGAUACUAGCCGAAUGUACGUACAAUGGGCCCCUAUCCAAUCAUUUACAUACUAACAAAAGAACAUUCAACAACUAUCAUUUUAUAAUGACCAUUAUUAUACCCUUACAUGAUGCUAAACCCUAACACCCAAACCCUUUAAACUGGGGCAACACAUAUUGCAUGGGAGUUCACACAUAAGUAGCUCAUAGUUCUAUGUUUUUGGCUAAAUUAUGAAAGGCUUUUUUAUACUUUAGUUUUGGCCUGAAUUACUCAUGGCAUUGAAAAUUAUAGUAAUUACCAUUCUAUAUAUAGUUUGUCAUCAUCUCAAAUAGAUUUAAAAAUUUAAAAAAAAUCGAUAAAAUUGACAGUAAAACUUCACUGAAAGAAAUUGGCAUAGUCUAUUGUUCUAGAUCUAAUAUCUAAUUUGCAACUCAAAAAAAAAAAAAUAAAAUAAAAUAAAGAAGAUCUCUUAUUUUACUAUCGAAAUUGAAAGUUUGUGAAUUUAGUUUUUAUGCUUCUGUUGCAUUACUUAUAUAUAACUUUAUCUGUAAAUUUAUUUUUACAAAGUUUUAUAGCUGAAGUAGUUAGAUGUAUUUUAUUUUAGAUAAUGAGGAAAUGUAGGGGAUAAUUGAUGCAAUUUUUUAAAUUAAUGAAGAGAAAGAGGAAACUUGGAUAAAUUUGUAUAGUUUUAAUUAAUAGCCAUUUGAAAGAGAUAACAAUCAAUUUUCAACGGUCAAUUGAAGAGAAAAUUUAAAUUUACGAGGCUACAAAUAUGCAUAAUAAUAAAGAGGACCCAUUUUUUCGUUAUUACUACGCAAUUAAUCAUACCCCAAAAAAAACAAAAAAAAAAAAAAGAAAGAAAAAAAACAAAAAUAGAGAAAAAAAAAUCACUCUGCUUAUAGAAAUUAUACCAAGCAUUAACUUGUAACAUUCAAUAAACUCUGAUUCUUGCUAUAAAGAUACUAUUUUUAUUCUAAUUUGAAUACAAAAUUAUUCCCGGAAAAAUAAAAAAAAAAAAAAGAAAAACUCGCUCCUCCCAAAAUUCUCACACAAAAUUUUCUAAAUUCUAUAUAUGGACUCCAAAUUCACCAAUUUCACUUAUUCUUACGCAUAUUCGCAUUUUCACUAGUUGAAAAUGCUGCAGCUACAAACAUUACAUAAAAUUUAUACGAUCAGCGGCGAAUGUCAACCGUCGCCCAGCUUUAAAUUUCGUGCCAUUAAAGUGUAUACGCAUUUGUCGCAAAUUGCACACAAAGUCCUUGAACUUUGGACCAACUCUUCUUAUAUUGUUCCGAAUAAAAGUUUCGAAUUACAAAAUUUUGAAAAUAUCUUUAUUUUUAUUAUUCAUAUUUGUUCGACACGCCCGUAUGUAAUAUCCGUGCAUCAUAUGCAAUCUCAUAUUUACUUCAAUCUAUUACGAGGGUGGAUUGAAAAUAUAAGAUGAAUAGAAAUUUCAUAACUAUAAUAAUAAUAAUAAAAUAUAACUAUCUAAAUUCUAAUAUAUAUAUAUAUAUAUAUAUAUAUAAUUUUUUUUUUAUUAUUUUUUUUUUUUUCUCCAUCUGAUUUUUUAAUUUUUUAAUUUUGCAUUUGGGGAUAUGAAUGAAAAGUGCAAACUCACGCCCGGCGCCCACCGUAAGCCGCCGUCCCCGCGUCACGCCGUGGUGAGGCAGGCGGGCCCCCCCCACCAGGCUCGGAUCCCGUCGCGCCCGCGCGCCUCUUCUUGGCUCUCGUCGCCGCCGCCCCCACCCCACCUCCCCUCCUCAGCCUCCGCCUCCGCCUCGGGAUCCGUGGCGGCGUCGUCAUCCGCUCGGGAUCCGCGUCGUCGUCGGCGACGAGGUCAAUAUGAGCGUCCGUCGGCGGCGGGAGGCGCGGAGGAUGUCGGGGGGCCGUUCGAUCCGACCUCCGUGAUCACGACCCUCCCUCCCCCCUCGUCGCCCGCAGGAACCUCCUCCUCCCCCGCCACCACGUAUCGGCGGCGGAAACCCUAACCCUAACCGAUCCCCUCCCCCCUCUCCUCCCCCUCGUCUCCGACCCCUCCUCCUCCUCCUCCUCCCCCGCCGCGCCGCCUCCGCCUCUGCCAUUACCUCCCCCCGUCGCAGCUCUCCGAUCCGAGGCUCUCCGUGCACAGCCGCAGAUCCCCCGAUCCAGCUCUCGAGCAGUCCCCUCGCCCCGCGUCACCCUCUCCUCCGCCGCCGCCGAGGGCUCCACACGGGCCUCGCCGCGCGCGGCGGAGGAGGAGGGGGACGGCGGAGGGAUCCGCCGCGCGCGGCGGCGGCGGGGCGGCGGAGGCGAAGGAAGGCGAGGCCGCUCCGCGUCUUCGGGGCGGGAGGCUGCGGCACCGUGCCGGCGCGGCGAAGGCGAAGGCGGAGGCGGCGGCGGAGGGUGAGCCGCCGCGCGAAGGAGCUCCGGCGAUCGGCGGGGUGAAACCCUAGGAGCAAGGUAUGGACGCUCCUGCAUAUACUCAGCAUAGCAUUUGAUCCCCACACCCCUUUUGCCUCUUUUCCAAUUAUUUCUUUUUCCAAUUUUAUUUUAUUUUUUACUAUAAUAAUAAUAUUUAUAUAUUUUUUGUGGAAAUGAGAAACCGUUGCCGUGUGAUGUGUGCGAGUGUGAGAGCGGAGGUGGAAGGAGACGCGGUCGUAUAUAUAAAGAGGGGAGAGCGAGCGCACGGAAACGGUAAUAAUUGCCAAAUCAUCUCGUAGACCGGGUCUAUAGACCGGUACGGUCGAGUUUCAAUACUCAGCUCCAUUUAGAGUGCCGGUCUAGGGAUGACGUGAUACACCAGGUCUAGGGCGUUUCGUGCACAUUCUGCGGAAUAUUUGGCGAAAAUGUACGACGACACCCUCAAGUUUUGACCGGUCCGAAAUGGCUCCCUCGGCGUUAUAUUUUUUAUUUUUAUUAUUAAAGUUUAAUUGAUCAAACUUUGUACAUGAAAAUAUUAUUGGAUGUGAUUUGAAUUAAUUUGCCAAAAUAUGUAACGGUUUUAAUAUAUAUAUAUAUAUAUAUAUAUAAACAAAUUUGAUUAUUGUAGAUUGGAUUUGACAUAGAUUUUUAUAGUUUCACACAUGUAUUAAAAAAAAAAAACCAACUGUUCAUGAGAAUUACCCCUUUUAGUUUCAUUGCAAGUAAUAAAAAUAAGGUGGAAUAGGAAAAAUAAAUUGAUAAUGAAAUUCAAUCAAGUUCUAUUUAUUUAAAAUAAAAGAAUUUAUGACAAAAAAAUUAAUUCAUUUGAACUCAAGAAAUUGCAAAUUUAUUCAUUUUACUUGGAAUUGUUCAUGCUUCUAAUUAUUUCUCAAAAGUUGUAUUGUUAGCAAUUCUUCUAUGAAAUAAUAAUUUUACAUUUAAAAUAAUCUAAUAAAAUUAAUUAUCAUUGUUAUAUCUUUAUUUAAAUUGUGGUAUUAUUCUGCAUAAAUUAUGAAUUUAUAGAUCCUAAAAAAGUUUUAAAAAAUUUUUUCUUACAAAGAUAUAAUGGUUCUCACAAGGAAAACGUAGUCAGUUAAUUAAGGGAAGUCAACAUGUAUGGAAAAAAAAAAUAAUAUAUUUUAAAAUUUUGAAGAGAUAAAUUUUAUAACUAAAACAUUUCAGGACAACUUUGGUUAAUUUUAAAAUUUUAAAAUUUUGUAGGAGUACAUAAGAAAUUGUUUGUGGGUAAAAAAUACUUUUGGUCCUCAAAACAUAAAAUGCGCGGCAAGUCUCACAAUUUAAUUUAAUUAAAUAUUGACAUAUUACUUAUGUAAAAAUUAUAUAAUAUAUCUUAUUUAUCAUAGCAAUCACAAUACUACUAUAUAUUACUUUUAUAUUAGUGACAUAUCUGUUGGAAUCGGUAUUUAUGCUGAUACCGUUUGUUGGAAGCGUGAUUUUCUCUGAUAUCAAUUAUUGAAACUAGGAUCUAAAAUAAAACAAAAUAAUAUGAAAAAGAGAUAUUAGAGGAGGAAAAAGAAAACUAAGCUAAUAAUUUGUUAAUAAAAAAAAUUUAAUUACACACUAGGCGACAACCCUCGGCCUUCUAUAUCUAUUUUGGCUUAUUUCUCUAAUUAACUCAUACCUAACUACAUAUAGCUAUCAAGUUAUAACAAAUGAUAAAUUCAAUUUUUAUUUUGAAUAAUUACAAAUGCUAAUCAUAAUCAAAUAAAAGGCUUAAACUUAUCUCUAAAUUAUAUUUUAAUUAAGUUUGAAUUAUUAUUCUAACAAUAUUAGUAUCUACUUAUGAUAAUUCAAAAAAUUUGAAUCAAAAAAUUAGAAAUAAAUUAAAUUUUAGGACAAAAUGUCGCCCGCAAAUAAUUUGGGGGACCACAAAAGCAGUUUAUCCAUUAUUUUAUUAUUAUUAUUAUUAAUUAUUAUUUAUUUAAAAAAAUGAGAACUAGAGCAUUGGGAACAGCGAAGAAGAUUAUAACCCUUCUCUUCUCCGAGAAGGCCAAAAAUAGAAGGUGAGGUGUCUCGAGAUGGGGCUCCCCCUCGUGAUGACGUGGCGCGCGGGGGAGUCGUUAAUUGUGCUGUCGCUUUCAGAAAAGUAUGGGACUGCAGAUGACGUGGCACUCGUCGCAUAGAAAAAUUCUUAAAAUGCAAUAAAUAUAUUUGUCACGUGUCAUAACAAAUCAAUCAAAUAAUUCCUUUUAGAGAUAUAUAUCCUAUUAUGUUAUAAAAAAAUAUUUUUAUUGUACUUUUAUUUCAAAAAAAAAAAAUGAUUAACUUAUUAUUGAUGAUAUAGUACAAGUGUAAUAGUAUAGAAUUCUUCCGUCGCAUAGGUUACUCAAAUUCAUCUGUUUCAUUAUUUUUUAAAAAAUAUAUUUUUAAUCUGUUUCGUUAAAAAAAAAAAAAAGAUUGACGGGUUUUUCGUCCUAAUCAGCUCUUACUAUCUUCAUUGGCCAUUUGAUUUUACAUAAUUAGAAAUAUAAAAUAGUUAUAAAUGUACAUAAUUCAUAGCUAGUUAAUUCGGAUUCGAUAAAAAUUGGAUAAGAAUAUAAUACGCAUAAAAUUUAUUUUUUAAUUUUUUAAUUUUUUAAAAAAUUUAGCUUCAAAAAUAGAUUUGAUAUAAAAUAUAAAAUAUAAAACAAUCUAUAUUUUAACAUAAAAAUUAUAAAUUUUUUCUUCAGAUUUUCAAUAAUUCGGGAAUAAUUCGCGAAUUAUUCAGCUGGCCCAAAAAUUCGUGAAUAAUUUUCUUUUUUUUCAAAUUCGUAAACGGACCGUUUAAUUCGAAUUUUCAAUAAUUUGCGAAUUAACUAACAAAGAUAUAAUUAGAGUAUAAUAAUUAUAUAUAUAAAUAGGAUUACUUAGAUGUAGGGAUGUGUGGUUAGGAUGAUAGUGGUCCCCUAAGAUUGAAUCGGUGAUUGACUGAAUAGUAUGAUCUGAUAAAAAUAGUUAAAGGGCUAUAUCUAACGGCGGAAAACUAAAUAGUACUAAGCGUUUGUGUAGUGUUCUAGAGCUUUGGAUAGAAUUGGCUUCAGUGUUAAUGACUGGUCGACACAUUUGGAGAGUGUCGGACUGAGUCGGAGUCAUUUCUGAGCGAAAUGGGUGCAAAAAAUGGACUCGACGCACUCAAAUAAGCAAAACUGGAGUUUUGCCAGUUUAGGGCGCCCAGAACUUGGUUUGGAGCGGCCAGAUUUUGAGUGCUGGUUUGAGCAAAAUUGGAAGACAAUUCAGAUCCUGUUCCGGGCGCCCAGAAGUGGGUCCAGAAGUUUACUUUGGAAAUAUCGCUGACGUUGACAUGUGUUUGUGGUAGGUGAGGUCCGCCGGACCAGGAUAAGGGUGCAGCACACCGCGGGCAAAGGAACCGAAGAGGGCUGUUUGUGCAGGCUAGAAGUUCUGGGCGCCCAGAACUUGGUUUAGGGCACCCAGAACUUGGUUUUUCUGCAGCAGUGUAACUUUGUAUCCAAUGUUCCUGAGGCUUAUCUGACCAUUUGAUCACCCUAUAAAUAGGUGAGAGACGCCCCCGGUAAGCUCUUUUCCUCUCUUUCUCACAGGGAAGCUUACAAUUGCAUUCCAACCCCUCCAAAACACUCAAAUUGCAUCGAAAAUCCACAAAUUCAGCUUGAGAAGUGCUGAUUCUGCAGUUUUCCAGCGACGACCUUCAGUGUUUUAGCUCGUGUGCGACAUAGGAAGGUCGGCUUGCGGUGAAACUUGGUUUACUGGAUUUUAGACUUCCAGAGGAAUCCACGAAACCCAGAAUUGCAGAUUUUGGUUGAGUUUAGCUUGGUCGAUUCUUUAUUUUUCUGGACAGCUGGUGACUUUGAGAUGAAAAUCUGAUUUUUGAGUUUUCUUUGAUGCUAUCUUUGGAGGCAGGGGGAUUUUGGACCUGAGCUUGAUAUCUCAAUAUACUCCAUUGGAUUUGAGACCCUCCUCACCAGAUUUGGAUGUAAUUAGUGAGUUUUGACAUUGGAGUUGGGUUAAUUAAGCUUAAGUGCUGAAAUUGUAGUUGUAUUGAUGGAUUUUGAUCUUGUUAAGGUUUGGAGUUUGGUGAACUCUUAUUGCUGGAUUUGGAGGAACUUCGGUUGAUCCAGCAGGGAUUCUUAGUGGUUCGAGACCUCCUUGCUGCCAGGAAUUGCUUUUGAGGUAGGUGUUUCAUCGGUUUUGCUCCUAAGUGCUUGUAGUCGAUAUGUAUGAUUUCGGUUAUUGUAUAUCAUAUUAUAACUCAAAUUCGUUGAUUGUAACACGUAUGAAACUGAAUUGGGAGCAUGAUUAUUAAUUAGAUGAAUAUACAUGUUAGACUUGGAACUUGACUUAGGAGAAAACCAGCCAUUCGGCCUGUCAUAUGAUUCUACUAUCUGAUUUUAGCUUUAGGAGCCGUGGUUUGAUUGUAUCACUGCUGUAUCAGCGCGGUGGAUACCCGGGGUAGUUUAGAAUGCAUUUACGCUCGUGCUGGGAUGCCGAGCUUAUUUUUACAGCAGAGUCUAGGCUGUUUCAGGUUGUUGGGUGCCGUCGGGGUAGACGGUAGACCUAGAUUUCUGUUUUUGGUCUCUGAUUGUGCCGAGGGCACGUGGGUUUGGUUUCUAGACUUGUUUUGACCCUAGCUCUUGACUUUGGCUUGUUAGAGCCUGAUUGAGCUCGAUAGAGAUACGCUGCAUAUUCAGUUGGAUAGCUCACACGAGUGCCACUCCGAAAACGGGCGCUGUGCUUUGCGUUGGUGUCGUUCGUGCAGGUUGGACUUGCUCUCCACGGACUGGUUUGUGUGGAGGUAGCUGUAUAGUCGCAACCGGGCGGGACGGGUGUGUUCACAGUCCUAGGGACGGGUAUGAUGCAAUAUACCGAACUUCUAAUUCAUGAAGUUACGAUGUAUGUUAGCUUAGAAAGCCAUUGGAAUCAUUCCAGCGAAGUUCGGGAGCAUUCGGGUGCUUCGGUGCGCAUAGGGCGCGAAAACGGGACCCGAAAGGCUAUGUUGGACCAUGGACUAAAUCCGGUAUUAGCGUGGAUGAAAAGAUGAUGAAAACAUGCUUGAAAAUACGUUUGGAGAGUCUCGAUUCGAUUUGAAAUGAAUCGGAUGUCAAACGAGCGAAAACGAGUGAAAACGGAGCGAAAACGGUGAAAAAGUUGAUAAUUUGGCUAAGUCCUUGAAGACUGAUUUCUGGACCUUCGGGGACCGGUCUCUCAGUCAAAGGACCGGUCUCUCAGGGACCGGUCUCUCAUCGCAAGGACCGGUCCCCGAACCCCGAAAAUGCCGAGUUCGAGCUGUUGCGAGAGAAGCAUUGUUGAGGGACUUAUUGGCAUUUUGUGCAUGGGUUAUGAGUAAAGAGAGGAUUAGAACCUCUCUCUCUCCCUCUCCCUCACCGUAUCACACCAAAGCCUCCUCUCUAUCUCUCUAGAAAGGCGGUGCCCAAUGUUCCCUGACACAUUGAAAUGAUUAAUUCUCAACCUUCGGAGUCGAGUACAAAACAUUUAAGAUUAUGACUCAAAUCGGGCAAAAGUUAUACAAGGUGCGUCUAUUCUCAUCACUCGCGUUUCAUAUUGUCGUACGCCCACAUGAAACACUCAGUUGAGAAUAAACCACAACUUGAAUCUACCUCUAAUCUCCUUUUUAGAGGUUUACAAAUAACCCAAUCCAUUAUCUUUUCGCCACAAGUCACAAGUCCUCGUCUCUCACGACCUUAAUCUCCUAUGGUUUACUAUCCUAGGGUCUCCUAGGUCAAGCUAAACAUUUUCUUUAAACUCUUUAUGUCCUUUUUAUGCUUCUCUAUAUUCUCUUUAUGUUCUUUUUAUCUCUGAUAACCAUCUUAUCUGUCACGCCCCGAACCGACUCUUUGGUCGGAUUCGGGCACGCCAACAGACCGCCGAACGGACAGGGUUUCCCCUGUACGCGGACAGAGUCUCCCUGUACGUUCAAGGCGUCGCAAUCAAUACAAUGUACGAAGUUCCAAACAAGAACACAUUUCAACCAAAGAUUGCAUAAGGAAGUAUCAAAACGUAAAUCUACUUGCUAUUACAAGCAUUCAUCUCACAUAUUACAUUUUUACAUUCUUAGAUUUCAUCACAUUUGAUUCCUUGAAUUCUUACUUCCAAAUACAAUCAAAUUAUUAUACAAAUUAUUACACAGUUGAUACAUCUUGUUCUUUCAUUUUCCAUAUCCUAAGUAGCCGACUCAGGGUGUUGGCUAUCUGGUCUCUGUGGUAGGGCGCUAACUACGGAGCUAACGCCCUUCCUCGCGCCGCGCGCGCUCGGUGUGAACUAUAACACCCCGAAACAACGUGGGGUGAGAAACUAACUCCAUAGUCCCAGUGGGUACGGCCACCAAUGGAAGAGCUCAGAACCAUCAGUCCAACAGGAGGCAAACAACAUGUUAGUCCAAUAGAUAGAUAUGAAAUCAUAAAUCAUGCAACUAACAUUACAUGCUUUUUCCUCACAACAUGCAUCAUGUACAUUAUGAAUUCAUAUAGUGGAUUAAUUGCUUCAUACACUUAUUCUUACCAUUCUUUACUUUUACUCAUAUUUUAGCUUUAUAGACUAAGUCUAUUAUUUAGCAUUAACCUGUUCUAUUCUUUAUACUGUCUUUCGUUUAGCAUUAACCUUCCUUAUUCUUGAUUCUUUAUUCUUUAUUCUUUACGCUUUACUAAGGGUACUCACACCUUAGUAAUAUUUCUUUCUUUGCUAAGGUUACUUUAUUUAGCCAACUUUGCCAUCCGACUCGGUCUUGAGCCAAUCAACUGCAGAUAGUCCGGCGCUCUGUCCGGCUUGAGGUGAAGGAACUCUCACAUACACCUCAGCCUUCAUCACAAACCACAUCGCCAACGGGUCGCCAGAGCUGCGUCACCGGAGUGGUCAGGGACCCCCGGUGGAGAGGAACAGCAUACACCCGCAGCCCGAGAUCCUCGUACGGGAGAGGAACAUGCCACAUGCACCCUAGCGCUCACGCGUUGCUCAUUAAAAGCCUCUGAAGUUUUCCGGUGGGAGAAGGAACAUGCCACAUGCACCCGCGGCCAGAACUAUCGAGCUUGUAUGUUGCACUAGCAGCCGCGCACUAGCAGCAGGGAUUCCGGAAUCUACUUCACAUUACUCGAGGGUUGGUCUCACCCUAUGUUAUCGACCUAUCUCAGGUCCAAGCCUUUUACUCACCUAAGUUAAUACAUUAGGUUCAAUGUCAUUACUCUCAUAAGUCUAGGUUCAUUGACACUAGGGUCCAAUUUCUUUAUCACCUAGGUUCAUUCGACUCUAGGUCCAUAUCAUUACGUUCACCAACCUAGGUUUAUUUGACUCUAGGUUCAAUACCACUCAUGUUCUUGUUUUCCUAGUGGUCCAUACUUAGAAAUCAUACUUGACAUGCCAGUCUUGAAUAACCUAUGUUCAAUGACACUAGUUCAAUGCACUCGUCAUCCUAGUUAUUUAUACUUAGGAUCUUUACAUAUGACAGCUUGUCGAGUUCUUUACUUUACUUAGAGUUCAUUGACCAAGUUCAACCUUCAUAUCCAUUCUAACAAUUCUUCAUUAUGAAAUCAUGCAUUUUAUACCAUCAGUCAGAUAACAUACAUCUUAUAAUGUCUUUAACAUUUAACUCAUGCUUCAUCUAUAGCAUUUCUAUAAUAUGUCAACAUGCAUUCUUACUUAGCAAUUCUCAUCAUGCAUUCUUACUUAGGCAAUUCUUAUCAUGCAUUCUUAUUUAGCAUCAUUAUAUUAUGUCUAAUACACAUUCUUUUAGCAUUUCAUCAUGCAUCAUUUCUAAAACAUGCAUCUAGCUCAUGUUACUUAGCAUUUAACUGAUGAUCUACAUAUGUCUUAGAUAUUCAUUAGCAUUUAGCUCUUGCAUUCAUUACAUACUUCACAUGCACUUAGCAUCUUUAUCAUGGGAUUAUAUACAUUUAUUAGCAUCAUUAUGGUGCAUUCUUACUUAAGCAUUCUUAUCAUGCAUCAAUAGUGGAACACACACACUUUGGCAUGAAGGCGACCCAGUCGUUUCGGUAAACACAACCCACCUCUUAACGCGUUCCGAUUGCUUGUCGUCACUUACAAUCGGCCCCCCGCAGCCCUGAUCCGGUUGCCCGAACUCUCGCGCGACCACUGACGGCCACCAAUCCGCGAUCCGUCUUGUUCGGGAGUUUAUUCCCCGACACCACGAUGCUCCCGAUCCAUUUUCAUGAUUUUUGGAGGCUUAUCCCGCGUGCGCGGAUCUGUACCAAAACAGACUGUUUCGUAAAUAACUUCGCGUACACUCGUCGGAUGUCGAACGAGCGCACCAAUGCGUUCGUUAUACCCCCAAUUAGGUUUAUAUAGGCGUCAAUUGAGAUCAAACUCAACUAUUUACAAAAACUCCUUUUUGGAGCCCUAGAUGCUACUCUAGCAAAUCCUCCAUUUCGUCUCAUGACAUCAAGCAUGGUUCAUCUAUUUAGCAUGAUAGGAUUCCAUUAAAAUCAUCUUUAGAGUAUAAGAACUUAACCCUAAAGAUCUUACCAUUAAAGCUUCAAGAAGCUUACCUCUCUAGGUUUGCUCCAAGGUGAAAGAAAAAAUGAAGAGAUAUGUGAGGGAAGCUCUCCACUUGCUUCACCUUCUUUUUCCCUUUCUUCUUCUUCUUCUUCUCUUCCUNNNNNNNNNNNNNNNNNNNNNNNNNNNNNNNNNNNNNNNNNNNNNNNNNNNNNNNNNNNNNNNNNNNNNNNNNNNNNNNNNNNNNNNNNNNNNNNNNNNNUUAAGCUAAUCAAUCAUAGGUGAGGAAAACUCACCUCUAGUGCAAAAAUCUCCUCUAAAGCUCCAAAAUGAAGCUAGGGCUCAUCCAAUCCAACCUAAUGGAAGCCUCUAAUCCACUCAAUCUAGCUUCAAAAGCCCUAGAAUCAAAAUGCCCAAAAAUAAGCCCUAAAUCUCCAAUUUAGGGUUUCAUCACAAAAAUCUCAAUAAAACUCUAAUCUAGAGGAAGAGAACAAGUGGAUUACCUCUUAGAAGCUUCAAUCCAAGCUCCAAACUAUCCAAGUCCCAAGAUCUUCCCUUUACCAAGCUCCAAAACCAAGCUCCAAUGGUGGAAAAGCUUCCAACAAGCAAAAAGGAGCAAAAAAAUGAAGGUUUAAUCUCUUAAAACCCCAACCAAAAUCAAAGAAAUCACAAAGGAAGGUGUGGAGGGCUUCCUCACCUUUCUCCCUGCAGGUUCCAAGCUCAGGAGAUGCCCUAGGGGCGUGGGGUUACUAAUAGAAGGCUACAAACGCGCAAAACCCCCUGCAGUUUCAUUCUGCACGAAAUCUGCCUCCUUGUACCGGUACACAGGUUCUUGUACCGGUACAAGGUCGACGAAAUUGCAAACCCGAGGCUCGGGUCGCGCGGUCUGCGGCUCUGUACCGGUACAAGCCCGAUGGCUGUACCGGUACAACCAUCAACCCUUGUACCGGUACAAGGCCAGUCUGUUCCGGUACAAGCCCUACUGCAAGCUACCCGAGAGCUGUCCAAAAAUUUCGAUUUUGGAAUUUUGGUGCCAAGUCUCACUCCAACAUCCUCGGGAUGCGUGCCAGGGGUCGGAACACUAUCAACGACCCUCCAAAAACUGUGGGAAUGCCCCAAACACAGAUCAAACACUCGAAUCUAGCAUGUUUGUUGCACAUAAAUAAUCAUACAGGAUUAUCACUAUAUUCAUGUACAUAUUCUAUUAAUAAGCAACUUACAUAACUCACGCUUUNACACUCGAAUCUUGCGAUUUGCUAAGAUCCAGUGUAUUACAGGAGAUCGGCGGAGUCAGCGGCCGAACCCACUGGGAACUAUUCGUAGUUCUCACUCCACCAUGUUACAGGUCCGAGCUCGAGCGCCCCCGGUGAGGAUCGCGGCAAGGGCGUAGCGCCCUAGCGGCGUGGUAUUAGUAGAUAGCUUUACUUUCCCCUUGCAUUAGCUCCACCCUAUGCUUUAUAUUUUGAGAGUAGAUGUUGUAUAGGGUGAGGUUUGGAGAGUGGUUGUACGUAAGCUUGAAUAAAUGUAAUCAAAGUAUUCAAGUUAAAAGAAAAUAAUUGUAUAAAGUUAAAUGAGCUUAAUAGUUAAGUAUCUCUCUUUUAUUCACUUGUAUGAUUGUAUUACUCGUGAUGCUUGCUCUCGUAAUGUAUAGCACUGGUUGUGCUUUUGUUGUUAUUGAAUGAUUUUGUAUGUAUUCAAGUUGUUUUCCUGGAAACUUGUUGUACACAGUCUCGUCGUUGGAGCCUUAGGCGGACAGGGGAGACUCUGUCCGUUCGGCCUCACGCCCGCCGCCCUCGAAUCGGACCAAAUUGGUACCGUCUUCGGGUCAUGCGUUCGGGGGCGUGACAACUAUGUUCAACAACGAGGUCAUUCAUUCGAUUACCCAAUCUCUCGGCGAACGCAAGGCUCGCUCACAGUCUCACGUGUGUAAGUCUCAUAGGGGAGGAGGUCAACUACUGGACUACCCCCGAGACCGCCUGUGGACAGUUAGCGGCUGUCCGGGCAGCUAGCGGCUACCCCUCAAGUGACAAUACUCCGGAGUGCACAACUUGUGUGGAGCUACCACCACAAGUGCAGACAGGCUGCGCGAGCUCGAUCCAAUCUCAUGAGCUAAGAACAUCCUACCCGACCAGGGGUGAUAGCAAUUUAGACUCAGGUGUUCUAGUAGUCAAUCACCUAGUAUCCCAACUAUACUAAUGUUCUCAUGCCACUCUGGGUCAUAUUUAAAGUCAUUAGAUGCCACUCGUCCAAUGUUUAAGAUUAACUAAAUGCCACUCGUUCCCCUGACAAGUUCUCGAUACACUAGUUGCAUUUUACUAGGUUCUCAUCCACAUAAGCAUAUUCCUUCCUUAUCAACUAUCUUUUCAUUCUAGGGUCUCAAGUCACUUGACACUAUGUUAAGCAUACUAGAUUUAGGUAUUAAGCAAAUUAACUCUACGCUAUUCUACUAGCAUGCAAGAACGUGUAACAAUUACAUUUAGCACCCUACAAUGCAACAUUACAACAUGUAAUCGAUCGACUUGAUAAACUUAGAAAUAGGGAGCAGUUCAACUGCUUUGGGAUGGCACUCCCCCACCUCGUGGCGAUGUCGCGAUUCUUCGAGCACGAUUCGCCGACUUUACGACGCCUCGUUGGCCUUCUAGGCAGGAACGAAGCUCCGAGGGUCUCCUUUGACGAUAACUUCGCACCUACUCGACGGAUUGACGAACCGUCUUCGCCGACACGUUCAGGAACCUAGCAAUUAGGUUUGCGACCCAUCAAACGAGAUCAAAACCCUAGAUUUGCUAAAAUCCCAAAUCGGGGCCCUAGGUCUCAACAAUGGAGAAAUCCGCGGUGCGAGCUUCAAUCUCGAGCUCGAACCAUCUCCUUAGCUUCAAUAGGUUCCAUUCGAACCAUUUCUAAGCCAUAAAACCCUAUCACAAUAAAUCCACCAUUGUAAGGUUGAGGCUUACCUUCAAAACCCACUCCAACAAGAGGAAGAAGAUGAGGAAGACGAUCUUCACCUUUGUCUUCUUCUUCUUCUACUUCUUCUCCAUCCUCUCCUCCUCUUUCUUCUUCUCCUUCUCUUGCUUCUAGAGAGAGAGAGAGAGAGAGAGAGAGCAAUGAGAGUGUGGAAUUGGGAGAGAAAUAAGAGAAUGAGAGAGGGAGAGGGGUCCUCAAGCCCUCAUAAAGGCAGUUUUGCAAAUAAGCCCCUCAACUUUCCUCUUACGAAGCAGUCCUCACUGGGCCACUUUCGGGUACGGGGACCGGUCCCUCUCAGGGAGGACCGGUCCCCCGAGAGCUGCCCAAAAAUUACGCGUACGGGAACCGGUCCCCACACUGAGGGACCGGUCCCCGAGAGCUUUCUCCGAAAAAUUGGGGCUACGGGAACCGGUCCUCUCCCAGAGGGACCGGUCCCCGAGAGCAUGAAAUCUGCUCCUUGAGCAGAUUUCGCUCCAAGCUCUCGCGGGUCCGUCCUCAAUAAACUUUCGACGUUUUUGAUGUUCUCGGACUUUCCGAAGCACACCAACUCGACAAUUAGUCGAUUUUAAACAUAGUCAAAUCCUCGAAUUUCGAGAAUUCACCUCCCUUACAAUAUAUCCCGCUUGAAUUCCUCCCACAACAUUGGCGGAAGAUCGGAAGGCCGAUCCCGCUUCACGCACUUCCACCACACCUUCGCCGCUUUCUCCAAGCAAUGGGUGGCGAGGUACACCUUAUCCCUCUCCAAGGUACGCAAAUCAUCGAAGAGGGUUUCCAUCGAGUCGAUCCAAGACUCGACCAUCGCCGGCUCCACCUUCUUGCCCUCAAAAGUUGGCGGAUGGAACUUGUUAAACUUGAUAAGAGCCGCCAAUGCGCGCUCUCCUUCCACAUCUUCGGCCGUCACAUCGGGUGUAGCCGAUCCCGACGCCGCAAGAGGAACAAUUGUCGGCGGGGGACGCGCCGCCACCGGAACCGCCGCUAUACCCUCACCCUCAGCUGGCUCAGGCACGCGAGUCAAGGGUACGGGCACCUCGCAUCCAUCCGUCGCCGUUGCGACCGCCGCCGCAGCCUGCCGCUCCAAGAGCUCCUGGAGCCGCUCGAAUCGGGUCUCCUGGCGCUGCACCACAUCGGUCAGCGCAGUCACUUGCGCUUGCAACCGAUCCAUCACGCUCGGUUCAUCCUGCUCGGGCACCUCAGAAGUUGGUGCUGGGGCAGAUCUACGAGUGUAGCGUCUUGGAGACAUUAGUCCCUGAAACGCAAAUACUUGGUCAGUCAUCUUAACCAAUUACCUCGUCGAACUUACGACACAAGACGACUCCCUAACGAAAUCGAGCGGAAGCAUACAAGCAUACUCGUUCUAGAUUCUUGGCAUCACGUCGUCGGCCGCCGACAUAACCACCUCAAAUCAAGAACUAAUACCACUUGAAUCCGUCUCUAUUCACAACUAGAGACAUAUUAUCAACUUCGACCCAAUCGAAUUAACUUCCGCCAUCGUUAUAGGUUCACGUUCCGCUCACGCACCUAUAACCUUAGGGCUCACCAACUAGGGUCUCCUAGGUCAUCCUAGACUUUCUCUCUCUACUUGCUCUUGUUGCUCUGAUACCACUAUACCUGUCACACCCCGCCCCGAAACCACUACCAGUUUGGCAUGAUUCGGGCGCGGCGGCGGACCGCCGAACGGACAGCACCUCCCCUGUCCGCCCAAGGCUCAACAACGGGAAUGUGUACAAGAAUUUACCCAGGAAUUUAAAUUCUAAACAUACACAUUCAACGAGGGCACAAACAGUGCCAACAACAAGAAGAGCAAGCAAUCCACAAGAAUGACAUGUGAAAUAAAGAGAGGACUUUACUAACUAUUACAAUAGUUUGCAUUCUUUUUCAUUUACAUCAUUUUCUCAAAAUGUAUACAUUUGAUCCUCAAAAUACAUAGCCCUCCAACCUCACCUACAUGAAUCUCUCUCAAUACAUAGGUGUGCUAAUGCAAAAGGAAAGCUACUAUACUACCGCGGUCUCACUGGUCGGCGGAUCCUUGCCCCGUCCUCUCUCGGCAACCUGUACUACACUGGAAUAGAGUGGGGGUGAGAACUACUUUCCAUAGUUCCAGUGGGCUCGGACGCGACUCUGCCGAUCUUCCCCACUAGGUCAAGUGGGCACAAGCAAAAAAGAUAGAUAGAUAGAUAGAUAUCUGAAAGCUGUAAAUGCGAUAGUAGGAACAACUAUGCUAACUAUGCCCAAAAUCAUGAAUAUGAAUGCAUGCAUCAUAUAAUAAAGGUUUGCUACCAUGCUAACAAAUUCGAUACAUGUUCGAAUAGUAAUGUUCAAUGACAUUUUUAAACGUUUAUCUUUCCAUUUACCCAAUCUGUGGCGAGACCCUGGGGCUCGUCAAUGACUCACCUUUCAAUCCCAAAGUAGGGAGGGAGCUCCAAGUGCACCCAAGCCCGGGACCGUCUGCGGACCUCCAUGUGGUCCGGACCUCCAAGUGGUCCUAAUCGCACGACACUCCGGAGUACUCGACGACAAUCCCCUCCAUGUGGGGAUAGGAUGGCUAUACCACCCCAAAGCAGACUGUGAGCUAGAUCUAUCCUCUCCAAGUGAGGAUACACUACACUAGGGUCAACAACCCAAUCAAAUCCUCUCCAAGUGAGGAUGCUCUACAACUAGAGUCAACAUCUCUCGCGGAAUCAUUUGUUCCCGACAUUCAUGCAAUGCUAUUUAGCUUUCUAAAUUCAUUGUUCACAAGGCAUUUUCUAAGGGAUCCACCUAUCCCUAGGUUCUCAAACCUCUAGUGUUAUUUACACUACAUUAAUGCCACUCAUCAUCAUUUAACGUUUGGAUGCCACUUAUGUGUUCCUUGACACUAACCACUACUUUCUAUGUCAUCAACACCCCCAUUGGGUUCAUCUCUUUUCUUUCGCAUCAUAGGAUCCACGUUCCGACCCAAUCCUCACCUAUCUAAGUUACCAAGCGUUCCAAGUACACUAGGUUAUCAAUUAGAAAGCAUAAGGAAAGGUACUACUAUGCAAUCCUACAAUACAACAUGCAAGAGAUGAGAUUAAAUGCAAUCUAAGACAUAGAAUGGAGUUCGAAAGCUUCGGGAUGGCACCCCCCACCUUUUAUCGAUGAAGAGGCUUUAGAAAUGAUCCUCGGCGAACUUUACGAAAAGGCUUUAGCCUUCCUUGCCUAAGACAAUGCUAGAUCGGCCUCGUUUUGCCGAUAACUUCACGCCGGCUCGCCGAAUGCUAAAACCGACUUCGCCCCCACAUUUUGUGACCUAGCAAUUAGGUUUCCAAGGCUUCAAAUGAGAUCAAUCUCAUACUUUCUCAAAAACCCCAUUUUGGAGCCCUAGGUUUGCACCUAUAGCAAACCACCAAUAAAUCCCUAGAUUUCUUGGGAUUGAUCUAUUUAGAAGCUUGCUUAGGGUCCAUUUGAUCCAUUCCUAAGCAUCAAAACCCAAAACCCUAAGUUCUAAAAGCUAGGGUUCAAGAGCUUACCUCUUGAGCUACUCCAAAGAGAAGAUAAGAGGGAGAUGAAGGUGUCCAAGGCCUUCCUCUUGGUCUCCUUCUUCUUCUUCUUCUUUUUUUCUUCUUCUCCUUUUCCUUCCUCUCCUUCUUGUUCCUCUUUUUCUUCUUCUCCUUCUAGGGAGAGAGAGGGUGAGAAAAUAUGAGAGGGAGAGAGUGUGAGUGAGGGUGAGAGAGGAAGAGGGCUCAGCCCCUCUAAUCCCUCCCUAACUAAUGCCAUUUUGCACAAAAACCCCUCAACUUUUAAUACUAUACACUGCCCUUACUGGGCAGAAUUCGCGUGGAGGGACCGGUCUCCCCGACUUGGGACCGGUCCCCAAGGGCCUUCCUCGGGCGCACACGUUCGGGAACCGGUCCCUCCCCGGGAGACCGGUCCUCGGGAGACCGGUCCUCGCCUGAGAGACCGGUCCCCGAGAGCUCGAUUUUCAGGACUUAGCCAAAUUUCAGCAUUUCUCGCCGGGACCACGUUCAGGAACCGGUCCCUCCCUGCUAGGGACCGGUUGCACCAAGCAACCCCGCACACCCAGCCGAUGGAACCGGUCUCUCACCUCCAGGGACCGGUCCCCGAGAGUAACAUCAGCCCAAUGAUGCUGUUUGCACCAUUUGCUCUCGUGGACUCAACUCCAAGGCACUUUUUGUGCUUUGGACAUCUUUAAUUUCCCCAAAGGGUAUUCUCUCGAAAAAUAGUCGAUCCUGGACGAAGUACAACUCUCGGAUUUCGAGAAUUCACUUCCUUACACCGACAGCGAAACAGACUAGUGAGUAUGAUCCAAUCCUCUCAAGAGGAUACCCUAUCUACUAGGGUCAAUGUGCCUCUGCUGCACAGUCAUGAUAUAUAUAAUCAAUGUUGGAACUUCUACUAUCCCUAAGUUCAUGUCAAGUUUACUACACUAGACUCAAUGCCACUCAUUUAGUCAUUGUAGUAAAUGUCUCAAUUAUUCUACAUGCCACUCGUUCAUGUUUAGUGUUUCUACUGCACUAGUCAAUGCCACUCUACUAGGCUAUCAUGUGUCCAAGUUCGGCUCUUUAUGCCAUUAUAGGAUUUUCAUGUCACAAGACCCAAUCCUCAUGCUACCCUAGUCCAUGUGUUCGACUCAUAAGUUACACUACUAAGAAGCAUGCAAGGAAAAGGAAAUGUACAUCUAUUAACCCUAUAAUGCAAUAUGAUCAACAUAUAUAUAACUUAGACAUAAAAAGAAACCCGGAUGCUUCGGGAUGACACCCCCCACCUCUUGAGGGUAUGAAGGCUCUAGAAAUGCCCUCCAACGGACGUUACGACAAAGUCUUGGUCUUCUUGGUCCAAAAUGACGCUCAAUCGGCCUUGUUUUGCCGAUAGCUCUUGACCCACUUGACGAAUGCGAAAUCCAACCUCGCCCCCGCGUUUAGCCACCUACCAAUUAGGUUAGAGGAGGGUCAAAUGAGAUCAAUCCUCUACUUUUCCAAAAACCCUAUUUUGGAGUCCUAGGGUUCCCAUCUUGCCAUUUGCAAUUUGGAACCCUAACUCUAGCUUCAAUCCACCAACAAUGGUGCUUGGGUUCCAUUUGACCCCAUUCCCAAAGCUAAAAACCAAAAAACCCCAAAUUUCACAAGCUAGGGUUAGAAGCUUAACUCUAGGUUAGCUCCAAGAGAGAAGAGAGGAAGAGGGAGAGGUCCAAAGCCUUCCUAGAUUGAUCUUCUUCUUCUUCUCCUUCCUUUUCUUCCUUCUUUUCCUUCUGUUUCCUUCUUUUUCUUCUUUUUCUUCUUUUCUUCUAGAGAGAGAGAUGGAGAAAGAGUGUGAGAGAGAGAGGGAGUAGAAUGAGAGAGUGAGGGAGUAAUCUCCCAUGUAUACCCCUCUAACUAAGGCCAUUUUGCAUAAAAGCCCCUCACCUUUCAUCUCUGUGCACUGCCCUCACUGGGCUGUCUGCGCGCGGAGGGACCGGUCUCCCCGACUUGGGACCGGUCCCCGAGAGCUUCAGCUCGGGUCACGCGUUCGGGUACCGGUCUCUCCCAGAGAGACCGGUCCUCGGGAGACCGGUUCCUUCCUGAGAGACCGGUUCCCGAGAGCUGGGAUUUAGGACUUAGCCAAAUUUUGGCUUUUCUCGCUGGGAUCACGUUCGGGAACCGGUCCCUCACUGCCAGGGACCGGUUGCCUCAAGCAACCCCCGCAACACCAGCCGAUGGGACCGGUCCCUCCCUGCCAGGGACCGGUCCCCGAGAGCAAUUUUGCUCCAGUGCAGAUUUUGCACUAUUUACUCCCGUGGACUCGUUUCCAAUGCACUUUUGGUGAUUUGAAUACCUUUGGCUUUUUUUUCCAAGGUACACCAACACGACCCUUGGUCGAUUCUGGAUGAAGUCUAAUCCUCGUAUUUCAAGAAUUCACUUCCUCACAAGCUUACCUCAAACAAAGUCCUCCCAUGGUGAGGAAGAAGAUGAGAAGAAGAAGCUUCCUCUUCUUAGCUUCCUUCUCCUCCUUUGUUCUCUUUUUCUUCUUUUCCUUUUCCUUUCCUUCCCUUUCUUUCUUCUUCUCCUUCUUGUCUUCUAGAGAGAGAAAGAGAGGAGAGAGUGUGAGAGGGUGUGAGGAAAUGAGAGAAGGCCCUCAUAACCCCCUCAACAUAACCCAUAUAUUGCAUAAAUGCAAAUAAGCCCCUCAGCUUUUAUUCUGUUACACUGCCCAGACUGGGCGCUUCUCGCGCUCGGGGACCAGUCUCCCCGACAAGGGACCGGUCCCAGAGAGCUCUCCCUGAAGCUGGCAAAGCUCCAGCUUGAUGCAACCGGUCUCUCUCUGGGGGACCGGUCUCUCGGGGACCGGUCUCUCCCCGCAGGGACCGGUUCCCAAGAGCAGGUUUUCUGGGACUUCGCCAAACUUUUCCUUUUCUCACCUUUCACGCGUACGGGGACCGGUCUCUCCUUCAGAGACCGGGGACCGGUCUCUCCUUCAGAGACCGGUCCCCGAGAGCUGAAAACCUGCAGAAUGCAGAUUUUUGACUUUUAAGCUCUCGAAGACCUCCCAUAACGCACUUUUGAUCAUCUUAACACCUUCGGACUUUCCGAAGUGUACCAUCCUCACACCUUGGUCAAUUUGACUAAAGUUCGAUAUUUAUUUUCCGAACUUUCGGUAUAUUUCAGUAGCCUUGCUCGGCAUAUUAAUAUACAUUAGGUGCAUAUAAUUAUUUCCCCUUUUUUCAAUUAAUUUUACCAACAUAAACACACCUUCAUCUUUUCAACAAUUUAAAAUAGGGUUAAUUGCAUACACGUCCCUGCAAACAUGGUGAAUUGCAGAUAUAUCCCUGCAAAACUAAAUUUUCAUAAGUUGUCCCUGCAAAAGUCCUAAUAUAUGCAGAUAUGUCCCUGCUGUUAGGGUCUGUUAAAAAAUUUCGUUAACCACAGUUAAAAACUUAAUCAUGGUUAAUUAAUAAUGUGAAUUGACGGUUUUACCCUUCUUCCUCUUCCUCCUCUUCCUCUUCCCUCUUUUUCGACGCCGGCGAGGAAGGAGAUGCGGCGGUGAACCCUCUCCCUCUCCCUCUUUCUCUCCCUCUUUCUCUUCUCCCUUCUUCUUCCUUCCCUCUUCCUCUUCCAUCUUCUUCGUCGCCGGCGAGGAAGGAGAUGCGGCGGCGGCGGCGAACCCUCUCCCUCUUCCCUCUUCCCCUCCCUCCUCAUUCCCUUCUUCCUCUUCUCUCUUCUUCUUCCUCCCCUUCUUCCUCUUCCCUCUUCUUCUUCCUCCCCUUUUUCCUCUUCCCUCUUCUUCUUUCUCUUCUUCUUUCUCUUCCAUCUUAUUCGUUGCCGGGGAACCCGACCCCGAUCUUGCCGAAGCGCCGCCGCCGCCGUCCGCUCCGACGGCCCGAAGAGGGAGAGAAAGAGAAAGAGGAAAUACUUUUGGAGGGACAUAUUUGUGAGGGCAAAAAUAUUAUUUCACAAAUCCACUGUUAAAAAAUAAACAGUUCACUAAUGGAUGUUAACCAGAGGGACAUAUCUGCAUACAUUAGGACUUUUGCAGGGACAAUGUAACAUAUCGCAUCCCCGUAGAACGUGCCAAGUUCCGUCGAAAUGAGCGGAACGCGGAGUCGGAUGAGUUACAAUGGGUUCUAAGUGCAUUAGGACCUUAGUAUAGAGUAAAGGGACCUAAGAGAGCAAAAUUGUGAAAAUCUGGCUAAGUCCCAGAUUUUGAGCUCUCGGGUCCGGUCCUUGCGGGGAGAGACCAGUCCCCGUAGGUUGGAAAAUUGCCCAGCGGCUAAGUUCUGAAAAUCGUGCCCUCAGGAACCAGUCCCUGGAGGAGAGACCGGUCGCCGUGCGCGUAGCCAGCCAAAAAGAGUGAAAAUUUAGCUAAGUCCUGAGAGGUGUGCUCUCGGGAACCGGUCCCUACGGGGAGAGACCGGUCCCCGUAUGCGAAUUCUGCCCAGGAUGGGCUGUUGUGAAAAAUGGAAUUGAGAGGGGUUUAAGUGCAAAUCUGCCAUGUGUAGGUGUAUAGAAGUGAAUGGUAUUGAAUGAGAGCUCAUUUGCUCUCAUGCCAAUACCUAGGGCAACCCUCUCUAUCUCUAAAAACCUCUCUUCUCUCUCUCCUUCUCUCUAGAGCUUGGACCAAGGAGGCUUUUUGGAGGGAUCUAGGUAGAGAAGAAGAAGAAGUAGAAGGUGUAGCUUGCAAGAGUGCAAGUGUACAAGGAAGGCUUGGACUCCAAGGUGAGUUUCUAAGGUUUUGAGUUAGUGUUUGAGUAAUAGCUUCUUGUAUGAGUAUCUAGGAGCUUCUAUGGUGAUUUCCCCCAUGUUAUUCCUGUAAAAGGACUAGUUUUGGGGAAGAUGACAUUGUUGAGGGACCUAAGGUUAGGGUUUUGGAAUUUUGAGGUUCAAUCUUGGGAUUGAUCUCUUUUUAACCUAAUUGGUAGGUCAACGAACGCGUUGGUGCGCUCAGUUCGGCGAAACGACGAGCGUGCGCGGAGAUAUUGCGAAAAGAAGCUAAAUUGGUACAGAUUGCCGCAGCUUGCGGCGUAGAAGUCUAAAAAUCGUGAAAAUUGGAUUGCGGCAUCUUAGCAUCACCAAGAGGUGGGGGGUGCUAUCCAGAAACACCGAAUUUCCUUCUAUGUCUAUAUUAUCAUUAUUGAAUAUAUUGAUGUUAGCAUUCAUGCAUAUAGGGUAGUGUGAUGAAUAUGAUUGGUUGAGAUUCAAUUGUAUGCUAGAGAACAUAUGAAUUGAUGUAGAACCAUAUGAACUAAGAAUGUGAAAAAUCCUAUGUGUAUGUGAAUGUAUGAAAAUGAGACUAUGACAAUAGUAAACAAUGGUGAUAUUGACAUUAGUGACGAGAUUGGCACUGAGCAUAAGAACGGCUAAACAAGGUUUAACCUAGAAUGGCAUCAGGACCAUUGUGGCUCAGAUAUAGUGGGAAUGUGAUAUGGUAAUGACCUAUCCUUGGCAUUGAGGCUUUGUGCAUUGAGACAGGUUUGGCAAUACUUCCUCAAUUUGAGGAUUGGAUCGUACUCACACUGGCUUUGGCUUAAGGGAGGUAGCUCCCCCUCAAGCGGUGUACUCCUGAGUGUAUACACCACGGGGAGAGGCCUCGUCAUUGUUCCCUCGGGUAGUAGUGCUAGUAGCCUCCCCCGGUAGAUGGGAAUUGUGGUUCGUGAGUUUGGGGUGAACCAUGUGUACCCCGGGAUGAUUGGGUAAAGGCCAAAGAAAAUGAGAACAAGGACAUGCAUGCAUAAUAUUAUGAAUACGAAUAUCUAUCUGUGGAUUGUUUUCUUGCAGGCAUUGUAUUAGAAGUGUAUUAGUUGGUUUGUUAUCUUCCUUUAUUGAAAUACAUAUGCCUCAAUAGACCCAAUGGGCGAGUCGGCGCGGUCGGCGGCCGAACCCACUGGGAACUUCUUUUAGUUCUCACACCACCACUAACCCUGCAGAUCCAUGCGCAAGCGGGACGGCGGAGGAUCGAGGCAAGGGAUUAGCGGCGUAGUUAGCGGCCCACAGAGUUAUAGGCAUACCCUAUGCUGGAGUAUUCAACUUUUGUAUGUUGAACUAAGAAAUGCAAAGAGAUGUAAAUCAUAUUUUGGUUGAUAGACAAUGUGAUGUAAAUGUGAAUGAAUGAGAAUGAAUGUAAAUGUAAUAGAUUACUUGUGUUUGAUUAAAAUGUAAUCAAAUGACAUGUAUGUGGGUAAAUGUUUAGUUUAGUAUCGAUGCUUUCACGUGAGAUGGUUGUUGUUUGCCCUCGUGUAAACGUUAUAUAAUUGCAUUCAUUUGUGUUGAAUUGCUUGUAUUAUACAUGUUGUUGGAGCCUUAGGCGGACAGGGGAGGUGCAGUCCGUUCGGCGUCUGUUCGCGUGCCCGAACCGACCAAAUUGACGGCUCCGGGGCAUGACAGACAACUUAUGGAAAUUGUAUUUUGCAGGGAUAUAUCUGCAAUUCACUAUGUUUGCACCGACGUGUAUGCAAUUAACCCUUUAAAUAAGUCAUUAAAGUUUAACAUUUUAGUUAAAAAAAGUUUAUACAAUAGCUACUAAAACUAUUAAAUUUGAUUAAACUAUUAAAUAAAAUUGUUAGAAUAGAAAAAGUUAAAAAAUAUCUAUAAAAUAUAUGAAUUCUCAAUGCAGUUGGGUCACAUCUAACAAAAACAGAUAGUGACGUCAUCAAUUAAACAAUAAACUAAUGAGAACUUGCCAAUUGUCCGAUGAAAAUUUGGAUGUACCCAUUAACCAACUUUAAAAAUUAUAAAAUAUAUGAAUUCUCAGUGCAGUUGGGUAACAUCCAACAAAAACAGAUAGUGACAUCAUCAAUUAAACAAUAAACUAAUGAAAACUUGCCAAUUGUCCAAUGAAAAUUUGGAUGUACCCACAAACCAACUUUAAAAUACACAUAAAAGAUAAAUUUAUAUUAUUCAAUAAAAUUUUAUAUUGUAUAUUUUAUAUUAUAUUAUAUUUUAUAAUAUUAAUUAUUAAAUAUUUUAUCAAUCAUUUAAUACACCAUGUAGUAUAUGAAGCAUUAGUAUGGGAUAUUAUAUUAAUAUACGUUAGGUGCAUAUAAUAGUUUCGUAUUUUUUCAAUUAAUUUUACCAAGAUAAACACACCUUCAUCUUUUCAAUAAUUUAAAAUAUGUCAUUAAAGAUUAACAUUUUAGUUAAAAAAAGUUUAUACAAUAGCUACUAAAACUAUUAAAUUUGAUUAAACUAUUAAAUAAAAUUGUUAGAAUAGAAAAAGUUAAAAAAUAUCUAUAAAAUAUAUGAAUUCUCAAUGCAGUUGGGUCACAUCUAACAAAAACAGAUAGUGACGUCAUCAAUUAAACAAUAAACUAAUGAGAACUUGCCAAUUGUCCGAUGAAAANAAAAUAUUAUAUAUUCGUCACGGGAUUCUCCAUUAGUAGAAUGGUUGGGGUUGGGGCCACUUUUUUUCUUUUUCCUUUUUUUUUUUUUUCUCGGCUUUCCAUCCAAUUCGUUUAUCUCACAUGUUCCACUGAUUUGUGUAGGGGGGAUAAUUUCUAUCCAAACGAAUUCCCCUCUCUUAUUAUAAAAAUUUUAAAAGUAUUUAAUUUUUUUACACAUAAUAUUUUAUAUAGGUUAGAUUGGUUAUAUUAAAUAUAAAUUUUGAUUUAUAAUAUUAAUCGCUUAAAAAUAGGUUGUACAACAAAAAUAAAAAAAGAGAGAUAGAUUGACGGAGUUUAAUUAAGUUAAUUAUUUAUACUAAUAUAUUAAUUUAUAGUUGUGAGAACUGUAUAAAGUAUACUAACUAAAUCUAUAUAGAUAAACGAUACAUUCAAAUUUCAAAGUCAAAAUAUUAUUGACUGGCUCAAAUCAAAUAAAUUGAAAGUUUGGAUCGUAAAAAUAAAAUUUGAAAGAUUAGAUAGAUGAUUCAAAUUGGUCUAUAAUUUAGGAAAGUUUUACAUGUUUUUAUUUUGAUUUUAAUAACAAACCGUAACGUCAUAUUUAUAGUUGAUGAGCGAUCAACCUCACACUUAGAAUUUUUAGAAAUAUCCAAAAUAUUGUAAUUAGGUAUUCUAAACUUUAUUAGAUAAUUUAGUAGGUUUAUUUCUUGAAUGAAAUUACUGCUUGAACAAAAUCGAUCAAUGUUCAACUCCUUACUUCAUCUGGAAUAAAAAUAAAAAUAUAUGUAUGCUGUCUAUCUCUCAAAAAAGAAUAAAUAGUAAAAAAGUAAAUUACACUUUUUGUCACGCCCCGCGACCGCUACCAAUUUGGUCCGGCCCGGGCGCGUCGAACAGACGCCGAACGGACAGGACCUCCCCUGUCCGUCCAAGGCUAACCAACAGAUCGUGCAUAAGAAUUUACCCAGGAAUCAAUUCAUAAAUACACGAUCAAUAAGCACCACUAGUGCCAUAAACAAGAGCAAGAUACAAGUAUAGAAACAUAUACAAGUACAUAAGAGAGAAGAGACUAUCUAUUACAUUCAUUUGAUUUACUACAUUUAGAUACAUCUUUUACAUUCUUCCAAAAUAUAAAUACAAGCAAUCAACCCUCGCCCUAUACAACAUCUACUCUCAAAUACAAAAGGGGUGACGGCUAAUGCAAGAAGAGGAGGUAGCUAAUGCGACUAGAACGCCGGGCCCUUACCGCGAUCCUCACGCUCACCGGGGACACCCGAACUGGAACCUGUGGUAAAAUGGGGGUGAGAACUAACUUCCUUAGUUCCCAGUGGGUUCGGCCGCCGACUCCGCCGAUCUCCCCACUAGGUCCAAGCGGGCAUAAGUAGACAAUCGAUAGAUAGGUAGAUAGAUAAGGAAAGCUGUAAAUGGCGGAAAUGAAGCUACGCUACCAUGCCCAAUCAUAAGUAUAUGAAUGCAUGUCCAAUGAAAUAGGUAAGCAACUAAUCUGUUAUCAUGUCCAAGGGUGAAGCUAUUCACUCGUUCAUUAACCUCAUUUACUUGUUCAUUAAUCUCAUGGCUUACCCGAAGGCUCGCCUACAGCUCACUAGCCAUCUCGACACGUAGGGAGAAUUAACUCACACUACGGACCCGAGACCGUCUGGCGGGGCCAAAUAGGCAAUCCCUGGCGUGACCAACAUCCGGAGCGCACUACUUGUGUGGGGCUUCCAUCACAAGAUUUAACAGACCGUGAGCAUGAUCCAAUCCUCUAAGCUCGAGGAUACCCUGUCCUCUAGAGUCACAAUCAUCAUAUAGUCCAUAGGUGUCGCAUACACUAUUAACUAGAUUGUCCGUUUGUCCGCUAUCGACUAGAUGCCACUCGUUCAUAGUUUACUAUUAACUAGAUGCCACUCGUUCAUAGUUCAUCAUUUUCUCUACAUCAUAGGAUUCACAAUCUCGACCCAAUCCUUAUCAAUCCAAUAUAUCAAUUAUCCGAUGUACGCUACGAUACCAUGAAGGAAAAACAUAAGGAAAGGCAAUGCAUACUAAUCCUAUAAUGCAAUAAUACAAGAUGCAAGAUCAAAUAUACUAAGACAUAGGAGGGAGCCCGAUUGCUUCGGGAUGGACACCACCCACCUCUUGGCGAUGCCGUGAUAGUAGAAAACUCGACGUUGGGGUUCUUGUACGCCGCUUCAACUCCUCGGGGCGAAGCGAGCCCUCGAGUACCCGAUUCGGCGAUUUCUCCGCACCCGCUCGUCGGAUCGAGAAACCGACUUCGCCGACGCGUUCCGGGACCUAGCAAUUAGGUUUGCGACCUAUUAGAUUAGAUCAAAACCCUAGAUUUACCAAAAACCCAAUUCCGUGCCCUAGGAUGGCAACGGGGAAGAAAUCCGUGGUGCGAGCUUCAAUUGCGAGCUCGAACCUUCUCCCUAGUUCCAUUAGGUCCCAUUCAAACCAUAAAAACCCCAAAACCCUAGAAACACCAUUAAAGGGUUUAGAGCUUACCCCUACACAAGGUUCCUUCAAGCUUGAGGGAGAGGGAGAGAAGAAGAUAUCUUCUUCUUCUUCUUCUUCUUAGUCUUCUCUUUCUCUUUCUUCUUCUUUCUCUUCUUCUUCUCCUUCCUCUUCUUCUUCUCCUUCUUCUCUUUCUUUUCUUUUCUUUCUUAGAGAGAGAGAGAAAAGAGGGUAAGAGAGAGAGAGAAAGCAGCUGAGAGUGAGAGAGAGGGGUCCCCCACCUCUAAUAAAGGCCAUUUUGCAUAAAAGCCCCUCAACUUUCACCCUAGUGCACUACCCUCACUGGGCAGUUUUCGCGCGGAGGGACCGGUCUCCCCGACUUGGGACCGGUCCCCGAAGGCUGCCAUUUCGAGCAGAGGGAUUUUCGCGUUCGGGAACCGGUCCUUGCCUGAGAGACCGGUCCCCGGGAGACCGGUCCUUGUCCGAGAGACCGGUUCCCGAGAGCUGCAUUCUCGGGACUUAGCCAAAUUUGGCUAAAUCUCGUCGGGCCAACGUUCGGGAACCGGUCCCUGCCCACCAGGGACCGGUCUCAUCAGAGACCUCCGCAACCCAGCCUGAUGGAACCGGUCCCUCCCUGCCAGGGACCGGUCCCCGAGAGCAUUUCUGCUCCAGUGCAGAUUUUGCACUGGUGCUCCCGCGGACCCUUCUUUAAUGCACUUUAUGCAUUAUAAUCGCCUUCGGGCUUUCCGAAGCCUACGCACUCGACGAAUAGUCGAUUCUGGUCGAAGUCUAAUCCUCGAGUUUCGAGAAUUCACUUCCUUACAUCCUUCCCACCUUAAAAGAGUUUCGUCCUCGAAACGAACUCAAUACUCCAAAACUUGAUUAGAAUUUCAAAUUCUAAAUUCAUACCUCAAUUUAGCCUUCAAACAGGCGAGGAUGAUUCGCCUUCAUCUCCUCCUCGAGCUCCCAGGUGGCUUCGCGAUCAUCAUGAUUGCUCCACCGGACUCGGACAUAAGGAAUCUCUCGACUCCUUAACUUGCGCACUUCACGAGCGGUAAUUGCCACCGGGAAUUCCUCGUAGCUCAGAUCCUCCUGAAGUUCCGGCGGCUCAUAUAGCAUUACAUGCUCGGGAUCGGGAACGUAUUUGCGAAGAUUGGAGACGUGGAAUACGUUGUGCACAUCCGCAAGCUUUGGCGGCAACGCGAGCCGAUAAGCCACCGUCCCAAUCCGCUCCAAGAUCUCAUAGGGGCCAAUGUAUCGGGGACUUAGUUUUCCCCGCACUCCAAACCGCUUUACACCCCUCAUAGGCGAGACCUUCAAGAAGACGCGGUCACCCACCGCAAACUCUAGAUCUCGCCGGCGCCUAUCCGCAUAGCUCUGUUGUCGAGAUUGCGCCGUGAGUAACCGUUUGCGAGCAAGGCGGACCUUUUCUUCCGCCUCCCGCAGCACAUCGGGGCCAAAUUCCGCGCGUUCGCCCACGUCACUCCAAUAAAUAGGAGAGCGGCACUUCCGCCCAUAAAGAGCUUCGAACGGUGCCAUCUCCACACUAGCGUGAUAACUAUUGUUGUAGGCGAACUCGGCCAUUGGCAAAUACUUACACCAGCCUCCUUUGUAGUCGAUGACACACGCUCGCAACAUAUCCUCCAGAGUCUGAAUGGUUCUUUCAGUUUGUCCGUCUGUCUGGGGAUGGAAUGCAGUACUGAAAUCGAGCCGUGUGCCAAGGGCCUCCUGCAGGCUUUUCCAGAAAUGUGAAGUAAACUUGGGGUCUCUAUCCGACACAAUCGAUUUCGGCACCCCGUGUAAUCUCACUACCUCAUCAAGAUAUACCUGCGCCAACUUAUCUCCCGCCCAGGUGGUGUGGAUCGGCAAAAAGUGUGCUGACUUGGUCAAGCGGUCCACGAUCACCCAGAUUGCGUCGUGUCCUCCUGUCGAGCGAGGUAAGCCAACGACGAAAUCCAUAGAUAUGUCUUCCCAUUUCCAAACGGGAAUAGGUAAGCUUUGAAGCUUCCCCGUUGGAAACCGGCGCUCCGCCUUUACUUGCUGACAAGUCAAGCACUUCGCCACGAAGCGCCCAAUAUCAGCCUUCAUCCCCGGCCACCAAUAGAGUGCCCUCAACUCAUGAUACAUUUUGGUGCCGCCCGGGUGAUCCGCAUAUGGAGAUCGGUGAGCUUCUUGCAGGAUCAACUCGCGAAGUUCUUCAUUUUCCGGCACGCACCACCGGUUUCGAAACCGGAGCGCACCACCGGCGUCCACACUGAAAUCGCCAUCUCGUCCUUCCUCGAUAUUGCGCCGCACCUUUUGGAGACUCGGAUCUGCAGGUUGCAAAUUUCUGAUCCUCUCCAAUAAGGUCGGUUGGAUAACGAGCGCCAUCAGCUGGGCCGGGACCUCGGGAGCGACCACUUCAAGGUCCAGCCGCUCCAUCUCCAGCCCUAGGGGUGUUUGCCGGGUAACAUCAAAGGCGAGGUUCUUCGCCGACUUCCUACUAAGUGCGUCUGCGACCACAUUUGCCUUGCCGGGGUGGUAGAGAAUGUCGACAUCAUAAUCUUUUAAUAGCUCUAGCCACCGCCUCUGUCGCAUAUUCAGCUCCUUCUGGGUAAACAGGUACUUCAGACUUUUGUGGUCGGUGUAGAUCUCGCAGUGUGCACCGUAUAGGUAGUGCCUCCACAACUUCAGCGCAAAGAUCACCGCCGCCAACUCCAAGUCAUGGAUGGGGUAAUUCUUCUCGUGGUCCUUCAGCUGACGGGAUGCAUAAGCUAUCACCCUCCCGCCUUGCAUCAGGACACACCCCAAGCCCAGAUAGGAUGCGUCGCUAUAAACCACAAAGUCCUCGCCCUGCACCGGUAAGGCGAGUAUUGGAGCCGACGUCAAUCUUUUCUUCAACUCGUUGAAGCUUCGAUCACACUCGUCGCUCCAAAUGAACUUGACGCCCUUCUGAGUCAAACCGGUAAGUGGAGUUACAAUCUUCGAAAAGCCUUCCACGAACCGUCGAUAAUAGCCCGCUAAGCCCACAAAGCUUCGGACCUCCGUGACAUUCGUCGGGCGUGGCCAAUUCUCGACCGCUUCGACUUUCCUCGGGUCAACCGAAACACCACCCUCGGAAAUUACAUGCCCUAAGAAGGCAACUUCUCGAAGCCAGAAAUCACAUUUCUUUAGCUUUGCGAAUAGCUUCUCCUCCCGAAGGAUUUGAAGCACCGUCCGCAAAUGCUCCGCGUGCUCCUCGUCGUUCCGCGAAUAGACCAAGAUGUCGUCUAUGAAGACCACGACGAAUCUAUCCAGGCACGCCUUGAACACACGGUUCAUCAGGUCCAUGAAUGCAGCCGGGGCAUUAGUGAGCCCGAAAGGCAUAACCGUGUAUUCAUAGUGUCCAUAACGCGUACGAAACGCGGUCUUCUGAAUAUCCUCCGGCUUGAUCUUUAACUGAUGAUAGCCGGACUGUAGAUCUAUCUUCGAGUACACUCGUGACCCUUGUAAUUGGUCGAACAAGUCAUCAAUUCGGGGUAACGGGUACUUAUUCUUAAUUGUGACCUUAUUCAACUCUCGAUAAUCCACGCAGAGUCGAAACGAGCCAUCCUUCUUGCGCACGAACAACACCGGCGCUCCCCACGGCGAUACACUCGGCCUGAUAAACCCUUUGUCGAGAAGAUCUUGUAACUGAUCCCUCAAUUCUCUUAACUCUGCCGGCGCCAUGCGGUAUGGGGCCUUUGAGAUCGGCGCCGUCCCGGGAAUCAAGUCUAUAACGAACUCGAUCUCCCGAUCCGGCGGCAUCCCCGAUAACUCCGUGGGAAACACAUCCGGAAAUUCCCGCACCACCGAUAAAUCUUCUAAUUUCGGCACCACCCGGUCCACCUCCACGACGGUCGCCAAAAAUGCCGCGCAACCGCCGCUGACCAACUUCCUAGCUCUCGUCGCCGAUACUGUCGCGACGAAGCAAGAACUCCGACAAGCUUGAUAAACGAACUCCUUCUGUCCGGGCUCCCGAAAAGUGAUCAAUUUAUUCUUACAAUCGAUCGUGGCGUAAUACUUCGAGAGCCAAUCCAUACCUAAAAUAACGUCGUACGCCUCCAGUUUAGUGAGUUCCAACAUCCGAAUGGGCAUUAUCCAAUCACCCACUUGCACCGGACACGACGAGCACUCCGUAUAGGUGUUAAAUGAUAACUCGGGACCCUCGACUCGCCACUUGCCACUUGCUUCUAUGGGUAUGUCAUGCAUGCGUGCAAAUGCUCUACUAAUAAAUGAAUGCGUGGCACCCGUAUCGAACAUAGCUCUGGAGCGAACUCCAUUGAUUAGAACCAUACCUGCCACAACAUCAGGCUCCUCGGCUAGGGCAGGCUCCUCGGCUUGGGCCUGAGCGGCGAAUACCCGUCCGCUCGGCGCUGAUCGAGUCACCUCCGGCUGGCGCGGCGCCAAUGCGCGUCCUGCUGACACGGGAACAUAGGGGGCCCCUCCCUGAUAAGGCGGGGGCGCUGGAGCCGAUGCGACCGACGGAGUAGACGAGGCCCUUGCCGGACAGUCACGGCUAAUAUGUCCUUCUUGUCCGCAGUUAAAGCACCGUCCUUGUCGUUGACUACACUGCGGUGCCCGAUGGCCUCGAUCUCCACAAAUAGGGCAACGCCGCGGCCCACGGCCCCACGACUGCGACCGCGGAUGCUUCGGGGGCCUCCUCGAACUCGACUGUCCACCCGAACCGCCGCCCGAUCGCUUCUUCCCCUUGUCUUGGGAUCCGGCCAACAACUCACGCUCCUCCCGCACAUGGGCAUCUCCAUGCUCUGCCCACAGCGCCUUGUUGAAGACCUCGGCGAAAGUUGUGAGCUGGAAUAGCUGCACCGCUCUAUAUAUCCAUGGCCGAAGUCCUCGCAAGAACCACUCGGCUCGAUCCGCGUCGUCCUUGACCACGUCCGGGACGCAGUCUAUAAUGUGGGAGAACUCCUGCUCGUAGUCCGCCACCGAGCGAUCUCCCUGCCUCAACUUGCGAAACCUCUCCUUCAACUUCCGCUUCUCGGUGUCGGGGAAGUAGUUUCCGAACAUCUCCUUCUUGAACUCCUCCCAGAGCAUUGGCGGAAGAUCAGAGGGUCGAUCCCGCUUCAACCGCUUCCACCACACCUUCGCCGCCUUGUCGAGGCAAUGGGUGGCGAAAGGCACCUUAUCUUUCUCCGAGGUAUAUAGGUCCUCGAAGAGAGUCUCCAUAGAGUCUACCCAAGACUCUACCACCGACGGCUCCACUUUCCCCCCUUCAAAAGUUGGUGGCUUAAACUUCAUAAACCUCAUUAAAGCCGUUAGCGCACGCUCCCGCUCCACUUCAUCGGCCGUCGUAUCAAGCGUCGCCGAACCCGAAGCUGUCGGAGGCGCACUUGUCGGCGGGGGAACCGCCGCCAUCGGAACCGCCGCUAUGCCCUCACCCUCGGCCGCUACCGGCGUGCGUGCCGAAGGUGCGGGCGGAUCGCGAUCUCCUGCCGCCGUCGCGGCCGCCGCCGCUGCCGCUUGCCGCUCCACAACUUCCUGGAGCUGCUCGAACCGAGCCUCCUGGCGCUGCAUCGCGCCCAACAUUGCAGCGACCUGCUCCCGCAGCUCCUGCACCUCCUCCGAUCUUGGCUGCUCGGGCUCCGCAGAAGGCGGUACCGGAGCAGACCUACGCGCAUAACGCCUUGGGGACAUUGCUCCUGAAAAGCAACAACUCGGUUAGUUAUCUCAAUCCGAUAACUUCCUCAACGUUCACAAAACUAAACGACUCAACAAUAAAAUCGGGCGGAAGCUCGCAAGUGCUCUAGUGUUGGACUCUUAGCGUUGCGUCGUCGGCCGCCGACACAACCACUACAAGCCAAGAACUAGUGUCACUUGUAUCCGUCUCUAUUCACAGCUAGAGAUGUGCCAUCAACUUCGACCCAAUCAAUCAACUUCCGCCACCGCCAUGGGUUCACGUUCACUCACGUCCCUAUAACCUUAGGGUUCACCAACCUAGGGUCUCCUAGGUCAUCCUAGACUCUCUCUUUACUUGCUCUUAAGUGCUCUGAUACCACUUUAUCUGUCACGCCCCGCGACCGCUACCAAUUUGGUCCGGCCCGGGCGCGUCGAACAGACGCCGAACGGACAGGACCUCCCCUGUCCGUCCAAGGCUAACCAACAGAUCGUGCAUAAGAAUUUACCCAGGAAUCAAUUCAUAAAUACACGAUCAAUAAGCACCACUAGUGCUAUAAACAAGAGCAAGAUACAAGUAUAGAAACAUAUACAAGUACAUAAGAGAGAAGAGACUAUCUAUUACAUUCAUUUGAUUUACUACAUUUAGAUACAUCUUUUACAUUCUUCCAAAAUAUAAAUACAAGCAAUCAACCCUCACCCUAUACAACAUCUACUCUCAAAUACAAAAGGGGUGACGGCUAAUGCAAGAAGAGGAGGUAGCUAAUGCGACUAGAACGCCGGGCCCUUACCGCGAUCCUCACGCUCACCGGGGACGCCCGAACUGGAACCUGUGGUAAAAUGGGGGUGAGAACUAACUUCCUUAGUUCCCAGUGGGUUCGGCCGCCGACUCCGCCGAUCUCCCCACUAGGUCCAAGCGGGCAUAAGUAGACAAUCGAUAGAUAGGUAGAUAGAUAAGGAAAGCUGUAAAUGGCGGAAAUGAAGCUACGCUACCAUGCCCAAUCAUAAGUAUAUGAAUGCAUGUCCAAUGAAAUAGGUAAGCAACUAAUCUGUUAUCAUGUCCAAGGGUGAAGCUAUUCACUCGUUCAUUAACCUCAUUUACUUGUUCAUUAAUCUCAUGGCUUACCCGAAGGCUCGCCUACAGCUCACUAGCCAUCUCGACACGUAGGGAGAAUUAACUCACACUACGGACCCGAGACCGUCUGGCGGGGCCAUAUAGGCAAUCCCUGGCGUGACCAACAUCCGGAGCGCACUACUUGUGUGGGGCUUCCAUCACAAGAUUUAACAGACCGUGAGCAUGAUCCAAUCCUCUAAGCUCGAGGAUACCCUGUCCUCUAGAGUCACAAUCAUCAUAUAGUCCAUAGGUGUCGCAUACACUAUUAACUAGAUUGUCCGUUUGUCCGCUAUCGACUAGAUGCCACUCGUUCAUAGUUUACUAUUAACUAGAUGCCACUCGUUCAUAGUUCAUCAUUUUCUCUACAUCAUAGGAUUCACAAUCUCGACCCAAUCCUUAUCAAUCCAAUAUAUCAAUUAUCCGAUGUACGCUACGAUACCAUGAAGGAAAAACAUAAGGAAAGGCAAUGCAUACUAAUCCUAUAAUGCAAUAAUACAAGAUGCAAGAUCAAAUAUACUAAGACAUAGGAGGGAGCCCGAUUGCUUCGGGAUGGACACCACCCACCUCUUGGCGAUGCCGUGAUAGUAGAAAACUCGACGUUGGGGUUCUUGUACGCCGCUUCAACUCCUCGGGGCGAAGCGAGCCCUCGAGUACCCGAUUCGGCGAUUUCUCCGCACCCGCUCGUCGGAUCGAGAAACCGACUUCGCCGACGCGUUCCGGGACCUAGCAAUUAGGUUUGCGACCUAUUAGAUUAGAUCAAAACCCUAGAUUUACCAAAAACCCAAUUCCGUGCCCUAGGAUGGCAACGGGGAAGAAAUCCGUGGUGCGAGCUUCAAUUGCGAGCUCGAACCUUCUCCCUAGUUCCAUUAGGUCCCAUUCAAACCAUAAAAACCCCAAAACCCUAGAAACACCAUUAAAGGGUUUAGAGCUUACCCCUACACAAGGUUCCUUCAAGCUUGAGGGAGAGGGAGAGAAGAAGAUAUCUUCUUCUUCUUCUUCUUCUUAGUCUUCUCUUUCUCUUUCUUCUUCUUUCUCUUCUUCUUCUCCUUCCUCUUCUUCUUCUCCUUCUUCUCUUUCUUUUCUUUUCUUUCUUAGAGAGAGAGAGAAAAGAGGGUAAGAGAGAGAGAGAAAGCAGCUGAGAGUGAGAGAGAGGGGUCCCCCACCUCUAAUAAAGGCCAUUUUGCAUAAAAGCCCCUCAACUUUCACCCUAGUGCACUACCCUCACUGGGCAGUUUUCGCGCGGAGGGACCGGUCUCCCCGACUUGGGACCGGUCCCCGAAGGCUGCCAUUUCGAGCAGAGGGAUUUUCGCGUUCGGGAACCGGUCCUUGCCUGAGAGACCGGUCCCCGGGAGACCGGUCCUUGUCCGAGAGACCGGUUCCCGAGAGCUGCAUUCUCGGGACUUAGCCAAAUUUGGCUAAGUCUCGCCAGGCCAACGUUCGGGAACCGGUCCCUGCCAAUCAGGGACCGGUCUCAUCAGAGACCUCCGCAACCCAGCCUGAUGGAACCGGUCCCUCCCUGCUAGGGACCGGUCCCCGAGAGCAUUUCUGCUCCAGUGCAGAUUUUGCACUGGUGCUCCCGCGGACCCUUCUUUAAUGCACUUUAUGCAUUAUAAUCGCCUUCGGACUUUCCGAAGCCUACACCCUCGACGAAUAGUCGAUUCUAAUCGAGGUCUAAUCCUCGAGUUUCGAGAAUUCACUUCCUUACACUUUUAGCCCUCAAAUUAACUAUGACAUCCUUGACACUUUAGUUCUCGAACUCAUAGUUAGUUAAUUCCUGAACUAUUCACGAAUUAUUCGCAAAUUAUUGAAAAUCCGAAUAAAACGAUUUGUAUGCGAUUUAUUCCCCAAAAUUCAAAAUAAAAUGCGAAUUUUUGUGUUAGAUUUAUUAUUUGCGAAUAAAUCGCGUAUGCCGAACUAUUCGGCCAAAAAAAGCGCAAAAUCUCUUUCCGAAUUUUGCCGAAUUAUUUGCGAAUUAUUAAAAGACUUCAUAAACUUCUAGAAUAUGUGGAUCAUGAAAAAGAUAAAGAUGGAGAUGACAAUAAAAUUUGCUAUUAUUUUUUUUUUCACUUAAUCUACUUUAUUUUGUUAAUCUCUAUUUUUAUAUUCUUAAGAAUUUAUAACUAUAUAUGCUAGUAGCAUAAAUUUAGAGAAAAAAACUUAAUUUAAUAGCCGAAUUUUUGAUCCCGAAUUUUUAAUUGGUGAACGUAUAAUUUCAUAUAAAUUGCAUAUUCGAAUAAUUGGCGAAUUCGUUUUUUAAGCAAUAUUUUUCAAAGAAUUUAGAGAUUGAAGAAAUAUGAAUUUUGUUUAAACUAUAUCCAUAUCGAAUUUUUGCCGUGUAAGGACUGAGAAUUUGGCAGUGCAAUUAGACUCUUUGUUGACGAUGUUUUUGUGUGUAAUUUAAUUACAUAAGCACUCGUCAAGUUUCAGGAGAAAAUGAGUUAGAAUGGAGAAGUUACGCGACCUUUACUAAUCACUUAAAGUGAAUAGUAACUUCGAUUUUCGAAAAGGCCUGGGGCCUUGGACAACCAGUCCAGAGGUCACCCGCUGCCCGCACACGCUACCCACAGCAACCACGAAACGUAAAUUUGCACAUAAGCCCUUGCAACUAUAUAAAAUCACAUCAUUUUAUGUGAUUUUCAGAUUUUUACGGCCCGACAGUAAACCGAGGACAUUCGAGCCUGGCCGAGACACCUACUGAUAGGUCUCGACAUGCCGGAGGCCGUGCUCAUGAUUCGGAGCAUGGCCGACCACUUUGGAGAGCGCGGGAGCGACUCGAAGUUCAGCGAACACUGCACGCUGAAACUAAAACACGUCCAAUUCCCCAAUCUCGGGCUCGUUUGUGAGGACUAAGAUUUGUGCUAUGCAGAUAAACCCUUCGUUGAUGAUAUUUUUGUGUGUAAUUUAAUUACAUAAGCACUCGUCAAGUUUCUGAAGAAAACGAGUUAGGAUGGAGAAGUUAUGCGACAUGUACUAAUUACUUAAAGUGCAUAGUAACUCCGAUUUUUCGGAGAGGCCAAUUAGUAGAGAUGGCUUUUGAUGCGUAUUGGCACUACAAGAAUAUUAUAUAUUAGUGGCGAGUAAUGUCGCCACCAUAUAUAUAUAAGUUGCCACCUUUUUAAAAGGUGGCGAUUUUUAAAGUCGCCACAAGCUGCCACCGAAAGUGUUGCCGCUAAAUGAAAUUGUGGCGACGCAUGAAAAAUCGCCACCUUUUUUAAAAUAGCGUGGCGACAUUUUAUCGCCACGAAAUAUGACUUUUAGUGGCCAUUGCUAGCCGCCACCUUAUUAAANCCACCUUAUUAAAGAUAGAGUGGCGACAUAUUGUCGCCAUCAAAUAUGACUUUUUAGUGGCCCUUCUUAGUCGUCAUUUUUUAUGGAGAUAAGAUGGCAAUACAUUUUCGCCACCAAAUAUUACCUUAAGUGGCAACCAUCACAGUCGCCACCUUAAUUAAAAAUAAAAAUGCAACUUUUUGUCGCCACCAACUGUGCAAUAAAUGACCACCAAUAAUAAAAAGGUAAUAAACUAAAUAUAAAAAUAUACAGCUCAUAUUUUAUAAACAGAACAUAUACAAAAUAACAAACAAAAUAUUAAAGUAAACAAAGUUAUUAUUUUAACAACAAUUUAAAAGGCUAAUUGACUUCUAAUUCACAACAGCUUAAAAACAAAAUAAUAGCAAAGUCAAUUUAAAGGUAAUAGAGUAAUAAUAUUCGAUAUACAAUUCAACAUCAUUCCUAACUCUCUCAACUUUAAAAAUAGAAAAUAUUUAAAAACGAUAAAAAAAAAAUGCUUCAGCUCCUAUUUCAACAGCAAUUCAUUUCCUGCAACAAAUAAAAGAAAUAAAAGAAAAGUAUAUACAUUAAACAAUCUACAACAAGUUAGAAUAUUUUUUGCAUAGUUGGAUACACAAACAAUUUGUCUUUUUGAAUUUUUGAUUUAAUGAAUUAUUAACAAAAUAGACAAUUGUCAAAACUAUGUACAUGCAUGUUCUACUCUCAUUAAGGGAAAAAAAAAAAACAGACAUGGAAGAGAAGUAGAAAAAGGGGGAAUAGAUCAUAGGUGCCAGCAAAUCAAUUUAGCAACAGUUCAUGUUGUUAUCAUGCCCAAAUUCAACAUAAACAAGUAUUAUGCCAAUUCGAUCAUUAUUAGAUAAUGUGUGCUUGUCUCUCUGCAUUUAAAUACAUAUGCAUACAAACAUAAAUAAAUACGGCCAUUACACAUAACCACCAAUUUACACACAUGCAUUGAUGCAAAAAUGCGCAUGGAUUAAAGGCAUGCACAGAAACAAGCAUGCUUCUACGAAUAUGUUCCCGUGGAGAACUAGAUCGUAUAUUAGAACAUAUAUUAUAUCUGUCAUGUGACAUUCAUGCAUUAAGAAAAAAUUUACAAAGCAUACAAAGAGAAUCCACAAUAAAAUUGGCAUGGCAGAACAAUUCUCCAAGCUAGUAAGACAAACACGGUUAAGGCAUACAUGAGUAGGAAAUUCCCGACCAAGAAGUAUGUGUACAAUACAGAAUGAGUAGUACAUUCAAAACUGGAAAGUAUAAAAAAAAUAUUGAAAAUCAUCAAAAACAAAGAAGGUCAAAAUUGCAUUUUUCAAUGUCCCAUUAGAAUUGCAGCAACAAAUCAUACCUAUCAAUCACAUCUUUUGUGCAAGAACAGUUAGAUUGUUCUUCUGGUUGACGGGUUGGCCGCGGAUUUGCACUGUAGGCGGCCUAGCAUUACCCAUGGCCGGUUGGCUCGCCAUCCUGAAAUUAGCAUCAGGUAGUUUUGGACAGUUAAUAGUGGAACAAAUUAUUAGCAUAUUGAUUUGGCAAAAAACAAGGGGUACAAUGUAUGGAUUGCUCCUCUAGUAUCUCGAUAUAGCAAUUUGUACCCUGAACUUCAACAUAUAUCAUUCAAGUCCUGACCGCAUGAAAAUCUAAUUUUUCUUAUUUCCCCUUAUAGACACUAUAUUAUCCCAUUUCCUAUAUAAUGACGACUAACUUAUUUUAGUUUACUUUAAACAGGGUCAAAAGGUCAGCUUAUGAAAUGACUAUGCACAAAUUUAUUUUAGUUCAAGGACUCUAUGAGAAGUCCAAAUGCUGGAAUACUACAUGUGGAUUCAUCUCCAAAUAUAGGUCAGUUGGAAGUGGGUCCCUGAACUACUCAUUUCUUCAAUUUGAACCCCUCAACUAGCGUAUUCCUUGAAACCAGAAUAACUCCAUAGAACUAAUUAAAGGACUCUGAACCAUUCUAGACAGAACUUUCGGAAACUUAAUAAAAUAUUCCAUGACCUAACCAAAUAAUCUGAAACUACUUCAAAGGGAAGUGUUAAAUUCUGAAGGUCUUCGAGGAUUUUCUCAAAUCUAACAAUGAGUUAGCUAGGCAAUUCACACCCCAAGAUUAACAAUCUAUAGUUCAAGAAUACAUCUUUGUGUAACAAUUAUGGGUAAAGUGCUCCACUACUCCCCGAACAUUCAGCCAAGUUUCAUUUUGUCCUUGCACUUUCAAUUUUGACGUUAGGGUUCCCUAAACUCUUCAAAGAGUUUCACUUUUAAUCCUCACACAUAUUUACUAUUGGAGGAUAAAUUGUUGCCUACACCCAGUGCAUUUGUACAUCUAUGCACCAUACAUUUAUUAAUUACUUUUUCCAUCGCAUAUUUCAACCCUACCAUCCACUGAUUUAUAAUUUUUCUCUAUAUAAGAAUUGGACCUCUGGAAUGAAAGUAUGAAUGGAUGAAAAACCAAUGAAUUCAUGGUGAACAAACAAAUAGAUGAACUAAGUGCUAGCGAUAAUUACUCUAAGGAUAAAUGAAACAUUGUUCAGAGUUUAGGGACUAAAUUGAAACCUCACCAACAGUUUAGGGUCUUGAAAGUCGAAAUCAAAAGUUUUGAGGACCAAAAUGAAAGUUAACUCAAAAGUUCAAGAACAGGUAAUUCAAUUUACCCUUAUAAUUAUUACACAAAUCAGGUAUUUCAGCUAGUAACUUAAUAGUGCAGCUAAACAUAGGAAUAAUUUCUACAAAAUAAAACUUGCUUAGCCGGUGCACCUAUAUAUUCUUGAUAGCAGCUGUCAUGGCCAUGAAGGCCUGUUCAACAUUAGUGGCAUUUUUUGCACUAGUCUCCAUGAAUGGAAUGCCAAUUUCAUCAGCAAAUGCCUGAAGGGGACAAAAUAAUUAAAUAAACAUCAAAAUUAAUACUCCUAACAAAGAAAAGAGAAGUAGAGACACCCUAAAUAGCAUAUAUCUCAUGCAUAAUACAAAAUCCUUUUGCAUCGCUUUCUACCAAAAUCUAAUUAAAACUAGCAGAAAAUUGAGAAUUGAACAGGCCAGCAAUGACAUUAACUGUUAAAUAUACGAAUGAAAAGCAAUUAGUUGAUUAAGAGUAGAUUUUGAUUAAGUCAAGAUAUUUCAAUAAGACCUUUCAAGAGGGAAAUUUAAAAACUAUGAAACUCUAAUUGUAGGCGGAUAAAAUGGAUUUCUAAUCAAGUUAUUUUUUCAUUUUUGCAGUUGGAGGUGGUUUCACUUUUUUAACUGAAAUACCCAAGUCUCAUUAUAUCUACAUUAGUAACUUAUAACAAGGAUUCUUGACCUUUUUGAUGUUAACGAUGUGUAGAGCAGAAAAAGGAUGAGGGAAGAAAUUGAAAUUACCUUAGCCGUCUCAUAAGACACAACUUUGUUUGUUGUAAGAUCACACUUGUUACCCACAAGAAGCUUGUUGACAUUCUCACUUGCAUAACGGUCGAUCUCAUUUAACCAUUGCUUUACAUUAUUGAAACUCUCUUGGUCUGUCACAUCAUACACAACCUGCAAUUCCAGGAUCAAUACCAUGAAAUGUUUCGUGGGGAUUCUUGAUCAGUAGGCAUAUGAUUAAAAAAGAGAUAAUGUACACAUACACCCAUGAAAAAAUCUGAAUACUUGUAUUUUCUUCAAAACUUGAUUUCUUAGAUAUAUAUUCCUUCUCUUAAAAAAGUGUACCUCUCGACUGAAAAAUGAGGUUGAGAAAUAGACUUUCAUUAAACAUGCUUAAAAGCAUUUUUUAUACCAGCCUAGCUUCUAUAUAUAUAUAUAUAUAUUAUAUAUAUUAUAUAUAUAUAUAUAUAUAUAUAUAUAAAUGGUACACGGAGGCCUCCGUGCUAUCGAUAGAUAUACAGCCUAAGCUCUAUCCUGAGCAUGGAAGCUGCAUUGUUCCUUACACACCAGCCUUGAGUAGAGGUGACAACAGAUCAAAUAAUGCUCAAUACACUUCUACAAGGCAUAGAUAUAUUAAACGGACACCACAAUUCAAUACCAUCAAUCUAAAUAUAGAUACAGAUAUAAAUGUGCAACAAAAUGCAUAUUAAAUGGUUAGGGUAUGAAUAUGAUAUGAAUUAAACACUAAACGAAUGCAGCUACAACUUGGAUAUGAAAAGGAACAUGAAUACAAAUCAAACCAGUAACUCAAUUAUAUAUCUAUAUAUAUAUAUAUAUAUAUAUAUAUAUAUAUAUAAAAGAGUUGCCAUAAGAUUUCGUAAUACUUUGGUGCAGCAUGUGAGAACAAAGAAGUACUAAUACUAUGAAACUAUAAUCAUAUCAAACAACUCAAGCUCAAUUAUGUAGAGCAGAUAUAGAAAUAAACAACAAUGUACAAAGAGACAAACAGUUGUAUACCUGAAAACUCCGCCUGUGCUCCUCGAGGAUGAUCCGGAGGAGCGAUGCGAGCCGCAAGACCAUUUUGCGGCGCCCGAGGAUGAGCGAAACGUUGAGGAACCUUACGAGGAGACGGAGCUGCUUGUGCGUGAGGGCGACCUCGGAGGCGGUGGCGGCGGCGGCGGAGGGGGCGUCGCGGAGGUACUCGCGGUCGAGGACGGCCUCGUAGAAGACGAAGGCCUCGGCGAGGUAGGAGGAGUCGCUGGUGCGGCGGUACUAGCCGUAGUAGAGCUGGGCGAUGCGGUACGCGAUCUCGCCCACCUCCCACCGCCGUAUCCCGGCCUCGGUGAGCGCCGCGCGGUGCUCCUGCUGCAUCUUCCACAGCCGCGUGUAGAUCUUGAACGCCUUGUGGGGAAGUCCCCAUCGUCCCUGAAUCGAAGAACAAGAAGAAGAAAAAGAAGAGGGAUCGAAUUAGGGUUCGGGGUGAGAGGUUUGGGGGAGGUAGGGGGUUAGGGUUUACCGAUUGCGGUCGUGGGAGGGGCGAUCGCGGACGCGGGAGAAGCGGCGAUCGGCCUUGCCGACGAGGGACCGGAACUGCUCGGUGAUGGGGAUGGCGCUGUUGUUGCUCUGCGCCAUGGACGAGGAGAGGGUGGGGAGGACGAGAGAGAGGAGGAGGAGGAGGAGGAGGAGGAUGCUAGGGUUUUUGGGUGGAGAAGGGGAAAAAAGGAAAAGAGUUGGGAGGGUGAAGAAGAAGAGGAAGAGGAAGACGAAGAUGAGGAGGAGGAGGUCGACGAGCGUGAAAGGCAUCGGGUUUCGGAUUUCGGGUAUCGGGUUUCGGGUUUCGGGUUUGAAGAAUUUGUUUAACCGCAAUGGCAUCGAUUUCGAUUGGGUUUAAUUUAAUUUAAUUAACUAAUAAUUUAAUUUAAUUUUUAAAUUUAAUAAGUUAAUUUUUAAAAUUUAAAAUUUAAAAUUUAAUUUAAUUAAUAAUUUGUAAUUUAUUUAUUUAUUUAUUUAUUUAUUUAAGUUAAAUUUAAUUAAUUUUUAAAAAAUAAAUGACAAUAAUUAAUAGGUAAACACUAAUUAAUAAAGCUCUUGAAUUUAAAAAUUCAACUAAAUUAACUAGAAUAAAAUAAUCAAAAGAAGUUCAGAGGUGUUAAUCAAAAUAAAAUUAAAAUUCAUAAAGCAAUUUCAAAAUGAUCUGAUGUUGAAAGUGUCUCUAUACAUUUUCACCCUCAAUUUUUAACAACUAUAGUUUUUUCACCUUCACUAUACAUUAUUUUGAUAUAAACGUUUUAAAUAUUUUAUUUUUAUUGUAAUUUUAUUAAUAAUAUGCGUCAAUUUUUUUUAUCAUCACUAUAGCUAACCAAAUAGUGGCAAAAAAUUAGUCAUUCAGUGGCGAAAGUAGUAUUGCCACUUAAAGUUAAUUAAUUGGUGGCUAAAUUUUUUUAUCGCCACUUAAAGUUAAUUAAUUGGUGGCAAAAUUUUUUUAUCGCCACUAUAGGUAACCAAACAAUGGCGAUAAAAUAAUCAUUUAGUGGCGAAAGUAAUAUUGCCACUUUAAAUUAAUUAAUCAGUGGCAAUAUUUUUUAUCGCCAUCAUAAAUAACAAUUUAGUGGCAACAAAAUAAUUAUUUAAUGGCGAAAGUAGUGUCACCACUUUAAGUUAAUUAAUCGGUGGCCAUUUGUUUUAUCGCCACCAUAGAUAACCAAAUAGUGGCGAUAAAAUAAUCAUUCAAUGGCGAAAGUAGCAUUGCCACUUUUAGUUAACUAAUCAGUGGCAAUUUUUUUUAUUGCCACAAUAAGUAACUAUAUAGUGGUGACAAAAUUUAUCGCCACAUUAUUUUUGCCACCAAUACUGUCGUUUCUUGUAGUGUGGACUCCGUUCAUAGUGAUCCAAUAGCUCGUUCUCGACGGUUCGACUAUCCUGGACCCAAAAAAUUGACGGAAUUAGAUUUUGAGGCACGAUUUUCGAGAAAAAGGGGGUUUAUUGGAUUUACAUAUAUAUAUAUAUGUGUGUGUGUGGGGGGGGGGGGGGGGGGGGGGGGUUUGGAAAAUUGGAGAGCGGAUGAGUUUCGUCGCAAAUCUACGACCAAAGCUGAUGAAACAAAAUUGUAGAUUUGAUGCCCCAGUCGUACUGAACGCGCUUGCGUGAUCCGAUCGGAAAUCCGAUGGACGGAUCUCCGGGAAUCGCGAGAUGUUCGCUGAGGGGUCGAAAUUGGCAAAACGAAAAAUCUGCGAAAAGCCAAAUAUUUUAUGUACCGUUUUGCGUGAUUUCGAACAUCAAGGUGCUUGUGCGCAAAAUACACGUGCCAGCAGGGACUCAGCUGAAAAUAAUUAGGUAUGGGGUUUUAUCUGCAAAAGUGCACAUGGUAUAUUAGUGGCAGCUAGGGUUUCUAUGCAUGAAACCCUAGAUCUAGCCGACCCAGCUCCCCAGCUAUGCCAUAGUCAACAUCAGCAAGUCCCUGCCCUUGCUGUGCGCGCACCCUAGCCGUCGGUGAGCGUCCCCGGCCGCCGGAAAAGCUUGGUCGGCCUCUCCUCCAUCAUCUUCUCUACCUAACCGCCACCCUUCUCGACUUUUUAUCUCGAGAAGUCGCCCACACGUGUCGGGCCUCCAUCCCUAGGCCGAGACCGACCUCCGGCACCGUUCCCGCCGGUCCCCCUCCAUCCGCGCGCGCUGCCAGUGUCUCUUGGGAGAUCCGCGGCCACCCGCAGUGUAACAUACCGAAACUCGGUAGAGAAUAUCGAACUUUGGUCAAAUUGACUAAAGUGUGCGAAAGGAAUAGUUGGACAAAGUCCAUUUAUCAUUCCAACAAUGUUGGAAUGGUUAAAGUUGAGUUCCAAGGGAGUUGGAAAGGUUUUAGCGUUGCUCAGCGCGAAUUAGAAUCGAAACAAUGCGAGAUUGAGGUUCGGGAGCAUUUGGGUGUUUCGGUGCGCGUUGGACGCGAAAACGGAACCCGAAAGGCCAUGUUGGACCAUGGAUGUGAGGAAAUGAAUUCUCGAAAUACGAGGAUUAGACUUCAUGCAGAACCAACCAAGGGUCGUGUUGGUGAGCUUUGGAGAAGCCAAAGAUAUUAAAAUCACCAAAAGUGCAUUGAAAACGAGUCCACGAGAGCAAUUGGUGCAAAAUCUGCACUGGAGCAAAACUGCUCUCGGGGACCGGUCCCUAGCAGGGAGGGACCGGUCCCAUCGGCGGAUGUUGCGGGGUUGCGUGAGGCAACCGGUCCCUGGCAGGGAGGGACCGGUUCCCGAACGUGAUCCGAGCGAGAAAGCCAGAAAUUUGGCUAAGUCCUGAAAAUAUUGCUCUCGGGGACCGGUCUCACAGGCAAGGACCGGUCUCCCGAGGACCGGUCUCUCUGGGAGAGACCGGUACCCGAACGCGUGACCCUAGCUGAAGCUCUCGGGGACCGGUCCCAAGUCGGGGAGACCGGUCCCUCCGCGCGCAGACAGCCCAGUGAGGGCAGUGUACAGAGAUGAAAGGUGAGGGGCUUUUAUGCAAAAUGGCCUUAGUUAGAGGGGUAUACAUGGGAGAUCACUCUCUCCCUCUCUCAGUUCACUCUCUCUCUCUCCCUCUCACACUCUCUUGCUCUCUCUCUCUCUAGAAAGAAAAGAGAAGAAGAAGAAGAAGAGGAAAAGAGAAGGAAAAGAAGGAAGAAAAGGAAGGAGAAGAAGAAGGAGAUCAACAAAGGGAAGCUUUUGGACCUCUCCUUCAUCCUCUCUUCUCUCUUUGAAGCUACAACAAGAGGUAGGCUUCUAACCCUAGCUAUGAAAUUUGGGGUUUUUAGGUUUUAGCUCUUUGGAUGGGAUCAAAUGGAUCUCUAGUACCAUGAAUAGAGGGAUUAGAGCUAAAAUCUACGGUUUUGAGAUGGGUUUAGCUUGAUGCUAACCCUAGGGCACCAAAAUAGGGUUUUUGGUAAAGUAUGAGAUUGAUCUCAUUUGAGGCCUUGUAAACCCAAUUGCUAGGUAACGAAGCGCGGGGGCGAAGUCGGAAUUUCGAUUCGCCGAGUGGGUCAAGAGCUAUCGGCAAAAUAAGCCGAUUGGGAAUCAUUUGGACCAAGAAAAUCGAGGCUUCGUCGUAAAGAACGCCGAAGCGCAUUUUUAGAGCCUCCGUAUACACAGAAGGUGGGGGGUGUCAUCCCGAAACAUCCGGGUUUCUUUUUAUGUCUAAGUUAAUUAUAUUGAUCAUAUUGUGCUAUAGGAAUAGUAAUUGUACAUUUCCAUUUCCUUGCAUGCUUUCUCGGUAGUGUAGCGGGGUGAGCUUGACACGUGGACUAGGAUAGCAUGAGGAUUGGGUCUUGUGACAUAGAAUCCUAUAGCGGCAUAAAGAGCCGAACUUAGACAUAUGAUAGCCUAGUAGAGUGGCAUUGAACUAGUGUAGUAGAAACACUAAAUUGAAACGAGUGGCAUGUCAACUAGUAGAAAACUUACUACAAUGACCGAACGAGUGGCAUCGAGUCUAGUGUAGUAAACUUGACGUGAACUUAGGGAUAGUUGAGAUCCCGGCAUCUAGGAUGCAUUGUAUAUUGUGCAGCAGAGGCACAUUGACCCUAGUAGACAGGGUAUCCUCUUGUGAGGAUUGGAUCAUACUCACUAGUCUGUUUUUGCUUGUCGGUGGUCGCUCCACCGAGGCACGAGUCUCCGGAGUACUUCACUAGGGGCAGACGUAGUUGUCCCGCAGACGGUCUCGGUGUGCGAGUGCAGUUUCUCCUCACCUAUGAGAUUGAGAGUGAGUCGAGGGUUUAACCUACGGGUUAACCAAGUAGAUUGGGUAAUAAACAUGAAAUGCAUAGUAGACUUGCAUUAUUACCUUGAGUAGACAUAGUGUAUGUGGUAGUUUACAUUACUAUGCACCUUUAUAUACUCAUGACAUGACAUUAGCAUGAUAGUAAUUGUUGCAUGCAUUAUUAUCAUUGAUGGCAUGAUAGAGUAGUUGCAGUUCAUUUUCUAUCUAUCUAUAUAUCUCUCUAUCUGUGCCAGCUUAGACCUAGUGGGAAAACCGGCGGCGUCGGCGGCCGAACCCACUGGGAACUAUAUUUAUAUAGUUCUCACCCCGUGUGGUUUUGGGGUACAGGUACGCACAGAGGCCAGUCAAGCGAGGACCGCGGCAAGGGCAUAGCGCCCUAAGUGAGUUUAGCUAGUAGCUUUUUCUUUAUGCAUUAGAGUACCCUCGUGUACUAGAUGAUGUUUUGGAUAGUUAUUAAAGAGCUACUUGUAUUUUGAGGAAAACCUGUAUUUACAUUUUGGAAGAUGGAAAUGUAAAAUAUUCAAAUGAUGUAAAUGUUGAAUGGUUGUAAUAGUUAGACUAUCUCUCUUUAUACACUUGUAUCUACUUGUGGUUCUUGCUCUUAGAUGUAUUGCACUUGUGCAUCGUGUUGAUCAUGUAUGUUAUUUAAGCAUUCCCUGGGCGCUUACUUGUACAUGAUCUGGGUGUUUAGCCUUGGGCGGGCAGGAGAGGUGCUGUCCGUUCGGCGGUCCGUCCGGCGCGCCCGAACUGUGCCAAAUUGGUAGUGGAUUCAGGGCGGGGCGUGACAGUGUUGGUAUCAGAGAGAUUAAGAGCAAGUAAAGAGAGAGUCUAGGAUGGACCUAAGAGACCUUAGGACGGUGAACCCUAGGAUUGUGUAGGUACGUGAGAGAAACGUGAACCUAUGUCGGUUGAGGAAGAAUCCGAUUAGGUCGGAUCGAGUAUAGAUCUCUAGUGUGGCUAGAGAUAGAUCCGAGCGGUGUUAGUUCCGAGCUCGAGGAGUUUUUGUUGGCGGCCGACAACACGACGCUAAGAGUUCGAACUAAUACACUUAUGUACUUCCGCUUAUAGCGGAGCUGAGUCGCGUAAUAUAGUGUAUGCGAUGGAGUUAAGUGGGUUAAUGGCUAACCCAAUUGUUGCGUUGCAGGAGAUAAUGUCCCCAAGACGCUACGUACGUAGGUCCGUUCCGGCACCAUCUCCUGAUGUGCCCGAGGAAGCCGGAUCUAGUGAGGUACAAGAGUUGCGUGCGCAGGUGUCGGCACUAACCGGCAUUGUGCAGCGCCAAGAAAGUCGAUUCGAGCAGCUCCAAGGGCUUAUGGAGCGGCAUUUUGCGGCGGCAACUGCAGCUGCGACUGAGGGUCGUGAUCCGCCCCCGCCUCCAGCUCGUGCGCCUACGGCGGCUGAGGGUGAGGGCAUUGCGGCAGUUCCGGUGGCGGCACGUCCUCCGCCGGCGAGCGUUCCUCCGGCGGCGUCGGGUUCUACGACACCCGAUGCGACGUCAUUGGAGGCGGAGAGGGAGCGCGCACUUGCGGCUCUCGAGAAGUUCCGAAGGUUUAAUCCACCGACCUUCGAGGGGGAGAAGGUCGAGCCAUGGAUGGUUGAGUCGUGGGUGGACUCAAUGGAGACCUUGUUCGAGGACCUCUACACCUUGGAGAGGGACAAGGUCUACCUCGCCACUCACUGUUUGGAACGAACGGCGAAGGUUUGGUGGAAGCGAAUCAAGAGGAACCGAGCUUCCGACCUUCCGCCGUUGACGUGGGAGGAGUUUCGGGGGUUGUUCUAUGUCAACUAUUUCCCCGAUAGUGAGAAGAAGAAGCUUCAAGAGCAGUUUCGAAAGCUGAAGCAAGGUAGCCGCACGGUGGCGGAAUAUGAGCGGGAGUUCUCUCAUAUCAUUGACUGCGUCCCUGACGUAGUGCGGGAUGACAAAGAUCGAGCCGAUUGGUUCGAGCGAGGGCUCCGGGCUGAUAUCUACCGGGCGGUGCACAUUUUGAAGCUCACUACCUUCGCGGAGGUGCUCGACAGAGCGUUGUGGGCGGAGCAAGAAAACGCUCACAUCCGGAAGGAGCGAGAAGCGUUCGAGAAUGACGGUGGUAAGAAGCGGGGCCAAAGUAGUUCGGGAGCUCAAGCCAAGUCAAGGAAGCCCCCGAAGUACCCGCGAACGCAAUCCAAGGGCCGCGGACCGCAGUGGUGCACAAUCUGUGGUGGGAACCACGAGCCUAGGACGUGUGAUCAACGGGAAGGGAAGUGCUUCACGUGUGGACAGGCGGGCCAUAUCAGCCGCCACUGUCCAAUGAGGGCUUCGCCUGCCCCUUCGGUCGCGUCGGCUCCGACGACUCCGGCGCACUAUGGAGGAGUCCCACCUGCUGUGUCAUCGGCUGGACGUGCGAUGGUGCCACGCCAACCUGAGGCGACGAGAUCGGCUCCGAGCCGGCGGGUGUUCGCCGCCCAAACUCAAGCCGAGGAACCUGCUGAGGCGGAGGAUCGCCAUGUUCUCGCAGGUAUGGUUUUAAUUAACGGAGUUCGCUCCAGGGCUAUGUUUGAUACAGGUGCUACACAUUCAUUCAUUAGUAGGUCAUUUGCACGCAUGCAUGACAUAGAACUACAAGAGAGUAAAAGCACUUGGAGGGUAUCGGGCCCCGGACGUGAUUUUAUAGUCCGUAUGGAGUGUUCGUCUUGUCCAGUGCGGUUGGGCGAUUGGAUAAUGCCUAUCCGUAUGUUGGUGUUCAAGAAGUUAAAAGACUUCGACGUCAUUCUAGGGAUGGAUUGGCUCUCGAAGUACUAUGCAACUAUUCACUGCAGAAGUAAAGUGAUUACGUUUCGCGAACCGGGCCAAGAGGAGUUCACCUACCGGGACUGUAGAAGCUCGCGCUUCGCUGCUAUGGUGUCGGCGACGAGGGCGAGGAAGUUGAUUAACAGCGGUUGUACGGCCUACUUGGCGACCGUUGUAGAGGCCGAGAGGACGACUCCGGCACUCGAGGAACUAUCUGUGGUCCGAGAGUUUCCUGAUGUGUUUCCCGCGGAGUUACCGGGGAUGCCACCAGACCGGAAGAUCGAGUUCGUGAUAGACUUGGUUCCAGGAACCGCGCCUAUCUCGAAGGCUCUGUAUCGGAUGGCGCCGGAGGAAUUGAAGGAAUUGCGGGAUCAAUUAUUGGAUCUCCUUGAUAAAGGGUUUAUACGGCCAAGUGUAUCGCCGUGGGGAGCCCCGGUCCUAUUUGUGCGAAAGAAGGACGGAUCCUUUUGACUCUGCGUAGACUAUCGCGAGUUGAAUAAAGUUACGAUCAAGAAUAAGUACCCGUUGCCGAGGAUUGACGAUCUGUUUGAUCAGUUGCAAGGGUCUCGGGUUUAUUCAAAGAUUGAUCUACAAUCCGGUUAUCAUCAACUCAAGAUUAAGCCGGAAGAUGUGCAAAAGACCGCGUUUCGCACGCGGUAUGGACACUAUGAAUUCACGGUCAUGCCGUUUGGGCUUACUAAUGCCCCGGCAGCGUUCAUGGACCUAAUGAACCGUGUCUUCAAGGAGUACUUGGACCGAUUUGUCGUGGUCUUCAUAGACGACAUCUUAGUCUAUUCUCGUAGCGACGAGGAACAUGCCGAGCAUUUGAGAAUCGUGCUUCAAGUCCUUCGGGAGGAGAAGCUAUAUGCUAAGUUUAAGAAAUGCGACUUUUGGCUCCGAGAGGUUGCAUUUCUUGGGCAUCGUAUCUCCGAGGUCGGAGUAUGCUGUCGCAGCCCAAAAAGGUGAGGCUAUCAAGGAUUUGGCCUCGGCCCUUGACAACCGCCCAGAAGGUUCGAAAAGAGAGCUUCGUUGUUUAGCGGGUUAUUAUGACGGUUUGUGGAGGGAUUCUCGAAGAUCGUUGGUCGCACUUACUCGCUGACUCGAAAGGCACCAAAGUUCAUUUUGAAAUGACUGAGGGUGCGACCAGUUCAAGAGUUGAAGGAUAGAUUAACUUUCGACUCCCGGUGCUGCUACGCGUGCAAGAUGAAUACUUUGUGGUUAUACGACCGAUCACAAUCGUCUUAGGGUGUGUUGCCUAGAUGCAGGGCGGGAAGGUGAUGCUUAAUGCGUCCGCGUCAGCUAAAGAACUAUGAGAGAGAACACCCUUUCACGGUGGGGAGUGUUAAAAAGCAAGGAGCCUGCUUGGAGAGCACUUAAGUUGCCGCCUAUAGUGUUUGCCUCUUGCAAAGUUGCUGGUGACGGCCAACUGACCGUGUAAGCGCCGAUGCUGGCGGUUGCGAGAUACUACACGCGACCAAGUAAAGUACUGGAAGAGCAGCUGUUUCAUUCAGCAAACAAGAGAAGGAGCUGCACAUGCGGGCAGGAGAGAACGGUGUUGAGAUUGCUAAAGAGACUGUUUUUUGUGGUUGUCACCGGAUCAGUGACGAAUCAUCAUAGUAUGCUGCCAGUGCGCCGGGAUAUAGAGCAAACAUGUGGCCGACGCACUUACAGCAGUCAGGUGAGAAUCUUGCUGAUGUUGGAGUUACUAGCAUCAGGAGCUCUGCGGGAGCAUAGAGAUGGAACGAUUGGUGGAUCUCCGAAGUGGAUAGCUCCGCAGAAAGUCCGAUUCUAUGCUUACGGCUCUCGUUUGUCCGCAACCGGCUUUGUUUGGAGCAGAUCAUGAUUGCAGAGCCUGCGGACGGCCCGAAUAGCGUCAGGCAAAAGAGGUGCGGUGCGAGACAGGAGCAGUGGUGACCACCGGUGAUUUCAGUGUCAGACUGCCCGAGGGUGGCGCUUCGAUUUCGAAACCGAUUGGUGCGUACCGAAAACACUGAUGGAGGUCCGGAUAGUGUGGAUUAUCACCUAUCAAAGAACGCAAAUGCGGACUCUAUAGCAUUUCACCCGGCAGGACCGGAAGAUGUACCCGCGAUCCUGAAAUGCAGGUCUGGUGGCCGGGUAUGAAGGCUGUGUUGUUCGCUAUGUAGCGCAGUCGCUUCAGUGUAUCCAGCAAGUCGAAGCUGAGCGCCGGAUUUCUCAUGCGGGAAAGCUCCAAAGUCUACCUAUUCCCGUUUUGAAAUGGGAGAAUAUCGCUGAUGGACCUUCGUGGGUCGAUUCCCCCGUUCGACGGGUGGCCACUGAGCGAUCUGGUGAACUUGUGAUCGUAUGACUAAGUCGGCCGCACUUCCUACCCGAUUACACCACCUGGUCGGCGACAGGUUAGUCGCAAGGUGUAUCUAAUGAAGUUGUGAGGUUGCACGGGGUUCCAGAAGCGAAUUCGUGUCAGAUCGAGACCCCGCGUUUACCUGUAUCGCACUUUUGGGGAAAAAAGAACGCCUGCAGAAAGCGCUUAGGCACACGGACUCGAUUCACACCGCGUUCAUCCUCAGACAGAUGGAACAGUCGAAAGGACUAUACAAAUUCUGAGGAUAUUUGCGGGCGUGUGUCAUUGACUACAAGGUAUUGGCAGACCAUUUGAUGGAUGGCCGAGUAUCGCCCUACAACAACAAGUUACCAAAGCUAGCAAAUUGGGAUGGCAACCGUCGAUGGUCCUAUAUGGACGGAAGUGCCUCGAUCCUCGACUAAUAUUCAUGGACGUGAUGUGGGUGAGCAUCGCGCAUUGGGCCAGACGUAUUGCGAGAGCGCGGAAGAGAAGGUCCGCGUCUUGCUCGGAGAGCUACUUACACGGCACAGGUGAUGGCAUAAAGAGCUAUUGCUGACAAACACGUAGAGAUUUGUAAUUCGCGUAUAGCGCCCGCGCGUUUUUCUUGACAGUUUUCACCCUAUGAGAGGUGUGAAACCUUCGAGUUGCGGGGAAAGCUAAAGGCCCCCCGAUAUAUCGGCCCUUUCGAAGUGUGGAACGUGUGGGGCGGUAGCAUACACAAAACAAAUAAAGAUCUUCAGUUACCGGCCUGAAGCUCGCGAGAGUGACAUGAUGCUAUUCCACGUUCUAACCUUUGCAAAUCAUGUCCACUGACAUUCCGGAGCCCUGUGAUGUGCAUUACGGAUACCGGCCGGACUACAGGAAAUCUAAGUUAAUAGGAGUUCCCGCGAUGAUCAUUGCUCGGAGAAGUGGCGGAAAUGAGAAGUCGUGAGAUUCCCUAUGUGAAGGUUCGUCGUGACCAAUCACCGUUACGAUCGUGAGACCACGUGGGAAACUCGGAGGAAAAGAGUGAAAGGCCACUAUAACUCAUACCUCUUGUUACCGAAAUGACAAUAAGGUAUGAGUUGAUUAAGCUUAGUGUGGGGAAAAUGUUUCGUUUCGAGCACAGAACUAUCAUUUUGUAGGAGGGGAGAUGUGAGGCAAAGUGACACUUCUCGCCAAUAACAGGAUUAACUCAUGCAAACCGACAAGGUCGUGUUGUGAGCUUUUUGGAGAAGCCAAAGAUAUUAAAAAUCCCAAAUGCAUUGGAAACGAGUCCACUGAAGCAAAUUGUGUGCAAAAUCUGCACGGACAACAAAACUGCUCUCGGGACCGUUCCUGGCAGGGAGGGAUUCGGUCCUAUCGUCGGAUGUUGCGGCGGUUGCGUGAGGCCAACCGGUCCCUGCAGGAGGACCGGUCCCGAACGUGAUCCGACGCGACGAAAGCCGCAAUUUGCUCUACGUCUGAAAAUAUUUGCUCUCGGGGACCUGGUCUCCACGGCAAGGACUGCGGUCUCCCAGGACCGGUCUCUCUGGGAGAGACCCCCGGUAGCCAGCGACAGCGGACUCCGAGCUGAAGAAACUCUCGGGGACCGGUUCCAAGUCGGGAGACCGGUCCCCCCUGCGCCAGCCAGCCCAGUGAGGCAGUGUCACGGAAUAAAAGGUUGAGUGGGCUUUUAGUGCAAAAUGGCCUUAGUUAGAGGGGUUAUCACAUGGAGAGUCACUCUCCUCCCGUCUCUCAGUUCAACUCUCCUCUCUCUCCCUCUCACACUCUCUGUUGCUCUCUCUCGCUCUAGAAAGAAAAAAGAAGAAGAAGAAGCAAGAAGAAAAGGAAGGAAAAGAAGGAAGAAAAGGAAGGAGAAAAGAAGGAGAUCAACAAAGGGAAGCCUUUUGGACCCUCUCCUUCAUCCUCUGCUUCCUACUUUGAAGCUACAACAAGAGGUAGGUCUUCUACCCUAGCUAUGAAAUUUGGGUUUUUGGUGUUAGCUCUUUGGGAUGGGAUCGUAAUGGAUCUCUAGUACCAUGAAAUUUAGGGAUUCAGAGCGCUAAACUCUACGGUUUGAGCCUGGGUUAGUUGAUGCUCACCCUAGGGCACAAAAUAGGAUUUUUGGUAAAGUAUGAGAUUGAUCUCAUUGAGGCCUUGUAAACCAUUGCUAGUAUACGAAGCGCGGCAGGGGGCGAAGUCGGAAUUUCGAAUUCGCCGAGUGGUCAAGAGCUAUCUGGCAAAAUAAGCCGAUUGGUGAAUCAUUUGCACCAAGAAAAUCGAGCGGCUUUCGUCGUCAAAGAAAGCGCCGAUAGAGCAUUUUUUAGGCCUGCGCGUAUAAUCAUGAAGGUAGGGUGUCAUUCCCGAAACAUCCGGAUUUCUGUUUUAGUCUAAGUUAAUUAUAUUGAUCAAUAUUGUCCUAUAGGAAUAGUAAUUUACAUUUCCCUUUCCUUGCAGCCUUUCUCGGUAGGAGCGGUGAAUGCUAUGACACGGGACUAGGAUAGCAUGAGGAUUGGGUUUUGUUACAUAGAAUCUAUAGCGGCAUAAACGAGCCGAACUUGGACAAUAUAUGCCUAGUAUAGUGAUUGAACUAGUGUAUUAGAAACACUAAAUUGAAACGAGUGGCAUGUCAACUAUAGAAAACUUACUACAAUUCCGAAUCGAGUGGCCAUCGAAGUCUAGUGUGUACCACCUUGAGCGUGAACUUUAGGAUAGUGAGAUCCCGGCAUCUAGAUGCAUUGUAUUAUUUGUGCGGCCAGCAGGCCGCACAUUGACCUAAGAGACAGUACCUCUUUUGAGGAUUGGAUCAUACUCACUAUCUGUUUUUUGCUUGUCGGUGGUAACGCUCACCGAGCACCAGUCUGCCGCCGAGUACUUCACUAGGGCCAGACGUAGUUGUCUCCGCAGAUGGGUGCUCGGUGUGCGAGUGCAGUUUCUCCCACCUAUGAGAUUGAGAGUCAGAGUCGAGGGUUUAACCUACGUUAACCAAGUAGAUUUGGGUAAGUUAACAUAGAAAAGUGCAUAGUAGACUUGCCAUUAUUACGCUUGAGUAGAGACAUAGUGUAUGUGUAUUUUACUUACUAUGGGCACCUUUAUAACUCAGUGACAUGACCUUAGCAUGAUUAGUACAUGUUUGCUCAUUAUUAUCUAUUGAUGGCAUGAUAGAUGUAUUGCACCUUGCAUUUCUCUAUCUAUCUAUAUAUGUCUCUAUCUGUGCCAGCUUAGACCUAGGAAAAACCGCCGGCGUCGGCGGCCGAAACACUCCACUGGGAACUAAUAUUUAUAUAGUUCUCACCCCGUGUGUUUGGGUACAGGUACGCACAGAGGCCAGUCAAGCGGAGGAACCGCGGCCAGGCAAUAGCGCCCUAAGUUAGUUUUAGCCUAGUAGCUUUUCCUUUUAUUGCAUGAGUACCCUCGUGUAUCUAUGAUGAUGUUUUGAUAGUAUGUAAAAGCUACUUGAUGUGAGGAAAAUCUGGUAUUUACAUUAUUUGGGGAAGAUAAAUGAAAAUUAAUUCCGAAUGAUCGCUAAAUUGUCUACGGUGUUUAAAAUUUAGAUCUAUCUCUCUAACCACACCUUGUACUACCUUGUGUUCUUGUCUCUUUAGAUGUAGUGCACUUGUGGCAUCGUGUUGAUGAUUUUUAUGUUAUUUCAGCCUAUUCGCCUAGGCGCACCGUUUAACUUGUACAUGGAUCUGGGUGUUUUAGUCCUUGGACGGGCAGAGAGGCUGGUCGUGUCGGUAAGCGGUCGCGUGCCGGUGCGCGCCCGGGGGACUGUGGGCCAAAUUGUAGUGAUUUCGGGGCGGGGCGUCCAGAUGGAUUAAAUCCGGGCAUAAGCGUGAUGAAUAAGAAUGGUUGAGCCACCUGCGAAACAUUCUGCGUAACAUGUUUUGGGGGUCUCGUGCGCAUUGUGGAUGAAUCUUACCCCAAACAGAGCGUGAUAAACAGCUAAAACGGGACAAAGCGGAGAAAUGCUGAAUAAUUGCCGCUGUUAACCGAUGACGGAGACACCAUGUACCGGUACAUAUUGUAAAACACCGAAACAGCAACUCUCGGUUUGCCUUCUAUGGGAGAUCGUGUUUUACCUCGGUGAAAACAAAAGUGUACCGUACAUUUGGCGUCGGCAGCAAAAAUUAGUCUGCUGGCAGAUUAGUGGUUUUUGGGGGGCUUGGUUGCUAUUGUUGCAACCACCUAUAAAAACACGUCCAACCUCCCCCUUUUUGUCUCAGCAGUAACAAACGAAACGCCUUCCUCUCUCGUCCAUUUCUUCUCCCUCUCUUUCUCUAGACAGCUCUCUACAAGCUCAAGAGAGAUGGAGGAGGAGUUAGAAGGUGGAUUUUGAGAUUAGAUGAUCAAGAAGUCUCUCCUACAAAGUGACCUUGGUAGUGCUUUGGGUUAAGGUGAGUUUAUGCAAAACACUUUUAGGUUGGAUUUAACCCACUAAUCAAGUUAACACACUGGAGACUUCGUAAAUUGCGAGGUUCGAGGUGUUUGAUCUGUGUUCUCAAGUUUUUACCUAGUAUUCUGGGUUCGUGACAGUGGCUCCGACCUAUGGCUCGAUAAUACCCGAGAAUUGAUCGUAUUUAAACAUACGGCUAAGGUCACCAAGUGGAGGACCUUAGCUGCUCUCGGGUUGCUUUUGGCAGGAAUUCGGUACCGGUAUAGUUGAUGGAUUACCGGUACACAUGUGGUAAUGGCCAACGGAGCCUGCGGGUUGCGCAUUCGGGGAGUGUUACCGUACACUUUGCGAAGACUGCAAUUGACAGUUUUAAAGGGUGUUUGUUCUACUUGUUGCUCACACCCCGGACACGAUCCCUUUGGCCGAGUCCUGGGACACUCGAACAACGCGAACGGACAGAGCCUCCCCCAUGUCGGGCCACUAACACAUAUUACAAUUCAACAAAAGAAUGCUCACAAGCGGAAACAUACACAAUCGGCUUUAUACUGAGGUAACAAUAGCCGAAGUGAAAGGGAAUACUAAACUAUACAACUUUACAAGCUUAGAAAGAUUAAUCUUUUAACCAUUUACAGCAUUCAAUACCUAUCACAUCUACAUUCAUUUUACAUAUCCAGGUUGCUUUUAUCAUUUCUUUCUUCUUUACAUCACCACACUUUUCAUCAAAAAUGGAAAGCUUUACAUUUCAUUUCUUUACAUUCUAACAUCAAAUUACAAAAAGAUGGAUAUGGGUAAUCAUCUACAAAUAUGGAACCCAACUUGGCGGUCACUGUCAUACGGCGCAGAUACCCUUUAAUCGCGGUGGUCGCCGGCCGCUCGUGUCCCGCUGUGUGUGCGAAAUUUAGUGAGGUGAGAACUACAACGAGAUUCACCAGUGGGUUCGGCGCGCAAUCUCCAGUCCGACUUUGUGCACUAGGUCUAACUGAGGCAUAAUAGAAAAAUACAGCAGAUAGAAGUAACUAGCUAUAAAAUGCAGUAAUAUGACUGACAAAAUAAUUCAAUGAUUUGCUCAAUUGUGAAGUUUUGAGGAGCGCCCUAAGGAUCAAGUCUGAGAUUGAAUCCAACACCUAGAGCAGUGUGAAUAGGUGUAAUACCACAAACCACAAAUCUCAAUGCGAUAAAAUCAAAUGCGAACAUCUAAGAAAUCACACCGAAAUUUACGUGGGAAAACUCCAACUUGGAGAAAACCCAUGCGGACAGACACGCGAAAAAUUAAUUCACUAAGAAGAAAGAUCACAAUGGUAUUACCGGAUCCACGGACCAACCUUUUAACUCGCUAUGAAUCUCGCGAUCCUCCGCGUUGUCACGCCCUCACUUCGAUAUCCACGAACGCCUCGCAAUGUCCGAAUCCAACGAAACGCCAUCUCGAAUCCACCAGAGCCCACGAUUCCGAAUCACACGAACGCGUCAAUCACCGCCGAUCACGACGCCAGUCAUGAAAGUACAUCAUUAGUAUGCGUGAUCCCUCGCUUAGAGGUAUCGAUGAAAACAGGGAAGGAAACUCUAAGGCGAAGCGGAGAUCAAAUCGACACUAUAGAUAUGAGAUUUCAAUAUCUGAUUUGCCGUAAAGAGGCUAGUAUUAGAAAAUAGGUUUUAGAUGAAAUCCAAGCCUCUAGGGUUUCUCAAACAUGUAUUCUCGUGAUGCUUAAUGUGUUAGAGAACCCCAAUAGCUUAUUUAUAGACUUUAGAAUCAAUUGGAGUCGGAUUAGAAAGUUUUCACGAUUUUACAUUGUGUACCGGUACACUUUAAGCUGUCACCGGUUACACGAUGACGGAACGAAAAACCUGACGAAACAGUGAAACCGGUUACAUCCUCGAUGGCCGUAUCGGUACACAUUUUGUAUCGGUACACUUCUGAUGCUGUACCGGUACACUUUGUAAAUUUUCGCCGUUUCGGGUUUUGCAAAGUUCCGAUGCACUUUCUAAUCCGUUAGACAUUGAUAUUAUGAUUCUAAUGUUUACAACUAAGUAUGAGUCACCAUAACAUGAAUUUAUACUUUACCUGGACAUCAUGAUUCAUAUCGUGAGUUAUUUUCCAACUUCUUCGAAAUCUUGAAUUCUUCGAUCUUCGACGAUAUGCACCAAUUCUUCAAGACUCCGACUCACUUCACGAAACUUGCCAACACAUAAGACUUAACAAUCUCCCCCUUUGGCAAUUUCGUGACAAAACUCACACAAACUCAAAAAUUACAAUUAAAAAGAAAAAAACGAAGUUCAAUUGUCAUCACCAAAACAAUGAACCCCUCGCAUGUGAUCCAAAUACAAUAUGAAAUGCAAAAGUACAUCAAAAACUCCUAAAACAGACUCUAUGACUUAGACACAACUAGGAGUCUUGAAGUGUUGAUUUCCAGCAAAACAAUUUAUCCAAAACUUUCUAUAGAGAAUUGUUUUGUUGAAACCUGGAUAUUCUUGCAAUUUACGCUUCUUCUCCCCCUUUGUUCUUCAUUCCUUCUUCUCCUUGAAACAUCACUCCUUAUCUCCCUUUGCUUUAGAUUAAUACUGUAACACACUGGACCUUUGCGAAUUGCGAGGUUCGAGUGUUUGGAUGUGUUUCGAGCUUUUCCGCACUUGGUGGAGGGCUGUAAAAUGUUUCCCGACCCGAAAAGUUCGAAAUCUGGAACUUCGGACUAGUCCUGAGAGUUUUUACUCUCGGGGACCGGUCCCUGGAGGGAGAGACCGGUCCCCCCAGUGAGCAGUGUUGAGGCAGCCUGAGGCAACCGGUCCCUGGCAGGCGAGACCGGUUCCCGAACGCGUCUUCGCAGUGAGAGACCGGUCCCGCGCAGGGAGAGACCGGUUCCCGAACGCUUGUUUUUCGGGUUCGCAGCGAGAGACCGGUCCCUGCUGGGGAGAGACCGGUCCCUCUGGGCGAAAACUGCCCAGUUCGGGCUGAUGCAAUAUUGGAUUUUUGAGGGGCCUCACUGGAUUUUGUUACAUUAGAUGGGCUUAUUAGCCAUUUCCCCCUCUUCCCUCUCUCAUUCUCUCAUUCUCACCCUCUCCCUACAUUUUCUAGAGAGAGAAGAAGAAGAAGAAGGAGGAGAAGAAGAAGAGGAGCUAGCUUGAGGGAGCUUGGAGCUCAACCCCUUUCUCUCUUUCCCACCUUUGCAAGGCUUGGAGCUUGCUUGUAGAGCUUAGUGGUGGACCAAACUUCAACCCUAGGGCAUUUUGGGCUUGGAUUGAAGCUUCCAAAGGGUUAGUAUCAUGUUUCCCUCCUCUAGAUUCUUGUUUUUGUGAUUUUUGGGAGAUGAAACCCUAGAAAUGAGAUUUAGGGCUUAUUUUGGGCAUUUUUGAUCUAGGGCUUUUGGACCCAAAUUGAUUGGUUUAGAACCUUCCUAGGGCUUGGAUUGGAAGGGUUCUAGCUCUCUUUUGGAGCUUUGGGAGAGAUUUCUACUCUUGAGGUAAAUUUUGGCCCUUUUUGCUCCUAGGUUAAUGUUUGAUCUUACGGUUGGUCGUGAUGCUCCCGUAUCUCUUCACUGACCACUUUUAGGGUAUCUUGAGGCUCGUGGACAACUUCGUUCGGCGAAUCGAGACCCUACGCGACGGUUCGGUGGGUUUGACCUAGCCACACAAUGAGAAAUUCUCAUUUGUGCUUAAUUAAGUGUUGUUAAAUGAAAAAGCAUGCAUAUUCUUGUUAUAUGUAUUUAUUGUGAAUUUUAGAAUGCUUAAAAGGCCUAUGUUAUAUAUGAUGAAAUUUUGGACCUCUAUGUAGUAGAGAGUAGCUUAUUGGGCCAUAGUUGCAUUUAGCAUUCUACAUGAGACGUGGUAUCAUGCUUCUAUAGUAUAAAUGAGUUCGGAUUCAUGCAUUUAAACCUAAGUUACUUGUGACAUGAAAAUUGACAAGAUUGUCAUUUAGAAGCUAUGUGAAUUAGAGAGCUAAUGUCAUCAAGCGGCAUUGAGCUCGGGACAUGUGUGAACCUAGUGGAUAGGGCCAUCGAGGGACUUGGGAUACAUGUUGGACACCAAAUUGCCUAAGUGUCAUUAAGGGGCACUAGGCGUAGCAAAUGUUGAAACUUCACAUUGUGACUUGAACUAGAUCUUCGGGAUGCUAGUGACUAUACCAUGUUAGAGACAUGAGGAUUGGAUACUUGAGACUUGGACUUUGCUUGCUUGCCAUUUGUGCUCAUUCGCACAUGCUUGUGAGGGUCGCUCCCUACAAGCCGGCACUCCGGAGUUAGCCUAUGCGACUUAUGUUCGCUCGUGCGGUAUUGAGAAGCCUACGGGGUCGAGUGGGACAGACACAUUCCAAGAGUAGGGAUGUUGGGCUACCACAGGCACUUAGGCGGCACAAGCUGGACUACCUUUGGUAGGUCCUUAAUUGGAAAUGGAAAUCGACACGGUGUUGAGAAUGGUUAAUCACUACUAGAUAGGUUUAGUAGUUGAAUUACAUUUAUAUGCUUUUAGCAUAGUGUUGAGACAUGUAGUAUACUUGAUAGUCUCCUUUUGCAUUAAAGCAUACUUGGUUGCCAUGACAGAACUUAUGCAUAAUGUAUUCAUAAAGGUUAAUGACUUACUAUUUUGAUAUCGUAGAUGUACAUCACCAUGACAUCGUUUAUACUUGAGUUUAGUAAUUUAGCAUUUUAAUUAUGCCUUUAUAUCGCAGUCAUUAUUGCUAUUAUUAUUGUACUUACCCUUUUCUUUUGGGGCCUAGUGGUGCAUAGAGCUGAGGUCAGUAAUUGCCCACUGGGAACUAUAAAUUAUAGUUCUCACGCCCUCUUUUUCUCGAUGUUUUUCAGAGCCUUCCGCUCAGGGUGAGGCCAGGGAGCGCGGAAAGGGUAUCGCCUCGGGCUAGCGCGCUUACCGAGGGAUCGUUCGAUAGGUGGUCUACCUCUCGUGUUUUUCUUUUUGUGAGAGGUUGAGAGUUGUACCCGUAUAUGUAUAGAGACCACCAUUUUUGUACUAGAGACAGUUAUGGUACUACUUAUGGUUAUCUUUGUUUGACUAGCUUUAUUUCUUUACUUUGGUGUAGAUGAUAAAACUUUACUUGCUCUGAUAUCACUAGUUGCUAGUUAUUUCACUUCUCUUAUUUGUUCCAUCUCUUGCUUUUACUUCCUAUUUUCUUGUAGACGCCUUAUAUGUGAAGACAUAUGGCGGGUCUGGGCACGCUACCGGGAGGGCCUCCGCCGGUCCCGGGGCGUGACAAAUACCUACCUGUUCAUCAUCAUUGCUCUCCCCCUUUUUGUCAAAAAUUGCCAAAGACAAAGCAUAUAAAAAGAGAAAACAUACUAGAAAGUAUAAUAGUAGGCAAUUCAUAGUUACAGGCCUAAAACAUGCAAAAGAAAGAUAAGCAAGCAAAGCUGAACUAAACAUUGUCCUAAAAAGUAAACAUAGUGAAGUAACAAGACGAAGCUCGAGGAAGACAUCACUCCGUGUCCUCGUCAUCAUCAUCAUCAUCAUCAUCUCCUGCGCCAGCUCCAGAUCCCCCAGCCUCAGGAGCAUCACCAGACGGUGGAAUGAGAGGAUGUCGUGAAGUCGAUCUUGUAUACGUGGAGUAAGUAGGCUGAGUAGGAAAAAUAUCAUCAUGCCUACAGCCCAUUUUCUCCAUCAUUCUCUUCAUUCCCAUCUCCACCUUCCUCGCAAGAUCAGCCAAUUUCUUCUUCAUAGAGCGCACCUCAUGAUGAAGUGAUUCUACAGUAAUCACUCCCCCUGAACUAGAAGAUCCCUCACGUGCUGCUCGAGGUGGAGGAGCUGAACUAGUAGCUCCUCUGGAUGAUCCUUUGGUUUGCUGAAAAGUCUUCAAUGUGCUCCUUGACUUUGCCCAAGUUACAGCAUCAAUAGGUCCAAGUCCAAAGUCAUACUUCUCACAUGACAUGUCAACUCCAUGUUCUUGAAGAAUCCUCGUGAUCAACAACGGAAACGGAAGAAGAUCACGGCGAACCUGAGACUGUAUGACAUGAACCAUUCGUUGCCACAUAAGAAAAGGAAUAUUGAUGUUUAACCCGUCUGCUUCCUCAGGAUGUCCCAGAAGAUACAGAAGCACCAGACGAUCCCAACGAAUUCUUUUCGUUCCAAUUGUCGGUUGGACAUUAUAGCUCAUCACCAAAGAAAGUAGAUGAUACUCAGGUAGUAAAUCCUUAGACUCCACAUAAGAAUGAUUGGUCCUUACACCCUCCUUGCAUAUAGCGCGAAUAACAGUCUCCCAGUGGGUUGAAGACUGAUAAAGCCCUGUCGUAUAAUGAAGGCCUGUAGUAUCCACAUGCAUACCUAAGAGCUCUCCAAUAGUAUAAGGAGUGACUUGAAUCUUCUGCUUACGCACAUAUAUCUCAAAUACAUAAGUCCCAGUCUCCUCAUCCUCUCCAAGUACCAUCCCGUUCAUAUAGAACUCCCGAAUGAGUUCCACACAGAAUGGGGCACGAGCUGGAACCCGUCCAACAGGCUCAAUAGGGACCCUCUGCAGCAAUCGACCAAAAUCAGGUACCUCCUUGACCAGCUCAGUAAAGUUGACAUAGCGCUCAGCUAGAACUGAUCGGCUCGAAUAAAUCCGCUGUCGUUCUGAAGAAGCCUCUACAGCACGUUUGGAGCGCCUUUCACGUGCACGAGAAUCACCUCCUCGCGAGGAUUCUCCUGCUAGGCCUUUACCUUUAGCAGCUCGAGUAACAGCUUCUUCAGUAGCUUCAGGCGAGCUUGCUUGAUAAUCAGGAUCUUAUCCAGAUGACUCGUCGGCAGUACGAGUUCUCUUUGAUUGACCACGUCGUCCUCGACCACCACCACGGCCACGACCGGCGGCCAUAAGCACCAAAAGUAGGAUCACGAGCGAAAACGCCAUUUUCCUACAUGAAAAUGAGCCAUUCAUGAAGAAAAUUUUGAAAAAAUCUGUAAAAAUAGCGAAAAAAUAUCUAAUAAUCUUAGAAUGCAUACUGAUGCUAUUUUCAACUCAUUCAUGCAAAAAAUUUCAUCAAAAAAUGAUAUUCCAACAAAAAUUCCGAAAAUCCAUGUAUUAUGAUAUAAGGAUCAUAGAUCAGCGAAAAAUAACGCAUUAUAACAUGAUUGAAAUGAUCUAGAAGCAAGAUAAUGUCCAUAAACACUGAUCUACAGUUAAAAAAUUGCAUCAAAAACGAUCAAAAACAGAGAUCUAGCUUCAACUCGGAAUAUUGUUGAAAAAUAAGCAAGAACGCGAUGAAACAAUUUAAAUCCAAGCUAAAUACUCACAAAUCUUUGGGAAAACCAAGUAGAUCUAGAAGAGGGAGUCCCCUGGCGAUUUUAGAGAGAGAGAGACCGAAAUUUGGUUUUGAUUUUAAUGAGAAUAAAAGCCCUGUAACCGGUUAUAUUUCCGCGGCUACAGUGAUUUGUACCGGUACACGGGAUUUUGUACCGGUACACAUUCCCAGAUUUCGAAAAUAUGAAUUUAAAAACCCUUUAAACUUAAAUUAAUUUCAUACAAAUUAAGGACUUUACUCAAAAAAUUAUUAUAAUGAAGAUAGAACAUUAUAAGAUUUCAAAAUCCAUCGAAACAUCACAAUUUUGUUAUCAAAGAUAGUCUAAUGAUUCAAAACUAUCAAGAUGUAAGUUGAUGAAAAAUGAUUUUUAGAAAUUCAAUAAAAUUGACACCAAUUAGUCGCAACACGUUCAAAAUAGAGAUUUAACUACUAUGGCACCGGGAGUGGCUCUUUGAGCAUCUUUUUAACGUACCACCUUAUAACUCCGAAAAUUCUAAUAUAUUUAAUUUUUUCAACCUUUCCGGCUUUUCAAUUAAUCUCCAUGUGGUAGCUUCAUACACUUGCCGGACGACCGGGGUGGUAGCUCUUUUCUACAUGUGGUGGUAGUUUUCACACUUCUUUUAGGAUAUAACUCUUUCCACAUCUUUUAAACAUAGGAGUUUUUUUUUUCUUUUUUUUAUUUUUAAACAAUUUCAAACUCCCCCUAAAUUAGACAAUCUCACAAUUGAAGAUAAUUUUGACGAAUUUUAGUCAAUUUGAGAAUAUCCAUCCAUCAUAUUCAACACACACAACCAAGAUGAACUAAUCAUCAAGAGAUCAAAUUUGAUUUCAAAAUUUUGAUGAAUAUAUGUAAUAAGAAAUCAUAUAUUAAAUUAUCGUCAAAAUAGUAAAGAGUGGAGUAAAACCGAUAAUUAAUAUGAAUUUAAUUCAAGAUGAAUUCCGGUUAAAGAAAAAUUCUAAUCUCCCCAAAAUAAAGAUUUUCAAUCAUCUCCUCUCUCAAAGAAAAAUUUUGAAAUUCCCAAAUACCUUUCCACAAAAUGAUUUUUUUUUUUUAAACCAAUAAAAAUUCAAGCACCAAAAAUCGUCUAAACAUGUAAUGCAAUGAAUAAAAAUAUGCAAUAAGCACCUAUCAAAGCACUACACAAGAAAUAAAAAACAACUAAGACGGGAAGCAAGGAAAGAUAUCACCUUUCCGGAUCCAAACUUGUCGGAUCUUUGGUUUUCUCGGCUUGUCGACGUUUGGUGCCGUUUGUUUAGAUUUUUGAUCAACCGUUGGUCGUUUCGUCGCUUGAGACUUCGGUUGAACUUGUCGUUGAAGCUUAGACACCCGAUUUGCAUGAACUUGGCGUUGACGUUGUGCGCUACAAAUCCGAUUUGCUUCAGAGUUCGGUCGGACUUGAUGUUGUGCAAUAGAAAUCCGGGUCCCUCGAUGUGUCGACAUUGCCAAUUGAUUCAUCUUUUCUUUGUUUAGGCAAUUCCCUUUGAUGUGUCCAUUGAUGCCACAUUUAUGACACACCUUGUCAUUUAAAGUUGUUGAGACUCUAGAUGUUGAUUUUGAAUCCUUCUCAACGUAUGUUCUUUCAUAUCCGAGUCCCAACUUAUUCGUUUGACCCAACCCGAGCAUAUGAUCCAAUUUCUUAGAUCCCAAAGAAAAUUGUUGAAUGUCGGAUUGAAGUUGAUGAACUUGAUUAGUCAAAGCUUGAUUGGAUACACAUGUUUCCUUGAAUUGUUGCUCCAAAAAUCCAAUCUUAUCUUUAGAAGAUUUGAUGGUUGAUUUCGCUUCAUCUAGCUUUUCUUGGAGGUCCGAAUUAUUUUUCAAGUUUGAAUCCCUUUCCUCCUCAAGAGUCUUAUUCAAAGUCUUUAAGUUGUUGUUUUCCUCCUCAAGAUCCAACAAACGACGCCUCAACUUCUUAUUAAGUUUGGCCAUCUUUUUCGACUCAAAAAGAAGUUGAUUGUACGCUUCCGCUAUGUCGUCGUCGUUUGAUUCCUCCUCACUUUCACCAUUGUCGCUCGAAGAGUCAUGCGAAGAAAGAGAAAUAUCGGAAUUCGUAGCAAUAGAGAACAAACAAAUAACAUUGGACGAAGACAAAGAAUUAUUAGCAAUUAAAGUAAUAUGAUCAUUCUUUUCUUCGUCACUUGAACUUGUUUCACUUGAAGUUGUAUCAUCCCACGUCUUUGCUUGCAUAGCCUUUUGUCUAUAGGUCUUCUUUGAAGGACAAUCCGUCGCAAUGUGGUCGUAACCUUUACAUUUGUAGCAUUGGAUUUCUCCUUCAAAUUCAUUUUUUUCUUUUGAAUGCUUUGCAAGUUUCCUAUCCUUAGAUUUAGAAGAUGUAGAUGAUUUAGAAAAAGAUUGUCGCUUAGACGAUGAAGCCUUGUCCAAUUUAUUCUUGUUCCGGAAAUUCCGACGAAACUUCUUUGUGAGGAGCGCUAAUUGAUGUUCGAAAUCGGCAAGCGAAACAUCUCCGUCGGAAUCCGAGUCGUCUUCUUCUUUCUUUGUUGAUUUGAGUGCAACCCCUGUGCUUUUAGAAAAAGACUUGGAAGAGGAUUGAUUAGUAGGAAAAGUCAUCUCAUACGUUUGUAAAGCGCCUACUAAUUCUUCGACUUUCAUCUCGUCCGGAUGCUUAACGGUUUCGAUCGCGGCAACCUUUACCCGAAAGCAUUCCGGAAGAGUUCGAAGAAUCUUUCUAACAACUUUAGCAUCCGGGAUUUUCUCUCCCAAGUUAGCGCAUGUAUUGACUACGUCUUGUAGACGUGUGUAGUACUCGGUAAAGGUCUCGUUUUCAUCCAUAGAAAUAGAAUCAAACUUGCUCGUUAGCAUUUGCAAUUUUUGGACCUUUACUAAGCUCGUUCCUUCAUGCGUAACUUGUAGAGUAUCCCAAAUUUCCUUUGCCGUUUCGCAAGCCGAAACACGAGUAAACUCCGUUUGAGACAAUGCAUUAAAUAAAGCGUUUAUGCCCUUGCCGUUAAACGAAGAUGUCUCGUUUUCUUCUUUCGUCCAUUUGUUCCGUGGUUUUGGCUUUUCAACAUUAUCGACCUUUUCUAUCGGAUGUUUCCACCCAAAUUCAAUUGAUUGCCAAACCCGCUCAUCGAUAGCAAUUAGAAAAGCUCUCAUGCGAACUUUCCAAUAGGCAUAAUUCGUGCCGUCGAAGAGCGGAGGUCGAUUAAUGUUACCACCUUCGGCCAUUAGAUAACAAUUUAUCUAGAUCCCGCUCUGAUACCAAUUGAAAGUUUUGAGGAGCCCAAGGAUCUAUCUAGAUUGUAUCCAACACCUAGAGGGGGGUGAAUUGGUGUAAUAGCCACAAACCACAAAUCUCAAUGCGAUAAAAAUAAAUACGGAAAAUAAAAAUCACACCGAGAUUUACAUGGGAAAACUCCAACUUGGAGAAAAACCCACGGGACCAACACGCGAAAAAAUAAUUCACUAAGAGAAAAGAUUACAAGGUGAUUACCGACUCCACGGACUCAACCUCUCUUAACCUCCUAUGAAUCUCGCGCAAUCCUCCGGGUUGUCCACGCCCUCACGUUCGAAUCCACGAACGCCUCGCACACGUCCGAAUCCACGAACGCCACUCGAAUCCACGAGCCCACGAUCCGAAUCCACGAACCGCCGUCAAUCACGCCGAAUCCACGACGCCAUCAUGAAACACAUCAUGUGUAUGGUGAUCCCUCGCUUAGAGUAUCGAUGAAAACCAGGGAAGGAAACUCUAAGCGAAGCGGAGAUCAAAUCAACAUAUAGAUAUAAGAUUUCAAUAUCUCGAUUUGACCUAAAAGAGGCUAAUAUGUAGAAAAUAGGUUUUAGAUGAAAUCCAAGCCUCUAGGGUUUCUCAAAUAUGUAUUCUCGUGAUGCUUAAUGUGUUAGAGAACCCCAAUAGCUUAUUUAUAGACUUUAGAAUCAAUUGGAGUCGGAUUAGAAAGUUUUCACGAUUUUACAUUGUGUACCAGUACACUUUAAGCUGUCACCGGUUACACGAUGACGGAAUGAAAAACUUGACGAAACAGUGAAACCGGUUACAUCCUCGAUGGCCGUACCGGUACACAUUUUGUACCGGUACACUUCUGAUGUUGUACCGGUACACUUAGCAAAUUUCCGCCGUUUCGGGUUUUGCAAAGUUCCGAUGCACUUUCUAAUCCGUUAGACAUUGAUAUUAUGAUUCUAAUGUCUACAACUAAGUAUGAAUCACCAUAACAUGAAUUUAUACUUUACCUGGACAUCAUGAUUCAUAUCGUGAGUUAUUUUCCAACUUCUUCGAAAUCUUGAAUUCUUCGAUCUUCGACGAUACGCACCAAUUCUUCAAGACUCCGACUCACUUCACGAAACUUGCAAACACACAAGACUUAACAAAUUGAAUUACUCAUGAUGAAUGCAAGUUCUCGAUCUCGAAGUUCAAUCUCAUGGCUAACCCGUAGGUUUCGCCCUCAAGCAACUCACCAACUCGUAAUCCCAAUUGUCGAGCGAGACUACUACAACCCGACAGGGACCGUCCUCUGGGGAGACUACUACACCCAGUGAUGACUACUCCGGAGCUCAUCACCCGAGGGGGAGCUACCGCCCUCGAGCCAAGACGUAAGGCGAGUAUGAUCCAAUCCUUAACUAUAAGGAUAUAACUUCAAUCCAUUCCUUAACUAUAAGGAAACAAUGCAUUCAUGACCCUUAACUAUAAGGUUGUAUGUCACAAUGUCAUCUCUCACAUGUACUUGCAUUCUUUGUUUUCGAUCAUGCCAUUACACUAACUCUAGUGUUCUUUAUGCCACAUUUGAUGCUAACUCUAGCAUUUAUUGUUCUUUAUGCCACUCUUGUUCUUUAAAUGCCCCACAUUAACUCUAGUGUUCCAAUGCUCUAGCAUUCAAGUUCAUUGCUCAUGCCACACACACUAACUCUAGUGUUCAUCUUUGCAUUUACUAAUGCCACUCGAUCUACAUGUCAUAGUGUCACAUUGUUCUUUACCUCGACUAGGUUUUGUUAUCACCAAUCAUGCAUACAUAGGGUACAUAGGUUCUCAACCAUCUCAUAAUGCAUUUGUACUCACAACAUGCUACCAUUCACAUGAAUAUCAUCUCAAUCACCAAGGCGGAAACGAAGCCAAAAUGUUUGUACUCACAACAUGCAUUUGUACUCACAACAUGCAUUUGUACCAUAUCAUUUUUGGACGUCGCCUCGGCCCUCCAGGCGGAAACGAAGCCAAAACGUCCGUUUCUUCAAUAUCUUCGUGUAGGCUCGACGAAUCGCUGAACCGACUUCGCCAACACGUCAGAAAUACCUUAAAUUAGGUUUACAUAGGGUUAAUUUAGAUCAAACCCAAACAUUUUACAAAAAUCCCAUUGGAGCCCUAACAUUGUACCAAUGCAAGAAUCCAUCAUAUAACUUCAUGAUUCAAGCAUUAACCAUCAACUUAGCACCCUAGGAUGCCUCUAAAAUCAUUCUAGAGCUUAAAAAUCUAAACCCUAGAAAUCUACCAUUAGAGCUCAAAGCUUACCUCAACAAGCUUUCUCCAAUGAUCCAAGGAAGAAGAAGGAGAAGUAGAAGAACCUCCUUCAAGUUUCAAUCUCCACCAAAUCCUUCUCUUGAUUCCACCUUCAAGAGAGAGAGAGAGGGAUCCUUCUUUGGUUGCUAGUGUGAGGGAGAGGGAGAGAAUGUGUGCGCAUGCUACCAGGACCCGCACACAUAUGGGUGCUGCAACAAUUGCACAAAACCCCUUUCACUAAUAUUAACACAACUUCAGUUUAGCAGCUCAGGUACAGAUACUUUUCGCCGGCCCUUCUGAAUAUCCGUUUGUGCUCAAAUUUGACAGUCAGGCUCGGUUUUUACUAAAUAAACGGAAUAUAUCUUAACUGUAAGGAAGUGAAUUCUCGAAAUAUGAGAGUUGAACUUUAGUUAGAAUCGACUGAUUGUCGACUUGGUGUGCGUCGGAAAGCCGAAGGCAUCAAAAUGGCCAAAGGUGCAUUGGAAUGGAGUCCGCGAGAACAAAUGAUGUAGAAAACCUGCACUUGGCAGAUUUGCUCUCGGGGACCGGUCCCUGGCGGGAGGGACCGGUUCCCGAACAUGGCUCUGCGCGGGUUUGCUCUCGAGGACCGGUCCCCGGUAGGGAGAGACCGGUCCCAUCGGUUGGUGGUUGCGGCGAUGCGUGACGCAACCGGUCCCCGUGUCACACCCCGGGACCGAUACCAAUUUGGGGCGGCCCGAGCACGUCGAACAGACGCCGAACGGACAGAGUUUCCCUUGUCCACCCAAGGCUCAUCACAUGUACAAUUUCAAACAAGAAGUGCACUAGCGGAAACAUACACAAACGGCUUACACGAGGGUAAGCAACAGCCAUGAGUGAGAGAAAGGAACUAAACAUCUACACAAGUAUUAUGAUUCACUUUUGAUCACAUACAUGUAUCCAUUUCAUCCAACUUGCACAUUCAUAAAGUCUUUACAUACUUUUCAUCAUUUCUUUUUACAUCACAUUUGCUCAAAAUAAACAUUACAUUCUUUUCUUUCCUUCCUUUAUACAUUAACAUCUUAAAUCAUCAAAUACAAAGGAUGAUAAAAGGGAAUGCUACCACAAAAUGUAGAUAACCCGACUCGGGUGGCCUCUGACUAAGGUGCGAUACCUUUACCGCGAUCGCUCGCCGGCUCGCUCGGUCCCGGCUCUGUGGAAUAGUGGGGUGAGAACUACAACAAAGUUCCCAGUGGGUUCGGCCCCAACAUCACCGACUUUCCCACUAGGACUAACUCAGGCAUAAUAGAAAGGAUAAGCAGAAUAGCAACCGAACUAUAAUCAUGAUGCUAAUAUGCCUGAACAAUAAAGCAGGAAAUAUGCUCAACGUAAAUCAUGCAAGUUUGCAAGUUCUUUAUUCUUUUACUCUUUGUUCUUUGUUCUUUAAUCUCACGGCUAACCCGGGGGUUUCGCCAUAUUAACUUGCCCACAUUAAGUCCAUCGCGGGCCCUCAGCUUCCUCCCGCUAAGACCGUCCUCGGGUUUACUCCAACCCGUGAUGCAAAACUCCGGAGCGCAUCGCCCGAGGGGGAGUGACCGCCCUCGAGCACGGAUGUAACACACUGGACCUUUGCAAAUUGCGAGGUUCAAGUGUUUGAUCUGUGUUCCGAGCUUUGCCAGAUAUUUUGGAAGGUUGUUGAUAGUGUUUUGACCUAUGGUUCGCAUCCCGAGAAUUGAGGUUUAAAGCUUGUACCAAAAUCCAAAAAGAUGGAUUGUUGGUCCUGCUCUCGGGUCAGCCUCAGCCAGGCUGUGUACCGGUACAGCCUUGAUGGUUGUACCGGUACAGGAUUUGUACCGGUACACCUUGAUGGUUGUACCGGUACACUUCGGAUUUUCUGCCAACCCGAGGCUCGGGUUGGGCUGUUUCGUAGGAAGUGUACCGGUACACUUUUCCGUGUACCGGUACACAAUGCAGACUGGGCUGUUUUCGGGGAGGGGUGUAUUUGUAAUUAUUGCAACCUCUUUAAAUACCACCCCAGCCCCCUUAGCUGCUCUUUUGAGCCCUAGACCUGUGGAGAAAAGGUGAGAACUCUUCCCCUUUGGAUUCUUCUCCAUUUUUGGUGGAUUUUAGUUCGUUUUGAUCUCUCCUUUCUUCUCCUCCUUGCUUUUUGUUGGGUUUCCUCCAUUGUUGAAGACUUGGAGCUUGAAGAGGAGCUUGUUUGAGAAGAGAUCUCCAACCCUACUUGAUUUGGAGCUUGGUUUGGGGCAUCUUGUGAGGUUUGUAGCAUGUAUUUCUCUUUUCAUACAUGUUUUAGUGGAUUUGGAUCUUGUAACCCUAGAUUUUGAGAUUUAGGGUUAGAAAUAGGAACUUUUGAUUUGAGGCUUCUAGAACCAAAUUGAUUGGUUUAGAAUCAUGGUUUAGGUUGGCUUUGAAGGAUUCUUGCUCCCUUUUGGAGAUCAAGAGAGAUUUUCACCAUUUUCGGUGAGUUUUUAGCCCUUUCUUUGAGUUGCUUAAUGUUUGAACUCAUGAAUUGUCGUUUCGAUGUUGUAACUCCCCUAGCCUAUCUCUUAGGGUGCUAGGAGUGAUUAUCGAAGCUUCGUUAGCGUUUCGGACGCCCGCGCGGAGCUUUUGGUUGGUUUGGCUUCACGUGAAUAGGGAAAAAUUCCUCCUAAGGGGUUAAUAUGUGUUGUAUUAUCAUUUUGCAUGCAUUUUCAUACUAGAUAGGAUUUAUGUGAAUUUUGAAUACUUAAAUGCAUGUGUUGCGUAUCAUGAAAAUCCUUCUCUACAUAGUAGAGCAUUAUGUGUAGUGUACAUGUAUGUUUAAAGUAUUCUCUUUUUCGAGUUGGAAAACAUGUUGCAUGUGAGGAAGAUGGUUGAAAUAUGUAUUCAUGAACAUUAAACUCAUGUUUGAAUAUAGUGAACUAGAAUGCCAUAAAGGGGCACUUGACUUAGUAAAUUGUGAAAUUGCAACAUAGAGACAUAGUGAUAGGACAUCGAGACAUAUGCUAUAUUCCAUGUUUUAGACAUGACGACAUAGUGAUAGGUCAUUGAGAUAUUUGCAACAUUCCAUGUUUUAGACAUGAUGACUUGGUAUUUGAGACGGACUUUUACGCUUGCUUGCCAUUGUGCUCAUUCGCACAUGCUUGUGAGGGCCGCUCCCUACAAGCCAGCACUCCGGAGAUAGCCAUCGAGACAUAUGCUCGCUCGUGCGGGAUUGGGUGCCGAAAUGGGAUGUCGUGGGGGAGGCUCAUUCCUAGAGUGGGGAUGUUGACUACCACGGGGCCAUUAGGCACGGCGCAGGCCAGACAGCCUACGGGUGGGUCUUACAUGAUUGGAACUUAGUGACAGAACAUGCCAUUUGGACUUUGAGCAGAAUAGUAAACAAUGACAUUUACUAUUUAGCUUGUGGACAUUAUGUUAGUGAUGCUCGUUUAUCUAACAUAUGGAAACAUGGAGUUGCGAUGUCAACUUUGAUCUAGGGGAUCAAAGUAAGGAUUGAGCUAGUUGGACAUCAUCCUUGAGUGAUUUGUGAUGCGCGUGAAUGAAUUCUGGAGAUAAAUAAGUGUUUCGGCGCAAAUUGGGCGCGAAACAUAAAGUAAAGAGAAUUUGCGGAUUUCCGACGCUAACUUUGAUUAAAAGAAUUAAAGUGAGCAAAAUAAUAUCAAAUGGUGUGAGAUACCAUUUGAUUGGAUUUAAGGGCGUAAAAUAUAAGUCUGGAAUGACUCGUGUUGAAAUCGGAGCGAAAACAGAAGAUUUAGAAUUUUCUGUAAAGAACGGGACUGAGAAAAUUAGCAGAAAAUGCACAGUGUCAGAAAAUUAUGAAAAUUGGCAGAGAUGUCAGGAACACUGUUAUGAGGCUAGCUUUGAAGUUUCAUAUUAUUCUGACACCUGUAGAGAGAGAAAUGGCAUCUGAAAGUUAUCUGAUAAAGAUUACAGUUCGGGACAGUUCGCAGUGACCAAACGGGGUCGAAACUGAAAUGUUAAAAUUUCAGUGGACUUGUUAAGGAAAACCGAGUAUUCCUGCCAAAUUUGAGCUCAAUCGGACUGUCGGAAGGGCUUACGAAAGGUAUUUGAUCCGUGUCGCUACAUGGACUUAAGUCGAGGGGCAUUAUGGUAAUUAACCCAUGCUUUAGUGGAUUUCCACUAAGUUCCCUGCCAGGAUGCCUCCAUCCUUAUCCCCUCCUCUUCAGCUUGCAUACGUAGAGAGAGAGAAGGAGAAAAGAAGAGAAAAGAGAAGAAGAGAGAAGAGAAGAAGAAGAAGAAGAAGAAGAAAAAGAAAGGUGAGAAUUUCUUCUCUCUCUCUCUGCUGACUAUGCCCCUUCCCCUCCCUCUCCCUGCUGUCAGCCUCGGCAGCAGCAGCCUCAGCAGUAGUGAGCAGCAGCAGCAGCAGUUUUUGCUGCUGCUGCAAGCUAGAGCAGCAGCAGCAGCAGCUCUUGCUGCUGCUGCUAACCAGGGCAACAGCAGCAGCAGCAGCUUGUAGUAGCAGCAGCAGCAUGCGCAGCACAGCAGCAGCAGCAGCAGCAGCUUGUAGUAGCAGCAGCAGCUUGUAGUAGCAGCAGCAGCAGCAGCAGCAGCUUGUAGUAGCAGCAGUAGCAGCUUGUAGUAGCAGCAGCAGCAUGCGCAGCACAGCAGCAGCAACAGCUAAAGCAGCAGCUAGCAGCAGCAGCAGUAGCAGCAGCUAGCAGCAGCAGCAGUAGCAGCAGCUAGCAGCAGCAGCAGUAGCAGCCAGCAGCAACAAUAACAGCAGCAAUAGCAUCAGCAGCAGCAGCUGCAACAGUCAGCAGCAGCUGCAGCAGCCAGCAGCUCAGCCAGCUGCUGGAGCAGCAGUGGACAGCAGCAGCAGCUGCUGGAGUAGCAGCAGGCAGCAGCAGCAGCUUCAGCAGCAGCAGCUGCUGUCAGCAGCAGCCAGUCAGCAGCAGUAACAGCUACCCUGCAGGAAAGAAAAGAAAAGAAAAGGAAAGAAAAGAAAAGAAAGAAAGAAAAGCAAGAAAGAAAGAAAGAAAGUAAGAAAGCUGCAGGGAAAGAAAAGAAAGAAAGAAAGAAAGAAAAGAAAGAAAGAAAGUAAGAAAAGAAAGAAAGCAAGAAAGAUGAAAGAAAGAAAAUGAGAUAGAGAGAAAAGAUGGAAUCGAAGUAUUUGGGCAGAUUUUACUAAUUGUUUUGAGGUUCUUGGGCUAGUAAAAAGUUGAAAUACUUAACGUAAUUGUGAAAUUGCAUUGAAACGAGUUUCUAUAGAAACUGACCUCAAUAAUGCACUUUUGCAGGAUAGAAGUCCUCAAAAGAAAUUGACCGCGUACAAACCUAAUUGAGGGUAAAAGAAACGCGUUGGCGAAGUCGGUUCGGCAAUCCGUCGAGCCUACGCGAAGAUAUCGCCAAAAGAACAUUUUCGGCGACAAGUGUCGGGAGCGCGGGUCGCGAUUCGUGGAGAAGUGCGAGAAGUGGAUUUCUCUCAUUCCAGUACCAAGUAAAGGUGGGUUGUGCUUUACCGAAGUGAUUAGGUCACUUCCAUGCCAAAGUAAAGUAUGGUUUCAUUGAUGCAUAUAUGAAUAUGAUUGUCGAUAUAUGACAUUAAUGCUAGAUGCUUAUGAAUGAAUCGGCCUAUAUGAUUGUUGAUAUAUAAUGGUAAUGUGAGAUGAUUUAUGGUAGUUAUCAUAUGAAUAUGAAUGCUACAUGGAUAUGAAAGUGAAUGCUAGAGACAUAAGAAUAAAGAUAUAUGAAGGUGCAUAUAAAUACAUUGUAGAUCGUGCUAAAGACGUAUAAUUGUCGAUAUAUGAACGUGAAAGCUAAAUGCAUAGUCAUGCUAAUAGAACAUGCAUCUGAAUAUAUUGAGAAUCAUGCUAAAUGACAUAUGAAUGCAUAAUGGUUAAUGCUAGAUAAUGUAGAAUGGUAAUCAAAUGAUGAACAUGCUAGAGGCAUAUGACUAUUUGUAGAUUAUGUACAAUUGUCGAUAUAUGAACGCGAGAACUAAAGGCAUAGUCAUGCUAAACGCAUAUGAACCAACAUAUAAGAUAUGAAUGUUGAACUUGUAAAUGCCAAAGGCAUGUAAGUUAAAUAUGAAAUGGAUAAAUUAUAAUCCUAGAUACGAACAACUAGGAUGAUACAUAGAUCGAGUGGCAUAAACCUAGUGUAAAUGAACCUAGGUUAUGAGUUAGAGUGACUCUUAGUAAAAUUGAACUAAGUUAUGAGUUAUAGUGGUAGUAGGACCACUAGAAAGCGAAUUGUAAUAUACCGAAAAUUCGGGAAAUAAAAAUGUCGAACUUUAGUCAAAUUGACCAAAGUGCGAGGAUGGAACACUUCGGAAAGUCCGAAGGUGUUAAAAUGAUCGAAAGUGAGUUGUGGAAGGUUUUCGAGAGCUAAAGAAUCAAAUUCUGCGAAACUGCAGAUUUUCAGCUCUCGGGGACCGGUCCCUGGUGGGAGAGACCGGUCCCCGAACGCGUGCAGAAUGAGACAGCCGGAAAAUCGGCUAAGUCCUGGAGGUUAGCUCUCGGGAACCGGUCUCUGUCUGAGAGACCGGUCCCCCAGAGACCGGUCCCCCAAGGAGGGACCGGAUGCAUUGCGUGCGGCUGCUCUGGCUGCGCAGGGUGGACCUUCGGGGACCGGUCCCUGCUCGGGGAGACCGGUCCCUGCCUGCGAAAACUGCCCAGUCCAGGCAGUGUAUUAAGAUGAUAGUUGAGGGGUUUAUUAGCAAUUUUGCAACCCAAGGGUUAUGUUGGGGCUGAGAGAGAGCCUUCCUCUCUCAUUCCCUCACCCUCUCACAUUCUCUCUCUCUCUCUCUCUCUAGAAGACAAAGGAGAAGAAGAAGAAGAAAGGAAGAAAAGAAGGAAAAGAAGAAGAAGAAAGUGAAGGAGAAGAUCAAGGAGCAAAGUGGCUUCAUCUUCUUCCUCUCUAGUGCAAGAAAAGGAAGCUUACAAGGUAAGCUUUGAUCCCAAGUGUAGUAAAACCUUAGAAUGAGUUUUGUAUGACAUAGAAAUGGGUUUUAAUGGAAUGAUUAAAGAGUUUUGAAGCUUUCUUUUGCUUCUUUAGAGAUCAAAACCUAGAUUUGCUAUAGAGGUGAGCUUGGACCACCUCUAAUGGUGAAAUCCAAACUAGGGUUUUGGAAAGCCUAAGAAUGGUUCUAAUGGACUAUUUAGAGUAUAGUGAAGCUACUUUUGCUUCCCAAUGAGAUCAAACCCUAGGUUUUGUAUGUGUAUUGGAGCUAGGGCACCAAAUUGGGGCUUUUGCUCAUGAGGGUUUCUAAGUGCAAUUGACCCUCUAAAAAUCUAAUUGGGGGUAUUUCCGACGCGUUGGUGCGCUCGGAAUAGCAUUACGAAAAGUGUAUGUAGAGUUAUGGGCAAAAUGGCCUAAUAGGGCUUCGUUUUGACGCAGGUAAAGAACGAAGGAUCUAAAAAUCUCAAGAAAAUCGUCGGAGCACCUAAAUAGACCUACGAGGUGGGUGGUGCUUCUCAAACUCAUUGGAAUUCUCUCUAUGCCUAAUGUGUCAUUCAAUUGAGCAUAUUAAUAUAUUUGUUGCAUGCAUUUUAGGGUAAAGUAAUGAAAAGAAUGUGAUGUGCAUGAUUGUGAGUACAACUUGCAUAAUGUGAUGGUUAAGAACCUUAUGAAAGUUAAACCCUAUAUGUAUGCAUGAGAGAAAAGGUGAGCACCCAAGUGAGGCAAAAGAACCGAGUGGCACAUGACAUAGAUCGAGUGGCAUUUGAGAAUGUAAAGUGACACUAGAGUUAGUGUGAGGCAAGGAACUAAAUGCGAGCUAAAGAAUGAUGAUAAUGGUCAAAGCUAAAGUAAAGCGAGCCAUAAAGAAUGUGCAAAGUAUAAAGAACGUGAAAGCUAAAGAUAGCUAAAAGUAAUGUGGGCAAUGAGAACAAGAAUGCUAGAGUUAGCAAGAGUAAUGAAAAUGUAAAGAAUGUGAUUGCAUGAGUUUGCAACAUAAAGUGAUGUAAAGAACACUAGAGCUAGUGUAAAGUCAAGAUUGAACUUAUAAUCUUUGAGUUAAGGAUAUGAUCAUACUUGCUAUUGAGUUCCGUGCUCGAGGGCGGUCGCUCCCCCUCGGGCGAUGCGCUCCGGAGUUAUGCAUCCGGGUUGGAGUAGACCCGUAAGGACGGUCCUAGCUGGUGAGUACCUGCGAUGAUGGACUUAACGUGAGGCAAGUUAAUGUGGCGAAACCCCCGGGUUAGCCUUAAUGAUUAAAGAGCAAAGAACAAAGAAUAAAGAACAAAGAGUAAAGUGAAAAGAACUAAAGAACAUGCAUAAUCUGCAUCUAUUAAUGUUGAGCAUAUUCCUUGCUUUUGUUCAGGCAUAUUAGCAUCAUGUUAUAGAUUGGUUACCAUAUUUCAGCUUAUCCUUUCUAUUAUGCCUGAGUUAGUCCUAGUGGGAAAGUCGGUGAUGUUGAGGCCGAACCCACUGGGAACUUUGUUGUAGUUCUCACCCCACUAUUUCCACAGAGCCGGGACCGAGCGAGCCGGCGAGCGACCGCGGUAAAGGUAUCGCGCCUUAGACAGAGGCCACCGAUGUUGGAUUUCAUUUUGUAGUAAAGUACCUUAUGAUCAUCUUUUGUAUUUGAUGAUUUAGCAAAGAAAGAAAAGAAUGUAAAGCUUAUUUUGAGGUAAAUGUGUGGUAAGAAAGAAAUGAUGAGACUAUGUAAGAACAGCAAGAAUCUUAAUUGUAAGAGAUGGAUGCAAUGUAUAUGAUCUAAAAUGAAUCAUAUUACUUGUGAAUGUUUAGUUUUCCUUUCUUUCACUGAUGGCUAUUGCUUACCCUCGCGUAAGCCGUUUGUGUAUGUUUCCGCUAGUGCACUUCUUAUUGAAAAUGUACAUGCGAUGAGCCUUGGGCGGAUAGGGGAAACUCUGUCCGUUCGGCGUCUGUUUGACGUGCUCGAGUCGGGCCAAAUUGGCAGCGGUCCCGGGGCGUGACAGGAAAACUCACCUCUAGUGCAAAAUCUCCUCUAAAGCUCCAAAAUGAAGCUAGGGCUCAUCCAAUCCAACCUAAUGGAAGCCUCUAAUCCAAUCAAUCUAGCUUCAAAAGCCCUAGAUUCAAAAUACCCAAAAAUAAGCCCUAAAUCUCCAAUUUAGGGUUUCAACACAAAAAUCUCGAUAGAACUCUAUUCUAGAGGAAGAGAACAAGUGGAUUACCUCUUAGAAGCUUCAACCUAAGCUCUAAAAGCUCUAAGUCCCAAGAUCUUCCCUCCACAAGGCUCCAAUCCCAAGCUCUUGGCUUCAACCAUGGAGAAAAGCACCAAAAAGGGAAAAAGAGAGAGAUUAAUCCAAGAAAAACCCAAAAGAGAGGGACCAAACCAAAGAAAUGAAGGGGAGGGUGCCCUAUCUUCUCCUCCCUGUGCUGUGAGCUCAGGAGGUGCCCUAAGGGGCGUGGGUGCUAAAUAGAUUAGGCACAAACGCAGAAAACCCCCUGCAGUUCAUACAGUUCGGAUUCUGCCAAAGUGUACCGGUACACGGGAAAGUGUACCGGUACACAUCCUACGAAAAUGCGAACCCGAGGCUCGGGUUCGAAAUUCGCCACAAGUGUACCGGUACAACCAUCAAGCGCGUACCGGUACAAAAUGUGUACCGGUACGACCAUCAAGAGUGUACCGGUACAUCUUGUGCAGAAGGAAAUCCGAGAGUAGGCUAAGUCCAACUUUUUAGUGACCUUAGCGCUACAUACAAUGCUACAAUUCUCGGGAUACGUGCCAUAGGUCGGAUCACUGCCAACGACCCACCAGAAAGUCUGGAAAGACUCGGGACACUGUCCAAACACUCGAACCCCGCAAUUUGCAAAGGUCCAGUGCGUCACACAACUAGUCUGCAAUCUGCAGCUUUCUUGUACAUAAUACCAUACCCAAGCAUACUCUUCACAUACCUCAGGAUUCGACGAACAGAUUCCAAAUGAGCCUUCUUUGGACUUUGCAUGUAGCGACUCAUCACACCAACUGCAAAGGAAAUAUCUGGCCUUGUUAGAGUUAAGUAGAUAAGACUACCCACUAACUGCCGGUACAUGGUAGCAUCUUCUAAAUCUUUCCCUUCAUGAGCACACAUUUUGGCGUUUGGCUCCAUCGGUGUCGAGAUUGGCUUGCAUUUAAGCAUUACAAACUUCUUCAACAGAUCUUUGGAAUACUUUUGCUGAUGGAGAAAUAUUCCUUCCUUAGUACGGUCAAUCUCUAAACCAAGAAAAUGCUUGAGCUUUCCCAGUUCUUUCAUCUGAAAGCGAACUGACAAAUUCUCCUUGGUUUGGAGAAUUUCUUCUUCACAAUCGCCCGUGAUGAUUAAAUCAUCCACAUACACCAGCAAAAUAGCUAGCUUCCCUCCUUUAGUUUUGACAAACACGUUAGAAUCCGCAGAUGUCACAGAAUAACCGCUAUGAGUGAGAAAUUCGGCAAUCUUACCAUACCAAGCCCUCGGUGCCUGUUUCAAUCCAUAGAGAGCCUUCCGGAGCUUACGCACAUACUCAGGAUAGUCUUGACUCUGAAAGCCCAUCGGUUGGCUUAUGUAGAUCUCCCGAUCUAGCUCCCCAUGCAAAAAUGCAUUCUUCACGUCCAUUUGCCACAAGUUCCAACUUUUGCUAGCUGCAAGUGCUAGUAAGACUCGUACAGUUGUAAACUUUGCAACUGGACUAAACGUUUCAUCAUAGUCUAGUCCAUAUUGUUGAGAGAACCCUCGGGCGACCAGACGAGCCUUGUGCCUUUCUAUUGAUCCAUCUGUGCGACGCUUUAUUUUGUACACCCAUUUGCAAGAAAUAGGCUUCACAUCUCUUGGCUUUGAUACGAGUUCCCAAGUCUGAUUUUGCUUUAAUGCAGCAAUUUCCUCUUCCAUAGCUUUAAUCCAUUCUGGACUCUGGGAUGCUUCCUCAAAUGUCUCUGGUUCUUUUGCAUCUACUUCUUCUACAUUGGCGGCAUUAGCAUACUUGGGAUUUGGCUUUCUGGCAUUUGUUGAUCUUCUAAGUGCAGUUGGUGUACUUGGCUCGCCUUCUUCACUUGGCCUUUGGUAUACACCUGUUUGCCAAGGAUUUUGAGCUAUGGCUUCUUCAACAUCUUCACCAUCAUCUGCAACCUCUGUUUCACCUGAACUUAACUGAGAUUGAGAAAUUUUUAAUUCUUCCUUAAAGAUAUCUAAGUCUGAUAAUACUUCCUUGUUUGAGGACCACCAUGAGGAAGCUUCAUCAAACACCACAUUCCGAGAUGUGUAGCACUUCCCGAUUGUUGGAUCGCAACAUCGCCAACCUUUCCUUUGACUGUCGUAUCCUACAAAGAUACACCUAACAGCCUUUUUUUCCAUCUUGCUACGUAAAUGGUCAGGUACAAAUACAUAGCAUACACAUCCAAAAACUCGAAAAUGACCAACAGCAGGUUUCAUGUUCCAUAAUUUUUCAAAUGGUGAAAGAAAGCAUAACCUUUGUUGAGGAAGCCUAUUGGUCACGAAGGCCGCAGUCUUCAUCGCUUCCGCCCAAAAUCGUCCCGGGACAUUCUUUGCAUGAAGCAUACUUCGACAUACUUCUGCCAGAUGCCUGUUCUCCCUUUCUGCUACUCCAUUUUGCUGCGGAGUGUUGGCACAUGUGAAUUGAUGGCGUAUUCUACAUUCCUGAAGGAAGUCUGAGAACUCAUGUGAGGUGUACUCUCCCCCGUUGUCGGUGCGUAAGCAGCGAAUUCUUUUACCAACCUCCGCUUCCGCUAUCUUCUUGAACUGUUUGAACUUUAAAAAGGUUUCAAAUUUUUCUUUCAAAAAAUAAACCCAUACGUACCUCGAGAAAUCGUCAAUGAAGAUCACCAUGUACUUCAUCCCACUAAUAGAGGCUUGCUUAAUUGGCCCAAACACAUCAGAGUAAAUCAACUCUAAUGGUUCCUUCGCUUUAAAUUUGGACUUUUCGUACGGCAACUGAUGUGCUUUCCCAUAUUGACAGCCUGCACAUAUACUAUUUGUUCUCACUUCAAGUUGUGGAAGUCCCUUUAACAUCGACUUCUUCAUCAUCACAUCUAGCUUGGAAUAGCUAACGUGACUUAGCCGCAUGUGCCACAAGUCUGCUGUCUCAUUCCUUCUUGUCUUGUCUAUAUAUGCUGUUUCCGCAGACAUCACGUAGACUGAUUCCAAUCUUCGUCCCUUCAUUGCCGGCUCUUCUGUGAUCUCAAGGUCCCGAUAUAUCCUCACAUCUUGUGGACCAAACAGAACAAAAUGGCCAGAAGAGGUUAAUUGUGCUACCGAGAAAAGAUUUUUCUUCAUACCUGGAACAUGAUAAACAUUUUGGAGUGGCACCUCGAUAUCAGUGCAUUGGGGAGAGACUACCGUGCUAUCGAUGUAAGCUAUCGGUAACUUUGAGUUAUUUGCCGUCACCACCACUCGACUUCCAUUGUACUCUGACAAGUUCUGCAACUUCUCUAUGUCGCCAGUCAUAUGGUUUGAGCAACCUGAGUCAACGAUCCAAUCAUCCUCAUAGUUGAUUUGAUUGAAUGUUGUUGCUGCAAGGGCUAGCUCCUCUUUUUCCAUAGCAAAGAGAGCCUCAGCAUCCCAUUCGUCUUCACUUUUGGAAGUAGCAGUGUUACUCUCGACGACCUUCUUUUUUGACCAGCAAUCUUUCGCCAUAUGACCUUUCUUUUUGCAGUUGUAGCACUUCCCUUCAAACUUUUGGCCAUUGCCAUAGUUCUUAGAACCUUUCCCAGCAUGAACACUCCCUUCACCUUGAUGACUUCUCGCUUUAUCACCAUUCUUUUUGGAUCCAUCGUUAACAUGCUACUUGGAAUUCCACCUGCCUUUAUUGGCAUAGAGGGCCUCUUCUUCAUUCUUCAACGAGACUCCUCCCAUUUGCUUAGCUAAGGCUUCUUGACCAGCUAGCAAAUUUUCGAAUUCCACAAGCGACAGCUGAGUUUGCCAUCCUUGUAUGGCAGCAACAAAACUCCUGAAUUCUGGCUUCAAACCAUGGAUGAUGAUCCGCUUCAUCCUAGUGUCGCCAAUAGGAGCCUCCGGAUCCAACUCAGUAAUCUCUCGGCAUAGCGUCUUCACUUUGUGGAAAUACUAUGCGACCGUCAUGUCGCGUUGCGCUACAGACAACAACUCACUCUCUAAGAGUUGAAGUUUCGUAUCGUUCUUCUUAGAGAAUAGUUUGGCGAAUGUAUCCCAAGCUUCUUUGGGAGUUUCCGCAGCCCGGAUAUGCUCCAGCACAUCCUCUUCAGCCGUCGUCUUCAAAACGAACAUGGCUUUGCCUGCUUUAAUCUUCCACUUCCGCAAUGUCCCAUUCGCAUCUUCAGCCUCCGGUUGUUUCACAUCAUUUCCAUUUACAAUCUCCCACAAAUCCUGGCCUUGCAUGUAAGACAUCAUGCAGGUAGACCAAGAAUUGUAGUUCUGGUUGUUGAGCUUCUUGUUUCCGCCAACGACUUGAAGAUCACCCAUCUUGGCAAUAGAGAUACUAACCAAAAAGCUCAGAACCUUGCUCUGAUACCACUUGUCGGAUCGUUGGCGCUAACCAUUAAUCCCAAAAGCUCGAGCUAUUAGAAAUACGCAACCAAUUCACUUAAAGCGUACAGAAACAGCGCCCACGGGUCUCGAUUGUGACUCGGCCCACCUGACCUCACGCCACUUCGAACAUGACUCGGCCCAACCCAGCCUCACACCAUUUCGAACAUGACUCGGCCCACAUGGCCUCCCACCACAGGGCAGGAUGCUGACCCAUUUAAGCCAACAAUCCCCCCUCCAGCACCUGCACACAUUUGCAGCAUGUAGGAAUCGAACCCGUGACCUCUGGCUCUGAUACCAAAUUGAAGAAACGACAGGUAGCAAGAAUGGUUCAAUAACCUCUAACGAGGGUAAAACAAUGGAAGAAAACAGGGCACUAGCACAUUAUUCAUUUCCACAACUAAUAUUAAGCAAUCAGUUCACUAACCUAUAAUUCCUAAAAAUUAGGAUCAGCGUAACAGACGCUAAGGACUCAAUAACAGAAUAACAAAUAAACAGGCAACCCACGUGCUGGUGUUGUUUUAUUCAAUACUCCCCCUCAACACCAGCUUCUACUCUUUUUACCAUGCCGAGCUGAUGACAUAAGCUUUCGAACUUGUUGCCAGUCAAGCUUUUUGUAAACAGAUCUGCAGCUUGAUCUUCCGUUCAGACAUGUUCCAACUUAAUUUCUUCUUGCAAAACUUUCUCUCUGAUAAAAUGAUAAUGCACCUCCACAUGCUUAGUUCUUGCAUGAAAAACUGGAUUCUCCGCUAAACGUAUUGCCGACAAGUUGUCGCAAUACAAAGAGAUACCAUACUCUGUUGGCUGAUGCAAGUCUUUCAAUAAUCGCAUAAGCCAAGUGCUUUCUUGAGCCGCCAUUGCUGCUGCUCGGUACUCUGCUUCCGUGGUUGAUAAAGACACUGUUGGUUGUCUUUUGCUACACCAAGAAAUUGCUCCGAACCCAAGCAUGAAAACAUACCGAGUAGUUGAACGUCGGGUAUCAUGGUCGCCUGCAUAGUCAGCAUCACAAUAGCCAACUUGUCACGCCCCGGGACCCAGCGGAAGCCCGCCCGGCGCGUGCCCAGACCCGCCAUAUGUCUAAAACAUAUAAGGCGUCUAAAAACAACAGUAAUAAAAGCAAUAAUAAGAGGCAUCUAGGAGUAUCAGAGCAUAAUAAAUGUCUAAAUGCUACAGCAAGGUAUAAGGUAAAGCUGAAAGUCCACUAAAUAAAAAAAACAUAAAGUAAGUACAAUAGGAAAUCCCAAAUACAAGUGCUAUAGGUAGGUACAUAGGUGGUCUCUAUACAUGGAUACAAGAAUCUCACNGGCGGCGAAAACACACACACACACACACAAACACACACACACACACACACACACACACACACACAACAAAAUAUUAAGAGAUCUGCCUUGGUGGGAAUAGGGAGUCCCACUCCUCCAGCAACUACUUAAGCUUGUGAGAUAUAUUCAUAGGGUUCGGUUGGAUACUUCUAAAGAUCGUAUCAUUCCUUGCCUUCCAGAUGGUCCACCAGCAUCCUACUAAUUCGGAAAGACUGCUUCUCGUCUUGUGCCAUCCUUUUCUAAUCCUCGACGAUGCCCAGACUAGAUUUACUUCGUUUCCCAGGUCCGUCGCCUGUAUACCGUUCACCCCAUUCACGAUAAUGAACUUAGUAAAAACACACCGCGUGAACAGAUGAUCCACUGAUUCCUCUUCCGAUCCACAAAGUACACAAUCGGCAUUUCCCACCCACCCACGCUUCGCAAGUAAAUCGGUUGUAGAAAGCCUCUUCGUAAGAACGAGCCAACAUAACACUUUAACUUUAAGAGGAAUACAGAGUCUCCAAAUCGUAUUUAGGCCUGGUUCCCUUGUUCCCCCGUCGAUCAACGCUAAAUAGGUCGACUUCACUGAGAAGAGUCUAUUUGGACUCCACCGCCAAGAUAACUGCUCCGGUCGUUGUUCAAGUGUAAAAUGGAAAAUCCUUUCCUUGAACUCUGCAAUAAUGUCAUUAAUCCCUACUAAAAUUUCAGGAUCAGUGCCCAGAAUCCUAUUCCAGUUCCAACUGACUCUUGCGAAGCCAUCAAUGACUUUCAGUCUAUUUCGGUAUGAUAUCUGAUAGAUUUUCGGGAACGCACGGUCUAAAGUGGUUUCUCCACACCAACGAUCUUGCCAAAAAUCGAUAGAGUUUCCAUUGCCUAGUUUGUAGGCGGAUCCCCAUUUGAAAAUGACUUUGAGGCUAAGUACUCCCUUCCACCAGUGAGAUUGGGGCCUAAAUGAACUGCCUUCCAUCAAAGGUCUCCUCCUUUUGUAGUAGAGAUCUCGAAUUAUCCUAUUCCACUGCAGCUGGGGUGCCGUGUGGAAUUUCCACCACCAUUUGGUCAGCAGGGCACGGUUCAUGGUCCCUACAUCCAGGAUCCCUAGACCACCUUCUCUCUUGCUCUUACAUACAUUCUUCCAAGCUAAUAAGCAUCCCCUGCCAGGAGAAUUAAGUCCACCGUUCCAGAAAAAGUCUCGGCGGAGAGCUUCCAUGCGCUUGAUCACCCAUUUAGGUGCCUUGAACACCGAAAGAAAAUAGAGAGGGAGGUUUGUUAGAAGAGCAUUCACCAGGAUAAGUCUACCUCCCCUGGAAAGGAGUUUGGCCUGCCAGCCAUCGAUCUUGCACUGGACUUUCUGAAUGAUGCCCCUCCAAUCCACUUUAGAGGGGGGUUUGGGAGAUAGUGGCAAACCUAGGUAUUUUGUCGGGAAAGAACCGAGGCGGCACUCAAGUAAGUUCGCUAGUCUAGUCGUUUUUCCUUCUACCUAACCUAGGUAAAACAAUUCCGAUUUAUCUCUGUUGAUAACCAAACUCGAGGCCCAUUCGAACAGUUGCCACAAGAAUCUGAGAUUUCUCAUGUAUCUCUUUCUAGCCUCGCAAAAAAAGAAGGUAACGUCCGCAAAUUGAAUGAGAGAAAUCCUGCUCGUGUCUGACGGCCCGAUACCUUUGAGGAGGUUGUUGCGUAACGCUUCAUUAGUCAAGCGGGUUAGGCACUCGGCCACCAUCAGAAAUAGGAACGAGGAGAGCGGAUCCCCCUGCCUGACUUCUUUUUUAGUCUUGAUCCAGUUGGUUGCCUCUCCGUUAAUCAGAAUUGCAACUUUCGCAUGGCACACACACAGAACAAUCCAUUCGCACCACUUGUCGUUGAAACCCCACCACCGAAGAAUACGGAAGAGGAAAAGCCAGUCAAUCCUAUCAUACGCCUUUUCGAAGUCUACCUUUACUGUGACCGCCUCGAUAGCUUUCUUAUUACCCCAGCUAAGGAGUUCGGCUACAGUUACAUACGCAUUAGUAAUGUUUCUUCCUUUCAGGAAUGCUGACUGUGACGGGGAGAUCAGAUAGUCCAUGACCUGUUCGAGGUGAUUCGCCAACACUUUUGACAAGAUCUUUUGAAUUCCGUUCAGUAAGCUAAUGGGUCUAUAGUCGUUGGCCCUUUUGGCCCCCUCCUUCUUAAGGAUAAGGCAGAUGAGAGCAUAGUCGAUCGGAUCAGUGGAUAGCUUCCCCUUAAACAUCUCUUGGAAUAAACUGAAGAUAUCGUCCUUGACCGUGUCCCAGAAGACUUGGUAGAACUGUAGUGGGAAACCAUCAGGGCCCAGUGCCUUGUCGCUCCCAAGUUGGAAAACUGCUUGCUUGAUUUCGUCAAUGUUGAAGGGUUCGGUAAUCCUCGUAAAGUCAGAGGCUGGAAUGCGAUUUGAACUGAAGAGACUACACCAAUCCCCAACCGAGGCAGGGCUCGAAUUAACUGGCGCGAAUAGAUUCUUGAAAAAGUGAUAGAAAUGUUUCUUCUUGUCCUCUUCAGAAUAAUGCUCGACAUCGUUUUCAACAACCAAAUCGAUCCUGUUAGCUCUGCGUCUGCCAUUAGCUACCGAGUGGAAGAACUUAGUGUUAUCAUCUCCUUCUCUAAGCUAGUGUUGUUUGGCCCGCGUUCGCCAGACCGAAGCUUCGUCAUUAAGGACCCCUCGUAGCUUGGCCUUAAGAUCUUCUCUUUUUGAUUGUAGUUCCAGUGAGAGUUCUCCUAAUUCUUCUGCUUUGUCGAUCGACUGGAUUUCAUCCAUUAGAGAAUUUUUUACUCCUCUAAUACUGUAAAACUCGUUGGCACACCAUUCUUUGAUCCUCUGGCGGCAGUGUCUCAGCUUCGCGGUGAAGGUGAGCAUGGCCGACUUACCUGUCGUACCCUGGGUGCCUUCCUUCCACCAAUCCGGCAAUUUGGUGAUGAAACCGUCGUGGUUCAACCAUGCUUCCUCAAAACGAAAGGACUUGUUCCUCACGUUAGCACUUCGUUUCACAGUAAAAAGGAUAGGGCAGUGGUCAGACGUGACUCUAGGGAGUGCUUCGACUUUAGAAAAGGGAAAUUUCUGUUCCUAUUCCGUGGAGAUUAGGAAGCGAUCGAGUUUCGCGAGAGUCGGGGUUUUCUGCAUGUUGGACCAUGUGAACGAUUGGUUAGUCAGGGGCAAGUCGAUCAGAGCUAACUCAUUGAUAAGAUCGUUGAAAAGAGCUGUCGCUUUGGAACUCCAUGGUCUUCCCCUCCGCUCCUCUUGUCCCCGAGUACUGUUGAAAUCUCCAUAGAUGAUCCACUUGCCCUCACUACGAUCCUUCAUAUGAGCCACUUCGGAAAAGAACUCCUCCUUGCCGUCCCACGAAGCGGGGCCAUAGACAUUGGUAACAUAGAAGUUUGUGUUGCGCGUGACGGAGGAAAGAAGAACAGUAAUGACAAUUUUCCUCACUAGAACUUCUUGACAGUUGAAAAAGCGUGAGCUCCACCCCGUGAUAAUCCCCCCCGAGACGCCGUUCGAUUUGAGGUACACACAUUUGUUGAGAAAGGAGCCACCAAAACUACGCAAAAAGGACCCUGCCUGAGACAUGAUUAACUUUUGAUUCUUGAAUACAGACAACCACAUUGUGAAAUUUCGAAAGUACGGCCCUAACGACGUUACGUUUAGAUGGGUCGUUAAGCCCCCUAACGUUCCAGCUACAGACUCGGAACAUAAAACAUGAGUAGACACUGACACCAAAAAGGAGCCCAAAAUCGGUGACUACAAUUGCUACCAACUCCCAGGCUACACACAGUCGUACAGUAGCUCAGCGAAUUUCGUCGCCUCGCUCUCAGUCAGCGUCACCCUACACAACCUACUCUUGGCGAUGACCUUCUUCACGGACUUUCCGUUUGCGCUCCCAUCCCUACCUUCACGGAGACCAGCCUUCCUAGACAUAGCCUCGUGUAAGAUUGAGAUCUUGGUCAUGUUGGCGAGACGCUUGCUAGCCCGUGGCGGGGUAGAACGCAAGGUAGUAUCCGAAUCAUCCAGAGUAGCUAAAACCUGGGUCAGCGAGUCCCGGUGGUCAAUCCCGCAUUCGUGGUCUUUGUCGAGGGUGGAAGAGACGAACGGAUCGAGUUGGCUAUCGUAGGGUAAAGCAGUCACAGUAUCCACCUUCAGGUCAAUGGAUGGGGGUGAUCGAGCUCUUUUACCUGUGUCCUUAACGUCCCAGCUUGACACAUGGUCCAAAAUGCUCAGCCCAAGGAGAGAAUGGGUAAACAACGGCCCACAACCCAAUAAUCAAGCCUAACCAGCCAAGAGUUGGGGGAGAAAAAAGCAUGAGGCCCCCAGGCCCGUUUGACCACAAAAGGCCCAAUCACAAGCACUGGGACCGGCCCGCACCCACUCCUACCAAUCACUACUUGGCCCACCAGGCAAAGGGAAUUAGAUAGAAGCAUAGCAGGCAAGCCAGCUAGCUUCUGCCUUGGUCCCGAGAUCUGACUCAAGGCAUUAAAGGCCUCGGUCUCCGCGUCAGCCAAGAUCGAGGAGCCCGCCUUCCUAGGCUCUCCCUUUGGCAGAAGAGAAAGAUGAAGCCUCUUUGACAUGGAGGAAGUAAGCAGGCCUUCCCUGAAGUCUCUUCUCCCUUUUUUCCUUCUUCAUGCAAAAUGUGGUACUCUCCCUGAGCUUUGCUUGCCUCGAAAAUAAUGAGCCGAGGGCCUCGGACCCAGCGCCAUAACAAGCCGUUGCACCGCGAUGCCGUCCCACGUCCACGGCGGCGACCCUAGCCACAGCGACGCCAUGCCUGGCCGACGGGGGUGCGUGCUACAGCACUGCGGGGCGACACACUGCCGCCCUGGAAACCCGCAGGUCCGCCGCGGCGACCCUAGCCACAGCAGCGCCUUGCCUGGCCGACGGGGGUGAGCACUGCAGCACCGCGGGGCGAUGCUCUGCCGCCCUGAGAACUCACAGAACCGCCACGGCGCCUUUCUCGGCCGCUUUGCGAGCUCGCUGGCCCGUCGUGAUGGGAGAAGCCCUGAGCAACUGCUGGAGAGGGUCCGCUUCCUCAAGAACCCCAGCUUCGUCCUUCAUCUCUUCGUCAACGCCCUCGCUUUCCUGGUCACCCCCCCGACCACCUUGCUCGUCGUCGUUAGGCCCAUUCUGCGGCUCCGUGGGAGGGUCGUCUCCUCCAACCUCUGCCGCCCUCUCCCAGCUCUCCAAGUGAACCCUGAUGGAGAAGGUCUCCUCCCCGAGCACUACAGACAGGUUUUGGGGGAUGUCCCUUACCAAGUCAAGGGCGAUCAGGCAGUGGAAAGCUCUGAGGUCCGUCGUCGCCCUAGUUGUCGCAUCCGCUUUGAUAAAUCGCCCGAAGCCACAAACAAUGGCCGCCACCCGUGCCACCGUCCAGCAUUCGAACGGAAGAUUGAGCAGGCGGAUCCACGCUGAGUAUUGUAGCCGGUGCGGUUGGGCAUUUCUGUAUUGGCCCCAGGGAUAGCAUCGGAUCCAAAACUCGCUGAGGGAGAGAACUUCCCUUCUGAUCAGCACAUCAGCGGAGACCCAUUCCGAAAGGAAAAUUGCGAAUUCUAACGUGCGACCGAGAAAUCCUCUGUGUACCCCGCAAAACGAUUGGCCAAAGCGUUGGCAAUGAAGCGUAUAGGGUCAGGUCCCACAUUCACUGGCCAGAUUAAGUCCGCCAGGACGGCGUUGCGGCGAAGCUCCCUUCUACCCAAGUACUCCUCAGUGUACGGGACGUAGACCAUAGAAGCAGGUGCCAGCCCCCGGUGCCAGUAAGCCCUAAUCAUGUCAGCGUCUGUCUUAACUGUCUUACCCUUGCAAUGGUGAGCUCGGUGUCCAGUUCUGAAGCACCUAUAGCACCUUACAGGGUCGCGGCACACAGCGAUAGUGUGAUCACGAGCGAGGCACCUGAAGCACCGCCUCGCUUGGUACCGAAAUGGUGUAGCCUUGGGGCUGGAAGUGGAAGGUUUCCGGUUGGGUUUAGAAGUGAAUGCAAGGGGAGGUGGGCUCAAUUUCCUCAGCAGCGCGUCCUUAUAGGAUCCAAGGGCAGUAAAUGGAGGUAUAAAUUCUCCACCUUCCACCCUGUUCAAGCCUCCCUUUCUUGGAUCUCUAGGUGACAGCCCCAUCUUGCACUUAGAUGUCCAUCAUUAAGGCCAACGUUCUGAUCACGAAGAGGGUUCUUACUGGAAUUAGCUAACAUCUUCUCAGCUGUAUCAUUGCUCCCAAACACCUCCAAUAACUCUCGACCAACCUCGUCUGCCCAUGCCAAUCGCUUCACAAUCUUCUUCCUCUUCCCCUCUAGGUGCACGCCCUUUCUCUGUCUCUCUCUCAUCUCUCCAACCAUUAACCAGAGUUAUCACAUUAGAAGGCUAAUAUUGAAAAUACCUUUUUUACAUUCCAAUCUAUUUCAAAUAUACCCCUAUAGUUAAAAUCUGUUAAUAAACUCUGUCAUCUCUAUGAAAUUACUAUUUUGUGCUUUCAAAUAUACCUUUCUAUGAGCACCGACUUUUCUUAUUUGCCCCUAAGUUAGGGGCACAAAAAGUAUUUUAUUUUUUGGUCUUUUCAAAUAUAUCAUACUACCAUCACCAACAUUUCUUAUUUGCCUUUAAGUUAAGGGCAAAAGUGGUAUUUUAAUUUUUUUUAACUGUGAUAGAUACUUAACUCACAUUUAACCCAAGUUAACUUAGGUGAUAACUGUAGAGAUAUUUUGGAAUAACGAAGAACAUAUGAGAGGUAUAUUGGAAAGAAAAAAGAAGUAGGGGUAAAUAAAAUAUUUCCGAAGUUUUGAGGGGUAUAUAGGCAAUUACCGCUUUAAACAAACAUGCCAAUAUGAAUCUAAAAUAUAUGAAUUUAUUAAUAUAAAUUUUUUUUAUUCAGUACAUCAUAUGGGGCUAUUCAAACUUAGUUUACAUAUAUUAGGUGAAAAAUGGGUCUCACAUAUUUAACCAUCCCAACCAAUUUUAAUCUAAUCUAUUAAAAUUUGUCCUGGAUUGUUGAAAACAAAUUGUUGCUUCAUUUAUAGAUACUGACGAGAAGUUACAUCUACAUUUUUAUGCAAUGAGAUCCAACAACAAAUGGAAAAAAUUGUUAUAAGCAUUGAUCUACGUACUUGAUAUUAAUGAAGAUUUUCAUCAAAAAUAAUACUUUCCAUUAAUGGAAAAAGAUCAUGCUAUAAUGGAAAACUAUCAAAGAUAAGAUUGCAAGUGAGAAAAUAUAUCAUUUCAUGUCAAGAAAAUAAUUCAUGAAGAUGAUCGAGAGACCAACUAGAAAGCUCAAUUAAAUUCAAGAAGGAAAUAUCGUAAAGGAUUAUUUGUGAAAUAUACGCACAUCAAGAUUGAUUUCAAUCCACUCAAAAAAGAAAAUUAUGAUUGUAUUUUAUCAUUUCAACUUAUUUUCUUUUAUGCAUGUAAUGCUAUUCGUAACACUUUGUAAAAUUUAUAUAUUGAAUAGAAUGAGGAAUACUCUAAAAUAUAGAGAGAAACCAUUUUAAUAAUUUCUGAGUCUUAUUUUGGUGUUUUUAGUCUACUAACCGUCUCAAAAAAAAAUUUAUAAAAUUGGACCCCCUCAAAUUUAUAUUUGUAAAAAUAGACUCUGGGUAGACACAUGAGUGCCAAGUUCGCGGGAAUAUAUAAAGAUGGUGAACCAUUCGCCGUAUUAAGAUGAAAGCACUAAAUGGUUUAACAUCUACUGAAAAAAUAUAAAAUCCUAUGAAUGCGGUAAACUAUUCAUCGCCUUCAUAUAAGCUGUAAAUGGUUCACCAUCUUUAAGUACUUAACCACUUGUUUUUGCUUAGCUUAACUCAUUAUUAACUGGCGAAUGACUUAAAUGCAGUGAACCUGUAGGUUAUAAGGCCCUAAGAUCUAAAAGGUAUAAACACACCUAGAGGGGGGUUGUAAGGUAAUGAAUCAUUGACGCGUAAACUGAACUUUGGUCGAAAUUGACCAAAGUGUGGUGUUGGACGCUUCGGAAAGGUCCGUUGAGCGUUCCGAAAGUUCGGAAUGGCUUAUAAGGGUGUGAAGGGCCUUGGAGAGCAUUGUGGAGAAAUUCCAAAAACUUUCACAGUGGAAAUGCUCUCGGGGUCCGAACCCUGGCUAUAAGGUCCAGACCCCGUACACGAAAAGUGGCUGGUUGAACUGGGGGGGUCAAUUGUGCAAGGGGCUAUGUGCAAGUGUGCAAUGAGAGGGUAUAUGGAUGAGUUCCUAACUCAUUUCUCUCAUUUCCCUUUCACACACCAAACAAAGAGAAAGGUCUUUCUCUCUCUAAGUCUCUCUCUCUCUCUCCUAGGGUUUACUCCAAGAGGUGGAGUUGGUGGAGAGAAGUUGCUUGGAGGUGAAGCUUCUCCUUCUUCUUCUUCCUUGGCUUGAGAGGAAGCUUGAGUUGAGGUAAGCUCGAUUAGAUUUGGUGGUUUGUAGUUAGGGUUUUGGUAUAAUCCCUUAGAAAUGAGUUAUAUGGAAACCCUAGGUAAUGCUAUGCUUGAUUAUUGCAUGAAUCAUUGAGUAUUAUGUGUAUUCUUGCAAUAAUGAGUUUUUAGGGUUUCUAGAGAGGUUUUUGCCAUGAGUUGGGUUUAGAUGUAAAUUGACCCUAUUGAAACCUAAUUGAAGGUAAAACUGACACGGUGGGGAACUCAAAUUGGAGUUCCUACGAGCGUGUGGCGAAUCGUUGAAGAAAAGUACGAUUUUCAAUUCGUUUGCGUUGGGUCGAGCCAAAACGACGUCUAUAAAUCGUGAGGCUAGGAUUCUCGCACCUCGGCAUCAUUAAGAGGUGAGGGGUGCUAUCCGAAACAAUCGGAUUUUCUUUUAUGCCUAUGUUGCUUCAUUGGCCAUGUAUGUUCAUGUAUAGAUAUCAUGCAUUGUAGAGUAGUUGUGUUGGUUAUUCCAUUCCUUGCAUGCUCUCAUGGUACUUGUAGAAAUAUGAGAUGGAAUAUAGUGACUAUGUGCAUGAGGAUUGGGUUGUGAACAAAGAACUCUAUAGUGCUAUGACAUUGUGAACCUAGAAAACAUAGUGACAUUAAAAGGUGGCAUUCAGAUAUGACGAUGAGAACUUAGAAACAUUGUGGCCUCAAAGGUGGCAUUUGGAUAGUACAUUGAGAACACUCAUGAUAUGAGGAUAGGAAUUGGUAUCUUCCAUGGCUUCGUUACCACUAGUUGGUAGGGUAUCCUCGGGAUAGAGGAUUGGAUCAUGCUCACAUACGUCUGUUUCACUUGGCGGUGGUUGCUCCACCCAAGCAGUGGUCUCCGGAGUACUUCACGGUAGGGGUUAACGUAGCUACCCCGCAGACGGUCCCGAGUGAGUGUAGCAGACGUCUCCUCACAUUUCGGGAUUCGGCUGUGAGUUGGGGCUUAACCUUCGGGUUAGCCGGAAUGAUUGGGUUAUGAAAUAUGAAAGGCAUGCAUCAUGAGCAUAGUAGUUGCUAAUACAUGUUUAUCGUACCUAUUUAUUGUUUUAUAUUGCCAAGACAUAGUAGCAUGCUAGAUGAUUAUUAUAUUGCUAACCCUUUCUACAUAUGCCUGCUUAAACCUAGUGGAAAAAUCGGCGAAAUCGGCGGCCGAACUCACUGGGAACUAUUAUUAGUUCUCAUCCCACUUUGUUGCAGGGCCUAGCACGAGCGAACCGGCCGAGGAUCGCGGUAAGGGCAUAGCGCCCUAGAUAGUAGCCUCCUAUGCAUUAGAGUAUCAUGUACCCUUUUGAGAGAUAAUGUAUGUUGGUGAGGUUACUUUUCUGGAUGUAAACGUGUUAUGAGGCAAAUGAUGUAAACCACAUGUAUGUACUUGGUGGAUGGAUGUAAAUAAUCAAAUGUGAAUGUAAUAGCUAGUAUUUCUCUCUUACUCUUGCUUGUAUUCUACUUGCAUAAUUCAUGUAUGUUGACUAUGUUUAUGUCACGCCCCGGGGUCCCUUCAGGUUAAAAACACCGCGAAUUUUUUUUUUUUUUUUUUUGAAAAUCUAACCCCAGGGAAUGUCAGAUCCGCCACAAAUACAGGAAAUCCACUGUUCACACGGACAGAGUCUCCCCUGUAUUUGCACGGCGUCGCACAAGUACAAGAAGUAUCCCAGGUACAACCACAACCAAAUGAAUAUAAAAACGACUAUGUAAUCAUUCAUUCACCAUUCACAUCACAGUUAUACAUUCAAUAUUUAAACAUAAAUCCACAGAAAAUUCUUUUGAAAACUGUUUUCUACAUGGAAACUUUUAUUCUUUAAAAACGCUACCACGAGGAGUAGAAAACCUUUUAUUUACGAAAACAACGAAUCCUUUUUAUUACAUUCAUAAAGCCAAAUCAAAAUAUGAUAAUUAACUGAAAUACCCAAAACUGAACCAUAUAAACUAUCUAAGCUAUAUCAACAGGACAGUAAGGGUAGAAACUAAACCGAAUAACCUGGGUCGGAAGCUCUAUCGACCGCUACGUACGUAUCUCACGUCUUAUCUCAACCCUCACCGCUCGCGAUACCUGAAAAAUAGUGGGGGAGGUGCGAACAUGUAAACAUGUCUCCCCUCCCAGUGGGUACCGCAAGCCGAUGAAGGCGAGGAGUACUCACCGGAUCAGGAAGAGCUAAACAACAGUACGGGUCAGUAGAAAAUACAGUAGCAAUAAUAAUAAAUGAAAGAGACAUGUAUAUGAAAGAAAGUACAACUACCGCUACUAUAAUGAACAACUGAAUGUAUACAUGUAACAAGACUAUAGUAGCAAGACAAUCUAACGAAAGAACUGAAGAUAUACAAGCGACAACUGCUACUAUAGUUAUAUGCGUCAACCAGACGAUAAGUCCAAAUAUACCCAAUCUGAUGCUGCUAUAUUGGUCCGCAGACCUCAAGCGUUGCCUGUCACAGAGCAGACACUGAGAGCUUAUUCAUGCGUCACCGACGACCUAUCCGGAUACGUACACCUCUUGUUGGUGGCCAAACCAACCUGGUGUCUAGAAUACACAGUGCUGUGACUAAAUCAUGCUGAUAUGCUCAAACGAAAUCCGGCUAAAGCCGGUGCCUAGGCCGAAGCCAGAAACAAGGGCGUACAACGCCAAACCACGAUCAACCAGAUCGAAACACAUGACAAGAGAGUCGAUGUGUUGCCUGGACCCAAGGUCCACAGAGUCCAACUGACCAACAAGGUCCCUGAUACGAAGUACGAGAACCGACCAACCAGGUCAACAGAUACGGAAUGCAACAACCAACCAACUAGAUCAACAGAUACGGAAUGCAACAACCGACCAACUAGGUCAACAGAUACGGAAUGCAACAACCGACCAACUAGGUCAACAGAUACGGAAUGCAACUACAGACCAACUAGGUCAACAGAUACGCAUGUAGAUAGAACUACUCUACUCCUACUCAGGAUACUAAGCAUGCAAACAACGAGUAGAGUAUAACGAAUAAACAAGGGUGCAAGGCUCAAUAUACUAUGCGAUAGUAACAACAGAAGAGUAAGGGUAAGAAACCAUCACCAAGCGUGCACCACUGUACCGACGUCGGAUCGAAGUACCCACCUGUAAGGAUGUCGCGUCUGUCUCCUGACUGCAAAAGAAUGUCGACAGGGCCUAUAGAGGGUCCACCGGGUUAGUAUCUAACCCACAACUAAUAAUCACAGUAUCCACAACCCCACAAACAAUUUCAUGAAGAUCGGUUUCCCAAUACCGAUUACCGUUCGCCCGAAGUCCCGAAAACCACACCGGGACGCCGUCGGGACCCACUAAGUGUCCCGAAACUCACCAACUCGUACCACGAGUCACCCGCUGCCACAAAACACACCAAUUUGAAUGUCUUGGCAGUAAACACAAGGUAACACAACCCAACAAUUAUCGUCGGAUAAUUGUUCGGAUCCGGAUUCCCAGAAGUGUCUAUUUCGACACCGGAACCACCGUCGCUCACCCGUCAUCAUCGAACCCACAAAAUGAUGAUGGUGACCAGCCAACAAGGCUCAGCGACAACUCAACGGACAACCAAACCACGUCGGAAGAAAUCCGAAUCAAAUCCGCGUUCUUUCGGCGAAUUUCGCUGAAAAACGCACCGUAACCGACUCUUCGAUUUCCGCAAAGGCUAUUGGAUCAUGGACAAUCAGUCCAGAGGUUACCACACACUCCAAUGCAUUGCCCACAGUAGCCAUAAGGUGCACAAUUGCAUAAAAGUCCCUCAAAUUACAUAAAAUCCUAUCAUUUUAUGUGAUUUGAGCGAUCAAGUGGCUAGUUCACGCAAACCGAGGACUUUCAAGGUCUGCCGAGACACGUAUAGCUUGGUCUCGACGUACCGGAGGCCGUGCUCAUGAUCCAGAGCACAACGGCUCACUGUGGGAAGCACGGGAGCAACCCGAAGGUUCGGCGAAAAGCGCGCAGUCAAGGGAGAUCACGCCGAACAGGACUAACCGGACACAGCUGAUCCAAAAUAAGGUGAGCACCGUGAUCAGCACUGACCAGCGGUCACCGUGCUCACCUCCGGAGGCAUCGGAACAGCCUCGGAUCGCCGAAAAAGCACGCACAAACACAGAACAACAGCCAAAAAGGCUCCAUAGGGUCGACACCGCAAAAACAGCGGAACGGGGCCUUCCCGACAGAAACUAAGGUGAGCACGAUGAUCAGAAACUUGCCAGUAUCAUCAUGCUCCCUUCCGUAGAGAUCGGGGAGGCUCGAGAAGCUCGGAAUAGUAAACCAUCCCAACUAAGCCCUAUUUCGGGCUUGGCCGGAGCAAGCUUGCUCCGGCCGGCUUCCGGCUGCACGGCGGCGCGCGCAGAGGCCAGUAAUGGGUGCGGGUGAGGUGAGGAGUGAGGUGCUCACCUCAGUCGGCGGCCGGAAGCGGCGGCGGCGGCGGAGGAACAAGACAAGCCCGCACGGCUAGGGCACGGGUUCCGCGGGCACCUGCGGCCACGGCGGCGGCCGGGGAGCUCCGAGACGGCGGAGAAGGAUAGCAGGAGGCCGGAGGGACGCCUCGGGUGCGGCCCCAAGUGGCGGCGGUGCAGGGGUGGAGUCGCACGCUCGCCUCGGCCCGAGCAGGUCUGGGGCAGCUGCGGGCUGGCCGAGGCGGCGGCGGCGGCACUCUGGGCGGCUCGGGGCGGCGGCGGCCGGCGGCCAGACGUCGGGAAGGUGCUACUGGAGUCACCCAGUGCGGCGGCAAAGCGAGGAAGAGGCUACGAGCUGACCUCGGCCUGUGCUCGCUCUAGCUGCCUGAGGCGGCUUCAGCGCGGCGUGGCGGCGCUCGGCCGUGGAUGGCUCGCCGAGCACGGGACGACCCUGGCGGAGGGUCUGAAGGUCGCGGCAGUCCGCGCUUCCUCACAACCCGAGAGGAGAGAGAGAGAGGGAGAGGGGGAAGGGUGGCUCCGGCGGCGGUUGGCCAGCCGGCAUCAUCGGCGGCGGCCUGGGCGUACGCAGCAGGUGCAGGGAAGUGGCGGUGAGGUGGUGGGGGUGCGGCUCCGGGCUGUUAGGGUUAACACGGCUCCAAACCCUAAAGAGCUAUAAAUACUAAGUGUGGGCAACUUUGGGCAAAUAAGUCCCAAACUCAAGCAUUUAUUACUCGCGUCCUUCACAGCAGCGUGUAAAAGCGCGGCACCCCUCCACGUGCGAUCCCACCGAACGAAUACAUAAAAUAUCGUGACUUUUGCGAAAUUUUACCGUUUUGCCAUUCACAAGACCUCUCCCGAUCAACGCGCAAUAUCCCAGAUCUGCGUCGUUAGAUUUGCGAACAGAUUGCACCAGUGCGAUCAGGCACCGACCGAGACAACAAGCUACGGUUUCGUUUCACCACGAUCGACACGGAUUUCGGACAAAAUCCAAUCUCUUGGUUCCAAAUAGAAGGAAUAACACAUAACUACAUAUAAAAGAAGUAUUUUUGGAUUUUCUCGAAAUCCGUGCGUCAAACUCAAAAUCCGUCAGCGCCAAUAGUUCCAGAACAGCUGAACCGAUCGAAACGAGCUAUUGGACCGCUAUGAACGAAGUCCGAUACAAGCCAGAAGCCAACUUCCCACCGUGGCUUCUCCGAGAAAAUUGAGUUACUAUUCACUUUAAGUGAAACUUGGAAAUCGCGUAGAAUUUCCGUUUUAACUCAUUUUCAUCCGAAACUUGACGAGUGCUUUUGUAAUUAAAUUACACACAAAAACAUCAUCAACUGAGAGUUUAGCUACACUGCAAAAGUCUCAGUCCUUACAGUUUACCUGGGCAACUAAAUAUACAUGAUUGAUAUUUGUUAAGCCUUGGGCGGACAGGAAAAACUCUAUCCGUUCAGCGUCUGUUGAUGUACCCGAACCGACCAAGUUGGCGGUUACGGGGUGUGACAGGGAUGAAUAGAUGUAAACGAUAAACCAACCAACUCGAUACAAUAAAAAUUAAAUGCGAAAAAAUUAAUGCCAACACACCGAGAUUUUUAUGUGGAAAAACUCUAAGAGGAGUAAAACCGACGGGACCGAUCACACGAAACAAUCCACUAUUAAUAGAAAGUACAAGAUGAUUUACCGAAUCCACGACUCAAUCUUUACCCUAACUUCAAAGUAGAUCGUUUUCGUUGGUCCCCGAUCGAUUGAACUCCUCCAACCGAUCACGCCGCGACUCCUUGCAGCAACAACGCCCCAAAUCCUCGAGUGUAAGGAAGUGAAUUCUUGAAAUCCGAGGAUUAGACUUCGUUUAGAAUCAACUGAUUGUCGAGUGUGUAGAUUUCGGAAAGUCCGAAGGCGAUUAAAAUGCAUAAAGUGCAUUAAGAAUGAGUCCGCGAGAGCAUCAGUGCAAAAACCUGCACUGGAGCAAAAUUGCUCUCCGGGACCGGUCCCUGGCAGGGAGGGACCGGUCCCAUCGGCUGGUGUGGCGGGGAUCCUUGAUGCAACCGGUCCCUGGUAGGGAGGGACCGGUCCCCAAACGUUAACCCAGCGGGAGAGCCAAAAAUUUGGGUAAGUCCCAAAAAUCCAACUCUCGGGAACCGAGUCUCUCAGGCAAGGACUGGUCUCCCGGGGACCGGUCUCUCAGGCUGAGACCGGUUUCCGAACGCGAAAUCCCCUCUGCCCGAAUGGGAGGCUCUCGGGGACCUGUCUCCCCGACCUGGGACCGGUCCCUCACUGCGAAAUUGCCCGGGGAGGGCUAUUUUGUAGAGUGGAAAGUUGAGGGGUUUAAUUACAAAAUGGCCUAUAUGAGAGAUGGGGGACCCUCGUCUCUCCCUCACUGCUCUAUUUUCCCCUCACACUCUUACCCUUUCUCCCUCUCUCUCUCUCUAGAAAGAAAAGAAGGAGAAGAAGAAGGAGAGGAAGAAGAAGAAGGAGAAGAAGAGAAAGAGGAAGGAGAAGACUAAGAAGGAGAAGAAGAGAAAGAGGAAGGAGUCUCUCCCUCAAGCUUGGAGCUUGGUAUUGAAGGUAAGCCUCAACCCUACAAUGGUGAAUCCUUUGAACUUGGGUUUUAUGGUUUAGAAAUGGUUCGAAUGGAACCUAAGGGAGUUAAAUAGAUGGUUCUAGCUCGAAUUUUAGGCUCGAACCAAGGAUUUCUUUAUCGUUGCCAACCUAGGGCACGUUUUGGGGUUUUUGGAAAUCUAGGGUUUUGAUCUAUUUUGAUGGGUUGAAAACCUAAUUACUAUGUCACCGAAUGCGUGGGCGAAGACGGUUCGUCGAUACGACGAGCGAGUACGAAGAUAUCGCCGAAACGAGUACACGAGGGUUCGUUUUGGCUCGAGGAGUUGAAGCGACGUAUGAGGAUCGCGACGUCGAGUUUACUAGCUACAUGGCACUACCAAAAAGGUGGGGGAGUGCCAUCCCGAAGCAAUUGAACUGCUCUCUAUGUCUAAGUUCUAUCGUCGAUCAAAUUGCAUAUUGAACAUCAUGCAUAUAGGGAGUUUAGUCAUUUAUAUUUAUAUUCGCAUGCUAGCGUCGUUGUAGCUUAGUUGAUAUAGCACUUGAACCUAGUAUGCCUGAGUUGAACAUGAGAUAGUUAACCCUAUAUGUGAUGAACAUGUUUAUGUGAAUAAGAACCUAGUAUAUUGCAAACUAGUGUAUUGAGAACGAGUGGCAUCUAGUUAACAAUGAACACAGAACGAGUGGCAUCUAGUUAAUAUGAAACAUGAAAACCUUAGUGUAGUCGAACACUAUGGGAUUGAGAACUAGAAUACUUCGAUUCUAUGAUGGGACCAACCUUAGUUGGUAGGGUGUUCCCAGUUCAUGAGAUUGGAUCAAGCUCACAUAGCCUGUCUGCGCCUGUCGUGGUAGCUCCACACAGGUAGUGCACUUCGGAGGUCGUCACUCGAGGGGGGCCAUUGUAGAUGCCCUUGGACCAUUGUUGUUAUGUUGUUUGAUACCUUCCUUAUGCAAUCUUGCUUGAAUACUGUUCCUGGUUGGAACUUCUUGUACUUGUAUUGAUUGCGACGCCUAGGACGUACAGGGUAGACUCUGUCCGUUCGGCGGUCUGUCGGCGGUGCCGCGACCUCGGCCAAAUAGGCGGGUGGUUGCGGGUCGUGACAAUUGUUGUCACGCCCGGGUACCAGCGGAAGCAUAUCCGAUACGUGCACAGACCCGCCAUACACCUGCAGUAUAUAAGGCGUCUACGAAGAAAGCAAGUCGAUAGGGAGCAAAACAAAGAAAGUCCUAUCCUGAUAUCAGAGCAAUGUACAAGUCGANCGCGGCGACGAAAACGAGCAAAAUCGACGAUUUCUUCGUAGAGAGAGAGAAACCCUAGAGAGAGAGAGAAAAGGAGAAGGAAGAGCACUUCUCUGAGCUCAAACAUGCAUAUCUGAACAUCCCUAGUCGAGCUGGGGUCUAAUAGAUAAGGAUCAAGGGUGAAAUUACCAAAAUAGCCUUGCUGCCACAAUUCUGCCAGCUUGUACCGGUACAAGGUAAUGGCUGUACCGGUACAGCAAGCAGAAAAAAUGCUGAUUUCGUCAGUUCAAUGUAUUUUCUCACUUUUAGCAUUCCAAUCAACCUCUAACUUAUCCAAAAACUUGUUCUAACCUUUUAGAACAUGUAGGAUUGAUCCACACAUCGUUCCACACACUCGAACUCUGCUAUUUGCAAAAGUUCAGUGUCUUACAAUUGUAGCUGUCCUCAGGCGGUCUCGGGGGUAAACGAGCAGUUAGCCUCCUUCCCUAUGAGACUUACACACGUGAGACUGUGAGCGAGCCUUGAGUUCGCUGAGAGAUUGGGUAACCGGACGAGUAACAUUAUUGUUGUGCAUAGUAGUUGGUUACUUAGCCUUACCUUAUGACACAUGCAUGCAUCAUUUCAGAUUGAGGCAUAGUUAGAUGUUCAUUUUGUAUACCUGCCUGUUUAUUAUAGAUACUUUCAAUUCAGCAAAAUAUCUAUCUAUCUGCAUAUCUAUCUGUGCCAGCUUAGACCUAGUGGGGAGAUCGGCAGAGUCGGCAGCCGAACCCACUGAAAACUAUGGAAGUUAGUUCUCACCCCACUCGCUACAGGUCCGAGUUCGAGUGUCCCCGGUGAGCGCGAGGAUCGUGGCAAAGGCAUAGCGCCCUAGGGGUAUCCAUAGCUAGCUUUGCUUCCUUCUGCAUUAGUUCCACCCUAUGUUUUAUGUUUGAGAGUAGAUGAUGUAUAGGGUGAGGUUCGAGUGAUUGUAUUUAUAUUUUGGAAGAAUGUAAAAGGAUGAAAUAAUUGUAUCGAAAUUAAUGAAUUCAAUAGUUAAGUAUCUCUCUUUUGAUCACUUGUAUGCUUUACUCAUGUUGCUUGCUCUUGGUUGAUAUGCACUGUUUGUGCUUCGUUAUCGUUGUAUGAUCAUGUAUGUAAUCAAGUGUACUUCCUAGGAACUUGUGUACAUGAUCUCGUCGUUUGAGUCUUGGGCGGGCAGAGGAGUUACUGUACGUUCGGCGGUCCGUUCGCUGCGCCCGAACCGUGCCAAAUUGGUAGCGGCCUCGGGACGGGGGCGUGACAUCGAGCGUCCACCGAAUCCUCAGCCCACACGCAAAGCCCUCGCACAAUCGCUCCAUACGGAGCUCAUAGAAGAAUUGUUGGUGGUGAUUUCAAUGAAAGAACAUAAAAUGUAGCGCACUAAACUUCUACAAAUUGUGGAGUUCUAGUGAGAGAAUAGUGCUUAACAUUAUUCUGAAGGUUUUGACUGAGUUUGGAGAGCUUAGGAGUGUUUUCAAGGCUUUAUAAGCGCGAAAACGGACUCCGAAAAUCAAAUUCUGCAAAACUACAAUAUUUGUGUUGUGUAUCAGUACUGGACUUGAGGUACCGAAACUUUGCAGAGUACCAAAUUGGGCAGCUCUUGGAUUCUGUGGAACUCAACUCUGGAUAUCUGUACUGUAGUAUCCUUUAUAUAUAUAUAUGGAUGCCACAUGCCCAUGUCUAUACAUAUAUAUAUAUGUGUGGAUGCUACGUGCCCCCAUGCAUGGUUAUCCAUUCAAUUAAUUGAGGGAACAGCCUACACCUCUCUAAUUAUAUUUUUCUUUCUCUCUUUCGUGUGGAGUGGAGAGCUGAAGCGGAGGAGCCGCGUAGAGGUAGCCGCGUAGAGGUAGCCGCGAAGCUCGGAUUCGCCGUCGACGUCGCGCCGUGGAGCCGUUCGAGCCUACGUUUGUCGCCGUAGCAUCGCAAGGAGGCCGGGCGAGGGUGUGUUANCUUAGUGGGUGACCGAUGUUGUUUUGGGCGGUACCUACUGAGGACUACUUGUUUUGUAGUAGUUCUCACGCCCAGUUGUUACUCUUGUUUUGCAGAGCCACAGGUUUCGGCUGCUGCGCCUUCCGCGGAUCAGGAUCGAGGCAAGGGCGUCGCGAGUUAGAGCCCUACCCGACGAGCAGAGCUAGAGGCACCCCUACUGCAGGUAGAUGUUUUGUUUCGAGUUUAUGUACAUAGUAGCCUUAACUCGCUAGUGCGAGUAACUCUGUAUUUUGGAUUUGGACUAUGUAUAUGAAACUCAGUUUGUUUAACUUCUGUUUUCUCUAGCAGCUCUCUACUACUGUUCGUAGUAGUGUUUGACUUACAGGCACAGCUGUCGCUUCGUAUACAGGAAAAAUUUCUUUGUAUACGGCGGAUUUGUCGACGUGCCCGGGGAACGAGACAUCCGGGGCGUGACAUGUACUGCAUCGGGUGAGUACCGAAACGCAGUGAAAACCAGAAUUUCCAACGUUUGGGUUCUGCGAUACUAGUCUUCAGGUCCCAGAACUGACCGUCGAGUGCCGGUACUCCAAAUCGCGUACCAAUACUCAAUGUUGUGUUUCGUGCUGAGAGUAAUUUCUAUAUUUUGGAGUGGCUUUAGGGAUAUUAUUACAACUUGUAUAACAUGUCUCUCACCCCCUCAUUUCCCCUCUUGCUGGCUGAAGCUAGAGAAGGAGAAGAAGUGAGUUUUUCCUCUCUUCUCUUUUGAAUUUCUUCUCCUUACCCUCAAAUCUUUGGGUUUGAUCUCUGUUUCUUUCUCUUCUCUUUGGAUGCAAGCAUCUAGGCUUCAAAGGGGAGCUCGGGAUUGAAGAGAAGAGCUUGUUUGAGGAUUGAACUCUAACCCUAGCAUUUUAUAGCUUGGUUUGGAGCUUGAUUUGAGGUUAGUAUUGUCCUUUUACUCUCUAAUUGAGAGAUUUGCAACAGAUUUUUGGUGGAAAAACUAGUUUUGCAGAAACUAGGGUUUGUUUCGGGGCUUUUCAUUGGAGAGCUUUUUGGAUGGAAUUGAUGAGUGUAGAACACUCUUGUAGGUUGGAUUUGAAGCUCCAUUGGGUUGACUCGAGCCUUGAACAAGUUUUGCUUGGUCGGUCAAAGGUAAUUUUCACCUAAUUUCUAUUUGACUUUUGGUGAAUUUCGUGGGAAGCUUUUAAGAAGCUCGUAACUGUAAUAUACCGAAACUUUGGUAGACUAUAUCGAACUUUAGUCAAAUUGACCAAAGCGUGCGAGAGAGAUGGUUGGGCAAAGUCCAUAUGACAUCCCUACAGUGUUAGAGGGGUUAAAGUUGAGUUCCAAGUGAGAUUGAUAGGUUUUAACAUUGUUCGACGCGAAAUAGAGCCUAAGCACUGCCAAAACUCUGAUCUGGGUGCUACGUACCGGUAAUAAGGAAGUAGUAUCGGUACCAGGCCGGCCACCCGAGAGGGUUGCUCUCGGGUUUGGUCACUGGAGUCCGCGUACCGAUGACACCCCUGGUGCGUACCGGUACCAGGCAGCAAUCCGAGAACAGCAGCUCUCGGGUUUGGACAAUUGAACAGGGGCGUACCGGUGACAAGAAUCCGCGUAUCGGUACGCAGUGCUGAGAACAGUAGGUUGAGUCUACUGCAAAUAAAAGAAAUUGGAGGGCUUAAAUGCAAUUGUGGUGGCUUAUAAAAACCCCACACCCUCUCUUCUCUUGUUCACAGCAGUGAACACUUCCUCCUCUCUUAUUUCUCUCACUCUCUCUCUUUAGGAGCUCUUCCCCAAGGUGGUUUGGAGGAGAUUAGAGAAGAUUUAGAGGAGAUUUUGGAGCUUUGGGAGGAUCAAGGGCUCUCCUACAAGGUGUAGCUUGGUGAGCUUUUGGGCUAAGGUGAGGUUUUUUGUAAGAUCUUGUUUAGGAUUUGGUUUUAUACCCUAGAACACUUGGUUUUGAUCUUCUUACAUGAAAGAAAAUCUAAGAGAGACCUUGGAAUCUCAUGUUGAGACCAUGUUGUUUAUGAGCUCUCAUGGUAGAACUCUAGGGUUUGGUUCAAAUGCCCUAAGAGUGGAUCUAGAUGAGUUUCUAGAUGAUGUUAAGCUUGUUUUUGCUUAUCUCCAAGAUUCAUACGGUGUAUGUGCUAUAGAGCAUUGUUAGGGCUCCAAAAUUGAGGCUUUUGUCAUAGAUUGGUUUAAAUAUAAAUUGAUCAUGUAGAAACCAAAUUGAAGGUAUUUUCGACGCGUUAGGAGACUCGGUUCGAAGAUCCGACGAGUCUACCCGAAGAUAUUGGAGAAAAAGCCUAUUUCGGCUUCGUUUUGCCGCAGGCGAGAGAAUAGGCGGCUAAAAAUCACGAAAAUCAAACCGUAGCACCUUAGCAACCCUACAAGGUGGGUGGUUCUUUUUGAAAUCCUCGAAUUUUAUUUUAUGUCUAAAAUAUCAUUUCUUGAGCAUAUGUGUAUAUUGAGCUUCAUGCAUUGUAGGGUGAUUGAGAGUUUGUUGUUGCAUAUUGUGAGUACAAAUGCAUAUGAGAUGAUUGUAAACUAAUGAGAACUUGUAAAACCCUAUGUAUGCAUGAAUGAUGAUAAGAACCUAGAAAAGGCAAAGAAUCUAGUGACAAUGAGAACAAAUGACAUUAUGACAUCGAUAGUAGAGUGGCAACAAUGAGUUUUGAAUGCUAGUGUACAAGUGUGGCAUUAAUGAGUAUUGAAUGCUAGAGAUAAACACAUAGUGUAUGUGGCAUUAACGAGUCAAAAAUGCAUGAGAAUGAAUAUAAAGAACAUUUAGUGUGUGGCACUAAUGAAUGAGUUUAAAGAAUGUAAAAAAAUGGCAUAUGUGACAUAGCAUCCUCAAAGUUGAGGCAUCCUUAUAGUUAAGGAAUGGAUUGAACUUGACAUCCUUAUAGCUAAGGAUUGGAUCAUACUCACCUAUAAGUCUUGGCUUGAGGGCAGUCGCACCCCCUCGAGCGAUGAGCUCCGAAGUAGUCAUCACUGGGUUGUAGCGAGUAUCUCCCCAGAGAACGGUCCCGUCGGGUUGUAGCGAGUAUCUCCCCGAUAGUAGGGAUUUGAGUUGGUGAGUCUAUUGAGGGCAAACCUACGAGUUAGCCAAAAGAUUGAGUAAUGAAAAUGUGAUCUUGCAUGCAUCAAGAGCAUUUUAUUUGAGCAUCAUUAUUGAUUAUAUCUUGUUCAGGCAUAUUAGCUGCAUUUGUAUAGUUUGGUUACUAUCUAUCUAUUUAUUCUUCUAUUAUGCCUGACUUAGACCUAGUGGGAAAGUCGGCAAGGUCGGCGGCCGAACCCACUGGAAACUUUGUUGUAGUUCUCACCCCACUAUUUCCACAGAGCCGGACCGAGUGAGCCGACCGACGAUCGCGAUAAAAGUAUCGCGCCAUAGACAGUGACUACCCGAGUCGGUUUCAUACUUGUUUAGUUCAUACCCUCUUUAUAUUAUCUUUUGUAUUUGAUGAUGUUAGUAUUAUGAAUGUGAUAAAUGAUGUAAAGAGAGCUUAUGUAUGAAUGUAAAGGCUUAUAUUUUGAGAAUUCUUGUGAUGUAAAAGAAAUGAUGAAAAGAAUGUAAAUGUAAAAGUUGAAUGCAUGUAUGUGGUUAAAAGUUGAUCAUAUUACUUGUAUAUUGUUUAGUUUAGUACUUUCACUUUUGGCUAUUGCUUGCCCUCGUGCAAGCCAUGUAUAUCUUUGUUCCGCCGUGUAGAAUUUAUAUAUACAUGAUCUGUACUUGCGUUGAGCCUUGGGCGGACAAGGAAGGUGCUGUCCGUUCGGCGUCUAUUCGACGUGCCCGAACCGACCAAAUGGGCCGGUCCCAGGGCGUGACAGAUUUAGUGGUAUCAAAGCCUGAAAAGUGAAAGUAUAGGAUGGACCUAGAAACCCUUAGGAUGGAAAACUUAGGGAUCUAGGGAACAUGAGCGACGUGGAAUCAAUUGAUAGCGAAAGCGUUAUGGAUUAGGUGAUGUUAGUAUGUCUCUAAUGUGGUUAGGGGCUAAUCCAAGUUGAUAUUUAUUCUCUGCUCGUGUUGCGUUGGGCGGCCGACGACAUAAUGCUUCGGAAUGAGAAUGAAUACAAGGUCGAUGCCCGAGGAACCGAGUGCGGCUCCUGAGCAAUCCGGAGCAAGUGGUGACGGGGAGCUUCGGGAGCAAGUGUCCGCACUCAUUGGAGUGGUGUGGCAACAAGCGGAGUCCGUGCAACAUCAAGGGGAGCAAAUUCAAAGACUUCAAGAGGCCUUAGAGCGACAGCAGGCGGCGGCGGCUCAAGUGGGUGUCGAGCAACAUGCACCCCCUGUAGUGAUGCCGAGUGCGGCCGAGGGCGUUGCCGCGGCGGCUAUACCAGUCGCGGCGGUGGCAGCUGGUUUGGGAACCUCAAAUCCUGAUAGUGCGACUAUGGAAGCGGAGCGAGAGCGUGCGCUUGCCGCUCUCAUCAUGUUCAAGAAGUUCAGCCCACCUACGUUCGACGGGAAAAAGGUGGAGCCGUCGAUGGAGUCAUGGAUCGACGCGAUGGAAUCGCUCUUCGAGGAUAUAUAUACCUUAGAGAAGGACAAGGUGCACCUCACCACUCAUUGUUUUGAGAAAGCGGUGAGGUGUUGUGGAAACGGGUGAAGCGUGAUCGAUCUUCCGACCUUCCGCCUAUACUCUCGGAGGAGUUUCGGAGGUUGAUGUUCGCGAAUUAUUUCCCCGAUACGGUGAAGCGGAAGCUACAAGAUAAGUUCCGCAAGUUGAGGCAAGGAGACCGUUCGGUGGGAGAAUUUCAGCAGGAGUUCUCUCACAUUAUUUAUUGUGUCCCGGAUGUGGUUAGGGAUGAUCGGGAUCGGGCCGACUGGUUAUUGCGAGGACUUCGGCCGGAUAUUUACAAGGCCGUGCAAUUAUUCAAGCUCACAACCUUUGCGCAGGUCUUCGAUCGAGCAUUGUGGGCGGAGCACGACAAUGCCUACGCGCGAGAAGAACGCAGGUCUAUGGAUAAGGAAAGGGAUAGAGAGAAAAAGCGGACUGCGGGUGGUGCUGAGGGUUGAUCGAAUGCAAAGAAGCCCCCUCGGUAUCCCCGGCAGCAGUCGAGGAGUUGGAGGCCCACUCGUUGUACUAUUUGCGGCGGUGAUCAUUGAUCGCCGGCAUGCCCGCAGCGUGAUAGAAAGUGUUAUUAAUGUGGCCAAACGGGACAUAUUGCCCGGGAUUGCCUGAGUUGGACGUCGUCUGCACCGACGGCGGCAUCAGUUUCUUCUACUCCGAGAUAGCUCGCGAGGUUGCCACCGGCUAUGUCGGCUGGACGCUUAUCAGCACCGCGUCAGCCGAGAGAUCUCGAGCACCGAGUGGACGGGUUUUCGCCACUUAGGUGGAGGAGCCUGCCGUACAAGAUGACGUGAUGGCGGGUUUUGUCUUAAUUAAUGGUACUAGAGCUAGAACUUUAUUUGACAUAGGUGCAUCUCAUUCAUUUAUUGGCGCAUCAUUUACAAAAACUCAUGGCAUUGAGGUGUUGUAUAGCCCAGAUUAUUGGUGGGUUAAUGCACCAGAGCAUUUAUUUAGUGCUCACAAGGAGUGCGCGGUGUGUCCAGUUAAGAUAGGUGAUUAGGUUAUGCCGGCAAACUUACUAGUGCUAAACCAAAUGUGGGGCUUCGAUGUAAUCUUGGGGAUCUAUUGGCUCUCGAAGUACUAUGCGGUUAUAGAUUGUAAGAGCAAGGUGAUCACUUUUUGUGAGCCUAACCAAAAGGAGUUAGUGUAUCGUGCUUGCAAGAGCUCGUGUUUCGCAGCGACCGUAUCGGCGGCGAGGGCAAGAAAAAUGAUUAAGGGUGGAUGUGUGGCCUAUUUGGCGACAAUGGUAGAGACUCAAAGGGAGCACCCGGAACUCGGGGAUAUCCGAGUAGCAUAUGAAUUUCCGGAUGUAUUUCCGGCGGAGUUACCGGGAUUGCCACCGGACCGGGAGAUCGAGUUCGUCAUUGACUUGGUUCCCGGGGCAGCGCCAAUUUCGAAGGCUCUGUCGGAUCGUUGGCGCUAACCAUUAAUCCCAAAAGCUCGAGCUGUUAGAAAUACGCAACCAAUUCACUUAAAGCGUACAGAAAUAGCGCCCACGGGUCUCGAUUGUGACUCGACCCACCUGGCCUCACGCCACUUUGAACAUGACUCGGCCCAACCCAGCCCACGCCAUUUCGAACAUGAUUCGACCCACAUGGCCUCCCGCCACAGGGCAGGAUGCUGGCCCAUUUAAGCCAACAAUCCCCCCUCCAGCACCUGCACACAUUUGCAGCAUGCAAGAAUCGAACCCGUGACCUCUGGCUCUGAUACCACUUGUCGGAUCGUUGGCGCUAACCAUUAAUCCCAAAAGCUCGAGCUGUUAGAAAUACGCAACCAAUUCACUUAAAGCGUACAGCGUACAGAAACAGCACCCACGGGUCUCGAUUGUGACUCGGCCCACCUGGCCUCACGCCACUUCGAACAUGACUCGGCCCAACCCAGCCUCACGCCAUUUCGAACAUGACUCGGCCCACAUGGCCUCCCGCCACAUGGCAGGAUGCUGGCCCAUUUAAGCCAACAGGCUCCGUAUAGAAUGGCACCGGCGGAGUUAGUGGAGUUGAAAGCCCAAUUGCAAGACUUGCUUGAUAAAGGCUUUGUGAGGCCGAGCGUAUCACCGUGGGGAGCUCCGGUGCUAUUUGUGAAGAAAAAGAUGGAACACUUCAACUCUGCAUGGAUUAUCGCGAGUUGAACAAAGUGACAAUCAAGAAUAAGUACCCUUUGCCGAGGAUUGAUGAUUUGUCCUAUUAGUUGCAAGGGUUGCGGGUAUACUCGAAGAUUGAUCUUCAGUCGUGAUAUCACCAAUUGAAGAUCAGGCCGAAGGAUGUGCACAAGACGGCGUGUCGUACGCGGUAUGGCCACUACAAGUUCACGGUAAUGCCGUUUGGGCUUACUAACAUCCCGGCAACAUUUAUGGACUUAAUGAAUCGAGCCUUUUGACCGUUGUUAGAGAUGUCAACGGGUCAAAUUCAGGGUAGAUUUUUAAAAACCCGAACCCGACUCCAAACCCGAGACCCGAACCCGAACCCGAACCCGACGGAUUUUAAAAAUUCAUAUCCAAACCCGAACCCGACCAAAAAUUCGAAACCCGAACCCGAACCCGAACCCGAAAAUUUAAACCCGAAACAAUUAUUUCUUUUUUCAAUAUUUCAAAAUAUAUUAUAUUAAAUCUAAAUUUUUAAAAUACAAAUUCAAAUAUAACAUCUUUUAUGCCCCGAAUUACACGUUUCCCGGGCACGCCGACAAAUCCGCCGUAUACAAAGGAAUUUCCCCUGUAUACGAAGCGAUAACUGUACUUGUAAAUCAUACAAUACUACAAACAGUAGUAUAGAGCUGCUAGAAGAACCAGAAAUAAAACAAACCGAGUUUCAUAUACAUACGCCAAAAAUCAAGAUACAAAACUACUCACACCGGCGAGUUAAAUAUGUAUGUACAUGAACUCCAACAAAAACAACUACCUGCUGUAGGGGCACCUCUAGCUCGGCUCGUCGGGUAGGGCUCUAACUCGCGACGCCCUUGCCUCGAUCCUGAUCAGCAAUAGCAGCAGCCGAAGACGAAGGCUCUGCAAAAACGGGGUAACAACAGGGCGUGAGAACUACUGUAAAACAAGUAGUCCUUAGUGGGUGCCGCCCUCAAUAUCAUAGGUCCACCCACUAAGUCUACAGAUCUAAACUCAGUGAUAGAAAAGGAAGCUGGAACAAAUCUACAGCUAUAUGCCACUAUCCUAACAUGAUCCAAUACUACUAUCUGUCGAGUAAUGCAGCCUCAGACCUAAAUCCGUAGGGACUGUGAAAACACCCGUCCUAGGGACUGUUAACGCACCCGUCCCGCCUAUCGAAUCCUAAAUGCUACCUCCACACUAACAAGUCCGUGGUGAGCAAGUCCAACCAGGACACUAUACAACGCAAACGCACAAAGCCCGACUCCGGAGUGGCACUCGUGGGCGCUACCCAACCGAGUAUGCAAGCGUAUCUCUACUGAGCUCAAUCAGGCUCUCACAGGCUAUAAUCAAGUAAACAGAAUCCAACUGGUCUAACAAUCAAGACUCACGUACUCUCGGCACAAACUGAUGCAAAACCCGCAAUCUGGUCCACCGUCAACCCCGACGGCACCUGACAGUCUGAAACAGCCUAGACACUGCUGUAAAAAAAUAAGCUCUGCGUCUCCGCCCGAGCGUAACUGUAUUCUACACUAUUCCGGGUAUCCACCGCCAACAAACUGCGGUGAUACAGUUCUACUACAGCUUCUAAGCUUUCAGCGUAUCAAAAGCACACAACAGUGUGGAUACUAUCCGCGACAACUCCCAAAGCUAUCUGAGUAUCAAAUGCGCACUAACAGCGGGGAUACAAAGCACAACAGCUUCAGAAGCUAUCUGAGUAUCAAUCGCGCACUAACAGCGGGGAUACGAAGCACAAAAGCUUAAGGAGCGAGCAGAAAAGACAGUGUAGAACCUACAAUUAAAUAUUACCCAAGUUCGGCAUCCCGCCCGAGCGUAAAUGCAUUCUAAACUACCCCGGGUAUCCACCGCGCUGAAACAACAGUGAUACAAUCAAACCACGGCUCCUAGAGCUAAAUCAGGUAGUAGAAUCAUAUGACAGGUCGAAUCGCUGGUUUUCUCCUAAGUCAAAUUCCAAGUCCAACAUGUAUAUUCAACCAAUUACUAUUCAUGCUCCCAAUUUAGCUUUCAUACAAUAACCCAACCAAUGAAUUUGAGCUACAACAGGAUAUUCCGAAGUCGAAACUAUACAUGUUUACUAUACAUAUACUUAGGAGCAAAAUCGAUGAUAAACCCACCUUAAUAGCUAAUCCCUGGCAGCAAAGAACUCCCUCAGCUGCGGAACAACCUGCUUGAUAGACCGAAGUCCUCCAAGUCCAAAAAUCGAGCUAACUCCAAGCUCUACAAUCGAAAUCCAUCAAUUCUGUCCACGUAUAACAACAGCAGGGUAAAAUAAGGUUCGACCAAGCUAACCUUCAUCAAAUCCUGCAAUCUUAGAUUUCGUGGAUUCCUCUCGAAGUCCUAAAUCAAACGAACCAAGUCUCACUGCAAUCCGACGUUCCUACGUCGCACACGAGCCGAAACGCCAACGGUCGACGCAGGAAAUCUGCAAAAACAGCAUCCUUGAGCUUAAAGUAGUUGAAGUGAUGUCAAUGGAUCACUCACCUCGAAAACCCCUCUAGAAUCGGCGCAACGUCGAGAACGGCAAAAAACCACGCUCACCCAGCCUCCUCACAGCACCACGACGAUGAAGACACACUCAAAUGGCACCGCGGCGCGACAUCAAUAACACUCGAACUCCACCCGAGCUCCUCCUUGCCCACGGUCCAGGCUAGAGAGAGAGGAGAAUAAGGACAGGGAAAACUCACUCUCUCUUAGCUCUACACAAGCCUAAAUACAGUGAGAGAGAAAGGGUGACACGAACGAAGUGGAAAAAGACCAAAAAGUCCUCCUACCUACCCUGGCAUACCGGUACACGGGCCCGUGUACCGGUAUAGUGGCCAACCCGAGAGCAAGCUGAGUGAAGCCCUGAGCAGUGUACCGGUACACCGUGAUGUCUGUACCGGUACAGCAAGCAGGAAACUGCUAUUUGCAGAUUUUCUUACUAAAUGCUGCUUUCGCGUCGCACAGAGUCCGUUUUGCGUCUGUUUCACGCCAGACCGCGACUAAGCUGUCCCGACACUCUCACAGAGCUGUCAGUCAAGCCUCAACCACCAAACACCAAGGAUCUCACACAUCAAAUAUAUACAUAUAUAUAUAUUAUAUAUAUAUAUAUAUAUAUAUAUAAUAUAUAUAUAUAUAUAUAUAUAUAUUAUAUAUAUAAAAUACAAAAUGAAUUCGGGUUCGGGUCGAGUUCUGGUUCGUGUCGGGUAUAAUCAAAAUCCAUAUCCGAAUCUAUAUCCGUCGGGUUUCUAUUUUUGAUAUCCAUAUCCGAAUCCAUAUCCAUGUCCAUCGGAUAUAUCCGUUUCAUUCGAGUUCGGGUUCGGAUAAAAUUUCGGGUAUCUGUACCCAUUGACAUCCCUAACCGUUGUUGGAUCGAUGCGUCGUGGUGUUCAUUGACGACUUGUUGGUUUAUUCACGGAGCGAAGAGGAACACGAGGGGCAUUUGAGAACCGUAUUGUAAAUACUCCAAAAAGAUAAGCUUUAUGCCAAGCUAAAGAAGUGCGAUUUUUGGCUUUCGGAGGUUACCUUUUUAGGCCAUAUGAUAUUGGGUGAUGGUCGAACACUCGCCAUGGAAUACAUCGCCAUGUGAUAUCGGGUGAUCCCUGAUCCGUGUCGAACACUCGUCCGCCGCCGUCGGAGCUCCCCGUCGGCCAAACUUGGGCCGUGCUCUCCUCGGCUUAGUGUGGCUAGGGCAUCAUUGCCCGCUGCAGCCACUGCCUUCCAUCGCCGGUUGACGCGCACCCCGACCUCCUUCCGUCGCCAGCACCUGCCUGCAGCCGGCGUGCCCGCCUCCGGGUUGCCGCCUGCCGUGCCGUAGCUCCCCUUGGCCCGGUAUGAUUAAUUUCAGCUUUACUGCGCACUGUUUCUUGUUUGGGUCACUGUUCCGGCGACCCGGGGCUGUUCCGAUGCCUCUGGAGGUGAGCAUGGUGAUCAUAAGUCAGUGCUGAUCACAGUGCUCACCUCAUUUGGGAUCAAUGAGCCCCGGAUUGCGGAAUUAGAUGCGUUUAAGUCUCAGUACAGGGUUCACUGAACUACGCGUCGACCGUACGCUUGCCACAGUGGCCGGCAGUGCUCUGAAGUAUGAGCACGGCCUCCGGCAUGCCGAGACCUGUCAGCGGGUGUCUCGGCUUGGCUGGAAGAUCCUCGGUUUGCGCUGUUGGGCCAUAAAAGCUCGAAAAUCACAUAAAAUAAUAUGAUUUUAUGUAAUCAGGAGGGCUUUUAUGCAAUUGCACAUUUUGUGGCUGCUGUUGGUAGUGUGUGCGGGCAGCGGAUAACCUCUAGACUAAUUGUCCAAUGCCCCAGACCCUUGCAAAGAUCGAAAACUCAUUUUCGGUGUAUUUUUCAGCGAAAUCCGCCGACGGAAUGCGUUAUCGAUUUGGGAUUCUUCCGACGGUGCCUUGUGAUAAAUUGUUUUGUUGCUGAGCCCUGUUGGCUGGUCACCCACAUCGUUUCGAGGGUCCGAAAACGACGGGUGAGCGACGGUGGGUUCUGGUGUCGAAUUGGAUUCUUUCGAGAACCCGGAUCGAAACGAUUAUCCGAUGAUAAUUGUUUUGAAGCGAGAUAGUGUAAUUGCUGCCAAGCCACACUAAAUAUUGAGUUUGAUGGCAGCAGUUGACUCGUUGCACGAGUCGGUGUAUUCCGGGUGGGUCCCGGCGGAGUCCCAGUGCGAUUUUCGGGACUUCCGGCGUAUUACGGGAGUCGGUUUUGGGAAACCGAUUCCCGUAGGGUUAUUGGUGGGGAUUGUGAGUUAGUGAUACAUGUUGGUGGGUUAGAUUCUAACCCGGUGGACCCUUCGUAGGUCCGGUUAUUUCGUCUCCGCAGUCGAGAAACCAGUACCAGAUACGUACAGAUGGGUACUUCGACCCGAAGUCGGGACAGUGGUGCACGCUCGGUGACAUUUCCUUCACUCUUUUCGUGUUGUUUAUCUUGCAUGUUAUAUGUUGAGCCUAGCACCUAUACCAUAUCUCUUUAUUGCUCUACUUAGUUAGUUGCGUACCCCGUAUCAUAUUUUAGAAGUAGAGCGGUUUUGAGAUUACUUGUGAGAUUUAUGACCUAGUCGGUCAGUGCGUUGCAUCUGGUAUUGUGACAUUGUUGGUCGGUUCUUGUAUCUCGUAUUUUUGACCUAUUCAGUCGGUUUACUGUAUUGUUAUCGAGACCUACUUGGUCGAUUGGACUAUUUGAUGACCUAUAUGGUCGAUAUACCCUGAGGGGUAGGAUUGUCGGCUGGUUGCCGACGGUUGAUUAUUCAGCAUAUCAGCAUUGAUCGCCCGAUACUCGUAUGCAUUUCACGAACACCAGCGGCCUGAUCCACCGCAAGAGAGUGUUCUUUUUCGGAAAAGUAUUUUGGCGGUGCCAACCCGUGAGCCCAAGAGAGGUUAUAUGCUUGGUCUGCGGUGCGGACCAACAAGGCACAGCUUGAGGUCUGCGGUGCUGACCAACAGAGCACAGGUUUCAGAUUGGGUAUUUUUGGACUUAUCGUUCGGUUAAUGCAUACAUACAGUAGCGGUAGUUGUGCAUUUAUACAUCAUGUUCAUUUAUUAUCGUUGCUACUGUAUUUCACUUACCUAUAUAGUUGUUUAUCCUCCUUGACUAGUGAGUACCCCUCGCCCUCGUCGGCUUGCAGUACCCACUGGGAUGGGAGACAUAUUUACAUGUUCUCAACCCCUACCCCCAUUACAGGUGAUGUCGCGGGUCCUAGUGGGACGGUUCGUGAGGAGCAAGUCUAGCGAUCGAUAGUGCCACCGUCCCGUUGUUUGGUUAAUUCUCAAACUCAGUUCCUUUUAAAUAAUUGACUUAGAUAGUUAUAUAGUUCAGUAGUUUAUUACAUUUGAAUAAUUGGAAUUUUUAUGAAUGUAAUAAAGAAUUUGUGAUUCUUGCAAACUAAAAAUAGUUUUCUACCCUUCAUGGUAGUGAGUUUUAAAAGAAAAAGGUUUCCGUGUAGGAGACAGUUUUUAAAGGGUUUUCUCUUGGUUUUCAUGACUUAGUAUUUCAAAACAAGUUUCCGGAUGGAAAACAUUUUAAACUAAUAGUUGUGGAUUUAUGGAUAAACUCUGGAUGUGAAUUUGAAUGUGAAUGGUGUAUAAAUGUAUGUAUAUUCAUAUGUAGUGGUUGUAUCCUGUUUUAUGUAUCUUGUACUUGCGCGACGCCGUGCAAAUACAGGGGAGACUCUGUCCGUGUGAACAGUGGACUCCCUGUAUUUGUGGCGGAUCUGGCAUACCCUGGGGGUCAGAUUUUUCAAAAAAAAAAAAAUUGGGCACUUCCGCUUUACUUUUAAAUCAAAAAGGGACCCCGGGGCGUGACAGUAUCAUAGGUCUAAAGAUCAGUUCUACCACUGCAACAUCGAACCAGUUACUGACGAAUGAGUAGACAUCCAUGUAACUGUUUGUAGUUGGUCACGCUCAGUACCCUUGUUCUCCGACAACCACCUGCAUGUUCGCUCCAGUGUCCCCACACUGUGACUCGAGAUUCGUCAUCCCAAAAGGGAAGCGGCACACAUCAAUCUUAUCGGAUCAAUCAUCGUCCCCAUGAUGAUCCUCUGAUUGAGAGCAUUUAUGAUUUAAUCACCAAUAAUAUGUAUCUCAAAUUCUCAACUCUUGAGAAUACAUAUUAUCAUCUUAUUAAUUCGAAGGACGAUUCACGGACACAUUAAACAUGAAUGGAAUAAAAGGCAAAAUUAUAUAAAUAAUAAAGAUUAAGUACAAAUAUAUAUCCCAUAGAAAAUAAAAUGCGUCAGCUUGAUAGGCUUCUAGGGCAUGCUAGUAACACACUAAUAUAACCAUCAACUAUGUAUGCAUCAACUACUAGUGAAGUACUAUGUCAAGGUUGAUUACAUUCACCUAAUUAACGAGGGACUUACACGUGGUACAGUCCCGGCUCGUGCCAUGCCUAAUGGCCCCGUGGUAGUCAACACUCCCCACGGCAUCCUACUUCGGUGCCUAAUUCCGCACGGGUGAUCAAUCGUCACAAGGCUACUCCGGAGUGCCGGCUUGUAGGAAGCGACCCUCACAAGCUUGUGCAAAUGAGCACAAUGGCAAGCAAGCGUGAUCAAAUCCUCAAUCAUCAUGUCUAAAACAUGAAAUUUCCAACAUCGACUCGAAGGUCGGGUACUAGAUCAUUCAUGUCAUAAUUGGUUCACAAAUACAUUGGUGGUAUGACCCUGCCGACACAUAAUAUGCCUCAAGCAUGCAUUGGUUCACAUCUUAUUAUCCUAUCUAGGAUAGUUCACUAUUUUGAUCAAGACUCAAAAGAGGUUUCAUAACACACUAUCCCACUAUAGCCAAGGGAGUCAUUUACUAAUGCCAUAUGCAAAGGAGUUAUCAUGCAAGCAAUUUCAUUCAACUAGUAUUAUAUGCAAUUAUCCCUAUUAUUGUUUGCCCAAAGGCAUUGUAAUCUCAUUCGUCAUGUCUAAAAUAUGGAAUACAACUAACGAUCUCUAGAUCAAAUAGUUUGUCACAAUGUAAAGUUCUAAUUGUUCAGUUACGUUAAGUACACCAUGCUUAGUUUCAUGUUUAACCCUAUCAUGCAUUAUGUCACCUUUACCUUGUUUAUAACAAGUAUAUUGUUCAUCAUGCAAGUUAAUCACUUUUUCUAUUCCAUUUGCUAUGUAUACUCUGUAGGAUAAAUCAUUAUUCAUCACUAACAUGUUUCCUAAUGCUGCAUAAGAGAAAAUCGUCAUGAAGUACUAUUUAAUUCACAUGUCCAUAUUGUAAGCCUCUAUUUCAUAGAGCAUAAAGAUUUCUACACAUAACAUAUAUGAAGCAUGUAUUCAAAAGUUCUCUCAUGUCAUAAUUAGCAUGAAUAUGCAUCUAAUUAAGUCUAAAGAUAAUAUGGAAGACAUAGAGGGAGUUCACCCAUUUCGGUUAAGUCAAACCCACUGGAUACUCCUCGAGCCCUUUCAUUCCUUCGAACAAAGUUGUCCACCAAGAUCCUAGCACCCUAAGAGAAUUUCUAAAAAGGUUAUAAGCUUCGAAUGAACCUCAUACGAAAAUACCCAAAAAUCAAGUCUAAAAUGGGUAGAAAAUAUCUUUACCCAAGAAGAACUUGUCCAAUGUCCAAAUUGAAGCUAUAAAGCUUCAAAUCCAACCUAAAAGGGAGUUCUACACUCAUCAAUUAGGUUCCAAAGGCCUCACAACAAGAAAUCCCAAAAUAAACCCUAGUUCUUCCAAAACCAGAUUUUUAUCUACAAAUCUUGAAAAAUCUAUAAAUAAAUGUUGCAAGAUGAGUACUAACCUUCAAGAAAGCUCCAAAUCAAGCUAAACUUGAGCUAGGAUUGGAGUUUAAUCCUCAACAAAACUUCCUUCUUCACAUCCAAGGCUUCCAAGAAGCAAGCAACCAUGAAGAGAAAGAAGAAAAGAGAUCAAAACCCAAAGCAAAAAGGAGUUUGGGGAGAAAAUCUAGAGAGAGAAAGGGAGAAAAACCCUACCUUUGCCUCUCUCCAAGCUAAGCACAAAGAGGGCACGUGGGAGGGAGGGGGUGUUAUAAAAGUGAUAUAACAAUUCCCUCAAAACCCCUCAAAAUCCCAAAAAUUACAAACUGCACGAACUGCAGUUUUCUGCGUUGAGUACCGGUACUCGAAUUAGAGUACCGGUACCCAGCCCUUAGCCUCACAAAACCAAAGCGUAGAACCUUCGGGUUUAAUACAGUAUACCGGUACCCACGCAAUGCAGUACCGGUACUUAGCCCCAGUACCGAUACCCAACACCAGUACCGGUACUCAGCACCCCAAAUCUCAAACCCGAGAGCUGCUACUCUCUGGCACGCAAUGGGGUUACGGUACCAACCUCCAGUACCAGUACUCAGCUCUAAAAUCUGCUGUUUGCAGAUUUUGAUGCCGAAAGCCUGUUCUCGUGCAUAAUAGGCUCCAGUAACAGGCAGAACAACACAGACCACUCUCAAAACACCCAGAAUAGUUGAAAAUACUAUUCUUACACCAGAACCUUGCAAUUUGCUAAAGUUCAGUGUGCUACAAACCUGAUUUGGAACAUUGCCUAUGAAGUCUCCAGCCUUUCCGACGCGAGCUUUCAGACCUCGAGAUUGGGGUUCACACAAGGACGAUCCAAAUGGUGCCUAAUAGGUUGAAAGGUGAUGUUGAGGUUGGUGCUACUGAUAUUGCCCUCGUUGAUUGUGGUGUGGGAGAUGUAUUAACUGCAAAGUUGGAUAAAAAUUCUCUCGCUAAUGAGCCAAAAUUAAUUGGAAAGAAAGGAGUGUCCAAAAACUUACAAAAGAAUGGCAAUGAUCUGGAUGGUUGUGUGGAUGUGGGAUUGGACAAGAAACAACCUCCGCAGGGGCUCUGUGCUUCAAUGUCAUCUCGGGGGACAAAAUGUCUUAUAAAGAAGCUGUCUUAAAGCAACCUUCUACACCUAAGCUUGCCAUUGUUAAACACCACAAGUGUGACGACGAUCGAAGUGGUUGGUGAAGGUGAAACGUUCCACUGCUAGGAGGUGCUCAAGAUGUGUUGGAUGUGACCACAAAGCGGUUGCCUGCCGCUAUCCCAUUAGGUGCUUACGGUGUCCCAAAACUAGUCAUACGGCACGACUGUGCAAGGAAGGUGUCAAUGAUAGAAAGGGAAACAUGUUCAGGGCACAACAUACACGUGGUCGAGCGGCGGUUACGAGGACGUAUGUCCCUUACACUGAAGAAUAUUUCACACGAAGGGAGCUCCGCCAGAAUGCUGUACCGGUGGAGAUCGUGGAUGCUGCGAAUAUUGGACAUUCACCGCAACUUUCGAUUGCCAAUGCUUUAGCAGAUCAAUUCGGUGGGUAUCCGACGAACUUUAUGGUGGCAAAAUAUAGAGAGCACUCUUUUGCUAUCUUUUUACCCCAGUGGGUCCUGACUGAGACACUUGUGUGGCGACAAACCAUCACCCUAGAGGGUUUUUGGCUGCGAUGCUACCCGUGGGGACCAUACCGGUAUGUUAUUAUAUUCAGGCCGACGUUCAAAGUUUGGAUCAAACUCAUCAACCUGUCGUUUGAAUGUUGGACAGUUGCGUGAGUCUCAGCAAUCAUCAGCGGGUUCGAAAGAUUUCUAAGGGCCGACGAACCUACAAGACAAUUAACUGACUUAAGGGCAUUUCAAUAUCGUGUUGCUGUCAAUGAUCGUAGGGACAUACCUCAUAACUUAUCAGUGAUAUUCGGAGAUGAUUGUUUCUCUAUCUUGGUGCACAUUGACUAUUGGGAAAGGGAAAGUGACGAUGGGAACCCACCUCUACCACCACCACCACUACUACCAACGGGAGAAUCAGCCAAGAGAGACGAUAGGAAUGAAGGUGUACAGAACCGAGCUCUCGAAGGUCACCAGAUCAGGGGAGGAGAUGAAGAGUUAGGGGAGGCUAACUCUGACAAAGAACCCAGAAGAACAAAGAUAUCGGCCAACUAUCCUAGGCAAAUGAGAUUUUCAGAAGGUUUGUAGGAACGACGUGAACAAGGUGUCGUCAAUAGUUCGAGGAAGACCAUCUCCGGCGACGAUGGUAAGCCGAAAUUCAGGGGUACUGAAGCACACGACGUUAGGGCAUUCUUGGAGUCUCAUGCGCCGUUGGUCCACAGCCCGCAUGCCGCGGUCCACAAAACCUGCUUGCCGAGGUGCAACCCCUGGGGAUGUGUCCUCGAGUACAGCGUCCAAGCGAAGACGAAUGGCGUUCUAAGAACAUUUUCACAAAAUCAGAUUUUUUUCAAAGUAGGGAGGAGUUCGAAGUCUCCAGGCAAUUCUGUUUUUGGGUUGCUUCAAGUGGGAUUGUGAAGAUUUACAAGGUGAAGGACGACGGCACGGUGUACGAUGAGCUUCUCUCCACCAAAUGUGCUAAAUGCAUUCAUUACGUUGGUGACUUAUUUUUUAUGCUUUCGGAGAAAGUAAGUGGGGCCCACAUAACUUUUUUUCUCUUGGGGUAGAGAUGGCAAGAGGUUUAAUGUCAUUAAUUGGUGGGGCUCACGCCAAUUAUGGCGGUUGACUUAAGUUGGGAAUGUGUACCUAUUAACCCAGAGUGCUGCAUAGUUAAAGUUGGUAAUAACACUUUGUUAUUGGGCUGGGUUAAUGGGUUUCAAUGGGAGAAGAUUACUAAGGAGGUUGUAAUUGACAAGAUUUUUUUUUCAGAAAACUAUUAAUCCAUUGGAAGGGGCUGACGAACAUGAUGGACAAGUGGAGAACAAGUGUUCGGCUAUGGGUCAGUGGCAGAAAUGGACCCAAGACUACAAUUAGAACCCAAGAAAAUAGUAUCUACUCGACGGGUCAGUACUCGGUUAGCCAAGAACUAUUGUGAGUCAAUGACUUGUUGUCACGCCCCAGGGCUGAUUUUAAAAUCCUUUUUAACAUCCAUUACCAUGUUUAAAAUCAGAGUUGCGAAAAUCAUGCCCCUUUUUUUUUCAACCUGACCCACGUGACGUAUAGACCCGCCACAAAUACAAAGUUCUUCUGUCCACUCGGACAGAGUCUCCUUUGUAUUUGCACGGUGUACCAACAACAUCAACAGGAUCACAACCACAGUCUAUAUUUACCAAUCAACAACCAAUUCAUGCCAUACAUUUCCAUACAACUAACAAUUCUUAGAAAUGAUGCAUUCCUCUAAACACUCCUUAGGCACUGGGUGAUGCAAUGCACAAUACAACAAACAUUCUAUUUAAAAGUGCUCCCCACCUGGAAGCUUUGUUUUUAAACUCUAAUUCAAUCAUUCAUGUAAAUCAUUCGAAAACCUUUUUAAAACUAUUUCCCACUCGAAAACUUUAUUUUGAAAAUCGACUGCCUCGAGGGGUAGAAAACCACGAUGCAUAAUGUACAAAUCCAAAACCAAGAACCCAUAUAACUAAUAUCACAGAUCCACAAUCUCUAAUCAGAUGCAUAAUGGAAAUCAUCAACUCGAACAAUUCACGAAUAUUCAAACAUCAAAUAUGAUCAUCUAACUGAACCAUUUAUUAUAAAUUACUAAAUACAGGAAUAAAAUAUAACCCGGGUGACGGUCGCUGCUGCCGACUAGCUAGAUCGUCCUCCCGUUGAGCCCAAAUACCAACUUCUCGCCCGAGUCACCUGGGGGAAUGGGGGGUGAGAAACCGCAAUCAAGGUUUUCUAGUGGGUACGACAGAGCCACGAAGGCAAGUCGUAAUCACCGGAAACCAAAGGAGAUAGAUAAACAAAGUACAAGUACUAUGAUACAAAAGAGAACUAUAGUAGUAAUAGAAAUAGGAUAAUAACUGAGCAAGAACGAAACUACUACUGUAACAAAAACUCAACUGAACGGAUGCCUUAAGGGUAAAUAGUCCAAAGUCAAACCCAAUUUGAAGCUGCUAUAUUGGCCAGGUAGACCUCAAGCGUUGCCUGUCACAGAGCAGACACUCCCAAUGAUUCACGCGUCCACCGACGACCUAUCUGGAUACGUACACCCCUUGAUUGGUGGCCAAACCAACCUGGUGUCUAGAAAAAUCACGCCGAACAGAACUAACCAGAAUCCGUUGAUCCAAAGUGAGCUGAGCACUGUGAUCAGCACUGACACACGAUCACUGUGCUCACCUUUGAAGGCAUCGGAAUAGCCUCGGAUCAUCGAAAAAGUGCCCGCAAACUCGAAAUAGCAGCCAAAAAGGCCCUACAGGGGCGACACCGCCGAAACGGUGGAACGGAGCCUUCCCGACAGAAUUUAAGGUGAGCACGAUGAUCAGCGAUGAGUCACAAUCAUCGUGCUCCCUUCCACAGGGAUAGGGGAGGCUCGGGUUGCUCGGAACAGCAAGCCGCCAAGGAAUAGCCCUAUUUCAGGCUUCGCCGGAGCAAGCUUGCUCCAGCCGGCUUCCGGCGGCACGAUGAGGUGCGCACGGGCCAGAAGUGGCUGCGGGGGAGGUGGGGAACACCGUGCUCACCUUAGCUAGCGGCGGGGAGUGACGGUGGCAGCAAGGGAUGUAACAAUGGCCAAGCUGAACUAGGGCUCGGGUUCAGCGGCUCCUCCCAGCGACGGCGAUGGCCAAGACAGGUCUAGGACGACGGCGGCGGGUCCCCAGAGGCCGGAGGAGGAGAAGGGAGGUAGCGAGCAACAGCGGCGAUGGCCCGCAGCUCCGGCGCGUCCGCCCAAGCUAGGCUCGGUCUGGAGACCGAGGCGGCGGUGCCAAAGGCGUGCGGCAGUGGCGACGACCUCUUCGGCUGGGGGGCAGGGUGCCGGAGGGUCUCGGGGUUGUCGCCAGUGCGGCAGGAGGUGGCGGUGGCAGCGCGGAGUGGAGGCGGCAGCUGAGCUCGGCCCCAGGGAAGGCGGCGGGGCAGGGCGAAGGCGGCGGCUGCGCGCGGCUAGGAGGCUAGGGUUACCUCGGCUAAGGUUAGCCCGAGAUGGCGGGGGGCAGGGUGCCGGAGGGUCUCGGGGUUGUCGCCAGUGCGGCAGGAGGUGGCGGUGGCAGCGCGGAGUGGAGGCCGGAGGUCACCUGGGCUCCAGGGAAGGCGGCGGGGCAGGGCGAAGGCGGCGGCUGCGCGCGGCUAGGAGGCUAGGGUUACCUCGGCUAAGGUUAGCCCGAGAUGGCAGCAAUGUGGUUGCAGCGCGGCGGCCACGUUAAGCGACAGCAGCAGGCGGCGGGGGAGGUCGCCGGGGCUACGGGGGUGACGCCGGAGAGGAGAGCAACCUCGGCCUCGUCCCCAACCCGAGAUGAAAAGAGGUGGAAGGAGAAGAUGCAGGGAAGAGAGAUAAAGGUGGCAGGGGGGUGGGGCAAGGCUAGGGUUAGGGUUUCAAUGGAAAGAACCCUAGAGUGCUAUAAAAUGGAAAGAACCCUAAAAUGCGCAAAUACACCUCCACAAGCGAUUUCACACGAAACGGUACAUAAAAUGUCGCACUUUUUGCGCAAUUACCAUUUUUCCAUCACCAACCUCUCCUCGAACAACGCGCAAUCCGUUUUCUCUCUAAUCAGAUCCGCAAUCCGUUUUCUCACGGAUUGCACCAGUGCGAUCAGCACGACAGAGAUAACAAAUCUACGCUUUUGGUUCGCCUCGAUCAAUCACGAAUUUGCGACGAAAUCCGUUUUCUCUCUAAAAAGGCCAAAUGACACACAAAUACAUAUAAAACAUGUAUUUUUAGAUUUUCUCGAAAUCUGUGCAUCAAACCCAAAACCCGUCAGUGCCAAGAGUUCCAAAAUAGCUGAAUCGUUCGAAACGAGCUAUUGGAUCGCUAUGAACGGAGUCCGAUACGUGCCAGAAGCCAACUUCAUGCAUUGGCCUCUCCGAAAAAUCGAGUUACUAUUCACUUUAAGUGAAACUGAAGAUCGCGUAAAAUCUCCGUGCUUACUCGUUUUCUCCCGAAACUUGACGAGUACUUUUGUAAUUAAAUUACACACAAAAAUAUCGUCAACAGAGAAUUUAGCUACACUGCCAAAAUCUCAGUCCUUACACUUGUAAGGCCAUGACAAGAAAAACCCGACAAAGAGGGGGAGGGACUGAUGUCACAGAUAUUUUUCACAAGUUUGGAAAAAAGAAAAUCAAGAAAAAGAGCGGGAUGUGUCGGGUUCACUUGGGAGACGAGGACUCCAAGUCCUUCAAGAAGUUUCUCCGUGGGAGUGCAUGACUGACGGAUCUACAUUCUAUUUUUUGAGUUUUUAUUUUAGUCUUCUCUCUUUUUUAUGUUUCAUAUCAGCAGUUGGAACGUAAGGGGACUGAAUGAUCCCUCUAAAAGAAGAGCAAUCAAGUGUGUGGUGUCUAGGUUGAGAAAUGUUGUAUAAUGUUUGCAGGAAACUAAAAUCGGUGUUGUAUCUCUCACUUUUCUUCGUCACGUUUGCGGGUCCUUUUUUGACAAAUGCCACUACAUUAGCUCCAACGGUGCUUCUGGUGGACUCCUUACCUGUUGGAGCUCACGAGUUUUCUCUUAUAGGGAGAUGAUCAAGAAAAACCUCUCCCUCACGCUCCAACUUUCCCAUCUCCGGGGUGGAGAAAGCUUCUAUAUCACUAAUGUAUAUGGCCCGCCAGCUUGGGAGGGCAAUGAAGAUUUUCGUACGGAGCUGUUGCUUCUACGGGAUAUAUGUAAGGGUUGUCGGGUUGUUUACGGUGACUUCAAUUUUACUAGAACCCAGGAUGAACGCUCAGGUAGAUUGUGGAGCAAUAGGGUGUCACGUAUGUUCAAUGAUCUUAUUCGGGAACUUGCACUUCUGGAUUUACCUAUGGUUAACCAAUCAUUCACUUGGUCUAAUAUGCAGAGCAUCCCUACUCUUGCGAAAUUAGACCACUUCCUCACUUCGACUGAGUGGGACAGAAAAUUUCCUUUUUCGAAAGUAGAGGCACUAUCCAGAAUUACUUCGGAUCACUGUCCGAUCCUACUCUCCUUGGGAGGUAAAAUAGGGAAACGUGCUUUUAGAUUUGAAGAAGUAUGGCUGAAGUAUGAAAAUUUUCUCUGAAGUUUGCCAGCUUGGCGGAAGGAAGUGGGGACUCGUGGGACUGCUGUGCUAACAUUCACGGCCAAACUACGCCACUGCCGUAAACAGAUACAUGAAUGGUGUUAGCAUAGCUUUUAUAAUAUCAUGAAAGAAAAGUCAGAUAUUCUGCAAGAAAUUCAACGCAUCGAUAGAGUGGAAGAACAUCUUGUCUUGUCAAAAGAGUUAAUAAACAGGAGGGCGAAUCACAAAGAUAGGCUUUUAAGUGUACUCAAGGAUGAGGAGCUGCUAUGGAAAACUCGAGCCAAGCUUCGCUGGCUCCGAGAAGGAGACGGAAACACAAAGUACUUCCACACAGUUGCCAAUAACAGAAGGCGUUCCAAUAAAAUUGGCGUGGUAGAGGACAAUGGGAGAAAAAUAUAUAACGAGGAGGAGAAGUUGUACUUCUGGAGAAAAUUUAAAGAGCCUUUUGUACCUGAGGAUUACAAACCAGCCGCGCAUGGAGAUUGGAGCGAGCUUUUCCAAACCAGACGAGUUUCUAAUCCUGAACAAUUAACUACUCCUUUUUCUUUAGAGGAGAUUAAGAAGGUUGUUUUCCGAUUAGGAGGUGAUAGAGCGCCUGGCCUAAAUGGUUUCCCACUUAGUUUCUACCAGAGUUUUUGGGAUGUCAUCAAAGAGGAUGUGUUCAACAUUUUUUCGAACUCUAUGGGGAACGUAUCUCCAUACAGCCUAUUGAUUUUCCUAUCUCUGCCUGAUCCCUAAAAAGGAAGGUGUUGUACGAGCCAAUGAUUUUCGACCUAUUAGCCUACUGCAUGGUUUACAGAAAAUAAUUUCCAAAGUGUUGACGAAUAGACUAGAAGGAGUUAUUCAAGAACUUAUCUCUACAUCCCAGUCUGCUUCCCUUAAAGGUAGACUGCUAUCUGAUGCUUUUGUCAUAGCAAGUGAGUUGGUUGCAAGGGGUUGUAAAAAAUCUAUAGAGGAGGUAGGAGUGAAGGUGGAUUUUGAAAAAGCUUACGAUAAGGUUAAUUCGGUUUUUCUUUUAAAAAUUAUGGAACUGUGGGGCUUCAACGCCAAAUGGUGUCGAUGGGUACAAGAGUGUAUAUGUAAUACAAAGGUGGCUGUAAUGGUUAAUGAUUCGCCUACCCAGUGGAUUAAAACAAGAAGGGGUGUGAGGCAGGGUGAUCCUCUUUCUCCAUAUCUUUUCUUACUGGUUGCUGAGUGCCUAGCUAGGAUGACAAAUAAGGCAAAUAAAAAUAAUUUGAUCAAAGGGAUUGGACCAUCCGAGGAUAGUUUAGUGACACUUAUCCAGUAUACAGAUGACACUUUUUUCUUCUGUGAGGCAAAGAUGAAACACUUGAAGAAUAUUCAAUUCAUGUGAGGCUUGUUUGAGUGGGCCUCAGGUGUGAAGGUAAAUAAAGAGAUAACUAAAAUGUUUUUCUUCGGGAAUAAGCAGAGAAAAGACAAAAGACUUGCCAAACAUCUGGGAUGCAGGGUGGAAAAAUUGCCUACUAGAUAUUUGGGGUUAGCACUGUCAAAUAAGAUGCUCCGCAAAGAGGACUAGAUGGGGAUCAUCGAUAAGAAUCAAAAAAGAAUUGAUGGGUGGCAAGCAAAACUAUUGUCAAAAGGAGGUAGGCUAACUUUGGUAAACUCGAUACUUACUAAUUUGCCACUACAUUUUUUCUCUAUAUAUAAGGCUCCUAAAUGGGCAAUAAAAUGGAUUGAGGCAUUACACCGUGAUUUUUUCUGGAAAGGCAGGGCAACUGUUAAAAGUGGUACAUGUAUGGUAGCAUGGAAAAGUAUUUGCAGAGAUAAGAAAGAAGGUGAGCUCAGGGUGAAGGAUCUCGCCUCGAUGAAUGAUGCACUCAUCUCUAAAUGGUGGUGGCGCUUAUUUACUAAACGACAACUACAAUGGAACACUCUUAUUAGAAUCUGAUAUUACAAUAGAAGAAAAACGUUGGAUGAAGGGAGGACAUUUUGACUUUUUUUCUCAAUGGUGGAAGAGUGUGCUAUCUACUGAGGAUAUCUUUAAAAGUGGCACUUGUUUUGCUCUCGGAGAUGAACAGUCUAUUGACUUAUGGUUGGAUAGGUGGUGUGGUGAUGCCUCAUUGAAGACACUUUUUCCUGAUAUCUAUGAUUUAGUAACUUUGAAGGAUGUUCUAAUUAUGGAGUGUAUCUCUUCUUAAGGUUGGAGAUGGAGAAAAAUCUUAAGAGGGGCUGAGAUUGGGUUGCCUAGAGGCGAUAGCAGAAUUAGAGAACUCAAAGAGUUACUUUCAAGAUUCCAUAUUGCUGACACACCCGAUGAACUACGAUGGAGAUGGAAUGCGAGUCUGUGUUUCACAGUUAAAUCUGUGUAUAAGUUGAUCAAUGACGAUGGCAUUCGAGAAGUCCUUCUACAAAAAGUUUGGGUACUUAAAAUAUCGCUUAAAGUUAAGAUUUUCAUCUGGCUAGCCCUGAAGAAGCGCUUACCUACAAUAGAUAACCUGCUUAAAAGAGGUUGGUCCAGAAACCAACAGUGUGUUCUGUGCGGCAAUGAAUUCGAAACUGGCGAUCAUCUGCUUGUGGGAUGCAUUUUUAGCAGAUAUUUGUUAUUCAAUAUCUUCAAAGGAGGAGUUAUCUAGAGGUCGAUGGAUGGAGUCAGGGGACUAUGGGAGUAUAUACUGGGGAACAGUACUCAAGGGCCAGCUGAGAAGGAGCUGGCUAGUUUGGCGGUUUGUUGGUGGAUGAUUUGGCGAGAAAGAAAUAAUGUGAUUUCUAGAAAUCAAUCUUUCGACGCCUUAGUGGCUAUACAGACAAAUCCGUGAAAUGAUAAGGGAAUGAGCUAAGUUUUGCAACUCUAAGUGACCUUUUAUUUUUUUACUUUUAUUUAUUUAUGUAUUUAUUUUCCUUUCAUGUAACUGUUUGAUCCAUUCGAGGCCCUACUACCUCAACAUUUGUAGAAAUUCAUUUUCCAAAUGAAUGAAGCGGGUAGCGUGCUACCUUUAUCUCAAAAAAAAUGGAUAAAUUGUAUGCAAGAAUUAAUUUUUAUUUUUAAAAAAAUUAUGUAAACUAUAGAUUAUUUGUGAAGUGGAAUAAAAUAAUGGUAUUGAUUAUAAGUCAUAGACAAGUUCUUAAUUGGAAUUUGAGCUUAUUCUCAUAUACUAUUAGCUCUCAAAUUGGCCCAUAAGUUUUAAAUUACAUUAAAUUAAAAUUUGUAUUAUAAUUACUGAAUUUUUCUACAAAAGUUACAGCUUUGUAUGAUAGUUGGUCAAGCUAAAGCCACUCGUUAGUCCUUUUAUGAGCUUUGACACUAAUCUAUCCAUCUGUCUUUUUACAUGGCUUCUAAGCUAUUUACAUAUAAAAAUAUUUUAAAUUAUAGAUGGUUUUUUCUCCUUCUUUGUCGGAGACAUAAAAAAGAGAGAGGAACUAACGGAACUUGCUUGGACUUUGCACCAAUUUCGUAAGAGAAAGAGAGAGGGUGAUGAAGAAUGAAGAGGAGAAAAAUAUUGCCAUAUUGGGAGAAAGAUGAUAAAGUAGAUAUCAUCGAUCAUUGCUCCGGCCGUUGCGCACGGUUAAUUGUUGCCGUCUACAACCACUACCCUAGUCAUCGCGCAUGGCCAAUCGACGUCGCCAUCUACGACCACUGCCCCAACCAUCACAUAUGGCCAAUCGCCACAUCGUUGCCGCUACUAACUUCUAGACAUAGAUCUCAUACAGAAUUGGUAUUUAUAUAAAUAUAUACAUAACAUAUAAAAUAUCGAUAUAAUCAUAUAAAAUUAGUUAGCAAUUGUAUAUUUCUAAAAAUAUAUAAUUACUAUUUCUUCGGAAGCAUAAAAGAGUUGGUUUUCGACUUUUUAGCCCUUGAAUCAAAGAUUGUAAGGUUGUAAUAAUAGUGGGUCCCUUUAGGGUUGAGUGGUCCUCAUAGGGGAAUAAUAUUAAUCCAAAGGCACUCAUAGUGGUCCUCAAAUUGUCUUUAGUCCUCCCAGAAAUAUUCAAUACAGUACCAAUAAAAUUAUUACUAACAUUUUUUUCGAUAUGCAUUACAUCUAGAUUAUGUCGAAGAAGAUUAUCUUUCCAAUAGGGCAAGACAAAGAAAAUACUUUUCUUUUUCCAUAGUUGUUCUUCUGCAUGUGUUCCUUCCUCAUCAUAAUUAUGAGAAUCAAUAAUAAAAUCAUCAGCAUCUUCAAAAAUAGUAACUUGAUCCGCAUUAUGGACUUCCUUGUGUAGCUGUUGAUUCAUUAAGCUCCCCACUUGCUCUCGUCCCCUUUUUCUACUAGACUUGGAGCUUUUUCCAUAUUUAUUAUUGAGUCCUUCUACCUGCUGAAAAAUAUCAAUUCCUGAUGGCGAAUUUGGAGCAGAUCGUAACUCUAUCGAACCAUCAAACUCAUCUUUUUGAAAUCUAAAAGGAUGAUUUUGUUCUAACCAUCUACGGUUGCCUAUAUAGCAAAAUUUUUCUCCAUAUUUUAGCCAACAUGAAUCAGUCAAAAUGCCACAACAAGGACAAGCAAAAAGUCCCUUUGUACUCCAACCAGAUAGAUUAGCAUAAGCAAGAAAAUCAUUAAUAGUCCAAAUUAGAGCUCCUCUCAUAUUAAAGUUCUAUUUUGUGAAAGCAUCAAAUGCAUCAACACCUUCCCAUAACUUUUUCAAUUCAUGAAUUAGAGGUUGUAAAAAGACAUCAAUAUCAUUGCCUGGACCCUUAUCACCAGAAAUAAUCGUUGAUAAUAUUAAAGAUAACUACUUCAUACACAAUUAUGGUUGUAGGUUAUAAGGGAUCAAAACAACCGGCCAUGUACUAUGAGUAGACUUGAAUUAUCUAGCAAUGGAUUCAAUCCGUUUAGAACGUUGAGCUCUACUUAUAGAAGAAUCGUUAGCUAUCUCAUAGAAGAAUCGCUAGCUAUCUCAUAGAAGAAUCCAUCGCUAUGAAAUGGCAUGAAGAAGGAUUGACUCCAUCGCUAGCUAAUCCAUCGCUAGCUAUGUGUCAUCAUCUUUAUUUCCUAACCAUCUUGAAGUUCCACAUACAUGAUAGUUUUCUUUGUUUACGCUUUCAUUCCAAUACAACAUAUAAUUAUUAGGACACGCAUGAAUUUUCUCAUAUCCGAGUCCUAAUUGGUUUAUUAACUUUUUAGCUUCAUAUGAAGAUGAUGACAAUGAAACGCCCAUCGGAAAAGCAUCCUUUAAUGUUGGAGUAGCAUAGUAAAUGAUUUUUCACACCACCCAUUCAAACAUUUGAGAUGAAAAAGGUGGAGUAGAAAAGACAAUUUUGAAAAAUUUGUACAUCCCGGGUAAAGUUCUGGAUCACAAUCUUGCAUUAAAGUAGCAUAUGAAGUUGUAUCAACAUUUGGCAAAUGUUGUUGCGUAGUUGUUUCACUUGAAUUUUCAAUAUAAUCUGUAUCGUCUAUUGGAUCACUUAAAAUUAUAUUGGAAAAUCCAAAAGCAUCUUGGAGCAAUCCUCUCACAUCUUCUUGUCCCGUGAUAUUUUCUUGCACAUUAGUGUAAUCUGUAAUGUUUGGGGCAUGUUGAGCAGCAACACUAGAAGAAGAAGUUAAUGAUUCUCCAUGAAAUACCCAUUCCAUAUAACCUAAUGAGAAUUCCUUCCAUACCAAAUGUUUCUCCACAACUUCUGGAGUAUGUGAAGAACAAUUGCAACACUUCCGACAAGGACAUACAAUCUUUCCUCUAAUAAAUAAUUUUUUGAUAGCAAAUCUAAUAAAAUUAGCAACACCGUCUAAAUAAGCCUUAUUAUUUCUCUGCUUAUUAAUCCAACUUUUGUCCAUUUUCUUAGGUUGCGAGUUCCUUACUAUAUAAUAGCCUAAAGACAAAAAAUGAUGUUAAUAUAACUAAACUAAAGAAUGUAACUUAAUUAAGUAAGGAUAUUACAAAAAAAAAAGAACAUCAAGAUAAGGUAAAAUUAAAAAUCAAUAGGUCACAAUAAUAGUUUUAGAAUGGUACUGAAUUAUCUAUUUGCAUAAGAAACUCAAAAUGCACCGUCAAAAAGUGAAUUAGUUACGUUAUUAAGCGAUUGGAUUGCAAAGGAAUGAAUUAAUCUUUGUAGUGCCCUAUAUGAGGUAACUAGUAGUAGUAAUACUACAAUAACGGCAACAAAGAGCAAAUUGUACAUUAGAAUGAAAAGUAUCAAAUCACUCAUCUUAAUAUAUCAGUAUUUGUCCAAUCAUCUAAAAGUUGCAUAUAUUAAGUUUUGUAAAGAAAAAAAACUAAUGAUCAUAAAGUAGUCAGGGAGACAUUACCUUUUGAGGAAACUAUAUGUCCAACCAAAAAUACGCGAUGGAUGAGUGAAUUAGCCAAGUACUUUGUUGCUACCUAUAAUAAGAGUCAAAAAGUUAAGAUAUUAGAAACAAUAUAAUAAAUACACUUUGUCUCAAAAUGCACAGUCCAAAUUAACCUAAACAUUAGAUGUGUAAAUACUAUAACUUCACUAGAAGUAAUAGUAGUAGUAGUACUUAAAAAAAAAUUAUCUAAGGCAUGUAUGGUGUGCCUAAUGGGAAUACAAACAGUAAAAGUUGAAUGGCUAAAAAAUAUACAAGCAGUUGGGAGACGAAGGUGGAUACCAUUGUUGCUAAACUUUAAUGCUUAACUAAAAUACUAUUUUUUGGAAACAAAAAACCAAUUUGAUUUCCUACACUACUUAUAAUUAAUUUUUCCAAUUCUUGCAAUACAUUGGGAGAGGAAGGUGGAUUAAACAUGAUAUUUUCCUCUUCUCUUCAUCAUACUCUAUUUAAAUAAAAGAACUUAAGAUACAUUGUUUCAUAAUAAUUGACUAAUUGAGUAUUAAAAUGAAGGAAAAAAAUUAUUCUUAGCUUUAAAUCUAACACAUUAUAUCAUCUAAUAUUCUAUUGUUUACAACCCACACGGUUUGCUCGGGCCACCAGAGUUAUGUGACAUUUAAAUUGAAAAAACACAUUAAGCAAUCAAUGUCCUAUAAAAGAAAUAAAGUUAUUUACUUUUCCUCUUGCACCCAUCUAAAUAUACGAUGUAAAUUAGCAAACACUAGCAAAAGUUUUGUUAAAGAAAUGUCAGCGGUAAAAGACACCUCCUCCAAUGGCAAAAGACCACUGUUUCAUUACCCUUUAUCAAAUCUGAGAAAAUAAAAAUUAUUCUCAGAGAAGAGAACAACCCAGAGUCUUUUGCUCAUGCUUAAGAACUAAAAAUCAAAUCAGAAAAUAGUUGAGGGAUUAUCCUACAAACAACCAAAUAAUUUAAAAAUAUUUUAGGAAAAUAAAAUCUUGACAUCUAAUUUCUAUAUCCCACACUAGAAAAUAGUGAAAAGAGGAGAAACAAAAUAUUCUCUUCUUCUUCAAUCUUCAUGCUGCCAAUUAAACAAAGCAACUCAAAUUUUUUCGAAAUGCAUUCUUCUCCUCUAAAUCGAAACUUAAACAAAAAUUUAAUUUUAAAUCUCACAGAAAAAAAAAAUCCUAACCCAGACCACCACCCAAUUCCAGGAAAUGGGUUUGAAUCAUUCAUUCUUGGUGAUCCUAACCUUGGAUUUAAAGAUUGAGCCAAAAAUACUGAAUAAAAACAAAAUCAAACUACAAACCAAAUGGAUUCUUCUCGAGGCGUCAGCGUCGAUGUAAGGACUGAGAUUUUUGACAGUGCUACUAAACUCUCUGUUGAUGAUGUUUAUGUGUGUAAUUUAAUUACNAGUGGAUUCCCUGUAUUUGUGGCGGAUCUGGCAUACUCUGGGGUCAGGUUUUUAAAAAAAAAAAUUUAAACGCUUUUCCGCUGUGUUUCAAACUAAAAGGGGACCCCGGGGCGUGACAGUCGAAUCCUCCUUCUCCUCCGCUCGCCUUGCUCCUUCGUCACCGGAGAUGGCUAGUUGUCACCUUCGAAAUAAAGAGGAAAUGAAACACCAGCGAGGUGGAGAAGGGCUGGACGGCGGCAGGUCGAUCUGGAGGGCCGCGGUGGUGACGACGAGGCGAGAAAGGCGCAUAUUCGGGAGAGAGGGCCAAACCCUUGUGUGGGAGAGGGAGGUGCUGAGAAGGGGUUGAGCGGGAGCUAAAGAAUGAAGAUGAAAAGUCUAAUAAAAAGAAAUGGCAAAUUUAUUUUAAUAAUAAUAAAUUAAUAAGGCUCCUUUUUUUUUGGCACGCUAUAAAUAGCGACGCUAAACCCUAGCGUCGGAAAAAUUUCGACAGUGAAGAAAAUUACCGACGCUUUAAAAAAGCAUCAUCAUAAAAGCGUCGGCAUAGGCAUAUUUUUUUUGUAGUGAUAUAGCUAGAAUGGCCAAAGGAAUUGAUCCAAUAGUUAAAAAUUUAGAAGCACUGAUUCUUUAUGCUUCCGAAAGCACAAUAGUCGGACUUUUUUUAAAAUAUAAAAUAAUAUAAAUAUUUUGUAAUCUUUUAUUAUUCCAAUGCGAAAUACAGAUUUUACGCUACUUUAUAUAAAAAAUGAUGUUUGAUCUUUAUUGUAGUUUUGUAUCUAUUUUAACUUCAAAUUAUAAAUUUACUUGUACUGUUUUUUAGUUUGACCAUAAAUUUUAAUUUUUAUUUAUAAUUAAAAUGUAAAUUUAUUUUAGCAUAAUAAAUUUAUAUUUUAAAUUCAAAUUGUUAAUUUAAGUUAUUAUUAUAUAUUUUUAACUUAGGAUAAAUUACAGUUUUGGUUCUCAAACUAUGAGGCAAGUGACAUUUUGGUUCUUAAACUUUAAUUUAUUAUAAUUUCUGGCUUGAAAAUUUUGAAUUAUUGUAAUUAAGUCUUAUAACCUAUUGGCUAACUGUUAAUAUAUUUUUGAUAUAUAAGUGAUGUGAAAGUAUUGUAAUUGAUGAUGCGGCAAUAAUUAUAAUGUUACAUUAAUUCUACAUUAGCGAUUCAUCAAUAUUAAACCAAUUAAAUUUAGAUUGUGGGACUUGAUUACAACAAUUUUAAAAAUUUGAGCUAAAUAUUAUAAUAAAUUAAAAUUUGAGAACCAAAAUAUCACAGAGCGUGUAAUUUAUACUUUAACUAAUUUAUAUAUAAUCAAAUAAUCAAACCUACAAAACUGUAAUAUUUUAUUUUUUACUUUAUAAUUGUACAAUUAAACUAAAAAGUUAUCUUACAAAAAGAUAUUACUUUUAUAAAAACUAGAAAAGUUUUUCGAAAGUCAUGCAUUUAUUAGUUUUUUAAAAAAAUAUUAAAUGACACAUUUUAUUUUUAAUAUUUUAUGCCACGUAUAUUUAUCUAGUUAAGAUUUUGUAAAGAAUAUUAUUUAAAAAAAAUGUGGAACAUAGGAGAUAGUAGAUACCAAAAGGAUAAUUAAAAAAAAAUUAUACGAGAUACUUUAUUUAUUAUCUAUCGAAUAAAAUCUUUUAAAGUAAAAAUAUCUGACGGUUAUUAGAUUUUCAUCAAACAACCAGGGGGCCAGAUGUUAUUAGGAGGCGAAAAAUCUGAAAUUGAAAAAAAAUAAAAUUCGUUUUUUUUAUAAUAGUAUAAGAUAUAAGAUAUAAAUAUAGAUUUUUUUUAUUUUUUUUUUUAUUUCAGCCAUAUAUGGACAACGCUCUGAAACGGACGGAACGGAAAGCGAAUCGAAAAUUUUUUGUUUUUUAUCGUAUUAUUAUUAUAAUAAAAUAAUAAAAUAUAUUAUUAUAAUAAUAUAAUAAUAUUACCGCCAGCUAAUUCAACCGUACCGAUUUGGUUGAAAUAUAUAUAUGUGAAGAACUUGUGUGUAGUCGAUCUCCAGUUGCCCAGCGUUUCCGGUCAAAAGAAGACCCCUUCCGGUCGAUCUAGGGCAUCUCGGUCACGGCUCUCCCACCCGAACCCUCUCGACCUUCAUUUUUCCCUUUCCUCCAACUUCCCCUUCUGCCUCCGUAGAGACCACUCCCUCCCUCUCUCUCUCUCUGUCAGAUCUUCUUCUUCUUCACUAUUUGGUUUGGUUUGGUUUGGUUUGGUUGGCCACGAAAAUGAAUCCUCGCUCCUGCUGCCUGAAGUGGCUUUCCUGUAGGUGUAUGUAAUCUUCAUUAAUUUUCAUUUCAUUUCUCGCGGAGGCCGUCUGUCAGGAUGCGGUCUCUGCAAUUGCUGCAGCUGACGGAGCAUGGCCGCAGCCUUUUGGCUUCCAGGAGGUACGCCCGCUCGCGGAACUUAGAUCUUCUAUUUUUUUUGUUUUUUUCUUUUUUUUUAACUAGAAUUAUGUGAUGCACAAGGAUUUAAGUGCCCAUUGACAAUCAGCGCGGAUCAAAACCCUCCCUUAUUUUUUUUUAAAAAAAAUAGUAGCUGAGUAGUUACAUUAAUAAUAGUGUCCAAAGAUUUGGUUAGAAUAUGUAAUAAGCAAUCAGAAUCUAUUUGUGCCGAAAAAUAUAAAUAUUUCUUGGAAUAGCGUGUGUUUUUGUAUGCCUUACCGUGCUGGUCAGUGCUGGGCACAAUCCCGUGUGGCAGUACUUAAAUCCUUGGCGUGUAAAUUUGUGGUUUCUAGAGUACUUUGUUGGAACUUGAUGUAGCAGAUGAAGAAAAACUUCUAACCACCGAAUUUAAGAAGAUCUCGUCGUAUUAUGUCAGAAUUAUUGAUGGAGUAUAUAUCUAAUCAAAUUGAAUAACAGAGCCAGCUGAAUAGUUCUUGGGUCCUUGUACUCUAAAUUUGUCUUAGGGAUCUUUUAAUGGGCUCACAAUUAAUGAAGAAGACCUCAGUUAACGAUAACUUGUGCUUAUGAAGGACCUUCUGCUAGAUGUAUUCCUUUAAGGUUGUGUAUUGAUAUAUUGGUUAGCACUUAGCAAGGUGCCGUUGAUGACAUUUCUUGCCACUUCUUCUGUAUCUUCCUUACAGUAAGAACUUAUUAUAUCUCAGUACCAUCUUCACCAACAUUUUCCUGUGAUCUCUCUCAUCACUGUGAUCUUAGCCGUUGUUGUUAAGAGCGUGACCAGCACAUAAGUUGUGGAGGACAUCAAAUUGGAUAGACAUGUGGAUUGGACAAUAGAUCAUGAGGCUUUUUGUCAUUUCUUUGUAUAGUUAGAAAAUCGAUAAGUAGACACCUUUUAUAUCUAAGUCGAUGAUGAUAUAAGAAAUUAUUUCAUUUUGAUAUUAGAUGCAAGAAUCUUAUUCUUUCAAAUGGUAAAAUAAACCCCAACAUAAUGACUUAUUCGACGAAAUUUUUUUCGGCCAUUUAAUUAAAUAAACUUAAUUAAAUUAUACUUUAAAGUUUUUCAUUCUGGAACAUGAUUGUCUAAGCUUAACAUCUGUUAUUUUUAUUGAGAAUUUGAAAUUAGAAACUGAGAGUUUGAAAGAUUGAGAGUUGAACAUGUUGGAUAAUAUAUACAUUUUUAGUUCUUAACUUUUGAAAUAUUUUCAUUUUUUCCUCUUGAUAGUUAGUUAACCAAAAAUGUUGAUUUAUGUGAUAGAAAAUUAUUCUUGUUUUGCUAUCGGGCAUGGUCGGGCCCAUUUACCACUUGCGCUGGCCCCAAACAUGUUAAGCGCAGUUGGUAGGAAAUGGAACUUGAAUACUACCCAUUAUAUAUUUGAAUAGGGUCUGAAGUUGGAUAGGGUUGAAAGUAACGAUAUAGUUGUUAUGUUGGAUUGAGGUCGAAAAACCAGUCCAUAUUAUUGGAGAAAAAUAACAUUAUAUAACCAUUAUAAUUUGGAAGUAUAAAGAGUUUAGUACAAAAAUUAGCUUAAGUACUGUUUAUGUCAAAGCCAAUGAAUUUAAUAGUAAGGAAGAAUAUCUUGAUAACUUGUUUCCCAUUAAAUAAAAGGAAAAAAGUCGAGAAAGCAAUCUGAAAACAAGAAAGGAAGAAAGUACAUCAUGGAGAAUAAUUGUAGGAGAACAAAACUAGAUUAGGCCUAUAAGAAAGGGCCACUAAGGAUCAUGGAGAAUAAUUGUAGGAUAACAGAACUAAAUUAGGUCUAUAAGAGAGGGCCACUAAGGAUAUUAUUGUAUGCAGAAGGCCUACCAAAUACUAAUAAAUUAUACCAAGAAAAUAAAUAUUGUAUGGCUAAAAGUACUUAAAUAUAUGUAAUAGAAGUAUAUCGGAAGAGAAUCUAAUAUUGUAUAGCUAAAUGUAUUUAAAUAUAUGUAAUAGAAGUAUCUUGGAAAAGAAUCUAGUUUGGGUGGGGUAGAAUCUGCAUCUUCUAAACCUUCACCUGGACCUCAAAUCCUAGUGUCUUAGCAUCCACCUGUACACAGCUCUGGGAUUUCAACCUUGAUUUUGUCAGAUCGAUGCUAGGUAAUUGGGACAGGUAAUAAUUCCAAUAUCUGAUAUCAUCGGACCUUGUGAUUCAAGGAAAAAGGAUGAGAUCCCUAUUGUUUUCUACUGCAUUCUGUGCUACUCUGAGAACAGCCAAGCUUUGCUAUGGAUAGUGUAUGGUGCUGCUUGUGCGAGCUAAGAACCACAUAUUAUUAUCGGAAGGAACAACAAACAAGUACAACCAGCUAACAGCAAGAAAUAAAACAAACUAUCACAACUGCCAUCACCAAAAUCCCAUGAGUAUGUUUGAGACAACUAACCAGGCGAAUAGUAUCCCAAAGGCUCAUUGUCCUAACUUUUCCUUGAUAAAGAAGAUACUAGAAAAUAGAAACUUCUAGGUUUUCAUUUUUUUAUCUUAAAAAAUUUUCAGCAAAGGGAACCUGAGUGACUUAUUGUUUAGGGCUGCCUAAUGCUGUUAGAAAAAAUAGAGGGGACAAAAGCAUAUAGGGAUAUACUUCUCUAUUUUCUGGUGGGACUGUAGAAAAUAGGACUGGAGGAAAUUUAUCAUAACUGACUCAUUGUGAUAUGUACAACAUGAUUUUAUUUAUGGAAACAAAUGGACUUUUUUUCUAUCAUACUUCUUUUUCACUGCUCGUAGUGCAAUCUCGCCACAAUCCCAAAUAGUCUUUAUGUAAUUUCUACCAAUAGAUAAAUCACUUGCAUCGCAUGUAAACUUACGCGGAGAGUACUAUUGGUGAAUUCACGAACAUUGGUUAAUCUAAUAUCAUUCCAGUCGGAUUUGUAAAUGAUGUGUUGGAAAGAAUUGCUAAGGCAACACAAUCUCAUGGAGACGAUUGCGUGGUAUAUGCACCCGCUGAGAUGAGAUGAUGCUUCUACUACAUGAAUUGUUGUAAACGUUAAGUCAAGAUAGAGUAUUGUAGAUGUGAAACUUGGUAGCUUAUAGCUAUAGAAAAAUAGAGGGCUGAUAUAUUUAUAUAUAAAGAUAGAUAAUUUUGGGUAGCAACCCUAGGAGAUCCAUCUUUCAGAAUGCGAAACUUCAAAGAAAUUACCAUGCUGGUUGUAAGAACUUACCUCACUAAGCACUAAUUUACUGGGGACGGAUGACAGAGUCCAUGCUAAAGCAAACUUCUCCUGGAUGUAGUCUUGCUAUUUGUUUCUUGUAAUUAUAACUCAAACUUAUGUUUGUCUCAGCCACGUUUCAUUUAAAACUUGACCUUAUCUGCUUACAAUUAUGCCUUUUUGGUUGGUAUAACAUUUUUGUCAUCCCCAAUAGGAAUUAAGAGCAUUUUCCUACUUGUUUCUCUUUAGGAGAACAUCAUUUGUGAUAUUUUUGUUCAUAUUCUUUUGCCAUGUUAUUGAGGGAUCCUUGUAUCAUGCAAGCUAUGGAGUUAAGUAUUUUUCUUUUCCCCUUGAAGAUAUCAUUAAUUAAUGAAUUACAUACUUGCUGGAUGAACAGGAGAACGGUUGCACUUGUGUCUGGUGCCCUACUGGCUGGUGGAACUCUGGCAUACAUGCAGUCGCGACAUCAUAAAAGAUCCUCAAGACCAAAUUCUUCUAAUGAUGUCUCCACACCUGGUAUAAAUGAAGAUAGCUUGAACCAAAACGGUGUAGAUAGUAAGCCAAUUAGAGCAGCAUGGCGGAAAAAAAGUGGAUUGAGAUCUCUACAUGUUCUGGCUGCUAUUUUGCUCAAGCAGAUCGGCCCAAUGGGCAUGCGAUGCCUUUUGUCCUUGGUUACUACAGUUGUAAGCAUCUUUUGUUUUCUCAUUUUUGUGUUUUAAUCCUUCAUCUUUGUGCGAUUCAUUCAUACAACAAUUUGGUACUGAUAGUUAGUGAACUCUAACUAGAACAACCACUCGAAUACUCAAUAAAUAUAUGGGCAAAUUUUGCAAUAUUAUCCUCUCCAGAGUGUUUAAGCAUAUGAAAAAUAACAUGCAAAUAGCAUGAUCAUAUUUCUUUCUUCUGUAAAUAAUUGGAAUGACUUGGUUGCUGAUGAUCUAAAAUGCAGAAGAUAACUACUGUUGCUAGUUUAUGCGGUAAUUUUUCAUUUGACCUAGAUCCUACCCAGCUUCAUGCAGUCUCAAGUGCUAGUUCAUACUCUGUAACUCUUGAAACUUUACGGUCAUAAUGAAUUCAGUGUUACAGUUUAUUGAUGCCACUUUGUUAACAAGAUCUAUGCAGGAUAUUUAAUACUGUACCAUGCUAGUCAUACCCUUCUUUCUCUUUGAUAAGAAAUCAGGAAUCUGUGAGAUUACUGUAUUUUAUAGCAGUAUGGAAUGUAUACCCUUCUUUCUGUUUGAUAAGAAAUGAGGAAUCUGUGAGAUUACUGUAUUCUAUAGCAGUAUGGGAUGUUUUACUGAAAUAAUUAUUAUGGUUGUGAUUCACUUCCAAUAUUCCAACUGAACUACAAACUUUUGUAUCAUGGGAAAUAUUUAGGUCUUGUGUGGCUUAAUAAAUAUAUGCCUGGGGGUACUUAAGAGAUAAAUUUAUUUAAUAUUUUGUAGAAUAGCUGGAUAUUCUUGCUUACAUAUGUAUACAGUUGGAUAUAUAUAGAAUCAAAUAAAAAGCAAGAAUAUCUUAAUCUAUUCAUUUUCGACCAGAUUGAGAGUUGACAACUAAUAAAAGGAUUUAAGUGCCCAUCGGCCCAGACCGUGCCCAUUGUGUCAUUUUGUGUUGACAAGAUAUCAGUAUGAUAUGACCCCCUUGAUGGCAUGGCUCGAUACCCUCUGUUCUUUGAACUUAGCGAGUAAUUACAUCAAUAAAAGGCAAAGAUUUGAUAAACAGUAUAUACUAAGCAUUUAGAAUAUAUUGGUGCCAAAGAAAAUAAGUAUUUCAAGCCAUAGUGUGUGGGCACACAUGUAUUUUUUUGUCAAUGCACACAUCAGCACUCCGCGCGUCACUGCACUUAGAUCCUUGUGUAAAUACAUGAAUCACUAUUAAGGAAACUUAAAUGUGGGCUUGGAGAAAUUUUGACUCGAUAAAUAUCAUGAUGUUCCACUAAAAAAUAAAGCCCCACAUGUUUUGACCAGGAAAGAUUUAAAUCCUAUCUAAGAAUAGGGCGAGUAUCAGGAAGGAAUCAAGACACUUAUGGCCGAUAGAAGUAAUAUCCCUCGACACACCAGGAGCUCCCAAAAAGUCUUGGUAACUGCCUGGCAGCCGAAACAAUAUGGAGAGGAGAAAAUACAGCUGUAGGAGUGGAGGGAAAAGGGGAGAAGAAAGCACAGCCAUAGGCUUGAGGGGACAAAAAGGGCUGCAAUGGUAGAAGCCAUAGAAGGGGCUAGACAAGAACACUAGACAGGCGAAAAGGAGAAGAAAUAGUGCUCAAUCCAGGAACGAAUGAUAGAAGAAAAGGCGGCUUAUUUUGGCACAAGGUGAGGGUUGAGCAGGGACCACAAAAAUUCUAGGUAAAUUGCUUCAAUAGUUCAAUACCAAAGUCUGUUUAAGAAAGAGAGGCUGGCUGGGUUAAAUAAUCCUCAAACAAAUCACAUGCAAGCAAACCAAGUACAGAUUGGAGAACAAACAAUCGUGCAAGACUUAGAAGUCAGAGAAGAGGGCAACCUGGUUUAGGAAUAUAAGUAAUAGAUGCUGGUUGAGAUACAAGGCCCAAUAAGUAUAAAAACCCCAAAAUAAAGAACCAGAUAAAGAAAAAGGCCCAAAACUUGAAUUAGAUUCAAGUUGACUGACAAAACCAGCUGGAAGUUCAGUGGUAAAGGAAUAAUGGUUCUAUAGGAAGACAAAAUCCUCAUUCGACCAUAGAUCAACGGGAUGCCACGCCACACCAGAAAAUAAGGAACUAAUUAUCUAAUAAUAAUCAUUUAAUAGUUCAUUACUUGAAAAACCAUAUUCAUUGUUAAAGCUUCGACUGAAGCAGAGCAAAUUUGAGCUGCGUUAAAUAUCCAUUCCUUAAAAUUUAACCUUUCCCUCUUAUAAAUGUUUCUGUUAUACAUUUGCUUUCUUAUUCUCUAGCUUUGGGAUUUUCAAUUGUUUUCCAUAUACUUGAACUGUCAUCAAGGGAGAAUAACAACAUCAAAUAUUGAAUUUGUCGCAGGUGUUGCGCACUGCUUUGAGCAAUAGAUUGGCAAAAGUUCAGGGGUUCUUGUUUCGAGCAGCUUUUCUUCGGCGUGCGCCAGCCUUUGUACGCUUAAUUGCUGAAAAUCUACUACUAUGCUUUCUUCAGUCUACCUUAUUUUCUACCUCGAAGUAUUUGACCGGGGCCUUAGGUUUGCGCUUCAAGAACAUUUUGACAGAUCUUGUACAUACUAACUACUUUGAGGUAAUUGUGUUAUUUUCUAUUGAGUUUUGUGGUUCUUAUCAGGAGAUAUCUUUCUUUGGAUCCCUCAUGCUGUUCUGGUUGUAUUUGUAACCACCCAACUAGCUCACUAUUGUUUGUAACUUGUUGGACCUAAACCAUUGACCCAAACCUAAGUCCAUAUUACGCAUACGAGUUGGAUACUGCUUAUAUAUCCAAGUAUGCUCUCAUCAUCUUCCUUUGUGGGACUAUUGGGCGUGAAACAUGUUUGAAACUAAAAAGAGUACAACUUUUAGUCCAGCGAUCUACUAGAACAACCACAUAGAAAAUCACCAUCAUUAACUUGCUCUUUUCUUAUGUUUGAUGUGUGCAUUGGACAUGCAGCAGACUUCAGUGUAUUCCAUAGACAGUUUUCGGUUCCUACUGAUGCAAAUAGUACACAACAUCUAUUUUACUAGGUUAGGCAGUCCAAAUACACAUAAAACUUGCUUGAAGCAUGAAAAUCAACUCAAAUAAGAGACUCAUAAAUUUGGAUGUAUCUCAGGACGCCUGUUUUAUAGACUACUGGAUCAGAUUAAACCCAUGUUGGUCAAAAGUAGGUGACCAAAGGCUAACUUUUGUUGUGGAUGAUUCCCGGUUCUUGGUGAUUGAUCACUAGAGCUAAAGCUAAGAGCAAUCUACUAAUGUCUAAACUAGUCAAUAGCACUUGCAUCAAUGAAUUUCUGAUAGGAAUAGUAUGUCUUCUUUAGGAGGUCAUUGGUUCUCCAAUAGCAUGUUGAAUCCUUUUUCUUUGCGCCCUUAACUUUACUUAAUUUGCUUGCCAUAAUGUACAUGAAUUCAGCAUUGAGCUGUAAUUGUUAAGUAGAUAUUGGGUUUUCCGAUAAAAUGUAAUAUGGCAGAAGAUAUUUGAUUAUAAUAUUUUAACCUCGACUGGACUCAUAUAUAUAUAUAUAUAUAUUGUAUUAUUCGAUUCUAUGCAAUAUUUGAUUCUAUGCAAACUUAUCUGAUAUUUCUUUGGUAACUCAUUGUAUUUUUCUCCUUUCCUGGUGUAUCUACCUCCUCUCUACAGAACAUGGCAUACUACAAAAUCUCGCAUGUUGAUGGCCAAAUUACCAAUCCAGAGCAACGGAUUGCUAGUGAUAUACCAAAAUUCUGCACAGAACUAAGUGAGCUUAUACAGGAUGAUUUGACUGCAGUUUCUGAUGGCAUUGUAUAUACCUGGCGCCUUUGUUCUUAUGCUAGUCCUAAAUAUGUGCUCUGGAUACUGGUAAAGUAUUUUUCAAUGAAAUAAAUGCUUAUCAUAAAUGACUAAAUAUUAUUUUUUUCCUCCUCUUUUAGAGGACAUUAAUUUCCUAUUCCCAUGAUGACUUAAUAUUCAAAGAUGCUCAAUUAUCUUGUUGCUUACAGGCAUAUGUAAUAGGAGCAGGUGCUGCCAUUAGAAACUUCUCUCCUUCUUUUGGAAAGCUGAUGUCAAAGGAGCAGCAGCUUGAUGGGGAUUACCGACAACUCCACUCAAGGUUAAGGACCCAUGCUGAAAGUGUAGCAUUUUAUGGGGGUGAGAACAGAGAAGCCUCCCACAUCAAACAGCAAUUCAAGACCCUUAUUCAUCAUUUGAAUCUUGUUCUUCACGAACACUGGUGGUUUGGAAUGAUCCAAGAUUUCCUUUUAAAGUACCUGGGUGCCACAGUAGGAGUUGUCCUGAUUAUCGAGCCAUUUUUUGCUGGCAAUCUGAGACCUGAUUCUUCAACAAUAGGAAGAGCGGAAAUGCUCAGUAAUAUUCGUUAUCAUACUAGUGUGAUAAUAUCCCUAUUUCAAUCGCUUGGGACUCUUUCUAUCAGUUCAAGACGGUUAAAUCGUCUCAGGUUUGUUUGCGACCUAUUCUUUAAACUGAUAAAAUGAUGCCAUUGCUGCUACUUGCUAGUAAACUACUGAGAAUGUAAAUUGCUUGUAUUCUUCCCAGUUCCAAGUAACAUUUUUUUUUGUCUUUGCGUAGUACACCUGAUUAUUUUGAGCGUACUGCUAUCUAAAGAUAUUAGGUAGUGACGAAUUUCAAGUUUGCAUUAACCAUUAGAAACCGGGAAACCGAUAGUAGAAUCGGCCAUAGCAGCAGGUUAGAUGUGCUAUAAGUUACCUCAUAUUUUUCUUAUGUUGACGAAGCCCACCAGAUGUGAAAUAUAUGAAUUGGGUCUAGAAUGCAGUUAUCUCACAUGUGAUGUGGCCAUCUAGAGGUUAGUUGUGUUUUGGUUAGAGAUACAGAAUUACAAAUAGAGCACGCUAGAACUUCUAUAAUCAACAAUGUUCCAAAAGAUGGUAUGCAGUAUUCAUGCAGGUACCUACCGCAUAGCGCAUAUGCAGACGCAUAUGUGGUCCAUCUAUUAAAAUAUUAAUAAAAUAUUUAUAGGUAUUAAAAAUGUAUAUAAAUGCUUUCUAACAAUGCUAAAUAACUAAAGUAACAAGUCAUAAUUCACAGAUUAAAAUAAUUAAUUUCAAGUAAAGGACCUCAUAUGCGCACAUGUAUGACUAAACUAAUAAUUAGUAAUUUACUCUUAAUUAUUAAAUAUAGAAAUAAAUAGAAUUUUAAUGCAAAAUCAUAAAAUAUGUAAAUAAAGAUCAAUGUUCUAAAAAGCGUUAUGCUAAACUUUUAUGAAGAAUAACAAUUUUUUCAAUUCACAUCAUUGGAGAGGCCAACACUUGGAAAAAAUCUAGCGUAAUAACAUCUAACAACUACAAAAUUAUUUGUCAAUAUUUGUAAACAUAAUUAUUAGAUAGACAUACGUAGUCUGACCGCAUACUGCACUGCAUAUUACCUAUGCGGUGUGGUCUAUGGUCUGAACCACAUAUGCAGCCGCAUGAACGGCCUUUUGGAACAUUGAUAAUAAAUUGUAAAAGUUGGCGUGCUUAUAGGUCCUCCAUAUAAAGAGUUUAGUGUAAAAGCUCAUUGGAGCAGUUCCAUUUGAAUUUAUGUUCUACUUGGGAAGAUUUACUUCAUCAAAAUGUGGAUAUCAUAGUGAAGAUUGAGUGGUUGACUUAGUCCAAAUCGUGGAUUAUCUUUUCUGUAAGAAUAUUGUUCAAACAUUAAAUCAAGGAGAAAACACUGCAAGCCAACAGUAGCAACUUAAAAAGAAUCAUAGCACUUAAUUAAUUGGAGGCUUGGUUCACUGUUGCUAUAGGUUAUUUAUCUAAUUGAAUGUACGUGGUUUAAGGGAUUAUUUGCCAUGUUAAUGAGAAGUUGAUAUUGCGACAUAUUUCGAUAGGGUGUUGAGUGGAAACAAACAAGUAGAUUAAUUUAUGACUAGUUUGAUCAGCCUGUGUCCUGCUAUAGGCGGUUCCCUGAUUGGAAUCUAAUAAGGACUUUUUAUUGGUAAGAAUUCUUCCAAACAAUCCAAUUCAUCUCCACAAGGACCUAGAACCUUACUCUAACACAGGUAUUUGAGUUCUUAGAUUACAGGCUUGAGUUAUUUCUCCUCUCUUGUCCAGUGCUGAAAGUUACUCUUCUGCUUAAAGUUACUCUUGUGCUUAAUGUCUUAAUUCUCUCUCUAGAAGUAUUAUGAUCUUUUCAAAGGUUAUAUUGGUAUCAGGAUCAAACAACUUAUUCCAAGAUUGAGUAAUUGUUGAGGAAUUCAAUCUCAAUAUUAAAUUAAAAUUCUGCUCUUGUUGCAAGAUGUUUGAUCACUUCUUGUUAGGCGAAGACCUAUUCACAUUCUCUUGCUUGAGAUUUCUGAUUGAUCGAUUCAUGCAACUGACCAACUUUUCAUCUUAAAAUGGAAAAAAUUGUCUAAUGGUAUUUAUGCUUUCAUAAGCUUCCAUAAGUUGAUUGACAUGACCACCGGUUCGGUCAAAGUCCUUUAUUUGUUAAUUUUUUCGGUACAAUAUCCGUCCAACCAUGUAAGUUUCAAGACAGGGUAUUUUAUGUCACAUUGUCUUGCAUGAAAAUUGUGAAUUACUCUGAUAUGUUGGUUGAAUUGGACUUGCUGUAGUCUGAAUAUCUCAGAUUAUGACCUAGCACUAGAUUUAAUAUUUUGCCCAAUCGACUGAAUGAGUGGUUGUUAUUCUAGAGUUGUGAUCUUCAAGUCUUCUUGUUCAGUAUGACUUGUACUCGCUUUAAAUUCCUAAACUUCCAUCAUGGUGUAGAAUCUUUUUGUGUCAACUUGAUGUGCCUUAUUGUUAGUGUUUACCGUUUAGUGUUUACGUUGCAAUGUUUUAUUUUUGACCUUAGAUAUCUACCAGUUGCUUAAUUUUUGUAGUUCAUCUUUCUGCUAUAUGAUGUUUUACAUUUGUAAGCACUUUUGUUUACAGUGGUUAUGCAGACCGCAUUCAUGAGCUAUUAGUUGUCUCUCGAGAGUUAUCUGCUGUUCAUGACAAAUCAUCAUUGCAAAAAAGUUCUAUUAAGAAUUAUAUCAGUGAGGCAAAUUAUAUUGAAUUUGCCGGUGUCAAGGUUUGUUGGACUUGCUGAUUGUCAUAGUCGCAUUUUCAGUUCACCUGAUUUUUAUUGAUCUUCAUCUCUUUGAUUCUGAUGCCAACUGGUUUCAGGUGGUUACACCAACUGGAAAUGUCUUGGUGGAUGAUUUGAGUUUGAGGGUAGAUUCAGGAUCUAAUCUUUUGAUCACUGGUAACUCUUCUACUAUAUACCUUUUUUUUUUUUAUACACUGCUUGUUCAUAUGGAAUUUUUAAUUAGUUGUAUGAUCUGCUACUGUUUUAUCACAGAAGCAUUUAAGCAUUGUGUCUGUAAGCAUCUUUCGGAGACUGGAUAAGAGCUUAUUUACAGUUUUAUGGUUGAUUCAGCAACUAUUGAUAUUUCUGAGCUUUAUAAUACAGAUAUUUCCAUGUGAUCAGACCAUUAAACAAAUUGGAAAUAAGGAAUAAAAAAAGUAGCACUGGGAAUAUUUUUUUUUGUCGUGUAUUGAAUUUUGUUCUGUCUGAGAAGCUUACCGUAUUCAUCUCGUUGAAUGCCAGUGUUGCUUCUGUAAGUGAAUUCUAAGACGCAAUGAUCCCAGUUUGUUUCCUCAGAAGCUUAUGUAUGCUCUGAAAAAGGAGGAAGAUGAAAGAUGAAGAAAGCUUGGUCCUUAGUCUGAAAAAGUCUUUUAUGCAGAAUUUUGUGUUUCUAGGAAUCUAGUUACAAACAAUUUCUCAUCACGUUUUUGCUUUGCACUGAAUUAGUUACCCUGUAUCCUCUUAGUUUACUGAUCAAACAUACUUCAUAGAGGUUCAGUGAUCUUUGAUCCAUUAUCGAGAAGUACAAUGAUUAGUACAACAUGGGUCUUGACAAUAUGCUACCUGUAGUUGCACUGUGACCUUUAAUAUGUAUGUGCUUCAUCUGAUGCAUCUUUCCCUUUCUGCAAGAUACUAUAUAUGCUUUAAAGGGCAUUUCUAUGUACAUCUGCCAUCUAAAUAUUUUGUGGUUUGCUCAUCAGACAUCAAAUUUUCUCCUUCAACUUUGUUGGUUUGUUCAGGUCCAAAUGGAAGUGGGAAAAGCUCCCUCUUCAGAGUUCUCGGAGGACUAUGGCCGCUUGUAUCUGGUCAUAUUGUCAAGCCUGGGGUUGGUUCAGAUCUUAAUAAGGAAAUAUUUUAUGUCCCACAACGACCGUAUACAGCUGUCGGAACACUCCGAGACCAACUAAUCUAUCCUCUUACAGCAGAUCAGGAGACUGAACCGCUUACUUACGAUGGCAUGGUUGAGCUACUAAAAAAUGUAAUACAAUUUAUAUGUAUUACCUGUCUCUUUACUUGCCUUUUCUUUUGAUCAAUGUCUGUUAUUAUUUCUAAUGCUUGCCUGAUCAAUAAGUUGGUCCUUAAAGACUUUCUAAAGUAUUGUACAUUUGGUAGGUUGACCUUGAAUAUUUGCUGGACCGGUAUCCCCUUGAAAAGGAAAUCAACUGGGGUGAUGAGCUUUCUCUUGGCGAGCAACAGAGACUAGGAAUGGCCCGCUUAUUCUACCAUAAACCAAAAUUCGCGAUUUUAGAUGAGUGUACAAGUGCUGUCACAACAGAUAUGGAAGAGCGCUUCUGUUCUAAGGUUCGAGCGAUGGGUACAUCAUGCAUUACGAUAUCUCACCGCCCAGCAUUAGUUGCUUUUCAUGACAUUGUUUUGUCCUUGGAUGGCGAGGGGGGUUGGAGUGUUCAGUACAAGAGGUUUUAGUCCAUAAACUUUAUGACUUAUUUUCAUUAUUUCGAAAUAGAUCUGUGGAAAUUAUUUAAAACUCUUUAGUCUUGAUAAUGUAGGGAGGGCUCAGCAUUUCCUACCGAAGAGGAACCCAAUUCUUUAAAAUCAUCUGAAACUGAUCGUAAGAGCGACGCACUGGCUGUUCAAAGAGCUUUUAUCACCAGUGCAAAGGUUCGGGAUCUUUGUAAUUAUCGUCGUAUUAUUGUUGUAAUUUUCCACGGAGUCUUGUUUAUGGAUUUUAUAUGACAGGGAAAUGCUUUAUCAAAAUCAAAGGAGCACUCUUAUAGUACAGAGGUGAUAGCAUCAUCUCCUAAGAUGGAGCAUGAGAUUUCACUGCCCCAUGUGCCACAGUUGCAAUGUUCUCCAAGACCUUUGCCUCUUAGAGCAGCUGCAAUGUUUAAAAUACUGGUAUUUCUUGGAUUUCUUCACUCACCACAAUUUUUGUUGUGCAUAACCAUGAUUAUUAUCGAACUCAGCGAUAUGUACAUUAAACUCACUCUAGUACUUCAAUGAGACAUGUCUGAAAUCAUAAUCUGAUUGAUCAAGUCGAUAUUAUUAGACCUUUAUGUUCAUUCCCCUCUCUCUUUUAUUCCAGAUUCCCAGAUUGCUUGAUAAGCAGGGAGCGCAGCUGCUUGCAGUUGCUUUACUUGUUUUCUCUAGGACUUGGAUUUCGGAUCGCAUUGCGUCUUUGAAUGGUUAGCUUAACGUCAUUAUUUUAACUAUUAAGAUACAACAACAAAUGAACUGGUUCAUCAGGUUUACUUUAUUAUACUUAACAGGUACUAGUGUGAAGUAUGUCUUGGAGCAGGAUAAAGCAGCCUUUAUCCGGUUAACUGGAAUCAGUGUUCUUCAAAGUGCUGCAAACUCUAUUGUGGCACCUUCCUUAAGGUAUGAAUUUUCUUUUUGGGGAAAGGGCAACGAUGGCUUCAAUUCUUUUGUUGAGAUUUAAUUUGUUCGGUUAAAUCUCCAUUAAUUUUCAUGACCCAAGUCCCCUUUGUUCAUGUUGCGACCGCUGCACCUCCAUAAGAUCCAAAUUAAAUAUUGCUAUGUUGUAUUUCCAGUUUACUAUACCAUUUGAGCUAUACCUUUGUAUAUUUUGGUAAGCUUACUUAAGGAAUAAAUUGAGAAUAAAAUUUCUAAGGUGGAGUUAACGAGUUUCUUUCUGUUGAUUUUGUUGUAAAGAAAUUAUAUUAAAUUCAACCUGCUUGCCGUUGAAAAAUACAAUUUGCAGUUAUUUCAGCUCACCGGCUGAAUGGAAUUUAUUCGUACAGGCACCUCACAGCGAAGCUUGCACUUGGAUGGCGAAUUCGUUUGACUCACCAUCUACUCAAAUACUAUCUAAAGAGGAAUGCUUUUUACAAGGUACUAUUUUCCUUUUUAAGUACUGCAUUUUUUUUCUUUCUUUUAGGAACUGCCAUAUGUUUCUUCUUCCACCUGAAAUUUGAGCAGAAAAUCUUCUUUGUAAAUUUUUCUCUAUUGGAAAUGCAUUGAAAUGAAUCAAAUUAUAAGGGGCUAGUAUAACAGCCUCUCAAUCAGCGCUCUCUAAGAUUGUUUAAGUAGAUGUGUAAGUGUUAACUAACAAAGUUGUUGGAGAUUUUAGUUAAACUUGAUUUAGAUAAAUGUUGCUGGACUUUGUCAUUGAUUUUUAUUGGAAUACCGGAGCCUUAUUGAAAACUACUAGUCUUUAUACCCUUUAUUUUCGUGAAAAUGAAGAAACACAAGGGAAUGGUUGUUCGGCAGUUGAUUAGUUUAUAGUUUUGGAUGACGAUAUUUUACUCGGACAAAAGGAAAGGAGAAAGAUGUAAAGAUUAAGACAUACUAAGGGCAGCUGAUGGAAAUGUGAACUGGCUUUAUUGCACUUGAACAUCAGAUUCCAGAGAGCUACAUUUGGUUGAAUCUCUAACAUUGGUGUUAUUUGUUUGUUUUCUUUUUCUUUUUCUUUAUUGGAAAGAAACCCCAGAGCAAUUUCAUUAGAUUUGAGGAAAAAAAAAAUAGUAGAAAAGAUUUAGAAGGUGGUUCAUAAAGAUAUACCUUUUAGGUUCAUUGUGAAUUCGUAGCCUUUUUAUGAGUCAAAGCUGAGGUCCCCAGGGUUAGGAUCAAGGACAACAAACCUCCAUCCAAUGUUUAUUUGGGAAAUUUUUGCAGCCAAGAUUCGGAGGGCCCAGAUGAACUUUUCUUGAGCCCCUGCUUUAGUUUUAGGGCUUUUUUUCUUCACUCGGCCGAACAAAUCUACUGUGCUAUUUUUAUUAUGAAGAAAAAUUGGAUUAUCCUUCGUAAAUAAAGUAUACAUGUCUCUGCAGUGGUGGUUGUUGGCCCCUUGUCAUAAACAACAACUACAAGGUCAGUUACAUGAGUUUCAUAAAUUUACCUUACAAUCAGAGAGAGAGGAGGGAAAGAUCAAUUAGUAUCUAAACCGUAAGGCCAGAGGACAAAACAUGGGCUCUCUUCUCUCAGAUGCCACUAAAAGUGCUGGAAAAAUAGUUUGCACUUUGCCUGCGAGUAUUUAUUUUAUUUUAUUUUUUAAAAUUAAUGGAGCUUCAAUUGAGAUUCUUAGUGCACAAAUUAAGAGGAUUUAAUUAAUGAUCCUUUCUGUUUAAUCGAACUCCGUCUUCUCUUACUGGACUUUUAGCUUUUAGAUCUUGAAGUGAUUAAACAUUCAGAAAGUGGGUAGCAACUAUAUCCUGUGUUUCUUUUUGUCUCUGAUUCUUCAUGCUGUCUUAACAGUAGUGUGCGCAAAAUCUCAACUCUACAAGCCAACCAUUACUUAACACCUGUGUGGAAGUUGAAACCAUGCUUGUUCCUCGCUCAUAAAUUUUUCCACUUUAUGUUACGGAUGACUAAGCUGAAGCUUCUUCAUUCCAGGUAUUCCACAUGUCGGGGAAAAAUAUUGAUGCAGACCAAAGACUAACUCAUGAUGUGGACAAGUUGACCAAUGAUCUUGCAGGAUUGGUCACUGGGAUGGUAAAGCCAUCAGUUGACAUUCUUUGGUUAGUUAGUUUUCCUUCGUUUUAUACGCAUUGCUUAGCUACUUUCUGGUAUCUGGUCAGUCCUCUAAAUGUUCAUAUAUCUCUAUUAUUCUGGUCAAACUCGGCAGGUUUACAUGGAGAAUGAAGCUUUUGACUGGACGAAGAGGAGUUGCUAUACUGUAUGCAUACAUGUUACUGGGUUUGGGCUUUUUGAGAACUGUUGCCCCUGAAUUUGGUGAUCUAGCAAGUCAAGAGCAAGAACUUGAAGGAACCUUUAGGUAUUCAACUUCUUACUAUAUUGUAAUCAUCUCAGCAAGUUCUUUACUUUAAAUUGUAACUGCUUAAACAUCAAAUGGAAUGUCUUCUGUCAGGUUUAUGCACGCAAGAUUACGUACACAUGCUGAAUCUGUUGCUUUCUUUGGUGGUGGUUCUCGGGAAAAAGCUGUGAGUUUCUUGCGCAUAGAUGAAAUCACGCUUAUCUUGAGUUGCGAAUUUAUCAAUGGCUUAUUUCCGACUGUGGAGUUAAUUUUUGUUUUACUCAUGGAGCUUAUACAAUAAAGGAUCCACUUAUUUGUGGAAACGAAAUGUAGUAGCUCCGGAAGCAUGUUGUUUACUUGAACAAUUCGGGGAGUCAUAAGCGAAGUCGCUCUUCUUGUUCUCUGAUUGUUUUAUUCUUGUGUUUCUUCUCUUUGCCUUUGGAUAUAUGCUCGUAUUUUCCCAAUGUUACCUUUUUGGUUGAUUUGUCUUGUUCUUUGACUGUCUUCUACCUUUCAAUUUUUCUUUAUAUUUCGCUUGGAUUGCUAUAUUUGUGCAUAUAUUUAGCAGCAUAAAAGUUUAAAACAGACUCACUGCUGCCAAAAUAUUUGGAUUUUCUUGUUUCCAUUUUGGCCUAACAAGAACUAGAACUCUUCUUGUACAUCUGGUAAAUUUGUAAUUUUUAUUUUUUUCUCUCUAUUUUUUGGGUCUAAUUCAUUUGCAGACAUCUAUCUAUGUCAGAUAAUAGUAUCUCGAACUUUAACUCGUUUACCUGUCUUUCAUAUCAAACAGAUGAUUGAAGCAAAAUUCAGAAAAUUGCUCGAGCACUCGAAGCUUCUGUUAAGGAAGAAGUGGCUCUAUGGUAUACUAGAUGACUUCGUUACGAAGCAACUACCUCACAAUGUGACCUGGGGGCUGAGCUUGUUAUAUGCUUUGGAGCACCAGGGAGACCGUGCUUUAUCUUCCACACAAGGUUGAACAAUUGUGACACUAAAUUUGUUUGGUUAGUUAUUUCACUUUGUCUGGGUUUUUUGCUUGAAAGUUCACUUUUGUCUUUUUCCAGGGGAGUUGGCGCAUGCCCUUCGCUUCUUAGCAUCUGUUGUGUCACAAAGCUUCCUAGCAUUUGGGGACAUUCUUGAGCUGCAUAAAAAGUAUCUUGAACUUUCUGGUGGCAUCAACCGUGUCUUUGAACUAGAAGAGCUUCUACAUGCUGCCCAAAGCGGUACACCUUAUUUGAUUAGAAAUGUUUCAAACCUUGGAUUUCUCGUUGUCAUUUCCAAGUUCUUAAUUUCGUCGAUUCAUAUCAUAACUUUCCUGUUUAGGAAUACAAAUAUAUAUAUCCCUUGCAUUAUCUAUUUGCAUUUAUGUUCCGGCAAAAUUUGAAAUUGUGUCAUUCAAGACAUAAUUUCAAACAUAUAUCCGUUGUACUCAUAAAAAAUGUGCCUCUUUAAGAAACCCUUCAUAAAUUGGUUGACUCCCCCUACUGAAGGGUAUUUUUGUAAGAAGCUGCACUUUCGAGGGUGUAUAUGUGAAAAAUCAUGUUUUACUAGCCUAUAUAUUUAAAUAUGCGAAUCUGCAGGGAUGUGUAAAAUGCCUCUUUUGUAUAUAUUUGAAUAACUGAUCAUGACAUAAAUUUGAAAAACUUAAAGACGGUUCAUCUGCUGAAACGUGCAGAAGUUACUCUUCUUGAUUCUCCUGUUCCUUCCAAAGAGAAUGGUACACCUGCUGAAGAUCGUAUUUCCUUCCAAGAGGUGGAUAUCGUUACUCCAUCUCAGAAGCUAUUGGCUAGGCGGUUAGUAUGUGAUAUUGUUCACGGAAAAAGCCUUCUCGUUACCGGUAAGUUCACUGAUGAUUCUAUUUACAUACAAUCUAUGAGACUCCAACAGAAAAAAAGAAAAUGUUGAUCUUAAAAUGUUCCUAUUGUCUUGAAUUUGCUUGUUUUAUCUCAUCAAGGUCCUAAUGGGAGCGGAAAGAGUUCUAUUUUUAGAGUACUUAGAGAUUUAUGGCCCAUCGUUUCUGGAAGGCUUGUUAAACCCUCUGAAGGAGUGUUUCACGUUCCUCAGCGACCAUAUACUAGUCUGGGGACCCUGAGGGAUCAAAUUAUAUAUCCUCUCUCACGAGAUGAGGCAGAGCAGAGAAUGCUUACAUUGUUCAAUGCAGGUAAAAUAUUACUUUCCGAAAUUUUAGUUGAUUAUGUCAUACUUCGAUUAUCUAAAUGUAGGAACAUAAUUUUGGAAAUUGGUACAUAGUGAUUCAAGGAAGUUUACUUAGACUUAAGCAUUGUAAGCAGCUUUCAUGCUCUAUGUGAAGAUCUGCAUAUUUUGAGAGUUUUUCGUGGGCAUCACUUCAUAUUCUAAUAAAACCCUUUGUCUCUUUUGAACAAUUUCUUUGAAAUUUGUUUGAAAUUAAGUGCAAACUAUUCUCUAAUACCAUUUUAGGACAACUAAAGUUGUCAUAUGCCAUAAGAACUUCAACAUCCCAUGGUAAGGUGUUUUUGCAUUGAAAUAUUAUGUUAGCGGCACGCCACCCCAUGCCAUAUGUUGGUACAUGUGCCGCAGCAUGGAAGCCACAUGCUCCCCUGCCAUUCCAAACUAUUCCUCGCUUCAUUUAGAUACUAUAUAUCAGUUCAAUAAAAAACAAUUAGGGUGUGUUUGUUUGGGUGAAAGUGAGGGGGAAGUGGAGAGGGGGGAAAUUGUUUACGCCGUAAACUAUCACUUCCGUUGUUUGUUUUGCUGUAAUUUUAUUACGGCUGAAAGUUGAGUUCACCCAAAAUAGGGUAAUUGACUUCGCCCUCCCACGGGGCGAAGUCAAUUCUGGUGAAGUGCAAAGAGGCAAAGGAACUUGUUAAAUUUGGUUAGGUAAUGUGAUCAAAUUUGGUUAGGUAAGUUUUAAUAUAUUUUGUCUAAUUUGUAUAUUUAGAAAAUGAUGAAAAAUGAAUUUGUUAAAUGUUAAUAAUUUUUAACUUUAGAAUUUUAUUGUUGCAUUAUUAUAAUUUAUAUGCAAACAAAUAAUAUAAUUUUUUAAAAUUUUAUUUUAUAAUUAUACAUAUAUAUAAUUAUAUACAUAUAUAAUUAUAUUAAUUUUUAUUUAUUAUAAUUUAUUAUUCACUAAGUUACAAAAUAGACAAUGAUAUCACUUCGGAGGUAAGUAUAUCGGGGGUGGAGAGCUACACUUUUUACGUCAUCUAUUUCCUACCAAACAAAUAACAGAACUCGCAGAACUGCACUUCCACAGUUAGAAACAAACAGCAGAAGUGAAUUAAUUUUCACCCCAACUCCACUUCAACCCAAAGUCCACUUCCACCCCAAGUCUACUUACGUUGAAACAAACAGGCCCUUAAACGAAACAAACUUGAUGCUUCGCUUUUUAUUCAAUUAUAUAAUAUUACCUUUCUUUACAAGAUCACUAUGAGGAUUGCAAGGAUCAAGCUACACUCUUGUAGCAGUCUUGUGUAAAGAAUCUCCAGUUUGAUAUCUAACUCAAAAAGUUGAGGAGUCUUAAAAAUCAGCAAACUAUGCUGUCCAUUUACAGAUCUCAUUAUGAAGGUCGCUGACUCAAAAUCCAAAAGUUAGUAUUAAAUUCCCAUUUUGCCGCUUAUAGAACUGUAGUUCAUUUAAGCAGUUGAAUAUAGCAAUAAAAUUCAGUAGCAUUUCAAUUGGACAUCUUAUGGGGAGUGUGCAGUAACAGUAAUCUCGUAUUAAAUACAGGUGACAAGUCCAAGGCGGCUUCUCUCUUGGAUGCUCACUUGAAGACUAUUCUUGAAAAUGUUCGACUAGUUUAUCUUCUUGAGAGGGAAGGUUGGGAUGCUACUCCUAACUGGGAAGACGUUCUAUCGCUAGGCGAACAACAGAGGCUCGGCAUGGUUAGUCAAAUUAAUCUUUGGUUCAACUGUCUAAAAUAGAGGAAGGAAUUUUGUCUUUUACUGCUAUAGCCUAUCCAAUGUUUAAAAACUGAUAGAUAAGUGAUGGAUUUUUCCAAUUUUCCAGGCUCGCUUGUUCUUCCACCACCCUAAAUUUGGUAUCCUUGAUGAGUGCACCAAGUAUGCUACCUACUUUAAUCUUGCUAUGUGUGUGUUCUUUUUUUUUUUUUCUGAAUUUGACUAGUAUUUAGAUCCUUACGCACUUCUUUUUUCUACAGUGCGACAAGUGUUGAUGUCGAAGAGCAUUUAUACAGACUGGCAAAUGAGAUGGGCAUAACAGUCAUUACCUCCUCACAAGUAAGCACCAACAUUACAUCAGAACAUUUUUCUCAUUCCAAUUCACUUUUAGUUGCAAGCUAUUCUUUUCUUUUCCCAUCUUACUAAUUUUCACCUAUUAUAUAGCGGCCCGCCCUCAUACCAUUCCAUUCGUUGGAGUUGAAACUUAUCGACGGGGAAGGGAAGUGGGAGUUAUGCCUAAUCAACCAAUGAAUAUGCUAAAAACGCUGCUUAAGUCACAUUUUCAGGUAGAGAUCUGUCUUAAGAGUCCGACAGGGUGCAACCAGAGGUAUAAAGCAAUCCACAUUCAUGCCGAGAAUAGAGCGUCUCCGCAUGUUUGGAUCUCACAUUGUACUUUUAGAAUAUUUUUAUUCUUUUCUCUUCUGCUGAAAUGUUUUAGCUAGAAGAACAGCAGGUGCCGCAUAGAGUCUACAGGAUUUGCCGAAAGGCGACUACGGUGGGGCCAUGUUUUAGUUUAGAUGCGUGGCACACGCGAUUGGAACUAUGUUAUACUCAGUGGGAUAACAUUGUAGAUAAUCUCAUUUAUAUAUGUAAACAUUAGCAUGUGUUUCGCGCGCGCGAAUAUAGAAAUAAAGUGGCAUAAAGUGAAAGUGUAAUAACACAGUUAUUUAAUUUAAACUGGAAAUCAGAAGGCGUAUUGAAAUUCUUGUGUUGGUGGUCUUUUUCUUUUGACGUUGCAUAUGAUCAUAUGGUUUGUAAAGAGUGAGGUAUUUUUUUUGUUCGAAUGGUAAAACCUUGUUUUAAAGUUAAACAAGGGAAGCAAUGUCGGGGUCGGUGAUCGAAUAUAUUUAUUCAAGACGAUUGAUUCGUGUGAUGAUUCUAGUUACUGAGCUAGUUGUUUGCAUCGUGUUUCUGGAGAUUGUUUAGUUUAGUAGCAGUGUGUUUUUUUUUGAGAAAAAAAUUAUUUGUAGUAAUAGUUAAUAUGUAUGGAGAACCACUCUUUGAAAUAGGGUUUCGUUUAGUUCGAUUUAUAUUAUCUGAGUCUAUCGAAUUAGGGAUUUUAUUAAGUUAUCAUAUUCUUUUUAGGUAAAGAAAGGGGUGAGUUUUAUUAAUUUGAUACGAUUAAUAUCUGAGGGGGCCAUCAUCAAUUUAAAUGGAAUUUUGUUUGAGAAUGAAAUAAUUUAAAUCAAAGCUCAUCAGAAUGUGUUGUAUCAGUGAAAAAAUGAAUAGAUGUGAUUCAGCCUGGGUCUGAAUUUUAACCAUUUGUUUCAAUUCAAAGUUUUUCAGUUGGAAAAUUACCGAUCGUAUUUGUUGCAAUCCAAAUCUCCUCAAUUCGAGUCAAGAUUGCUGUACUUUCAUAAAAUUUAAAUUCUAUUUAAAUUUGAAACUUACUGUUGAUAUCAAAAUUGAGCCGACCUAACCCACGUAUGAGCCAAUAAGGAUACGUGGUACACCAGGAGUCGGCAAUAAGACGCCAGAAGAACAAGAAGGCGGGAACUGUUGAAGAUUGGGACGUAACUUUCAUGAGGAGUUAGUGUAACUUCCAUGAAGAGUUAGUAUAACUUCCACGAUAAUGGUUACAAUUACUUCCCCCAACUACUUUCAACCAACUAAUAAUGUGGGCUAUAAAUAGUAACUUUGAAGCUUGCAAUAGAGGUCUUCGCCCCUGCGCACAAAAGACCAUCUUUAUUUUCCUGCAUCUUUCUAUUCUCGCAUUUACCGCUUUCCCUAAGAGUAGUUCUUGUAAUUUAGCAUACUCGGAGUCUAUCUGCCCUACGGGCAUCACCCCUCUGUUCCCAUACUUGGAGUCUGUCUGCCCUACGGGCAUCACUCCCCUGUUCGUGUAUUUUUUUCCAUUUGCUAUUCAAUAGAAAGCCAUCUUCGGCUCUUCCUGCCGAUCAGAUCACGAGUUGUUUAGCCAUUCAGCUCAUUUCUUAGUCGAAUUCUGGGCUUCUCCUCUCUAUUCGGCUCAUCCCGCCGAAACGAAUUUACUGUGGAGGUUUUCGAACCCGACUGAUUCGAUCCCUCAUCGGCCGAAUCGCUUGAUCCGUCGUGGGCGCAAACUUCGAGGGUCACUAUCCGCAGCCGUUCUUCACCCCGACGCACUCCCCGAGGAGAAUUCUUGACCAGGUCAAGGGUCGGGACAUUCGGCAUUCAACACUUACAAAAAUACAAAACUUGUAGGAAGCAAAAGGAGACCUGCAAUAUUACAUUACAAUAAUGCAAUGAGAAGAAAAGGGAACAUAGAAAUACCAAAAAGUAUUAUUUAGUGAUAUCAUAAAAUAGCCCCUCGAACAAUAAGAUGAAUUUGAGUUUACCAUACGAACAUGCAACUAGAAAGACUGUUAAUACCUCAGAUAAUAGACUCAACACCACAACGCAGUCAGAAUCAUACUUUCCACCUCUAAACGUCGUAUAUCAUUCAAGAAUAGCUCGUCAUAAUAUACCCGAUCAUUCAAGAGUAUGGUAUUAAUUUUUGUUGGUACUAUCUUUGCCUACCUCUCCGGUCAUGAUUAUACUUGGGCAUCCUAGUGUAUAUAGAUCAUAUAACUGAUCUGCUCGAGUGUUGUCCAGUAUAAUAUUCCCACAUGAUGCACAAAACUUAGGAUCAAAUAUAAUCCUUUAUCAUGUUAGUGUUAGAUCAUCAUGCCCCGAUCUACUAAAUUUGGCAUACGUUGUCUAAUGUGUGUGUCCUAUUAUAGAUCUCCACCCCAUAGACCAUACUAACUUUACAGUCUCACAUGAACACUGUAUUGAUUCCUUGAAUCUAUAUAAUCACAUAUAACUCGUAUUCCAAUGCUUGAAUUCUCAACUCGAUCCACAAUUUCUUGGACAUAGCAAAUCCAAUACGUGAGGAAAUCCGAAUUCAUUGUUUCAAUAAAAAAAUUCACAACCAUUAUAUAUACUUGCAAUUGAGAGACUUACGGACCUUAUUAAAGUGACAUAUUCUCAAGUCAAAUCAUACUUACCGAAUACUAUAUGUGAAGGUCCUAAACAAAUUGUUAUAGUAUAAUAUGCCCAAUCACAAUACAUGUCUGCCACCACGAAUGACGCACCUCGCACGGUCGAUGGAUUUUUGGUGCGUGAGGUAGUAUUCAUGAUUCAGAUUGGUAUUUAUAUGUAUAAGUGGGUAUCAGGUUUUGCGGGUCCAUGGCUUCCAAUAGAUGCAAGCAUCUACUAUUAAUUACCCCCUUGAGAUUGGGGUACCUUCGAUUAGGAGACCUUCAUAGAUGGGAUGAGUUGAAUCGCGUCUCGGUUUAUUGAAUCCUAAGUAUAUGUAUUAGGAUUCAGUUGGAUUUGAGGUUGAUUAGGCCCUAAGUAUAUGUGUUAAGACCUAAUCGAUAUUAAACUCUAUGUAUUAGAGUCUAAUUGGUUCAUGAGAUAUGGGUAUGAGAUCUCGGUAUUCGUUCAUGGGAAUUAGGUAUUGGUUUAUGAGAUUUGGGUAUUGGUUCAUAGGAUAUGGGUAUUAGGUUGGAUGUAUGGUUCAUGGGAUUAAAGUCCAUGAGGUUUGGUGUAUGGUUUAUGGGGUUUGGUCCAUGAGGUUUAGUUGUGGUUCAUGAGAUUUGGUCCAUGAGGUUUGGUUGGUUCAUGGGAUUUGGUCCAUGAGAUUUUGUUGGUUCAUGGAAUUUGAUCCAUGAGAUUUGGUUUAUGGUUCAUAGGAUUUGGUCCAUGAGAUUUGGUUUUGGCUCAUCGGAUUUGGUCCAUGAGGUUUGGUUUUGGCUCAUGGGAUUUGGUCCAUGAGGUUUGAUUUUGGUUCAUAGGAUUUGGUCCAUGAACUUGGUUUUGGUUCAUGGGAUUUGCUCCAUGAACUUGGUUUUAUAUGUGAACUUGGUUUGGUUUGGGUUUGGAUUUGAUUCUGGAAUGGGUUUGGGGUUCUUUAUGUGGACUUGGCUUGGUUUCGGUUUAUUUUGGUUUUGGGUUGGAUGUUUAUUUGGACUUUAUUUGGUUAGGUUUUAUUUGUGGAUUUGGUUUGGGUUCUUAUGUGAACUUGAUUUGGGUUUGGGUUUGGAUUUAGUUUGGGUUUUGGGUUUGGGUUUAUUUGGGUUCAAGUUUGGGUUUAUUUGUGGGUUUAUUUGUGGACUAUGUUUGGUUUGGAUUUGGGUUUAUUUGGGUUCAAGUUUGGGUUUAUUUGUGGGUUUAUUUGUGGACUAGGUUUGGUUUGGAUUUGGGUUUAUUUGGGUUCAAGUUUGGGUUUAUUUGUGGACUUGGUUUGGUUUGGAUUUGGGUUUAUUUGUGGACUUGGUUUGGUUUGGAUUUGGGUUUAUUUGUGGACUUGGUUUGGUUUGGGUUCUGAACUUGACUUGAUUUAGGUUUGUAGGUGAACUUUAUUUGCAAUUUGGGUUCGCAUAUGAACUUAAUUUGCAAUUUGGGUUCGCAUAUGAACUUAAUUUGCAGUUUAAGUUCGUGUAUAAACUUGAUUUGCAAUUUGAUUUGGGGUCCGAAGAAAUCCCCUUUUGAUUUUGCCAUUAGAUUUGGGGUCCGAAGAAAUCCCCUAUUGAUUUUGCAAUUGAAUUUGGGGUCCGAAGAAAUUCCCUAUUGAUUUUGCAAUUGAAUUUGGGGUCCGAAGAAAUCUCCGUUUGAUUCUCCAAUUGGAUUUGAUUUGGGGUCCAAAGAAAUUCCCGUUUGAUUCUCUGAUUUGGAUUUGAUUUGGGGUCCGAAAAAAUCCCCGUUUGAUUCUCUAAUUUGGAUUUGAUUUGGGGUCCGAAGAAAUCCCCGUUUGGUUUUAAUUUGGUGUCCGAAGAAAUCUCCGUUUUGAUUCCAAUUUGGAGUCCGAAGAAAUCCCCGUUUUAAUUUUGAUUUGGGGUCCGAAGAAACGGGGAAUCAAAUAUUCCCCUCCCCUCUUCUUGCGAGGCUGUAGAUGACGUCGACGAAGUUGAUGACGGUGGCGUGGAUCUGUUCGGCCAUCGGAUUUGAUUUGACAUUUUCGAAGAAAUGUUGAAGGGUCCGAAGAAACAGGGAAUCAAAGAUUCCCCUCCCCUCUUCUUUCGAAUGUAUCAAACCGUCGGUGUUGUAGAUGAUGUCGAUGAAGUUGAUGACGGUAGUGCGGAUUUGUUUGGCCGUCGGAUUUGAUUUGACAUUUUCGAAGAAAUAUUGAAGGGUCCGAAGAAACGGGGAAUCAAAGAUUCCCCUCCCCUCUUCUUUCGAAAGUAUCAAAUCGGCGAUGUUGGGGUGGUCGCGGCAAUGUAGAUCACCCAUUCCAUCAUCAACAACUUCGAAUGGGGUAUUAAGAGGUCCGAAGAUAUGGGGAAUCAAAGAUUCCCCUCCACUCUCCCAUCGAAGCCAUCUAGAUAGUAUGGAUGGCUACAAUCGCAGGACCAAAGAAAAAAAAAUAGAGGGGGGGAAGAAGAGAGAUCAUUUUUUUUCUUUUUCUUUCUUUUUUUUUUUUCUUUUUAUGUUNUUUUUUUUUUUUUUUUUUUUUUUUUUUACCUGUUGAUCAAAUGACGGAUUGGAUGAAUCAGCUCGACGAUUCCUCCACCUUUUCACGGCUCAGCGAUCUCUCCUCAUUUUCGCGGCUCGGCGAUUUCUCCUCCUUUCCGCGGCUUGGCGAUAUCUCCUCCUUUCAGCGGCUCGGCGAUAUCUCCUCCUUUGAAUACUUUGAACGUGGAAAUAUGUGUAGCAAUCUAUCUCUCUUUUUUUUUUAUCUAUCGUCUCUGUAAAAAAUUCCUCAAGAAUUUGAUUUCGGUUCCCGUAUUUAUAAUGAGAGGGGAGGAGUUAGUUAGGAAUUCAAAAUUCGAAAUUCGAAUUUUGAAUUAUUUGUUGGAUGGUUGGAGGAUAUUUGGGGUGUGGUUGGGAAUUGAAUUUUCAAUGAGUUGUUGGAUAGUUGGAAGAUAUUUUGGGAGUUGGUUGGAGGUUCGAAAUUCGAAAUUCGAAUUUUGAAUGGAUUAUUGGAUGAUAUUUUGAAGUUGGUUGGGAAUUCAAAAUCGAAUUUCGAAUGGAUUGUUGGAUGAUGUUUUGGGAAUUGGUUAGGGAAUUCGAAAUUCGAAAUCGAAUUUUGAAUGAGUUGUUGGAAGAUGUUUUGGGAAUUAGUUGGGAAUUCGAAAUUCGAAAUCGAAUUUCGAAUGGGUUGUUGGAUGAUAUUUUGGGAAAUGGUUGGGGGUUCGAAAUUCGAAUUCGAAUUUCGAAUGGGUUGUUGGAUGAUAUUUUAGGAAAUGGUUGGGAAUUCGAAAUUCGAAUUUCGAAUGGGUUGUUGGAUGAUAUUUUGGGAAUUGGUUAGUGAAUUCAAAAUUCGAAAUCGAAUUUUGAAUAGGUUUGUUGGAGGAUGUUUUGGGAAUUGGUUAGGGAUUCGAAAUUCGAAAUCGAAUUUUGAAUGGGUUGUUGGGUAGUUUGGUAUUCAAAAUUCGAAUGGAUGUUGGUUGGGGAUUCGAAAUUCAAAAUUGAAUUUUGAAUGGGUUGUGGGAUGGAUAGGUAUUCAAAAUUCGAAUGAAUGUUGGUUGAGAGAUAUUUUGGGAGUUGAUUCGAAGUUCGAAAUCGAAUUUCGAAUAAGGUUAUUAGGAUAACAGAUAUUUUCUGGGGGUUUAAAAAUUUAAAAUCGAAUUUGAAUAUGAUAUUCGAAAUUGAAUUUUCAAAAGUGGGUGAAAAUGUGGGCCAUGAUCCCAUGAAUUGGGCUGAAAUUGGGCCCACUUUGAUGAGACUUGUUGGGCACAAUUAUUCAUUGAGCUGAGACGAGGCCCGAAUUAUUGUAUAGGCUUAAAAUUUUAAAGGGCUUUCAUGAGGCCCAUUAAUUCAUAUUUAUGAAUGGGCCUAUUGUAGAAAUUAUAAUUAUUGGCCCCAAAAUUUUCUGACCAACAUGAGACCUAUCAAAAUUGUUUGAGUCUGAAUCUAAUCGGUUUCGAUUAUGAUUAGGAUUUUUUUUUUUUUUUUCACUUCAAACAAUACAAUAUGACUAUAUCAUAGAUUAGCGAAUGUGACAAUUUCACGGUUCAUACGAUAUAUCGGAAAUGACAAUCAAUGUACUAUGAUACUAGCUAGUAUUCAUGUUCAGAGGUAUCAUUUGGUUCAAGAAUAGGCAAGAAUUGCUUAGUCUUAGAACAAGUUCAAGAAUAAACAGGAACAACACCAAAUUUUUAUUUGAAUAAAAAUUAGGUUAUUUUUGGGUACAAGAAAAAUAAUGUUUGAAUGAAUGAAGAGGAAUAAGGUCCUAUUUGGAUGCAUAGUUAAAAAAUUCUAUGGACUUUUUAUUCUGUGGUUUUGGUCUAAAUGAAAUACGGAAUUCUGUGACUAUAAAAAGAAUUCCACACCUUCAUUUUUAAGCUGUUUGGAUACAUAUGGUACAAUUCCACAGGAUUUAUAAUAAUUAAAGUUCUAAAAUUUAAAAUUCAAAAUUCAAAAUUUAAAAAUAAAUAAAAUUUUAAAAAAUUAAAAUUUAAAAUUCAAAUAUUAAAAUUUAAAAAUAAACUUUUAUAAAUUUGAAUUUCAAAAUAUAAAAUAUAAAAUUUAACAUUCGAAUAUCAAAUUUAAAAUUAAUUUUAAAAUUUUAAAGUUUAAAUUAAAAUUUUAAAAGUUUAAAAUUAAAAUUAAAAAUUAAAAAUAAAAUAUAAAAAUUAAAAUUAAAUAUUAAAAUAUUAAUAUAUUUGAAUUUUGAAUUUUUAAAUUUGAAAUUAGAAGUUUGAAACUUGAAAUUUGAAUUAGAAUAUGAAAUCUGAAACCUAUAUCUUAAAUUUAAAUAUUGUAAUUAAAUUUAAAAUUUAAGUUUUAAAUUUAAUUUUAAAUUUUAAUUUAAGAUGUACAAUUUAAACUUUAAAUUUGAAAUUUAAUCAAAAUCUAUAUUUAAUAUUUUGAAUUUUAAAUUUAAAAAUGAAAAAAUUUUAAAUUAGCAAAUUUAUAAAUUUGAAAUUUUGAAAUUUAUUGAAAUAAAUUUAAAAUUUAAUUUAAAUUUUAAAUUUUAAAUUAAUUUAAAUUUUAAAUUUCAAAGUCAAAAUUUCAAAUUUAUAAAUUUGUAAAUUAAAUUUAAAAAUUUGAAAUUUGAAAUUUUUAAUUCAAAGUAGAAAUUUAAAAUUUAAAUUAAAACUGAAUUUUAAAAUUUUAAAAUUUGAAAUUCUAGAUCGAAAUUUUAAAUUUUAUGUUGAAAUUUAAAAUUUAGAACUUGUUACAUCUUUGGGGGUAAGGGUGCCUAAAAAUGGUGGAAUUUUCCCACAGUUAAAGUAUAUUGUAAUUUUACUCGGUUUUUAUGAUAUGGAAUGAAGUAUACUUAAAAAUUACGUGUUUUAUUCUUUUUUUUUUUUUUUUUUUUUUCAAACGCUUCAUAGGAUAUAAAUUCAUUAUGACAAAAAUACUCUUCUCCUUAAACCAAUCUUUGUAAAGUUUUAAUUAUUAAAAUUGAAAAUAUAUCAUCACAAAAUUAGCAUUUUAAAUUUGAUUAAUAGUUUUAAAAUAAUUAAAAACACAUUUAGUAGAAAACAAAUUAAAUUAAAUUAAAUUAUCUGCAUUAGAUGUAAUUAAUAUUAUUAUAUUUUAAUACUAUCAUCUAUUAAAAUUAUAUUCUCUUACAAAAUUAGUAUUUUACUUUCAAUUAUUUUAAAUUAAAUAAAGAUAUAAUUAAUUACGCACAUCUAUAUAAAGAAUUUUAAUGGCAUCUAUGCAUAGUGUACUAUAGUAAUUAAUUAAGCCAUCUAUAUAAAUAUAAGGAAUGCUUGAAGAUUAAUUUCAUCUGAAAAAAGGAUAAUUAAUUAAGAACCUCGAGCAGAAUAAUUAAUUAAUAGAUUUUACAAGUAUUGAUAGAUUUUACAGAACUUUUAUAUAGAGGAUUUUGAAAAGAGGAGAGAGAGGGAGAGAGAGAGAGUAAUUAAUCGUCCGCUUCAAGGCAAAAAAACAAAACCCUAACCCUAACCUUGGUAGCCCUUUUCCACCCCCGGUUCUGCUCUUCAUCUUCUUCUUCGUCUUCGGUAACAUCGCUUUCUAUGUAUCUUUAUCUACAGCCGAAGGAGCCGCCGCCGCUUCCGGAGGAUGCCAGAAAAGGAGAAGCAGAGCCGCCGGGGUCGCCGGAGAAGAAGGAGAAGAACAGGAAGCGGAAGGGCAAAUCCUCCGUUUCGGCGGAGAUCGUCGAGGGUUUCAGCGUGUUCGGGUGCUCUGAGUCCGUUUCUUCUGUGAGAAACUCUAGUUCCGGGGAAGCGGAUGGCUCUAAUACUCAUAGCAAGGAGGUGGCAAUGGCAAGGGAGAUCGAGGUCGGCCAAGUUGCUGAUUUGAGUUUCUUGUUUAAUUUCUAUUUUUUGGGCUAAAGAUUUCAUUUUAAUUUGGAUUUUGUUGUUGUUGGUGUGGGGUUACAGAGAGCUUCGAUUCUGCGGAAGAAGCAUGGGAUUCAUAUUUCAGGUUAUAAUGUUCCUGCACCGCUUGAGAGUUUUGAAGAACUGAGUUCAAGGUUGGCCUUUGUUGUUCAUCACGUUAGCUGCAGUGUUGCUGAUUUACUAAUUUUGGAUAUUUGUGAUAUGUUUUGGAUUGAUAAUGUUUUUACUAGAUUCCAUAGGAGGAACAAGUGCAAUGCUGAUCUAAUACUAGUAGGGACUUUUUGUUUUGCAUAAUAUUGCAAAGAUUCUUUUAUAUGUAAGAAUUAAUGGUCUAUUUAUUCAAGAUAGUUAUUUUGCACUAUAUAUUGGAAAAUAGAAUUAUAUGCUAGAACUCGACUUUUUCGUGUUGCUCUACUGAAAACGGCAUUGACAAUUGACAUUUUUGGGCUUGCAUUUUUUGUUGGCUUUAUCUUUUGUGAAUAUUUAUUUUGGGAGCCUUAGGACUGAGGUAACUUAGGAUUUCUGUGAUGCCUGAACCCAAUCUUAACCAUUGUCAACUGCAUCUGUGUCACGUAUCUUAUAUCUUAAUUCAUAUGCAUAGGAUGUUAUCAAAGUAGUUUAUUAUUGAGUUGUAAAUCAAAGAGGGAUUCAAAAUCAUGAAAUCCAAAAAGGUUCUGAUGACCUUUUGAGACCUCUGAUAUUUUUUAAAAAUGUGGAAAAUUUUCACAUAGUUGGAAAUAUAAACCUAAUUAAAUUCAGAUAUGCAAAAGAUUAAUUGGUCAUCAAUUACAUAACGCUGGUAGAAAAUAUGUUUUUUCUCAAAUGUGAUAGUUCAAAACUGUAUGGUAGUUGCUUCUGGAAGUUAGGAACAUAUUACCGACCAAUUCUUGUCUAAAAUAUUUUUGACAUAUGGUCAAGGAUUGCCAUUCCAGUCGGCAUGAUCUGGCAUAGUCGGCAUGUGCUGCCUGUGCCGACUGUGCCAACAUAUAAAAUGGGGCGUGCGUUGGCGUGCCGUGCCGUGCUGUUGGCACAUCAGAUGCCCGUACAAGUGGCUCGACAAUCCUUGCAUGGGGUUGUAGUGAGCUGGUCAAGGUGGAUAUUAUGAUUCAAGGGUUGGUAUUACCUGUGGUGUUGAUUUGCCUCUCUCUCUCUCUCUCUCUCUCUCUCUCUCUCUCUCUCUCGCUCUUUUUGGUUCAGGUUGUUAUCGGAAGUUUCUUUCUAAACCAUUUUGGGUCAUUUCCAACUUUCCAUCUACAUUAGUAUUUCUAAUUCUCUACAGCAUAAAAUUGUGACAACACACCUAUGUAAGAAUCUUAUAUGUUGCAAAUGCCAUUAGCAAAUCAACUGAAUAUUAAGAGAUCCCAUGUUAUGUACACUUUUUGGAGACCGACCUUUCAUUUUUUCCAAUUAGCAUUAUUGAAGUGUCUGUUGAAGCUUGAAAAGUGAAAAAUUGAAAGGUUUUAGCAUGGGUAUAGAUAUGAACUAAGAAUUGUAAAGAAAACAUCAUUUUUUAAAUUAGAAUAGUUUGAAAGAAAAACAAAUUAAAAAUUUAAAAUCUUACCUUGUAAAUGGUAGAGACAAACUCAUACAACUUAGUUUCUUUCUCAUAGGAUUACCUUAAUCAAUAUUUUAGUAUGCUUUACUAUAGUAGCGCAUAAAUGAGGGGUCUUUGUACUCUUUUUCCUUAAAAAAGAAUUAUUGAACGACGAGAUGUCAACCAAAAGAAAAAGUUUUAAGCCCUUCAUAGAAAUGGCAUAUAGUAGAGGGGUCCAAAUACAAUUUUAUAUUUAUAAAAAUUUUUUUAAUACACUUCGCAGUAGUUGAUAGCAUUUCAACAGAGGUUUUCCAAACAUCUUUCUAUACCAAAUAUAAUAAUGCGAAACAACAGUUUUUCUCUAAAAGCUUAAGCCGGUAGAGAAUGGUGUUCUUAUAUUUUUUAUAUUUAACAUUCCGGCUCACAUUUGGACUCGAGACUUUUUGAUAGGCCAUGAAGUGGACUCGAUUUAAAUGGAAGGAAACCAAUUAUGCAAGGAGCCUGGUGUAACUCGAACUCGGGAUCUCUUGCUUUGAUACCAUGUUAAAUAAUGCGAAACAACCGUUUUUCUCUAGAAACUUAAGCUGGUAGAGAAUGGUGUUUUUAUAUUUUUAUAUUUAAAAGUAGACAACACUUUUAUAGCUGAAUUAGACAAACCAUCUACAUUUGUUUCAAUAACAUCGCACUAUUCUAUAUAGCACCUUUUCAACCACACUACAGUCGAUAGCUUGGCUAAACGGGCCUUCUACCGUCUUGCUCUGAUAGGCUAUCAAUUCUAUCAAUGUUAUUUUAAUCCUUAUAUACUCUACCACCCGUGUCAACGUUAUCAAUUUAUUGUGGCUCUAUUCUAUCCAAAAAUAAUUAUCAGGAAUAUUACCGAGUUGAAAAGUAGACAUAAAUCAAAUCUAUAAACACCAAAUUUUGUAAGAAAAUCAAUGAACCUAGUCCGUGACAAGCAUACUAUAGUAUUUGGUGGUGACAGACUCAAAACCCACAUGGUGUUGCAAAUUUAUUCAGAAUGUUGCAUAUGGUUCGGCAUGAUACAACCCCCGUACCGAUCGCAUAGCUCACAAUUCCUAUUUUUUAAAUUAGUAAGUAAUUUUCUCAACAAAAGAUAUGAUAAAAAUACAUAAUAAAUAGUUAGAAUAUUUGUUGCUAAAGAAAAUAAAUAUUUCAUGCCAUUAUGUGUCGGCACAUAUGUAUUUUUUGUGACCUGCACGCAUUGGCACUGUCUAGCGCUCACCGUGUCGUGCCGUACCGUACUGGCAAGUUUUCGGUACAACCAUGUGCCACGGCACUUAAAUUCUUAGUUUAAAUGAUAUUUUGCAGACUUAGGAUUCAAUUUCAUAGGAACUAUUGGGUUUUUUGAUUCAGUUAUGUUGCAAACAAUCCAACAGUCUUUGAAUUUGCUAGAGAACAAUUUUAAGUGUAAGAUUGAAAACACUGUUGAUCUAUAGAUGCAUGUUCGCUAAAUGAAAUUUUUGUUGAGACGAAAGAAUGCUCAAAACUCUUGUAGCUUAAUUUAUUCUGAUGUGCUAGUAAUGCAACAUUGACACAUAAAACUUACAAUUUGGAUGAAUUGAAGUAAUGAAGCUUUAGCAGGCUACAAACAUUUCAGGACGAGCGACAAUGUUGGAUCUUCUACAUACAUCUUCAUCGCCAUUUACAUGGGAGAGAUGCAUACUGAGAUCAAAAGUCUGACUCAGAUUUUUUUCUUUUAAACUGAAGAUUGCAACUCAUAAUCAAAUUUUGUUUAGUGACCAGUGGCAGCCUGGUAUAUAUUUCAAUGAUGAUGAAUCAGUAAUAUUAUGUGUUCUUAUUUGGUUAUGUCGUUGUUUUCAUUUUUGCCAUUUUAUUCUUUAAUAUUUGUACCUCCAUGGAGCUCUCUAUUAUAUUCUCUCCCUUUCCACUGGCUCUUGUCCACUUGCAGUAUUCAAUGCAGGAAAUUUCAUUCUUGGGUAUGAAGUUCCUAAAUUUAGUUUUCUAACUUGGUAUGCUACAAAGCUUGUUAAUUUCAUAAUUUAUUACAUGGACAGGUAUGGCUGCAAAUCCAAGUUGUUGCAGAACUUAUCUGGACUUGGAUUUAAAGAACCUACACCUAUUCAAAGGAAGGCUAUUCCAGUGCUCCUCUCAGUAAGCUCUUUUACUUCACUGGCUCCCUUGUGCUUAAUAUUCGAGUCCCCCGUUCCAAAGAAAAAGGGAUAAUUUAUGUUUAUUGUAGAAAACUAGCUUGACUUUAUCUGAUAUAUUGCAGGGGCGAGAGUGCUUUGCCUGUGCUCCAACAGGUUCUGGAAAGACAUUGGUUUUUCUAUUUCCAAUCCUUAUGAAAAUUAAGGUGGCAUUUUUCAGUUUGGGUAUUAUCCAUAAGAGAGACACUGGGCAUACUCUAAGACUAAUUUGCUGCUAACAGCCAAGAACUAAGGAUGGUGUAAAAGCUGUGAUUCUUUGCCCUAUGCGAGAAUUAGCUGCACAAACUACAAGAGAGUGUAAGAAGUUGGCUAAAGGAAGGAAAUUUUAUAUCAAAUUAAUGACUAAGGAGCUAUCUCGAUCUGGUGAUUUUGAAAAAAUGCAUUGCGACAUUCUUGUUUCAACUCCACUGCGGUUGGACUUUGCUUUGAGGAAAAGAAAGCUCAAUUUAAGUAGGUUUGUGCUAAAAGUAUCAGUUCUUUGAAAGAUCCUUUCUUAGUUUUUCUUUUAUUUGCUGUAUAUAAAAGAUUCAGGAACAAUCUACAUAUGAUCUCUUAUGCUUCAAAAUGCUAGAACGUUUAGAUUUUCUCUUACCUGUAGUUUAUCUUGCUUUGAAAGGCAAACUUUCUAUUUGUAAUUCGGUAACUAUUUCCCUUGAAUCUUAUGAAUCAUGCCUGGUUCUUUUUGUGUACAAGCAACCUAACGAUAUUCUUGCCAUAUAUGCCUAAUGGUACAGUUCUUUUGAUGUUGAUCAUUAAUGUCAUUUUCUAUUACUUUGUUUCGAAAGUGAACUUGUUGUUCGAGUCAUUCAAGUAUUUCAAACAUUUAAGAAAAAUCUACACAGUUUAUUGAGUUCGAAGUGUAAGGUCGAUUACCGUAUACUCAUAUAUUAUUUUGAAUUCAACUGUGAAACCAGCAUGAAUAUUUAGUCGAUAGAUGUUGCUGAACUUCUUUAAUUUGUCAAAGUUACUCUUUCUUGUAAAUAUUCUUGGUAAAUCACAUCUCUUAUGUUCUAAGUAUUUUUGACCUUAUGGUUUUUGAUCAUAUUAGAGUUGGAUGAAGAAAAAGGGAUUUGGUCAGAAAAUUUAAUCCUUUAUUUGUUGCUUGCUGCAGGGUGGAGUACCUUGUCUUGGAUGAAUCAGAUAAGCUAUUUGAGCUUGGAUUUGUUGAGCAGAUUGAUUCUGUUGUUAAAGCUUGCUCGAAUCCUUCGAUUAUUUGUUCUUUAUUCAGUGCCACCUUGCCUGAUUCUGUUGAAGAACUUGCGCGUUCAAUAAUGCAUGAUGCAGUUCGAGUCAUUGUGGGUAGAAAGUGAGUAUUUCCAUCAAGACUCACACCUGAAUUCCAUUCUGUUCAUCAUUUAUGCAUGUCUUCAUAGCAUUUUUCUCACAAUAUAGUUCCUCCUGAUUGUAGAAAUUGAGUACCGUCUAUUUUGUACUUUUCUGCUCAGUUGUUUAUUUAAGCCUUAUAUUUGAAAGAUUCUAACAGAAAUUCUGCUUCCGAGUUGAUCAAGCAAAAACUGGUUUUUGCUGGAAGUGAGAAGGGAAAGCUUCUUGCACUUCGUCAAAGCUUUGCUGAAGUAUGCUUCUUAUAAUUGUCUUAGUUUUUUUCCACAUUUACUUCUGAAGUAAUGCUCUAGUGUAUUUUGGUAUUUUAUGCUCAUACUUAAGACCAAAAAAAUGAUGUAUUUCGAAUGAAGUAAUUUUGUUAUUCUUCAACAACAACCUUUUCUGCUGCUUUUUCUGUUUGGAUAGUUUGUGGUUGUUGAAUAUCUGGUCUUGAUGGACCCUCUAGGGCUGAAUGCGUACGAGAAUAACUUUUAUGGCAUAGCUCCUGUUGUUUAUUAAGGGACCAUUUGGUAGUUGAAUGUCGAGAGGCAUGAGAAUUGAGAAGUUGCCUAAACUUGAUAUGAAGGAAUAGCGAGCACGAAAGCAAACACUAUACAACACAAGUUAUCACCAUGUAAUAUAUGCCGAUGUCCAAAUAGGCCUUUAGUAAGUAAUAUGAGAUCAUUUAUGUUAUUGUCUGUUAUUGGUGUGUUCUUUAAUUGCCCGAUCAAUGAAUUCCUUUAACUCAUAUAAGACUCUUUUAUUGAAGCUGAUGUUAAGUUCUGUUCCACCUAAAUCUUUGACGAACACGUGGAGAGUUUUAGCAUCACUAAUGCAGCAUUAGGAGAAGGCAGUUUCUAUUUUUAUUUUAUUAUUUUGCUGUUUGCUGUUCAAAGUUUCAUUUUACGAAAUGCUAAUUAAUUUUUAAUUUUUAAUUUUCUUUUCCAUGUAGUCUCUAAAUCCUCCGGUAUUGCUGUUUGUUCAAAGCAAAGAAAGAGCAAAGGAACUAUACAAGGAGUUAGCAUUUGAUGACAUUAAAGCUGAUGUGAUUCAUGCGGACCUCACUCAGCAGCAGGUACUAUUUAUAAAAAGAAAAAUUACAUUUUAAAGCAUAUCCCGGAGUUGAUUAUAUCUGUGCAAAAAUGCCUCUAAUAUUUAUUAUUUGACCACUUGAAUUUACCAAUAUCUAGUUAAAGAACAUUCUACCCUUUCAAAUGUGUGUCCCUCUAGGUACUUUGAUGAUCAUUUUUGUCCCCUCACCUGUUAAUUUCUUAUGCUGCCCCUAUUAACUUAGUUCCUAAGUUUUUCAUUCUAGUUUAUAUAUAUAUUUGAAAAGGGUACAACCAGGGUUUCCAGUGUUGUCCUGUGCUGUCUCCCAAGAUAGGGGCCACGGUACAGGGGGGGAGGGGUCUCGCAGGACCCCCAUGCCGCAAUACCCAGUGGGUAUUGCACGAGACAACGCGAUACCCGCUAGAGUAUCCGGCAUAGUAUUGUGCCAGUUUUUUAUUUUUUAUUUUUUUGUGAUUUGUUAUCAAAUCUAAUCUAGAAUGUCUAUUACAGUAUUAAAUAUAAUAGAAUAUAACUAACUAAAUUCGAUUUAUGUAAUUUUUACCUAAAUUAAUCUAACCUAGUUUAAAAAUUCUAAUCUAAAAUUACCUUAUUUAAUCUACUUUGAUAUCGAAUCUAAUUUAAUCUAUAUUUUAUAUUUAAGUUCCUAACCUAAUUUAGUCUAUUCUAAUCUUAUGAAAAAACUAAUAUAAUCUAGAAUUACUUAAGCUCUUCUAUUCCAAUUAGAAUUUGUAAAUUAGCAUAAAUAUAAAAUAAUUUUGAUUUACUAUUAUUAGAUAUAUUAGAAUAUAUAGUUGGUUAUAGUAGAUUAUAUAGCCAAUUUAAUUUGACAACAUCAAGAACAUCUGUACCAAAAUUGUCAAAUAAAUCUUGUAUCUGCAAAUGACGAUAUGCUAUAUAAUCCACCAUGACGAUCUAUGUGGAACUAAACAGCAAGGAUUAAAAUACCCAUCGGCACAGGCCGUAUUCACUGUGUUGAUAUUUAAUGUUUUCUAAUUUCAGAUUCUUCAAUAGACUCCAAUGUUUUAAUGUUAGCUGGUAUUUUCUUUUGUAUGAUGACUUAACAGUAUAUUUGAUCAGCAUUUUUUCGAGUUGAAAAUAUCACUGCUGGAUAAUUAUGCUAACUUCUUUCCAUGAAUUUAUUGUUUUAUUUACUAAGCGAGAAGAUGUCGUCGACAACUUUAGAGCAGGAAAGACGUGGGUUCUGAUAGCAACUGAUGUCAUUUCACGUGGCAUGGACUUUAAGGGCAUCAACUGUGUUAUAAACUACGAUUUUCCUGAGUCAGCUGCGGCUUAUAUUCACCGGAUAGGUAUGCAAUGUGACUGAUAAUCCUUAGGCUUGCUCUUCUAUCGUUAUAACGCCUAGGAAUGUUUAGCCAGUUAGACCCUUGAUAUGAUUUUGACUGGCGGUUACGCAUAAUGGUAGGCCUGAUCAGUCUUCAUAAAGUUAUUUUUGUUAUUAGAAAUCCCAAGGUCAUUUUUCUAUAAAGAGUUAGAUUUAAGGAUCAAAUACAAAUUUAGUGACUGAAGUUUUACCUUGAUUCCUAGUUUGUCCUCAAAGGUUUUGUAAUGACCGAGCCACUACUACUAACAACUUACUACUAACAACUUGUUGGGCCAAAAUUGUCUGCUGAAAGUACUUAAGCCCCGUUAUUAAUAAUACAGUGAUAGCCACAUAUAAGACCGUCACAUCUCCCACAUUAUCCACACACAGUCACACACACACACACACACACACACACACGACAUCCUUGUCAGGCCUAAUUGUACACAGUCCAAACUUGCCUGCGAUGUGAGAAUUAUUUUACACUUUCGGUUGGCAAUCAAUCUUGCUAUGAUGCCGAUGUUACAGCCCAGCUGCUAUCACUAGUAAUUUAUUGAGUUCAAACCACUUGCUCAAAAUGCUUAAAAUUUCAAUUGUUAGUAAGAGAGUUCUGGCCAUCUUUAAGACUCUCAUACUCUUUCACAUUAUCCGAUGUGUGAUUAUUGUAGUGUUAUUGUUUUAAUUGUAACAAUUUAGCCAGCGAAGUUUGGCUUCAUUCUAAAUUUUACCCGGAAAAUUUAAAUUCUGACAAAUUCAGUUCAUAUAGUUUUGACUCCCUAUUUCAUUUUUGUCCAAAAUCUAAAGUUGCUGAUGUGGCAACUUUUUAGAAUGGUAAAAUAGCUGGACUUAAUUGUUAUGUGGAAGAAAUUCACAAAGUAAAGUGCUACUAUUGAAACCAUAAGAACUACAAUUUGAAAUAUUAUGCUGGAGUUACUCGAACAAAGUAAAAUGCUACUAUUGGAACUAUAGGAACCAAAAUUUGGAAUUUAAACCUAGAUUUUGGCCACUUAGAAUGAUGUUUUCACAAGGGAUAGAUUUUGGUCUAUGUAUAGUGUCUAUUAAAUAAGGUUUAAAGUGCCGUGGCACGGGGGCGUGGCGUUAUGUCCUUGGCACGGUACGGCACGGGCACGCUUGCGUGCCAACACGUGGCACGCUUGCGUGCCGACAGCGUGCCGAUAGAUACGCACGACCUCCUACUGGCACGCUUUGGCACGGAUUUUUUAAAGUUUUUUUGGUUCCAAUAAGCUUUUAUAAUGUUAUUUUGAAAGAUUUAGACAAAUUAUUAUUAAUUUUUGCUAUGUAUAGCUUAUUAUACUCAUCAAUUAACAUGCAUGUAAGCAUUUUGUAUAUAAAGUACAACUAUACCUGAUGUAGAAUAGAAAUUAAAAUUCUUUUGUUUUUAUUUUUUUGUUUUUAUUUGAAAAGUACAACUAUACUUGCUGUAACAUUUGAAAAUUCUUUUGUUUUUAAUUUUUUUAGAAUUUAAAAAAUUAUAACAGAUAAAAUGACAGAAAAUUUUAUUUUUUCUAAAAACGUUUCAAAAUCUAUAUAUUGAUUCGAUUAUGAAGUAUAAUAACUAGAACAACCAGAAUAGUACCGCAAUUACAUCCAUUUUUUUUUUUAUUCUUUUAAAAAAUAUCUUAUCAAAAUUUGUUUAGGAGAUCGAUUUUUGUUCCCCUAAUUCAUCGAAAACUUCGCGGUGCGAUAAAUUUUAACAAAAUAAUUUGCGAAGAAAAAAUGGAUGUCUGUGGUGGAAGUGGAGGGCUCGGGCGAAGUGAAAAAAUAAAAGAAAAGUAAAAAAAAGGCAAUAUAGAUGGCCGGGCGAAGGCUCUGUAUCCCAGAGAACAAAAAAAAAAAAGAGAAAAAACCAAAAAAAAAAACCAAAAAACCAAAAAAAAAUAAAAAAUAAAAAAUAGGGCGGCACGCGGCACAGUGCCGCGGCACAUGGCCGUGUGCCGCUUUGUCUCGAGCGGCACGCGGCUUGUGCUGCGGCACCCAGGGGGGGUCCGAGACCCCCCCUGUACCGUGCCCCCUUCUUGGGGGCACGGUAUGGCACGCCCCGUGCUGUACGGCACGGGGCGGCACCUUCAUCUUUGUCUAUUAUACUAUUAUAGAUAUAAUAACUUAGCCUGUUAUUUAUACCUCUAGGUCGGUCGGGAAGAGCCGGUAGAACUGGGGAGGCAAUUACGUUCUACACUGAAGAGGAUAAACCAUUUUUACGGAACAUAGCCAAUGUGAUGGCAGCUUCGGGAUGCGAAGUUCCUUCAUGGAUAAUGGCGUUGCCGAAGCUCAAACGCAAAAAGCAUCGUCCAAAGAGAGAUUCAAUCUCAACCCUUCCCGAAGACAAUGAAGAAUAAAGAUGCAGUGUGCUAAGUGAGCACCAAAUAUAAUAACAUAUUUUCCACUUCUCCCUCGUCAAAAAUUUUGUAUCUUAGCCUAUUACAUUUGUAUUUUAACACAUGGCCGCAGAAUAACCUCCCCUGAUUGCUGUGCUUUUGCUUAUAUCCGUCACAUUGAUUGUUGGUGAUGCUAUGUGUAUUCUUAUUUAUUGUCUGAGUUAUACAUGCAUGUUGAUCUAUUUUUUCAUGUAAAGCAUUUGAAAGCAUUCGAGAACAAGUACUUUCACCAUUGCAAUGGUCAAUUUUUUCAAUGUCGUCAAAUACUCGCUUUUGUAGUAUUUGUUUUUGUUUUUGUUUUUUUUUUUAUUUUAUUUAUAUGCAAGUAUAAUACUUUCCUAACAGUAUUAUUUCUAGCCCUUGUUCCCUUGGUUCUCAUUAGGGCUAUUGAACUUUGAAUUUGCAACUUUAUGUCCAUAUCCUUCAUAUAAUUUUUUGCCUUUGGUCCUAGGAUCAGCUGAUGUUUAUGCAUGGUUAUGGAGAAUCAAGCUAAUAUUGUAAAUCUGAUUUAAUCAAGAUUUUGUCUGUUGGGACUACCCUUNAUUUCUAGCUUAGAUUAUUUUUAAUAAAGGAGCAAAGCGAAUAGCUUGCUACCUUUCUCGUAGUAUAUAUAUAUAUAUACCUUUCCCUCAAUAUAUAUAUAUAUAUAUAUAUACAUAUAUAUAUAUAUAGAGCUAGGCUGGUAUACUAUCGGUAGCACGGAGGCCUCCGUGCCACCAAGUUGUUUUCAAUGAUGCGGCUUUCAAAUCGACGAUCGGCUCCGUUAGACUUGAUCUAUACCAUUAAAAGUAUUUGGAAACUAAAUUUCAUAAUUUUUCGACAUCAUUUGGCUAGUGAUCAAAAGGUCUCAAAAUUGACAAUUUUAAUGGUAGAUGUGAUGCGUUUAUUAAUUUAACGGUGUAAAACAAUUCAAAUUUGAUGAAAUUUUUAUAGAAAAUUCUUUUCACUAUUUAAAGUAAGAUCAGCAUUUCUGAUCUUAAAUUUAAAUAUUUUAUCAUCAUUUUUUAUGAGAUUUUUAUUUUCAGCCGUUCAUUUUUAGACUACUUGUUUGAUAGGUAAAUGAUGCCAAAAAAUUAUGAAAUUUAGUUUCCAAAUACUUUCAAUAGUGUAGAUCAAGUCUAGCUCUAUAUACCAGCCUGGCUCUACAUAUAUUAUAUAAUAUACUAUAAUAAUAUAUUAUAUCACUAUAAAUUAUAUAUAUAUAUGAGACUAUUUUAAAUUUUGGGGGUGUAGCAUUUCUCCUCCCUUUUAAGUCUUAAGGUUCUCGUCAAGUUCAAGCACAUUUACAAGCACAAAACAAUGUGAGAUUUGCUAGCCAUGUGAGAUGAUGUGAAACUGUCUCGUUAGUCAUGUCAUUCAGACUCUAAUUUAACAUGUCAUUUUUAGGCUAUGGGUCAGUCGAGGCUGAUCUCGUACUUUCAGCUAGAGAUUGUUUCUGAUACCAACUAUAAUGACUUUGCGGCCGACUAGUAAUAAUUUGUUCAGCCUAAAUUAAUGGCCCAAAAUACUUAAUCAUAAUUAUUAUUAUUAUUAUUAAGGUCAAUGGUCUCUUAUAUUUUCAAUCACAAUUUCGUUAUCAUCCGAUAUGGGAAGACAGAAAAAUGGGUCGACACAAGGAGUUUAUGCAUUUUGUUCAUCGUCAAUGUAAAACUCGCAAAGAUUUAUUAUUUCAAUUUACAAUCAAUUAAUUACAGAAAACUUGUUACAACUUAAUUAGAAGUUCACACAGCAUAUUUAUAUAUAUGUUCAACGUUUAGAAGAAUGUAAACAACUGAAGCAAUCUUGGAGACAUUGGAUUUCACAAGGCGGAUUUUGACGAGAUUUAGACUCUUCCGAUGAUGGGGCCAUCGAAUGAAGCAGCGGAAGCUCCUGCAUGAAUAGCUCCCGCGCACAGCAGCUGGGUUCCAGAUAAUAUGAUCGUCAGAGUCUCCAGCGUCCUCUGCGUAGAAGAGUACAUAGAAUCAAAGAAUUGAUCGUCUUUAUUGUUGUUGUCGGAUUGGAUUUGGUUUGUAUCGUUUGGCUUGGCGAAAAAGUUUAAUCUUUUAGGUUUGAUUAGUCAAAUUAAUAAAGUGCAGGUUUGAGUUUAAGGGAGCUUACGAGGCUCGCGGGACGCCAGCUGAUGCUUAUCUCUUUACAUGCCAACCUGCAGAAGGAAAUGGUGCUGGCAUCGUAAAUGAACCAUGCAAUAUAUAUGACCAAAACUACGCAGGUAUGUGUUUUCCUUUUAUCUUUUGGAGUUCCACUUAUAAUGUGUGGCUGAUGGAUGGAUGAUUCAUUAUGGAUGAAAAGGCAUGGAUGGAGCUUUGAAAUUUUGAUUGUGCUAUCCAACUGUAAAAUAUAUUUUGAUUUAUGCAUUGCUCAUUUAACAUUUUUUGACGGAAUAUUACUUUUAGAAACACGGAAACUAUGUUGUUCUCGAAUGAUAGAUUGUUUGAAUCGACGUUGGAUCGAUAUUGUUAAACAUAUAUAUGCCGAGUCCUUUCUAAGUGUUUUUGCUCGAGGGAUUUGAAGUGCUUACCCCAUUGCCAGAAGGGUGAGGGCCCAAGUAAUGACUGAGAAAGCUGCGGCGGACAGCAAGCUUGCCGGUUUCGACCGUGAGACGUCGAGUAAGCCGGUGAGCGAAGUUGCGGUGCCGACGACCCCGGCGAUGAGCGAGAAUAUCACGAAGAAUCCAGUGGAGAGGUUGCCGAUCGGAAAAUAUAUCGGGAACAGCUGAGCCGGCGGAGUCAGCCCGGACACUGCAUGCAUGGCAAUUCAACGUGAAAUUAACUGAUGAUACAAGAAGAAGAAAUGAUUCAAGAAGCUUCUUUCGGUGCCAUUUCUAAAAAUGAGAGAGAGAGAGAGAGAGAGAGAGAGAGAGAGAGGGACUCGUGACUUACAUGCGUGAGGCGUCUCGUCGACGCCGUAGUUGAGAGCCCAGCCGGCGAUGAUGGCGACGAUGACGUACAUUAUGAGGUUGAGGAAGAGGAGGGUGACGGCAGCAGACUCUGGGCCUGCUGCGGCCAUGACAGCUGAUGAUACAAGAAGAAGAAGAAGAAGAAGAAGAAGAAGAAAUGCAGAAUACUACGUGUGAUGCAUGAUAGGUUCUCAAAGGACUUGUAUACGAUAUAUAUAUAUAUAUAUAUAUAUAGAGGGAAGAAAUUAAUUAAAGUAGUUAACACGUUAUAUAUGAUGGUCCAUUACAUAAUUAAGAAUCUGAUUCCCCAGCAAAGUGAUUGUUGGGUGUCUCUCCCUUGAUUUACUACAAUUUAUGUAAAGAUGUACAAGGAGCCCCUCUGUAUAUAUAUUGGUUGUUCUGAAAAUAGACUACCCAACUAUGUUUUCUGUUCUUGUUUUUGAAGAAAAAGACAACACGCUAUCUGUUUCAUUUAUUUUUAGAAAUGAACUUAGUUGGAAAAACAAAAAAAAAAAAAAAAAAAAAGCGAUUUUUUAAUUUGGAGUCUUGGAUACCAAUUAUAAGCCUUUGGCUGCUGGCAUGCGCAAAGGACAGUCGGAGAUUCAAAUUACUUUUAUCAUUUGAAUUGGGCAUUUUUUUAAAAUUUACUGAUGAUUCUGUUUAAUUUAACCAUAUAUUUUUAAGUUUUUUAGCUGAUGGAGCUGUGCAGAUUUCAAGAGCUAACUAUUAAUCUCAACGAAUUCUUAAUUGGUUGAAUUUACCAUGAUAACUCGAAUCAAAACAAUUGAAAGUAUAAAAAGUAGAGUAGAGCUAUUGUGCUAUCGGAAGCAUAGAGGAUCCGGUGCUUCCGACUUUUUGACCCUUAGAUUAAUUCUUUUAAUCAUUUUCAACCUUUGGAUUAAUACUAUUACCCUAUGAGGACCACUCAACCCUAGGGGUACUAUUCAAUCUUACGGGGCACUGUAAUCAUCCCUAACCGUAUAAUUCUUGAUCCAAGGGUCAACAAACCGGAAGCAUCAAAUGCUCUAUUCUUUCGAUAGUAUAGUAACUCUACACCAAAAAGUAUUACUCAAAAGAGACUAAUGUAGUUGAAGGGUCCGUGUCAAAAUGGCCUAUAGUCUAGGGGAUCUCCAUAUACACAUUUUGUUCCGACAAUACAUAGUGCAGUUAUCCAAGGACUAGAUAGUUGGUAUUCGAAACUUCAAGUUGGAAAUCUAAUUGUUUAUAUUUUUAGCAGGAUUUUUUUUAAAAAAAUAAAAGUAAAAACUUUAUUCAAGUGAUCAAUCAAACUUAGGAGAGAGAAAUGGUCCACAAUUAUUCCUUGCCUAUUGAAUAUAAUAUGCUAUAUAAUUUAGGGUUCUCUUUCUCUUUCUCUUUCUCUUAUAAGAAGGGAUGUAUUAUAUCACUCUCACCAUUAAUUGGGUUAAAAUGGUAAUACAAACCUCUGGUAGGAAACAGAUGAAUAUAAAGCCCAAACGCGCGCGGCAAACUACGGUAUUUGACAAUCCAAUAUAUGACAUGCACUUCAACGCAAGUUCUGGUAAAAACAAAAAAAAAACAUUAAUGGAAAAAGCAAAAUACUAUUUUUUUUUCUUUCCUUUUUUAAAAUAUAAACUAGGUAGCGAUAAAAGGUAAACAUAUUCUCUUGUCACGCUCCCGCCCCGAGUCCGCUACCGAUUUGGUCCGAUUCGGGGGUGGUGAACGGACCGCCGAACGGACAGCAACUCCCCUGUCCGUCCAAGGCUUAAACGACGAGAUCAUGUACACAAGUUCCUAGGAAAUACACUUGAUUACAUACAUGAUCUAACAAUGACGACGAAGCGCAAACAGUGCUUAACAACCAAGAGCAAGUAACACAAGUAAAGCAUACAAGUGAUAAAAGAGAGAUAUACUUAACUAUUAAACUCAUUUAACUUUAUACAAUUAUUUCAUCUUUUACAGUCUUCCAAAACAUAUGUACAGUCACUCUCAAAAUCUCACCCUAUACAACAUCUACUCUCGAAAUAAGUACAGGGUAGAGCUAAUACAAAAGGGAGUAAAACUCUACUAAUACCACUAGGGUGCUAUGCCCUUGCCGCGAUCCUUACCGGGGCUACUCGAACUCGGACCUGCAACAAAAUGGGAUGAGAAUUACGAAUAGUUUCCAGUGGGUUCGGCCGCAGACUCCGCCGAUCUUCCCACUAGAUCUAAGCAGGCACAGAUAGAUAUGCAGAUAGAUAGAUAUUUUGCUGAAUUGAAAGCAUCUAUAAUAAAUAGACAAGUGUAUAAAAUAAACAUCUAACUAUGCCUCAAUCUGAAAUGAUGCAUGCAUGUGUCAUAGGGUAAAGCUAAGUACCAAACUACUAUGCCCAACAGUAAAUGUGACACAUCAGGUUACCCAAUCUCUUAGCGAACUCGAGGGUCGCUCAAAAUCUCACGUAAGUAAGUUUCAUAGGGGAGGAGCCCAGGCUCAACUACCCCCGAAACCGCCUGCGGACAGAUACGUUAGUCCAAGGGUAAAUACGUUAACCCUCCUCGGGUGACAACUCCGGAGUGCACUACCUGUGUGGAGCUACCACACUACGCGCAGAUAGGCAAUGUGAGCUCGGUCCAAUCUCAUGAACUGUAAACAUCCUACCAACUGGGAUGAUCUCAUCAUAUCUCAUCGUAGAACCCAAGUGUUCUAGUACUCAAUCUCAUAGUGUUCACUACACUAAAGUUUUCAUGUUUCAUAUCAACUAGAUGCCACUCGUUCUGUGUUUAUUGUUAAUACGCUAAUUUGCAAUAUACUAGGUUCAUAUUCACAUAGCAUGUUCAUCACACAUAGGGUUAACUAUCUCAUGUUCAACUCCUGCAUAUUAGGUUCUCAUUCAUUGUAUCCGCAAAUCCAACUAACACUAGCAUGUAUUAAUAUGUAACAAUUACAUUUAACUCCCUAUAAUGCUAUAUCACAAUAUGCACUUGAUCAAUAUGAUAACUCAGACAUAGGGAGCAGUUCAACUGCUUCGGGAUGGCACUCCCUCACCUUUUGGUAGUGCCGCGUAGUUAGCAAACUCGACGUCGCGGUCCUCGUACGUCGCUUCAAUUCCUCGGGGCAAAGCGAAUCCUCAAGUACCUGUUUCGGCAAUAUCUUCGCACUCGCUCGUCGGAUUGACGAACCGUCUUCGCCUACGCGUUCAGAGACUUAGCAAAUAGGUUUACGACCUAUUAAACGAGAUCAAAACCCUAGCUUUCCAACAAUCCCAAAUCCGUGCCCUAGGUCGGCAACGAUGGAGAAAUCCAUGGUGCGAGCUUCAAUUUCGAGCUCGAGCCAUCUCCUUAACCUCAAUAGGUUCCAUUCGAACCAUCUCUAAACAAUAAAAAUUCCAAACCCUAGAAAUACCAUUAGAGGGUUUAGAGCUUACCUCUAUACAAAGCUCCAAGCUUGAGGGAGAGAGAGAAGAAGAUGAUCUUCUUCUUCUUCUUAGUCUUCUCCUUUUUCCUUCUCUACUUUUUUUCUUUCUUCUUCUUCCUCUCCUUCUUCUUCUCCUUCUUAUCUUUCUAGAGAGAGAGAGAGAGGGAAAGUGUGAGAGGGAGAGAGCAAAUGAGAGGGAUGGGAGAGAAGGGUGGUCCCCAAGCCUCUCAUAUAAGACAUUUUGCAAAUAAACCCCUCAACUUUCUAUCUAUGAAACAGCCCUGCCUGGGCAUUUUCGCAGUGAGGGACCGGUCCCAGCUCGGGAAGAUCGGUCCCCGAGAGCCUUCCACUCGGGCAGAGGGGAUUUCGCGUUCGGGAACCGAUCCCUGCCUGAGAGACCGGUCCUCGGGAGACCGGUCCUUGCCUGAGAGACCGGUUCCUGAGAGUUAGAUUUUCGAGACUUAGCCAAAUUCCGGUUUCUCUCGCUGGGUUAACGUUCGAGGACCAGUCCCUCCCUGCCAGAGACCGGUUGCAUCAAGGAUCCCCGCCAGCCCAGCCUGAUCGGACCGGUCCCUCCCUGCCAGGGACCGGUCUCUGAGAGCAAUUAUUCUCCAGUGCAGAUUUUGCACUGCUGCUCUCGCGGACUCUCCCUUAAUGCACUUUAUGUAUUUUUAAUUACCUCCGGACUUUGCAAAGCUUAUACCCUCGACAAUUAGUCGAUUCUAGACGAAGUCUAAUCCUCGGAUUUCGAGAAUUCACUUCCCUUACACUGAGCAACAACGAGACAAAAUGGAGUUUAUCAUAUUAUUUUUUUAGACAUAAUUACAUAUGACUCCCUACUAAUAUAUCAAAUAGCAAAUAUAUUUCUAUAAAAUUUAAGUUAUCAGAUUUAUCCCUUCAAAAUUCUUUCUGUUUGCAAAUAUGUUUUUUCGUUAGCAAAAUUUAGAUAAUCACGAGUUAAAAAAAUUAACCACAAUUAGCUAAGGAAUAAAAUGACCUUUCUACCCCUUAUAUAUAUAAUUUGUAUUCUAAUAUUGAUGUCACAUUCCGAAAUUUACCCCUUUUUUUAUUCAUGGUAACGGUGAGUCCUAUGGCGGCGAUAACGUCGAAAGCGAGGCCCUUGGCCGCGGUAAAAAUGACGUACGCUGCGUGUGUCGCGAUGAAGGCGAGGAAAGAGAGAGAUAGGAGGGAAGAUAUAUAUUUUUUAUAGGGACAAAUUUGUAAAGACAAAAUAGUUAAUAUUUUAUGCACCGGCCGUUAAAGAGCUAAUGGUUAAUCGGACGGCAAGGACAUAUACGAACGAACCAAAGUUUUUAGAGGAAUAUAUUUGUAAAUCAUAAAAUUUUCGAAGGAAUAAAUUUGAUCACUUUAAGUUUUGUAGAUAUUAUCAGCUAUUUGAUAUUUUUACAUGCACCUUUGUAAAAUUUACCCUAUCUUUUGCUAACUCCAAAAGAUUGGUCCGCAAUAUGUAUAGUUACGUCAUCAUGAAAUGGAUUGAAUAGUGUUUAAUCCGGAUCCUAAUCCGAAUCCGAAUCCGAAUCCGAAUCAAUGAUUUUAUAAGUCGGAUCUAAUUAACCGUAUUUUGGAUAUUGAUUGGAUACUCAAAUUUAAAUUGGUAUUCAGUUAAAAUGGGUUCAGAUACGGACCGGAUAUUAAAUGAAAGGGCGAUACUUUCAUAUUUUCUAAUUAUUUUUAAAGAUCUAUACCGUUCGUCCAUUAAGGGUAAAAAGGUAAGUCUAGUAACAACCGCUCAAUUGGAUUUGGAAAAACGUUUUUAUUUUACUUCAACUGUUUUUAUGUUGUUAUUUUAAUUAAUUAAAUUAUAUAUUUUGAUAAAUUAAUUAGUUAUUUGAUCAAAUUAUAUUUUAAACUGCAUUUGGGAUGUACGUGCAGAGUUUCUUAAUAAUGAACAAUCGGUAGCAAAUAAGAUCAUUAAAAUUUUAAAAAUGAUUUCCAUUUCAGGUGACUAAAAUAACUCAAGUAAAAUAAAAAGUUAAAAAAUAUCAACAAAAAAAAAUUAGCAUCGAAGGGCUCUAUUUCAAAAUGGCCUAUAAUUGGAGGGUCUGAACUAUCAAGGAUGCUAUAGAGAUAGGAAUUGUCGCAUGCGUCUCUGUGUAUAUUUAAACAACUCAAUCAUAAAGAUUUUAAAAUCUGAACCUAAAUAUUUAAAUACAAAACUAGUUAGCUUAAUUACGUAUGAAAAAUUUAUUUUUAGAACAUCUAUUAUUCAUGCAUCAAAUUAAGUAGUUGUAAAAAUUCACAAUGAUUUAGAGAAUGAUUAUCUAAAAUUUUAGUUUUUUAUUAGGUAGAUAUUUUUUAUAGGUUAGAUUCAGGUUUUUCAUUUUCAGGCAUCUAUAGAUAUAUUAAUUCUUGAGUUCUCCUAUGGCCUACGUGGCGACUCCUCAGCGCCCCGCGCCGCCCCCCCACCCCACCCCACCGCUCGCCCAGCCCCUCCCCCGCUUCGCGCCCAGGACUCGCGCGGCGCAACCGAGAGAGAGAGAGAGAGAGAGAGAGAGAGAGAGAUCGGUGGGGGGGGGGGGGGGGUCGCGACAGACUCCCCCUGCGCAGCGCCAGCCCGAGAGAGGAGAGAGAGAGAGAGAGAGAAGAGAGAAGAGAAGAGAUGACGGGUGGGGGGCGCACGACUCGCGCCACCUCGCUGCAGCGGGAGAGAGAGAGAGAAGAGAGAGAGAGAGAGAGAGAGAGAGACGGGUGGCUGGGUUGGGUGGCGGGAGAGGGGGUUGCGUGCGAUAGCCGCCCUGCGCCGCGAGGGAGAGAGAGAACGAGAGAGAGGAGAGAAGGAGAGGGCGAGGGGAGAGAAGAGAGAGUGCGGUGGGGGGGGGGGGGUUGCGCGCAACACCGCUCGCCACGCGCGCGGAGAGAGAGAGAGAGAAGAGAGAGACGGUUGAUGAUUUGGGGUGCCCGCGAACCGCGCCCCGCGCAUGAGUGCGGAGAGAGAGGAGGGAGGGGGGGGAGAGAGAGAGAGCCGGUUGGGAGGUGACGCGACUCGUGGCCCCGCUGCGCGCGGGAGAGGAGAGAGAAAGAACGAGAAGAGGGAGAGAAACAUGUUCAACACACUGCGCGCCCGCGCCACGGGCGCCGGUGACGAGAGAGAAGAGAGAGAAGUCGAGGAGGGCCUGGGGGUGGGAGAGGCAGAGAAUGGGGGAGAGAGAGUGAGAGAAAGAGCCAGGGGGGGCGGCCCUGCCAAUGGCGGGAGAACUGCACCACUGGCGUGCGCGCGCGCGCCGGCGUCGAGAGAGAGAAAGAGAAGAAAGAAGAGAGAGAGAGGACUCUCCUCCACUCCCCACUACCCCUCCUUUCCUCUGCCUCCCCCCCCCCCCCCCGCUCUCUGAUUCCUCUUCCCCUCUCUCUCCUCCUUUUUCCUCUCCCUCCGCCUUCCCCCAGCUCGUCUAUCUUUUCUCCUUCCCCCCUUCUCCCAGCGCACUGGGUCGCGGCGGUGGAUGGGAGAAGCCGGGGGCGGAGGUUUUGUCACGCCCCAAACCCGAGGCGUAACAGACGCCGCAUACCUGCUAAACUAGUAAGUAUGCAAGGCUACAGAAUCAUACGGAAACUAGCAAAAAGAUAAUUACAAAUUUUUCACUAAAUUCAAAUAAUCAUAAGGUGAGACUAAGAAAUUAAAUUUUAACUAAAAUCAAACGAAAUUCUAACAUUUAUAAAACUAAGCUUACUACGAAUCAUAAGAGAGAUUCAGUCCACAAAAAUACCAUAAGAAACAAAGGUGGGUACGAAGAAAUGAGGAAAUAAAAACAGAUAACAAACGAUCAUCCACGUAGUCUAAAGAUUCACAUCCAAAAAUACUAGAUAGAAAAACAAAAGGGAUUAAAAUCAAAACUAGCUACAUCUAACAUUCACUCGAUUUCAGCCCGCCCGGCAAAUCAGUCUCGGUACCUGGGUAAGCAACCAUACACCACAUUAGUCGGAUUAAGCAUACAAUACAAAUAAACAAUUGAAUACAAAAAUUAUUUCUAGCGACUGGUUUUUUUUAAUUUGCAAAAUUUUAGAAAACAAGAAUUAUCAAAUUUAAAAUUCAGAUCAUAUUGAAACUAUAACUUUACAAAGCAUUUCUCUUUAAACAAAUAAUGAAAUAAAUAUUAAGUCUCCGGCAACUAACUAUAUUAUAUGAUCCGUUGGCGAGAUUCAGAGGCACCCGAAGGCGCAAACAGAACAGAGGCACCGAAGGUGCAUGUACAAAACAGAGUCACCCGUAGGCGCAAACAAAACAGAGGCGCGAAUAGGCGCAGGCACCCGAAGGUGCAAAACAAAGACGAAGCUCGCUUCUAUAACAAAAUACAUGUUGACAUGGCCAACAUUAGCAUAGCAGAAUACCAAGAGACAUAAUAAUUCAAAAUGUAUCCAGUUACUAAUUUACAGAACAAAUUAUCAGGUUUCAAAAAUUCUUUUUGCUAAAUGAACUUGUCAAUCACAGUUGAAGCUCAAUUUACAGAAAUAUUUAAUAAUAUGCUCAACCCUUAAUUUUAAAAUCUACAAAAUAAAAUUUUCAUACAAUCGGAAUAUUUUCCUAAAUUAUCUUACGAAAAACUAACGGGUGUCCGGUCGCUUACCUCAAAAGCGGCUUCUAAGCUAAGAAGCUAUCCAGUCAAAAAUUGCACGAAAUCAAUCGUCAGAACCUAAAAUAGAGAUAUACGAUUCUCUAUAAGCUAUUUAAAAUAAACUUACAAAGAGAACAUAUAUACAUUUAGAAAGCAAGCUUAUACAAAAAUUUGAAUUCGGAUAGACUCACAGAGGUCGACAAUGUCGGCUAUGAAUGCAUGCAAAAAGGUCAAGACGGAGCACAAAAGAGAUUUAGAAUAAUACAUUGGACGAAACUCAAAUUAACAAUCAGGAGGAUGAUGAGUUCCAAAUAUUAAAGUUUUCAAAGAAGCAAGAUAACAUGAAUGAAAUUUUAAAUAAUAAACGAAGGAUCUAAUGCUCAAAAAGAGGGUUUUCAGAUGUUGAAACAUUGAUAUGCAAAUCAAUAAUUAGAUAAAAUUAAGAUGGGAACAAAAACAAUAUAUGCCUUAUUUUAGGCAUUUUGUCGAACAUAUAGCGGACAUUCAAUAAGUGUGUACAAUAUGUGAAGUUUUAUGCAACUAGAUCAUAUAGAGGAUACAAGAUACGAAAUUAAACGGUUCGAACGAUGAAGAUUAGAUAUAACGAAAUCAAAUUUUGAUGGUUUCAAAUUUCAAUCAUCAUGAGGCGAGUAUUCAAAAUAAUAAUAAAACAAUGAACAAAGAGGUUGGAUGAUCACAAGAUUCGAUAUAGAGGUAAAAUGAGGGAAAGAGAAAAACCUUCUCGAAAAUGGUGAAGAUGACGGCAGGAUGCCAACGAUAGCGAACCAAAAAAAUAACGGCCAAAGAGGAUUGCGGUGGAGGCGGCUACGAAUGAUGGCAACGAUCGGAUGGCGUCGCGCGCGCACUUGCGAAACGACAGAAGUCGUACGGACGCGGUGAGGAGGAGAGAGAGAGUCGUGCGGGAGGGGGAAAAAGGUUGAUCGGGUGAGGGUUAGGAAAAAAACUAAUUACGUUAGAUACUAAUUAGGUAACAAAAUGCCGCCGAGUCCCUCGAAGAUUGAAAAUUACGAAAAGGUCCAAACUUAAUAAGAAUAGAAGUCAAAACAAUAGGUUUAAAAGAAUGGGAUGUUACAUUCUCCCCUCCUAAAAGAAGUUUAGUCCUCUAAACUUAACAUAUCUUAGCUCUCGAAGGGCUAAACCCACCAAACCCGUUGGUGUAGCACUUUGUCCCGCAUAGCACUUAGUUCUCACACUUCCGGCUGGUAAUGGUCCUGAUUUGUCUGUCUGUGAUCUGGUUUGGACCCGACGAGGAAGUCAGGGUCAGGGAGAGUUUGUAACGGCCCCAAUAGUCCCACAUCGGAUGGGAUACUCAUUACGAUCAGUUUAUAUGAGGCCUACACGCUAGUAAUAAUAACUGGGCUUAAGCAUUUUGGGCCGAUGGUUUGGGCCCAACGAGUUAUUGUUGCUAGCAGGUCGGGUCGUUGCAGGCUUAAAUAUAAAUUUUUGUCAAUUUUCUUAAAAUAGAGCUGGCCGCAAUUUUUGUCAAUUUUUGUCUAUUUUAUUUUCUUUAUUUCUAAUUUUCUUAAAGAGAGCCUAAACAUGUUUUCAUUAGUGCACAACAAACUAGAAAAAAAAAUCUAUUUUUUUCCUACAGGCGAUGAGCCAAGAUUAUAUAAAAACUGAAUUUUAAAUUUUCAAAAAAUUCCAAAUAAUUUUAAAUUUUUUUUAAUAAUUUUAGAAAUUUUAAUUUAGAAUAUUUUUUUUAUUGGGACGAUAACUCUGAAAAGACAGAUUUCCUAUCUUUUCUUUCAACUCAGGAAAAAUACGAUGGGGGGGGGCUAAUUCGAAUCCCUCGGGUAAAAUAAGAACAGCACCCACAUUCAAACCCCCUUUUUUACCGGUGGUAGAGCGCGCCCCUGAUAAUUGCGUCUCGAAGCCUGAGGUAGUAAAAAAAAGUGGGAUACUGUAUUUUAGAAAUUAGGAAGAAAUGUUAGAAAAUAGCUAAUAAAUGGACAAAAAUUGCGCAAAUUUUAAGAAAAUUAGAAAAAAAAAAAAAUUUUUGAAUAAAAAUAAGAGAGAAAUAAAGAAAAGAAAGAAAUAGAAGGAAGAGAAGAAAAAGAUAGAAUUUUAAGGAAAAAUAAAUAUUCGCCAGCAUACAAAGCAAUCGAAAAAAAUAAGAUAACACUAUGAUUGUAAUAACCGAUCAAUUAAGGUUGAUUUGGAUUAAUUAAAUUAUAUUUGGAUUUAAUUCAGAUUUAAAUCGAUUAGAGAUGGGCGUUAAGCCUACAAUUUAAAAAAAAAAAAAACUAAAACCUUAAAAAAAGAGAAAAGCUAAUAGAAAAUAUAUUAGGAUUAGCAUCGUGGGGAAGAAGAAGAUGGGAAGAGUUCGGGAUACCCACUCCUCUCUCUCUCUUUUUCCUUCUUUUUUUUCCCUUUUUUCUAACUUUUUUUUUUUUAUUUUGUAUAGUUGUGGAUCACAUAAAAAAAUUUAAAAUUAAAAUUAAAAUUUAGAGCGGGAGCAGGCGUGGGCGCGAGCCGGCGUGGAGCGGGUUGUUUUUUUUCCUCCUUUUUCCCUGUGGGACGCACAAUCUUUUUCCUUUUCUAACUUUUUUUAUUUUGUAGGGUUGUGGAUCACAUAGAAAAAAUAAAAAAAAAAAUUUAAUAUUUGAUAUUUUAAAAUAUUGAAUUUUAAAAUUUAAAAUUUAAAACUUAAAAUUUAAAAUUGUAUAUUUUACCUAAAUUACUAAAACUAAAAUUUUACUGUUUUAACUUUUAAAUUUUAGAUCCUAUAUUUUAGAUUUUAAAUUUUAUAUUCAAAUUAUGAAUGCUAACAGUUUAAAACUUCUUUUUUAAAUUUUAAAUAAUAUAAAAUGUUGAAGUUUAAAAUUUAAAAUUAGAUUUGAAAAUUAAAAAAUUUAAACUUAAAUUUAAAAAUUUAAAUGAUAACAACGGAAAUAUAGAAAUAUAUUUUUAUAUACUUUUAUCUAAAUUUUAGUAAAUAAUAAUGAACAGUCUAUUUAAAAUAUUUUAAAAAUUUCGUAAAUUUACCACCGCGAAGCUCGGGCUUUCACUAGUAUCUAUAGAAAUAUUAAUUCUUGAGUUCUACUGUGCUCUACGUGACGCCUCCUCAGCGUCCCUUCUCUACCGUUCCCUCUCGUGCCCCUUCGAAGCCUCCCUGCAUUGGGGGGGGGGGGGCUUCGGUGGCUCGUUGAUAGGUUUCAGCGUGCUGGAGGCCGUGCUCACCUUUCGGAGCACUGCCGGCCACUUUGGCACGCGCAUGAGCCCGGCGGAGUCCCGGUGCAGUUUUUUUUUGUGACUUCUGGUGAGUUCGGCAACCAGUUUUGGGAAACCGAUUCCCGAGGGGCUAUGAUUGUGGGAUUGUGAGUUAGCGAUAUGUGUUAGUGGGUUAGGUUCUAACCCGGUAGACCUUUCGUAGGUUCGGUUGCACCGUCUUCACAGUCAAGAGAUUUUCGUCAGACACGUACAGGUGGGUACUUUGAUCCGAUGUCGGUACAGUGGUGCACGCUCGGUGACGUUUCCUUUACUUGUUGUUUAUAUCAUUUAUCUUAUACAUGUUGAGCCUUGCACCCAUGCUAUUUCCUUAUUUACUCUACUUAGUUGUUGCCAGGUGUAGUAUCAUAUGUAGGAGUAGAAUAGACUUUAUCUGUAUAUGAUAUCUGUGACGUGGUCGGUCGGUUCUCUUAUGUGAUCUCCAUGACCUGGUUGGUCGACGUUGCAUCUCCUAUACUUGUGAUCUGGUUGGUUGAUUUGAUUACAUGAUGACCCAUGUGGUUGGUGUGCCCUAGGGGGCAGGAUUGUCGGCUGGUUGCCGACGGUUGAUCAUUGAGCAUAUUGCAUUGAUCGCCCGAUACUCGUCCCAUUUCACGAACACUGGUGGUCUGAUCCACCGCAAGGGGUGUUUUUUUUCGGAAAAGUGGUUGCAGGUGUCAACCCGUAAGCCCUAGAGGGGUUAUAUGCAUGGUAGAGUAGUAGUGGCACUGGCUUGAGGUUUGCGGUGCGGACAAGGAGAGCAUUGGUUUCAGAUUGGAUACGUUUGGACUGAUUGUCCCGUUGAUGCAUGCAUACAGUAGCUGUAGUGGUUUAUCUACACACAUUUCAUUACUUGUUUAUCUUAGCUACUGUACUACCGUUAUCCAUAUCCUUGUUUAUCUCCAUGACUAGUGAGUACCCCUCGUCUUCGUCGGCUUGCGGUACCCACUGGGAGGGGAGACAUGUUUACAUGUUCUCACCCCCCGCCUCCAUUACAGGUGACGUCGCAGGUCCGAGUGGGACAGCUGGUGAGGAGCGUGUCUAGCGUACGAUAGAGCUCCGUCCCGUGUCGAUUAUUUCUUUACCCUUCAUACUUGAAUAAACAAUUUAGACAUAUUAUGGUUUAGUUUUGUUAUAUUAUUUGAAUAUCUGAGUUUUCAGUUGGAUUUAUGAGGUAAUAAAAAGAAUUUGUGGAGUUCAAAUGUUGAAUGGUUUUCUACCCCUCGUGGUAGCGUUUCUAAAAGAUAAAAGUUCCCGUGUAGGGAACAGUUUUUAAAAGGUUUUCUGUGGAUUUUGUAUCUUAUUAUUUUAAAAUCUGUUAUGGGUUGGAAACGUUUUAACUGAUAGAUGUAGAUUUAUGUUUAAAUAUUGAAUGUAUAACUGUGAUGUGAAUGGUGAAUGAAUGAUUGUAUAGUUGUUUCUAUAUUCAUUUAGUUGUGGUUAUAUCCUGUUUUACAUCUUGUACUUGUGCGACGCCGUGCAAAUACAGAGGAGACUCUGUCCGUGUGAUCAGUGAACUCUCUGUAUUUGUGGCGGAUCUGGCAUACCUUGGGGUCAGAUCUUUCAAAAAAAAAAUUUUAGCUAUUUCUGCUGUGUUUUCAAACAAAAAUGGACCCCGGGACAUGACAUUAGUUUUGAUCUAUUUUAAGAUUUAAGUUCAAAUGCGAGGAUAGUGGAGAUAUUAUAUAUUUCUGACGAAUUGAAAAUUUCUGGACAUAAAAAAAUUAGUUAAAAAGAUAGAGACAUUUUCGUAAUAAAAUUCAUAUUUAAUUUAAAAUUUAAAUUUUUAUUUUGAUCCAUUUGAAUAUUUAAAUUCAAAUGCGAGGAUAUAUUUAAUUCAAAAUUAUGAUAGGUUGAGAAAAUUUUUAAGAAACGAUAAGAAAAUAUUAAAAUUUUGAUGAGAUAUUUAAGAAACGUGUGGAUAUUAUGUCACGCCCCGCGACCGCCCGCCUAUUUGGCCGAGUCGCGGCGCCGCAAUAGACCGCCGAACGGACAGGAUUUUUCCUGUACCGCGGACAGAAUCUCCUCUGUACAUUCAAGGCGUCGCAAUCAAUAUAAUGUGGAAAGUUCCAACCAGGAACACAUUUCAAUCAAAGAUUGCAUAAUGGAAGGUAUCAAACAACAUAACACAUCCUAUGUUAUUACAUGCAUUCACAUUCAUAUAUUUUUACAUCACAAUUCUCAUUUGAUUCUUACACUAGCUUUCACUUAACUUCCAAAUACAAUCCGAUUUAACAUGAUUAUUACAACUUGAUUCUUUUUAUUCUUUACAUCCCUAAGCAAAGCCGACUUAGGGUACCGCUAUCUCUGGUCUCGGUGGUAGGGCGCUAACUAUGGAGCUACGCCCUCGCCUCGCGCCGCUCACGUGGGAACCUGUACCCCCAAAAACAACACGGGGGUGAGAACUAUAUAAAUAUAGUUCCCAGUGGGUACGGCCACCCAAGGAAAGAGCUCGACCCACAGGUCCAAGGAGGCACUGCAACAUAUUAGUCCAACAAAUAUCCAACAGAUAUAUAUAUAUAUAUAUGCGAUAAUUGAAAUACAUGUCAUGCCUCACAACCAUGCAAUAUGAAAAUCAUGCGAUUUAUGCAACCAAUUAGUAGUUCAAUCGAUACUACUUUAAUCCUGCUAUUCAAAGGUCAUUCAAUUGACUUCGAAGUUAUUCCACUAUUUUAAAUUCAUAUCAAUUACAAUUCUGAUCAUAUGGUCUCAUUUACCUUUAUCAACUAUCCACCCGACUCGGUCUUGAGUCAAUCAUUCGCGGAGUACCGCGUAAAGCCAGGCUCGAGGCGAAGGACGUCUCACUUGCACCUCAGCCUUAAGUCCACUCAACUAGGAUAUUGCUACAGCUCAUGUGCUUGUUACCCAAUCUCUUGGCUAACCCGAAGGUUUCGCCCUCAACAAACUCACCAACCCAAAAUCCCAUUAACCGGGAAGAUACCCGCUACAACCCGGUGGGACCGUCCUCUGGGGAGAUACCCGCUACAACCCAGUGAUGUCGACUCCGGAGCACAUCGCCCGAGGGGGAGCUACCACAACCUCGAGCAAGGACUAAAGGUGAGUAUGAUCAAUGAUCAAAUCCAAAAUCUUGAGGAUGUCAAGUUCAAUCCAUUCCUUAACUUUAGGAAGACUAUGCUCAAAUGACCCUAACUCUAGGGUUGAAAUGUCAUAAUAUUUCCAUCAUUCUUUUCUUUGCAUUCUUUACUAUCACUUGUGUCAUAUACACUACUAUAUUCUUGGACUCAUGCCACACUUGUUUUCUAAGUGUUCAACAUGCCAUAAGUGUUUCCACUAUACUAAUCAUAUGCCACUCGAUCUAAUAUAUAUAGAUUGUCCACGUCACAUAUCAUAGUUCAUAUGUCAUUGUUUUCCAAUGUCGAGUUCUCUAAUUCACCUAGAGUUUAUCGACCCAAGUUCAACAUGCAUGUGUCAUUUAAUAUAAUCCACAAUAUGUCAAUAUACAUUCAUCUAGUAUAUUCUACACUAAAUCAACAUGCACUCAUUCAUCAUAUUCCACAAUAUGUCUACAUAUAUAUACCAACCAUUCAUAUGCCAUCCAACAUGUUUCAUAAUUUAUCAACAUGCAUAUUACCUCUAACAUAUUACUAUAACAUUAUUUUCAUGCAUUCAUGUGACAAUUAACUCAUGCAUUCAUCUAGCAUUUAACACAUUAUAUGUCAUUAUGCAUUUUAUCUCAAUAGUAAGUAACAUCAACUAUAUGCAUCAAUUAGAAAACUAUUACUCUUAGACAUAUAGGCGACCUAGUCGCUUCGGUAAGCACAACCCACCUCAUUUCGCAUUCCGAUUGCUUGUCGACACUUGCAAUCGGCCUCCUGCGACACCCGGCACCCGGUUUGGCCCGAUCUCUCGCGCGACCACCGGAACGGCCUCCAAUUCACGAUCCGAAAAUUAAAGGUCUUCGGUUAUGUGUCACGAUGCUUCAAAUCUGUUUUCAUGAGUAUACGAUGUCGCAUCGGCCCUCCAGGCGGAAACGAAGCCUAAACGUCUGUUUCUUUAAUAACUUCGCAACGGCUCGACGAAUCACCGAACCGACUUUGCCAACGCGUUCGUUUACCUAACAAUUAGAUUUACGGAGGGUCAAAUGAGAUCAAACCCUCAUAUUUACAAAACUAGCAUUUUGAAUCCUAAGUUUACUACUAGGUAAAAACCCACCAUUAGGGCCUUGAUUUCAAGCAUCAAUCCUCUAAUUAGCAUGCUAGAAUACCUCUAAACCCAUUCUUAGAGCUUAAAAAUCAAACUAGAGAGAAAUGCCAUUAAAAGGUUUGAAGCUUACCUUCAAAGCUUGCUCUCUAAUGGCCAAUGAGGAAGGUGAAGAAGAUGACUUUUCUCCAAGCUUCCUUCUCCAUCAAAACCCUCUCUUUUGGGAGAGAAUUAGAGAGAGUAAAUGGAGGUUUCUCUCUCUCCAUCUACAUGCGUGUGUGUGUGUGUUGCAUUCGGCUGAGGAAGAAGAAAGGGACAAUCCCCUUUUUACAACUUAGUCCCUCAACUAUGCACUAUUCAAUCCAGGCAGUAGUUUAGCAGUUCGGAACAGUUGGAGCCCUUCUGAAUGUCCGUUUGAGCUCAAAUUUGACAGAUAGGCUCAGUUUAAUGUACUGAGUAAGAAUAUAUUUUAAAUUUUCAGUUUCGACCCCAUUUGGUCACCGAAAACUGUACCGAACUGUAAUCUUUAUCAGAUUGCUGUCGGAUUUUAUUUCUCACUCUAUGGGUGUCAGAAAAAUAUGAAACUUUAAAUCUAGCAUCAUAAAAAUAUUUCUGACUUAUCCUCCAAUUUUCAUAAUUUUCUGAGACUGUGUAUUUUCUGCUAAUUUAUCUGUCCCAUUUCCAACAGAAAAUUCUAGAUCUUCUGUUUUCAUUCCGAUUUCAGCACAAGUCACUUAUGACUUAUGUUUUAUUUUUAUAAAUCCAAUAAAAAUAGUUUCUCACACUAUUUUUAUUUAUUUUUAUUUUUAUAUCAAAAUCUGGUAUGUUACAUAUUAUGUGUGAGAAAGGUUAACUGGAUAUUAUGUAGGUGGUUAACGUAUAUGAUAAGUGGAUUAAUGAGAUAUUUGAGAAAUUUACGUAUAUUACGUUGAGAAAGGAUUGACGGGAACGGAAAUUACGUGUGAGAAGGAAAAUAUUUAAGAAACACGUAGAUAGAAGAUAUGAUAUAAAUGCGAGGGUAUUAUUGUCACAAAAAGUGACAGAUUGUCACGCCCCGGAUGUCUCGUUUUUCCGGGCACGCCGACAAAGCCGCCGUAUACAAAGAAAUUUCCCUUGUAUACGAAGCGACAUCAGUACCUGUAAAUCAAACAAUACUACAAACAGUAGUAUAGAGCUGCUCGAGUAAACAAAAGCUAAACANUCACGCCCCGGAUUUCUCGUUCCCCGGGCACGCCGACAAAUCCACCGUAUACAAAGAAAUUUUUCCUAUAUACGAAGCGACAACAGUACCUGUAAACAUACAAUACUACAAACAGUAGUAUAGAGCUGCUCGAGUAGACAAAUACUAAACAAACUGAGUUUCAUAUAUAUAGCCCAAAUCCAAAAUACAGAGCUACUCGCACUGGCGAGUUAAGUAUGCUAUGUACAUAAACUCGAAACAAAACGUCUACCUGCAGUAGGAGUGCCUCUAGCUCAGCUCGUCGGGUAGGGCUCUAACUCGCGACGCCCUUGCCUCGAUCCUGAUCCGCGGAAGGCGCAGCAGCCGAAACCUGUGGCUCUGCAAAACAGGGGUAACAACUGGGCGUGAGAACUAGUGUAAAAACAAGUAGUCCUCAGUGGGUGCCCCCCUAAACAACAUCGGUCAACCCACUAAAUCUACAGAUGGGAGCCAGGAUAGUAGUAAAUGCAGGAAUAAAAUCUACCGCUAUGAAUCACUACACUAUCAUGCUCUACACUAGCCAACUGUAGGAAAUGUCAAAUCUGAACCAAUCCAAUCGGGACUGUAAGCAUACCCGUCCCUGAGACUGUGAACACACCCGUCCCUGCCCAGUUGUGACUAUCCAGCUACCUCCACACUACUAGUCCGUGGAGAGCAAGUCCAACCGGCAUGACCAACGCGAAAGCAUAGCGCCCGUCUCCGAAGUGGCACUCGUGGGAGCUACCCAACCGAGUAUGCAGUGUAUCGCUGUCGAACUCAAUCGGCUCUCAAAAGCCAAAGUUCAGUAACCGACUCAAACUGGUCUAACAACCAACAGGUAACGUGCCCUCGGCACAAUCCGACGCCAAAAAGGCGAUACGGGUCCACCGUCAACCCCGACGGCACCCAACAGUCCGGAACAGCCUGAACGCUACUGUAAAAAUAUACUCGGCAUCCCGACACGAGCGUAACUGAAAGCUAAACUAUCUGGACUACUCACUAUGAGGAUACUGCUACAGUAUAAAAUAAUACAACGGCCCCUAGGGCUAAAUCAGGUAGUUUAACAUAUGCCGAUUCCAAUCGUGUUUUCUCCUAAGUCAAAUCCCAGUCCAACAUGUACAUUUAAGAUUUACUAGUCAUGUUCUCAAUACUGAUUUUAUCCAGGAUAGCAUCACGAACGUCAAGCUACAACAUGAUUACCGAAACUGAAAAAUCAUACAUGUCGACGAUUACGGUACUUAGGAAUAAACAGAUGUAAACCCACCUCGAAAGCUAUCCCCUGGCAGCGGUACACUCUCACAGCUGUGGCGCCACCUGCUGGGUCGAUCGUAGCCCUUCGAACCCAAGAAUCGCGCUAACUCCAAGCUCUACACCAAACAAUUCACCGUUUCAGUCCAGUUUUUGCAGCAGUGGAGUACAACAAGGAUUUGACCAAGCUAACCUUCACCAAAUCUGGAAAAUAAGGGUUUCAUGGAUUCCUCUCGAAGUCCCGAAUCCAAGGAACCAAGUCUCGUCGCGAUCCGACAUUCCUACGUCGCGUACAAGCUGAAAUACACACGGUCGACGGUGAAUUUCAGCAAAAUAGCAUUUCGAGUAGAAAUAGCAGAAUCAGCUGAAACCUCGGAGGAAUUGGAGAAUAGCUCACCACACCCGCUGUCCAACUCCGGUGCGUCGACGAUAACAGCAACGACUCGCGCUGCCCCGACAUCAAGUACGUGCUCGAUCGGUUCUGCGGCGCGACGUCGACAACGAAAUAUCUCCGCGGCACUCCUCAAGCUUGUCCCCUGCUUCAGUCGCACGAGAAAGAGAGAGAAACGAGAGACUUAAUUAGUGAAGUGCAUGCACACCCUCCUUAAUUAAAUAGAUAUGCAUGCAAUGGGAGGGGGUGUACGUGCAAGUUGCUAAGCACAUGCAUGUUGAUGAGCAUGCAUGGGUACACGUGGCUCCAAGCCACCAUAAUUAGUAUGCAACCCACUCAAAGAAACUAAUUAAUUACAUAAUAAAUAAAACAAGGAUACUACAUCCUCCCCCACUACAAAGAGUUUCGUCCUCGAAACUCAAACAUACCUUUGCUCAGGCAUCAAACAAAAAGGGAUAGGCCUCCCUCAUCACCGUCUCAGACUCCCAGGUCGCCUCCCGCUCAUCAUAAUUAUUCCACUGCACUUUCACAUACGGGAUGACUCGACUGCGCAAUUCUUUUGUCUCCCGAGCAAGAAUCCGCAACGGUCGCUCCUCGUAUCUCAGAUCCUCGCCAAUCUCAAGUGGAGUGAAGUCAAUCACAUGAGAGGGAUCGAAAACGUAUCUCCUUAAUGCUGAGACGUGGAAAACAUCAUGGAUGCCAGCAAAGUCGCGCAGGGGUAGAGUCUAUCCUGAGCCAACCGGUCGGAUACGCUCCAAUACCUCGAAAGGGCCAACGAAAACGUGGACUAAGCUUCCCACUGUACUCCAAUCGGCGUAUUCCCUUGUGACGGCGAGACUUUGACGAAAACAUGAAUCUCAACCUGAAACUCCAAGUCUCGUCUCCUCAGUAAUCGCGUAGCUCCUCUGUCGGCUCUGUGCUGCUUUAAAGGUGUGUCGAAACGACUCUCACUUUUCCUAGCUCAAGUAGAAAAUCUAUGGUCAAGUGUCUGCCGCCACCCACAUCAUCCAAAAUAGGGGGAUCGACAUUUGCUGCGUCCAUACAACGCCUCAAACGGAGGCCAUCUCCCGAAUGCCUCGUUGAUAGCUGUUUUUGUACGCAAUUGAACCAGUCCCCAUGUCGAUACACCUCCUCCAAAUUGUCACGCCCCGGGGACCGGAUGCCCAAAUUUGGCCCGACCCAGAGCACACGCUCAACAGACGCCGACGGACAGAGCUUCCCCCAGUCCGCCAAGGCUCAUCACCAGUACAAUUUCAAUAGAAGUGCAAUCUGCCGGAAAAUACACAAAUGGCUUACAGAGGGUAAGCAAUAUAGCUUUAGUGAAAGAGAAAAACUAAACAUUCACAAGUUACAUGAUUCAUUUGGAUCAUAUACAUUUGCAUUAUCUCAAGUAAUUUUCGAAUUCUUACAUUCACGUUUUCCUCAAAAUAGGAAUUUACAUUCUUUUCAUUCACCAUCACUUAUUCAUCAAGUCAAAAGUGAUAAAAGGGGUGUCUACUAACAAAUGGGUACCAACAUCCGAGUGGCCUCCUGUCUAAGGCGCCGAUACCUUUUACCGCGGUCGUCGCCGGCCGCUCGUCCCGGCUUGUGGAAAUAGUGGCGUGAGAACUACAACAAAGUUCCCAGUGGGUUCGGCUCAACAUCACCGACUUUCCACUUAGGACUAAGUGAGGCCCAUAGUAGAAAGGAUAAGCAGGUUAUAUAACCAAUCUUACAGCUAUGCUUAUAUGCCUGAACAAUUAGCAAUAGAAAUAUGUCAACAUAAAUAGAUGCAGGGGGUUAUGAGUGUUUUAGUUCUUUUCACUUUAUCUCUUAGUUCUUUAUUCUUUGUUCUUUAAUCAAUUGAGGCUAGCCCGAGGGUUUCGCCACUUUAUCAUUGCCUCCACAUUAAGAUCCAUCAUCGCGAGGAAUCUCACAGCUAGGACCGUCCUUCGGGUUACUCCAACCCGGUGCAUACUCCGUGAGCGCAUCGCCGAGGGGGAGCGACGCCGAAGCACGGAACUUCAUAGCAAGUAUGUCAUAUCCUUAAUCUCAAAGGAUUUUAUAAGUUAUCAACUACUUUGACUCUUACACUAGCUCUAGUGUUCUUUACAUCACUUUGAUGUUGAAACUCAUGCAAUCACAUUCUUUAGCAUUUCUUUUACUUUUGCUUAAUCUCUUAGCACAAUAUAUUCUUUAGUUCCCCAAUUUACUAUACUUAGGCUUGUCAUUUUCAUCAUUCUUUACACUUCAUUGGUUCUUUGAUCACAACUAACUAUGUGUCUCUUUACUUUACAUUUUCAAAUGCCACUCGACUAUGUCGAUUGUCACUCUGUUCUUUUGCCUCACUUUGGGUGCACCCACUUUUCUCUCAUGCAUACAUAUAGGGUUUAACUUUCAUUACAGGUUCGUUAACCAUACAUUAUGCAAGUUUCUCACAUCAUGCACAUCACAUCUUUCAUUUUUUACUCUAAAAUGCAUGCAACAAAUAUAUUAUAUGUCAACUUGAAUGACACAUUAGGAUAGAGUAGAAUUUCCAAUGAAGUUGAGAAGCACACCACUCGUAGGUCAAUUAUAGGUGCUCGACGAUUUCUUGAGAUAUUUUUAAAUCCCUUCGUUCUUUACCUGCGCCCAAAACGAAGCCCAUAUUUAGGGCCUUAUUGCCCUACUUACUUCAUUUUCUUUGACGCUCUUUGACAACGCGUCUUUAAGCGACAGAUUUUAUAAUAACGUUGAUAUCAAUUGUAUAAUCCGGUGCACCAACGCGUCGGAAAUACCCCAUUAGAUUUUUUAGAGGGUCAAUUGCACUUUAGAAACCCUCACAUGAGCAAAAGCCCCAAUUUGGUGCCCUAGCCUCUCCACAUCACUCAUGUUCAAACCUAGCAGUUUGAUCUCAUUGGGAAGUCAAAAGUAGCUUCAUUACACUCUAAAGAACCAUUAGAACCUCUUGGCUUUCCAAACCCUAGUUUGCAUUUCACUUAGAGUGGCCCAGCUCACUCUAAAGCAAACCAGGGUUUUGAUCUACUAAGAAGCAAAAGAGAGCUUAUACUACUAGAUAUUCCUAUUAAAAACCUUUCUAGGUUCAUUCAAACCCCAUUCUAGGCUUUUACUAAUUAGGGGUUCAAAGCUUACCUCAAGACUUCCCUUUUCUUCAAACUAGAGAUGAAGGAGAAGGAGUUUUCUUCACUUUUCUUCUUCUUCUCACUUUCUUCUCUUCUUCUCUUUCUUUUCUUCUUUCUCCUUACUUUUCUUUUUCUUCUUCUCUUUUUUGUUUUCUAGAGAUGAGAGAGGGAGAGGAAAAGGAGUGUGAAGGGCUAGUGAGAAAUGAGAGAAAUUUCUCUUUACCCCAAUACUAUACUCAAUGGGGGUUGCCCAAAAUGCAAAAAACCCCUCAACAUUCACUUAAUGCACUGCCCGAACUGGGCAGUUUCGCGCAGGGCACGAGACCGGUCUCCCGAGCACGGACCGGUUCCGAACCGUCUCACCUGCGCUGCCAGAGCCGCCUGCGCGCAGUGCAAACCGCUCCUCCUUAUGGCCGGUCUCUGGGACGGUCAUCUCAGGCAGAGAGAGGCUUCCCGAGAGCCUACCUUCCAGGACUUAGCGAUUUUCGGCUGGUCUCAUUCUGCACGCUGUCUCGGGCGGACCGUCUCGCUUCCCUUCAGGGACCGUCCCCGAGAGCUUGAAAUCUGCAGUUUUGCCAGAAUUCAAUUCUUUAGCUCUCGAAAACCAUCACAACUCAUUUUUAAUCAUUUUAAACACUUCGGACUUUUCGAAAAGUGUUCCAUCUCGCACUUGGUCAAUUGACUAAAGUUCGACAUUUUAUUCGAAUUUUCGGUUUAUAUUACCAAAAAUUCAGGACGCCAUGCCCUCAGCAUGAUUCUCAAGAGUCUUAUGGUCCGCUCUAGAACUGACCAUCUGUUCUGUGUUGGAACGCUGUACUAAAAUACAGCUGUAGUGCAAGGUGUCUGAAGGCACUCGCUCCAAAACCUUGGGAUACAAACCUCGGGUCUCUGUCUGAUAUCAAUCGACACUUGCACGCCCGUGCAACCUGACGAUCUCAUCUAGACGUAUUAGGCUGUGCGAGUCUCUCCCUGGACCAGGUAGUCAUGACCGGUUAGGAACGUGGCCAGACUGUCAGUCUGUCACUAUCGACCCCAAAUCGCGUUAGCACCCUGCGCUAGGCAAUCAACGACGAAGGUCCAUCGUGAUGCACUCCCAUUUUCACUCGCAUGGCAGACUCUGAAGCUGUGCCAGCAGGCACUGAUGCUCGGCCCUUCACCUGUUGCAAUGUCAAACACAUAAGCACAUAUCUGCCAAAGAGCCCUCUUCGAUCCAGGCCCCAGGAAUUGUGGCUUUAAGAUCCUUAUACUUUUGGUUCCCCCAGGCGUGAAACCGUAUAAUGGGAAACAAUGAGCCUCUCUCAAAUAUCUGCUGACAAUCUCAGAAUCCACAGGCCACACACAGUGCGUUCUGUACGUAUACUCCGAACGUUCAAAGCCAAAUCCCUCAGCCUACCCCCUGUCUAGCUGCAUUCUAAUACUCAGACAAGUACGCGAUUCCACUCUGUUCUCUCAGAUCCUAGUUCCAACGAGUGGGCCGUGUAACAAAAGAGACGUCAGCCUCGCCGUAGACCCAGGGGGUACUAUCUGUGAGUCCCAGGCCGCUGUUGCUCCUCGAGUAGGGGUCUCUGCUCAGUAAUCCUCAGAACUAAGCUCCUGCCAUCGAUUUCCUGCUUCAAAAUCUGUCACAACAUGUCGCGCUCAAUCCGACUCGGGCACUGGGGUGCAUGUGAUCUCUGGAUACUUGAUACAAUUCAUAGUCCUUUCAGUAACUCCAAACCCCGCGCGUGUUGAGGUUCAGCUACACCUCUGUGUGAACAGAUACUUGAGACUUUGAUGAUCGUUGAAAACCUCGCCAGUGUCGCCGUACAAGUCAAUGCCGCUAGCACUUCAAAGCAAAACCCACUGCGGCAACCUGCCAAGUCAUGCGUAGGGUAAUUCUCUCUCAUAAUCUUUAACUCCGCCGUGAAGCAUAAGCAAUCACUACUGCUGCAUCAGCACCAACCAAGUCCACUGUGCAGAUCACUGUAGAAUCACGAAUUCAUCCCCCAUCGACGGCAAGGGCAAAGGAUAGGAGCGACGUCGAACCUCAGUCUCAAUCUGAUCCAAAGCUCCUCUGACAGUCGUCGCUCCAAACAAAACGAUCCCCUUCCGCCGUCGAAGCGUGUGGGGGGUGUGGAAAACUUCGCAAGCCUCUCACCAAAUCGACGGUAAUAUCCUGCCAGGUCCCAGGACAGCUCGUACCUCAGUCACCGUCGUCGGUCUAGGGCCAAUCUCGAAUUGCUCUCAAUCUUCUUUGGUCCACGUACUGUCACGCCCGACCGGCGGAGGAGCCUUCCGGUAGGUUGUGACCCGAUUGUCAACACAUAUAAGGCGUCUACACAAAAGCUGAAAGCAAAACAAGUAUAUGAACAAAUAGAGAGUGAAUAACUAGCACUAAUGAUUAUCAGACGCGAGUAAAGUUCUAAUCCUUACCAAGGGUAAAGAAGUAAAGACGAGACAAUUAAAAGAUUCAUUAUAGUAGUACAAUAUCUGUCUCUAAAAGAAAAUGGUUGGUCUCUAGUACACUCGGUAAACUCCUCAACCUCUCGCAAAAAAAGAAAUAUAAAUCGAGAUGAUGCACCAGCAAUCGUCCUCGAAGGAAGCUAGCUCGAAGCAAAACUCCCUUCCCGCUGGAUCCCCUGCCUUACCUGCGCGGAAGGCUUGAAAAAUAUCGAGAAAAAGAGGGGCGCUUGAGACACUAUAUUUAUAAUUCCCAGUGGGCAAUUACUGACCCUCAGCUCUAUGCACCACUAGGCCGAAAAGAAAGGCGUAAGCUACCCAUAAUAUGCAAUAAUGACUGCGAUAUGAAAGCAUAAUUAAAAUGCUAAACUCUACUAAACUUCAAGUUACACGAUGUCAGUGGUGAUGCUAAUCUAUGAUCUCAGAUGGUAAAUCAUUAACUUUAUGAAUACAUUAUGCAUAAGUUUGUCAUGGCAACAAGUAUGCUUUAAUGCAAAAGGAGCUAUCAAGUAACUACAUGCCUCACCUAUGCUUAAAAGAUUUAUAAAUGUAAUUCCAACUACUAAACCUAUCUAGUAGUGCUUAUUCCAUUCCGGUUCAAUGUGCAUUAAUCAACAUGUUUUAGGACUACACAAUUGUAAUCCAAGCGAUAAUGUGCGCCUAAGUGUCGGUGGAUUAGCCCGAACAUUCCCACUCUAGGAAUGCAGUCUAUCCCUACCGACGCCCGUAAGCCAUCUCGAUUACCGCACGAGCGGAACACUAAAGGUCGCGUUAGGCCCUAACUCCGAAGUGCCGGCCUUGUUACGGGAGCGACCCUCGACAAGCAUGUAGAAUGCAGCACAAAUGGCAAGCAAGCAUAGUCCAAAGUCUCAAGUAUCCAAUCACUCAUGUCUGACUAACAUGGUAUUAUCACUAGCAUCCGAAGAGUCUAGUUUAAGUCACAAUUGUGAAGUUUCAACAAUUGUAACGCCUAGUGCCCCUUGAUGAACUUAGCAAUUUGAUGGUUCAACAUGUAUUCCAAAAUCCCUCAAAAUGGCCUAUCACUAGGAGUCACACAUGUCCUUGAGCUGCAAUGGCCUCUUGAUGACAUUAGGGGUCUAUUUCACAUACCUUUUAAAUGGCAAUCUUAGUCAACUUUCAUGUCACAAUAAACUUAGGUUUAAAUGCAUGAGAUCCAAUUGUAUUUACAUUAUAGGAAGCUAUGAAACCGCAUCUCGUAAUAGAAAUGUAAGUGCAACCAUCGGUCAAACCAAGCUACUCUCUACUACAUAGAGGUCCAAAAUUUCAUCAUAUAUAACAUAGGCCUUUUAAGCAUUCUAAAAUUCACAAUAAAUACAUACAAUAAGAAUAUGCAUGCUUUUCCAUUUAACGAUACUUAAUUAAGCACAAAUGAGAAUUUCUCAUUGUGUGGCUAGGUCAAACCCACCGAACCGUCUCGUAGGGCUCGUUUCGCCGAACAAAGUUGUCCCCGAGUCUCAAAAUACCCUAAACGUAUUGAGCGACAAGAUACACGGGCAUUACGAUCAUCUUAUAUCAUCAAACAUUAAUCCUAGAAGCAAAAAGGGCCAGAGCUCACCUCAAGAGUAGAAAUCUUCUCCUAAGCUCCAAAAGAGAGCUAGAACCCUUCCAAUCCAAGCCCUAGGAAGGUUCUAAACCAACCAAUCAAGCCUCAAAAGCCCUAGGUUUUAAAAAGCCCAAAAUAAACCCUAAGUCUCAAAACUAGGGUUUCAUCUCAAAAAAAGCUCUAAAAUCCAAAACUAGAGGAAAGGAUCUUGCCAGUUACCUCUUAGAAGCCUCAAAACCAGCUCAAAGUCCUCAAACUUCAAGUGUCUUCCCUCAAUCAAGCUCCAAACCUAAGCUCCAAGCUCCAAAAAUGGUGAAAAUAGCUCCAAUAGGCAAAAGAGAGGAAAAAACCAUCAAAAUCCAAGCUAGAAUGAGGUCAAAUCCAAAAGGUGGAGGGGAGAGGUGCCCUACCUGGUUCUCCACUCUUCUCAGCCCACGGGAGAGCCCUAGGGGCGUGGGUGCUGUUAUAAGAAGCCCACAAUCGCAAAUAAGCCCCUGCAGAACAAACUGUGCAGNNNNNNNNNNNNNNNNNNNNNNNNNNNNNNNNNNNNNNNNNNNNNNNNNNNNNNNNNNNNNNNNNNNNNNNNNNNNNNNNNNNNNNNNNNNNNNNNNNNNAAAUAAAACGAGACAUAUUCCAAAACCAGCUAGGAAGAGUAUCUGCAAUUUUGCUUUUUGACAAAUAUAGUACUUCAAGUUGAGACUGACUUUUGAGCCAUGCUGGAAAAUUGGGACCCAAAUGGCAGGAGGCUAGUAAAAUAUAUUUAAGUUGAAAAGAAGGAACCCAAUCGUCACGAACUCGCAUAGUAAGAGAGUUGAAUGAAAGGUCUAAGUAUUGUAUUUUUCUUAGAUAGGAAAGUUCGACAUCAGAUACGACACCCUCCAAUGAAUUAUUAUAUAGAGCUAGAGAAAUUAAAUUAGGAAGUUUCCAAACUCCCGCAGGAAUUGAACCAGUGAACAAGUUUGACCCCAGAUCUGUGUCUGUUAGACUAUCCAUAUGUUCAAGCCAUCCUGAUAAAUUCCCCUUUAAGUUAUUGUAACCGAGAUACAAAGACUGUAAAUUGUUGCGCACACAUCGUGGUAGCAUCUCUACCCAUUCCAUGAUUUCCCCGCCAAAGCCGAUACUUGACAAAUCUAAUGAAGUCAAGUUGCAUAAAUAUCUUAAUGCUCUUGGAUUCAUACCUUUAAAAUAAUUACCUCCUAAUGAGAGAACAUUUAGAUUGCUCGAAUGUAGAAACUCGUCAGAAAUAACGCCGUGAAACUCAUUGGAGCUCAAGUCAAGAAAAGUGAUGCUUGUAAGAUUCCGCAGCCAUGUGGGUACAGUGGAGUUUAUGACGUUAUCUCCAAGAUCAAGCACAUCGAGAGUUGUAAGGUUGAAAUGUGACAGAGAUGUAGAAAUGCCAGGAAGUGAACAGUCAGCCAAAUGUAGCACUUUCAACGAAGGAAGCAUAUUUACAACAUGCAACCAACCUGUAGAAGUAUUCAGGUUCAUCCUGCUCAAAUCGAGAUAUUUUAAGGAAGAUAAACGAGUAAGCCACAAAAUGUCAUCAAUUCUAAGAGUGUUGCCAGAAAAAGUGAAGUCAAAACUUAAAUCAAGAUAGUGAAGUUUUGAGAGAUUUCCAAUUUGUGGAGGUAAUUUUCCACUGAAAUGUGCAUAAGAGAGGUUGAGAUAUCUCAAGUUCUCGAAUGAACCCAAGAAUGCUGGGAUGCUGGUUCCGCUGAAAUUGUUCAUGCUGAGAUCUAAGUGCUCUAAAUUGCUUAAAAGAAGUAAAGAUGGAUUGAUCUCACCGCUCAAACAUGGGCAUUCCUCGAAGACUAUUUCAUACGAGUUUCUGUUUCUGAGGUUGAGUUUCACAACAUGGCCCGUGGUAUUGCUGCAGACGACUCCCCACCAUUUACAACAAUCUUCGCCUUCCCACGAAGACAAUAAAUUCUGAGGAUCAACCAAGCCGGACUUCAACGUGAGGAGUGCGUUCCUCUCUACCUCCAUGCAACCACUCGCCACAACAACGUCGAUGGUUAAAAUCCAUAGCAAGGAGGAAAAAAUAAGAGUAGCCAUGACGCAGGUUGAGAAAAUACACAACAUCAUAAUAAGGGAAUUGAUGUGGAGUAUUUUAUGGAGAAGGCCACCCAUUUGAGCCAUAUAUAUAUAAAUGUUACAUGGUUAAGCUAUCGCAAUUCACAUCAAAAGUACGUUCCAUUAUUGUAUGGAGUCAUAAUUCUCCUGUAGGUCCUACAAGGAAAAUUAAGCUACAGUUGUGUGAUUUUCAUGGUCAUACAAAUUAAUGGNUGUUAUUGUAAAAUAUGACAUUCUCAUUAGAUGUUUUGCUUCUAAAAUCUCCCAAACUAUUAUUUGCACAAACAUAUAAAGAGAAAUUAAGGCUAGUGUUAUUAUAAUUAGCAAGAAAUUAAUUACCUUUAAUAUGGGCACCAGAUAUUGACAAGCUUUACCCCUUUUCAUAUUCAAAAACCAUAGAGAUAGGGCGAGCGACUAUGUGGGUGAAUUGCUUUAAAUGUUCUAAUUCACUGCUUUUCAUAUUGAACAAGGGAUGAAACUUGAUAUGCUGGUGGUGAAGGUAGCAUGGUGGCAAAGAGGCCAUGGACUAAAGCGGAUGCUUCUAGUAGCAGCAGUGGGAUGGAUGCUGUGGAUAGGCACUCUUCCACACUCUAUCUCGUUGCUAGAGCACAUAUAUAGAGAAAGAGGAGGGUUAGGGUUCAAAUUUGGAUUUUGUUGGAGUGAUAUGAUAAUUCAGGACAGAAGAGCGCGAAUUUCGAAAUAGUGCGCGGGAAAAGAAAAAUUAAGCGAGAAUGCACACUUGAAUAAAAUGGACGUUUUGUGGCAUAUAGUAAUGUAUGCCACUAAUUAGUAAUCAUUCAGCAACACUUUUUUUAAAAUGUUGGUAAAGAAAGUAACAUUUAAUAUUAUCUGCCUCUAAUUUAUUAUAUUUAGCAACACAAAUGCUAAAUGUCACUACAUCGUUACAUUCGGCGACAAUUAAAUAAUAACGUUACUAAAUAUUAGAAAUAGCAUUAUCCAACUAAAUGUUGCUAAUUUUUUGUUGCUAAAUCAUCAAAUUGUUGUAGCAUGCGCGAAACCAACUCUUCGCCUUUCCUUCACCUAUAACGUCUAAUUAUACUAACCUUAACCCAACCCUUCGCCUUUCCUAUGCACAUAACGUCGUCUUCCCUCCACCUAUAACAUCUAAUUAAUAGUCCACUAACCUUAAUCCAACCCUUCGUCUUUCCUACAAACAUAACGUCUAAUUAAUAGUCCACUCACCUUAAUCCAACCAAACAUAACGUCUAAUUAAUGGUUCACCUACUUUAAUCCUAAUAUAAACAGUAAAUCGUAGAAACCUACGAAAAGUCCAAUUCUCUCAUUCUCUACUUUCUUUUCCUCCUCCAUGAGCUCCGAGGCUAAGAUCAAGCACGUUAUGUGGAUGGUGUAUAAGUUUGCACGCUGCAUCGCCAAGCUUAGCGUUGCCAUCUUCAUCAAAUCGAGCUUUCCUUCAAAUUUCAGGAGUUAUUUUAAAAGAUUUAUGUAUUCUUUGUGUUGUAUCGUUGAAAUUUUUUUGAUAGUUUUAUUCAGUUUUUUAAAGUUUUUUUUAUUUGCAUGGUAUUCAAACUAAUGUGUUUGUUAUGUUGAAAAUUUAUUGUUUUUUCUUUUUCUAUCCUUUAUUUUUUAUAUUUUUUCUCGGAAAGUAAAGUUCUGUAUUAUAUUUACUGUAUUUGGUUGUGUUAAGUUGUAUAUCUUUUUGUCUCUUAAAAAUUUAUUAUAUAACUUUUCAUAUGCUUUUUUUNUCGAAGAUUCCUCGGAUAAAUGAAUUCAGAAUUUAAAUCAAGGUAGUGAAGUUUCGAGAGAUUUCCGAUUUGAGGAGGUAUUGUUCCACUGGAAUACGAAUUAGCGAGGUUGAGAUAUCUCAAGUUUUUGAGUGAACCCAAGAAUGCCGGGAUGCUGGUUCCACUGAAAUUGUUCAUGCUGACAUCUAAGUGCUCUAAAUUGGUUAAAAGAAGCAAAGAUGGAUUGAUCUCACCGCUCAAACAUGGGCAUUCCUCGAUGAAUAUAUCACACGAGUUUCUGUUUCGGAGGUUGAGUUUCACAACAUGGCCCGUGGUAUUGCUACAGGCGACUCCCCUCCAUUUACAGCAAUCUUCGCCUUCCCACGAAGACAAGAAAUUCUGAGGAUCGACCAAGCCGGACUUAAACGUGAGGAGUGCGUUCCUCUCUACCUCCAUGCAACCGCUCGCCACAACGGCGUCGACGGUUAAAAUCCACAGCAAGGAGGAAAGGAUAAGAGUAGCCAUGACGAAGGUUGAGAAAAUACACAACAUCAUAAUAAGGGAAUUGAUAUAGAGUAUUCUAUGGAGAAGGCCACCCAUUUGAGCCAUAUAUAUAUAUAUAUAUAUAUAUAUAUAUAUAUAUAUAUAAAUGUUACAUGCAUGGUUAAGCUAUCGCAAUUCACAUCAAAGGUACGUUCCAUUAUUGUAUGGAGUCAUAAUUCUCCUGUAGGUCCUACGUACAAGGAAAAUUAAGCUACACUUGUGUGAUUUUCAUGGUCAUACAAAUUAAUGGCCUGAUUAGGAUUGCAUUGAGCUUUGACUUAAAACUUAAUUUUGCUAGAAGCUAAUUUUUUAGAUUAAAAACUGAUUCUGAAUAAAGUAGUCUUAAUUAUUACGAAUAUAGAGUAUUAAUUUGGCUACGAAAUACCAAAAGCGCUGUUGUACAAAAUAUAUUGUACAACAGCUUUUGGUAAUUUAUUUUUAUAUAAUUUGUUUAACUAAAAUGGUAAGUAUAUGAGUUUAACACGCAUAUAUAGUUCAUGAUUGAUGAUAAAUCUAGUUAAAAUAUUAAAUAUAUGAUUAAUACAGUAAAAUUUAAUUAGUAAGUAAUAAUCAUAAAUUCAAGUGAAAACUACAAACCUCUCUAAACCAUUGAGCAUUUUGAGAUUCAUACCUAAGGUUUUAAAAUUUUGAUUUUAUUAUCUAACUUCAUAUUUUUGAUGAUUUCGAAAAAAAAAAAGAAAGAAUACUAGAAUUGAGUACUCUACAGUAAAAGAGGAUUAGAGAAUAUUCCCAAAAACUAAGAAUAUUCUGUUAUACUAUAAAAAUUCUCAGCAGAACAAAUCAAAGUUACUAUUAGAUUUAGUAUAAAUUUAAAUUACAUACAUUUUAAAAUUAGAUAGCUUAAAUAAAAAUGUCCAAAGUUUAAGUCUUUUUAAGGAAGGGUCAAUGAUGGAAAUUUGUACGACCAACGAAUAAUGAUUCCAGUUUUUCUUUCUCCCAUUAAAAUCAUGAUAGGGAUUCAUAUGACCAAAAAAAAAUCUUAAAGUGCCUUUAAAAAAAUUUAAAAAUGGCAAAAUUACACUUUUUGUUUCUCAAAUUAUGAUGUGCGUGGCAUUUUGGUUCUCAAAAUUUAAUUUAAUAUAGUUUCUGGCUCAAACUCUAUAAAUUAAUAAAAUCAAGCCCCACCGCCUAAUUUAACGGACUAAAUAUUGACGUAUCGCCAAUAUGAAAGCUAUAUGAUAUCUUAAUUAUUGUUCUGUCAUUAAUCACAAUACGGUCACGUCAAUUAUACAUUAGCAAUGCAUUAUUAAUAUUUCAUCAUUUAAAUUGGGUUAUAGGACUAAAUUGCAACAACUUAGAGAGUUUGAACGAGAAAUUGGAAUUAAUUAAAGUUUAAUAACAAAACUCUCACGCCUGAAAAUUUGAGGACCAAAAAUAUAAUUUAGCAUUUUUUUAGGGCACUUUCUGAAGACUAUUUUCCUGGCCAUAUGAAUCCCUAUCAUGAUUUUAAUGGGAGAAAGAAAAAAAACCUAGAAAUAUUGUUUGUUGGUCAUACAAAUUCCUAUCAUUGAGUCUUCCUUAAAAGGACAGGUAUUUAAGGGAUGAAAACAGAUCAGAUACGGUCAGAUAUUCGACGAAACUGUAUCUGCAUUUUUUUUUGUUUUUUUAAUAUGAGCUCAGAUGUGUAUAUAUUUCAAAUGCUAAAAUUUUCUUAUUAUUUGGAUAUGAUAAAAUAUUUCAUAGGAUUCGAAUAUGGAUCUGAUUUGUGUUCGGGUAUUAUUUUAAUCAGAAUCAACACAUUAUUAUUAUUUGGUUUAGAAAAAUUUACUUGUCCAAAAAAAAUAUUUAAAAUAGAAUUCACAAUUUAAAAUAUAAAAAUAGAUUACACACUCAAAAAUAGAAAUUUUAAAAUUUUAAUUUUAAUUCAUUAAUUUGUAUUCGAAAUUUAAUUCGCAAUUUAAAUGUAAUUUUGUUAGUUCAAAUUUGAAUUCAAAAUGGUGCAUUUAAUUCACAAUUUAAAUAAUGUCAAAAAUAAAAUUUUAAAAAAUAAAUUUUAAUUAAAGGUUAACAUCAAAUUUUAAAACUAUAUCUAAAAUGUAAAAAUCAAACAUAUAAUUAUAUUUAAAAACAAACCACUAAUGUGGGCUCCCCACACCCCUGACCUGAGGAUUAGCCCCAUACCAUGUAAAUUGUGAACUACAUCACACUCUUUGUUAUUCACCUACAAAAUUUAAUUAUUAGUAGUAUUCUAGCUUAGUUCUAAUAACAUAUAUACAUAUUAAUUGUUGAUUAUUCAUAUUUGUAUUCAAUUUUUCGGAUAUCCGAAUAAUUUUAAAUUCUUUGAAAACCAUAUCAGCAUCCGUAUUCAACUAGAUCCGGAUAUUAUUAAAUAUGCAUGUGGUAAGGUCGGAUAUUAUCUAAUUCAUUUUCGACGCUAGAGAUGCAAACGGAGUAGAUCUAGAGGCAGAAGAGUCCCCAUGUCCCGCUCUGCUUCUUGUCAAGUCGAGGUCGAUUUGAAGCGGUUUAACUUUAAUCCUAUUUUGGCGCCCACAUACCGUUCCAUUCGGGGCGAAUCAGGACGGAAACGAACUUUUGGUGGAUUUUACUUUUCACUUGUCUAUUGGUCUUUUUUGAUCCCGCAAAUUCCAACACGAGGCAAGACGAAAGAGUAUACUCCACUACUAGUCCCAAAAAAGACAAAAGAAGAAAGGAUAUAUUGCACUACUAGUCCUUCAAUUUUUAAAUUCGACUUUCAAAACUCUGAACUUUCAACGAUAUUUCAUUUUCAAUUCUGAACUUUCAGCAAUGUUUUAUUUCAGAUCUCUUUCUCAGAAUAAAACUUAUUGGUUGUACCAAUAGGCAAUAGGCAUCAUAGACACGGACACGGACACGAAGUAUGAAACACAGCACUACUUGGGCACCAUGACUAAACAGCUCCAAAAAAUUAAAACACAGACACGAGAUAGACACCACUAUUAUUAAUAUAAUAACAUAUAUUUAUUAUAUAGAAAAUAUUAACUUUGUUAAAAUAUUAUUAUAUUUCUGAAUAAAAGUUAAUAAAAUUCUCAUUAAUAUUUGAGAAAAAANUGUCUCUACCUAAAUUUCCAAAUAAUUCAAGUCAAUUUGAAUAUUCCUCCAAUGACUUCAAAUGUCUAAAAAAAUAUAUAUUUACGUUGUUUCUCUUUCGCACCUUAUCACAUUAUUUUUGUAUGACCAAGAGUCCAACAGAAGAGUUAAAAAUGUCUUUUUAAGAAAGAGUCAAUGAUAGAAAUUUGUAUGGCCAACAAAUAAUGUUCCUAAUUUUUCUUUCUCCUGUUAAAAUCAUGAUAGGGAUUCAUAUGACCAGGAAAAAAAAAUCUUAGGGUAAAUUACACUUUUGGUCCUCAAAUUAUAAUGUUUGUGAUCGACAUUUUGAUUUUCAAAGUUUAAUUUAUGAUUGUUGGGGAACAAACCGCAACGAACUUCGAUUGUGACUAAAUCUAACUAAUUUUGUGAUUAAAUAAAUAAAACCUACUUACCGACAAUCGCUAAAUUCCAAAAAAAAUUGUGGAAGAAGAAUAUCAAAUUAAUUUGAUCCGGAAGCGUGCGAGGCACUGUCCUAAGGCGUAUUUCCGUCCUUCGUGCGGGAUUAACCGGAAACACCGCCCCAAGAUACGACCGGAACCCCUCCUCCUACGGACACGAACGCGGAAGAGGUUGACGAAGCUUCUUUCAACACCCAGCGAUAAAACGAUCAAAUGAAGUGGAUGAAAUUAGUAAAGAGAAAAUUAAAAUUAACUCAUGAAAAAACUAUUCUGUCAAUGAAGCUCUCAUCCAUUCAUUCGCAUGAACAGGGAGAGGGCCAUACGCACACCUUAAAUCCAAUGAGAUAAUUAGAACGUUGGAUGCCAACUGUUCUUCUCGAAACGGAUGCGCGAUGGACGCGCGAACGUGCGGGGAGCGGAGCGUGUAGGGAGCCGGAUCGCAAGCCGCAACGUCCGAAAAAUAAAUUCUCCGUUUAAUAAUAAAUUAAAUAAUAUAAUGAAAAAAUUAAUUUAAUUAAAUAAUGAGGAUUUUGAACUUUUCAUCAACAAUGAUAACUUCUGGUUAAAACUUUAUAAAUUAUUACAAUCAAACUACAGAAUCUAAUUUACUUGUCUAAGUAUUACCGUAUUGCCGUUGUGGACGUAAUAUGACAUCUUGCUCAUUGUCCUGUCAUCAUGCAUAACAAUAUCACAUCAUUUGCAUAUUUGCGACACAUUGAUAUUUAUUCAACUAAAUUGGGAUGUGGAGUUUGAUUGCAACAACUUAGAUAAUUCGAGUGACACAUUAUAACAAAUUAAAGUUUGAGGAUCAAAUCGUAUAGCGUGUCUCAUGGUUUGAGACCAAAAUUGUAAUUUAGCUUUUUUGUUUUUAGGCACCUUCUAAAGAUUCUUUUUCCAGUCAUAUGAAUACCUAUCAUGAUUUUGAUAGAGAAACCAAAAACCUUAGAAACAUUGUUUGUUGGCCAUACAAAUUCCUAUCAUUGACCCUUCCUUCAAAGAAUAGGUAUUUAAGGGAGGAUAACGGAUCGGAUACGAUCGGAUAUUUGAUGAAACGAUAUCUGCAUUUUUUUUUUUUUUGAAUAUAAAUUCGGAUGGGUAUAUAUUUCAAAUGCUAGAUUUUUGUUAUUAUAUCUACUAAAAAUGAAUUUGGGUACGACCAAAUACUUCGUAGGAUUUGAAUAUGGAUCUGAUUUGUAUUUGGGUAUUAUUUUAAUGAGAAUCAAGACAUUAUUAUUGUUUGGUUUAGAAAAAUUAAAUUGUCCAAAAAAUUUAUUUAAAAUAGAAUCACAAUUUAAAAUAUAAAAUUAGAUUACACACUCAAAAAUAGAAAAUUUAAAAUUUGAAUUUUAAUUCAUUAAUUUGUAUUUGAAAUUUAAUUCUGUAAUUUUGUUAGUUCAAAUUUGAAUUCAAAAUGGUGCAUUUAAUUCACAAUUUAAAUAAUGUCAAAAUUAAAAUUUUAAAAAACUAAAUUUUAAUUAUAGGUUAAAAUCAAACUUUAAAACUAUAUCUAAAUUUAAAAAUCAAACUUAUAAUUAUAUUUAAAAACAAACUACACCCCUGACCUGAGGAUCUAGCCCCAUACCAUGUAAAUUGUGAACUACAUCACACUCUUUGUUAUUCACCUACAAAAUUUAAUUNAAAAAUUUUAAAAAAAUAAAUUUUAAUUAAAGGUUAAAAUCAAAUUUUAAAACUAUAUCUAAAUUUAAAAAUCAAACUUAUAAUUAUAUUUUAAAACAAACUACACCCCUGACCCUGAGGAGCUAGCCCCAUACCAUGUAAAUUGUGAACUACAUCACACUCUUUGUUAUUCACCUACAAUAUUUAAUUAUUAAUAGUAUUCUAGCCUAGUUCCAAUAACAAAUAUACAUAUUAAUUGUUCAUUAUUCAUAUUUGUAUUCAAUUUUUUGGAUAUCCGAACAAUUUUAAAUUCUUUGAAACUAUAUCAGCAUCCGUAUUCGACUUGAUCCAAAUAUUAUUAAAUAUGUAUGUGAUAAGGCCGGAUAUUAUCUCAUCCAUUUUCGACGCUAGAGAUGCAAACGGAGCAGAUCUAGAGGCAGAAAGGGUCCCCACGUCCCGCUCUGUUUCUUGUCAAGUCGAGGUUGAUUUGAAGCAGUUUAACUUUUAUCCUAUUUUGGCGCCCACAUACCGUUCCAUUCGGGGCGAAUCAGGACCGAAACGAACUUUUGGUGGAGUUUACUUUUCACUUGUCUAUUGGUCUUUUUUGAUCCCGCAAAUUCCAACACGAGGCAAGACGAAAGAGUAUACUCCACUACUAGUCCCAAAAGAGACAAAAGAAGAAAGGAUAUAUUGCACUAUUAGCCCUUCAAUUUUUAAAUUCGACUUUUAGAACUCUAAACUUUCAACGAUGUUUCAUUUUCAAUUCUGAACUUUCAGCAAUAUUUUAUUUCAGAUCUCUUUCUCAGAAUAAAACUUAUUGGUUGUACCAAUAGGCAAUAGGCAUCACAAACACGGACACGGACCAGAUGUAUGGAACACGGCACGACUUGGACACGAUGACUAGACAGCUCUAAAAAAUUAAAACACAGACAUGAGAUAGACACCACUAUUAUUAAUAUAAUAAUAUAUAUUUAUUAUAUAGAAAAUAUUAACUUUGUUAAAAUAUUAUUAUAUUUCUGAAUAAAAGUUAAUAAAAUUCUCAUUAAUAUUUGAGAAAAAAAAUUCUCCUUUAUACAUAAUUUAUUUAUAUUGUCCACAAAAAUUUAUAUGCAUUCAUCAAAACGCCAAAAUAUCCAUAAACUUCCAAUAACAUUUUGGUUUAGGUCUCCUACUAGAAUAAAAUUUUUUGUUUGUACCUGCUUCAUCUAUGGCUAUGUUUGUUUCGUCAAAAGUAGAGAAAUAUCCAUUUUCACUGCUUCGUUUACUGCUACUUCACCUUCUGUCGAAACUCAAACUCUCCAAAAUAGCAUAAUUACUUCGUCCCACCUCAAGCCUAAGUUAAUUACGAAAAACAAAAAGAGUAAGAAAAGGAAUAAAAAAAUAUUAAUUUAACUCUCACACUUCUAACAUUUAUGUCAUUAACUUCCUGCUAUAGGAAUAACCAAAAUGGGAGAACUCGAGUUACACAACUAUACAAAUAAACACCAAAAAAAAAAUAAUAAUAUUUUUUACCGGAACUAUAAUUCAUCCGUAAGUCUAUCUAAAUCUGAACUUCACUUUUGGUGAAACAAGAAAGCCCUAUAUGCCUAGACGCCACGACUCUGUGACAUCCCAAUAGUCCCAUAUUGAAUAAGAAUAAGAUUGUGACUGUACAUAUAAGACAUCAUGAAGAUUAAUAAUAAUAAUAAUUAGAUUUAAGUACUUUAAGCAGAUAGUUUGAGUCUAAUAAAUUAUUAUUGCUACCAAGUCGUGUCUAUGUUGUGUACUUCAUCGAUUUUAUACUUCAAAUUUUAUAAAACCAAACAACUUUAUCAAACUUAAAAGUUUAAGGGCCAUAACAAAAUUUGAAUCCAAGUUCCCUGAAAAAUAAGUAUAACAAUUAACAAAGUAGAAUCAAGGUAAUUUUGUCACCCACGCUCAUUAUAUGCGAAAGGAAAUAUAAUUCAUGAGUUUUAAGAACUAAAGUAGGAUCGAACUAGAGAUUGAAUCCAAGUUCUCUUUUUAUUAUCCAUUUUACUAAUUUUUUCGUUAAAUCAGUGACAAAGUUAAAACUAAAUGAUACUAAAGUGAAUAUUCGAUAAACCUAGAUAGGGUAUCUGAAAUUUUUUGUUUAUAAUUUAACGAAAUAUUAAUGGAGGAAAAAAAAAUAAGUGACAAAGUUAAAACUAAAGGGUACUAAAGUAAAUAUUCGAUAAAUCUAAAUAAGGUAUCAGAAGUUUUUUGUAUAUAAUUUAACGAAAUAUUAACAGAGGAGCCGACAAAAAAUGAAAAAUGAAACCACAGAGUACUAAAUUGAUGAACUUUAAACCACAUGAUACUAAAGUAAGAAAGUGUAAAACCACAGAGUACUAAAUUAAUACACUUUAAAUGAAGAGUAUUAAAAAUGCGAAACUACAUGGGUGGUAUUUGAAGUUUUCUCAAAAAAGAAAAAGAAAAGUAGAAACUUCCAAUAGCUCCCAUGCAAUUCAGCAAACUUUUACUUUGUUGUCUAGUGGUUUAAGAAAUUAACGCUUAAUUUGCUCUCCUGUACUUUUUUUAAAAAAAAUUUAUCUAUUGUAAGGACCUGCAGUUAAAUUGGAUAACAAAAUGGUAUAAUUUACAAAUGAUAAGGUAAUAAUAUAAUGAGUCCGGCUGCUAUACUUUUAUGAGUAUAGAGCCUAUUGUACUCAUAAGUUUUUGGCCAUUAGAUCUACCCUUUAAUCAUUUUCAACCGUUAGAUUAUACUAUUAAACCAACCACCCACUCAACCCUAGGGGGUCCACUAUCAAUCUAACCGUAACCACUUUCAUCCUAACCACACAUUUUUUCAUCUGAACGGUCAAAAAUUUAUGAGUACAAAGGGCUCUAUACUCAUAUGAGUAUAGUAGGCCUAGCCAUAAUAUAUAAUACUUUAUAAUUAAAUUACAGUCCGGUAAAAUGGAGCAUAUUACCAGCAAAUAAUUUUAACUUCACUUCUUAUUCUUGUUACAGUUUAGAGCAAAAAAUGUUGCCUAUACCUAUCCAGUGUUAGAUCACACAUUCCAUAUCCUAAUUUCACUCCAAUUAGGGUAAAACCUUUUCUCUAUCUAGGAAUUACACAAUUCGAUUGAAAAUAUGAAGUGAAUGGAACGCUGACGAAUUCAUAGUGCACAAGGUCUCUUUGUUUCAUCCAAAGUGAAAAGAAUUUGAACUAAUUUUUAGCCAUAAAUAUCUACUUUUAUUGUUUGGUUCAUUAAAAAUUAUGUUUAGUCUUUCCAGGUAGUCGUAAUUGGCUUCACUCGGGCUUGUGGUGAAACAAAUUAUGGGAGGAAAAUUGAUAGAAAUUUUUCGCCGAAAGAAUGGGAGAGAUCUACUUCCAAGACAUCAAAAUGAAAAUUUUUGGUGAAACAAAUACAAAAAAUGGGAGAGAUCUAGUUCCAAAACAUCAAACAAACAGCAAUGAAAAAAUAAUUUUUACUUAAACUUCAAUUCAAUUGAAAGUCAUUUUCAAUCUAAAAAUCAGCUGUGGGCAGAGAAACAGAGCCAAAGAUAUGGAUGGAUUAAGUUCAUGCAAUAAUCUUAUCAGUAAAAGUGGAAAGUGAAAAGUGAAAUUUUUCCACAGUAUUUAAAAUGGUAUAAGAGCAGAAGAUCUGAAAUUCGAGUUUCACUUGAUUCCUCAAUUUAUUUAAUUUUCUCUCAAUCAAUUCAAUUUCACGUUUGGGCAUGUUAAAAAGUCUCAAGUGUGGAUUAAUAUAAACAAUAUUGUAAUCGUUUCACUUUCUAAGUAAGCAGAGAUCACAGUGUUGGGCGAUGUAGAUCAUAUCAUCUUUAUCAAUUCAAGUCGAUAGGCCAUAUUCCCAAUGCCACUUUCAUGAAAAAAAAAAAAAAAAAAUUCUGGAGAACAUGCGUGAGGAAUAAUGUUGAGUUCGAAUUCUGCUAGGCGCAUUACUUUGUUUAAUUUUCUCCUAUUAAAUUCAAUUUUACAUUCUAAACUUAUCAAAAAAUCUCAGAUGUUUAAUCUAUUUGUUUCACAUUAUUAAGCUUCUGGAGAAUAAUAAUUAUCGAUAAACUAUUUUACAGUAGUUAUAAAGAAUUAAAGAAGAAAUUGUUGAACAAACGUUGGAAUGCCGUGCCCACAUCUUUUCCUAUCAGGCCAGGAUUGCAUUGCAAACUAGUACAACAAUGACAAGAGUUAAAAAGACUCACUAUCGAUACAUCUAAUUAACAACGUAAAAUUUCUGUUUAUUAUAAAAAUAAAAAGCUAACAAUAAUUACAAAGUUGAUAAAUUUCAAGAACAAAUAUAGGAAAACAGCUAAAACACAGCACAAAUUUUAUUUAUCCACCAUUUCAUAUACUGAUUGCUCAAUUUCCCCACCUCCUCAUCAACCUAGCGUGAGUUAAUGCGACUGCAACAUAAAGCCUAUCAUACAUGGUAUCAAUCAAAUUGAAAUAACCAUACCUGAAAGAUUUGCUGAUUAACAAAGCACCACAAAUCGCCCAAAAUCCCGUGAUAAAUCCCAAAAUCACACUGACAGAGAGCCAUAAUCUUUCAAACUUGUCGAAUCUAUCUGCAGUCCCUUCGCUUAAAUCGUGAACUGAUUCAUUUGUAGAGCAAUUUUUAGUAGUCGGUGGUCCACAAAGAUAUGGAUUGCCAAUGUAAAUGGACGGGUCAGGAAGGGUUUGCAGUUGAUUUCCUGUCGGAAUUGGUCCUGAUAGAUUAUUGUAUGAUAAAUUUAAGUGAUUCAAAUAAGUCAAUGCGGAGAGACUUUGUGGAAUAGUGCCGGAAAGAUUGUUCAUUCGAAGGUCAAGAGAUUCCAAAGACUUCAUUUUGCCGAUAUUCUCUGGGAUAUUUCCUGAUAAAUGAUUUCGCGACAAAUUUAAGUUUUGCAGUGCCCACAAAUCUCCAAUCUCGUCAGGAAUCUCCCCAAAUAAAUUAUUAUCAGAAAGAUCUAUGCUCUCCAUGAGGUCGAGAAUGUUCGAAAAGAGUCGUUCGGCCCCUUUAAUAACAAACAAAAAACUAGCUGAAAAGCCAAAGAAUGUUCCUUGCUCUAAUUCUUCCGUACCUUUUGUCUUUCCACCUUUUUGCAAAGCCAUCCAACUGAAAUUGCCAAUAGACCGGGGUAUAAUUCCCGAUAGAUUGUUAUGAGAUAGAUCCAACACUUGAAGAUAUCUAAGCUGUAGAACUUGUGGGGGAAUGCUACCAGAAAACAUAUUUGAAUGCAAGCCAAGAAUCAUGAGGGAUGACAAAUUUUUUUCACCAAUCCAUGUUGGUAUUGCUCCGGAGAACUUGUUAUGCCCAAGGUCAAGAAAAAUUAACUGUCUACAAUAUUGCAAGGAAGAAGGAAAUUCUCCUGACAAGCUAUUGUUGUCCACAUUUAAUAAUGACAAACCAUCUAAAUGACAAAUAGAGUCAGGGAUGCUCCCAGAAAGAUUAUUGUUGGACACAUCUAUAAUAAAUAGACUCAUCUCUUGUAUUCUCCCUAAACAUUGAGGAAGUUCUCCAGAUAGGUUGUUCCUUGAUAGAUCGAGAAGCAUUAAUUCAAGUGAUUUGCAUAAAGAGUGUGGUAUAGUACCAUCAAAACUAUUAUUAGAGAGAACCAAGUAAUUUAAAUCUGGUAAUAUAGAGGAUGGUAAUGGACCUUCAAAGAAAUUAUUAGAGAGAUCCAAAAACAUAAUAGUAGGCGGUAAAGACGGCAAUGGGCCUUCAAAUUGAUUAAAGCUCAAAUUCAACGAGUUUAUCAUCGUUCGGUCCAAUGGUAAUGGCAAAUUCCCCUUGAUCUGAUUAUUGGAUAAAUCUAAAAUUUCGAGUUGUGUCUGUCCUUGCAUCCAAGUUGGAAAUUUCUGUGCCAGCCGGCACGACGCCAAUCCAAGUUCUUUGAGUUGGAAAGAAGGAACCCAAUUAUCACUAAAUUGAACCGUUAUGGAGUUAUUUGAAAGGUAAAGUUCUUUUAUUCCUCCAAGAUAAUUAAGUUGGACCUCAGAUAUUACACCCUCUAAUGAAUUACUAGAAAGAUCCAAAUAUGUAAUAUUAGGAAGCCUCCAUACUCCUACUGGGAUGGUACCGGUGAGUGAGUUGUGCCUCAAAUCUAUAGUAGUUAGACUCAUCAUUUUUUCUAGCCAUCCUGACAAAUUCCCGUUUAAAUUGUUUAGCGGCAAAUACAAGUUUUGUAGCUUAUAAAUUGUGCAUCCUCCCAACGGGUCGAUCCAUUCUGAAAUAUCCCCACUGAAGCCAAUUUCGUCCAAAUCCAAAGUAAUCAAGUUGCAAAGCUUGCGGAAUGCUCUUGAAGACAUACCUUUGAAAUUAUUACCAUGUAACGAAAGAACAUUGAGGGAUUCCAAGCAGCUAAAUUCAUCAUGAAUAAAUCCAUGUAAUGUGUUGUAUGAAAGGUCCAGAUGAGUGAUGCGACUAAGAUUCCACAGCCAUUUAGGUAAGGUAGAGUUGAUGAGGUUAACACUUAGAUCAAGCACUUUGAGAGAUGUAAAGUUGACGUACGACAGAGACGUGGGAAUUCCAGAAAGAAAACAGUCUUCCAAAUGAAGCACUUCUAAGGAUGGAAGCAUGUUUACUACUUGGAGCCAAUUUGGAACUGUACUCAAAUUCACUAUACUCAUAUCAAGAUACUUCAAAGAAGACAGAUGGGUGAGCCACCACAUGUUAUCUACACUAAUCAGGGGAAAAAUAGAAUUUUGUGCAUUGAGAUCGAGAUAGCGGAGAUUUGAUAGAUUUCCAAGUUGAGCAGGCACGAUUCCAUUGAACCAUGCAUUGGAGAGGUUAAGAUAUUUCAACUUUUGCAAAGAACCUAUAUGCGUGGGAAUGCUGUUACCGUAAAAAUUAUUCAUGCUAAGAUCUAAAUGCUUUAGAUCACUCAAAAGAGACAAAGAUGGUUUGAUCUCACCACUCAAUGAUAAAUUUCCAAGUUUGAGCUUCACAACAUGGCUCGUCGUAUUGCUGCAGAUGACUCCCGCCCAUUUACAACAAUCGCGGCCUUCCCAUGAAGACAAGAAGUUGUAUGGAUCGGUUAGACCAGCUUUAAAGCUGAGAAGUGUGUUUCUCUCUCUCUCAAUGCACCCCAUUGCCCUAAUUGCUUGGAUACCCAGAAUCAAAAGCAAGAAAGAAAGAAUAAAAGAAGCCAUGCAUGCUAUGUUUGCUCCAAACAAAUGGGCUAGUAAUUGGUUGUUGAGUGCAUACACACUCACACAAAUUGCCACACUAUUUAUUGAUGAGAACGUGAAAACAACCUUUAAAUUUUAGCAUAGUAUUCUUCGAAAGAGUCUUCUCUGUAACAUAUAUAUAUUUAUUAAUUAUAGGAAUAUAGGCUUACUUGGAAAGUGUAAUAGAUAUACUCUAUCCGUACUAUAAUUCUAGUGAGCUAUAUAAGAUCGCAAAGAACAAAUUAAAAAUAAUACAAUUACUUCAUAUUGUAUUAUAUUUUACAAAAAUUCUGUUAUUAUAUUUGCAUACGCUAUAUAUUUUACUUUUUAAUUAUAUGUUAUUAUUUUAAUAUAGACGGAGAAUAGUCUCGUUUACUUUGGUCGAUGGGGUUGCCCUCGUAUUUAAUCCAGUGAUGCAUGACAUUAUUCAUUUGAAAUUUUUGGCGUAGAUUUUUCGAUUCCAACUUACCUUUCACAUUUACGGUGGGAUAAGUAAUUAAUUAAUUUAUUAUUUUAAGUAGACUUUUCUUGUUGGGUGGUGUAUAUAUAAGCAUAAAGUCACUUUUAUGUAUGCAUGUGCAGUUGCGUUUGCCCAGAAAUUAUUGCAUGCGCAUGGUGUAUGGAUACGCCCCAUAAACCUAUGGGAUAAUUUUGAUAAAACAUCAGUUGGAUCUCCCCAACGAGGCCUCACUGGGGAGCCCUCGAUCCUCUGCUGCCAUGUGUUAAUUUUAUCUGGAUCCAAGUUGCAUGGUACACAAGAUGUUUAUAAUACUUAAAUAAAGAAUAAGAUAUUUUUUAACUAUAGAGGAAAGAAUUAUAACCCUCGGUAGAGACAAAACUCAGCAAAUCGAUCGGGCUCCUUAUAAACGAGGUUUUGUCGGAGAGUUCCUCACUGAAGUUUUUUUGGAUAAUUUCUAAGGUUUUUAAAUCUGAUACCAAUCACGACCCGAAAAUAAUGCAGGAUCACGAAUCACUAGUUGAAAUAGAGGUUCGACUGCUGGUUUGAAUGAUUUCAGCACAAUGUUAUGAACAUCUAGUUGUUAAUUUUUAAUAUUUAUAUAAUAAAAAAAUAUAUAUUGUUUAAUAUAUUUAUGUUAUUUUUAUGAUGAACCUGCAUUUGUACGUACCCUUGUAAAGUUGCGAAAAUUUCUAUGUGCUCUUCAUUUCAAAUAUACCCCUAAAAAGUUUUUUUUUAAUUUAUAUUACCCUAUUUAUUGCAAAAACAUUGGGUUUUAGGAAGGAUAUAUAUAUAUAUAUAUAUAUAGAGAGAGAGAGAGAGAGAGAGAGAGAGAGAGAGAGAGUAGGACUGCUGUGCUUUAAGGAGCACGAAGGCCUCCGUGCUCCUGUGCCGUUUUCGAUAUAUGAUGACUAAUUUGCUUGUUAUGCUUAAUUUGCUUCAAUUAAACGAGCUACUUGAAUGAAUGCACUCUCACACAAAUAUUGCUAGACUAUUUAUUGACGAGGCCGGCCUUGGAAACAACCUUCCUAGAAUUUAGCAUAUCACUUUACCAAAAAAUCUUUUCUGUAACAGACAUUUUACACAGAAAUAUCCUUAUGUCAUUAGCUAAUCUGGUCCCAAUUCCUGGAAUAAUCCGUUAGGGGUGGGGUUAACAAACACCAUUCUUUGAAAAUCUUGUUUGGGGACUAAGGGAGGAAUAACCCCUUAUCCCCCCCUCCUAACACCCAACCAAACACCACCUUAAGGUUUGUAAGAAAGUUGAAAACUUCAUAGGACUAUACAGGCAAUUGCCCUAUUUUUAAAUAUUAUUGUACUAUAUAUAGAGUUAAACUUAUAUCUAAAUUGCAUAUUGUUAAAAAAAUAAUGCAUAUUUAUAAUUAAUAAUUAAUUAAAAUAUAUAACAAACAUAAAUUCGUCUGAUUUUUGUAAAAUUAGAUAGGUUCACCUAUUCACCGGUUGAAGCACCGAACGGGUCAAAAGGGACACGGAUUUUAGAAAAUUAAAAUGAGCGAGACAUUAAUCACAAGAAAUAAAAUGGUCAUAUUAUGACAAUUUACAUUAUGUUAACACUUCUACAACAGUUUUUAGCAUGCUAUCCGUUUCGUUUAUUUCAUUUAAAAAUAAACUUAGUUAGAAAUAUGAAUCAACUAGGAUUCGAACUUAGGACCUCGAAUACCAAUAAACUUAGUUAGAAAUAUGAAUCAACUAGGAUUCGAACCAUCAAGCCAUUUGCCAUUUGCACUAGGAACAGGCAGUACACUUGUACAAAAGUUUGAAAACAAAACCUGCAGGGACCACGUUGCAAUAUCAAAAUAUAUAGUACUGGGACCAUGCCAUACGUUUUUCUCUUUAGCAUAGUCAAGUCAACAUGAUAGCUAGGCUCCCUUCAAUGAAUCAAAUUAAGCACGGCAACGACUCAGGUCAAAUAAAAUUUCACUUUUUCCAUUUUAUUUACAAAAUUUAAUAAGUGCAUAGAAACAUAAGAGUCGUCUUAUUAAAUUCGCGUCGUUUCUAAAAUAGAUGGACAGUGUGAUUCAAGUAUCAUUCAAGUAUUAGAGGAGAUUCACGAUGAGUACCUAAUCACUUCUUUUACUAUUAAAAAAGUGGAUAUCCUCUUUUAGAAAUUUGUGAAGCAUAUGUUAGCACAACAUUAUUCAAAGAGUCAAGGAUUAAGUGUGGACUAGUUUUGCCCGAAUGUGAAGUUACGAUUGAAAUCGAUUUUUAGUUGAACAAGUGAAUAUUUUUUCUUUCCUAUUGUUUGUUUCUAUUAUCACGCGCGGAGCUAAAGUUUCCUUAGUCCUAUAAUUUGUUUGCUAAAAAGUCAAUAACGUAAAAACUAAAAUUCUCAAUUUUCUAUACUUAUUUUAUCGAAAACUGUAUAAUUCCUACCUUUAAUUAAUAUUAAAGGGGCAAAAAUAAGUUUCGCCACAUUAGUAUUUUAUUAGUUUUUUUCUCUCUCUUUUUCUGAUCUAUAUUUGACUUGGGCCAACGGUGAGCCAAAAUCAGUUACAUUAUUUAAAAAAGAAUUAUUAUAUCACUAGCUAAAACUUUAUAUUUUUUGCAAUUAACCACGUAAGUAUAUAUCCAUACAAAUACAUAAUUUGAUGAUUGUAAUAGUAGACGUGGCAAAAAUUUAUGCCUCCACGUCAUUCAUUUUCUCUUUUCUGCCUAAAGCCUUUUUUUGCCUUUUCUGACUAUUCCUUUUUCUCUUCUGCGUAAAGUCUAACCUAAAAACUCUAAACCCAACCUAAAAUCUAAUUUUACUCUCUUUCUCAUUCCAAAAAAUUUUGAUUCCUUUCCGAGGUUGGACCAAAAGUUGGACCAAAUUGGACCAUUUUUCAAGACAGGUGCUUAUUCCCGAGGUUUAGCCCCCUUCCCCCCUCUCUCUCUCUCUCUCUCUCUCUCUCUCUCAUCUGUUGGCUCCCAGUUUUCUCUCUCUCUGAUAUGCUGGCUCCUCAGUUUCUCUCUUUUUUCCCCCUCUCCUAUGCUCUCUCUCUCUCUUCCCUUCUCCUCUAAAUCUUAGCCCCCCUUUCUCUCUCGCUGCCGCCCGAGGUCGGCGUGGGCAGCGGGGGCGUCGAGGGCGGAGAUGUCCGCCGCCGAGGGGAGGGCCGACGCGCGGGUGGAGAUAGCGCGGCUGCGAGAGGGAGUAGUUGUUAAGUAGCAGGACUUGGUGUUGGUUGAGUCGCAUCGUGGGCACUUGAGCGACUGAGCGACGGAUCUGGCUGCGGAAUCUUCGCGAGACGAGCGCAGUGCGCCAUCGAGCCAGGCCGGGUAGGGCCGCCGGCCGCACCUGCCAUGCUCGGGGCCUGAGGAGGCGGAGGCGGAGGCGUUCCCCUUCCUCCAGAUGGCGUUCGCCCAGGAGGAGAAGGGGCCGGGGCCGGGGCGACGCGCGGCGAAGAUCCCGUGGUGGAUCAGGAAGACGGCGUCGAUCUGUCCCAUCUACGGUGGCUCGCGCGUGUUGCUCGCGUGGUUCGCGGGGGAGGAGGCGCUGCAGCUGGAGGCGCUGGACGACGAGGACGUCAUCUGCGGGUCCCACGCCACGAUCGAAGGGUUCCUGCCGCUCCAUGUCGACGGCACCACCUGCAACGGGACCGGCCCGAGCCCGAGUCGAUGGAUGAUCGCGCGGGUGAGGCGGAGCCGGUGGGGGACGGACCCGCUCUUCCUCCGGACGUACAGCUGUGUGGCCGUAGGAUCGAACGGGGACGACCUGGAUCUGAUGGCGGAGCCUCUGCUACGUGGAGUGGGGGAGUGGGGGCGGCGCCCCUACAAAUACUGUUCGGUGGUGAGGCGACACACCGGACGCAUUACUCGACGACACACGGGACGUAUUUUAGCGACAUUCGGGAGGCCAACAGGCUGCUACAGCACUACAACCAACAUUGUUGAUCAGUUUGGAUUUGAUAUUAAUAUUCCACUAUUAGAUUUAUCAAAUCUAAUUAAGUUCCACUGUUAAUCAAUAACAAAAUCUCAACCAACAUAUGUAUACAUUAAUCAUACUUUCGAGACAAUAGACGUGGCAUAAUUUUAUGCCUCCACGAUCCUUUCAUUUUUUUUUCUUUUGUUUCUUCUGUCUAAAACCCAACCCAGCCAAGAUUUGACUCCUUACUAAGAUUUGAUCAAAUUGGUUUCCAAGAUAUUAGUUCCUUAUCAAGAUUUGAUCAGAUUGGUUCUAAAAAUACUCUUGAGGUUUUUCAAGACAGUUCCAACUUCCCAACGUUUGACCAGAUUUGACCAAAAUGAAUCAUUCUUUUUCUCUUAUUUUUUUGUUACUCUACUCCGUCUUGUCUGUUUUCUUCUUUUCGAGAGUGUAUCUCAUAUACACUAAAAAAAAGAAAAAACGAUCACAACUUUUUAUCUGUUUUUAUUUUUUUUAUUUCUGAUAUUUUUUUUUAUUUUUCUCAACAGAAAGUUUAAAAUACUUUUUUUUUAUAAUAAAAAAUAUUAUUAUCUAAGUAAACCUCAGAUUUUUUUUUUCUUUAAUUUUUGUUUUUUCUGUCACAAUUUUUUUAAAGCAUAUGAUCCAAUUUUUAUUAUUUAAUUAUAAUUUUUCUUAACUAAAAAUACAAUAUCUAGGUGAAUCUCUUUUUGUUAAAUAGAAAAUGAUUACAUGCUCCACAAUUUCUUUGGGGUACAUGUAUUCUUCUUCUUAUCUUGGUAAAAAAAAACACAACAUUUAGAUAAAUCUUUUUUUUGUUUACUUACUUUUAACUAUAAUUCUUUUGUUUUAUAUUUUAUUUAACUAUAAUAUAAAAUUAAUCCUUAAUCGCAGCGAAGCGCGGGUUCUAUACUAGUAUUCCAUCAAUUUAAAGCGAUUAACAUUAGUCAAAUUAUUAAGAAAUAAUAAAGAGCACAUGCCAGCUAUAUACAUGAGUCUCAAAUCAGCGUUUCUUAUUUGAUAUAGCUUAAUGAACUUAAAAAGAUUCAGCUGAUUUUUUAAAUAAAACAGAUCAAUUCAUCAAUUUAUUGGUGAAACCACGAAUGGGUCAAAUUGGGUUUUAAGCCUCUGGUUUUUCUAGGUUGAACCAAACUAGUUUGGACACUAGAUCAUAGUUCGAUAAGAGCGACUAACCGGUGAGAACCAAAUUUUAAAAUAUUAAUAAUUUCAUUUGUAUCUACUAUCUAAUUAAUCCAUAAUUACAUAAAUGUUUAUCUCAAACUAUCAAUAUUAAAAUAUCUCUAUAAUUUAAGAAAAAUAUCAAAAAAACUGGUGAAAAUUAUCUUUAAUAUUUACCAAAAUUUUCAGUUUACCCUUUAUCUAUUAUUAAUAAAUUUUUAAUAUAUACAAAAUUGAUACUAAUUCAUUGAAACAAAUUAAACGAUAUAAAUACUUGACAAAAAAUAUCAAUUUAGUAUAAACAAAGUAAACUAAAGAAUUUAUUUCCUAAAAAAAUAUAUUAUAUUAGUUUUUAAUUUACCAUUUUUAUUUAAGAAUUACAUAAGGACCGGACAACAUUAAAUUAAACAAAAAAUUAAACUUGAGUAGACGAAAAGGAUUUUCAAAGAUUAAAUCAUGAGUAUGGACUUGCAGGGACCAACCUGCAAUAUCAAAAUAGUACAGGGACUAUCCCACUGGUUUUGCUCUUAUUAAAGCAUUGCUAGUCAAGUCAAUAAGAUAGACACCUUUCAAUGAAUCAAAUUUAUAAACACGGCAAAGACUCAGGUCAAGUGAACUUUUAUAUUUUUUCAUUUUAUUUACAAAAUUUAAGAACUGCAUAAAAAAUGAGAGUUGGAUCCUCUUUUAGAAUUUUAUGUAGCACAUGGUAGCAAAGAUUAUUAAAAGAAUCAACGAUACAGUGCGUGCUAGUUUUGCUGAAAGAGAAAUUUAGACUGAAAUAAAUUUUUAGUCGAACUAAAGUUUAAGUGAAAAUUUCUUUCCUAUUAUUUGUUUUCAUUAUUGUGGAGUUGAAGUUUCUUUAGUUGCUUGUCAAAAGUCACCAACGUAAAAGUAAUAUGCGUGUAUCAUUUAUCAAACAUAGUCUACUAUUGAUGGUUUCGACAAUCAAAAAUAUUUGAAGUUUAAAAUUAUUUAUUCUAAAAUGGUAUCUAACCAAACUAAAAAUUCUGAAAAUGUAAUUCCACAUUUAUUGUCCCUAACGCAAGGGGCAAAUGGCUUGAUGGUUGGUACCCGAGGUCUCGAGUUCGAAUCCUAGUUUAUUCAUAUUUUUAGCUAAAUUUAUUUCUCAAUGAAAUAAAUAAAACGAAUAGCAUGCUAUCUAUCUCUCAAAAAAAAAAAAAAAAAAAAAAAAAAAANGCAAGUCUUGAUCCAAUCUCACUAGGGACUGUGAACACACCCGUCCCGCUUGUCGAAGCGAACCCGUAUUGUAGUAUCCUUAUAUAUAUAUAAUGCCACGUGCCUCCAUGCAUGUAUUUCAUGCUUAUCUAAUUAGGGGGUUGUACAUGCCUCCUUACUUAAAAUAUCCUCCCUCUCUGUCUCUGGAGCCAUACGCGAGGAGGAGGAGCUUGGGUGGAGCGUUCGUCGCCGACGUCGCAUCGCCGAGCCGUUUGAGCGCACGUUUGUCGCCGUAGCGUCGCGUGGAGGCCGGGCGAGGGUGCGUUUUUAUCGUCCUCAAUGUCGCACCGGCGCUGGAUUCGCUGUCGAUGUGGGUACCUAACUUUCCUCCUUGGAUUACUUGAACGCACGGUUUUGAGCUCGCGUGCUGAUUUUACUGAUUUUCAGCAUCGACCGUCAGUGUUUUGGCUCGUACUCGGCGUAGGAACGUCGGAUUUCGACGGGACUUGGUUCGUUGGAUUCAGAACUUCGAGAGGAAUCCACGAAGCCCUUAUUUGCUGGAUUUGGUGAAGGUUUGCUAGGUCGUAUCCCUAUUUCUUUCUGCUGCUGCUGUUUUGGGUAGAAUUGAUGCUUAAUAUGGGUUUCUAUGUUUAGACCCGUGGAGCGUGUUGUCGUUGGUUCGGGGAGCUACGCCGAGCUUGACAGGGACUCCGGUGACCUUCUUCACCAUCGGGGAUUUGCGAUUAAGGUGGGUUAAUCAUCGGUUUACUCCUAAGUGCCUAUAUAGUCGACAUGUAAUUGUGGAAUUAUCUUGUGUGGCGCAAUUACUCGGUUCAUUGAUUUAGUAUGGUUAAUAAUCUGAAUUGGAGCUGAGUUAUUAUCUUUGGAUAUAUAUAUACAUGUUGGACUUGGAUAAGACUUAGGAGAAAACUCGCGAUUAUGAUCGUCAUAUAUUUAAACUACCUGAUUUAGCCCUAGGAGCCGUUGUAUUAUUUUAUACUGUAACAGUAUCUCCAUAGUGAGUAUUCCAGAUAGUUUAGCUUUCAGUUACGCUCGUGCCGGGAUGCCGAAUAUAUUUUUACAGUAGCGUUCAGGCUGUUCCGGACUGUUGGGUGCCGUCGGGGUUGACGGUGGACCCGUAUCGCCUUUUUGGCGUCGGAUUGUGCCGAGAGCACGUUACCUGUUGGUUGUUAGACCAGUUUGAGUCGGUUACUGGACUUUGGCUUUUGAGAGCCGAUUGAGCUCGACAGAGAUACGCUGCAUACUCGGUUGGGUAGCUCCCACGAGUGCCACUCCGAAAACGGGCGUUGUGUUUUCGCGUUGGUGUCGCUCAUGCCGGUUGGACUUGCUCUCCACGGACUAGUAGUGUGGAGGUAGCUGGAUAGUCACAACUAGGCAGGGACGGCUGUGUUCACAGUCCCAGGGACGGGUAUGCUUACAGUCCCGAUUGGAUUGGGUCAGAUUUGACAUUUUCUAUAGUUGGUUAGUGUAGAGCAUGAUAGUGUAGUGAUAAAUAGCGGUAGAUUUUAUUCCUGUAUUUACUACUAUCCUGUCUCCCUUCUGUAGAUUUCGUGGGUGGACCGAUGUUGUUUAGGGCCGCACCCACUGAGGACUACUUGUUUUUACAGUAGUUCUCACGCCAAGUUGUUACCCCUGUUUUGCAGAGCCACAGGUUUCGGCUGCUGCGCCUUCCGCGGAUCAGGAUCGAGGCAAGGGCGUCGCGAGUUAGAGCCCUACCCGACGAGCUGAGCUAGAGGCACUCCUACUGCAGGUAGACGUUUUGUUUCAAGUUUAUGUACAUAGCAUACUUAACUCGCCAGUGCGAGUAGCUCUGUAUUUUGGAUUUGGGCUAUGUAUAUGAAACUUAGUUUGUUUAGUAUUUGUCUACUCGAGCAGCUCUAUACUACUGUUUGUAGUAUUGUAUGCUUACAGGUACUGUUGUCGCAUCGUAUACAGGAAAAAUUUCUUUGUAUACGGCGGAUUUGUCGGCGUGCCUGGGGAACGAGACAUCCGGGGCGUGAUAGUCUAAACACCCCAAUAGUCCCAUAUCAGGUAGGAAUAGAGUUGUGACUGAGUAUAUAAGAGACCAUAAACAAUAAUAAUUAAUAAUUGGAAAAACUUCNUAACAUGUUUGUAAUUGCAUAAAUGUUUGUCUUAAACUCUAUUCGUGGUUUCAACCAAAAGUUUAUAAUAUUAAUAACUUCAUUUGUAUCUCCCUUCUAAUCCGUAAUUACAUAAAUGUUUGUCUUAAAUUAUCAAUAUUAAACAUAUCGCUACAAUUUAAGGAAAAUAUCAAAAAACGUAGUGAAAACUAUCCUUAAAAUUUACCAAAAUUUCACUUUAAUUACGUACCCUUUAUCUAUUAUUCAUAAAUUUUUAACUAAAUUUAGUAUCUUUACUAACUUUAAAAUAUUAUAAAUUCAGUUGAAUAUAUACAAGAUUGAUACUAAUUCAUCAAAACAAAUUAAACUACGUAAAAACUUGACAAAAAAUAUCAGUUUAAUUUAACCAAAGUAAACUAAAGAAUUUAGUCCCUUAAUAAAAGUGCAUAUUAUAUAUUAGUUUUUAGUUUACCAUUUCUAUUUAAGAAUAACAUGAGGACUGAACAAUAUAUUAUUCAUAAUUAGGGCAACAAAACUUGCAGGGACCAACCUGCAAUAUCAAAACAGUACAGGGACUAUCCCAUACUUUUUUCUCUUUAGCACAGUCAAGUCAAUAUGACAGAGACCUUUCAGUUAAUGAGUCAAACAAUUAAACAGCACAAAGACUUAAUUAGGUCAAGUAAACUUGUACAUUUUCCAUUUUAUUUAUGAAAUUUAAUAAGUGCAUAAAAUUAUAUAAGUGUCCUUUUUCUAAAUUCGUUGUUUUUCAUAAAAUAGAUGAACUGUGUGAUUGAAAUGUGAGAUGAGAUUCACGAUGAGUCACUAAUCAUUUCUUUUACUACUGAAAAAGCGGAUCCUCUUUCAGAAGUUCGUGAAGUACAUGGUAGCAAAGCAUUACUAAAAGAAUGGGUUAGUUUCAUAUAGUUCCUGCAAACAAAAUAAUUACAAAUAUAUUUUUAUAAAGUUCAAUUUUUAUAUGUUGUUUUUUUAAAAAAUUUUAAUAUUUUCAAAUAUAUCCGUCUGGUUUAUUACUGUUAAACCACUGUUUAUUUUAUAACUGAAAUGACCUUUUUGCCAUCAUAGAUAUGUCCCUCUAAAAAUUUCAACUGUUAAUUAAAAAUAGGUAAAAAGGUCAAUUCACCUCAUUGAUUAAUUAGGAUUAUAAGUAUUUUACAUAUAGUUAACUAAUUUUUUCUAACAAAUCUUAACGGUUAGGAUAUAUCUGAAGAUAUUAGGUCUUUUGCAGGGAAUUGUAUAAAAUUAACCUCUAAAAGAAUCAGCGAUUAAGUGCGUGCUUGUUUUGCCGACAGUGUUGUUUAGAUUGAAAUAGAUUUUAAGUCGAACCGGAGUUUAAGUGAAAUUUUUUUUUCUAUUAUUUAUUUCCAUUAGUGUGUAGUUGAAGUUUUUUGAGGUUUAUUAUUUGUUUGCCAGAAAGUCAAUGACACAAAAGUUGAAAUUUUUAACUUUUUACAUUUGUUUCACCUAAAACUAUUCAAUUCGCACAUAUUAAUAUCAAAGGGGGGAAACAAGUUUUCCACAUUAAUUUUAUUAUUUUUUUCUCUCUUUUUUUUGUUUUUGAUUUCAACCCGUGGUAAGGCAAAGUCAAUUAUAUUAUUUGGGAGAGUUUGAAUUACAACCGAAUUCAUAUUGCAACGAGGCAAACCUUGAAGGUGGGUAUUUAUGAUCGAAAAUCACUUCAUUCCUCUCCACUUUCGGCGAAGCAGACACACUGUUAAUUUAUUUCUUUGCUACAAAAAUUUGGUGCUCUGGGGAAUUAGGAAAAGAAAAAAAAUAAUACUAUAUAUGUAAUCAAACUUCAGGGUCUAUAAAAAUGUAAUUCAGCGCUAGUUAAUUACUAUGAAUUCCAUAUUCAAAUGGGUUCAGAUACAUAACCUUAAUUUAGCCGUUUUGUAAAACAGUCCCUUGAACUUUCAAUUCUCUCAAUCACAUACCUUUUAUAAUUUUAUGAAUUACUUAUCUCUACAAACCUAAUUAACAUAUUUUAUUCAAUUCAUAUUACUCCGCAAAUUCAUAAUUAACUUAAAUUUUAUACUGAAAAAAUCAUAAAGUGACUUGAAUCACCAAAUUGAAAGGUCACAUACUGAAAAUCAAAAUUUUGAUAAGUUAGGUAUUCGAUUGAAAAUGGGAUAUAGUUCAAGCAAGUUUUGUAAACUUUUAUUUUUAUUUUGUUUUCAGGAAAAUAAUUUAAAAGUUGAAUAUGAUACUUCAUGUUUUAAACAUUAAUUUUUAACACUUCUUAUAUAAACUUCUUGAUCGGCGAAAUGAAUAAGAUGCCCCGAACAAAUAAUUUUUACACCCAACAAGGUUUGUACGUUAAAUGUAUAUGACAAAAUUAAGAAUCGUGCAUGAGUUUUGAAAAUACUGGUGUAAAAGAAAAGCACUCAAAACAACAAGUCCAAUACUUACCAGUAUGGGAAACUCCAAUUAAGCACCCUAUAAUAUAGCAUAUUUGUAACUCACUACCGCAUAGUUUAUAUAAUGUAGUAUUUUCCUUAAGAUGGCACUAAAAAGGUGGCAAAAUGUUACAUUUUACUACGCUAUAGUUUAGGACACUCUUUUUAAAAGCAAGUCCUCAUAGGAACUAAACUAAAAACAACCCACACAAAAGGUGCUUCUUUCUAAACUACAAUAUAGACCAAAAAUAUUCUACACCACGUACGGAAGGGCAUUUUUAAGUUUUCCCUCUAAAUAUUCAAAAAUUUUGAAAUACCAUGUAAUUUAUUUCUCAUAAUUAAUGCUACUAUUGCAAUGAAAUUAUACAAAACAGAAGUGAAAUACUAAAAAGACCAACCACACCUUACAUUAAUAAAGAUGCUACUCUUCCAACUACCUCAUCUCCUAUAUCUUUGUCUUGGUCUAGCCAAAGUUACUUUAGUUACAAUACAAAGCUGGUCACAUACAAUAUCAAUCAUAGAGAAAUAAGCAUUCCUCCAAGCAUUAUUGAGCAACAAAACCCCACAAAAAACUGCUAAACCGAAUAGAUAUCCCAGUACAACACCAAAGUAUAUCCAUAGCCACUCAAACUUAUCCUUAGGGCCUUCAUUAUCCUCAUAAUUUAUUUCAUUUGCAGAACAAUUUCUCGUACUCGGUGGCCCGCAGAGAUAUGGAUUGCCGAUGUAAAUGAAUGGAUCGUCAAGGGUCUGCAACUGAUUUCCUGUUGGAAUUACUCCCGAGAGAUUAUUAUACGACAAAUUUAAGUGGCUCAGAAAAGUCAGUGCCGAAAGACUUUGAGGAAUAUCACCGAAAAGCUUAUUCAUUGCAAGGUCUAGAGAUUCCAGUGAUUGCAUUUCACCGAUUUUUUCUGGAAUAUGUCCAAUCAAAUUAUUCCUAGAUAAGUUUAAAUAUUGUAGUGUAUGCAGAUCAGUAAUCUCAUCCGGGAUCUCCCCACUUAGAUUGUUGUCUGAAAGAUCUAUGCUUUCAAAUAGAUAGAGUAUCUUCCAAAUUGGAAGCUCCUCUCCCUUAAUAUCCAAGGAUAUACUAACUGAAUAAUAUACACUGAUAUUAUUAAUUCUAUCUGUUCUGCCUUGUUUUAAAGCUUUCCAGCUGAAAUUGCCGAAGGAUCGUGGUAAUGGUCCUGAUAAGUUAUUCCUAGAAAGAUCCAAAACUUGGAGAGAGCCAAGUUGUGCAAUUUGCUCCGGAAUGCCGCCAGAAAACAUAUUUGAACGUAACUGAAGAACCAUAAGAAGAGUUAAACUUUCCCCGAUCCAAAAUGGUAUUGUUCCAGAAAACUUAUUAUAUCCGAGAUCAAGGAUAACCAAACCUGUGCAAUUUUGCAACGAAGGAAAUUCUCCAGAGAAACCAUUACUAUUAAAUUUUAGCAGCGAAAUAUAUUUCGACGAGCAAAGGGAGUCAGGGAUCCUCCCAACAAGAUUAUUUGUUGACACAUCUAUAACAGAAAGGUACUCUUGUGACUUCCCGAUACAUUCAGGAAUUUCUCCUGACAAGUUGUUGUUUGAUAGAUCGAGAACUCCCAAAAAAGUUGAUUCACAUAGAGCAGAUGGUAUACGACCACCAAUGUCAUUAUUUGACAAGAAUAAGUAUUCUAUCUGUGGCAAUACAAUGUUUGGAAGUACUCCAGUGAAAAAAUUAUUGGAGAGAUCAAUGAUUAGAAGAUUAUGUGGUAGAGAUGGUAGCGGGCCUUCAAAUUGAUUUGAGCUCAAAUUCAAGUACCAUAGCUUUGUAGAGCCCAUCAAUAAUGGCAAUCUCCCUUUGAUUUGGUUUUCGGAAAGAUGUACAUAAGAAAUAAAAUGAGACAUAUUUCAAAACCAGCUAGGAAGAGUAUCUGCAAUUUUGCUUUUUGACAAAUCCAGCCCUUCAAGUUGCGAUUGACUUUUGAGCCAUGCUGGAAAAUUGGGACCCAGUUGGCAGGAGGCUAGAAAAAUCUCUUUAAGUUGGAAAGGAGGAACCCAAUCAUCGUGAACUCGCACAGUGAGAGCAUUCAAUGACAAGUCUAAGUAUUGUAUUUUUCUUAGAUAAGAAAGUUCGACAUCAGAUACGACACCCUCCAAUGAAUUAUUAUAUAGAUAUAGAUAAAUUAAAUUUGGAAGUUUCCAAACUCCUGCAGGAAUUGAACCACUGAGCAAGUUUGAACCGAGAUUUAUGUCUGUGAGGCUAUUCAUUUGUUCGAGCCAUCCUGAUAAAUUCCCUCCGAGGUUAUUGUCAUUGAGAUAUAAAGUCUGUAAAUUGUUGCGCACACAUCGUGGUAGCAUCUCAACCCAUUCCAUGAUUUCCCCACCAAUAUUGAAACUUGACAAAUCUAGUGAACGCAAGUUGCAUAAAUAUCUUAAUGCUUUCGGAUUCAUACCUUUAAAACCAUUAUAUCCUAGGAAAAGAUUAUUAAGAGUGCUCAAACGUAGAAACUCAUCAGAAAUAACACCAUGAAACUCAUUGGAGCUUAAGUCAAGAUAAGUGAUGCUUGUAAGAUUCCGCAGCCAUGGAGGUAAGGUGGAGUUUAUGGAGUUACCUCCAAGAUCAAGCACAUUGAGAGUUGUAAGAUUGAAAUGUGACAGAGAUGUAGAAAUGCCAGGAAGUGAACAGUCAGCCAAAUGUAACACUUUCAACGAAGGAAGCAUAUUUACAGCAUGCAACCAACCUGUAGAAGUAUUCAUAUUCACAAUGCUCAAAUCAAGAUAUUUCAAGGAAGAUAAACGAGUGAGCCACAAUAUGUCAUCUAUUCGAAGAUUCCUCGGAUAAAUGAAUUCAGAAUUUAAAUCAAGGUAGUGAAGUUUCGAGAGAUUUCCGAUUUGAGGAGGUAUUGUUCCACUGGAAUACGAAUUAGCGAGGUUGAGAUAUCUCAAGUUUUUGAGUGAACCCAAGAAUGUUGGGAUGCUGGUUCCACUGAAAUUGUUCAUGCUGACAUCUAAGUGCUCUAAAUUGGUUAAAAGAAGCAAAGAUGGAUUGAUCUCACCGCUCAAACAUGGGCAUUCCUCGAUGAAUAUAUAACACGAGUUUCUGUUUCGGAGGUUGAGUUUCACAACAUGGCCCGUGGCAUUGCUACAGGCGACUCCCCUCCAUUUACAGCAAUCUUCGCCUUCCCACGAAGACAAGAAAUUCUGAGGAUCGACCAAGCCGGACUUAAACGUGAGGAGUGCGUUCCUCUCUACCUCCAUGCAACCGCUCGCCACAACGGCGUCGACGGUUAAAAUCCACAGCAAGGAGGAGGAAAGAAUAAGAUUAGCCAUGACGCAGGUCGUUGAGAAAAUACACAACAUCAUAAUUAAUAAGGGAAUUGAUCAUAUGGAGUAUUCUAUGGAGAAGGCCACCUAUUUGAGCCAUAUAUAUAUAUAUAUAAAUGUUAUGCAUGGUAAGCUAUCGCAAUUCACAUCAAAGUUACGUUCCAUUAUUGUAUGGAGUCAUAAUUCUCCUGUAGGUCCUACAAAGAAAAUUAAGCUACAGUUGUGUGAUUUUCAUGGUCAUACAAAUUAAUGGCCUGAUUAGGAUUGCAUUGAGCUUUGACUUGAAAAUUAAUUUUGCUAGAAGCUAAUUAAUUUUUUAGAUUAAAACUGAUUCAGAAUGAAGUAGUCUUAAUUAUUACGAAUAUAUAGCAUUAAUUUGGCCACAAAGUACCAAAAGCUGUUGUACAAUAUAUUUAAAAGUGAUUCAUAACACGUUUGGUAAUUACAAAUUAAAAAGUUGUUUUAAAUCACCAAAUGACAAAAAGUUAUAAAUGUCAAAUAUUUAUUUUUAUAUAAUUUUUUUAACUAAAAUUGUAAGUAUAUGAGUUUAAUACGCAUAGUUCAUGAUUGAUGAUAAAUCUAGUUAAAAUAUUAAAUAUAUUAUUAAUACAGUAAAAUUUAAUUAGUAAGUAAUAAUUAUAAAUUCAAGUGAAAACUACAAACCUCUCUAAACCAUUGAGGAUUUUGAGAUUCAUACCUAAGGUUUUAAAAUUUUGAUUUUAUUAUCUAACUUCAUAUUUUUUAUGAUUUCGAGAAAAAAAAAGAAAGAAUACUAGAAUUGAGUACUCUACAGUAAAAGAGGAUUAGAGAAUAUUCCCAAAAACUAAGAAUAUUCUGUUAUACUAUAAAAAUUCUCAGCAGAACAAAUCAAAGUUACUAUUAGAUUUCGUAUAAAUUUAAAUUACAUACAUUUUAAAAUUAGAUAGCUUAAAUAAAAAUGUCCAAAGUUUAAGUCUUUUUNNNNNNNNNNNNNNNNNNNNNNNNNAUGAGAUAUUUGCUAGUUUAACGGUGAAAAAGAAUCAGAAUAGGUUGAAUUUUUGAUAGAAAAUUUUAUUCACUAUCUAAAUAAAGAUCAAUAACUCCGAUCUUAAAUUGAAGGAUCCGUUCAUCCAUUUUUAGGAUGUCGUUCGAUUUCAAUCGUUCAUUUUAUGUCCGCUUGAUGGACUUUACAAUGAUUUCGAAAAAUUACGAAAUUUAUUUUCUAAAAGUUUCAAAUAUUCUAGAUCAUGUUUAACGGUGUGGAUCGUCGAUUCGAAAACUCCAACAUCGAAAACAACUUAUGAGUACAAAGGGUUCUUUACUCAUAAGAGUAUAGUAGCCCUACUCUAAUUAUUGGAAAAACUUCAAAAACCCCCUCUGUGGUUUCACACUUUUUCAUUUUAGUACCCUGUGGUUUAAAGCGUAUCAAGUUAGUACCUUGUGGUUUCUCACUUUAUCACUUUAGUACCCUGUGGUUUAAAGUGUAUCAAGUUAGUACCCUGUGGUUUUGCAUUUUAUCACUUUAGUACCAUGUGGUUUUGAUUUUGUAUCAAAUUAGUACCUUGUGGUUUUUUAAACUAUAGGGUACUAAAGUGAUAACGUGUGAAACCACAGGGUACUAAAGUGAUAAAGUGCAAAACCACAGGGUACUAACUUGAUACACUUUAAACCACAGGGUACUAAAGUGAUAAAUUGAGAAACCACAGGGUACUAACUUGAUACGCUUUAAACCACAGGGUACUAAAAUGAAAAAGUGUGAAACCACAGAGGGGGUUUUUGAAGUUUUUCCAAUAAUUAGAGUAGGGCUACUAUACUCUUAUGAGUAAAGAACCCUUUGUACUCAUAAGUUGUUUUCGAUGUUGGAGUUUUCGAAUCGACGAUCCACACCGUUAAACAUGAUCUAGAAUAUUUGAAACUUUUAGAAAAUAAAUUUCGUAAUUUUUCGAAAUCAUUGUAAAGUCCAUCAAGCGGACAUAAAAUGAACGAUUGAAAUCGAACGACAUCCUAAAAAUGGAUGAACGGAUCCUUCAAUUUAAGAUCGGAGUUAUUGAUCUUUAUUUAGAUAGUGAAUAAAAUUUUCUAUCAAAAAUUCAACCUAUUCUGAUUCUUUUUCACCGUUAAACUAGCAAAUAUCUCAUACCGUUCGUUAAAAAUUGUCAAUUUUGUGAGCUUUUAAUCGUAAGGUAAAUGAUAUCGAAAAAUUAUAAAAUUUAAUUUCUAAAAGUUUUAAAUGCUCUAAAUAAUGUUUAACGGUAUGGAUCGUCGAUUCGAAAGCUCUAUCAAUAAAAACAACUUAUAAGUACGAAAGCGAUCGUACUCAUAAGAAUAUAGUAGCCGGACUCAUAAUAAUUAAAUUUAAGCACUUUAAGCAGAUGGUUUGAAUCCAACAAGUUAUUAUUACUGGGAAAUCAAGUCGUAACAAACUCAAUGUUGUGUACUUAAUCGAUUUUAUACUUCCAAUUUUCACUCCUAGAUGUGAUGAAACCUAACAAAAACUGGGAUCUUGAUCCCCGACAAUAGGACUAAAGAACUAAAUAUGCAGGUAUAACAAACAAUAUACAAAAAAAUUCUACUAACAGAAAUAGGAAAGAAAUAUAAUGUCGCUACUUAUGUAAACGAAGAUAGAUUUCUUUCAGACUACUAAAUCAAAUGAAAGAAAAGAAAUGCAAGGCAAGAUCAAUUUCAUUCUUCGAAAGAUUCUGUCAUAUACACAAAUAGGUUACUACAGAAGAAUCUACUAUCACAAAAACAGAUCAUACCGAUAAGUUUGUGGGGAUCACAAGCGAGACAUCAGAUGGCGGGUGUAAGAAUGAAGUAAUCUUAUUUCAGAGAAGAUGUUACACUCAAAAGCAAGUGCCCAGGAUAAUUUAGAGCACUCACCAAUAUUAGGCAUAGGAAAAAAAAAACACUCAAACACCUAACAUAACUUCAAAACCCCACAAUGUCAUCGCAAUCAUAUCGUAAAUGUUCUCUCUCUACAUAGUUAAGAAAGAAAAUAUAGCAUUAGGAUUUGACCUGAUUUUACAGCUUCAUUGGAAAUAAUCUCAUCACUUAUGAAGCAGCAAAACUAAUCACACUCAAUAGUAUCAUGAUUCUGGGAGAAGUUCAAUCUGAUCCUUCUGCUUUUGCUGUUGUUCCCUUUUCUUCAACUCAUUCUCAUAUUUGGCUAGCCUCUCCUUCAUCUUUUCCUGCAUAAAAACUCUGCCUCAGAACAACAAAGGAAAUAUGCAAAGCGAGAAAGGAACUCAAAAGAGAGGACAUGGAUUUGCCUUGUAACUCUUCUCAACCCGGUGCAUGACAUAGAAGCCGAGGACUCCGCCAAGGAUAGUCCCGGUUAUGAUUCGAAUGUACGCCCACUUGUACGACACCAUCUCUUUCGGUCCUUCCUUUUCCUUCGAUACUAGCUACUAUCUGUGCGCAUGCAACGCAUAUUUUGGAAAAAGAAAACAGAAAUUAUUUUGGGUAAAAAUUUCUAACUUACAAAGCAAAUAUAAUUUGGAGAGAGGUUGGUGUUGGGUAAAAAAAUAUGUUUUGCAACUUAUAAUGCAAUGCCCAAGGAGGUUGGCGUUAGCUUUCACUUAUUACCUAAAUGAUUCAAGGCUUUCUUUUUAGUAUCUUGAGGUAAGAGACAAUGAUGGAUUAACUUGUAUUCAAAACACUGCAACAUUUAGAGUCCAACGAUUUCAUUAAAAAGUAAUCAAGUAUCCAGGCACCACUAUCCUCAGAUCAAAUAAGCAAAAAAACAUAAAACAAAUGACAAAUGAAACGGCACUACAAUUACUUGAUAUGCUUUUCAGUAAAUUUACCAAAUACUUUCCUUCCUUGCCACUCUCACACUAUCAUUUCUUUAAUUCGUCUUUAUGCUAUUUGCAAUUCAAAAAGUCAUAUUAUCCAAAUUGCUAAAUCCUUUCCCGAAAUUCUGAGUAAAAUUUAAUGAGAAAAGUAAAGAACAUAAAAUACAAACAAAAGUAAAGGAAGCCCCCAUCUUGUUCAGCUCAAAAACAUAGUUUUAAAAGGCGCAAAGGACUCCUGACCCUAAAUGCCGGGCAAAAUCAAGCAAGUUAGACACACAUUUUCACAGUUUUUGAAGAUAAAUAGAACACUCCUUAGAAGUUCUAGUAGUAAUCAUUGAAUGAAACUAACGCACUUUAAAAUCAGGUUAUAGCUCUAUUAAAUAUUUAAGAUCACUCAAUAAGAUUUGUGAACAAAUGUGUGGCUCAAAUCAAUGCAUAUAUCAAAGAGAGAAAAAAGACAGUUAGAGGGCACAAAAUUUGAAACUGCUUCGGAACUUCCCUUCUCCUAUGCUUUAAAAUGGCGGCAGGAACCACCAUCACCAAAUGCUUCUUUGGCGACUGUUCCCACCGCAUCGGAGGAGAGAAGCUACAAAGCGCUUCUACAACUAUUUUGGUGCAAUGAACUAGGCCUUACAUUCCCAAACUAGGCUCUAGCUUAGAAAAUUAGAAUUAUCAAGAAAAACAAUGAAAAACAUUUGUUUGGUAUCGUUGCCGUUUUUUUCUAUUUUUUAAAAAAAUAGAAUUUUUACAUGAAAUAGUACAGAAAGGGAUAGUGGAUUGCUUGCAAUUCUUACAUUCACGAUAUUUGCUCAGCAAAGAAAAAAAAAGAAAAAAAAAAAGCAACUUCUUUUUUUUCCAUGAUUUUUGUCAUCCAUUACUCGGCCGAAGUGUAUUAUUACAAGCUAACCAAUCAUGACGAAUUUUUUAUAUAGAAUUAGUGUUUCAACAAAAUAAGAUCGAAAAAAAGAGGGGGCAAUGAUGCCAAAUGAGGCCUAAAACCUAUUAAUUAUAAUUAGAGCUCAAAACAGCAGGAAUUAGACUAAAAUUUGUUCAUCUCCAACUAUGUUUAAACAAAAUUACGCAAUUAUAUUGCGCAAAAGCUAAAUAGAAUCCAAUUUACAUGAUGAGCCAAACAUUACAUUACACAAGAAAAACACAAACCCAAAACCCUAAAAACAGCAGGAGCAACUACAGAUAAGCAAAAUUGUGUACUCACAUCAUCAACACAAAAGCUAAAUAGAGUUCAAACCCAAAGAUUACAUGAGAGAAACUCAAAAUCCUAAACCCUAAUUUAUGAAUCAACCAUUAAUAAAAGGCAUGAAACUCCCUAUCUUUUUCCCUUCCAUAUUCUAUUAGAAAGGUUUAGGAGAUGAUGGAGUUGGGCAGGGUAGUCUGACCUUGCGAUGGCGACGGUGGGCGUCGGAUGGGAAGGAAGACAGCACGAUUUGCAGUCGGAUGAUCGAGCCGCCUGCCUUCCUUGUUCAGCUCGACGCAGAAGGCAGUCUCACGUUUGGCUCAAGAAAAAGAGCGAUGCCUUCCUUGUUUCACUCCAAAACUGGAAAGACAUGUUAUUCGGGUUAAUUGCAUACAGGUCCAUAUAAACAUAAUAAAUUACAAAUACAUUUCUACAAAAUUUAUUUUUCACAUAUUGUUUCUGUAAAAGUCAUGAUUUUUCCAAAUAUAUUCUUGCUGUUAAAAAAAUUUAGUUAACCAUAGGCUAAAUACUUAAUCUUGAUUAGUUAAUGAGAUGAAUUGACCUUUUUAUCUAUCUUAAAUUAAUAAUAAUUGGGACUUUUUGAAGGGCAAAUUUGUGAUGACAAAAAGGUCAUUUCACUUAUAAAAUAGAUGGACUUUAACAGUAACAAAUCAGAGAGACAUAUUUGAAAAUAUUAAGACUUUUAUAACGACAAUAUUUAAAAAUUAAACUUUAUAGCGAUAUAUUUGUAAUUCACUAUAUUUAUAAAGAUCUGUAUGAAAUUAAUCCUUAUUAUUUAUUUAACUGUAAUUUUAUUUUCGUCAAAAUUUAAACUCUAGUAAUUAACUUUAGCCCAACUCAGGCCAAAAUCAAUUAUGAAAACAAAAAGUUGAAAAAAAAAUAAAAUACUAACUCAUAUUUCACACCUUUAAUUUUUCCGUGUCAUUCGCUUUCUUUCAAAUAAAUAUCAAAACUGAAAAAAAAUUUAGUUCCACCACCAUACAAAUAAAUACCAGAAGAAAAUUAAUUUUUAUUUGAAUUUCAGUUUCAUUCAAAAGUUUACUUCAAUCUCAAUUUCAUUUUCGGUGAAACAAAUAGACCACAGGUGUAAGAAGGUAAAAUGUACAGAACAUAUCUCAAUUAUAGACCAUUUUAAAUUGACUAUCAAAUCUUUUAAAAUUUUAAUUUUAUUGUCCAAUCUGUUAAUUUGUUUGAUUGACUCUGUCAGCAAUACUUUAAUUUCAAAUUUUGAAUACGCCGUUAUCUUUACCAGUUCAAUUAGUAUACUUCAUACAAUUCUCGCUACUAUAAUUUUAUUAAAGUGAACAGUUAACUUAAAUUUUGAGAUUAAAGGUCGCCAACUGACUUAUAUCAAACAAAUUGAAAGAUUAAAUAGUAAAUUCAAAAUUUUGAAUUUCAAGAUAAUACAUUAGGUCAGGUAAGUUAUACACUUGUUUAGCGUGCAAGAAUUACUCUCCACUCACUAAUAAAGGUUACUAUUUUCGUAGUAGUAUUAUUAACUUUUUUUCUUUUAAUACUAAAAAGAAUUUUGUGAACCCUAACACUCCGUUUGGAUUGAAUAUAAGAUGGGUUUGGAUUGAAUAUAAGAUGGGGUAUAAAGGCCUUAUACCCCAUCUUGUACCCAAACGCAAUUUGGUUAAGGUGAGAACUAUACGGAUUAUUCUAGAAAUAACCCGUUAAGGAUGGGAACUAUAGUUCUCAUCCCGAGUGGGAACAAGCUUAGGAACAAGCUUGUUCCCACCCACUUGGGUACAGAGAGAGAGAGAGAGAGAGAGAGUGAGUGAGUGAGGUUUGUUUUAAAAUAGAAUUUAAAUUUUUUAGAAUUUAAAAUAUGUAAUUUUAAAAUUAAAAUUGUAAAUCAUAAAUUCUAAAUUUUAAAGUUUAAAAUUUAAAUUUGAUAUUACAAAUUUUUAAAUUUUAACUGUGAUAUUUUAACUAUUUCAAAUUUAAAUUUGGUCUUAAAUUUAAAUUUUAAAAUUUAUAAAUUUAAAUUUUAAAAUUUAUAAAUUUAAAUUUUUAAAUUCAAUUAUAGGAAUAAUAUCAUUAUUUUCUAUUUAUAAUUAUCAACUAUUUCUCUUAUACCAAAUAACUAUCCAAAUAUAAUUUUUCUAGUUCCAGCUUAUACUAAUAUUUUAAUCCAAACAAAAUAAAUACCCUGAUUCUUACAAAAAUUCAUACUUAUACCUAUUUCUGGAAUAACUAGUUCCUACUAAUUUACGAACCAAACGAAGCCUAAAGAUUACUUCACAUUUAUAUAUGUAUUUAUUCUUAAAAUAUGCUCCUUCUCUCUCUCUCUCUCUCUCUCUCUCUCUCUCUCUCUCAAUAAAAGAAAAAACAAAACAAAAGAAACUUUUUUUUUUUUUUCGUACAUUAUGCUGGGCCAUUUUCUCUGGUUCUACAUGGUCUAAGUAGCCUGGAUCCCAAUGGCCCAUUUUUAUAUCUUCCUUAGAAAUCAGGGAGGUGCUUAUAAUUGAUGUGUUUUGGACUAGUUCUGUCGUUUUGGGCCUCGCCCUUUUCUCUCUUUCUUUGGCUAUUUUUUUUCUUUCUUUUUUGCUAAGAGCUCAAACAUAAAUAAUCCUAUAACAAGUAGUAAAAAAGGUAAAAGAUUUAUUUAUACUGCUAAAUUGAUGCGGAAUAGGAUUUAGUUUUCAGGUUGAUUGGAUUCUAAUGAUAUGUCACAUUCUUGGGUCUAUAUGGGCUUUAGCUCAGCCAAAAUUUUCUAAUAAAUAGUAUCAGAGUCUAUAGAUUGAUCCUGAAUUAGCCGCUCAUUUAUGUAUUGUAGUAUAUAUAGUGGCCUAUUUAUGUGGUAUAUUUUUUGAUACGCUCAAAAGAGUUAAAAAUAGCUGAAGUCCCCAGAAGUGUGGGCUAGCUGUAUGUACUUAGAAUUUUCUCUUCUUUUUUAUUAGGUAUUUUAUGCGCUUAUAUAUGUUCUGGAAAUCGUGCUCAAUGAAUUUAAAAAUAUAGUGGUUGUUUCAGAGUGGUUCAAGAUCACAAGCUUGUUUGGGAGCAAGAUUAUGGUGAUUGAUUUUGCUUACACUUUUCUUCCUUUUUCUUUUUCCUGUGUUUAAUUACAUCUAUGAGCUUGAUUAUGUGAUAGUUCAUGUUUAGGUUUAGAGAACCAUUUCAAGUCUUUUUUCGUUUUCUUUUUUCUUUUUUUACUUCUCUUACUUAGGUAUGGAUACUAUCAUCUAUAUUCCCUAUUUUUAUUUAUAUUAAGUUUUAAGAAUACUUGCAUAUUUUUCUUAAUCUAUUUUUAUCUAUAACCCAUUUAGGGUGCCAUAAGAUGCCUGGAGCUUACUAAUGUGUCGGAAUGAAUACGAAAGAUGUUUGUGGGUCGGACGGCAUUUAAUUUGAGAAGAACUUGUGAUGUUUUUGUGGCUUGCUUUGAGGGCAACAAGAAUGGUCGGUCUGAUAUAAGAAACGAAAUGUACUUCUCGAUAGAGAAAUUAUUUGUUGGGAACUCGGUGGAGUUUAAUGAACAAUUCAAUAUAAGACGUGAUACUGAUUAUUAAGGCUCGCAAGGAGCACGCAUUGGCUAAAACACAUCUACAUUAAUAUUUUACCGUUUCCUAAUCAAAACUCAGAAAGGCUGGUCUAAAUGUGCGGUACUUAAUUAGAAGCCGCACAUAAAUCCACAUGCCAAAUCAAUUUGUUCUUAUUUUUAUUUUUUUAAAAAAAAUGAGCUUUUUAUUGUUGGCUUAAAUGGACCAGCAUUCUGCCCUGUGACAGGAGAUUAUGUUGGACCGAGUCAUAUUCGAAAUGGCGUGAGGCUGGAUGGGCCGAGUCAUGUUCGAAGUGAUGUAAGGCUGAUUGGGCCGAGUCAUAAUCGGGACCCGUGGAUACUGCAUCUGUACAUUUUAAGUGAAUUGAUUGUGUAUUUCUAACAGCUCGAGCUUUUGAGAUUAAUAGUUAACGCCAACGAUCCGACACUCAUCACUUUCCUCCUAUUUACCCUCUUUUUAAAAAAAAAAAUUUGUAAUCAAGGAUGGAUCAUUUAUUUAUGGAAAACUUCAAAUACCCCCAUGUGGUUUUGCAGUUUCUCACUUUAGUACUCUGUGGUUUAAAGUAUAUCGAGUUAGUACCUUGUGGUUUCGCACUUUCUUACUUUAGUAUCCUGUGGUUUAAAGUGUAUCAAAUUAGUACUCUGUGAUUUCAUUUUUGUAUCAAGUUAGUACCCUGUGGUUUUAUUUUUCUCUUUUUAUUAUCCAUUUCGAAAUUUUUUUUUCGUUAAAUCAGUGACAAAGUUAAAACUAAAGGGUACUAAAAUAAAUAUUCGAUAAACCUAGGUAAAGUAUCUGAAGUUUUUUUUGUAUAUAAUUUAACGAAAUAUUAAACCACAUGGUACUAAAAUGAGAAAGUGCGAAACCACAGGGUACCAACUUGAUACAUUUUAAACCACAGAAACUAAAGUGAGAAAGUGCGAAACCACAAGGUACUAACUUGAUACACUUUAAAUUACAUAGUAUUAAAAUAAAAAAUAGAAACUGCAGUAGGUCUGGCAAAUGAGGCGAGCGGCUCAUGGUUCGAACUGCGUUCGGCUCGAAUUCGGCUCGCUUUGAGUCGGCUUUGAAUUAAAUUUCAAGUCGACUUGAAGCUAAAUUAGGCUCGAAUUAAUUUCAAGCCAAGCUUGAGUAUUACCGGCUCGCUUCGAAUUAGCUCGAAAAAACUCGAUAUUAUAUAUAUAUUCUAUAUACUAUAUAUAUAUAUAAUAUAUAUAUAGAGAGAGAGAGAGAAGAGAGCAGAGAGAGAGAGAGAGAGAGAGAGAGAGAGAAAGAAAGUCUAUUAUAUAUAUAAUAGCACCCAACACGUGCUAUUAGGUUUUCGCGGCCUUGGAGAAGGGAUGUCGGUUAAGGAUAAGCGAUUCUAUGUAUGAGUUGAGUGGUGGUUAGUUGAAUAGUAGAUCUAAGUGAGUGAAAUGGUUCAACGAUAGAUCUAACGGCCAAAAUAAUCGACCAGCACUGAAGCAUUUGGUAUUAUCGAUAAUUAGUAGCCGGGCUUCUCUCUCUCUAUAUGUAGUCCGCAUUAUAAUCUAUCUAUAGUAGCUAAUUACUUUUGUGUUAUCAGUUUUCUGCUAUUAGAUCUACCUAAAAUAUAGAGUCGGUAUAAUAUACCUUAUGGCAUAAUACCAAGCAUUUAAUGCUAUCGAGUUUUUCUGCCGUUAGAUCAUACACGCUUUGGCCAUUUUCAUUAUUAAUCAUACUAUUCAUUGAUUCCACCUCCCUCAUCUAGAGGGCUACUAUAUCCUUGACCAACAUUCCUUCAUUCUAAGGCCCGAAAACCUCAUAGCAAUAAUUGAUACUAUUAAAUAAUAUUGAACGCGUAAUUAUAUAUAUAGUAUAUAUAUAUUUUUAUAUAUAGCUAGGCUACUAUAUUCUUAUAAAUAUAGACCCGUUUUAUACUUAUAAAUUUACGCUGUUAGGACUGUGCAAUUAGGAUAAUAGUGAUCCCCUAGGAUUGAGUGGGUGGUUGGUUGAAUAGUAUGAUUUACGGUUGGAAAUGGUCAAAAGUAUAUAUUUGACGAUAAAAAACUUAUGAGUGUAAAGAGAUCUAUACUAAUAGAGUAUAGUAGCCGAACUCUCUCUCUAUAUAAUUAUAUAUAAUAUAUAUUUUAAUUAUAGAAAUUUAUAUUAUGUAUUUUAAUUGCAUGUAUAUAGAAUUUAGAUUAUUGGGCCCAUAAAAUCAAACCAGCAAAAUGCUACUUUAAUUGCUCUUUCUUUCUCUUUUUCACUCGCUUAUAGAGUUGUUUUUUCUAAUUUUUUUAAUAUUAUAAUAUUGUAUUUCAUGCAUUCAUUUUGUAUGUUGAGCUAUUAGACAUUUUUUGUAUCGAAUUUUAGAUAAUAUUUUAUAAAAAUUAAACUAUAGAUUGUACGAUGUUAAGAAUUUCAAGCAGCUCGUUUAGGGCUCGAGCUCGCUCGACUCGAAAUUAGGGUCACUGGAGCUCGGCUCGAAUUAAUUUCAAGCCGAGCUUGAGACUAAAUUUAGGCUUGAAAUUAAUUUCAAGCUAAACUUGAGCUGAGGUAAGCUCGCUCGAGCUCGGCUCGUUUCCACCCUUAACUACAGGGUAUUUAAAGUUUUUUCUUUAUUUAUUUAUUUACAUCAUGUGUUCAAUGCUCAGCCGCCCACCAACCUCUUGUUUUCUCAACGAACGCGCGUGGUACGCGUGCUGGCAAGUCAAUUCUUGGAGUGCGACCAUUGAUUUCUUCAUCCUCCAACUCCCUCCAUUAUUUUUUUCGCCUCCUAUACUCCACUCUACUCACAUUUAUUAAAAGCAUAUGGUACUGCUUCGUGCUCAAAAUUUAUCAUUACAUUACAUGUUGUGACAUAUGGAUCAUAAAAUAUAUAUAUAUAUAUAUAUAAUUAUUAUUUUAUUUAGAUUAUAUAAAUAAACAUAACAAUGUAUUAUAUAACCGCUGCAUAAUUACUAUUAUAUUAUGUUUCGAGCUCUGCCUAUUGCCACAUCAGCAAUACGUUACCGUUUAGACAACUAAGGAGCUGUUUGGUUGGAUGUAGUUACAAAAAUAGUAUAGUUGGAAAUAUAUGCAGUUGUAAAUAUUACAGUUAUAACUGCUGCAGUUAUAUUUCUUCUACUUGGUAGUCUGCUGUUGAGAUUUGCAUUUAUAAAUUCUGUCAAAUUUUAGAUAGAAAAGUAAGAUUAUCUCUUUUGAAUGUAACGUAAUCAUAUUUUAAUUAUUAAUUAAUAUUUUUAUAUCUAUAUAUAAUGUGAGACCCAGUUUCUGUCAGUGGGGACUUGUCGACAGCUCUGGAGAGUGUCGAGACAAGCCCGAGUUGCGUUGGCGUCAAAUAGACGCGAAACGGACUCCGUUUGACGCGAGGGCAGCAUUCUGUGUGAAAAUCUGCGAAAUUGCAGGAUUUUUACUCUGUUGNGUGACUGAAACCAUUGCUGGUUGAGGUGCGAUUAGUUCGCCGCCAGAUAGAUAGGUCAUGACUUGAGUCCUCGCUGGGUAAAUGCAACGUGUUCGCCACCAGAAUGACUAUGUCAAGUGACUCGAGCCGAGUUCAGCGUGUGCGACGACUUCGCCGCUAAGAGGCUAAGUUUAGAGGGCGGUAGGCUGAUGAGCAGCCAGUGCGCGGACUAUCCGCGGAUGAUUGACUCAAAGCCGAGUCGGAUGGUUAGCUCGAUAGGGUAGUGGAACCCUGAUGAGCUAGAGUUAGUGGCUUGAGCUAAGGUAAUAGAGACCUUAGAAGCCAGUUGGACUUGAGUUGAGAACCUAAGGUAGUAGAAACCUUAGAGUUGAUGAUAUGAGCUAAGAGUAGCCAAGUAAAGUGUAGAAUCGAUUGAUCUACUAGUUGUUGCAUAGAGUUGUAUGAUUUUCAUAUCGCAUAUUGUGAGGCAUGGCAUGUAUUUCAAUUUAAAUAUAUAUCUGUUGUAUAUUGUUGAACUAACAUGUUGCAGUGCCUCCUCGGACCUAUCGAUCGAGCUUUUUCCUUGGGUGGCCGUACCCACUGGGAACCAUAGAGUUGGUUCUCACCCCACGUUGUUUCGGGGUGUUUCAGGUACAUACGUGAGCGGCGCGACGACGCGAGGUAAGGGCGUAGCUUCGUAGAUAGAGCCCUACCCCAGACACCGAGAUAGCAGUACCCCGAGUCAGCAGGGCUUAGGGGUUAGAAUGGAAUGACAACAACCAACUUAUGCUAAAUGUAAUAAUGUGAUUGUAUUUGGAAAUCAAGCAAAUGUAAAAGAUAAACUGUGAUGUAAAAUGUUGUAUGAAAUGAAUGCUUGUAAUAGCUAGAAGUUUUAUGUAUUUGAUACUUCCUUGUGCAAUUUGGAUUGAUAUCCGUUCCUGGUUGGAACACUUGUUCAUUGUAUUGAUUGCGACGCCUAGGACGUACAGGGGAACUCUGUCCGUAGUACAGGGGAAACCCUGUCCGUUCGGCAGUCUGUUUGCGGCACCGCGACCCGGCCAAAUAGGCGGGAGGUCGCGGGGCGUGACAACAAAUGCUACAGUAUCUGGUGUGACUGUCAACUCUACACCUCGUACUGAAGUAGUAAACAUGUAAGGUCCACCAUCAAAGUCACUCAAAUGACCCGCUCGCAUAUAGAACUCACAAAUGAGCUCUAAACAAUAGCCUGUUUGCUCGGGAAAGUCGCAAAUCUCAUGUAAAUUACCGUUCUCAAAGAGAGCUUGAAAUGCCGGCGCACGUUCAAUCAAAUUUGCAACACCAACUGCACGCUCACCAAUGCACAAUUAUGAGGAGUACAUAGAGCGUCGGCGGGAAUCAAUCAGAGCGUCUUGAGCACUUCGACGUGGAGGAUCAGAAAUGGGAUCUCGAAUCUCAAUUCCACUAGAUUUCUUCCGACUGCGAGUAAAUGUCAUUUGUUCUGUUGCUUUUCCUUUCCCCUUUUCUUUUUCCUUUUCCUUUUCUUUUCCCUUUUCUUUCCUAUUGCCUUUGUCCUUGUCUUUCUCAGGAGCUGCGGGCUCUUUGCCUUUCUUCUUUGAGAGCACCUCAGGAGUAAGUGCGUCCCAAUCAGUCGACUCAGAAUCAGACUCGUCGCCAGGAGCAUUCUCACUCCUUACAUCUUCCGGUUGUUGCUCAACCGGUUGCUUAGCCGAAGAGCGUUGACGUUUGCUUCCCCGACCACCACCGGCCAUGAGAAAAACGAGCACAAGUAGCCACGAAUACAUUUUUAAGAAGCUCCUGUUAAACACAAAUAUUUACACAUAUUGAACAUAAGAGCAUUUUUAUUUUGAUGUCAAAAAUUUGAGCAAGUUGAAAUGUAAAAUACUAAAUGAUCCUAAGGCCACAAAAUCAUGAAAACCAUGGGCAAAUCAUGCAACAAAAUGAAAAAUCAAGCCCUAACAGAUCUAGAGAGUCAAUCAAAGGAGAACACACGAGUUCCACACAAUUUCUAACAUCAAAAUCCAUAAGCUCACAAAAAUAACCAAAAAAUCCGAAAUACUCAUGAAAAAUAUGCAAGAAAUAAAAUUAUUACCAAAACCCCUGUUGUAAUCGAUGAUGAGUAAAAGACGGUGUCUCUAGAACCCUAAGCAGUGAGAGGAGACAAUAUGAAACGAGAAGGUAGAGAGAGAAGCAUCGAACGAAACAGAUCUUCAUAUAGGGGCUCGGGCGGAGGGACCGGUCUCUCAAGUCAGGGAUGGGUCCCCGAGCCUGGAGUUUAAAAAAUUUUAUUUUAAGUUCAAAAUUUUUAAAAAUUUUAUAUGAUAUUUUAAGAUCCCCCAAUACAAAAAUGACCAAUUUUCAUCCCCAAUGACUUCAAAUAAAAUUUCAUAAAUAAAUAAAUUUUGAAAAGUAAAUUUCAAAGAUAUUCAAUUUGUCAAAAAUUGUUGACCCAAAAAUCAAAUAAAUUUAUAUAAGUAUAGAAUAAAAUUCCACACAUCAUGCAAGAUCUAAAAUUAAUUGUAUUGUUUUAUCAUCAUAUUUGUUAAAAAAAUUAAUAAAGGAAUCUCGUAAUCGUGAAAUUAAAAUAAUACCCCCAAAUUGAGUUAUGCACAUUAUUCGAGAUAGGAGUGGCUCUUUGAGCAUGUUUUAACAAACCGCCUUAUAUCGCCUAGGAGAUGUAUUAAACAUAUUAUUAAAAUUUUACCAUCUCCACAACAUCUCAUAUUUAUUUAUUCUUUUUUUUUUAUCUUAUAGAGAUACUUUGACUAUCAUGUGGUAGCUGCACACACUGACCGGACGACCGGGGUGGUAGCUCUUUCCUCCAUGUGGUGGUAGUUUUCACACUCCCAGCAGGGAUGUAACUCUUUCCACAUCUUUUGAAUUUAAGAAAUUUUCAUAACCGGAAAGACUUCCCCUAAAUUAGUGCAACCCUCAAGUCAAAAAUAUUAUCGCAAUUUCAAAAAUAGAGAAAUAGUUAUUCAUCUCAUAGCUAAUAAUCAAACAAAACAAUUGCAACGUUCAAAGUUCGAAGCAUGAGGUGUUGUAUUUAACUCAGUAUACUAAAACAGAAUUUCAAUGAUUUAAUCGUUCAAAAUUAUGACAACAGAGAAUAACAUUGACAGUGAUCAAUCAAAACAUAAUAUGAAACAAUUAAAGCCAUAUUAUAGAGCUCACAAAAACCAAUUUAUCUCCUAAAAACAUAACAUUGACAGUGACACCAUUCAUGAAACUCAAUCAUCUCUCAAAAAUAAUCAAGAAAAAUCGAAAAACAUGCACAGAAACAAAAUGCAAUAUGCAUAUGAUCUAUGGCCCAAUAGAAUGCAUCUAGAUUGAAGGAUUCAUACCAAUAGCCUUUCUUAAAUGUAGAAAACGUUUUUGAUCCAAAGGCUUAGUUAAAAUAUUCGCAAGUUGAUUUUCAGUUGAAAUAUAUUCAAGUUGAAGAACGUUUGAUUCAACCAAUUCUCUUAAAAAGUGAUAUCUUAGUUCAAUAUGCUUUGUUCGUGAAUGUAAAACAGGAUUUUUCGAAAUAUUUAUGGCACUCGUGUUGUCAUAUAAAAUUGUAAAAGUGGUGGAGGAGAUCCGAUAGUCACUCAAUAAGCUUUUCAACCAUAGUAAUUGUGCAGAGCAACUACCGGCCGCAAUAUAUUCCGCCUCGGCAGUGGAGAGUGCAAUACAAUUUUGUCUUUUACUAUGCCACGCAACUAGACAGUGGCCUAUAUAAAAGCAUGCUCCACUUGUACUUUUUCUAUCAUCCACAAAACCGGCCCAAUCUGCAUCCGAAUAUCCAAUUAAAUCCAAAGACGUCCCCAUCGGAUACCAUAGACCAUAAGCGGUUGUACCUUUAACAUAUCGUAUGAUUCUCUUAACCGCUUUCAAAUGAACUUCUUUUGAAUUAGCUUGAUAGCGAGCACAAAUUUCCACACUAAAAGCAAUGUCCAGACUACUCGCGGUCAAAUACAGUAAUCUGCCGAUCAUGCUCCUANCAAAUAAGCCUAAUUUGGCUUCGUUAUGCCGCAGGUAAAGAACGAAAGGUCUAAAAAUCUCAAGAAAAUCAUCGGAGCACCUAAAUAGACCUACAAGGAGGGUGGUGCUUCUCAAACUCUUUGAACUUCUCUCUAUGCCUAAUGUGUCAUUCAUUUGAGCAUGUGUAUAUAUAUAUUAUUGCAUGCAUUUUAGGGUAAAGUAAUGAUGAAAACGUAAUGAUGCAUGAUUGUGAGUACAACUUGCAUAAUAUGAUGAAUGAGAACUAUGUGAUGUCGAAAACCCUAUGUGUAUGCAUGAGAGAAAAGUGAGCACCCAAAGUGAGCAAAAGAACAGAGUGACACAAUGACAUAGAUCGAGUGGUAUUUGAUAAAGUUAAAGUGAAAUGACACUAGAGAUAGUGUGAGGUAAAGAACCGAUGUAUUGUAAAGAAGGAUGAAAAUGACAAUGUUUAAGGUUAAAGUAAUGUGGGGAGUAAAGAACAUGAAAUGCUAGAGGUAGCCAAAAGUAAAGAAUGUAAAGAAUAUAAUUGCUAGAGUUAGCAACAUAAAGUGAUGUAAUGAACACUAGAGCUAGUGUAAAGUCAAGAUUGAACUUAUAAAUCCUUAGAGUUAAGGAUAUGAUCAUACUUGCUAUGAGUUCCGUGCUCGAGGGCGGUCGCUCCCCCUCGGGCGAUGCGCUCCGGAGUUAUGCAUCACGGGUUGGAGUAAACCUGAAGGACGGUCUUAGCGGGUGAGUUCCUGCGAUGAUGGACUUAAUGUGAAGCAAGUUAAUGUGGCGAUACCCCCGGGUUAGCCUUGAGAUUAAAGAACAAAGAGCAAAGAACAAAGUGCAAAGAACAAGAACAAAGAACAAAGAGUAAAGUGAAAAGAACAAGGAAUUUGCAUAAUCUGCAUCUAUUUAAUGUUGAGCAUACUCCUUUGCUUAUUGUUCAGGCAUAUUAGCAUCAUGUUGUAGAUUGGUUACUAUAUCUCAGCUUAUCCUUUCUAUUAUGCCUGAGUUAGUCCUAGUGGGAAAGUCGGUGAUGUUGAGGCCGAACCCACUGGGAACUUUGUUGUAGUUCUCACCCCACUAUUUCCACAGAGCCAGGACCGAGCGAGCCGGCGAGCGACCGAGGUAAAGGUAUCGCGCCUUAGACAGAGGCCACCAGAGUUGUGUUGGGUUUACAUUUUGUAGUAAAGUACCCUAUGAUCAUCUUUUGGUACAUGAUGAUAAAUGAUGUAAAGAAAAGAAUGUAAUGUGUAUUUUGAGGUAAAUGUGAUAUAAGAAAGAAAUGAUGAAAUGAAAUGUAAGGAAUUUGAAGAUGAACAAGGUGAAUGCAAUGUAUAUGAUCAAAAAUGAAUCAUAGUACUUAUAAAUGUUUAGUUUCCCUUUCUUUCACUAAUGGCUAUUGCUUACCCUCGCGUAAGCCGUUUGUGUAUGUUUCCGCUAGUGCAUUUCUUGUUUGAAUUUGUACAUGUGAUUAGCCUUGGGCGGAUAGGGGAAACUCUGUCCGUUCGGCGUCUGUUUGGCGUGCUCGGGUCGGGCCAAAUUGGUACCGGUCCGGGGCGUGACAGUAAGAGUUGUGGAAGGGAUCCGAUAGUCGCUUAGUAAGCUCUUCAUCCACAACAACUGAGUGGAGCAACUACCAGCAGAAAUAUACUCAGCCUUGGCAGUGGAUAGUGCAAUACAGUUCUGUUUCUUACUGUGCCAUGCAACAAGACAAUGUCCAAGGUAAAAACAAGCUCCACUAGUGCUUUUCCGAUCAUCUGCAGAACCAGCCCAGUCUGCAUCUGAGCAUCCAAUCAGAUCAAGAGAUGUUCCCAUAGGAUACAAGAGGCCAUAUGCGGUUAUACCUUUAACGUACCGAAUGAUCAUUUUAACUGCUUUCAGAUGAACUUCCUUAGGAUUAGCUUGAUAGCGAGCACAAAUUCCAACACUAAAAGCAAUAUCUGGUGUACUCACAGUCAAGUACAAUAGGCUCCCAAUCAUGCUUCUGUACUGUUUCUCAUCCAUACUCUGUCCAUCCGAAUUCAAUCCAAGUCCUUUGUUACUUGUACCCAUUGGAGUAUCAAAAUUCUUUGUAUUGUCCAAUUCAAAUUUCUUAACCAAAUCUUUCGCAUAUUUGGAUUGACACAAGUGAAUUCCAUCUUUAGUUUGUUUAAUUUGAAGUCCAAGGAAAUAAUUAAGCUCCCCCAUCAUCGACAUCUCAAACUCGCUUGUCAUUAACUUCGCAAAUUCCGUGACAUCUUUAUCCUUAGUUGAGCCAAAAACAAUGUCAUUAACAUAAAUUUGUGCCACAAUAAAAUUAUUUUUCGAGUGUUUUACAAAAAGAGUUAUAUCCACUCCCCCUCGGUUGUAGUCUUUUUCGAUAAGAUAUUUUGUCAAACACUCGUACCAUGCCCGCGGAGCCUAUUUAAGUCCAUAAAGUGCCUUUUUUAGUCGAAAAACAUGAUUUGAAAAUUUGGAGUCUAUGAAACCUUUCGGUUGUUCAACAUAAACUUUCUCUUUUAAAAAUCCGUUUAAAAAUGCACUUUUAACAUCUAUUUGAAAAAGAGUAAUUUUAAAAUGACAGGCAAUCGCGAACAAAAUACGAAUUGAUUCAAGACGAGCAACCGAGGCGAAGGUUUCAUCAAAAUCUAUUCCCUCAAUUUGUGAAUAGCCCCGAGCAACAAGUCUCGCUUUGUUUCGAACAAUAGUACUUCCUCAUUUUUCUUAUUCUUAAAAAUCCAUUUGGUACCAAUUAUGUGUUGUUGCUCAGGCCGUGGCACUAAUUCCCAGACAUCAUUACGCGUGAAUUGACCAAGUUCUUCUUGCAUAGCAUUAAUCCAAUAUUCAUCGAGAAGAGUUUCGUCAAUAUUCUUUGGCUUAACUAAAGAAACAUAACAUGCAAAUUCACACUGAAGUUGUCUCCUAGUUUUCACACCAGUAAGAGGGUCUCCAAUAAUAUUUGACAAAGGGUGAUCUCUUGACUCUCUCAGGGGUGUAGUCUCAUAUGAUAUACUAGGUGUUUCAGAUGAGAUGCUUUGAGGCUCAGAUGAAUCAUUUGAUGCAACAAUUUCAGGAGAUGCAAUGGGAUUAUCAAAUGCAGAAACAUUAUCAUUCACAGGCAGUACAAAUGGAGAAUCAUUAUCAUCAUCAUUCAUCAAAGAGUUAGAAGUACCAUUCACAGAAGAACUUACAGAAGAAGCUUCAUCUACUUUUAUAUUUAUAGAUUCUAUCACCGUCUUAGUUCGUAAAUUGUACGCACGAUAAGCACGACUUAUAGUAGAAUAACCAAGAAAUAUCCCCUCGUCACUUCGGGAGUCAAAUUUUCUAAGAUUUUCAUGAUCCCGAAGGAUAAAACGCUUACUCCCGAAGAUACGAAAGUAUUUAAUAUUAGGUUUUCUACCAAGCCAAAGUUCAUACGGAGUAUUCAAAGUACCCAGAUGCACAUAAAUCCGAUUGAUAACAUAGACGGCCGUGUUAACCGCUUUGGCCCAAAAAUGUAAAGCAACUUUCUUACUAUGAAGCAUAACACGUGACAUCUCUUGUACAACCCGAUUUUUGCGUUCAACCACUCCGUUUUGUUGCGGUGUAUAAGGAGCCGAGAAUUCAUGUUUAAUCCCAUUAGAAACACAAAAAUCAACAAUUUUUGAAUUUAUGAAUUCUCCCACUUGAUCACUUCGAAUACAUAUAAUUUUAUCAUUACACUCAUUCAUAAGACGAAGACAAAUCUCAGAAAAAGAGUCAAAAGUAUUGGCUUUUUCACGUAAGAAAGCACUCCACGAAAAACGAGUAAAGUCAUCAACAAUAAGGAAUAUAUAACGUUUGCCACCCAAACUUUGAAUCCUAGAUGGUCCCAUCAAGUCUAUGUGUAACAACUCUAAAGGUUUAGAUGUCCCUAAGUUGUUCAAAUUCUUAUGUGCGGAUCUAGUUUGCUUUCCUAGUUGACAACCCCCACACAUAAUGUUCUCUUUGGAAUCUAUCUUAGGUACACCUCUAACAAUCUCUUUCUUCGAUAUCUUAGAUAGUUCCUUAAAAUUUAUGUGACCUAGAUGUUCAUGCCAUAAAGUUUCAGUCUCUAAUAUUGCUAGGUUACACUUUUCAGAUGAAGCACUAGAAACUAUAUAACAGUUAUUCUGAGAUCUUACACCUUUUAAAAAUAUAUCAUCAUCACGAGUCACAUUGCAUUCUUUAUCAGAAAAUUUCACAGAAUACCCAUCAUCACACAAUUGGCUUAUGCUUACGAGAUUUGAUUUAAUCCCCUCAACAUAAAAAACAUUAUUCAAAGUAGGGCCAUCUAAGAUAGUAACUGUUCCUUUUCCAAUGAUUUUUGAUGACCGACCGUCUCCAAAAACAACAAGUCCUCCGGAGAUUUUAUUUAAAGAAGUAAACCAAUUUUUGUCACCCGUCAUGUGACGGGAACAACCACUAUCCAGAUACCAAGAAGUAUUAUCGUAAGCAUGAAGCAAAGUGUGAAUGACAAGGCAUGGGAAGACUUCACCUUUGCGUACCCAGACCUUACGUGUUUUGGGUUGCGACGAUUGACUUGCUUUUGGUGAUCGUGGCUUGUCGACGAUUUGAGUUAACUUCUUCUUCAGAUCCUCCUUCUUUGGCUUCCAUGCUUGUUUUGCCUUUGAUUUCGGAGCAUUCUUCUUUGGUGUCCACGUUUGCUUCACUUUUGGUUUAGGAUCAUUCUUCGUUUGCAUCCAUGAUCGUUUCUUCUCAACUUUUGAAUCUUCUUUUGUUGGCUUCCAAGAUGUCCUCCGAUCCAAGAGUGUAGUGGAGCUUUUAGCCCUUUGUUCGCAAAACCUUUUCACAUGUCCUAAAACACGACAAAGAUGACAAGUUUUGUUAGCAAAUGUGUUUUUAGGAGGGAUAAACUUACCAUAAAGCUUAGGAAACGCUUUUGUCGAAUGUUCGUCAUCUUUUUUGAUUGCUUGAUCAACAUACGUCCGUUCGUAUCCAAGUCCAAAUUUAUUUGUUUGAUCAAGUCCAAGCAUUUUGUCAAGUUUGCUAGAGCUAGACGAAAAUUGAUUUAAAUCCGAUUUGAGUUGGAUAAUAGUCUUGGUGAAUUCCAUAUUUGAUUCUCUAGCUUCCGUGUAUUGCUUGGUAAGGAAAUUGACAUUUUCAACAUGAGACUCCUUUUCCUUUUCAAGCAAUAUACACUUCUCAAAUAAAGAAUCGUAAGCCUUAGUCAAACCAUCUCUUUCUUGUUCUAGAUCCUUUGUCAAUGAGUCCAAUCUUGAAUUCUCUUGUUCCAAGUCAUGUAGCCUCCGCCGCAGCUUCUUGUUAUGUUUUGCCAUCUUCUUUGAUUCGACAACCAAUUGUUGAUAUGCGGCGACCAUGUCAUCUUCAUCCGAUUCUUCAUCCGAUGAAUUUUUCGAAGUCAAUUUUUCAUGCAUAGAAGACAUGGAGAUAGAGUCAAUAGAUGUCAGACACAUAUAAUUAGAAUCAUGUGCAAUAAGUGCCGUUGCGUUUACAUCCUCAUCGCUUGAAGAUGACUCAUUCGAGGAUGAAUCAUCCCAAGUGAUGGCUUAUAUCGCUUUCUUUUUCAAAGAUUUUUUAUUAGGACAAUCCGAUGCAAUAUAACCAAAUCCUCUACACUUAUAGCAUUGGAUUUGACCUUCAUUACUUUUCUUCUCUUUAGAAAAAUCUUUUGAAGAGCUUUCAGAUUUUUUUAUUCUUAGAAAAGGAAGAUGAAGAAGAACUCCCUUUAGAUUUGCUUGACUUUGAGGAGGUAGACUUUGGAGGAAACUUCUUUCUAAAGUUCCGACGGAACUUCUUCGUUAGAAGAGCCAAUUGUUUUUCAAACUCCUCCAAUGUUUGAUCCGAUUCUGAGUCCGAUGAAGUAGUCAUGUCAUCUCCUUUUGUUGAUUUUAAGGCCAUACCUAAAGCUUUAGAAGAAGACUUGGAAGAAGACGAAUUAGAAGGUGUACCCUCGUGUGUAACUUGUAAAGUAUCCCAAAUUUCUUUGGCGGUUUCACACGCCAAGACACGAGAAAACUCGGUUUGAUUUAAAGCAUUAAAUAAAGCAUUGAUACCCUUUCCGUUGAAUGAAGAUAGUUCGUUUUCCUCUUUCGUCCACUUAUUUCUAGGUUUCGGACCGGUAACAUUCUCAACAACUUCGGUGGGAUGUUUCCGCCCGAAUUCAAUGGCUUGCCAUACCCGCUCGUCGAUGGCAAUAAGAAAUGCCCUCAUACGGACUUUCCAAUAAGCGUAAUUAGUGCCAUCGAAGAGAGGGGGUCGAUUGAUGUUACCGCCCUCGGCCAUGAUUUACAACCUAUACCCUCUCUGAAACCACUUGAAAGAUAUGGAUCCUAAGGAUCUAAAAGAUAAAUAACACCUAGAGGGGGGGUGAAUAGGUGUAAACGGUAAAAACAAAUAAACUCGAUGCGAAUUAAAAAAGAAUGCGAAAAAAAUAAAAUCAACACACCGAGAAUUAACGUGGGAAAACUCCAAAUCGGUGAGAAAAACCCACGGGACCGACCACACAAAGAAAUCCACUAAGAAAACUUGAGUACAAGUGAUUUAACAAAAAUACAUGACUCAAUUUACCGAAUCCUCGUUGUAGAUUGUCUUCGCCGAUCCUCGAUCGCUUGGAAUCCUCCAACCGACCACACCGGAAGUCCUUGCAGCAAACAUGCCUCGAUUCCACGAAACGCCCACCGAAUCCACGGCCUCCAUGCGAAAUCCAUGCGCUAACGCUCCAUCCGAAGCUCAUAGGGAUUUAACAAUUUGUGGUGAUUUAAGAUCUUAGAAAGCACAUAUAAUAUGAGGAGAAACCCUGAUUAUAACAUCACCAAUUUGAUCCUUAAAGAUGUUUUGAAUCAAAAUCAAAGAAUCUAACCGGUGAUCUAAGAACUCGAUGUUUAAAACAUAGAUCAAAAACUCCGAAUCAAGCCGUUAGGAUUUCUAAAAGGUUAUAUCUCUAAGCUCACGUCAUAUAGGGAUCCUCAUAUCACAUUUAUAGGUUUAGAUGGCUUCUAAAUGGACUAGGAUUUCAAAAACUCAAUUUUAAAAACUGACGACGGUCUCAGGGUCCGGUCCUCCCGAGGAGACCAGUCUUUGGGGGACCGGUCCUUUGCUGCGUAGCUGAGAAACAUGCGUACGGGGACCGGUCCUCAAUUCAGAGACCGGUCCCUCCCUGCACAACAAGAUAAACCACUUACGGGAACCGGCCCUCAAGACCAGAGACCGGUCUCCCAAAACUUCUACGCAGAGAAGACUUGAUGGGUCCGGUCCCUCUGAUCAAGGACCAGUCCCUGAGCCCUGAGAUUUAUAGAAAAGUCCAGUUUGAUCAACAAAAACACAAUCUAAGUCUUCUAAACAUAUUUUAACAAUAAAAUCUCACCACAAACUAUUUAUAAUCAUACCUAAGAUCCCAAAAGUGUGACCGAAGUUUUUGACCUCCAAAUUCCAAUUCUUUCUUCAAACUUUGUCUUCUAACUCUUCGAGACUCCAUCAAACUUCACGAAAGUCGCCAACCUAGAAAAAAUCCUUAACAUCGAAAAAUUAUGAAAUUUGAUUUCUAGAUGUUUCAAAUGCUCUAGAUAACGUUUAACGGUGUGGAUCGUCGAUUCGGAAGCUCUAUCAUCGAAAACAACUUAUGAGUACGAGGGCGAUCGUACUCAUAAUAGUAUUGUUGGAGCCGAAAUUCCCCGACCUUUGAACCGGUCAAAGUUGUUUCUCGGGAAGCGCGUCGGGAUGGAAAUGGCUGCGAAGGAUGACCCUCGAAGUAUGCGCCCUUCGAUAGAUCAAGCGAUUAGGCUGACGAGGGAUCAGGUUAGCCGGGUUCAAAACCUUUAUAAGAGAAUCGGUUUGGCUGGGAUGAGCCGAAUACUUGAAACAAGCCAGAAAGUGGGCAGACAAAAGAGCCGAAUGGCUAGGACAACUUGAGAUCUGGUCGGCCUGAAGAGCCGAAAAUGACUUUCUAUUAAAUGGAACCGGGGAAAGUACAGAGAGAUGGGUUUUUAGUCUACAACGGAGUGAUGCCCGAGGGGCAGACAGACUCCAGGAUGCUAAGUUACAGGAACUACUCCUAGGAAAAAUAAAUAAAUGCGAGAAAGAAAGAUGCAAGAAAAUAAAGGUGGUCUUUUGUGCGCAGGGGCUAAGACCCCUUUUUGGGGUAUUAUUACCCUAUUUAUAGAUAGCCCCCUUUGAUCAGUUAUUUCAUAAUCGGCCAUUAUCUCCUCAUAUUCCGGACCACUUCUAGCCGAUUGGAACCGCAUGUAACUGCUUGCGGUUGCCAUAACUUCCUUCAAUUCGCGUGAUACCUUCUUCCGGCACUUCCGAUGCACGACCCAAAAGACGCUUUUGAAGGGAAUAUUCGCACCUAAAUCCGAUUCUCGCUUAAUCGGCUCAACAAUUGCCUCCUCGGCAGCUUUCGAAGUAACACUUCGGUAGCUGGCGUGAUCUGAGACACGAUCACUUUUUAACUUCCUGACAUGGUUGCAUCUCGGCCGUUCCUUUUUCGCUGCCGAAAUUUUGUAAUUGAUUUGAUAACAAGCGCGAUCCGAGGCGUCAUUCUCGGUCCAAUCACAUUCAAAAUCUCUGCACCAGUACUAGAUAUGAUUCGAGGCGUGACCCUCUGUAUGGUUCAAUCUUAGCCGUUUAUUUCCUUUUCUUUACGGCCCGAUCUCAACUUUCGUUUUGUCUUACUUGCGGCAUUAACUAGGUUAUCUUAAUUACCGCCGUCUAUUCAUCAUUAAAACUGACCUCGAAACUCGCUUCGACGCGACGGUUCAAUACGACGACCUUUCUUCUUCUCCAAGCUUUUUAUUCUUUUUGUCUCUUCUAUUUCUUCUUCGUCUUCCAGGAAACCUUUCUUUUGCUUCCCUUUCCUUCAUCUUUUCCGAUUUUAUUUUCCACUUGACUUUUCCUCUUUCCUUUUUCGACUAAUGGCGUUGGUUCUGCCUCUUCCUUCUCAUCCAUCCCUGGAUUAUACUAUACUUAAACCCUUUGUCGAUUCGGACCCCUCUAGAUUUAUUUUGGGUCCUUCACUUACAAAAGUGCCAGCCCCUAUUGACUCGCCCUUUUCUAGCGAUGGUCUCCCCUUGAGAAAAGCUAUUCAUCUUCAGUCUUGGUACUCUUCUGCUUCAACAGGGAAGAGUCUUCGAACUUGGCCAAGUACUUCAGAGGCAUAUUUAACCUGGUUAGAUCGAGUAGAAGCCGUCUUUGGUGACUUUUGGCGAGAGGUUGGGAUAUAUGAAGCUAUUCAAUUGUCUCGGCAUCCUCCUAUUGCCGACAAUCUUCUUCUAGCCGCCACUCUGUGUUUUUGGUCCCCCACUUCUAAUGUUUUUCUUUUUAAAAGAGGGCCUCUCACCCCCACUCUUCUUGACGUGGCCACCAUUACUGGCUUGUGCCCUCAUGGCGUUUCUAUUUCUAUGUCUUAUAAUCCUGACGGCGUAUCUAAUUUUGAGGACCGUCUAGACCUCAAUGACUUGGCUUACUCCAAGUUCAUCCGCAAAUUCGCANGCCGCGUCAACGCCUCAACUCCUCGAAGCGUCCACCGAAUCCUCGGCUUCACGCGAGAUCCACCCGCCGAACCUCCUUCCGGAGCUUGUAGAAUUGAUGAUUUGUGGAGAUUAAGACUUAAAAUACCAUAAGCAAUGAGCGUUCACCUUCUAAUCAAUCAUCAACUUAAUUCUCGAUGAAAUUCUUGAGUUAAAACUUAAGAAUCAAGUCUAUGGUUGAUUAUACGAAACUCGUUAUAUGAAUAAAUCAUAAGAACAUGAAAACAAAUUUCUAGGGUUUUAGAAAGGUAGAAAUUCUGAGCCUCAACUCAUAUGAUGACCCCCAUAGCUUAUUUAUAGGUUUAGAAGACUUAGAAGUGGACUAGGAUUGCAAAAUAUCUAUUUUAAAAACUGACGUCGUCCUCAGGAACAGGUCCUCUCGAGAAAACCGGUCUUUGAGAGAUCGGUCCCUCGAGUGGGAGACCGGUCCCUCGCUGCGUGACAGAAAACACAACGUUCGGGAAUCGGUCUCUCAUGCCAGAGACCGAUCCCUCGCUGCGUGACAGAGAAACCCAUGUUCGGGAACCGGUCUCACUUUCCAGAGACCGGUUGCCUUAAUAUUCUAUGCAGUGAGGACCCUCGGGGACUGGUCUCUCAACCCUGGAACCGGUCCCAGAACACUGAGAAGUUCAGAUUCAGCUUCUUAAUGCAAUCCAAGUCUUCUAAACUUAUUUUUUGAUUAAAAUCACCAUAAAUGAUCUAUUUUUCAUACCUGAGGUGCCGAGCUUUCCGAAUGAAUCUUUGAUCUUCAACUUGCAUCUUAGUUUCAAAACUCCGUGCUUGAUUUUUCAAGACUCCAUUUGACUUUACGAAAUCCGCCAACCUAAAAAAUCCAUAACAAAUCCGGGGGUAUCGCCUCAUUAACUCACCAACUCAAAGUCCAUAAUCGCGGGCCCUCAGCUUCCUCCCGCUAGGACUAUCCUCUGGGGAACAGAACCACCCAGUGAUGACAAACUCCGGAGCGCAUCGCCCGAGGGGGAGCUACCGCCCUCGAGCAAGGACUUAUAGCGAGUAUGAUCAAUCCUUAACUCUAAGGAUAUUCAGUUCAAUCUGUUCCUUAACUCUAAGAAAUUUAUGCACAAAUGACCCUUAGCUCUAAGGUUGAAUGUCAUUGUGUCAAUCUCAUGUUCUUUGCAUUCUUUAUCUUCGACCAUGUCAAUACACUAACUCUAGUGUUCUUUACAUUCUUUACUAUCAUUCAUAUUAUACAUUAACUCUAGUAUUCUUGGAUGCCCCACAUUUAAUGCUAUCUUUAGCCAUUGUUCUUUAUGCCACAUUUUGUUGCUAACUCUAGCAAUUGUCAUUCUUUGAUGCCACACAUUUGCUAACUCUAGCUUUUAUCAUUCUUUAUACCACAUUUGUUCUCUUUGAUGCCACACACAUUAGCUCUAGUGUUCUUUACGUCAUACGUCAUGCUAACUUUAGCUUUCAUUCUCAACAUUACAUUGUCCUCAUGUCAUAUGUCACUUGUUCUUUAACUUCAUUAAGCUCUUAUCUCUUUUUACAUGCACAUAUAGGGUUAUUACAUUCUCAUCGGUUUUCAACCAUUUCAUGAUGCACUUGAACUCACAAAAUGCAAGCAUUCACAUAUUUAUAAUCUCAUUACCCUACUAUGCAUGCAACAAUUAUAUAUGUAUGCUCAAGAAGUGACACAUUAGACAUAAAGGGAAUUCCAACAAGUUUGGAAGGCACCACCCACCUCGUAGGCUUUCUUAGGUGCUACGGUAAUUUUCUUGGAAUUUUUAGACUCCUAAUUCGUCACCUGCGGCAAAACGAAGCCAUAUUAGGCCUUUUUGCUCAUAACUUUACAUAGGCUUUUUGUAAUGUCAAUCCGAGCUCACCAACGCGUUCGUUUGGUCCCCAAUUAGGUUUCUAGAUGGUCAAUUUCACUUUGAAUCCCUCACAAGCAAAAGUUCCAAAUUUUAGGUGCCCUAGCUUCACAUACACCAAAUCUAGGAUUUUGAUCUCUUAGAGAAGCAAAAGAAAGCUUCAAAACUCUUUAAUCAUUCCAUUAAAACCAUUUUUAGGUCAAUCAAAACCCAUUCUAGGGUUUCACCAUGAGAGGGGUUGAAGCUUACCUCUAAGCUUCACCACCUACACCCAAUCCAUGGUUUUGAUCUCAUCCACAAGCAAAAGAAAGCUUGAAAUACCCCAAAAGGCUCUACUAAAACUAUUCAUAGGUCCUUUGGUUCUCAUCUUAGGGUUUUACUAUGAAAGGGAUCAAAGCUUACCUCAAAGCUUUCCCUUCUUUGCUCCAAAGAGGAAGAAGAAGGAGUUGCUCCACUCCUUGGUCUUCUUCUCCACCUUUGUCUUCUUCUACUUCUCCCUCUUUUCUUUUCUUUCUCUUUCUUUCUUCUUCUCCUUCUUGUCUUCUAGAGAGAGAAAGAGGGGAGAGAGUGUGUGAGAGGGAGAGAAUGAGAGAAAUAUCCCAUAACCCCUCAUAACAUAACCCAUGGGUUUAAUUGCAAAUAAACCCCUCAACUUUCACUUUAUUAAACUGCCCAAACUGGGCCAUUUUCGAGCUCGGGGACCGGUCUCCCUGACAAGGGACCGGUCCCAGAGAGCUUUCCCCAUGGGCAGCCAAGGCCCCCGCGCAAUGCAACCAGUCUCUCCCAGAGGGACCGGUCUCUCGGGGACCGGUCUCUCCCCGCAGGGACUGGUUUCCGAGAGCUGGUUUUCUGGGACUUAGCCGAUUUUUCAGCUUUCUCAUUUCUCACGCGUUCGGGGACCGAUCUCUCCCACCAGGGACCGGUCCCCGAGAGCACAAAAGCUGCAGUUUGCAAAUUUUUAUUUCUUUAGCUCUCGAAGAUCUCUUUAAACGCACUUUUACUUAUUUUAACACCUUCGGACUUUCCGAAGUGUACCAUCCUCACACUUUGGUCAAUCUGACUAAAGUUCGAUAUUUAUUUUUCGAAUUUUCGGUAUAUUAAAGACGGAAUUGGAUGUUAUUUUUACUCGCUAUGUGAGCUUAGCGAUACCCUUUAGGACUUAGAACCAUGUCAUGAAAUGGAUAUUUGGUGAUGCCACUUUAGCAUAAUAUCUAAGGGCCAUAAUUGAUUCAGUUCAGCGGAACAUGUCUAGGAAAGCAGUCAAGUUGAAAUGGAUUGGCAUGAGACAUAUGAGGAAAAAUCAUUUGACAAUACACCUAUAAUUCUUGACUCAUAGCCCAGGUGAUUAUGUUGAUAUUUGUUAUUAAUAUAAUCAUGAGUGCAGAUGCACUGAUAAGAGAGAUCUAACUUGCUCUAUAGGGAUUAGAGAUGCUAAAAUCUGGUAUUGUUCAAUGAUUUGUGGUAUAGAAGAGAUUUGGAGUUGUAGUGUUAUAUUAGUUGGAUAGUGGCUUAAUAUAAUACUCCUCACUUGAUUCCUCUUGUUAUUGAUUGCACCAAUUAUUUCUCGUAUGAAGAGUAGAACGAGAUAAGAAUAUAUUUGUGAUGAGACAAUAUGAAUAAGUACCAAGUGUACGAGUGGGAGAGUUAGGAUUCGUCCACAUUGGAACAUAUCUAAAAUAUUUCUAAUCCACAUCGGAUAAGGAAUAAAAUUAAGAGAUAGAUCCUAAUAUAUUUAAAUCUCUAUCUAUGUGAGAUUCCGUUAGAAUAGGAUUGGAACUAACAUCUUUUCUAUGGCCUAUAAAUACAUGAGAUAUUGGCUGCAUACAAUACAAAAAAAAAAAAAAAAAAAAGAAUAAUCUCUCCACAAAAUUCUUUUUCUUGGGUUCACUCUAGGGCAUCAUCAGAAACCUUAGGGAUUUGGGCGGUGUGCUGCAAUCCACUCUGAUAGCCUAUUAGCAACGAGAAAGAACAACAUGUAAGAAAUUGAGACAGAUUGCUGGCGGAUUAAGGAGUUCGUAAAACAAGAUGAGAUCAAAUCCUAAUAAUUGCAACAUUAAUUCCGCAUCAAAGAGGUAUGUAAAAAUCUAUAUCAUUUUUGUACUUUGAUUUGGUUAUUUAUUUUUCCUACAAUUCUAUUAGGCCUAGUUUUGGAUUUAUCUUGCAAAAUCAUCUCUGUUUUUAUACUUUGGAAGGUUUCAAUCUUCUCUGUUUUAGUAUUACCAAAUUGUAAUGAAAAUUGAAAGUGGAGAAGCAUGUAGUUGCAUGCUUCUUAGAAAGAAUAAUUAGAAUUCCAAGAAGCUUUUCAGUGACAACACCUACAAUCUAUAUUUAUUUAUUUCAUUGAUUAUUUAAUUCUUUUUCAAAACCAUAUAUCCUAUUUUCACAGUUAUUUACCUAAAGAAAUAAGGAACAUACUAUUAGAAUUUUAGUUAGAUUUGUAGUUAAAUUCUAGUUAAAUUAAAAUAAAUAUUUAAAUCUAUCAAAAAUAAAUUAAUUUAAAUUUAAAUAUUAAUUAGAAUCGAAUUUUUAAUUAUACUAGAAUUGGAGUAAGUUUUUCUUGAGCUUAAUAUAUAAUUCCAUGGUAUACGGGUUUGUAUGGCUUAGCCUUGUAGUACGGCCAAUUAAUUAGUUGCUUUAUAGUUAGCAGAGCAGAGAAGGUGAGGCCCUAUCAGAGAGAGAGCAGCAAUAUGCUUAGUGCACCUGGUGUCUAGGUGCAUAAGAAUUGUUGAAGUUAGAUGAUUUGAGCAUAGGUUUGAUUUCAAUGAGAGAAGUCUUCUAAACUUAUAGAAGACAAGAGAAGGGUGAGAGGGAUUCAGAAAUAGGGCUUAGGUUGAAGCUACUCUAUACAGAAGAGAAAUCACAUAUAAUUCUUCUCUUAUUUAGUAAAUUUUGUUUUAUCUGUAUUUUCUAUUUGAUUUUUUUCCUUUUUGUAGCUAUGCCAGCUGUUUGCUGAGGAAACGGGUUUCUGGUAAAAAUUUGAUUUGAGCUUUUGUUACGCAAUACCAACUACUGGUACCAAAUCAACAGCGGUCGAUAUCAAGGCGGAUUGCGAAUUUUUCAAAAUAUGAUAUUAGAGUGAGUACCAAAUUCUCAAUAAUUGGUAUUAGAGCUUAAGGUUACUGAUCUUCCGGAGAGAUCGACGAAGAUCGCUACAAAAUUGGAAAUUGAGAAGUUCGACGAUAAAUAAUUUCGGAUUGUGAUAGAUUAAAGUACGGAAAGUCCUCAUACAACAAGAGUUAGAUGAGAUGUUGAACAGGAAGGAAGCGAAGCCGGCAAAGGUCACGGAUUCGAGUUGGGAGAAGAUAGAGUGGAAGGCACCGAGUACGCUUCAUUUAUUAUUAGCAGAUAAGGUUCUUUGCAACAUAGCCAGCAAGUCAACACUGGCGAAGUUGUGGAAGAAAUUGGAAGAGAUCUAUACAUGACUAAAUUCCUGACAAAUUGUAUAUGAAGUAACGACUAUUCAUGCUGCGGAUGCACGAAAUGACGAGCCUAUAUGAGCAUCUGAAUGAGUUCAAUAAGGUGGUAAAUAAGCAGCCUGGUAAAUAAGGUUCGAAAGUGAGAUCGGAUCGUGUGCGAGGUAAAUAAGCAGAGAAAUUUAUACGUUCUGAAUGGGAGCACAGCCUGAACAGGAGAAAAGACGGUUUGGGCUCUAAAAGUUUAUGAAGGUGCAGCCGCUCGAGGUGGAGUAGCGAAUGUGGCGACAUCGAGCGAAGGAGAUACACUCAAAGUGAAGCUCGUAUAGUGAGCUCGACACAAAAGUUGAAGACAACAAAUCAAAUCACGGUGAAGAUUGUUAGAAUUUUGGUUGGAUUUGUAGUUAAAUUUUAGUUAAAUUAGAAUAAAUAUUUAAAUUCAUUAGAGAUAAAUUAAUUUGAAUUUAGAUAUUACUUAUAGUUGAAUUUCUAAUUAUAUUACAAUUGGGUACGUUUUUGUGAAGUUUAAUAUAUCCACGCAAGCCAGUUCGUGUUCGGCUCGAAAUGAGCUCGAGAUCGAAUCGCUCGUUUAUUAAACGAGCCGAACAUGAGCUGGGGUCAGCUCGCUCGUGUUCGGCUCGAUAACAGCUCGAAUACAUAUAUUUAUAUUUAUAUAAUUUGUUUAAUUUAUAUUUAUAUAUAUAAAUAAAUAAUUAUAUAUAUAAUAUAUAUUUUUAUUAUUUAAUUUUUAGCAAAAUAAAAAUAUAAAGGCGAGCUCAAUUAUAAAAAAAUCCAUUUAUAUGUAAAGUUUUAACUAUUAGAUCAAAGUCUAAUGGAUAAGAUUUUAUAAAUUUAUUUUUUAUAUAUAUGUCAAUCCUAUUUUCCUUUUAACUAUUGUCGUGGCACUCGUGUUCAGGCUCGUUCAAUUAAGAGGCAGAACACGAGCUGAAUUUUUUGACUCGAUACCUUAACGAGUCAGCUCGUGUUCAACUUGUUUAAUAAACAAGCCGAACACGAGCCAACCGAGCUCGGUCGUGUUCGGCUCGUUUACACCCCUGCUCCAUGGUAUGCCGUAGAGGUGUUGCUCUCUAAUUAGUAGAGCAGACAGGUGAGACUGUACGGGAGAGUGAGCCAAUAUGCUUAGUGCACCUGGUGUAUAGGUGCAUAAGAAUGGUUAAAGUUAGAUGUUUUGAGCGUAGGUUCGAUUUCAACGGGAGAAAUCUUCUUGAAAAGGGUGAGAGGAAUUGGCAAAGAGGGUGACGGCCGAAACUAUUUUAUGGAGAAGUGUAAUUUAUUUUUAUUUACUGAAUCUUAUUAUACCUGUAUUUUCAGUUUGGUUUUUUUUUUUUGGUUGUGUAAAUUGUUUGCUAAGAAGACGAAUUUAUAAUAAAAAUUCAAUUUGACACUUUUAUUGCGGAAUACCAAUAAUCAAUACCAAAUCAACAACAGUCGAUAUCAAAGCGCAUUGUAAAUUUUCAAAAUCUGAUAUCAGAACGAAUAUUACAUUCCCAACACAUAUUUCGAAAACAAGUACUUUCGGAUUGUGAAGAAAUUAAUAGCAAAGAAGUAAAAGAUUUUAAGUAGCUAAAAAUUUUGAAAUAUGGUUAGUAAUUGACAGUUUUCUAUGAAUGGAGUUUGAACAAAUUAUUUACAUAUUUACCAGAGAAGCUUGUCGUGUUUUGUGUCUGGAUGAGUUUUAACAAAUGAUCGACUCUGCCUUAUAUUAUAUUAUAGGACAAAAAUUUGCUCGGCAUCCGUGCCUAAACAAAUCCGUGCCCAAACAAAUUGUUUGGGCACGGAGCCGGAUGGGCGCCCCAUCACCACCGCCCCUUUCCCCUUUCUCUCUCUCUUUCUAAAAAACAGAGCCCACCAAUUUUUUUUUCUUUUUUCCGAGGGUCGCGAUGGGCGCCGCACGCCGCACACCACGCGGCGCCCAUCGGCAUCGUCCCCGAACAAAAUUGUUUGGGGACGAUGCCCAGCAAAUUUUUGUCCUACUAGUUAAGGGACCCCGCGCUUCGCGGCUGGAAGCCAAUACAAUAAUAAAUUAUUAGAAAUAUUAAAAUCAUUUUUUUUUUCAUAUUAUGUAUUAAUAUUUUUAAAUAUUAUUUAUUUCCGUAUUGAAUAAUUAAAAAUGAAAGAAUGAACUAAAUAAUCCAAAAAAAUAAGGUUAACAUAAUGAGUUGCCGUGUAGAACUUAGACAUUUAUCAGGCAAAUGCAAAUCUGUUGACCAUCAAUUAAUGUAAAUUUCAUGCGAGCCAAUAAACACAGCUUGAAGAGCAUAAUCCAAAAAAUAAGGUAGAAGUAAUAAGUAAACACAGCUUGAAGAGCAUAAUCCAAAACAUAACAGUAAUGCAAACCGGAAUGUAAAGACAGAUAAAUCUGUUGACCAUCAAUUAAUGUAAAUUUCAUGUGAGCCAAUAAACACAGCUUGAAGAGCAUAAUCCAUAAAAUAAGGUAGAAGUAAUAAAUAAACACAGCUUGAAUAGCAUAAUCCAAAAAAUAAGGUAGAAGUAAUAAGCUGCCUUCCUUUCAUACCGAAAACCGGACAAAAGGUGUGAAAAUAAAUAGUAGAUAACAACUGAAGUACGGAAUUAAAGGUAAGUACAUAGUCUGAUAAGCCACACUUAAAAGCUGUGUGCAAUAGCUUUGGCCAAAACAAAAGGAUGGCAACAAAAUGAUAAGUGAGGUAGUAACUAACUACAUAUUCUUACAUGCCAAGCUUAUAAAGCCAACAGUAUCCAAAAUCAAAGUAUGGCAUCAAAAUAGAAUAUGAGUAUACAAAAGAGCCAUUAGUUAAGGCAAUUGAUUAGACAUGGCUUUAGAGGGAUUGGUCUCAGGAACAGGAGGAGGUGUAAGAGCAGUAAUGCGGUUUACUAUGUCAUAGCAUUCUCCAACGGCACGCCGAAGCUGGAUUUGGUCAUUGACAUAUACAUUUUUUUGCUCAACUGUACUCACGAAGCAUUCCUUCAAAAAGUCGUAUUCACGAGAAAGGUUGCUAAGCUGCGUACUUAAUUGUGUAGUUACCACUGUAUAAUCAGUACAUUUGUGGUCAUAUAAAGUCUUAUAGAGCACAGAGUCGUCAUAAUUAACAUCUUUAAUUUGUAAGUCGCAUUCAUCCUUAAUUCUCUUAAGAGCGAGGCGCGCAACAUCUUGUUGAGCACCAAUGGAAGUAGGGAACUGAGAGCUUGAACAACAAACAGUUUGGAUGAUGGUUUUGCUUCGCGGAAUUGCAAAUCCACAUGACCUACAAAUUUUCCUUCAUCAUCCACAUCUACUACAAUCUGUGGCACAUCCAGGUGUAGCUGUUCAUAAACCUCACUGAGCAGUCUAAUGUAAGAAACGUUAAUAGUCGUCAUUUCUCGAGCUGCGGAGAAAAAGGGAAGAAAACAGUUUUUUUUUUUUUCAAAUAUUGGGAGAGGGUUAUAGUGAAAUAAGUUAGAAUGGUGAAAAAAAAAGAAAGAAAAGGAAACGAAAGAUAUCAUGACCAGCUAAUAAAAGCAGAAAAGAAAGGCAUGAAAAAAAGAGGAAAAAAUGCUUAUGUAAAGAAUAACCAAAGCUGCAGGCACACACACACGUUUAUAGUGAGGGAAGAAGAAUCAGAUGGCAUUUAUAGUGAGGGAAGAAGAAGCAGAUGGUUCUUUAAUGCCAUUCAAAGUGUUUUACCUGCACGUUUUUUAACAGGAACCAUACGUAUUUUUGUAAAAANAGAGAGAGAGAGAGAGAGAGAGAGUGAGAGAGAGAGAGAGAGAGAGAGAGAGAGAAUUAGGAUGGAAUACUAUUAAUAGUAAAACGCUUGUUUUGCUAUCAAAUUUUUAACCCUUGGAUGAAAAAUUAUAGGGUCAGAAUGAUAUUAGUCGGUUAGAGUUGAGUGGUCCCCACUGGGUUAUAGUAUUUAAUCCAAUGGUUAGAAAUAAUGAAAAGAAUUGAUCCAGAGGCUAAAAAACUGGUAGCAACAAUGAGAUUUUGCUACUAAUAGUAGCCCAGUCCAACUCUAUAUAUAUGUAUAUAUAUAUAGACACACGCCCAUAAGCAAGUACAAUUGUUACACACUCUCUACCUUUUUUUUUUGGCAGGGGGAUCAGGUAAAAUGUCAUGCACAAAUCAAAACCAAAGCAAACAGGAAAUUGCAAGUAGAAAAAUUAGCGAGGCUCAGAUACUCUAUAUGUAAGCAGCAUUGCUACCAUCCUUUUAUUUAAGUCAUCGGCUGAACAUAAGAGGCUGUAAAUGGUUGCAGAUGGUUGCCUGGGAAAAGGCCAUCCAAACCUGCAAUGCUUAGCCUUUCGCUGGAAUGGAGCAGGAAAAAAGCAAGGAGAAAAAGGCGGGUGAAGUUGAGUGAAAACGUGAAGCUUCAUUUGAAAAGGCGGCAAGUAAAAAAUCUGUAAAACAAUUGAACCAAAUGCUAAAACAGUAAACAAGUAGGGGAUGAUUAAGAAAAGAAAGAACCCAAGCUGUAUAAGCACAAAAGAGUGAAGGAAAAAGUAAAAGAAUAAUUUAAUCACUGUGAAUCAUAGAUAAAGUUGAGAGAAAAAAAAAGGUGAGUACCACACAAAGGAAAAAAAUAACAGUAAUGCAAACCGGAAUGUAAAGACAACAAUAGAAGUUGGGUGGGCGUGCACAUGCCGUCCAAAUCGGAAGCAGAUGGUUGCCUUUGUGCAGGACACCAUUCCACUUCUAUGAGUUAACCGCAUUUGCAUUGUAAAGAAACAGCCUCUUUUUUUUAUUAGGUAUAUAGCCUCAAUAAAUAUCCGAACCAAGCAAGCAACAAAACACAAAUACAGAAGAUAGGGAAAAAAUCCGAACAAACAUAAUAAAAGAUCUGAGCCAAGAAAACAAUAAAACACGAACACAUAAGAUAUUAAACACAUUAGAAACUAAUGUAAAUUAAAACAUAAGUAGGUUCAGAGAAAAGUGUGAGAAAUGGACCAAUUUGAAGGACUCCCUUCAUCACUUGAGUAGGUAACAUGAACAGAAAUGCACACGGGGUUGCCUAACAACAGGCCAUCCAACCUUCUGGCAUAGUAUAUGCCCUAAAUAGUCGCCGCCAUCACGCAAAGAAGCUGUAAAUCCGAGAACUGAUAAAAAGCAAGAAUAUACAACACCGAAGGGAUGUAACAGUUCCUCACAAAUAGAAACCAUAUAAAUAUGAACAACCAAGUAAAAGCAGGGGAGAAGAGAAAGAAAAAAAAAAAAACUUACAAAAGCAAGAGGGAAAUGAAAAGUAUACAGUGAAGCAUGAAACAAAAAAACACAUGUCAGCCACCAGCUAAAGUCCGAAUCAAAAAAGAAGGCAAAAUUUUAGGGAAAGAAGGGUGUGUGCACGCCCUACUUAAUUUGACAGCACAACAAAACCACAGCACAACAAAGCCAGGUAGUGAGGAGAACCCGUUCCCACAUAUUAGUGCCAAGUAAAUAAGCAAAUGGCCUAGGCAGUAUAAAAAACAGGUGAGGGGGAGGGAGGGAUGGGGGGUGGGGGGUACGUAGCACAGUAAGCAGGCAACAACACAGGUGGAUAAUAUAGGUGCCUGCAAUUAUGAGAUCAGUUAGCACUAUAAUUUAGGCAGUACUAUAUGUUCUAUUGUAAAUAGUGUAAUUCUACCUUACAAUGCAGGAAUAGGACAGUGCACAACUUUCUGCAAAAAAGUGCUAUUUAUAGACUUUAUCAGAUAAAGCAAGUAGAGAGAAGAAGAGGAAAGGAGGGUAACGUACGGAUGACAUCACUAAAUAUUGGCAUAUCUUCCCCCCCUUUUAUUCCUUUUUUUCUCUCUAGUUAAAACCAGGGACCAAAAAGAGGGGCAUAGAGGCCAAAUAGAUCUAGAUUUAGAGGCCACCACAGUUUUGGAUUUCAUCACAACCACACAUUACAGAAGCAAGCUCUGGCAUAUCUUCCCCCCCCCCCUUUUAUUCCUUUUUUUUCUCUCUGGUUAAAACCAGGGACCAAAAAGAAAGGCAUAGGUGCCAAAUAGAUCUACAUUCAGGGGCCACCACAGACAACCGCACAUCACAGAAGCAAGCACUGGCAUAUCUUCCCCCCUUUUAUUCCUUUUUUUCUCGCUGGUUAAAACCAGGGACCAAAAAGAGAGGCAUAGGGGCCAAAUAGAUCUAGAUUUAGGGACCACCACAGUUUUGGAUUUCAUCACAACCGCACAUCACAGAAGCAAGCCCAUUAACAGUAGAGUAUAUCCGAAGAGAGAUUAGAAAUAUGAAGCAGAGAGAGGGCUCACCUGUACGUAUAGGAUUAGAAUCAUGAGUAGAGAGAGGGCUCACCUGUACGUAUAGGAUUAGAAUCAUGAGUAGAGAGAGGGCUCACCUAUACUCGAUGGUACCGUUUGGAUUGGGUACAAGAGGGGGGAUAAGGGGGUUAUCCCCCCUCUUGUACCCAAACGAAAUUUGGGGAGGUGGAACAACUUGUUCCACGCCCAACCGGACAAGCCUCUGUUCCUAUGUCCGGUUGGGUGGAACAAUUGUUCCACCCCCUUCGUUAUGAGAUGGGAGAGAGAGAGGAUGACGGAGGAGAGAGAGAGAGAUUUUUAUUUAAUUUAAAUUUCUAAAAUUUAUAAUUUGUUUUUUAAAAUUUAAAUAAUUAUAAUUUUAAAUUAUACAGAUCUUUAUGUUUAAAUUUAUAAAUUUGAUAUUUUAAUUUUUUAUUUUUUUAAUUAAUUCUUUUUAAAUUUUAAAUUUAAAUUUGAUAUUUUAUAUGUUUCAAAUUAUUUGAUCUAAAUUUAAAAUUUAAAUUUGAAAGAAGAAAAAGAAUUAGAUUAGGGUUUUUUAUUUCUUUCGCCCAACCNAAGUUAAAAUUUUUAAUUUAAAAUUAUAAGUUUAAAAUUUUAAAUUCAAUUAUAGGGGUAAAAUCAUUAUUUUCUAUCUAUAACUAACAACUAUUCCACCUUAUACUCACAUUUUCAUCCAAACACAAUUUUUCUAGUUCCAGCUUAUACCCAUAUUUUCGUCCAAACAAAAAAAUAUCCUUGUUCCUAUGAAAACCUAUACUUGUACCUAUCCCCGGUAUAACUAGUUCUUGCUUAUACCCGAACCAAACGAAGCCAAUCGGUAUAGGGGCCGAGCCAUCAGCCAGCAGAGGGAAGACCUCACCUGUAAGGCUGGUAGGUAUAGGCGUAGACCCAUGAGAGAUGGUCCAACCCGAUGACAGCUAAGGAGAGAUGGCGAGGGUAGCGCCGAGCCGCCGAACCCGAUGACAGGUAAGGAGAGAUGGCGAGGGUAACGCCGAGCUGCCGAACCCGAUGAUAACUAAGGAGCGUUAGUGAGGGUAACGCCGAGCCGUCGAGGAGAGAAGAGAGUGAAAUCGUUUUGGUGGGGAGAGGGACAGCGCGAGAAGUAGAGAGAGGCGCGAGAGAGCGACGGGGAGAGUGAGAGCUGGAGCGAGAGAGAGCGGCGGGGAGAGAGAGCGUCGGGUAGAGAGAGAAAGGGAGAAAGAGAUAGGGGAGAUAGAGAUGGCCUGAGGGAGAGAGGGAGGAGAGCAUCGGGUAGAGAGAGCGACAGUUAGAGAGAGAUAGGGGGAGACAGAGAUAGGUUGAGGGGGAGAGAGAGAGAGGAGAGGGGGUUUUACAACUGUUUUUUUUUUCCUUCAUUUUUUUUUUGUUCGCAACCCCACCUCUUCAACGGCUGCCAUGUGAAUUUGGCUUCCCUCCACACUCCACGUGGCUCCGUUGUACUGUCAAAUAGAAUAGUUAUAGAAAUUAUAUGACCUCUGCAUAAUUUUAAUCCUCGUUUUUUCCAUCUUUAUCUAUUUUGUACUUUGGAUUAACUGCAUGUCUCGUCCUCAAGAUUAUAAGAUGCGUGACAUUUUACUCCUCAAACUAUAUUUAUUGUAAUUUCUAACUUGAACUUUCAAAUUUAUUAAAAUUAAGUCCUACGAACUAAUGCAAAAUCAAUAUAGAGAGCUAUAAUUAAUAAUAUGAUAAUAAUUUAGAUGUUAUAUUACUUUUAUAUCAACAUGCCUAAAGAAAAUAAGAAAUUUCAGAUUAAAAAUUAUAACAAAUUAAAGUUUGACGACCAAAAUAUUACAUGCCUCAUAGUUGGGAAACCAAACAUGUAAUUUAUUCGCAUACUUUUAAUUCAGUAACCUAAUUUCUAAAUAAAGAAAAAUAGUAUAACUCAAUAUUGAGCCAUCAUCCUAAAUAUGAGGCGUUACAAGGAUUCGGUAAACAUAUGGUGCAAAAAAUAAAUAAAUAAAUAAAUUGACGUGUUGUACAUAGAGGAUAAUUUGCCCUCCCAUAGUAAUUAAAAUUCACACGAUAUAAGGUGGAGCAUUUUUUAAAAAUUUUAAAUCUUUAAUGUCGAAUUCUAAAAUUAGAUGAUCCAAAUAAAAUUUAGGCACAUUUAGAGAGUCGCAAUGCAAUUCAACCUUUAAAUAUCCCAACAUAAUAUCUUUUUUUCUUGACUUACUUUUUCUUAAAAAUAAAUUUAAUUAAAAAUAUAAAGCAAUUUAAUUUUGAACUUGAAAUGAUUGAUAUCAAUUAUCAAUCUUUUUACCCUUGCGCUAGGGUCGGUGAAUCAAGUCAACAGGAUAUUUCUAAUUAAAGCACUCUUCAUCCUCUUCACCGAAGCCGGCCACUUGGUCCGAAGAUGGAAGAGCUUCUCAUCGUCCUCUCCUCUUCACGGAUAUGGCAGAAUUUGUCGGGAUGAAGGUUAGCGAGUGGUUCGCGUUCUACGUUCUAGAUAGGCUGGUCAGCAAGGUCUUCUCCUACUUCUCCGGGCGAUGCGAUCUGCUGAAAGGCGUGGAGGACAUGCUGCGGGACGUGGAGGAUCGGCUUCCGCGCAUCCGAGCGGUGAUCGACGCGGCCGAGGGGAUGCCCGUCAGGGAUCCGGCGCUGGCCAAAUGGAUAGCCGAGCUCAAAGACGCCGCGUACGCGGCCGACGACGUCGUGGACGAGUUCGAGUUCAGAGAGCUGCACGACAGAUUGCACCCGCGGGGCAAGGUGGGUGAGCUAUCAUCCUCGGCUCACAAACUUCUCGCGCAUUUUACCUUCUCGGACGAGGACCUCAUUAAAAGCUUGAAGAAUCUUGUAGAGAAUCUUGAUAAAAUUUAUGCCGACAUAGGCCACAGGGAAUUGAAGCUGGAUCAGUACUGCAAAGAUAAGAAGGAAGCCACCGCGGCCUGCAGGGAGACCAGCUCGUUCAUGCUGGAAGACAAGGUGUUUGGGAGGGACAAAGAGACACAGAUGAUGCUAGAUCUGCUGCUCAGCGCAGGCGAGCCGGCUGAUCGUGGUGGCGCCACUACAUGCAGCAGUGCAGCGGGGAGCAGCAGCGGUCCUGGUCUUGCCGUUCUUCCGAUCGUAGGUAUAGGAGGAGUCGGCAAGACAACUCUUGCGCAGCUUAUCUACAAUGAUCCAAGGGUAGCCCAGCACUUUCAGCUUCGGAGGUGGGUCUACGUCUCUGACAAUUUCGACGUGAAAAGGAUCUCCAAAGAGCUGGUGCAUGGGGGGAUUGCCGAUCCUCGCUUCGUCGAUAUCAGUUUAGAUGAGGCUCUAGUGAAGGUCACGGAUGCCACUAGGAAUGAAAGGUUCUUGUUCGUACUCGAUGACGUGUGGGACGAGAGAGGAAUCAAGUGGAAGGAGCUCCGUAGUGCAUUGAAAUUCGGGUUGAAAGGAAGUGUUGUUUUAGUAACUACUCAAAGCCCGGUUGUGGCAGAUCUUAUGGGGACCGUGGAACCGAUUGAGUUGAAGUGCUUGGAGGACUACGACUAUUGGGAGCUCUUUGAACACUACGCGUUUGGCGAUCAGGAUCAGCUUGACGGGAGCAAGCGGAAAAGGCUGCAAUUAAUUGGUCAAGAAAUAUCGAAAAAGCUACACGGCUUACCGCUUGCAGGAAAGGUGCUCGGAACUCUGCUCCAAUCCGAACAACAAGAGGGGUACUGGAGAUCAAUCUCCGAAAGCGAGUGGUGGAAGCAAGAACUUGCGCUAGAUAGCAUCCUUCCAUCUCUUGGAUUGAGCUAUCAGCACUUGACCACGAACCAGAAACAAUGCUUUGCUUACACUUCUAUAUUCCCGAGGGGUUACGAAUUCGAGAAGGAACAACUGGUCCACAUGUGGAUUGCACAGGGAUUUAUCCAAUUCGACUCCGACCAGAGAACCAGACCGGAGGACUCAGGCAAUCGUAUGUUUGAUGAGUUAGCCAACAGGCACUUCUUUUUUCCUACGAUGCAUAACAAGUUUGUGAUGCAUGAUCUGAUCAGAGACUUGGCCGUGUAUGUUUCGUUGGAUGAAUGUUAUGCGGUCAAUGAGUGGCCGGUAAAGUUUCCAGCGACUGUUCAUCACUUAACUCUUAAUACAGAUAAUCUAGAUGUGCUAAGGGACGUCCCCAAGUUUCAAAGAUUACGAUCUAUCAUAUUUUUUCGAGAAUAUGAUUCUUCAGAACUUGAUGAGAUUCUCGAAGGAAUCUUAAAGAAUCUCAAAAGCCUGCGAGUGCUAGAUUUGUCACACAGCGGUAUACAAAUAAAAAAGUUACCAGAUGCUAUCUGUGACCUAUCACAUCUUCGGUACCUAGAUAUUUCGUGCACUGGUAUCAGGCAAUUUCCAAAACAGUUUUCCAGGCUUUGCCAUCUACAGGUUCUUAACUUGCAGCGCUGUCGCUUUAAGAAGAUGCCUGAAGGAAUGAAUAGACUAAUAAAUAUGCGACAUUUAUACGCAGGAGCUGAAACAAUUGCUCUAAUUGAUGGGAUCGGGAGACUUACCGACCUUCAGGAGUUGGAAGAAUUCCGCAUCACAAGGAAGAGAGGACACCGGAUCGAAGAGUUGAAGGGACUGAGAAACCUCCGGAGGCGACUUGUUAUACAAAAUCUUGAGAGUGUGGAAAGUAGGGAGGAGGCCAUGGCAGCCGACUUAAAGAACAAAGAAUACCUUAAUGCACUAUGCUUGAAUAGGAAGCCUGAUGUAAAAGGCCAGUGUGAUCUGGAGGAGCAAAUGUUUGAAGGCCUAGAACCACAUUACAGUCUUAAAAAUCUUACAAUUCGGCAUUAUGGAGGUGCGACACUUCCAAAUUGGCUGGCAAAGAAGCAGCAUCUCACCAAUCUAGAAUCUGUUUACCUAAGCAACUGUGCUAGGUGCGCGAGUCUGCCACCCCUCGGGCAUCUUCCUUUUCUCAAGGUCCUCCACAUUAGCAUGAUGCCUGCAGUUAAACGAAUCGGAGUUGAAUUCUAUGGGGAUGCUGAUCAAGUCUUUCCAUCACUCGAGGAUCUCAGCUUUACCGACUUGAAGGAAUGGGAAGAAUGGGAAGAGUGGCCUCACACCGAAGGUCGGCAAUUUUUCCCUCGACUCCGUCUAGUCCACAUUUUCACUUGCUGGAAGCUGAGAAAAGUCCCACUUCAUUACUUAAGUUCAGCAGUGAUUGAGCUCAGAAUUCGUGGGUGUGGUGACUUGGGCGGUGCCCUGCCUCGAUGUCUACAGAGCCUAACCUCCCUCAUCAUCCUAGAAUUGAGUAACUACCCACAUAGAACAUCAGUUUGUCUGUCUAACCUAAGGCAUCUAGAGUUGUUGAAACUCGGAUGGUCAGAGUUUAGCCUACUUACCGGGUUUCGGUCCCUCACUAGCCUGAAAGAUUUGCAAAUUGGAGGAUGCCCCAAGGUGAAUGAUUUCAUGCAGACUGAGCUGCCAUAUGAGGAUCCAGAUCUGAGAUCACUCUCUUUUUUCAGCACGGACGAUAUCCCUUUCAACAAUGUGUGGAUCACACUAGGAACUGCCCGCUCCCUCCGUUAUAUUAUCCUUCAGAACUGCGAUCAUCUUGCUUGCUUCAAGGUAGAGCAGGAAGAAUGGUUCCAGAAGCUAAUCUUACUCGAAGAACUAUCAUUCUUGGCGUGUCGAAAUUUGCAAAGCCUUCCUACUUCUCUAGUAACCUUUUCCUCCAUCAAGAAGUUGUCCAUAGGCCUCUGCCCUGAGAUUAAAUCACUGCCAGAGAAUGGCCUACCAGCUUCGCUUAAAGAAUUGCGCAUCUGGGGGUGCCCAUCGCUGAAGGAGCGCUGUGUAAAGGAUCAAGGACUAGACUGGCAACUUAUUGCUCACGUUCCUUUUAUAUUCAUAGAUGGUGAAACCGUACAAAUUCUGUGAGAGAGUAGUUAAGCUAACUAAUUAAUCAGUUUCUUUAUCUGGUACUGAGUUUCAUUACUUUCUUUCUAAUAUUUGUGUUUUUUUGUACAUCUGUUUUCACGAUUCAUAAGUUAUGUAUAUUUCAAUACAUAGUUAUAUUCAUAUAGUUAAAGAUAACAUCAUUGGAAACUCUUUGAAAGAGAUUUUAAGAUUGAGGCCAACUUAAUUAGUUUCUGCAACAGAAUGNUUAUAAUAUAGGAAUUUGAGAACUACUUGAGGAAAAAGGAGUAAAUUAGUCCCAUACUGGAACUACAACUUUGUUUUUAACUUGCUACUCGUAAGAUUGAGAGUAAUAACUUACUUGAAAUUUUUCAUUUGUGUUGAAAUUGAAUGGUUUAUAGUUGUCAAAUUUUUUUGUAAUAUUAAAGUUGAAAGCCAGCUCUAAAUAUGCGGUGUACAGACUAGACUAGAGCCAAAAUCUUGCUCCUGAUCAAGCAUGGGAUCCACCCUAGCUAGCUCGCUACUCCAAUACCCGCACCGCUGCCUCCUUCCUGAUCUGAUCUGAUCAAGCAUCGAUCGAAUUCUGGCCGUGGCCGGAAUGAGGAAGCAUGUCACCACCAUCUCGGCAUCUCCCCACCAGGCCACCACAUCCACAUGCAAAUCGACGGCUCCCAUCCCAUGAUCCCAUCCCAUCCCAUCAUCCUGUCAUACGCAAUUUGGCCGUCUUCCCAUAAUGCUCGACUAAUAAUAAUACUUAACAGAUGAUAGAUACCAUUUUCUUUGUUACUUAAACAUAAAAUCUAUAACACUUAAAAACUCCAUAUCGACCAAAUUCCGUGAAAAAACUUUUUCACAUCAUUUACCAAGUAUUCAAGUGGUCUCAAAAUUUAAAAACUUUCAACUGCAUUUAUAAGAUAUAUUUGAGAUUACUUGAUCACUAACCGAAUGAUAUAAAAUUACAUAAUUUGGUCCCCAUGUUGUUCAAGUUCUAUAGAUUAUAUCUAAUAAGAGUGGUAAAUUCCUCCCUCUGAACCAGAUAACUUGCAAUCGAUCAAGCAAAUACAGAUCGAACAUCGGAAAGCUAAUUUGCCACCUGACGAUGACAGAUCUUAGUAUCCAAUGCGACCAAAACAUGUUCAUGUCACAAAAGCACCAACAAAACAAUCUACACAUUUGUGCCAGUGUGGCUAUCAUUGUAUAUUUUGUAGAAAAAUUGCCCCAGAAUAUUUCCAGGGCAAGGAGUACCGCGCCCAGCAGUUGCUCCCAGAAUAUUUCAAAAUUGCCUCCACAGGGAAUCAUUCAGCAAAAAUACAAGGAACAAAAGAGUUGUAAGCCUAGCAAUUCAACUCCCAACUGAGAUCCAACUAUAGUGCUGCAAAGAGUGAAGACCUCAUAGAUCAUAUUAACAUGAAUAUUCAAAAAUAUCAAUUAUUAGUCACCAAGUAGUUUCAACUGCUCCGGAGAAGGGUAUAUGCGAAUUCCAAGGGGAACAAAGCGAUUCCUUUGCUCUCGAGCAGCUGAUUCGCAACCUGCAUGUUGGACUCCAUCAGUUGGCCCAUCAUUUCUCCAAGCGGCUCUGCAGACAUCUGCGGAUGAAGCAAAUAGUGCCCAUAACCCUGCUCAGCACAUUGAGAUCAACUAAAUGUGAGAUAUUAAAAUGUCCAAAAUUAUUUUUUGAAUAGAUAAUUUACAGACCGAAUCUUGACAGUGUUUUAACUUUCAAUGUCAGAUCAAAGUUACUGGAGUCCAUGAAAAGGGAGAUAUCAAAUUAAAUAGCUGUCUUACUGUAGCUGGUUUGCUUUAUUACAGUACUUCAACACAGAAUAACCCUGCUCAGCAUAUUGAGAUCUAUUGAAUGUGAGAUAUUAAAAUGUCCCAAAAUAUUUUUGAAUAGACAAUUUACAGGCCAAAUCUUGACACUCUUUUAACUUUCAAUGUCGGUUCAUAGUUUACUGGAGUUCAUGAAAAGGGGGAGAACAAAUUAAAUUGCAGGCUUAUUAUAGCUGGUUUGUUUUACUGCAUUAAUAAGCCGGUCUGUUUUACUGCACUCCGACAUGGAAGAAUCAGAAUCUGAGUUUUAGGAAGAAUUAUUCUCCACUUUAAGCCAAAAGCAUGCCGUGAAGCCGGUGAUUAGCAUUUCGCAGGUUCUCUUUGCCAACACAAAGAUAUCUAUGUAAAUAUCGAUAAAACUAUUAAGUAGAGUAUAAGAGAAAAUAAUAGUAACCUUUUGGUUAAAAAGUACAGUACCUGAAAGAUGGUCCCUUUUGAUCCGACUAUGCAACCUUUUAAAGUUUUGAUUUUGGUACCCAGCCUUGCCAAUUUGUUUAAUUUAAGCCAUUUGACAGUUCUUCCAGGACAAAAUUUAGACUAAUCACUUACUUUAAUUAAUUUAUAGUCCCAGGAAUUACAUGAAAGAUAACCAACGCAUCCAAAUUUUGUAUUUACAAGCUCAUGGCUUACCUAUGGUCACACGAAUUAAACAAUGGACUUGUUUAAUUUUAUUGGAUUUAUAUCAAGCCCGAAAAGAUAAACAACGCAUCAAAAUUUGAAGCAGCAAGAGUCAUUAAAUGGCUCAUUCAAAUGAAUUAAAAGGUUAGAUAGCAAAAUCAAAAUUAUUAAAAGUCAAGUAGUCAAAUCAAAAUGGGUGAUAAUUUAGGCAAGUUCCAGACAUUGUUAUCUAAACUUUGGUCCCUUUCUAGGAAAAUCCUGGUGAAAUUUCUUUCAAUGUGUUUUACAUGUGUUUGGGCCGAAAGUUGCUUACUGAUUAAUACUAAUAGCCCGCUUCUGACAGACAAGUGGUAACAUGGUAGCCAAUCAGGCUUCGUAGUCUAGGUACCAUAACAAGCAGCACAUGUUGCACAAAUCACAUCCUGCUAAAUAUUAUUAGAAGAGGUAAGCGUGCAAAUACAUGCAAUUGUUUUGCUAGUGGAAAAAAGUUUUCCUACAAGGUUUGAAUAUUCAUCCUAUAUUCUAAUUGGCUCUUAUGAACAAUCGCCCUGAACGAAUCCGAGACCAGAACUUUUUUUUUGGGUUAAAUAAAUUAAAAGAGAACUCAGCUUGAGCAUGCAUGCCUAAAUUGCCGAAACUAGGACAUAGAGACCAAAUUUGACUAAUCGACUAAUCAUUUGUACUAUUUCAUUCAUCAUAUCUUGCUAUAUUUAAUAAAGUUGAUCAUAUACUCCAUUUAAAGUAGCAUAAACAAUAAUAUUUCACAUACCAGCUAUUGUAAAAUCAAGUUUUUUAUGAUCAUUACAACUCUAUAUUUUUCAUAUGGUUUCUCUUAGAAAAAUUUAGAGACUUCUCAACCAAGGGUGAAAAUCUUGAAGCCAAUAAAACUUCUGUAACCAAAAAUUUAAGAGCACAUUUCAAACUCUAAACUUAAACUGACAUUUCGAAGCAAACAAUCAGCUUAUACAGAAAGAGCUUGUGACACAAAUUCAAAAAAAGAGAGAACUUCUAAAUCAAGUGAAAACUCCCAAUUCUGGAGGUGUAUUAUAGGUGCUAACAAAAUCUAUAAAGUAGGCACUAGGAAUUCGUUAAGGAAUGCCAGAGGGACUUUAAGCAUGACAGUUGGUUGGGAGAUGUAGGGGAAAUACGUCCACAUAAGGAGUGAAUAUAAGAGUUUUUGGCAACCUCUAGACUUUUAUAAUUAUUUUCCCCAAUGAAGGAUUCCUAAUAAUAUAGGGGUUUGAUUUUUUUAUUAUACGAAUUCCUAUCAGGGAUUUCCCUAAUCAAGGAUUCCCAAAACAAUGGAAUUUGAUUUCGGAUAUGAAACAUAACUCGGUUUACAUAAAGAGAUGAAUAUAGACUUUUGGCGACCUCUAGACUGUUCUUAUUAUUUUCCCCAGCAAAGGAUUCCUAAUAAUAUGGGGGUUUGAUUCUUUCUUAUACAAAUUCCUAUCAAGGAUUCCUCAAUCAAGGAUUCCUAAUAUAAUGGAAUUUGAUUUCAGAUACAAAUAUAACUGAGUGUUAUAUAAAGGAGACCCUAGAGUAUAUCAAGAUAUAUUCUCUGCCACAUAGAAACCUUAGAUGCCACAUCCUAUUCUCUCUUGAAACACCAUCCUAGGCAUCUAAGAUUUAGUAUGCAUAUUUCAGCACUCAAGUAGACCUUUCCUUAAUCACAGGCACAAAAGAUAUCAAAAGUGUGACACCCCCAGAAUAUGGAAUAAUCCUAUAUAUGAGGUAUAGCAGGACCAAACCUCUUAACCCAGUUAUAGCAUUUUGGGCAAUAGCUAGGCCCAAGAGGUUAAGAGGGUUGAGCGAGCCUAGGGGUAGAGUAGUUUUAGGAUAGUUGACCCCCUUGGGAAGCGGGACGUCACAGUUGAUAUCAGAGGCAAUCACAAGCCGAAAGUUUGGGAUGAGUUUUAGUUGAGCCAAGAUCAUACAGCGGGCAAGAGCGCGGCACCCCGGCUGAAGCUUAUUAGGGGUGAAGUGCGACUUCCCACAAGGUCAGCUAAGGCUAGCGAGACGAGUCUCACAUCACCUGGUACUUGUAAAUGCGCUUAAGCCUAAAGAGAAUGUCAGUGAUGUGACACCCCCAGGAUUUGGAAUAGUCCUAUAUAUGAAGUAUAUUAGAGCGAAAUAUCUUAACUUGACUAUGGCAUUUUAGGCCGUGGUUAGGUCCAAGAGGUUAAGAGAGUUGGGCGAGUCUAGAGCUAGAGAAAUUCUAGGAUGACCCCUCUGGGAAGCGGGGCGUCACAAAAAGGGUCAUGAAACAAGCUUCUAUCAAUUCAGGUUUGUGGGUACAAAAAUUUAGGAGCAACUUGAUUCCUCAGAAAAGUAUAAAAAAAAGUUUUUCAAGAAAAAUGUUUUCAGUAGAAAACUUCUUUUUCAGUUUUUGCUCGUUUGGUUCCAAGGAAUACUAGCUUUUUUGGAAAGCUUUUUCCAAAUUACAUGGAAAACUUGUGUUCUCAUUUCAUGGAAAACUUUUUUCUCGAAAUUUUUUUUUCCAUACUUUUUCGAUAUACCAAACAGCCCCUUACCUUCUUCCACAGGUGAGAGCACCCAAACCACUAAAUUUCGAACCUGAAUGAUUUGGUGGGUGAUAAAGUUACAUUUGUGGAGACUCACGAUGAAUGCAAGGAUAGAAGAUAAGAGUUGAGAGGGAACUUUAAAGUGCUGAAGAUGAUGUUAAUUGUUAAAGGAAGAACUAAAUCAAGGCAUUGACAAAAAGGAGUAGCGAAUAGGUAGUAAGAAAUAUACCACUAAGACAGUAUAAGUAUAUCUUUAACGGAUGUGAAAGACAUGCUGUGGCCAAAUUCUUAUGGAAAGUGUUUGCGCAGCUAAUGAUUAAUGUUUUUUUAUGGCUUUCCAAUCAAAACAGAAUUUUACUGAAAGGGAAACGUAUCAAGACAGAACUAAGAAGGAAUGGAGAAGAUGCAUACUUCAAUGUGUAGCAAUGACAGAAAGGCAAUAGAUCACGUAUUACUAUCAUAGAAUACAAAAAAGUUUGAAAAACAAAAUUAUAGAAGUCGGGGCUCAGUGCGAUAACUUUUCCUUGCUCCUACAAGGAGCAAUCGAAUGAACAAAAAAAAAGAUUAUGAAUCAUAUGAGCAAAGCAUGGGAAAUUUAUCAUGAUGAUGAUUAGUUGAAAGAUCAUGCAAUAAAUCAUAUUAUAGUUCAAAAUAUGUCCUGCAUCAUGGAUAGUUUAGUGGAAGCCAUCAACAGAAAUUUUAACAGAUUAUCUAACUCAUAUAGAGAUAACAAAAAACUACACCUAUGACCACUCAAGUAUGACCCUGCCUACUAAUGAAGAUUUCAAUAUAUAGGUCAAGUAAAAGAGGACACUUUGAGGAGCAGAUCAAGUUUCUCCGACCAGCUCUUUUCAUUGCUAUUAUUCACUUUUUGGUGGUUAUGUCUUUGUGAAAAUGAUUAUAAUAGGUUGAAAGGUAUUCAAGCUUAGUCUUUUGGUUGGAUUUAUAUGAGAAGUGUAGAUACAGCGAUGGCAUAAUUUUAUUUUCUUGCCCUUGUUGUUGGACAUUAGUUUGGUUGGGUAGUGAUGAACUGUGUAAGGGUGAGGCGUCUAACCACCCCCCACACCCCCACCCCCGAAAACACCUCUGCGAGAAUAACUCUAGUGCUCUCCAAGGCAUAUGCUGGGUAAGAUUCUAAAUUUCUAACUUCCGUGACAAAAUUAACUAGGCUUAGUUGUUUAAGUACUUAACAUUCAGUUCUUUCUAGAGUUGUCUUCAUGAAUUUAUUCAGCAUACUUGACAUUCAGUUCUUUCUAUAGCUGUCUAUUUGAAUUUAUUUAACAUAUUAAAAAACUGCUAAUUUUGUAUAAUGUAACAAAACACCAUCCCUUGCCACUUUCAUGGCAUGGCACCUUCUGUAAAGCCAUAAGCACAGCAAAUGACAUCGACCUGUAUAGAAAGAGUCCUAAACAACAAGAAAGCCUUACACCUAUUAUUCAAGGUUCUUCAUGUAAUGUCUUAUCCAGCUUUAUCUAGUAAUGCCCAUCAAAUCUGAGGAAAAAUCUGAGGAAUGCAUUGAAAUUUAGAAAAGCACUCAUUCACUAAUCAUAAUAAAAGGUGAUUUGCAACCUUACUCGAGAUUAAUCAAAAUUCCAUGAUUCUACAAUAAAAAUGAUAGGGCCAGCCUAUUCAAUAAGUUAUCACGAGUAGAAAAUUUUGAAGAAAGCAUUGACAACAUUUUUUUUAAUUUAAUCAACUAAAAAAGAGGUACGAAAAAGCAAGUGAUACCUCAACAUGAACAAAGCGAUGAUCAGUCUCUUCACCAUCUAAGCGGCUCUCACUCAAUACCUGCCAUUCAAGUGAUUAUAACAAGAUUUACUAAGCACAAAAAUGCCUUGGACACUUAAGGACAGCAGAAUCACGUACCUUCAGCUGUAGUUUCAAAAACUUGACGUAGUCAAUUAAAUCAUCAAAGGCAGAUUCUUUGUUCCUCUAAAUAGAUGUGUUUGAAAAUAAAAGAAAUGAAGAUUAGACUUUGCUAAUGAAUUUUCACAAGAAUCUAAAUUUCUUGGCAAUAAACAAAACAUGGAAAGUAAUUCAUAGAAUGAUGCAGAAUAAGCUUGAACCUAUGUUGAUCGAAUUAAACCGAUUUAAUUUAUCGUUUUUUAAAUUAGAUUAGAUUAGUUGAGUAUAUCUUUUCGUUAGUUAAAUGAGGAUUUUUAGCUAUCCUCUUAUUUGCUUUUAUCUGUUUUUAAAUUUUUAUUUUUUCGUUAAUCUCUAGAUAAAGUUGUUUUAGUUUGGUCAUUUAGGAUAAGAUUAAAUUCUAAGUUGUUUAUGUAUAGAUAAGGUUAAGAAUAGUAUAAAUAAGGCAUAAGGCUUCUUUGUAUGGGGAUGAAUAUGAAUUUAUGAAUUUAUGAAUUUAUAAUGAAGACAAAUGCUUUGGCAAUGAUGUCUUUUUUUUCCUUCGCAAAUGCGUCGCCCUAGAGUGAGUCCAGAUUAUUAUCUUUUCUAUUUUUUGAAUUUUUCUAUUUGCUUUAAUUUUCUUUUUUUUAAUUACGAAAAUUUCUAAAAAAGUAUUUCAAAAACAUUCAAAUUUUCAAAAAGCUUUCAAAAUCAUAAAUUAUAUUUUGGAGCCCUCUAAAACCGUAAGACCCUAUAUGUUGUCCUACAUCAGAUCUGGAAUCAAAGCUUAGGCUAUCUGACGGUUCUAUUUUGUCAAAGUUUUGGGCUUGUGAAUGAAAACAAGGUGAAAAUUGUAAAAAAUAAAGGUGAGAAAAAGAAUUAUAAAAAAGAGUGGAGUGAAAAAAAAAAAAAGUUGAAAGAAAAGUGAGUGGAGAAAAAGAAAUGGAGAGUGUGUAAAACAAAAAAAAAGAAAAAAAACAUUAUGGAUGCAAAAGAAUGUUUUCAAAAUGUUUUUCAAAAGUAUAGUGGAAGAAAAGGAAUUCAUAUUGAGUCUUUAAAAGAAAUAUGCGAGAAGACAAGAGUUGAGUUUGAUGAAUGGUUGUACAAUCAGAGAUCAUAUUUUGAGAGAAAAAAAAAAUGAUAUUCGAAUGAAAAUACUAGAUGACUUGAGAUGGUGGUAUAGACAAAGGCAAAUAUUUCAUCUUGAUUUUAACAGAAUAAUUUUUGAGGAAGAAGAAAAAAGGUUAAAAGAUAUUGAAGAUGGUGCUCAAAUUGCUGAAGAUGAUUUUCAAUGUAUGGGUAAGGUCAGAUAUGAGUGUCAAUUGAACCAACUAAAAGUUCAUCUGGAGAACCUAAUUGCUUAACAGAGUAUGCUAGCUAUAGCACAAUUGGGAGUUGACAAUUCUGAUUCAAUUCCAUCUACACUAUCUGAUUGCAAAGAAGUUCUAGAUUUGAUCGAGUUAGAAUUUGAACAUCCGCAAAUAAAUCAUGAAGCCAAUGUCGAUCGGCAUGUUGAAAAGAUAAGAUUGUCGAUCGAGUUACCUUUAUUGCCCCAACAAUAUGAGUCCACUAUACUAGAGCUUCAGAUUGCAUCGAAAGCAUCUUUCUUAUUGGUAUCUGUUACGAUAUAUUUUAUCUAUAUUAGGAUGUUACGAUAUAUUAGGAUAUUGUGUAUUAUUAUCUUAUAUAGAUUAGUAUCAUUGCUCUAUAGAGUAGGAUUAUAUAGUAUGUAAUCCUAGUUAUACUCUUACUAUAAUAGUCAUUGUUACUACAGUAAGACAAUCUCUUGUACUAUAUAUAUAUUCAUUAAUACAACUCAAGAGGGUAUGCACUUUAGCCCUUCUUUCAUGGUAUCAGAGCAGGAAAUCCUGAGUUCGAGUCACGCCAGGCUCCUAGCAUAUUAAUUUCUUUCCAUUUAAUUUAAGCCCACGUCAUGGGCCAGGCCAACUAAAAAAGUCUCGAACCCAGACGUGAGGGGGAGUGUUAAAUAUAAAAAUAUUUAAACACCGUUCUCCAACAGCUUAAGCUUUUAGAGUACAAUGGUUGUUUCACAUGGUAUCAGAGCAGGAGGUCCUGAGUUCGAGUCACGCCAGGCUCCUAGCAUAUUAAUUUCCUCCCAUUUAAUUCAAGCCCACGUCAUGGGCCGACUAAAAAAGUCUCCAGCCCAUACGUGAGGGGGAGUGUUAAAUAUAAAAAUGUUUAAACACCGUUCUCUAACAGCUUAAGCUUUUAGAGUACAACGGUUGUUUCACAUGGUAUCAGAGCGGGAACCCUAAUGUGGGGAUAUCGAUCCAUAGCCACCAUCCACCAUAAAUGUAACAUACCAGAUUUUGGUAUAAAAAUAAAAAUAAAUAAAAAUAGUGUGAGAAGCUAUUUUUAUUGGAUUUAGAGAAGUAAAACAUAAGUCAGAAAUGACUUGUGCUNGAGUAUCGUGCUGUAGCCUACACACUUGCUGAGACAGUCUGGAUUCGUCGUCUCCUUCGUGACCUUCGUGUUUUCUUAUGGCGCUCUAUCAGUAUUUAUUGCGAUAAUCUCAGCACCACCUACCUUGCGGCCAAUCCUGUUCUCCAUGCUCGCACGAAGCACAUUAAACUUGAUCAUCAAUUUUUGCGGGAAAAAGUUCAAUUUGGUGAUUUGGCCUUAAUUCAUAUCCCUUCUGACAAGGAACUUGCCGACAUUUUCACCAAGCCCCUGUUAUCCUCUCGGUUUUCGAUAUUGCGGCUCAAUCUUCGCAUCGGACCACCGGAUGCUUAGCUUGCGGGGGGAUGUUACGAUAUAUUUUAUCUAUAUUAGGAUGUUACGAUAUAUUAGGAUAUUGUGUAUUAUUACCUUAUAUAGAGUAGUAUCAUUGCCUUCUAUAGAGUAGGAUUAUAUGGUAUGUAAUCCUAGUUAUACUCUUACUAUAGUAGUCAUUGUUACUACAGUAAGACAAUCUCUUGUACUAUAUAUAUUCAUUAAUACAACUCAAGAGGGUAUGCACUUUAGCCCUUCUUUCAGUAUCAAACCUUACGAAAUCUCAUGAACUUAUCAGUUGUUCUUCCUACUUCAAUACCAAAUUGGAAACUCAAAUAAUACAAGUAGUUCGACAGGCAGGCAUUGGGCUACAUAUGAUACAAGUGGUUCGACAUGCAGGCGUUGGGCUGCAUCACUGUAUUCUGCACGCUUGGUUGUUUCCUAUCUCCUUACAAAUCCAACUGAUCUCAAGUACGAGAUCCUGCGCAACGAAAGCGAAUGAUGCAGAACAAGCCUGAACCUCUGUUGAUCGAAUUAAACCGAUUUAGUUCAUCGUUUUAUAAAUUAGAUUAGAUUAGUUGAGAAUAUCUUUUCGUUAGUCAAAUGAGAAUUUUUUUGUUAAUCUCUAAAUAAAGUUGUUUUAGUUGGUUAUUUAGAAUACGAUUAAAUUCUAAGUUGGUUAUCUAUAGAUAAGGUUAAGAAUAGUAUAAAUAAGACAUAAAGCUUCUUUGUACGGGGAUGAAUAUGAAUUUAUGAAUUUAUAAUGAAGACAAAUACUUUGGCAAUGAUAUCUUUUUUUUCCUUCACGAAUGUAUCGCCCUGGAGUGAGUUCAAUCCCAAAGUGAGUUCGGUUCAGGAGUGAGUCCUCAUUAUCUUUUCUAUUUUUUUCUAUUUUUUUGAAUUUUUCUAUUUUCUUCAAUUUUCAUUUUUUUAAUUACGAAAAUUUCUAAAAAAGUAUUUCAAAAACUUUCAAAUUUGCAAAACGCUUUCAAAAUCAUAAAUUAUAUUUUGGAGCCCUCUAAAAACAUAGGACUCUAUAUUCUGUCCUACAUCACAUGACCUUUAGGUGAUCAUAUUGUGUUGAAAACGAAAGGACAAGAAUUUAUUACAGGAUAGGCUCUUAACACUAUAAAUACUUGGCUCUUGAUACUUUAAGUGCAGGUUUGAUGAAUAAAAAUUUCUACUCUUGUUCUUUGUCCUCGCCAUGGUGUUCUUCUUCCUAGUGUGAUCAUCGAUGCUACUUCCUCGUGCCGAAAUCGUCUUCUUCCUCAACUUGAUCGUUGUCAAUUCUUCCUUGUAGUAAGAUCGGCUUCUGCUUCUACAUGGUCUUCUUCCGCAAUUUGAUAGUUGUCGCUUCUUCCUCGUGGCAAGAUCAGCUUUUGCUUCUAGCACUCCUCUUCUUCCGGAUCCCUACCUCCUCACAUCUUCCCGUUACUUCUACCCAUGGUGUAUGACCCUCCUCGUCGAUCAUGGAUCCCUCGCAAUAGUGUGAUCGGUGCAUUUCUUGUAUCUUAUCUUCUCCUUCAUCUCCCGAUAGCCUAUUAUCCCCCUUUCAAUCUAGCCUUCCACAUUACCAACUACUUUUAUCAAAACAACUAAAUCUAAAAGCUUUCAGUCCGAUAAAACUAAAUUUACCUCUUUGGAACUAUUAUAUGUAUUUUCAAUUGGGUGUUUUUAUCUUAUAUAUUGAAGGUUUAUCACCAUCUUAGUAUUGCUCUGAUUCAAUUUUAAUUUUUCGUUUUGCUGAAAUUUUUUGCUUCCUUACUUUAAUUUUAGUAAAGUUCGACGGAAUCGAUAAAUUGAACCUAGUUUAUCUCAAGGAAUACCUUUAAACAAAAAAAAAGUUGAAAAUUCAUAUUUAGCAAUACCUCGGUUUGCAUCAUUUUUUUCUUUGAUUUAUCCAAUUUCGUGAAGCAUUUUCAUUUUCUAUUCAAUUCAAACUAUGCCUACACUAUCCUCGAUCCAGGCAUUUAACCCUUUAUGCAGAUGUGUCGGUUGUCAAGAGAAAAUGAAGAAAAGCAUUAAUCAACAAUGUAUCUUACAAGAAGCAAAAUCUAAAUCUGCAACAGCGAUUUUAUAGGCAUUACAUGGAUUCACCAUAAAGAUUUGACUUUGCAUUAAUGACGCAUUUGGUUCACACUAUCCUGCCAUGAUGACUGGGAAUCCUAUAGGAAUAUUUUCAAAUUACUGCAAUUGGUUCAUCCCACAUGUAAUCCUCUAAGUAAUGUAGGAUUACUAGCAGCGCAGGAUUUCCCUUUAAUAUUAUCGAUGAGAAGGGUGGGUAUCUUGCAUCACUAAUUGCAGGUACUCCUGCAACUUAUGAAAAUUUUCAAAAUUUCCUCUCCCCACCCCCAAUUGCCUCAAUUUUAAAUUUAAAAUAGAUUCAAAAUUUAAUUUCUCAUUAGAAUAUAGAUAAAAAAUAUGAACUCAAACUGAAAUAUAAAUUCAAAAUCUGAACUUGAAUUUAAAAUUUCAAUCAUUCAAAAAUUUGAAUUUGAAUCUGAAAUUUGAAUUCAAAAACUGAAUUUGAAUAUUGAUUCUGAAUCCAAAAUCAAAUAUGAAUAUGAAAUUCAAAUUCAAAAUCAAUUUUUGAAUUUGAACUUGAAUUACAAAUAUGAAUUUGAAUUGAAAUUCAAUUUGAAUAUCUAAAUAUGAAAUUGGAAUUCAAAAUCUGAAUUUGAAUUUGAAGUUUGAAUUCAAUUUUUAAAUUUGAAUUCAAAAUCUAAAUUUUAAUUUGUAAUUCGAAUUCAAAAUCAAAAUUUGAAUUUAAAAUUUUAACCUAUGUUUAAAUUUAAAACUUAAAUCUGAAUUUAAAUUUGAACUUGAAUUCAAGAUUUAUUCAAAUUUCAAUGAAUAUGAGUGCAUGGGUAUUUUUGGAAUAGUGCUAAAAUCUGUAAGACAAACCAAACACAGCAAUCUUACAUGUACAGUAAUUUGCCAUCACACUACAGUACUAAAUCAAUCUCAGUAAUGCAGCAUUAAUAGUAAUCUAAUUCACAAGAAUCAGAUUGCAAGUUAUGUUGAAAUAACUAGAAAUGCUUCAUAGUGCGAACCAAACACACCCUAAGAACUUAUAAACUUAUAAUUUGAGAACCUUGAAGCCCUCUCCGCAUUUCACAGAGAGUGGGGCCCGCCCACUCUUCUUGGACAAGUGUAGUGUGAAGCGAUCUGUAAUUGGUCACUACUGCAGAAUCGGCUCCAAUGUAAAGGUAAUGAGAGAAAUUUUUACCUUUGUAUUAUUUUUCUUAUGUCAAGCCUUCAUCACCUGCUUUGUCUUUCAGUAUGGUUAAUCUAAUGUUAGCCAUUAAUAGCUAUUUGUAUCAGAUUAUGAAUAGAAUUCGGAAAUUGGCAUACUGAUGUGAUAGUAAAGGUACUAUUACGUUGUCUAUUCCUUUCAGUGUUGCAGAUUGUGAAUUCUGUUGUGAUGGAUCAUGCGACUAUUGAAGAUGGAUGUCAGCUAUAUAUGCAGUAAUGUGCAGCUUCAAAAGUGCACAGUUUUGAAAGAUUGUCAGGUGAUUACUUUUUGUCCUGUGCUCCUUUCUUUUGGCUUUUUUUUUCUCCUUUUGGCAUUCUCUUCACUGCACUAUUAUAAAGGGUGGUUAAACUUGCACAUUGCUCCUCCAAGCUUUCUGCUAUAUUGUUGAAAUUGUUCAUAUAUAUGCCUAUGUGGUAGCAUAAAUAUUUGAUUAAGAAACCUCAGUGUAACAAACUUUGAUAGACUAUAUUUAACUUGGAAUGUGGCACUAACAGUUGGUCGGAAUAAAACAUGUUUGAGCUUAAGCAAAUGUCCGGUCUAAAGAUAGGUAUGCUUCUUAAGAACGAGUAGAUCCACUUGAGUAUAUCUUUGACAACUUGAGAAACCAUGUUAUCUUCUCCAACUUCAACAAACUGGGAAUGCUAAUACCAAAUCCUGCACAAUUAAGUUCUCAUCUUAAAGCAUUCUCACGACAUCUUGGUUUCUAUAUUCUCGACAAUUCAAAAUGAUGUGUUAUUGAUUUCAUCAACAAUGUCAGUAUUCUUAGUCAUGCAUGCUGGCAUGCUUAGCUUAUUUCUUUUGGUUCGUAAUCUAUUUACUCAUCGCCUUUCCAGGUUGGAGCAGGCUAUGUUGUUACUACUGGGAGCGAGCACAAAUCAGAGGCUCUCUCUAAAAGGUAGAAUAAACCAAGUUUUGUCAUUCUUGCUUUUAUAAAAUUGAGAAUAACCAAGUUUUCUAAGUUUUACUUCGUCAUAUAUAGAUCUUUAAAUUUAUCUACGUGCUAUAUAAAGUUUAUUUAAUUUUUUUAAUUGCUCAAAAAAAAUCAAAUUGUUCAGUUCCAUAUAGUUAGGUUCUUUGCGAUUAUCAUCGGUAGGUUUUAAAUUUUUCAUACCCCUUUAGUUUAAAUAAGAUUGAAAUCAGGAUAAUAAAUGGCCUGAUAUAAAGAACAUAUUGCAUUUUUUUGUCACAUGUUGCAUAUUUGUGUGUUUCCUUGCUUUAGUGCAUACAGUGUUUGUUUGAUGAUAACAGUGUUACGGCUGGCCCAAUUACCAAAUAUAAAGAUGACUUGAUGAUUUGAUAUUUUUGAAUCAAUAUUUGAGAUAAAGUUGUAAACAAAUAUUUCAGAAUUAUUUUAUAUCAAAUAAAUAUAUUCGUUAAUUCUAUUAAAAGUAUAACAAACAAUUUAUAAUAAUAAACUAUAAUAAUGCCUAUCCGCCGCAUCGUGUGGGGCUCUAAACUAGUUAAACAUUAUGCUCAAGAAUAAUAAUAAUAAUCUACUCCAAAGAGUAGAUAGGAAUGGAAUCUUUGCUUAAGUGAUUAGCUCCUUUCUAGCUUUCUGCAGUUUUCGUAGGACCUAUCUCCCAGCGAUUGGUGAAAAUCACUUGAUGAUAUAGUUUCCAACUAUUAGAUACUACUCCCUUUGCUCCACGGAGUGAGAAUAGCCAGUGAUUUAAAAAGCGUGCCUCAGGCGCAUGCCUAGCCCCUAGGCGGGCGACCUCGCCAAGGCGCACGCCUCAUGCGCCCAGGCGCACGCCUACCCUGAGGCGCAAGGCGCGCCCAAAGCAAAAAGGUUGCCUGAUGGGUUUGGACUUUGGAUCCAACUCAUCCAACAAACCCGUUAAGUGUAAAAAAGAAAAAAAAAACCAUGAGAAGCCCUAAAAAUUGAGCAGACUCCUGAGUUUUUCGCUCGAGCAAGCAUCACGCCAUCAUCUCUCUUUCUCCUUCUCGCUGGCCACUCGAGCAAGUAUCAUGCCAUCAUCUCUCUCCUUCUCGCUAGCUCUUCACGGCUCCACAGCCUCCUUUCGAGCAAGAAUCUCUAUUUUUCUCGCUGGCUCUCCACGGUUCUAGUGCUCCGCUUGACGGCUCGAGCAUGGAUCACCUCUCUCUCUCUUUCUCGUUCACUCUCCGAGGUUCCGCCAUCAUGCUGCAGGUGCAAUCCUCUCCCUCUCUCACACUUUUUAAUUUCUCUUCCUCUCGCAUGUUACCUCUCACGCUUUUUUUUCUUGUAAACAGAGAGCUCUUUCGCUGUUCUCUCUCUUUUUUUUUGUAAACAGUAAAUACACUCUCUUUCUCUGUUCUCUUUUUUUUUCCUUUUUUUAAAAAAGUAAAUAGUGUGUGUUUUCUCCAUUUUUUUGUAAAUAGUAAACACUCUUUUCUAUUUUUUCUUUUUUGUAAACAGUAAAGUUUUCUCCAUGUUUUCUCUACUUUUUUCUUUUUUUUUUGUAAACAGUAAACACUAUUUUCUCUAUUUUUCCUUUUUUGGGUGAACAGUAAACACUUUUAUUUUUUGGUAAACAAUAAACACUUGCAACACCUCUCUCCGCUUAGUUUUUUUUUAACAGCAUUUUUGUCUGAUAAGUGAAUAAGUGAUUAAAAAAUAAAUAAUAUAAGACCAUAUGUCACCGUUUCAACUUGGAAAAAGACUAGUAAAACUUGCAUUUUUGCUGAAUUAGAAAUUUUGCUGAAACAUUGCUUAGUUUUUAGAUUUCUUUUCCAUAUUUUUGGAGUUCUAACUUGCUGUUGAAUUUCUUGAAUGGAUUCGGAAGCAUCCAAAAGAGGCCCUCCAUAUUUGUUUAUUUCAAGUGUGCGCCCCACCUCUCUCAGGCGCACGCCUACGCCUUGCGCCUUGCGCCUAGCAGCCUUUUGCGCCUUGGCUUUUUAAAACACUGAGAAUAGCACUACUCACACUCAAUUAUGACCUACUUCAUAAACAUCAGGCAACAAGGAUUCGUGUAUGUAGGGUGUUAAAAAUUAAGAUGUAAAAUAUUUAAGAACAAUGUCCAAUAUCCAAUGCAAAUCUAACAAAAGUACUAGAUGUAUAACCCCAAAACAUAUUUUAAUUACAUGCAAUAACAAAAAUCAAUAAAGAAAUGCACAGCCACACUUGGCAAUGUUUGAUGGGAUGCUUUUGUUUGCAUUGAUAGUAUAUAGGAUUGUGCUUUGCUUCAGCACACAAAACAAUGACAGUGCAAAACCGACAUAGGAAACAUUUGAGAUGUAAAGGAGAACUAACCAUAAAAUUAUAUUCUACGAUGAGGCUUCGCAACCAUCUACGAAUGAAAGAUUCGGUGGCAUGUAUGUACCUUCUUUGAAUAUGGUAGGCAAUUUUGAAGUGCUUUUAUUCCUUCUGAUAUCCUGGCUCUUCGAAGCUAUGAUUAGCAAAAUAACAAAUGUAAGCACAUAUUUGAUAGAUAAAUUCGGGUUCCAAAAAACCUAUAUUAUAAUGAAAUUGGCCUGUGCAUGACACAGGAGUUUAAUAAAGCUAUUCAUCACUAUCAAUUGUCAACAUCCCUAAGAGAGAGAUUGAAAGGACAAAUAGAGUCAAGUUAAAAUAGUUUCACAACUCUGCACCACUUUCUUCAAUAGAUAAUUCAAUGUUAACCAGAUGGAUACUCUGGAAUACAUUUUGGGGCUUUUGGCACGCUUCUCUAUAAAAUUAUCCACUUCAUACAUGCCCCAAACCAUUGUAAACUCUCAAUUUUCAUAUACAGUCCUCCAAAUGCAGAUUCUGUUAAAAAAAAAAAAGAAAAAAAGAACACCCUCCUUACCUUGGGAAGUAGUCCUAUUCAAGGGCCAAGUUGGUUUCGUUUUAGAAAACUACUUCUAAAGAGGGACACUAAUGCUAGCACAAGAUCUAUAUGUAAGAAAUUAUGGUGUUGAAGAGCAGAUCUAAAAUUUUCAGGUAAUAAAUGUAGAUAGAUGAUUUGGCAGGGGUAUACAAGUUAAUAUCUCUACAUGGUUUGUACAUAGAUCCUUACCUUAUCAUUUGCUACACUCUUGUUUUUGCUUUUGCUUGAUCGAACUAUCUCCUUACAAUCAGCCUCCGCUAGAUUGAAGUAAUGCUCAUUCGAUUUUGGCUUCAUCAGUGCAUAACUCUGUCAGGUAUAAGCAGUAUUUGGAUUAGAAUGCAGCAAGUUGGUACCUAGAUAUUCCCCCGUGUAGAUGAUCUAAACAACUGAAAAUUGUUUCGGCAUGUACAACAAUUUACACAAAAGAUAGACAGAACAAGGAAAAGAUUACCUGAUUGAAAUUUUGAUUUUCACCAUUACUGGACAUUCUGCCUGUUUGUUCUUCUGCAUCUAGCAUCGAAUGUGUGAUCUGCUAGAAAAACAAAGCAAUAUAUAUUGAAUUAUGAGAACAUAUUUUGACCCAAAAGAUGAAAUUCUAUAGUACAAAAUCCUUUUGGCAGUAAUACCAUAGGAAGAUUGUAAACCUCAAUAUGUGUUCUGCAUUCCACUGAAUCUACAGCCUUUGAAGAACCACUUGCAGUGCUUGUAAUCCUACUACUGAUUAUAGGACCAAGAGAUUUAACUCCUGAAGCACCAAUGUCCGCAAGUGAUGAGUUUCCAGAGACUUUUCUUAAAGGAUUUGAUGAGAACUUUGAAUCGUCAAAAUGACCAUCUUUUAGUUCAAAGAACCCUCUUACGUCAUGCAAUCUAUUGAUUGCUUGGGGAUUUGCAUGAAGUAUUCUUGUACUGCUUGAAAAAGGACCAGGGAAAAGCAUAUCGGCAUCAUUACCACAUACAUUUAGAAAACUCUUCUGACAAGCCCAAAUAUUUUGAAGAGUAGGCAUGUCAUUUCUUGGGGCAGUUAUAAGAUUCACCGGUACAUCUCUGUAUGGUUCCCGCACCGGCUCUACACUGCUCGUUUCAAGUCUCUUCGGCAUAUCAGAUUCAGCUUUACUACUACGUCUUGUUCCACCAAAAGCAUGCAUCUGACAAUUCUUGGAACUAGUAUGAGGGAGCAUUUUCAUGAGCUAGCACAAAUUACCAAUUGGUAAUGAACUUAAAGGGCCCUUUUGGUUCACGGUUUGUAAUAUUCUAGUAAUCCUCCAUAUUUUCUAUUGAAAAUAUUCAAAUCAUUACCAUAUAACUCAAGUUAGGUAGUUGUAAAAGGUGUUAGUGAAGUAGUCGAAUGUUGAUUUUUAGGUGAUAGGAAUAAUAGAUUAUCAUGGGUUAGGAGAUAUUCUCAUUUCCAUGCUUGAUGGGAAUCACUAGUAGUUUGUUAAUAAGAAUAUACUAGUUUGUUAGCAACAUCCCAAUCCAUGUGGCUGGCUUAGUAAGAAACUUGCCAUUCCAAAUAUAAAAUAUAUAACAAUCCCAGAAUAUUACAAACCUUGAACCAAACAGCCCCUAAGUGUCAUAUUAAGUGAUCAUGCAUAGUAUCAUGCUUGCAAUAGAGAUAUUUAUAUUGCGUAAUUUUGGGAUAACAAACAAAUAGCAGUGAGCAAAUUCGGUAACUGCAAUGCAAUGAAAGCAACAAAUUAAUAGCAAUAAUAACAGGCAUCUAACUCAUUUUAAACUAAGAUAAAUUGAAUAUACUAGUUAGUGUGAUGAGUACAGCAGUUUGUGUUAUCAGCGGGUAUAAGCAACCAACACUUGCUUGUGGCAUCCAAGAACAAACUGAUAAACCAGAAUGGAAGAACUUAGAGAUAAGCCCUGAAAAACUAUUUCUGCUCUUCUUGAAUAUAAAUAGAAAACAUUUCCUUUGCUCAGUGUUUCAGUGCCCAACUUGUUGACAGUUUCAUCCAAUAUAGGUCAGCCUAGAGCCCAUCACUUCGUUUCAUAGUUAGGCUCAUGAUCAAACUAUCCAAAAAGAAAGGACUAAACCGAAAGUAAUUUAGGCCUUAUUUUUUUAUGCUGAUGUUUUUUGAACUUUUAAACUCAAAUUCCAUGUGAUUUGAUUGCGGGCAAGUGGAUGCUUAUUGUAAUCUAUACAUCUGUUAGCAGAGACGAAGCUAGGACUCAACUAUAAGGGGGGCCAAAAUACAUACAAAUCAAAACUUCAGCAAAUAAAUAAGAUUUAUCUAAUCAAAUUUUUUAUGAGAAAAUAUGCUAACUAAAUAAUUAGUGUAAAAAAAAAUAUUACCCCUUUUUCUAUUUAUGCUUACUUAACUUUUAAUUGUUUUAUUUAUAUUAUUUCACUCAAAUAACUUUGAAAUUUACUAAAUCUAAUAGUAAUUCAGUUAGUGAUCUAAUUUCUUAAUUUUUAGUAAAUACAAUUAUGACAAGUGAUGACUACUAGUUGAUAGAGCUAUUAAAUUUAAUAUAAUCUUUAAUUUAAUUAAAUUAAAAGAUUAUCUAAAAUAAUUAUAAUUUAUGAAGGUACUAAACAAAAAAAAAAAAAAGUAAAUUCAUAGUUGAGAGAGCACUAUGUUAACACCAAGAAUUUUUUUAAAAGAUAGGUCAGUUGAUAUACUUUUGAGCAAGGUUUUAAGUACCGCCCCGUGCCGUACGGCACGGGACGUGCCGUACAGUACAGGAGGGGUAUCGCAUCCCCCCUGCGUCUCGCGGCNUGUCACACCGCGAAACUUUCGGUGAAUCAGGGAAACAAAAAUCGAUUUUCUAAACAAAUUUUGAUCAAUAUAUUUUUUUAAAGAAAAAAAAAAUGAAUGUAAUUGCGGUACUAUUCUAGUUGUUCUAGUAAUUAUAUAUUUCCUAAUCGAAUCAAUAUAUAGAAACAAAAGAAUAGUUGUACUUUUCAAAUAAAAACAAAAGAAUUUUAAUUUCUAUUCUACAUCAGGUAUAGUUGUACUUUAUAUACAAAAUGAUUACAUGCAUGUUAAUUGAUGAGUAUAGUAAGCUAUACAUUGCAAAUAUUAAUAAUUAUUUGUUUAAAUCUUUCAAAAUAACAUUAUAAAACUUAUUGGAACAAAAAAAAACUUAAAUAAGUCCGUGCCAAAGCGUGCCAGUAGGAGGUCAUGCGUAUCCAUCGGCACGCACACAUACCACGUGUCGGCACGGAAGCGUACCCCUGCCGUACCGUGCCAGGGAAAGAAUGGCACGCCCCCGUGCCACGACACUUUAAACCUUGCUUUUGAGAUUAGCUAAAAGUAUAUCUUUAAGAAUUUUAUAUAUAGGGGACUAUUAUGCAAUUAUGAAAAGUCUAGGGGAACCAUACCACCCCCCCCAAGUGUUCACAUAGCUUCCGUCUUUGUCUGUUAGUUUCAUAUUGCAACAACAAAAAUAAAAAUAAAAAAAAAAUAAAAACUAGGUAAAUAGCUUUUUCGUUUUUCUUUUUUUUUCUCCACAAACAUUGUUCUUUUCUUUUUCUCCACAGACGUUUUUCUUUAAACUAAUUGCUAAAGUGAUACUGUCAAACUCUUCAAUAUUCAAAGCAUUAUUUAAUGAGUUCAUUUGUGGUGUAAUUAACUUCAAAUGAAUCAUUAAUCCUUCUGAUUAUGACGCAGGAUUCUGAAGAAUUAAAUCAAUUUCAUAGAUAAUGUAUUAACACUAGGAUAUUACGAUCUAAGUGUUCCCACGAAAAACUUUACUGCCCAUGAGACAGUUACUAAGCAUUAUAGAUAUCUUGAAACUACCAAGGGAUUUUCCAUAUUGUUAACAAAAUCGGCGAUCUUUUCUUCACAAUGAUCCACUAAACAACUCGGUCAUUCUAGUACCACAAAGUUAAAAAUAAGAUUCCAACUUUGUACUUAUCAAGCAUCAAAUUUUGAACUCAAAGUCUACCAAACAUCUCUAUGUCACAAAACAAUCAGCUAAUGACACACCAUUGUAACAUCUACAAAAUUCAGUAAUAAAGAGCAUUACAGAUCCGGUUGCAAAUCAAUCAAUACACAGGCUUUGAAAAAUUUUAAGCAAUUUGCUUUCUUAAUGGUAGCUAUCAGCAUCACACACACAUUUGUUGUUCUUAGUAACCAGCUAUCAUCAGUUGCUGAUCUCUUUCAUACCGGGCCUAGUUCAUUACCUAAAUUUGGCAUGGAUUGAAGUAAAAGUUGAUUGUUGAAGAGCCUUUUUGGAACCAUUUGUCCUUUUCCUUCAGAUGACAAGGGGAUGACCCAAAAAGAAUAUAUUUAUGAAGAUAUAAUGCUUACAAUAAAAUGUUGUUAAAGAUAGACAACUCAUUUGUAAAGGUUGAUGGCUUGUUUCCGCUAGGGGCCCUCUUUUCCCUCUACCAUAUUUUUUUCAGGUCUCCUCUGUUUCUUAUAUCAAUUUUCUAUCUCUACUUUAUCAAACCUUACCCUUUUAUCUUAGUUAUUAAACUGAAUUAUCUGCUAAAAUACAGGUUUCAGCAUCACCAGGCAUCAUGUAUGUAGUUUGAAACAUCUGAAUAACUUCAUGGCAUAAAGAAUCACUUCUAACAAAGCACCAAAGCCAUUUCCACUCUUCAUUGAUCUUUAUCAAAAUUAAGCACAUAGUAAGAGAGACUACUACCGACACGAUUUCCCAAUUUUCAGUAUGCAAUGCAUCAAUGCAGUGAGAAAGAUUGAGAAAAUAUAAAUCUUCCCGCUACCCACAAAAAUACAUAGUAAGAAGGCGCGCAUUGUUGUUGCAGGAAAUGUAUUAGGCAAACUGAGGACCUUCUCACAGCUCAUUUUGCGAGUUCAAGAAAGAAGAUGAUGGAUCCAAAGCUCCAACCAGCAGCCAUAGUUAAAAGCAUUUUCACCAUAAUUCCAUAGCCAUUUCUAACCCCAUCAAGUUGUGGAAAUGUGAUUUUCAUUUUCUUUUUUCUUUUUCCUUUCCAGAAGAGAGACAUGUGUUUGUUCUUACGCAGUAUAUUGUCUAAAGCCUCAGAUGCACUCACAACAUUGCAAAAGUGCCGUGAAAAUGGAUUUUGUUUGUAAAGCAAUGCAAAUUCUAAUUAUUUGACAAAACAGAACAAUGCAGUGAGUAAAAAAGCCCAAGUAAUUCUUCAUGUACCCCAUAAGGCACCUCAAAAUAUUGUUGAUGAGUUAACAACACACACAUAACAAUUGAUUAGUUUUAGCUUUUUAGAGUUGGUGUCCUAUCAGGCUAAUACCAAUCCCUAGUUCCUAUGCAUGCAAUGCUGUUCAUCAAUAAUAUUCUAAAGGAUCUGUGGGCCACAAAAAGCAUUACUCAAAAGCAAACAAAUUCUAUCUCAUUCUUAAUAUCUUUAAGACAUGAAAUCAGAUGCAGAGAGAGCUCUGAAGAACGACAAGAAGCAGUACAGGUCCAUGCCGUCAGUCAAAGAAUUAAUUAUCCUUUUCCCCAACUUUGGUAGAAAUUUGUAGUUAGCUAUCAUAAGAUGCUCAAGAACAUACACGUUUCCAUUUUGGUUCAUCUCUUUUCAAAUCUCUUUUUUGGUACAUCAAACAAGCAGAAAAACAAGAGAGUGCAAUCCCAAACAAAAUCUUUGCACCAACGACGCCCUUCUCUCAUGUUAGGGCUAGUUUGGCCCUUUUCCUGCUAUGUUGAACGUAAAUAUUAAAAACACCACUAUGUAGUAUCUUAAGUUAUUUGAAUAUAACAAUUGUUUCACAUUAUUUCACAAUAGUAUCAGAGCAAGAAAGAGAAACAGAAUUCGAAUCCCAUCAGGUCGCUAUUCUCAUUGCAUUCAAGUCCACGUCUUGGGUCUGUGACUGUGAAUAACUCUUGAGCCCAGACAUGAGGAUGAGUGCUGGAUAUAGGUAUUAAAAGCAUUAUUCUCUAGUAGAUUAAGCUUUUGGAGGAUGACUGUUGUUUCGCAUCAUUUAAUAAGAACGGCAUUUAAAUAUUAUAUAUUCAGCAUGCUUCGGCUUUCAGCAGCACAACCUUUGGCAGUGUGUUCGGCAAAUCAACGAUCAGGAGCUGAGCCGUAAAGGCACAGACUCUAAUUUCGUGCUUGUGAUUUUACUGCGGAAAGAAUCUAUUGAGAAACUAUUCGGACAACACUUUGUACUAGUAUGGCGAUGCUUUUUUUUGUCUUAUAGAUUGUCUUCAGCAUGCUCUGAUCUAGCGUUCGGCAAAAGCCGUAACCUCAACAAGAGUAUAAACUCUAAUUUAGUGCUUCUGAUUCCGCUGUAAAAGAAAGAAAGAAAGAAAGAAAGAAAGAAAGAAAGAAAGAAUCAGGCAGGCAGGGAACUGCUUUCUGAUAACAGUUGAUCAUCAGACAGGCUCAGCACUCUACAAUGCGGGUUCGAACAAGCUAAGCUCUCUAUCCCUCCUACUACUAGUACUACCUCUUUCUCUGCAUACUGAUGAUCAGUCUCGCUCGCAGCAAUCACCAAACAAGAAUGAAAGAAAGAACCCGAUCGAGCCUGAGCCUGAGCCUAAGCCUAAGCCUAAGCCUAAGCUACGAUCCGAGAAUGGGGGACACUACAAUAAUAUUCGGAAGCAAAAACCGCAGGAAUGGAAAGGAUGGAGAAGGAAAGCACCUGAGCACCUGCUCCGGUGCCUGCCGUGGUGAGAUGGGUUCCGGGUGGAAGGAGAGGGCGCCCGCCGAGGGAUAGAUAAAGAAAAAAAAAGGUCGAUGAUGCCGUCAGCACUCAGGACUUAUGUAGGAUUCAGGAAGAGGAGGGGAGGGGAGGGGAGGGUUUUAGCCUUUUAUUCGGAGGGAGGACUGAGGAGGUAACAAACAGGAGAAAUGCCGAGUCUAUUACAAGACUACAACCCCAAUGAUGGCUGGGUAGCAUCCACAAUUACAGCCCUUAAUCCAAGUGAAUUGAUUCAAUUCUCUCUCUCUCCCUCUCUCUCUCUCUCCCUCUCUCUCUUAGUAGGGUUAAAUAAAAAUAAAAAUAAAAAUAAAAAUAAUUAAAGUGAACCUUACUUACCUACCUAAAUUAUGGACCAAUUUGAAUUAACUAUCUAAGCUAAUUAUAUAUCUACUUUAAUAAACUUAUUUAUAGUUGCGAAAAUUGUAUAAAAUAUUUUAAUUAAACUUGUAAAAAUAUACAACUUAUUUAAACUUUAAAGGCUAAAAUAAAUAAAACUCUCCGAAAAAUACCUACUUUUUCACUUCCCCCUCCCCCCCUGGCUAUCAAAAACCUAUAUUUUGUCCAUUUAAAAUUUCAGAAACAUUCUUACAGAAUUAUCUAUAUUAAUUGAGAGAACAAAAUAACAAAAUUAUCCUUACAUUUUUCAUAAAAAAGUAAUUUUUUAAUAUAUUUCUGACAUUUUUAAAGGUAUAAUAAGAAACGGACGAAAUAGUAACAGAACCCUAACAGAAGGGGCUAAAUACAUUAACUUGAAAUUUUGAGGGGGCAAAAUACAUGUUAUUGAAACUCAGGAGAAAGCGGAAAAGUGAGUAUUUAUAGACAAAUUUUCUGUAUUUUAGCCUAAAUCAAAUGUAUCGUUGACUAAUUCAAAUCAAAUAAAUUAAAAGAUUGUAUCAUGCCUCGGGCUACAGUGAAAGCGUAUAUCAAGCACAUGCACAAACCCGCUACGUGGAUAAGAACGCCUUCUAUACACACGAAAAGUCAACAAUCAAUCAAUUUCAACACUAUUAUACAACUUCAUAUAACAGAUAAUAUACAAGUUGAUAGGUAUCAAGAGCAAGUACCAUCUUUAAGCACUUCAUAAUCCAUAUAUUGUCUUCCAAAAUAUAUUAUUACUAGUAUAGGUUCCGCACUUUGCCGCGGGUACAUAGUAUUUUAGUCAAUAGUAUGAUAUAUACUAUAUAUAUAUAUAUAUAUAUAUAUAUAUAUAUAUAUAAUUUUUAAAAUCUUAAAAAUUGAAAAACUUACAAUGAAAAAUACAAAGCAAACUUAAACAUCCUUUUAUAUAUUAUAAAAGUUAUUUUUUUACUAAUAUUUUCAGAUUUCAGUAUUUGUAGAGUUAAAGUAUUUCUAAUAACUUGACUUAAAAAUUCAAUCAAACUUAAUAGUUUUAGUAGCUAUUUUAAAAAUAAAUUUUAAUUUAAGAUUUAAAAUUAGAAGAAUUAUUCUAAAUUGCCAAAUAGAUAAGAUCGUAUUCACCUUACUAAAAUUUAUUGGAGAAAGAUGUUUUGUUAUUUGCACAUGAUGUAUAUUAACACACCAUAUACCCCAAUUUAUAUUAGAAAACUAAUUUCUAAUAUCAAAAUAUAAUUAAAUAUAUCUAAGCUAUGAAGUCUAAUAAUUUAAAUAUAUUUUCUUAAUUAAAUUUAAAAUCACUAUUAGAGAUUUGAAGCAUGCGGUGUAUGUAAUUAUAUACAUUUAGUGUAGAAAAUGCUUAAUUAUGGACCGGGCUCUUUGAAAAGUUCUUUUUUAUAGUUCUAAAAAAAAGAGGAGAAACUUUUGCUUACACCUGAUAUAUGUUAAUAUUUCAUACAUCGUAAGUAUAUUAGAUAAUUCAUAAAUACCUAAUAGUUAGUAUUAUAAAAUAAAAUGUAAGUAUAUUAGAUGAUUCAUAAAAUACCUAAUAGUUAGUACUAUAAAAUAAAAUAUAAAAUAUAGUAUAAUAUUGUCACGCCCCGGAUUACUCGUUUUUUCGGGCACGCCAACAAAUCCACCGUAUACAAAGGAAUUUUCUCUUUAUACGAAGCGAUAGCUGUACCUGUACCUAUACCUGUAAUCAUACAAUACUACAACCAGUAGUAUAGAGCUGUUAAAAAGAAAACAUAUAUAGUAACAUCGGUUCAAAUACAUACAUAGUAUCCUGAUACAAAAACACUAGCUCCGACAAGGUACAAUAUCAGUAUGUAUAAGAACCAAAAACUACAACUACUUGUAGUUGGUAGUAAUCUCUAGGUCAGCAGCAACUGGGAAGGGAUCUAGCUCGCGACUCCCUUUCCACGAUCUGAAUCAGCAACAGCAGCAGCCGAAAACGAAGGCUCUGCCAAAGGUUUCCAACAAUUGGGCAUGAGAACUACUGCAAAAAGAAGUAGUCCUCAGUGGGUACCGCUACCGACCUCAACAGCUCACCCACUAAGUCUACAGAUAUAUGCUCAAAGAUAGUAAAGGAAGCUAGAACAAAUCUACAGCUAUAUGCCACUAUACUAUCACAAUCUAACACUAGCUAUCUGUUAAAAAUGCAAUCUCUGACCCAAUCUCACUAGGAACUGUGAACACACCCGUCCAGCCUGUCUAAGCUACACUAACUGCCACCACACUAGGUCGUCAGUGAAGAGCAAGUCCAAAUAGGAGAAACCGACAUCAAUGCAAAAGUACUAAGCCCGACUCCGGAGUGGCACUCGUGGGCGCUACCCAACCAAGUAUACAAGCGUGUCUCUGCCGAGCUCAAUCAGGCUCUCACAUGCUAUAAUCAAUACAGAAAGGUCUAACAGGUCUGACAACCAUACUAAACAUGCCCUCAGCACAAUCUGAUGCAAAAAUAGUAAACCGGGUCCACCGUCAACCACAACGGCACCCAACAGUCCGGAACAGUCUAUACACUACUGUAAAAAUAAAUUCGGCAUCUCAGCACGAGCGUAAAUGCAUUCUACACUAUUCUGGGUAUCCACCGCCCACCAACUACGGCGAUACAUACAAACUACGGCUCCUAAAGCUAAAUCUGAUAGUUUGAGCAAAUGACAGUAUAGAAUCAAUAGUUUUCUCCUAAGUCAAGUCCAUGUCCAACAUGUAUAAUUUAGCUAAUAUUCUAAACUCCAAUUCAGAUUUAAAACUAUGCAAAUCAAAGAAUCGAGCUACUACACAUGCUAAACAAAGCCAAAAAAAUACAUGCUGUCAACAUAUAGGCUUAGGAGGUAAUUUCGAGAAUUCCGGUAAGCAUAUCAUUAACCCACCUCAAAAGCUAAUCCACGACGGCGGAAAGUCGAAUGAAGCGGAACCACGCGGUUUCCCAGCCUCCGAACGAUGCAACUACGACGUCCACGCGCUCGAACGGCUCCCCGGCGUGAUGUCGGCGUCGAUCCAAACUCCACCCGAAGCCUUCUCCGUGCGUAUGGCUCAAGGGCAAGAGAGAGAGUGGAACAAGCAAAAACCCUCCAUCUCUGCCUCCCUACACGUAUAUAAAGAGAGUAGGUGAGGGUGAAAACAACGAGGUAGCCAAAAGACCAAACAGCCCCUCACCUACCCUGGAGUAGCAGUACCAGGCCAAUGCCGUACCGGUACCCUGCAGCAAAAUUUGCAAACCCGAGAGCAGUCUGCGUUGAAAACACACUGGGUACCGGUACUCCUCUAUGUGGUACCGGUACGCAUCGCUGAAAAUCUGAAAUUGGCAGAUUUCAAUGCUAAAACCUGCUCUCGCGUCGCAACGAGUCCGUUUUGCGUUUAUUUCGCGCCAACGCGACUGGACUUGUCCCGACACUCUCCAGAUGUGUCGACAAGCCUCAGAUGCUGCACUUCCACAGCUGCUGGCCACCAGGGAUACUACAAAUAUAUUAUAUUAUAAAAUAUAAAAUAUUUAAUAAUUUAUUGUAUUAUAGAAAUUUAUUUUUUAUUCACAUUUUAUACCCGAUCUACAACACAAUUGGUGUGUCGAAAAUUUCUAUUGAAUAUAUGGCAUGUUUUUAUUGGCUAAGGGCUACAAUGAACAGGUGGAAAAAGGAUUCAUACGACGUGGAGGUGGGACGUAUACUGAGAAAACCGUCAAAUUAUGUAUUGGUAUGGAUUCUAUUACAUUAUGUUGCAAACGUUUAAUAUAUCAUCAACCCAAAAUAUUUUCCCAAAAUACAAAUAGGGUUGACCCGUACUUGAUCCAAAUGGGGCGGAAAGUAUUUAACUAUCAAGUAAUCUCUUUGCCCAUCUCGAACUUUCCCACUAACUAUCAUUAGCGAGUGUGAAAAUUAUAAAAUAUAAUUUCUAGUGGAUACUAUUGUUUAGAUUACUUGAACCUUAUGUAAAGAAAAGCACAAAGAACUAAUUUUGAUAAAAAAAAAUCAUGACAAUAAUUAAUAGCAUAUCCAUCUUUACUUCACUACUCUACUAACCCCAUGGAAAGAAACCAAUAAAAGUCUUUUAUUGGCCUUUUACUCUACUUUGGAAUCAGUUGAUCCGAAGUGGGGUAAAAAAAAAUAAAAACAAAAAGUACUGCUAUUUGGUAGCACCAUCUUUAAUACCUGUGGGCCCACGUACUAGUGGGCCCACCAAAAUACUUAGAUGAUUAAAAAAUAAAAAAUAAAUAAACAAAUAAAUAAAAAUAAAAAAUUAUUAUGAUUUGGAUACUAUAUCCGACUGCAAUUUUAUUUUCUUCUUUAGUUAAGAGCCUAUUUGGUUUCUUGGAAAAUAGUAGAAAACUAUUUUCUGAAAAAAAAAUUGUGGAAAAGAAAUUUUCUAAUUUCUAUUGUUUGGUAAGGUGGAAAAGAAAAAUAGUUUUUUAUUUUUAUNUAUUUGGUUUCUUGGAAAAUAGUAGAAAACUAUUUUCUGAAAAAAAAAUUGUGGAAAAGAAAUUUUCUAAUUUCUAUUGUUUGGUAAGGCGGAAAAGAAAAGUAGUUUUUCAUAUAUAUGUGAUUGGUUGGUGAGAAAAAAAAAAUAAAAAAUAGUUUUUCAUUUAUAUUUCAUGUGUUUGGUUAGUUAAAAUAUUGGUAUAUAAAUACCUUCUACAAAAGAAGGAUGUGAUUACCAAUUUUUUAAAAUUUAACAUAAUAAUCACAAAUUUUUAUAAUAUAAAUAAUAAAUAAUUAAAUAAAAUAAAUUUUAUACCAAAAUAGUUUGACAAACGAGAUGGAGACAUUGGAGAUAUAGAGAUGAUUCUGCCAUAUUAUAUAUACUAGUCUAGAAACCCGCAUGAUGCAAGGGAUAAAAAUUAUAAUAAAUUAUAAAUUAAAUAUAGAAAUAAAAAUAUAAACAUAUAGCAAAAAAUAAUUAAUACUUGAUUGAUUAAUAAUAUAAAAAAUAUAUUGAAUUUUUUUUAGAAUGAAAAUAUAAUCUAAUGAAAAAUAAAGAAAGAAAAUAUAUCGUUUGGAUUGGGUACAAAAGGGGGAUAAGUCCCCUAUCCCUCCUCUUGUACCCAAAUAGAAAAAUGGAUGGGUGAGAACAAGUUGUUCAUUCCCACCCAGGGUGGGAAGUGGGAACAAGGCCUGUUUGGAUACACAGUAAAAUAUCUCCACGGAAUUUAUAAACUGUGGUUUCGGUCAAGAUAAAAUAGAGAAUACUGCAACUCUAAAAAAUUCCACGGAUUCAAUUUUUAAACUGUUUGGAUACGCAUUGUACAAUUUCACAGGAUUUUUCUAAAUUUUAAGAUUAAAAGUUAAAAUUUAAAAUUUCAAAAAAAAUUUAAAAUUUAAAAAUUGAUUGAAAUGUGAAUUUUGAAUUUUGAAUUUUAAAUUUUAAAUUUCAAUUUGAAAUUUACAAAUUAAAAAAUUAAAAUUAAAAUCUAAAUUAAUUUUUAAAUUUUUAAAUUUUAAUUUUAAAUUUAAAAAUAAAAAUUUAAAUUUAAAAUUUAAAAUUGAAAUUUGAAAUUUGAAAUUUAGAAUUUUAAAUUUAAGAAUAAAUUUAAAAUUUAAAGUUAAAAUAAAAUUUAAAAUUAAAGUUAAAAUUUGAAAUUGAACUAUAGAACUUGAGAUGAAAUUUGAAAUUUAAAAUUUGAAAUUUGAAAUUUAAUUUUAAAAUUAAAUUUUAAAAGUUAAAAUUUGAAAUUAAAGUUUGAAAUUUAAAUUUAAAUUUGAAAUUUAAAUUUAAAAUUUAAAUUUAAAAUUUAUAUUAAAUUUUAUUUAAAAUAAAAAAUAAAAUUUAAAUUUAAAUUGUAAAAUUAAAAUUUAAAAUUUAAAAUUAAAAUUUAAAAUUUAAAAUUUAAAAUUUAAAAUUUAAUUUUAAUUAGAAUUUUAAAUUUUAAAUUUUAAAUUAAAAAAAUUUAAAAUUUAAAGUUAAAUUUGAAAUUUGAAAAUUUAAAUUUAAAAUUGAAAUUGAAAUUUAAAUUUGAAAUUUGAAAUUUGAAAUUGAAAUUUAAAGUUGAAAUUAAAAUUAAAAUUUAAAUUUAAAAUUUUAAUUUAAAUUUCAAAUGUGAUUUCAAAUUUCAAAUUUUAAAUUUUAAAUUUUAAAUCUAUGUUGAAAUUUAAAAUCUAUGUUGAAAUUUAAAAUUUUAUGUUGAAAUUUAAAAGUUAGAACUUGAUGCAUUUUUUUAAAUAAGGGAGCUCAAGAAUGGUGGAAUUUUUUUUCCUUUGGUUAGAGUGGAUUAUACUUUUACUCCAUUUUUUGGAGUAUAGUUUAACUAUACUCCAAAAAUUACGUUACUUUUUUUCCUCCCAAACGCUUCAUAGGAUAUUUUUCCUACCGUCGUAGUAUAGUUUAACUAUGCUACGUUUUCAGGAGUAUCCAAACGGGGCCCAAUUGUGGGAACAACUUGUUCCCACCUAGGGGUUGUUUCCACCCCCGGGUAGAGAGAGAGAGAGAGAGAGAUUUUUAUUUUAAAUUAAAAUUAAAAUUUUUAAAAUUUAAAAUUUGUAAUCUCCAAAUUAAAAUUUAUAAUUUAAAAUUGUAAAAUUUAAAGUUUAAAUUUUAAAUUUGAUAUUUUUAAAUUUUAAAUUUUAAAUUUGAUAUUUUUAAGUUUUAAAUUUUAAAUUUAAUAUUUUAUAUCUUUCAAAUUUAAAUUUGGUCUUAAAUUUAAAUUUUGAUAUUUAAAAUUUUGAAAAAUAAAAUUUUAAAUUUUAAAAGUUAAAAAUUUAGAUUUAAAAUUUAAAAUUUUGAAUUUAAAAAUUCAAAUUCAAAUAUAAUGAGAGGGGUAAUGCCAUUAUUUUCUAUUUAUAACUAUCAACUAUUCUUCUUAUUCCACCUUAUUUAUCUAAACCCUAUUUGUUUUACUCCUAGAAACAACCAAAUUUCAUCCAAACACAGAAUUAGUCUAGUUCUUACUUAUACCUAAACUUAUACCUAUUCCUGAUAUAAGUUAGUUCUUAUUUAUAUUCGAACCAAACGAACCCUUAUGAAGAGAAUAAAAACUGUUACGUAGAUAGGAAUUAAAAAAAACAUAAUUUAAUGUAAGAAUAAAAGAGAAGGAAAAAAAUAAAAAUCGGAGGUGAUUUCGUUGGGUGGGUUUCAUUACUCGACGAGUUAUAACGGGCUCCGGUUUCUUUUUUUCUACAUCAAAAUCUAAUUUCAAAAGAAAAAUUAGUAAUUAAAAUAAAAUAAAAUUAGGAGAGAAAUAAUAAUUUUUUUCUUUUUGAGAAAGAAAAAAAUAUUUUUUUAAUUCAUAAAAAUAUAAAAUCUCACAUGAAGCAAACUCGAUUCAUAGCUCUUAAAUUCAUCAUCACCUACUUCUUCUCUAUAUUAAAUCAAAAAAAAAAAAAAAAAAAAACAAACAGAGAAGAGAGAAUGGACGUGGGUUAGGGGGAGAGAGAAAGGGAGAGGGGGGAUGGAGGUUUUCUUGAGAGAGCGGGUUGGAGAUGAAGGGACAUACAAUGGGAUUAAACGGAAAUGAAGGGAACAUACGGUGAGAUGAGGAAAGAUGAAGGGAUGUAUGGCCGGAGGAUGAAAAAAAAAUCAGAAAAGUCUAAAAAGGGGAGAACUUGUCACAUCAGCUUGAUAUUGGGAAAUCAUAUAGAGACUAGUGUAGUGAUCCGCACAAUAUGACGCGUAAAUAAUAUUCGAUAUUUAAUAUAACAACGACAUCGAAAAAUCGUUGGUAGGAAUUUUUUUCUUCUCUUUACAGCUUGAUAUUAUUUUUUUUUUGUAAUGGUCUUAUACUUGUUAAUUUUUUUUUUUCAAUGGACAAUUUAUCUUAUCCUACUUGGACUGUAUAAUACCUAAAUUUAUGAUUUUUGCAAAGAAAUCAUAUAUAAAAGUAUUAUGAUUAGCACCAAAAAAAAUUCUUAAAAUGAUUGUUGCAAAAAUAUUUAUAAAUUGGCAAUCAAAUUAGAUUAUGUCAUAUAUAAUAGCAUUACGAUCAGGAUUGAGGAAAAAAAAAUUUCUAAAUUAUUCAUAAUAAUAAAUUGGAAGGCAAAAAAAAAUUAAUAUAUAUAUAAAAAUUAAACCAGAAACCUUACAAAAUCUAAGGCAAUCAAUUGCAGAUCAACCGUACACAGACAGUCAAUUUUCUAAAACAAAGUAAAAUUAUUCAGUAUUUUUUUUAAAAAAUAAUAAGCAGCCAAAUUGAAAUUCAAAUAAAAAUAAAAGGUAGAAACAAAAUAAGAGAAGAAAGAGCACCAAUAAAGAAAUAAAGAUUUUUUGCCGCAAAUAAAAAUUUUAUGGAGCCAUAUUAUAUAGGCAAAAAAAAUAGCAUUCAACGUAAAACAACCCUUCGGAUUCAACAAAUACAGAUAUCCGAGGAGUCAAAGGGCGUGUAGAGAAUGAAUCUGAAUCAUUUUUGCGACCGUAGGGGGAUGAAUCGGCAGGAAUGAAGCGUCGCUAACGAAAACGGCACGACAGGAAGAAGGACCGAUAAUGAACUUAGCCAAAUUUUCUGUCUAGGGAGGACACAUCAGGAGUCGAAGAGGGAUCUAGGAAAUCGGGUGAGCAAUUAAGUGGGAAGAAGAUAGAGAAAAAAAAACGUUGACAGGUGGGGCCCAUGGGCUUUUAUAAGAGGAUGAAUGAUAGGUGCUAUACAAAUCAAUUAAGUGGAAACUGGGUGAUCAAUUAAGUGGAAAGAUGAUUAAAAAAAAGUGACAGGUGGGGCCCAUAGGCCAAGAUGAAUGAUAGGUCGUAGACAAAUCAAUAAUUAAGGUAAUUUAGUAUGACAAGUAAAUCCUACAAAAAUACAAAAUUAAACUAAUAUCGUCACGUAGACAAAAAAAAACAUGAAUUUUCAUAGGAGUUUAUAGAUACAGAUAAAAAGAAAUGAGAGAAGAGAGUGCAGACAUGUCAGUUGGGUGGAGAGAGAAAGAGAUUGGGGACGGGGUUUUCUUAAGAGAGCGGGUUGGAGAGGAUAAGAGAGAGAUGAAGGGAAAUGAAGAGAUGUAUAGCGGGAGGAGUGGAAAAAAAAAUUAGAAAAGUCUAAAAAAAGGAGAACUUACGAUCGGAUGAGGGGAGAUGAAGAGAUGUAUGGCGGGAGGAGGAAAAAAAUUAUCAGAAAAAAAGAACUUGCCACAUCAGCUAUUGAUAUUGGAAAAUCAUAUAGCGAUAUAAAUAGAUAUAGAUAUAGAUAUAAAUAAUUUGGGGAGAUGGGGAUGACGGUGGGAGAUGACAGAAAUGACAGAUUUGGUGGUAAAAAUAUACCAAUAUAUUAGAAAAGAGAAUUUUCUUUUUUACUAAAAGCGUUCGCUAGAAAAAUUUUUAUUUUCCUAAACAAAAAAAAUUUGGGAAACGAAAAGGAAUGUUUUUUGUAAAAUAUAAAAAAUAAUUUUUCAAAAAAUCUAUUCCUUUUGCAAACCAAACACGCAGAAUUUUCAGUCUGAAAAAAUUUUCUAGAGUAUUUUCUAAGAAACCAAAUCGGUCCUACACAAUAGCAGCAGCAUCCUUUAGGGAAAAGAAAAAAAAAAAAUUCUAUUUCUUUUCAUUCCAGCUAUUUUUGCCCUUUCUUUUACUGGCAUUAUUAUUAAUUAUUAAUUAUUAAUUUUUUGUUUGAAAAUAGUAGUCAUUUUGAGUUGUUAUAGUAAAUAGAAAUAUAAUUAAUCCAUUAAGACUUCAUUUCGUAUCAUGCUUUUUUUUAUAAUUUUAAAUAUUUAUUCUAUGUAAUUUGAUAUGUUGGAGGAAAAAAAAUAUUAUUGAUUAAUUUAUAAUGCAUCCGGCUAAGUAACAUAUGGUAAGUUAUUUAAAAAAAUAUUAGAAGCAAAAACAUAUAUAUAUUUUUUUGCCAAGUAAACACUACUUUGGAUGAAAUGAUUGACAUCAAUCUACUGUUAACUCUUGCACAUUGAAUAUAUACAAAAUUUAUUUUAAAAAAUAAAUGUGAUAGCAAACGAUGCCUAAUUCUUUUCCUUAUUUGUUCUUUUAUUAUACAUUAAUUCCACUAUGAGAAAUUUUUGGAUCCAACACUGGCAAUAGUAUAAAACUACUUUGCUUCUAUGAUGUAUAAAGUAAAAGCAAGUUCAACUUUUCUAUUACCCACCAAUUUAUGAUAUUAUUAUGUCCAAUUUCAACACUUUAUCCUUCUCUAGAGGACCAACUCAAGUUACAGUUCUAGUUUGUAUCAUGCCAAUGAAGAACCGUGAUUGCCAUUCCACAUAUGGAGCCAUGCCCCAUAUCCGUCUCCCAAUUGGCUCUCAAAAAAGCAAAAGUGAGCUUAUUCGUUUGGUUGCAUUUUUCUAAUUAAAAUUCAGUAUAAUGCAUCAAAUUUUGGCUAAAUAGGCAAAAUAAGAAUAAAAAAUCUUUUUUUCUAAAUAACCUUAUAAAAUUGUUUAGUUGGCGAAAUAACCCUCUGAAAAAUUUAUUUCGCCAAAUAACCCUCCUCUUGCCAACUUAGAGCUGCAGUGAAUAAUUAUACCCGAAGCGAUGAAUCAUUCACCAUCUUCAAGAAGGGGGUAAAAUCGUUCACCGCCUUUCUACAUAGGUGAAUGAUUCAUUACUUCUAAGUUUUAUGUUCGAAGAAUUUGAAAUUCAAAUUUAACUUUAGAUUUCAAAUCAAAUAUAAAAUUCAAAUUUAUAUUUUGAAUUCAAAUUUAAAAAUUGAUUUCAAAUCAUUGAUUUUGAUUUUAAAUACAAAUUCAGAUUUCGAAUUCAAAUUCAUAUUCUGGUUUGAAAUAUCAAUUCGAAUUCGCAUUAAAUUUCAAAUUUAAAUUUAAAUUUUGAAUUCAAAAUUUGAAGUAUAACUCAGAUUUUGAAUUCAAAUUGCAAAUCAAAUUUAAAGUUAAAUUUAAAAUUAAAAUUCAGAUUUUGAAUUCACAGUUUAAAUUGAAACUCACAUUUGAUUUGUAAUUUCAAUUCAAAUUCACAUGCAUUCAAAAUUUUCAAAUUGAAAUUUAAAUGCUGAUUUUGAAUUCAAAUUUUGAAAUAUAAUUCAAAUUUUAAUAUAAAUUAUAAAUUUUAAUUUAAAAUUUAAAUUUAGAUUUUGAACACAAAUUCAAAUAUCAAAAUCUAAUUCAAUUUCAAUUUCGAAAUCUAAAUUCAAAUUUUGAAUUUCAAUUCAAAUUUCUAAUUCAGUUUUAAAAUUGUAUCUUUAAAUUCUAAUUUCAAAUUAUUAGUUUAAAAUUAAAAUUUUAAUUCCAACUCAGACGUCGUGAUUUUGAUAAUUUUAGAAGCGGUGAAUCUACUUCUUUUCUUCUUUUUUUUUUGAGAGAGAGAGAGAUAGGUAGCACGCUAUCUGUUUCGUUUAUUUUAUUUAGAAAUAAACUUAGCUGGAAAUGUGAAUCAACUAUGAUUCGAACUCGGGACCUCGGGUACCAACCACCAAGCCCUUUGCCACUUACUCUAGGGACGGUCGGUGAAUCUACUUAAAAGCCGAAAAGGGUGAAUGAUUUAUCUCUUUCGUAGAAAAUUUAGAAGAUGGUGAAUCGAAAUUUAGAAGAUGGUGACUCGUUCACCGUCUUCUCGAAAAUGGUGAAUGAUUCACCGCUUUUGGCAUAAUUAUCCAUUGUGUAGUUGGCAAGAGGAGGGUUAUUUGUCUAAAUAAAUUUCUUAGAAGAUUGUUUUGCCAAUUAAAAAAAUUCAAAGGAUUAUGCAGAUAAAAAUCCCGCGAAUGAAAAUUACGCUAGACAUGACAUGAAUGGAUUUGGAAAAGUUUAAGCUGAGUUAGAAUUUAUUUGGAAUUGUGGUAAGAGACUAUUUGGUUUGAUAUAAAUAAAAAUAUAGUAGAGUUGGAGAUACAUGUAAUUGAAAAUGUAAUAGUUAAAGCUACGUAUAUCUCGUUUGGUUAGAUGCAGUAAAAAGCACAGUAGUUAUAUGUAGCAGUUGUAUGUCACUGAAAAGUGCAUUUGUAAAAAAAUUUCCCUUUUUGUACAUAGUGGUGAGAUUAUCUCCAAUAUAAACAGAAAAAAAUAUUUUUUAUUUAAAAAAUAAUUAAGGAUGUAAGCUUGCCUCUUAUUUAAAGUUACUCUUCCAAACUGUUAUACAGUUGGAACUACAGUUAAUUUGGACGCAGUUCAAAAUUGCAUCAACUACGUCUCCUCAUGCAAUUUCAACUACAGCAGUUGGAUUCAAAUGCAUCAAAUCAAAUAUUGGAUUUGAAUUUGUACGUAGUUACAACUAUAUGCAAUCAAACAAUCCCUAAUAAAAGCACUCGAACUACUCAUGAUGCAAAUACCUCGUGUAAUGGAAAUAUACCCCUCCUUAGGUCUUCAACCAACUAUACUAUAGUAGUCCUCCAGGUGCAGGUGCUUCUUACAACUAUAAUAGACCUCCAAGAAGCACCCCAACGCUCGAGUUUCUUAUAUAUAUAUAUAUAUAUCAAUGAGCCUCCGAUGCCACAAUAGUUAGCUGGUGGAAGAUGAAUUUCUCUACAAAUAAAUAAACGCCAACUAGCACAUUUGCUAAUUAAGCAUGCUUCAGCAUAUGUAAAGACGAUGAAGCAGGAGGAGACCUUUUUUAGAGGAUGGAUUAUUUGGCCAGAUAAAUUCUCUAGACUAGAAGGUUAUUUUGUAAAUUGAAAAAUUUCAUCGGAAAGAAAAAAAGAAAAAAAAAAAAAAGGGUCUGGAAUCUGGAUCCCGGUUUACCACAUUCCUGAGAGCUCGGUCCUGCGAACGCCACUAAUAAAUCACACUGGUAGUGGUGCAAAACCGAGCCACCACACUGGCUUACAUACCCCACCUUACAAGCCCACUUUCCCUCCAUACGCUACCUACCGGCUCUUAACUACAUUAGCAUUAGCAUCAUUAGAGGGAUAAUACGGCCACUAACAUCAUCAUAUAGGACUGACUAAUUUACAUCAUCUUCUAACAAGCUUGUUGCUUGUUAUUUGGGGACCCCCAAGUUGUGAGUGCGAGCGAGUUAAAUGGCAAAAUAAAGAGAACAGGUAAUGGGAGGAGGUCUCUCCCCCUCCUCUCUCACUCGCACUCGCACUCUCACUCUCACUCUCACUCAGGUGCGUCCAUCGACUCCGGCGGUAUGCGAAACAGCACAGAUGCAGAAUAAUGCCCCGUCUGUGUACAUAGGGGUGGAUGAAAUAGUAAAAACCAGGCUCCAGCUGGACCUCUUGGCCUCGACAGUUCUUACGGACAUAACAAGCAAGUACUUUUGUAGUAAAGGAAAUAGCGAAGCUACAAGAUUAUGUUCAGAUCAGUUACAGCAAUUAACUGAGAAUCAGAAUAGCUUUACCAGAUACAGAAUAAUAAUUAAGCAGGUUAAGGAGGUUAGAUAAUUUACGAGCCUCCUAUUCGCCAUGUAUCUCCACUAUGAUAAGUUACACGAUUCACCAAAAACCAACUAAAACAGGGCGCGGCCAAAGAAAAUAAAAAAAAAAAAUCACUUCCUCCAAUGAUGUACGAAAUCACGACCCUCUCCAACCUACAGGGAGCAGGAUUCCUGGAACAACUUUCGUUUACACAGGCAUCUUACAAAAAGCACGGCACCGAUAACAAUGUGUUAGUGAUGUUUCUAGAUCACAAGUCAAAAGCAUUCCCAGCCGAUCAGAUGUCGUUUUAAUUUGGGGCUUAGUGUAUUCUCUUUCUCUUGCUUGUUUCGGGGUUAUCAUCAAGAACAAUGAUAUCAUCAUCGUCGUCGUUGUCUUUGAUUUCUUGCAGACUUUUUUUAUCAGAUAAGUUACGGCUAGGACGAGUCUGAGGUUUAUCGUCAUUCUCUGUUGCUGUUUCUGACCUUUCAGGCUUGGGCAUUUUCCUCUUUUUACUGGGCACUGCUGGAGUUGUUUCCACCUCAUCUCCGUCAGCUUCUGAUGAAGAUACAGAGGCCACAGCUUUGGUCUCUCCGUUGCUCACCGCAACCUCUUUGCCCUUUUCGGAGGGAGUGGUCCACCCAGAUAGGACCAUCCCAUCAGGUUCUUUCUCCUCGUCAAAUUCCUCCCUGCUUAUACAUCAAUAUAUUGUAAUGAUAUCUCAUACUUCAUAAUCUCUGUUAUAAAAGUAGCCAUUUCAUGAACUGAAAGAAACAUGUAGGAGGCAUACAAUGGAAAUAAGAGAGGGCUUCGACGAGACAAAUGGACUUAAAGCACAAACAGAUGAAAAACCAGACUCAGGAAGCAAACCAGAAACUGUGUCUAAGACUUCCAAUUUUCGAGUACUUUGACAAUGUUUAGGUAUGUCAUUUAUCAAAUUUAAAAAGAAGAAGAAAGAAACAAUCCCAGAUGCACUUUUUAUCUUCUAGUAUGCAUUUGCAAUCUGAAGACGGAAAACGGUAAAUGACUUUCAAGCAUGUCUAAUAUGGUAACAUCCUAACAUAAACCCCGAAUUGAUGUCAAAACCAAGUGAUUGCUAAUAGUUCUUACAAUCACUUUCAUUGGUUUCUAAAACAAGAUGGCUUCUCUUUUGCUUCCCCUCACGAGAGUUAAACACAAACUCUUCCAACCUUGACACUUUCAUACACGCUUAUCUCCUAAUGCAUCAUCAUUCAAUGCAUUAGACGCUUUGACGCAAAGCACAGAUUAUGUAUAAUUAAAGUUCCAAGCCACUACAACAGAAUAAGAAACUUUAUAGGAACAACAUGAUGAAUGUAUUUGGGAAAUUAACAAUGCAAAAAGAUACAGAAACCCAAAGACGUAAUGGAAACCUGUGUUUGAUGUUGAUAUUGCAUACUAAUUCCUGUUGAAGAUCCUCGAGACAAAGCACAGUGCCACUUCUGACCGGAGCAGGCAGUCCAGAUAAAACCUGCGUGAGAUGUGCAAGACAAUCCCGUAGGACGCAAAAAAAACAAAAAACAAAAAAAAAACAAAAAAAAGAAAGAAAAGAGAACAGACACCAGUUAAAGCCAACCUUAGCUUACCAUGCACAACUGAAACAGAGAAUGCUAAGAGUGAAUAUAUGAAUAAAAGAAGUCAUCAGACACAACCUUGUCGAGGUUCAAAGCAUAAUUGGCAGCUAAAUCCUUGUCCAAAUCAUCACCAUCCUCAAAGACGAGUGUUGAGCCAACCAUUACCAUAGGAAGGUUCAUACCAAGUUUGGCCUUUACUAUUCUCUCGACAACAUCUCGAAGCUUUGCAGUAUUAGUGUUAACCUCCAACAGCAGGGGUGUCUGUCUCAUUUAAGUAUACAAAUGUUUAAAACAGUCACAUAUCGGGGAGAGAGAGAGAGAGAGAGAGAGAGAGAGAGAGAGGGAUUUUACAAAAAAGAUAAGUACCUCAGAACAGACAUAACAUGAUUUAUUAGCCUCAAAUGGCUGCACCGGCAUUAGAAGCAUCUUUCUUGAUGGAUGUUCAAGACAAUAUGUCAUCCUGUGAACAAAAAUAGCUCUCCCAGUUAAACAAAACUUAAUUUUGCCUAUAAAUUUAAUACAAAGAUGUGCACAGAGAAGAUAGAAGUGGCAAGCGUUGUGCCAAUCAUCACAGCAGCUAAAAAAGAUAAUAAUAUGUCACAUGCAAUUUGUUUUUGACCGCCAAUUCUUGUCUGUAUCAUAAUUAGGUAUGUUGAUGCCUUGAUGGCAUAGGAUUGAUUCGAUUUUUCGGAAAAUAAAAUCCAAAAUGCCCAAUCAACAUUGAAACCCAAAACCAAAACCAAAUCAAACGACUUACAGAAGUCGAAAACCAUAAAAAACCCACCGAAAAACCUAAAACACCAAAACUGAAACCCACUAUAACUUUCUUUUAACAAUUCUAUUCAUAAACAAAACAGGAUUCAAACUAGGUUCUAAAUCUUGAUACAAGAACAGCAAUAUAAAAUGUUAUCAAGAUGACUAUCUUGUCUUAAUCUACAUUCUACAGCAAUUAGAUCAAAAUACACUGGCUUGAAUACAUAUACAUCUUCAUCUGGAGGAAUUAGAACAAAGGUGUGUAUAUAUAUAUAUGCGUUUUAAAUAUAUAAUUUAAGAACAUCACUCUCUAAUAGCUUAAGCUUUUGGACAAAAACGAUUAUUUCACAUUCUUUACAUGGUGUCAGAGUAGGAGGUCUUGAGUUCGAAUCCCACCAAGCUCCUAAUCUCAUUUAAUUUCCCCCAUUUAACUCAAGUACACAUUUCAAAAUGUCUCGAGCCCAAAUGAGAGGGAACAAUGUUAAAAUAUAAAUAAGAACACCGUUCUCUAACAAUUUAAGCAAUUGCAAAAAAAAACAAUUGUUGCACAUUUUUAGACAUACGAAGUAUACAGUUUGAGUUCAAGUUCAGGUCAGGAAGUCGCAAAAACUAUAACUGAGACCCAACUAAGUUUGUUUUCCCAUCGCCCAAACCAUGACGGUUUACCUUCAGUUAUUACUGCCCCAUUCAGGUUCGAGGUUUCUAGUAAAAUUUUGCAUAUCAUACGCAUUGACAUCCCUAUUGUGGUAUGUUACAUUACGUUCUAUGUGAUUGGAAAACUAGGACGAACAAGAUUACUAUAGGACUUUGAAGAACAAAAUUAAUUGAAUUGCAAGAUCUUGCUUUUACGAGUGUUGCAAUAACUGUCAACUACUACAAUUGAACAUGCAAUAGGACUUCAUUUUCAAUAUCUAAUCAUAUGUAAUGAUAAGUCAUACAUCAAUCUCUAUCACUAUUGCUAGGCACCAAAGCUACUUGGUUCUCAAGUAGGAACCUUUCUUACUAGCACGGGCUCAGAUAUUCCAAAGGAUAAUUAAAAAAUAGUGUUAACAAGUAAUGAUCAGAAAAGUAUCAUAUAAGCAAUGAUCAAAACCUGUGAACAAGAAAGAGAUGAAAUAUCAUGUGGAGAAAAUCUAUGCGAAGACAGUUUCCCUGCUGUUAAGGCACAAACAACUAAUCAACUUUAAGAGCUCCAAGUAAAGGCCAAGAAUUUGCAUUGCAUAAUAACCCACUAGCCAAUAAUUAACACUACUCGUAACUCAGGAAAAGCAGGUCACCACAAAUCAUGCACUCCCAAAUAACAAUGCGGUAGACCUAGUACUGUUAAUUUAGAUUCAGAGCUUAAGCGUGGAGAGAAGAAAGAAACAAAGGUGAACUAUUUGGGUUGGUACUGCAUGCUGUGAGUUGUAUUUCUCUAUUCUGCUCAAUGAAAAAACUAUAAUAGACCAUGAUAAAUGAAUAAAAAGACGAAAUCCAAAGAAUCGUCAAAAGAAUAUGCAGACUGAAAUUUUGGUCAACAGGAUCCUCAAAAGGGAUGCAAACUAAAAAUUUGUUCAAAACACCAGUUAUAUAAGUUUCAAUCAUUAUAACCUAUAUGAAUCAUCUUUCCCAGAGCGCUUCUUAGUAGGAAUAAAAUCCAACUAAUGUUCCAUUUUCAUACUGAUAGAAAUCAUGAAGACUAUCAAAAUUUUGCAAGAAUUUUGUGGAAUGAAUGUAGCAGAACUCAAGCUAUUAUUUCAAAUGAAAUUUUUUAUGAGGUAAAAGCACAAAAUUACAAGCUGAUGGAGAUUGAAAGCAACUUCUUUCGAUGAAAGAAAAUUUUUCCUGCAUGUUUCAAAUGCUACUUGGUGGACAAAGAACUAAAUUUGCAGACUUCUCAAAAGGAAUGGUUAGAAAAUAGCUUAGUCUCAAAAUAAUCAUCAUAAAAAAUGAUAGCCAAAAAUUUCCAUAUACAAUAACUAGAUCCAGAAACCAGAAAUAGUGGAAACUCGUAACUUCAUGGACAAAGGAACUGUACCUAUAAUUCUCAAAAUCAUUCUGCAGCACUUUAAUUGCUUCUAUAACAAUCAGACCAGCAAUAAUAGCAUUUGUUGUUGCGACGGCAUGAACGAUGUUGCCGGCGAUGCCUUUAGCUUCAAAAAGACUAUGCAAAGGAAUCCCAAAAGAAGAUGCCCUGAUAUUUGCAGCAGCAGUCACAAACUCCACUGCCAACUGAUCAUCUUUGUCAAAGGUUAAGCACCCAAUAUCCUAAGACCAAUUAAUAGCAACAUGAACUAAGUUUAACAGAGAAAAUGAUCUCAGGAGCAUAACAACAGAUAGAUGCAAAAGAUGGUACCUUCUCUCUUUUUUCAAAAAAUAAUCUAAGAGACUCCAAAAAGAUUCGUGAAUUCUCGGCAAGGCUCCAAACAUCCUGUGGGUUCUUCAGAUUAAGAGAGGACAUAGCAGAUGGGGUCAAAUCCUCAGUCUUGCAGUCCUCUGAGUACCCAUUUCGGUGAACUAGUUUGUCAGGUAAAAGAUCAUUAAUAUAUACCGGUCUAGGUCUUUGUCUGUUCUUCCAUGUUUCUUCAUUAGUUAAUGCAACUUCAAUAUUAUAUCCAAAAACAUGAUCAUAAAUUCUCCGACCAUACUGCUCAAGGUCUUCAUGUGGGUUGCGUACAAAUACAUCUUGUGCAUGCUCUGACUGAGAAUUGCCAUCACCAGAAUGCACGUUAAGAUCAUUGUCCUGAUUUUUGUCACCAAAUAACUUGGCAAAAAGCAAGUCCUUGGCCCAAACAAUACAGUGAACAAACUGGACAUGUAAAAGAUAGAAUUCAGCAUCACAAAAAAAUAGCAGACUAAAGAUUUAGUUAACUGAAAUUCAGUUCCAGCAAAAAUGCAAUCACCAUACCAACAAAUCAACAGAUAAUAGUAAUCAAGAAAAUUCCAUGCAUCGAAAGCAUAAAACUUCCGAACCCCAAACAACAAUAAGAACCAAGAAAUAAAGAUCUGCAAGUUCACAAAUCGAAAGUAGAUUUCUGAUAUGUUUAAAUUUGAGAUCACAAAAGUAGAUUUCAAAUUCUCUUCCAGUUUUAUUAGCAAAUUCACAAAUAAUCCCUAAAUUACCCACAUGAGUACAUAUGAUGGAACACCUUUCACAUUUGUUUUUCCCAAAAAGACUGAAAAAAUCAUGUCAUUUUUGGACGAGAUGUACAAAACACAUUUAUACACAAGCAUCUAGUCAAAUAAAACUUAAUUUAAUGUUUUCCCUAAGGUUAGAUCAAGUAACAGCACAUAACAUAAUUCCCUAUUUUCCAUGAAUAACUGAAUUCCUUCCUCUAAAAUUCAUAAUAUCUUCUCACUAAUUCCAUAUGCAACUUUAACACAUACUCUCUCUUUAUUACUUUUCUGCUGUUCUACAAAUAUCAUCCUACCCCACAAUUGAAGGAAUAACAAAUUACCUUGAAUAGAAGACAUCAUAACAUAAUUCAAAAGUGGGUACUGAUGUCAACUGAAAGUUUAUUAUCAGCGUGGCCCUGACAUUCACUGAAUAUCCCAUUACAAAUGCAUAUUACAAUAAGGCGCUAUGAGAAUUACAUAAAUAUUCAUACUUUUAGUCAGUUUUGGCUGAUCCAUGUAAAUGUCCAGAGCAUAAUAUUCCUUAUUACCAUUUUUUUUACCCAUAUUUGUACUUUAAAAAUGGAUUAUUCAAAUAUAAUUCAGAUACUUUAUUACUUUUGAUUGUCAAAAAGAAAUUGUUCAAAUAAAGUUUGAUAAACCUUGCUCAAAAUUUGUUACAGCUUUACAGGAAAAGGCCUGCAUCAUGUUCUAAAAAGUGUAAAGUUACUAGGCAAGUAGCCAAGAUACUGCAUAGCUUAUGCGGAAGGCGAGUGCAUAUGGGGUCACAUAGGAUACAACAAUAGCCUGUAAACUGUGGUAAGACAAAAUACAAUAGAUAAGAAUAAGAGGCAGAAGAAUCACGAAGAAAAAUCCUAAGAAACCUUUAUAUGUUGUAGGACAUUGCAACACUAUAAAGAUCAUGUCAAAUUUUUAUGUAAUUUUCGAUGCAAAGUAUUCUCAAACACGAGUAGCAAAUGAAAGUAGUAUGAAGAUUUAUAUCUCAAAUCAGUAGAUUUAAAUGUAUAACUAGUCAGCAUAGACAUGUCGCAACAUAUCUACUUAUAUAUACUUAAAAUACAUCAUAGCACGCGACUUGUGUAACGACCCGACCCGCUAGCAAUAAUAACUUGUUGGGCCCAAACCAGCCCAAAAUGCUUAAAUCCAGUUAUUAUUAUUAAUUUCCAUAAUCUCUUAUAUACUCGAUCACAACCCCAUUCCCACCCAAUAUUGGACUAUUGGGGUAUCACGGAGUCCCCCUGUUUAGGCCCUGACAUUCUUGUCAGACCAAUCACACGCACAACCUACGAUCACCAAGUGAUGUGAGACUUGUCUCGUUAGCCUUGAUACCGACCUUAGCUUAACCUGUCAUUCUCCAACCUGGCUUAGCCUGUCAUUCCAACACUGAGUCAACCGAGAUUCAUCUCACACUUCCGACUAGUGAUUGACUCUGAUAUCAAAUGUAACAACCCAACCAGCUAGCAAUAAUAACUCGUUGGGCCUAAAACCACCAACCCAAAAUAUUUAAGCCCAAUUAUUAUUGUUAGUGUCUGUGAUCUCUUAUAUACCCAAUCACAACCUCAUUCCCAUCCGAUGUGAGACUAUUGGGAUGUCACAACUAGGUCUUAUGUUUAUUACCUAGUGGCUAGUGCCCAAACUAUAUUUAGAUAUGGUCUAUGUGGGUUGGUUAAGCAACUGCAUCCACUUAGGCGUGCAAAAAUACGGGUUUAUGCACUAGUAGAAUAGUAGCCACCCUUUAGGAAUAAUAGCCUAUGAAUGAUGAGCAUUGUAUUUUGUAUGUACAGUUAAAAAGGUCAUCAUUUGAACCAAGGUUUUAAUCGCCUCAACAAUAGCAUGCGAAAUAUCAGUCAGCCUAUUAUACAGUGGCGCGUUGCAUGCCAACAGCUCGGCACAAUCGUCAAAGGCCAUAAUAUGGUGUCCUUUUAUAUGUUGGCACACACCUGCAAGCAGCAUGAUCAACAUGUUUCGCACGUGCGUAGCAUGUACCCCAGCUAACAAAGUACUUAACUUGGUUUGUGUUCUUUUACGGCUUGUUGGGCUCAUUUUAACAAAUGUAUAAGUAUUGUUUCAGUGGAGAUAUUCGAAGAAGUCCAAUAGCACUUUCAUAGAAACUCACCUCACAAAUUUAUGCUGCAUCUAGAAGCAAGAGCUUCAAUUUUAAAAUGCCUUUCGACCCAGAAGCUAAUUUCAUCUACCCUUGAAGUCUGAAACAUCACACCUUUCAUCUUCCCAAGUCAAGGUAUUCGAAUAAUUAGCCAAAAAUGCAUUGAACAUGCAUGGGCAGUCCAUGUUGAUAAUAAUUUAAAGCAGUAUAACAUUGAUGCCAUGCAUUGCACUAAGCAUCCUAGACAUUUUGACAAGGCUAACACUAUGGCUAUAAAUUGAGCUCUUUGCUUUUGAACAACUUGUGUUCGGCUUGAAACUUGGCUCAGCACAGGCUCAGUUGGCUCGUCUAACAUACAAGUUAAGGUUGAGCAGCUCAAUGCUCUUAGUUAAUCUUAAAAAUAUAAAAAUUGGCAAAACAUAUUGAAAACAAUCAAAUAACAUAUCAAUUUUAUGUCAGAAGAAGCAUAAUUCGUCCUCCUUAGAAUGAAAAAGAAAUUUUCACAUGUUAUACAAAUGUAAUUCUAAAUAACAGAUUAGCAAUACGUAUACAAUAAAGGUUCAUAAAAAUAAAAACAUCGUCAAUUUCUUAGUACAAACACAUAAAUCAGUUCUUCAUGAGCAGCUCAAGUUUGACUCAAAAGUAAAUAAGCUUGAGAUCAACACGACUAUAAGCGAGCCGAUCUUGAGCUUAGCUUAGCUUGCUUAUGUUUAGCUUAUUAACAAUACUUACUCAGCUAGCACAUUAUUAUGGCUUUCAUACUACAAUAAUGACUAAAUUUUAAUUGUAUAAGUUGUUGGCAUUUAAAACUUCAAAUUGUAUCAGUUGCUUCAGAUCAUUUGAUUGGUUGGAUCCUUUUUUUCCUUAGCAUAGGAAGUUAGUACAAAUCCAAGGUUUAUUCACCAAAAGUUGAAUAAGCCACAAUUUUAGUAUUCUUCCAAAUUGGAGGUUCUGCUCUUAGGGCUUAAAAUCUCAUUUCAGCUUCCCACGCAUUGUAAAAGCUCCAAGCAUCUGUAUUUGCCAAACACCAGGAGGUGAUCGCAAAUCAAGGCAAAAGCAAAAGCUAGACCAAAUAGGUACCAAGAAUAUCAGCAGUGGUAAGAAAUUUCAUAAGGAAAUGACAAAGAAAAACUAAAGAAAAAAGUUGUAAGUAGCAACGAUAAUCUUUCACAGAAUAAUUCAUCCAUGGAAGCACAGAUACACCAGUUAAAACAAGAGAAAAUCAGAAAAACCAGAACAGAAUUGACAAAGAUUAAACCUUUGAAGGGGUGCUGGUGAUCGUACAAACAGGAUAGGUCUUCGGAGUGGGUUUUGGCUGGCAUUCAUAGCACUCUGUUUUGCCUUUGACAUGAACUGUGACCUACCAAAUGAAAAACGAUUAAUAUAUUUCACUAGAGUCAGUUUGACAUGUUAAUGCACAAAAACAUGAGAUUUUCUGAUUUGGCACAUACUUAUAGCAAGCAGUUCAUGGUGUCGUUAAUUAACAAAGCACAUAGGAAGCUAGUUUGGUUCCUGCAAGAAAUACAGCUAAAAAAAUAUACGGGUACUAGAUGACUAAAUCAUUCUAGGAUUUGAUUGUAAAACAGACAUUCGUUUCAUGCAGAAGUAACUCUAAAAAGUAAGAGCAAACACUACGGGAUUGCAACUUGCAGUAUGCUGAAUUUCUGAAUAUAUGACAUUCAGAAUAAAAAAUGUAAAAACAACUAGCACAGUGCGAUGAGGAUGUUGACGUGGACAAACAGCAAUAUAAAGUAGGACCGGAAAGGAAGAUGUUCGCUCUGCAGCAGAAGCAGCUUCAAGGCAGGAUUAUGGAAUAAUUACGGAAACACAUACAAAAUGGAGAUGUAAAUUGAUCGAUAGGAAAGAAUGAGGUAAUCCAAGGUUAUGCUAUGAAAGUGAGAGAGAGAAUCCAGAAAUGACACUAACAGAAGUGAUUAAGAAAGAUAAAGAGGCAACAUGUUUAGAAGAGGAGAUAAAAGAAUCUGUGGCCAGAGAACAGUUACAUGACGAAGAUGAGUUACGAGGAUAGAUGGCAAAGUUUAUUUGACAACUUUUCCGUCAGUACCUCUUAGAGGAAGAUUAAAGCUAAACAAAUGUUAGUCCAUACAUCCUAACAAAUUCUUCUUCUAGAGAUACAUCAAAUAAAGCAGUAGAUUUAUGGGAGUACGAAUAGCAAUUACCAUGCUACACAUUACUUUCUAAUGGCUUUAUAAUUAGAUUAAACUGGGAGUUAUAUGACAUCACCUGCCCCAGAAAACCUGUUGUUCCACUUUCAACUAAAGGAACUUCAGCAGCAAGGCAAAGUCGAUUAACGUGUCGUCUAGCAUCUAGGUUAUCCAGACCAUUCAGGACCACAUUAAACUGCUUAAAAAAAUCAACAUUGAAUUGAGGAUCUUUGACAUUUGAAUGGUAUGGUGUGAUAUUGAUGUGGGGCCUAAACCUUAGAACAGCAUCACGAGCAACCUGAAAAGAAUACAACCAUGAUGGAAGCAAUGAGAGCAGCACCAGAUGUAAAUAAAUAAAAUAGGAAAAAAGUUUCAUGAGAGAUGAAUAAAAAACAUUCAAAUGUUGCUUACUUUAGCUUUAGAUUGUCCAACAUGAUGUUGCCGAAAUAAAAAUUGCCUGUUUAGGUUGCUAACUUCAAUUGUGUCCAUGUCAAUCUGCAAAUUGUUUCAAAAGUUCGAUUUAUAAGUUGGUAUCCAAAAUGUCAGCUGAUAAGCUUACUCUACUCCCGUGGUAUAUAGACGUCUGAAUGAACUCAUCCAAUUGGGACAACAGUGGAUUUCAUGAAAAAUGGAUACGUGAUGAUAAAAGACUCCCACUAGACUCUAGAGAAAUUACCACGUCAGAAUAGAUAGCAGAAUAAGAACUAUAAACAUUCUCAAAGGGGUACGAACAGAGUAUAAACAUAUAAGACACCAUAUCUUUGUGGCCAUGAAACUAUUUAGAACAGCUAUGCUAUAAUUACAUAGAUAAUAAUGUUCCUAUAAUGAUAAUUACAAUAUUGCUACUAGCAAAUACACUAAGCAACUUCCACUAACGACAAUCAUCACAAAAUAGGAGACAAACGAAAAGUAACAAAAUGGAGGCAAAAGAAGCUUGGAUUUGGCAAACGAAUUCCGUGAAAAUACUAGGUUCUACAGUUCUACUGUAAAUUUUCAAUAGAUAAUUACAGAUAAUUGGCAAAGCUACAACUCUUUGUCUGCAAUAUAUGAUUAUUACAAACAUGGUCAGUCAAACCAUUAUUAGCAUGAUAAUCACCAGAACAGGUUAAAGGACUAAAUCCCGAGUAAAGAUAACAAAAAAAAAUUGCAUAGCCAUGCCUUCUCUCAAUGUCGGAACAAAUGCCUGCCUUAAAAGCAAGGAUUACCAUGCCACUAGCACCGGGUGUGCCAGAGUUCCAUUGGCAAGGCACAACACAGCACGUCAUGGCAUGGCUUGGCAUGCCAGCACGCGUAGGGAUAGAUCCUCUUUUAUUGUUAGCAGGAACUACACAGGCCAUGCCAGAUCCUUUUUUAUCUAUUAGAUGAGAAGCAUCGAGGGCACAUGCCGGCCAUGCCAGAACAAGGCCCACCAACAUAGAAAUCCUUGCUUACAAGAAACUACACCAACACCAGGUCUAACAAGCUUGUCACAUUACACAAAAAACGAAAUCAAAGUCCAGAUAAAGAAAUGGAGUGGAUAUUGAAUGAAACUUUUGAGGACAAGUAUUACAUUGCCACAAGAAGCCAUCGGUCCUAAUUUUGCUGAUCUAAGAGGCAGUAUUUGCCAGCUCCUUAGGCCAUAAUAUCAUGAGUUUUACUCUUACUAAUACUUCUUGAAUCUACACUGCACAAACCACUAUAUAAACUUUAAAAUCAAUUUCUCAGUUUCCUGUAAGUGUUGUUUUUGGCACUUUUUUAAAGCCAGUUCAUAAAACAUCUGACUGAUCCAUGGACAAAUAGCUGACAUAUUCAACAUCCUAAAGCACCAUAGAGAAAUAUUCAACCUGCUUUAAUUUUUCUGUCAUAAUUCAUGUUGCCCUCUCAUAACAAACAGCCCAUAUAAUCCAGGGUACGAGUUAAUUCUUUCAUCUACCCUUCUCUAUCUUUUUAAAAUCUUUGUUUGCUUUUCCUGCUGAUCUCCAAGGUAUUGUAAUUUAUUUCAGUGCUUGCAUUGAUUAUCACUGAAGCAAUUCGAUUCCUUAGGCUGAACAAAAUGGUACACACCAAAAAAAGCAAAAAAGAAUAGCAUGGAUGGUAUGUUGAUUUAAAGGAUAGAAGAGAAACCAAAAAGGAGCCUAACAUAUAAGCAAGUAGUACACUUGAUGUCACAAUCCUUUCAUUCCUGACAAGAUUUAUUAGAGAGUUAAUAAUCUCUCCCCAGUCCACAUAUAAAUCAUAUUCCGACUUUUAAAUAAAACAAAAAAUAUAUAACUCUAUAUUUAUAUCAAGUUGGAUCUCAUUAAUCAUGUUUCAAGUAAUCCAUGCUAUCUCGCUUUAUCUCAAAAGAGUGGAUGAACCAAUACAUGCGUAUGUGGUCCCUUGAACACCCUUAAUAAUCCAUUAGUCUCUCUGCCUGUUGGCUAGACACUUAUGCGCUACACAGUAAGCACGUGAGCAAGUCAUCUACUACCAAAUUAACCAAGCACUUAGUUAAAUGCAAGCAGAUUAAGCAUGGCAUAUUAAUGAAACACCUAAACAUAGAGUUUACUUGGGGGUAUGUUUAGUUUAUAUUGUGACUGUUGCCUUUCUUUGUAAUCAGCAAAAUUUCUUGCUUAUAUUACUUAAAACUUCCACGUGAUAUUUACUGUGUUACAGUAGGUCUUCAAAAUUUUCUCUGUUUCCUUUCUUUUUGGGGAUUUGUUAUGUGCGUUAUCCGUUUACCAAUUUCUAUUAUUCGCAUUUCUACCACAGUUUAAAAAAUGUUAAUUGCAUCUGAAAUCAAAUACCGCAUGCAUACCAGCAUGCACCUGAGUAACGCAUACAUCUGGCACACUAUUGGCAUCGUUCAGGAGAACGCCUUUUCUACCACUUACAAGCAUAGUUUUGAUUAACGACAAUUGAACAAAUUUUUAAAGUGAGAAGCAUUGUUUCCGUUAAUUAAACCACAUAUAUGCCUGCAAAUGCAUCUGCAUACCAAAUAUACAACAUGCGGCGGCAGGAAGGGUGGAUUUUAGUGCCUCUUUGGGCCUACUUGUGCUUCCUGCUUUCAACAAGAAUCACCCCUAGAAAAGCGUUUUGGCAAAUAAAAAAGUCCGGGGCUUUGGCUAGAACAGAAAUCACACACACACACACACACACACACACAAAGAAAAAAAAAGAAAAGAAAAGAAGAAGAGAUUUUGAGGCUUAAAACCGAAAGAUUUAAAUUGAUGCUUCUACAGCGGCAGCGAGGAUGUAAAACAGCAAAAAAUUUACUCAACAGCAAUCUAUCCAACAGCACCGCACCCUACAUACCCUGCAGCAGGGGCAAACAGGAUCACAGAAUUUUAUCCUCUCCUCUUUAAUUUGAGUAUGCGGACGGAGUGGUACAUACACCGGGUCGAGUCAAACAGCAAAAUAAACGAUAAAACCCUAGAAUCCCGGAAGUAGCAAAAGACCGGAGGAGAGAAACCCUAACAGGACUGGACUGGACUGGACUGGGUGGUGGUGGUGGUGGUGGUAAAAGUAAAAGCAGGGGAAGGCGAAAGUAGAAGUAAAAGCAAAAGCAGGGGAAGGCGAUGUUACUAUGUGAAUAUCGCGGAAGCCGGAGAGGGCAAGCGUCUUCAGGAGCUCGCAGCCGAUCCCGCCGGCCCCGACCAUCAGCACCUUCGCGGCCUGCAGGACAAACCCCCCCAAUCCGAGUCAAGCGAAGUCAGACUCCUUCCUUCCUUCCUUCCGCAAGAAAAUAAUACCUGCCUUCCCGAGGCACCCACCCCACCGAGAAGAACAGGAACAGGAACAGGAACAGGAACAGGAACAGGAACGUGAACGUGAAGCGAGAGCAGCAAGUUUUGGGAGGAGACGAAGGAUCGGGCUAGUAAAAGCCUCCUCGCCCGAAGAAGUGCAAGGAGAGGGGGCGAUGGGCUUCGAUUCCGAGACCUUCGAACCGAAAAACCGCUGAUGAGCGGAGAGUAGAAUUUCGAAACUAUCUGUUUCUUCCGUGUACAUUCUUUCUACCUUCUUCUUUUUUUCUUUUUUUCUUUUUUUCCUUUUGUCUUUUUUUUUUUUUUUUCAAAAAAAACUUUGCCUAUUUUGGUAAUAAAAAAAAGCAUAUAGUCCGACGCUAGCUUGUAUUUCGGGGCUACAAGAAGUUAUGGACUUUUUUUUUGCAUUUAGCCUUCUAAAAAAAUUUUAUUUCAAAAAUGGCCCUGUCAAAAUUUAAUUUGCAAAAAUGACCCUGACUUUGCCACGCAAGUGUCACGUCAGCGCCACGCAGGCGAAGCUGGGGCCACGGCGUUUAAGUUGAACAUGGUGAACCAUUCACCGUAUUCAAACACGAUAAAUGGUUCACCGUGUCCAGUGUGUUAUUCAUGCCCUUGGUCUUGCAGCAGGUCGGAGAGAGCCUGGGGCAGAGGGAGAGAGAACCCAGGGGUAAUACAUGAGACACGGGGGACCAUUCACCGUGUCUAAACACGGUGAAUAGUUCACCGUGUCCAAACACGGUGAAUCAAUUACCGUGUUUUCUUUGAAUACAACCCCCCUGAGCUGUCUUCCUCUUCCCCCCAACUCUCUCGCUCGAUCUCUCUCUCUCUCUCUCGCUCGAUCUCUCUCUCUCGCUCUCUUCCUCUCGCUUUCUCUCUCUGGCAGACGCCGACGCCGCCGCCGCCGCCGCCGACGCCGCCCUCUCUCGCCCGAGGUGUUUCCCCACCCUCAUUCUCUAUCUAGCUCUAGAAGCCCCCACAUCUCUCUCUCUCUCUCUCUCUCUCUGUCGCCCACCCCGCCGGCGCCGGCGACCCCGGCGACACCGGCGCCGCCCUCACCCGGCCGAGAACACCCCACCACCCCUCUUGCUCUCUCUAACCUCUCUCUCUUCCUNACGCCGCCCACAGUGGCUUCUCACUGUGAAAAGCCUCUGUGAGGCCUCCCCCCCCUUCCCCCCCUCACAGAGGCUUCUCACUGGCAACCCCCCACAGAGACCCUGUGAGGCCUCUCACUGUGCAACCACCCUCCCCCGCUCACAUAGUCCUCUCACUGUGCAACCCAACCCAAACCCCCCUCCCUCACAGAGGCAUCUAAACCCCUCUCUCUCUCUCUCUCUCUCUCUCACUGAUUGUUCUCGGUGUCUUUAUCACAGGUCACUCCUUAGCUCUUAAUUGGCAAAGUAGUCGCGCCGACCGUGUUCGCAAAAUGGUAAUACCAUCUCUUACCCUCUCCUUUGUUAUAUGUUAGAAAUGUGGUAUGUCUUGAGUUUAAUAUUUUUAUACAUUUUAUUAUAUUACUUUAGAACUCUAUAUCUGGCGACUGUGUUCCUUUCUAUAUCCAUUGGGACGGAAAUUUUAUCGAGAACAAUAAUGUACCAUGAUAUAUUGGUGGCCGUAAAGAAUUGGUUGCGAUCCGACGCGAUAUCUCAUUUCGGGCAUUUGAGAUGGAAAUAUAUAAUGUUACUAAUUAUGAUCGAGUGGAAGACCGUCUACGCAUCACAGUGAAAUGUCCAAUGGGAGGUGAAUGGGAAUUAGUUAACGUAUCAAAUGACAAUACACUAUCUGCCGUGAUGAGUAUUUUUCCCUUCCAUGGAUGUAUAAAGUAUUCGUGGAGAAAUAUGUGUCGACGACAUACGACCGUCCAAAUACCAUUAAUUAUAUGGAAAUGCAUCGUAGUAGCAAUUAUCAAAGGAAUUACGUCAAUCGCGAACGAGUUCGUAUAUCAAGGUAUAAAGUAAUGACCUUUAUAAAUGUUUUUCAUGAUUCCUCAAUUAGUUUAGGUGCGCGAAAUUAAUAACUCUGUCUUGUAAGUGUUACAGAGAAUUUGGAGUCCCAUGUGUGCCAGUUAGUGCAUCAUUGCCAUCUACUAUGAUGAAUCCGUCUCGGUUGGUUGCUCAAAAUGAGUGGUAGGUGAUUGUAUGAUUUAGUUACAUUAAAAUUUGACCAAUGUGAAUAGUUAAUCUUAUUGAAGUAAAAUAAUACUUGUCAUGCAUAUAUAUAGGUUGAAACAAUCCUAAUCCUAAUAAAAAAAUGAUUAGAUUCGAGUUCAUACAAUCCUAAUAGGUCUCGUAUUAAUCAUUAAUUUUCUCGGGUCAAUAAUUAUAAUAUACAAUAAGCCUAUUUAAAAAUGUGAAUGGGUGGGCCCUUAUGAAAGCCCAAACAAAUAAAAAAAAAAAAAUGUGAGUGGGUGAGCCCUUACGAAAGCCCAAACAAAUAAAUUAAAAAAAAAGUGAGGGUGGGCCUUUAUUUCAGCCCGUUAUCAUUUGAGCCCAAUAAAUUAAGGUGGGUCUGAUCAACGACGGCCCACACCCACACCUUAUAAAGUAUCUAGUCGAAAUCCGAUUUCAAAUCAUAAUCCAUUCAAAAUUCGAAUUUCGAAUUUUGAAUUCCCAAAAUACCAUNN